rnacentral:lncRNA from 1 species
UGAGAUAGUUUCAUAGAAGGACAACAUCAAGAGAAAAUAAGUAAUAGCAAGGCAGACAUGAUGAUGGCACUUAUCAAGAAAAAUACACACAUUCUCUAUUGUGUUGCUCUUUUGCUGAUGUGUACCACUUUUCUGUGUGGCCUUGCAUCAGCUGGGAGGGACAUAGGUAAUUUCCAAAUACGUUUCUUGAAUGAGUUUCUCGAUAUUCAACAGACCCAAAUGAUUAAGUAUCUUGUAUUCCAUAUGGAUUAAUUUGUAUGUUGUGGUGAUUCCUUCACUGUGUUUAGGUACCAACGCUGCAUUUGGAAACCAAUGUUUUACUUACUCGGUAUGCAUGGACCCAUAUCAAUAGGCCGUUGAUUAUUGCAACAAAGAGUGCAAAAUACUUGGCUAUGACGGGCAGAAAGGCUACUGCAAGAAGGAGAAUAACGGCGUGCGUUGUUGUGUUACUCCCUCCCUAAUGUGAAAAUCAUGUUAAACUAUCAUUUUAUAGAAAGCCAUUCCAUAUAUUUGCUAGUAAAAAUAUCAAUUUAUAUGGAUUAUACGAGCAUUUCAAUCAAGUAUAGAGGUAGUUGCUUUCGAAGACCAACUUGACUAGCCGAUCAAUUCUUCAAGUAAUAUGAAACAACAAUGAGGCCGCUAAAAAAUGAAAGUACUAAUAAUCUUAAAAAAUUAAAUCGGGAAGUGAAUUGAUGGAAAUAUAUCAAAAGACUCAUAUCAUACAAGAUGCUCCAAGCAAAACGCAUAUCUCAUGUGGUGAAUAAAAAUAUAACCUCAAGUAAAUUUACCGAUAGACGAAGACGAAAGAGGGGAUGCCAUCCAGGGCAUCCCCAAGCUUAGAUGCUGGGUUGUCCUUGAAUAUUAACUUGUGAUGCCUUGGGCAUCCCCAAGCUUAGGCUCUUGCUACUCCUUAUUACGUAGUCCAUCAAAUCUUUACCCAAAACUUGAAAACUUCACAAACACAAAACUCAACUGAAAGCUCAUGAGAUCCGUUAGUAUAAGAAAAUAAAUAACCACUUUUUAGUACUGUUAUGAACUCAUUCUUUAUUUAUAUUGGUGUAAUAUCUACUGUAUUCCAACUUCUCCAUGGUUCAUAUCCCCGAUACUACCCAUAGAUUCAUUAAAAUAAGAAAACAACACAUGGAAAACAGAAUCUGUCAACAAACAGAACAGUCUAUAGCAAUCUGGAAACUUUGAAUACUUCUGAAACUCUAAAAAUCCUGAAAGAUUAGGAAAAUCUGGGAAAUUUGUAUAUCAAUCUUGUGUAAAACAUUCAGAUCAAAAUUACGCUUCUGUGAUUUUUGAAAAUUAUUAUACUGGGCAUAAAAGUUUCUGUUUUUCAGUAAGAUCAAAUCAACUAUCACUAUUAGGGAAAACCUUAUACACAGAAUUUUAGCAGUAGCGCUUGUUAAAAAAGCUCUCUACUGCUAGACAGCAGUAGCGCGUGCAAAAUACGCGCGCUGCAGAUACAUAUUUAGCAGUAGCGCGUCUCGUUGAAAAAGCGCUACUAUAAAAAUUCCAACCACUAAGCCGAUAGGCUACACAUAGUAGUAGCGAUCUUUCAAGAACCGCGCUACCGCUAAUAUUGUUAUAGCAGCGCCGUUUAGGUGUAAGGCACUACUGCUAACGAAAAUAAAAUGAAAUGAAAAACAAAUAGAAAAGUAAAUAAAAAUGAAAGAAAUAGAAAAAAGGAGAAAGGAAAAAAAAUAAAACAUAAAGAAAAAUAAACGAUAAAGGGAAAAAAGGAUGAAGGCAUAGCAGUAGCGCGUUUGCUGAAACGCGCCAUAGCUAACUUAGCUAUAGCGCAUUUUCAGUAACGCGCUACCGUUAUGUUUCACUUAACCCAGCGCCCCCCCCCAACCACCACUUCUCCCCCCAAAUCCCUCGCCCCACUUCGUCGUCGUCUGCCCAAUUCGCCAUCGCCCUACUUUGCCGCCGUCUCCUGCCGGCGUCGACGCUGGCAACCUCACCGUCUCCCCCUGAGGCCGCGGUCAUCCUCACCGCCGCCGCCCGAGGCCGCCCAGCCUCACCGCCACCGCCUCUCGGNNNNNNNNNNNNNNNNNNNNNNNNNNNNNNNNNNNNNNNNNNNNNNNNNNNNNNNNNNNNNNNNNNNNNNNNNNNNNNNNNNNNNNNNNNNNNNNNNNNNNNNNNNNNNNNNNNNNNNNNNNNNNNNNNNNNNNNNNNNNNNNNNNNNNNNNNNNNNNNNNNNNNNNNNNNNNNNNNNNNNNNNNNNNNNNNNNNNNNNNNNNNNNNNNNNNNNNNNNNNNNNNNNNNNNNNNNNNNNNNNNNNNNNNNNNNNNNNNNNNNNNNNNNNNNNNNNNNNNNNNNNNNNNNNNNNNNNNNNNNNNNNNNNNNNNNNNNNNNNNNNNNNNNNNNNNNNNNNNNNNNNNNNNNNNNNCGCCACUGCCCGAGCCCAAGCCCGCCCUCCCCGCCCUACCUCCGUCGCCGAGCACCUCCACGCCACAGUCUAUCCUCUCUCUGUAAGCCCCCACCCCUCCUCUCUCUCUCCAUUUUAAUUAGUAGAUGUUAGAGCAAAAAUUAGUUAGUAUAAAAAGAUGUUAAGUAGUAGAUGUUAGAGCAAAAAUUAGUUUAGAGCAAAAAAUUUAGUUUUGAGCAAAAGAUGUUAAGUAUAUAGUGAUACUAGUAGAUGUUAAUUAGGUUAGGGCAGUAGUGGUACUAGUAGAUGUUAAUUAGACGCUUUUUAGUUAGGGCAGUAGAGUUUUGCUAGGUUAAUUAGGUUAGUAAGGCUGCUAGUAGUAGUGGUACUGUCGGGGGGAUGAACCCCGGGCAGGCAAUAGAACCCAGAUCCUUUUCAAAAACGGCAGGGCCCGCAUCGCCCCGCGAACCGGCACGUGCCUGGCCGGGUCGCUCAACCCGGCAAGGUCCACAACCCGGCCAAGCUCUUCGACUCGGCAAGCUACAUCGACCCGACCACAGCAACUGGCGCAAGACAACACAACCCAACGCCACCAAGGCUUCCCAAACAAGCCGACCCCACCCAUGGCAUGCAUGGCAACCCAGCCACGGGUCAGCUCCCGUCCCAUCCAGGCCAUACGAUGGGACGAGACUUCAAUCACCGAUGACCAAGACUACAGUGCUUCCGCCCAUGCCUAUGGUCAGCCGGAGCGUGGCAACAAUGCCCCUUACCUACCCGCUGACCGAGGCUGGUGUGGCAACAGUGCUCCCGCCUUCGCCGCCGACGGCAGCAAGCGGCAACCUGACAGAGAGCACUGUACACGACUCGACUCGGCAUGCCCUGACGAUUGACAGGACGACGAACAGUUCCCCUAGGCACGCGGGGCCCGCACCUAGGGGAACCCGGCGAACCACAAGCCCUCAAGUGGGACCCAGCCCGGUAUCCCGGACACCGACAAUACGGACCGACUCAGCGUAUUACCAUUGUAACCCUGGGUGGGUUGAUCUAUAAACCCCCCCAGGAACCCACGCCUACAGAGAGAGGCACAUGUAUGAGACACGAGAGAAACAUAAGCAAACAUAGGACUAGCCACCCAACAGUAGCACCAGAGAGAAGGAGCAGCCCAAGCCUUGGCCAGCCCCCUUCCUCCUCCAUACAGCUCCAGGAGAAACAUUGUACUAUCGAUCAUCCAACUAAACUCGGCAGGACUAGGGGUAUUAUCUCUCAGGAGAUCCCCGAACCUGGGUAUGUCCGGCGUCCCGCGCCCGCGCAUGCCAACCUUGCCUCUGGAGCCCACCAGCGCCCUCGAGCCUCCUCCUCUCUUUAGCCAUCCCUUGACAUCUGUCGUGCGCCCACCACGACAGUUGGCGCCCACCAUGGGGCAGCUCGAGGAGCUGGCCGGGAGCAUGCUUCAGACGGGGCCCUUCUCCUACUCCGACGAGUCCGUCGCUCUGGCGGACGACGUCAUCGGCGCGCUCGCCGCCUUCUUCACUGUGCUGUGCAUCUCCGAUGCAUUCGUGGUUGACGAGUACCCCAGCGAGGUGCUCAGCUACUCCGACUCUCCGCUCUCCCUCGGCGGCGGAUUCACCGCCGGGGUGAUGGACGCCCAUGUGGAGGUUUUCGUCACCGGCGAUGGUGCCUCUUCCUCGUCGAGCAAGGCGAGGAGGGUCGCAGAAGCCGGGGCCGCUGCGGCACGAACCGAGCCAUCCGACCCGCUGCACGCCGCGAUGCAGAGCCUCCGUAUCCCCAUCGGCACCGAUGUCGACGCCACCAACGUCGCUGAAGCCCGAACCUAGCUCGAGGAUAGACGCCAGCAGAUGCUGGACCUGUCCAAGAUGCUGGCCGCCACCAAGCGUCGCCUGGAGGCCGCUCAGAUGGAGCAUGACGCCGCCCACGGAUUCAUGCCCGCCGCGGCCGAGCCAAGCCUGGUUGCCGAUGCUCGCACCCGGGAAGGAGCAAUCGGCCGGGCUGUAGGACCUUGAAGUAUGUCUAGAGGGGGGUGAUUAGACUACUUGACCAAUAAAAACUUAACCUUUUCCCAAUUUUAGAGUUUGGCAGAUUUUAGCUAUUUUAGGACAAGUCAAGCAAUCAUCACACAAUCCAAGCAAGCAUGCAAAGAGUGUAUAGGCAGCGGAAUUAAAGCAUGCAACUUGCAAGAAAGUAAAGGGAAGGGUUUGGAGGAUUCAAACGCAAUUGGAGACACGGAUGUUUUUGGCAUGGUUCUGAUAGGUGGUGCUAUCGUACAUCCACGUUGAUGGAGACUUCAACCCACGAAGGGUAACGGCUGCGCGAGUCCACGGAGGUCUCCACCCACGAAGGGUCCACGAAGUAGCAACCUUGUCUAUCCCACCAUGGCCGUCGCCCACGAAGGACUUGCCUCACUAGCGGUAGAUCUUCACGAAGUAGGUGAUCUCCUUGCCCUUACAAACUCCUUGGUUCAACUCCACAAUCUUGUCGGAGGCUCCCAAGUGACACCAGGCCAAUCUAGGAGACACCACUCUCCAAGAAGUAACAAAUGGUGCGUUGAUGAUGAACUCCUUGCUCUUGUGCUUCAAAUGAUAGUCUCCCCAACACUCAACUCUCUCUCAUAGGAUUUGGAUCUGAUGGAAAGAUGAUUUGAGUGGAAAGCAACUUGGGAAAGGCUAGAGAUCAAGAUUCAUAUGGUAGGAAUGGAAUAUCUUGGCCUCAACACAUGAGUAGGUGGUUCUCUCUCAGAAAUGGUAAGUUGGAAGUGUAGGUUUAGUCUGAUGGCUCUCUCCACGAAUGAAGAGGAGGUGGAGGGGUAUAUAUAGCCUCCACACAAAAUCUAACCAUUACACACAAUUUACCAAACUCGGUGGGACCGAAUAGUUAAACUCGGUCGAACCGAUUUAGUAAACCUAGUGACCAUUAGUGAUUUUCGGUGGGACUGACAUGCAUCUCGGUGAGACCGAUUCGGUUAGGGUUAGGGCAUAACGUAAUCUCGGUGAGACCGAUUAAACAAACUCGGUGGGACCGAUUUUGGUAAUUAGCUAACCAGAGAGUUGGUCAGGUAAACUUGGUGGGACCGAUUUGCUCUUUUCGGUGAGACCAAAAUUUUACAAAAAAGGAAACAGAGAGUUUACAUUGCAAUCUCGGUGGGACCGAUCGCUCACUUCGGUUAGACCGAAACAUUACGAAGGGAAACAGAGAGAUUGCAACCCCAUCUCGGUGCGACCGAGAUCCCUAUGGGUAAGACUGAUUUGCUUAGGGUUUGUGGCAGUGGCUAUGACUUUUGGAAUCGGUGGCGCCGGAUAGAAAGAAUCGGUGUGACCGAUUUUGGCUUUGGGUUUAGGUCAUUUGUGGAUGUGGGAAAGUAGUUGAUGGUUUUGGAGCAUAUCACUAAGCACAUGAAGCAAGAGGCUCAUUAAGAAACACCUCAUCCCUUCUUGAUAGUAUUGGCUUUUCCUAUAGACUCAAUGUGAUCUUGGAUCACUAAAAUGUAAAAUGAAGAGUCUUGAGCUUGAGCCAAUCCUUUGUCCUUAGUAUUUUGAGGGAUCCUCUUUCAUCAUCCAUGCCAUGCCAUUCAUUGAGCUUUCCUGAAAUAUAUGUCUUGGAAUAGCAUUAGCUCAAUGAGCUAUAUGUUGUUAUGAAUUACCAAAACCACCUAGGGAUAGUUGCACUUUCAGUCUCCCCCUUUUUGGUAAUUGAUGACAACAUAUAGAUCAAAGCUUCGACAAAUGAUAAUAAAAUUUAAAUAACAUCGUCGCUUUGAGAAAUAUGUGAUAAGCAAGAGCUUCCCCUAAAUUUGUGCAUAGUUUUAGAUUUGCUUUGGACUGCAAAUGCACAAGGAAUUAGGCUCAUGGGUUACUCUUCCAUGUCACAUACAUCUUGGUGGAGCGCUCAAAAUAAUAAACAAUGAAUACAUGCACUCAUCACCAAGCAUAGUGAGUGAUCACAUAAGAUAGAUAGGAUAAUAUCAUCAAACAUGCAUAAGUGUAGCUUAUGAUCAAACACAUGAUCAUCAAUGUCUCACAAGCAUAGUAUCUCAACCAAAAGCAAACAAAGAUUGAAAAACCACCAAAUAAAGCAAGAGAGACUAAAAGCAACACACACUCUCUCUCUCGAAGCCUAUGAUCUAUACAUUUUCUCCCCCUUUGGCAACAAGUUACCAAAAAGUUCAUAGAAAAUGCAUAGUGCUAGAUCGACUCUCAGGCUUGAUCUUCUGGUGGUGGUGUCCUAAUAACUCCUUGGACGAAGGCUUCAGUUGAUGUAGAGGGUGCUGGAGUUGAUGCUGAAGCUGGUUGCAGUGGAGCUGAAGGGGCAGUAGCUGGUGCUGAAGAUGUUGCUCUAGUGUCUGUCACUGGCACUGCAACUGACCUCUAGGCUCUGGUCACUCUGGCAAACACAUUGGUGGUAGUCUUGCCCUUCCUCUCCUGCAUGUCAUCCUGCAGCUGCUCCACAACUGACUGAAUCUCAGUUACCUUGACAUCUAGAUCAUAGAAUUUUUGUUCCAUGAUUCUUUCCAGGCUCUCCUGGUUUUGAGUUAGGGUGGCCAACCCCUUCUUAAUCCUCAGAGAUGAUGCUAUCAAGUAACCAAGCUGCUCCUGUUUGGUUUUCAAGAAAUAUUCAGAUGCCUCCUCUUGAGUUGGCAUCUUGGAAUCCUUCUCCUUCCUUGCCUUCUCCUUCUUCUCCUAAGCUUGAACUGAUGAUGGAUCAUCCUCAUUCAUGACAACCUCAUUUUCCUCAAAGUCUGGAUAGAGUGGAAAAUGUUCCCUAUCCAAUAGAUAUUUUCCUGUGCCCAUCUUUGAGUUUAUCAAUUCUUGAAUCUGAGGUGCAUAUCCACAGCUCCUCUUCUGAUCUGCUGCAGUCCUCUUGAUUGUUUCAAUGAUCAGGCUCAUGACUUCGAAUUUUUGUGGCACAUCAAACACAUGCAACAUGUUGAUGGCAUGCCCUCUGAUCAUGUUGUGGUCACCAGACUUGGGCAACAAUGUGUGCCUCAGAAUCCAAUUUAUGGUAGGCAGCCCUGAUAGCAGAAAGUGAACUGAUCCAAAAGUGAAAGUCUCUAGGGCUUUGUCUGGGAUCUCCUUGUACAUGUGAGCCAUUGAAUUGUGACCCAUCUUCUUCUUUGCAUAAAUGUCCAGAUCAUCAUCAUUCUCCUUUGGGGCAUUUAUCAGACUUGCCCAUUCUUCUACAGUGGACUGGUACCUUGUACCUUCAGACAUCCAAACAAUUCUUCCAUCUGGGUAAAAAUGUGCUGUGGAGUAGAAUUGCAUGAUAAGUUCAUCAUUCCAGUUGGUGAACUUCUGUCCAACAAAAUCUGCAACUCCACAAGCAACAAAGCUGUCUUGCACUCCAGGAUAGUGCUGUUCAUUCUCCUUGAUGAAUUUCCAGUCAACCCACCUCAUGUCACAGACUAUGGGCUUCUUGUCCAACAGAAUUGUUUCAUAGAAGUCCUGCUAUUCCUUUGUAUGGAACCUGUAAUCAACAACAGUUCUUCUCCUUGUGGCAUAUGGAUCUGCCAUCCUCCACAGUCUCAGCCCUGAAUCCUUCCUGAUUCUCAUGUCCUCAGCCACAGGAUGGGCAUCAUUGUGGUCUGGUAUCUUUGGCUUGAGCUUUCUUAGAACUUUCCUCCUUCAUCUUCCUCCUCAGCAACCUCAGGCACUAGGGCCUUGUUCUUCUCAGCAGCUGGAAUACUCCUAGUAUUCCUCUUUGGUGCAGACUUGGCCUUGGGGGCAGCUUUGGGUGCUUCCUUGGGCUUGGAUGUUGCAGCCCCAGAUCUGAUUGCAUCACCCAUAAGCUUUGGUGCCUUUGGUGCUGGUGCAACAAGCUCUUCCUCUUCCAUCAUGGAAGGUUUCCCUACAACUCUGGCCAUGGUCUUCUUGACCCUUUCCUUCCUCUUCUUGCUUUCAUCAGCUGGGUCUUUGGGAUCAGGAUUUUCAGGCAGUUGAGUUGAUGCUCUAGCCUUCGGCAUAGGUUGCCUUCUUGCAGGACUUUUGAUCUUCAUGCCUGGCUUUAUAUCUUUUGCUUAGCCAUAUUCCUUCUUGAGCACCACUUUCUUGGAAGUAGCCUCAUCUUCCUCAGCUUUGUAGUCUUCAUCCUCUGAAUCUGAAGUUCUUUUCCUCCUUUGCCUAGUUGCAGCCUUAGGUAAAUUGCUAGGAGUACUUUUGCUCCCUUCAUCUGAAGUACUGGAGGGACUAGUGCCCUCACUCAAGUGAAUCUGCUCUUCUGGCCUGUUCUGGCUGUCACUUUGAUCAUACAUACUGCACAAGCUGACUGCUGACCCUGUGAAGAGUUAUAGAUGAGAUAGAAAAUAUGAGCAUCACAAAAUGCAGAGGUUUUUGCAAAAUAAUGACUCAAAAGUUCAGUCUUAGUUUUCCACAAAAAGCAUUUCGGAUCCACCGAUUUUCAAACUCGGUGAUACCGAAGCAGUUUUGGAACCUAAACUGAUGAUCUCGGUUGGACCGAGUUUCAGUUCGGUGGUACUGAGACUGCUAGGGUUUCACUGAAUCCUAAAAUCGGUUGCACCGAUUAGUAAUUCUCGGUCAGACCGAGAGUCACUAGUGCAAUGGCAUAAGCCAAAUCGGUGAGACCGAGUUUUUCAACUCGGCGGGUCCGAGAUGGUUUCGGCGGAAACCUAAACCUAAAAAUUUGAAUCACAUCUAAUCUAUGAACUACUUUGGCUGGAUAGAAGAGUUUCAAUCGUGGCAAGAAUCAAUAUGAAAACAAUGUGCUAGGAAUCAGAUGUGGAUAGCACAAAGAUCAAGUCCAUACCCUAACUUGGCGGUGGACUUGCUACGGCUGCAACGACGGGGACGAAAUCUGUUAACAGCGGCAGAGACCAGCGACAGGAGGCUGCUGGCGACGAGGAGACGAUCCGGAGACCACGAUGGCAGAGCGAGCUGUUGCGCGGGUGAAGGGUUUCGGAGAAAUUUCCAAAAUUUUGCCCGUGUCUAUAUAUAGCCCGACCCUGUCGGUGUGACCGAGUGGAACAACUCGGUGGCACCGAGAUGCAUAACUGUGUUCAGUUACAGCAAAUCAGUGAGACCAAAAAGUUCAAAUCGGUUGCACCGAGAUUGAAAACUCAGAUCAACUUGAUGAUAUCGGUAGGACCAAAAUGGAAGAAUUGGUCAGACCGAGAAUCACAAAGAGGUUUUGGAAGUUUAAGUCUAUGACGAAUCGGGGACUCCGAGUGCUCCUCACACAGAGUGGUUCGAAUCUGACUUGAUCAAAUUUUGUGAUGUAGCAUGAAUAGAGUUUGAGACGAGAAAAACAUAGAUAGCUAAAGAAGGUUCUUAGGCAUUCUUGUCCAUCCACUUGGUCAAAAGAAGAAAGAACCAAACAAUCAAAACAACAAGUGGAUGUCCUUGAAUGAGUAAAAUAUGCACCAACAUGCUCACACAAUAAAAUGGCAAAUGAAAUAUGUGGCAAAGCAUGCACAACCAAUUCUAGCAUCUAUCAAACAAUUGGCGAUGACUAGGUCAUCUAUAUAUGAGUAUAUUGACUUAGGAGUCAAAUGAGAACAUUUGAUCAUAGGUCAUACUCAUCGUUUAAGCUCAAGUGGGGCUACCACUUUUACAUAAUGCAUUAAUGUGUUCACACCAUUAGAGUUGCUUUGACUCAAUUCCUAGAGUUAAGCUCCCCCUAGAUGUGAGAUCCCCCCUUAGAGGGAUGAACUAACCUUGGGUUUUGUCGAUGAUGACUUCAUGUAGGUGUUGAAGAUGUAGAUGCUCAAUGUUGAUGUAGAUCAUUUGGAGCAAUCCUUUGGAGUGAGUUGCACUUUCAACUUGCCUACAUGGGUUAGUCCCACAAGGAACAAACAAGAAUAUCCAUAGACAUAGAGUGAUGCACACACAAGAUGAUGUCCAUGAAAACAUUAGGUUACCUUGUCCCUUGCCUUACCAACAUGAGGGUUUGUGACUCCUUGAACUAGUGCAAGAUGUGAAAGUUGAUUGCACUUGUUCUUGCCAAAAUGAUAUGAGUGAAGAAUGUUGGCGGAGUCACCCUCAAGAACUCUCUAGUUCUUCUUCUUCAGGAUCCACAUCAUCUUGAUGGGAAUCCUUGGAGUUGUAGUUGUACUUGAUGAAGUAGAACUUGACGUAGUCUUGGGAACCCACUUGAUGGAGACCUUAGGUUCUUCUUCAAAUGCAUCAAUCUCUUCUUGAAGCUUGUCCUUGCCUUUGUUCUUGUGGUCUUGUGGUGGAAGAUCAUCUUGAGCUUGUGUCCCCUUGAAGGAAGUAGGAUCAUACUUCUCUUGUUGAGGGACAAACUUCGUCUUGGGGUAUUGAUCUUCUUCCCAUUCAACUCCAUUGGCAUUGAACAUUUGUUCAAAACCAACACCUUGAUUCUUCCGGUGUCUUCCUUGCUUGUGUACAAUUUCCUCGAAUUGCUUACUCCCGGCAAGGCUCUUGUAAACACCUUUCUCUAUAAUUCCCUUCAAGAAACUAUUUUCUUGCUCAAGUAUAACUUGGCUAAGAGAAUCAUUAGUGGAAUCAAGAGAAUUACUAGAAGCAACAACAUUGGAUUUAACAUUAUUAUUGUUACUACUAGAGGAAGUAUCUUUCUUGUACUUGUUACUAGACUUGACUUGAGGCAUGUAAGUAGAUAAGAGUAAACGCUUGGCAAUGUAAGAAGAACUUUUCUUGCGGAGAUCAUCAUUGAUUGCCUUUAAGAACUAAUGUUCUUGCUCAAGAUUGAGCUUUUCAAAGUGUAACUUCUCAUGAGCCCUUAAAAGUUCUCGAUGAUCUUUGAAGAUAGUUUCAUGAGCCAACUUAAGAGUGUUUAGUUCUUUAGUUAGAAGCUCAAUUUUCUCCUUAUCAUUGUCAUUCGUUUGAUUAGCAUGAUUAAUUGACGUUUCAUCAUAGUAUUCAUCACUAGAGUUGUCAACAAGUAAAUCAUCAUCCACAAGCAAGUCAUCUUCAUCACUAUUAAAAUCAACAUACUCGGGAUGUGUUACCUUUGGACCUUUGGCCAUGAAGCAUCUUCCAAUUCCUUCAUUUGGUGAAUCAAAUAUGUCGUAGGAGUUGGUUGACACAAGUGCUAGACCGGCAACACCUUCAUCUUGAGUAUGUUCGGAGUUGGAGUGAUAGCUUCUCUUGGAGUGAUUGUCGAAGUCGGAGCCGGAUACCCAUUCACCAACAUGAGCUUGAUGUCUUCGUUUUGUGUAGCUCCUUGAUGGCUUGUCCUUCCUUUCCGAAUCCUUGCUUCUCCGUGAGGGUCUUCGUUCAUAACGAUCAUCUCUACUCCUCCUCUCUCUUGGUGGUGAUUCUUCUCUUUUGCUUCUUCUUUUUGGAGAAUCUUCUCUUCUUUUGUAGGGUGCCAUACACUCAUUGGAGUAGUGUCCGGGUCUCCCACAAUUGUAGCAAUUGCGCUCUCGACUAGAAUAUCUCUUGUCAUGAUAAGACCUUGACUUGGAGCUUCUUUCUAUGCUUCUACUCUUGUAGAAUUUGUUGAAGUUCUUCACCAUUAAGCUCAAUUCUUCAUUGAAGGUUUGUUUCUCACUUGAUGAUGCGGGAGCUUCACUUGAGGCUUUGUAAGCACCACUUGACUUGUUGUGAAGUUCCUCCUUAUCCUUGAGUGACAUCUCAUGAGCAACAAUCCUUCCAAUGACUUCCAUUGGCUUGAGAUUUUUGUAGUUUGGCAUCAUUUGGAUCAAUGUGCACACGGUAUCAUACUUUCCAUCCAAUGCUCUUAGGAUUUUCUUGAUGAUGAAUUUGUCGGUCAUCUCUUCACUCCCUAAGCCGGCAAUCUCAUUUGUGAUAAGAGCAAGCCUAGAGUACAUUUUAGCGACACCUUCACCAUCCUUCAUUUUGAACUUGUCAAGCUGACUUUGGAGCACAUCCAACUUGGAUUCCUUAACGGAUUAGGUACCUUCGUGCAUAUCAAUCAAAGUAUCCCAAAUUUCCUUUGCAUUCUCAAGAGGCUGAUUUUGUUGAACUCUUCGGGGCACAACCCGUUAAAGAUUAUAUCACAAGCUUGAGCGUUGUAUUGCAGCAUCUUCAAUUCUUCCGCAUUCGCUUCACGGUUCGGUUCUCUCCCAUCAAAGAAUUCACCUUGCAAGCCAAUACAAAUAAUUGCCCAAACGGCGGGGUUAUGUCCAAGAAUAUGCAUUUUCAUCUUGUGCUUCCAACUAGCAAAAUUAGUACCAUCAAAGUAAGGACCUCUACGGUGAUAAUUUCCCUCGCUAGACGCCAUACUCUCCUAGGUUGUGAAACCAAGGCUAUGACCACCAAAAGCUAUGGAAAUCAAAGCAAAUGGAGACCAAAGCUCUGAUACCACUUGUAGGACCUUGAAGUAUGUCUAGAGGGGGGGGGGUGAUUAGACUACUUGACCAAUAAAAACUUAACCUUUUCCCAAUUUUAGAGUUUGGCAGAUUUUAGCUAUUUUAGGACAAGUCAAGCAAUCAUCACACAAUCCAAGCAAGCAUGCAAAGAGUGUAUAGGCAGCGGAAUUAAAGCAUGCAACUUGCAAGAAAGUAAAGGGAAGGGUUUGGAGGAUUCAAACGCAAUUGGAGACACAGAUGUUUUUGGCGUGGUUCCGAUAAGUGGUGCUAUCGUACAUCCAUGUUGAUGGAGACUUCAACCCACGAAGGGUAACGGCUGCGCGAGUCCAUGGAGGGCUCCACCCACGAAGGGUCCACGAAGUAGCAACCUUGUCUAUCCCACCAUGGCCGUCGCCCACGAAGGACUUGCCUCACUAGCGGUAGAUCUUCACGAAGUAGGCGAUCUCCUUGCCCUUACAAACUCCUUGGUUCAACUCCACAAUCUUGUCGGAGGCUCCCAAGUGACACCUAGCCAAUCUAGGAGACACCACUCUCCAAGAAGUAACAAAUGGUGCGUUGAUGAUGAACUCCUUGCUCUUGUGCUUCAAAUGAUAGUCUCCCCAACAUUCAACUCUCUCUCAUAGGAUUUGGAUCUGAUGGAAAGAUGAUUUGAGUGGAAAGCAACUUGGGGAGGGCUAGAGAUCAAGAUUCAUAUGGUAGGAAUGGAAUAUCUUGGCCUCAACACAUGAGUAGGUGGUUCUCUCUCGGAAAUGGUAAGUUGGAAGUGUAGGUUUAGUCUGAUGGCUCUCUCCACGAAUGAAGAGGAGGUGGAGGGGUAUAUAUAGCCUCCACACAAAAUCUAACCGUUACACACAAUUUACCAAACUCGGUGGGACCGAAUAGUUAAACUCGGUCGGACCGAUUUAGUAAACCUAGUGACCGUUAGUGAUUUUCGAUGGGACUGACAUGCAUCUCGGUGAGACCGAUUCGGUUAGGGUUAGGGCAUAAUGUAAUCUCGGUGAGACCGAUUACACAAACUCGGUGGGACCGAUUUUGGUAAUUAGCUAACCAGAGAGUUGGUCAGGUAAACUCGGUGGGACCGAUUUGCUCUUUUCGGUGAGACCGAAAUGUUACAAAAAAGGAAACAGAGAGUUUACAUUGCAAUCUCGGUGGGACCGAUCGCUCACUUCGGUUAGACCGAAACGUUACGAAGGGAAACAGAGAGAUUGCAACCCCAUCUCGGUGAGACCGAGAUCCCUAUCGGUAAGACCGAUUUGCUUAGGGUUUGUGGCAGUGGCUAUGACUUUUGGAAUCGGUGGCGUCGGAUAGAAAGAAUCGGUGUGACCGAUUUUGGCUUUGGGUUUAGGUCAUUUGUGGAUGUGGGAAAGUAGUUGAGGGUUUUGGAGCAUAUCACUAAGCACAUGAAGCAAGAGGCUCAUUAAGCAACAUCUCAUCCCUUCUUGAUAGUAUUGGCUUUUCCUAUAGACUCAAUGUGAUCUUGGAUCACUAAAAUGUAAAAUGAAGAGUCUUGAGCUUUAGUCAAUCCUUUGUCCUUAGUAUUUUGAGGGAUCCACUUUCAUCAUCCUUUCCAUGCCAUUCAUUGAGCUUUCCUGAAAUAUAUGUCUUGGAAUAGCAUUAGCUCAAUGAGCUAUAUGUUGUUAUGAAUUACCAAAACCACCUAGGGAUAGUUACACUUUCACGGGCCUUCGGCGCCGUCCGGACCGUAUACGAGACCCUAGUGAAGAACAUGCGCGCCGCGGAGGCAGCCGCGGUCGACCUCGACCAACUCACGGGUGAGGAGCUCAAAGAGCGCAUCGGGCGGAUGCGCAAGCUCCUCCACGCCGGCAACAGCCUGCAGGAUCGCCUCAACCAGCUCGCCAAGCCGGCGGGAUCCAGCUCCGCCCGCCAUGGCGGACCCGACGGAUUCCUGCACACAGCUUCCUCACCACCCGGCGAGGCUCACUCCGGCCAAACCGGACUCGGCACAACCCGGCCACCACGGCCGCCAACAUCCCGGGCAAAGAGCCCGCCCCGAAGACCUAGCGCGGACCCGACCAACAUGGCCGGCGUCCGGCUCCAACCGACCCGGCCCCUCGGGGCCUGGCUGCCAGUUGACUCGGUCCGUGCGCUAUCAACAAUGCCGACGUGCGCCACCGCCUCAAUCAGCUCGCUCGCUCCCUGGAGGUGGAUGAGAGCGGCACUAUCGGGCCGGCGUGCUUCAGCCCACGCAUCCGGGAGGAGCCCUUUCCCAAAGGGUUCGUGCUCCCCCGCGACACCCCCAAGAACAAUGGGACGGUGAAGCCGGAAGACUGGCUCACCGACUACACCAUGGCCAUUGGCAUCACCGGUGCCAAUCGUCGUCUCGCCGUGCGCUACUCACCGCUCAUGCUCUAGGGGUCGGCCCGCACAUGGUUGAACAGCCUGCCGAUGGGCAGCAUCAACGCGUGGGUCGACUUCGAGGAGGCCUUUGUCCGCAACUUCACGGGGACCUACAAGCGACCCGGUCGCCCCAGCCAGCUCGCCAUGUGCGUGUAGGGGCCGACGGAGAACGGCCGCGAGUACCUCGCACGCUGGACCGAGCUCCGGAACAGCAGCGAGGGCGUCCAUGAAAUCCAGGCGAUCCAGUACUUCGUCAGCGGGUGCCGAGACGGCACCCUCCUCAAGCACAAGCUCCUAUGCUCCGAGCCGGCCACCAUGUCCGCGCUCAUGGUGACGGCGGACAAGUACGCUAACGCCGACUCCGCCAUGAAGAUCCAGGCGGUGCUAGAUGAAGCCAGCAAGGCGAAGCCGGUUCCCUCUCAGAAGCUGGCUGGCGAAAGUAGCCGGCAGCAACAUCACCAGAACAACAAGCGCAAGGCCGACCAGCCGGGGCAGCGUCACGACAACUGGCUCGUCGCGGCCGCCGAGCCCGCAGCAGACCCGGUGGCGAAGCGCGGGCAAAUCGGCAAGAUGGCAUGGCAACCCGCCAUGAGUUUUUAAGAGAUGCUCGACACCCCCUGCAAGCAUCACAGUGGCGCAAGACCCUCGACAUACACGCUUCGACAGUGCGCCAUCACCAAGCGCAUCAUGAGGGGAGACGUCCUGCCUCCUCCGGCUCCAGCUCCAGGCGCGGGGCAGCUGCCUCCGCCUCCACCGCCGCCUCCCGCCGGCGGCAUGAUGCGGAACGAUGCCUACCCGGACCAGAACGCGGCCUACGUCGUCUUCACCAGCCUCGGCGAUGACAAGCGUAGCAAGCGCCUCCUUCGGCAGGAGGUGAACACCGUCGUCCCAGCCAAGCCGGAGUUCAUGCAUUGGUCGGAUCGCCCGAUCACCUGGACCCGGGAGGAUCACCCGGCAGUCAUGCCAAUCCCGGGUGGUUAUGCCCUCGUCCUCAACCCCACCAUCAUCACGCGGCGUACAUGCAAGUUCUCCCGAGUCCUCAUCAAUGGCGGCAACAACAUCAACAUCCUCUACCGCGACACGAUGACCAAGCUCGGCCUCAAGGCCGAGGACCUGGAGCCGACCCGGACUAUCUUCCACGGCAUCGUACCCGGUCUCUCCUGCUCGCCCAUUGGCCAGGUUCGGCUCCAUGUCCUGUUCGGAGACAGCAGCCACUUCCGACGCGAACCGGUCUGGUUUGAGGUGGUGGACCUGUCCAGCGCGUAUCACGCAUUGCUGGGCCGGCCCGCGCUCGCCAAGUUCAUGGCGGUUCCCCACUACGCAUAUAUGAAGAUGAAGAUGUCGGGUCCCAAGGGUAUCAUCACCAUCACCGGCGAUUACCGCAAGUCCAUGGAGUGCGCCCGAGACGUUGCCAAGUUGGCCAAGUAGCUGGUCAUUGCCGAGGAGCGGCGCCAGCUUGACCGGAUCGUCGCCCUGGUCGGCGAAGCCUUCGCUGCGUCGAUCCCGACCCUGGACCCGGCUGACAAGGCCGCCUUCAAGCCCUCCAAGGAGACCAAGAGAGUGAAGCUCAACCCGGAAGACCCCAGCUGCAGCAAGUACGUUGUUGUAGGCACCCGCCUCGACAACAAAUAGGAAGGAGAGCUCGUCGACUUCCUCCGUGAGAAUCGAGAUAUCUUCGCAUGGAACCCCAAGGACAUGCCGGGUAUCCCGAGGAAGUACGCCAAGCACAAACUUCACGUCCGCAAGGACGCCAAGCUUGUCCGUCAACCCCUCCGACGAUUUUCUGAAGAGAAGAGAAGAACCAUUGGUGAAGAAGUUGCCAAGCUUUUGGCGGCCGGCUUCAUAAUGGAAGUGUUUCACCCCGAGUGGCUGGCCAAUCCAGUCCUCGUCCUGAAGAAGAACAAGACCUGGCGCAUGUGUAUCGACUACACCAGCCUCAACAAGGCAUGUCCCAAGGAUCCGUUCACCCUCUCGCGGAUCGACCAAGUCAUCGACUCGACCGCCGGGUGCGAGCUCCUGUCCUUCCUGGACGCUUACUCUGGCUAUCACCAGAUCAAGCUAGACCUGGCCGAUGCCCUGAAGACGUCCUUCAUCACGCCCUUUGGGGCGUAUUGCUACAUCACCAUGUCGUUCAGCUUGAAGAACGCCGGCGCCACCUUCCAAUGCUGCAUGCAGAAAUGCCGGCUGCCGCAACUCGGCCGCAAUAUCCACGUGUACGUGGACGAUAUCGUGGUGAAGACCAAGCAGCACCUCACACUCCUCGACGAUUUGAAGGAAACAUUCGGCAACCUCCGCGAAUACAAGGUCAAGCUUAACCAGGAAAAGUGCGUCUUCGGCGUCCCGGCCGGAAAGCUACUUAGCUUCCUCGUCUCGGAACGCGGCAUCGAGGCGAACCCAGAGAAGAUCAAGGCCAUUGAGCGCAUGCGCAGGCCGGCUCGGCUGCGCGAUGUUCAGAAGUUCACAGGGUGCUUGGCCUCGGUCAGCCGAUUUCUGAGCCGACUGGGCGAGAGGGCGCUACCUUUGUACCAGCUGAUGAAGAAUACAAGCCCGUUCAAAUGGAACAACAAGGUAGACGAGGCCUUCCAAGACCUCAAGCGAAAGCUCUCCAUCGCACCAGUCCUGGCCGCGCCAACUGACAAGGAGCCGCUGUUGCUCUACAUGGCCGCGACCUCUCGAGUGGUCAGCACGAUGCUGGUGGUCGAGCGACCAGAGAAGGGCAAGAUCCAGGCCGUCCAGCGUCCUGUCUACUACCUGAGCAAGGUGCUCUCCACCUCCAAGCAGAACUACCCGCACUAUCAGAAGAUGUGCUACAGUGUGUACCUCACCGCUAAGAAGCUGAAGCAGUACUUUCAAGAGCACGUCGUCAUCGUCAUUAGCACGAUGCCUAUCGAAGAAAUCAUCGGGUGCCGGGACGCCUCUGGCCGGGUCGCCAAGUGGGUGAUCCAGCUAGCCGGCCACACCAUCCUCUACGAGCCCCGCACUACGAUCAAGUCUCAAGCCCUGGUCGACUUCCUCGUUGACUCGACUGAGACCCAGUACUUGCCGCCGCCUCCCGACUCGAAGCAUUGGCGCAAGCACUUCGACGGGUCCAAGAUGCGACUCGGCUUGGGGGUGGCAUCGUACUAUCAUCUCCGAAGGGUGACCGGCUCCGCUACGCGCUCCAGAUCCACUUCGCCGCCUCCAACAAUGUCGCCGAAUAUGAAGCCCUUGUGCAUGGCCUCCAGCUUGCCAAGGAAGUCGACAUCCGGCGCAUCCUGUCCACGGCGACUCGGACCUGGUGGUGCAGCAAUGCUCCGGCGAAUGGGAUGCCCGCGACUCCAACAUGGCAAGCUACCGCUUCCUCGUCAAGAAGCUGUCUGGAUCCUUCGAGGGCUGCGAGUUCCUCCAUGUCCCGCGCGCGGAGAACGAAGCAGCUGACACGCUCGCCAAGAUCGCCUUGUCACGCCAAGCCACCCCGUCCGGUGUCUCCCUCGAGCACCUGCGCAAGCCGUCCGUCAAGCCAUCGCCGGACUCCGAGUACAUCCACGUCCCAGACGACCCGACCACUCCGCAAGCUGGACCUGGGGAUGCUGAACCCGGCCCGGGGGCUGCUCAGCUCAACCGACCACCAUCACCCCAGACCCGACCAUCGCCGUCCCCUACCCGGGGGCCGCUCAACCCAGCCGAGGGGCCGCCGACUCGGAACCCACCCAGGUGGCCGUCUUCACCAUGGUAGCGGCCCCAUCUUGGGCCCUGCCGAUAUCAGAAUUUCUGGAGAACAGGGUUCUCCCCAUGGACGAAAUCGAGGCUCGGCAAGUGCAGCGCUGGGCGUCCGCCUAUAACAUCAUCAACAAUGAGCUCGUCAAGUGCAGCUCCACCGGCAUGUUCCAGCGCUGCGUCGAGCAGGAUCGGGGCAUCACAUCCUCCUCGACAUUCACAAGGGCGAGUGCGGGCACCACGCCGCAUCGCGAUCCCUGGUGGCCAAGGCGUUCUGCCACGGUUUCUACUGGCCCACGGCCCUCGAAGACGCCGAGUCACUCGUUCUCAAGUGCGAAGGGUGCCAGUGCUUCAGCAAACGCAGCCACCAGCCGGCGUCAGCACUCCGCACUAUACCGAUCGCCUGGCCCUUCGUGGUCUGGGGACUCGACAUGGUUGGACCCUUCAAAACCGCUCGAGGCGGCAUGACGCACUUGCUGGUGCCAGUGGACAAAUUCACCAAGUGGAUAGAGGCAAGACCAAUCAAGAAACUGAACGGGCCAACAGCCGUCUGGUUCAUCAAGGACACAGCGGUGCGCUACGGCAUGCCGAACAACAUCGUCACCGACAACAGCACCAACUUCGCCAAGGGCGCGCUCAAGCAAUACUGCUCCGUCUCCGGCAUCCGCCUCGACCUGGCCUCUGUGGCACAUCCGCAUUCCAACGGGCCAGUCGAGCGGGCCAACGGACUCAUCCUGUCCGGCAUCAACCCGCGACUCGUCGAGCCACUCAUCCGCUCACCUGGCAGCUGGCUUGACGAGUUGCUGGCAGUUCUCUGGAGUCUACGCACCAUGCCGAACCGGUCGACCGGGUUCUCCCCGUUCUUCCUUGUUUAUGGAGCCGAAGCCGUCAUCCCGACCAACAUCGAGUUUGACUCGCCGCGUGUCGUGAUGUACACCGAAGCCGAAGCCGAAGAGGCACGCGAAGACGGUGUCGACCUGCUCGAGGAAGCGUGCCUUCUGGCACUCAGCCGUUCGGACAUCUACCAGCAAGGCCUGAGGCACUACCACAACAAGAAGAUCAAGCCCCUCGCAUUCCGCGAGGGCGACCUCGUCCUCCGACUCGUCCAAGUAUAGGCAGGCCAGCACAAGCUGUCCUCUCCAUGGGAGGGCCCAUUCAUCGUGAGCAGGGCCUUGCGCAAUCGCAACGCCUACUACCUAAUGGACGCACGCAAGUCAAAGAAGCGCAAGAAGGACACCGCCGGCGAAGAAACGACCCGGCCGUGGAACGCGGAACUCCUCCGCCCGUUUUACAGUUAGCCGCACGAGUGUAUGUAUCAUAACCUUUUGUAAACGCAUGAAACUAUGGGGUCCCCGAACGAGACUCGGGGGCUGCCUUUUGUCGACCAAUUUAUUGCGUCCCUAUUUUCCUGCAUCACUUUACCAUUGAACCCGGCCACCGGCUCGACUCGCUCGACCCGGGGGCUCGGGGGCAGGCCGACUCGGUCGCCACCCCGCCGCCUUACUUGGUGAUUCCUGAUAAAGUUGGGAUGCCACGGUCCCCCACUUCGCCCUAAAACCGCAGAUCCAGCUUUGGCUGUCGGCGGGCAAGCACAAUGGGCCAAAGCUCCUCUACGAUUCAUACACUGAGUCAAAGGCCGCUCGGUUGAUCAACUCGGCCCGUCACUCAUCAAAUAAGUAGCCACAUGACCGGCUGCUCACCAGAUGGCUAAGCCGGAUUGCCACCAGCCGACCCAGUGGGUGUUUCGCUCGCGCUCAACGCUUCUAAGGACCCAAGUCCUGCACACCCCUCUCGAAGAAUCGAUCUCCUUGUCACGGACCGGAGCCUCGGCCAUCUGACUCAUGCAGGGGGGGGAGGAGGUUUGAGAGAGGAAAAGCGUAUGAAAUCGGUCCAAAAAAGCGAAAUGCAAAGAGCAAAAAAGCACUCACGACAUUUACACACAAAUAUUUAAGCAAAGGCCCACGGACCGAGUUCAUUACACCCUAAAACCCCUAGUGGGUGGGUGGACCUGCUACUUAACAGUUUUUACACAAAGUGUCUCAGGCAUCUCCAGCGCUGCGUCGCGAUAUCGACGACUCUCCCCUGGCAGCCUCCGGGUCCGGCGAGGCACCAGUGUCCUCUUCAGCAUCCGUGUCACCGUAGACGCCCGUCUCCUCCGAGCUCCACUCCAGAUCCUGAAGAAGCAAGCCGUAGUCGUCGCCAUCCACGGCCCUGCCGUCUUCCGUCCGCUCCAGAUGGAACUCAUCGUGGAAGGCGAACUCGGUGAUGUAGCUGGCCCGGGAGGUGAUUCGAAGGGCUUGCUCCUGCAGCAACUACUCCGAGCUGGCGCGCUGGCCCAUCAGCGCGUCCAGUUGAAGACUCGAAUGCCAAGACAACGCGAACCAGAGCACCAUCUCAGCAUCGGCACGAGCGGCGGAAACACGCCACUCGCCAAGCCGGUCCGAACCCAUCUCCAACCAACGCGCCAGGCGCGAGAAGCUACGUGGAUGGACGGAAUCCGGCCACAAGGCCUUCGUCAUCGCGGUGCCGGCCCAGGACAGCCGCUCCAUUUGCGUCCCCAGGUCCCGCAGACGGGCCUCAGCAGCAGCGAUAAUCUCUGGGAAGGUCCAGGCCGUCCGCGGAUCCGUCCUAGACCCAGCAACGCUGGUUGGGUCACGCUGAUAGUGGACGGCUUCCUCCGCCAGCCGCUGUGUCUCCGGGAAGGCCCCUGUCGCAAAGGAAGAAGCAAGUUAGAAGAAGAACAACAAGGAAGAAAGGCCGAGUCCCGACCCGACAAACUACAAGAAACAACACUUACUGGAGAAGGACUCUUCCAGGUGCUGCGCCUCAAUGAACGUACCAUACCGCUCCCGCUCCAUGGCUUAGUCGCGCUCCCCGAGUGCCUUCUCCAGAUCGGCCGCCUUAGCAAGGGUCGCCUUCAGCUCGGCGUCCUUGUCUUCGGCCGCCUUCUCGGCCGCCUCACAGCAGCGGGCCUCGUCCUGACGGCCCCCUCAGCCGCGGUGGCUUGCUCCCGCAGGCGAUCCACCUCGGCCUGGAGUCAACCCUUGUUGUCGGCCAGCUGGCCGUGCUGCUGGUCCGCCUCGACCAGGGCCUGCUGCGUCUCCACCACCUUGGCGGCCUCCGCCUUAAGAAGCUCCACCUCGGCCUCGAGGUGGCUCUUGUGACCCGCCACCUGCUCAUGCAGCCGGGUGGCCUCAUCAAGAGACCGUCGGGCCGCGGCCGCCUCCGCCCUUGCCUGCGCCGCCUCGACGCCAAGACGGACAGUAUCGGCAACGAGCCAGUCAUAGUGAUGGCCGGCCUGGAGCAGACAAAUCCGCCAGGACAGCACCUCGGCUGCAAAGAAGAAGAAUUCAGCAGCAGAAGAAAAAAAAGACAAGACUUAAGAUUUGGCCCAACUGUUACACAGUUGGCCCAAAUCUCGGGGGCUACACCCAGUGGGUGCACUAGCGCGCCCCCACUAGAAAAGAGCACAAGGGUACCUGCGACGAUGCGAAGCUCCUCCUCCUUGGCAGCAAGUUGCUCCUUGAGCUCCCGAUGCUUGCCCAUGAGACGGUUGAAGCGGCAACCCGGAAGGCGUCAAGAUGCUGAAAAAAGACAGAAGUCAGAACAAGGCCAACGCUCCUAAGAUUCGACCCAACUGCUAUGUAGUUAGCCCGAACCUCGGGGGCUACACCCAGUGGGUGCGCUGGCGCGCCCCCACAAAGAAGAAAUUACAAGAAAAAGAAGGCUUACAAGCGCGCUCCAGGUUGCGUCCGCUCCACCUCGGCCUGGGCAAAGAACUCGAACCAAUCCGUCUACCCGCGUAGACGGCAGCUGACGGCGUCCAGCGCCGCCUCCUCCUGGGUCUGAGGGCCGAAGAUAGCGGCGCCCCCGCUCCACGCCGGCUGCGGCGCGACUGCACUUUGUCCACCCUGCCGGGGCACCAAGGCAUGCUCCUUGCUGGCCGUUCGCGACGCGGCCAGCACCAACUCUGACGCGGACCCAGAUGCCGGGACGCCCUGCGUCGCCGCCUCCGGUCCGGACGCCAGGACGUCCUGCUGUGCCACCACCGGCCCAGCUGCCGGGGUGGCCUCCGGCUCCUCCGUCCGUAGUGUCGCCUCCAACACCAGCGGCGCCUCCAGCACUGCCGCUCGCAGCACCUCUUCCAAGACGGCACCGCCUCCACCACCAUCAGCCCCCGCAUGCACGACCACGUCGGCCCGCGGCGGGGUAUCACCCUCCACCUCCACGACCUCCUGGUCGAGGAUCACCACCUCAGCCCGGCUUCCCCGGCCGCGCUCCCUCACCGACGACGGCUCAAAGACCGUCGCUGCCACCACCGUGCCCUCCGGCAUCUCGUGCCAGGCCGGCUCCGCGCUGGCUCGCGCCCACAUCGCCGCCGCUUUGGUCCAAGCCCGGACCGGCGCCGCCUCCAGCUCCGCCUCGACCCGGUUCCUGUCCCGCCAAGCCAAGGCUUCGGUGUCGUUCGGGUCCAGGACGAGGUCCGAGUCGGCCCGUCCGUCGCCUCGGCUUGGUCGGCGAGGUCGAACCGGCUCCUGCGGAACGUGGCCCCUUCGGUGGCCGCGGCUUCCACCGCCGCCCUCGCCAGCACGAUUGGCGACAUGAAUAAGAAGGCAGAAUAAGCCAAAAAAGAAGACAAGUCCGGCUCGACAAUCCGGACGCACGCAGAAGAUAAAGCUUACCCCUUCAAGACCGGGACCGGGGUCGGCCUCCCGCCGUGCCUUCUCUUGGCCGGCCUCCCAUGCUCGGCCAGGUCCGUCGUGCGCUUCGGGGCCCGGGGUCGCGGCGCGAUGCUGUCUUUCCCAUGCAGGCAGCUCGCCGCCGCCCCAUGCAAGGACCCGGCUCCGCCCGCGUCGCCGCCUUCCCCGCCCAACGCCAUUGCACCAACAAUCGGCGUCAGUGUCGCCCGCACCACGACAUGAUCAACAAUUCAAGACAAAUAAAGAAAGAAGAAUUCAGGUCUUACCCGCGUGACGCCCAGCGCCGGCGUCGGACUCGGCCACCUCCUUGCCACCUUGGGCCGCGGGCUCCUUUGGUGCCAUCGGCGCCACCUGCGACAGAGCCCGAACAUAAGGAUGCCAAAUCACGUUCAAGAGUAUCUCUUGCGUCGCGUCAAGACGAAUGAGAAGAUGCGCAACAACAAAGUAAGAAGACCAGACGCUCACCUGCGGUGCUGGGUUCGACUGCUGUACAGCGCCUUGCCGAACCGCUAGUCCUCUCCAAGGUUGGCCUUGGAGAUGUCGUUCACGCCACGCGCGACCUGCUCCACAGACAACUGCGACGACCCCCUGCGGUUGGGGUCCUGAAGGCCGAUCAUUUCGCCGAUGAGGCAGGAGUGCCUCUAAAGCGGAAGGACCAGAUGAGUGAUGAACGCGGCAAGGAGGUCAGUGCCGGUGAGCCCCUCCUGCGUCCUCAUCACCGUCACCCGCUCGCAGAGGUUGACGAUCUCCUACGACGGGCGCCGGAGCAAGUAGCCCCAGUUCGUCUUCACCCGCGGCGGCGCAAUGACGAAGGGAGGAAGAUUGAUAUGGUCCGCACCGUGGUUGCGGACGUAGAAGGAGUUCUGCCACUUCUUGGCGGAAUCCUCCAGCGGGAUCUUGGGGAAAUCUGCCCCCGACCGCUUCGAGAUGAUGGCGGCGCCACAGUUGGCGAACUCCCCGGCCGAUGUGUUGGGGAACGUAGUAAUUUCAAAAAAAAUUCCUACGCACACGCAAGAUCAUGGUGAUGCAUAGCAACGAGAGGGGAGAGUGUGUCCACGUACCCUCGUAGACCGUAAGCGGAAGCGUUAUGACAAUGUGGUUGAUGUAGUCGUACGUCUUCACGAUCCGACCGGUCCAAGCACCGAACGUACGGCACCUUCGAGUUCAGCACACGUUCAGCUCGAUGACGAUCCCCGGGCUCCGAUCCAGCAAAGCUUCGGGGAUGAGUUCCGUCAGCACGACGGCCUGGUGACGAUGAUGAUGUUCUACCGGCGCAGGGCUUCGCCUAAACUCCGCGACGAUAUGACCGAGGUGGAAUAUGGUGGAGGGGGGCACCGCACACGGCUAAGGAACGAUCCGUAGAUCAACUUGUGUUGUUUUGCCUAGAGGUGCCCCCCUGCCCCCGUAUAUAAAGGAGCAAGGGGGAGGGGGCGGCCGGCCUAGGAGGGGGCGCGCCAAGGGGAGUCCUACUCCCACCGGGAGUAGGACUCCCUCCUUCCUUGUUGGAGUAGGAGAAGGGGAAAGAGGGGGAGAGGAAGAAGGAAAGGGGGGCUGCGCCCCUUGUCCAAUUCGGACCAGAGGGGGGGGGGCGCAGGCCUCCUUCCUUUUGGCCUCUCUCCUCUAUUCCCGUAUGGCCCAAUAAGGCCCAUAUACUCCCCGGCGAAUUCCCGUAACUCUCCGAUACUCCGAAAAAUACCCGAAUCACUCGGAACCUUUCCGAACUCCGAAUAUAGUCGUCCAAUAUAUCGAUCUUUACAUCUCGACCAUUUCGAGACUCCUCGUCAUGUUCCCGAUCUCAUCGGGGACUCCGAACUCCUUCGGUACAUCAAAACUCAUAAACUCAUAAUAUAACUGUCAUCGAAACCUUAAGCGUGCGGACCCUACGGGUUCGAAAACUAUGUAGACAUGACCUAGAACUAUUCUUGGUCAAUAACCAAUAGCGGAACCUGGAUGCCCAUAUUGGCUCCUACAUAUUCUACGAAGAUCUUUAUCGGUCAAACCGCAUAACAACAUACUUUGUUCCCUUUGUCAUCGGUAUGUUACUUGCCUGAGAUUCGAUCGUCGGUAUCCAAUACCUAGUUCAAUCUCGUUACCGGCAAGUCUCUUUACUCGUUACGUAAUGCAUCAUUCCGUAACUAACUCAUUAGCUACAUUGCUUGCAAGGCUUAUAGUGAUGUGCAUUACCGAGAGGGCCCAGAGAUAGCUCUCCGACGAUCGGAGUGACAAAACCUAAUCUCGAAAUACGCAACCUAACAUGUACCUUUGGAGACACCUGUAGUACUCCUUUAUAAUCACCCAGUUACGUUGUGACGUUUGGUAGCACCCAAAGUGUUCCUCCGGUAAACGGGAGUUGCAUAAUCUCAUAGUUACAGGAGCAUGUAUAAGUCAUGAAGAAAGCAAUAGCAACAUACUAAACGAUCGUGUGCUAAGCUAACGGAAUGGGUCAAGUCAAUCACAUCAUUCUCCUAAUGAUGUGAUCCCGUUAAUCAAAUGACAACUCAUGUCUAUGGUUAGGAAACUUAACCAUCUUUGAUUCACGAGCUAGUCAAGUAGAGGCAUACUAGUGAGAUUUUGUUUGUUUAUGUAUUCACACAUGUAUCAUGUUUUCGGUUAAUAAAAUUCUAGCAUGAAUAAUAAACAUUUAUCAUGAAAUAAGGAAAUAAAUAAUAACUCGUGCUUAAAGGUGGCUGGCGGGUGUCUGUCUCUCUCACUUUAGCUGAAUCGAGUGUGGCUAAGCCCGGUCCUUGCAAAGGUUAAAACAGCACCAACUUGACAAACUAUCGUUUGGUUUUGAUGCGUAGGUAAGAAUGGUUCUUGCUAAGCCCGUAGCAGCCACGUAAAAUUUGCAACAACAAAGUAGAGGACGUCUAACUUGUUUUUCCAGGGCAUGUUGUGAUGUGAUAUGGUCAAGACGUGAUGCUAUAUUUUAUUGUAUGAGAUGAUCAUGUUUUGUAACCGAAGUUAUCGGCAACUGGCAGGAGCCAUAUGGUUGUCGCUUUAUUGUAUGAAAUGCAAACGCCCUGUAAUUGCUUUACUUUAUCACUAAGCGGUAGCGAUAGUCGUAGAAGCAAUAGAUGGCAUAACGACAACGAUGCUACGAUGGAGAUCAAGGUGUCGCGCCGGUGACAAUGGUGAUCAUGACGGUGCUUCGAAGAUGGAGAUCACAAGCACAAGAUGAUGAUGGCCAUGUCAUAUCACUUAUAUUGAUUGCAUGUGAUGUUUAUCCUUUAUGCAUCUUAUCUUGCUUUGAUUGACGGUAGCAUUUUAAGAUGAUCUCUCACUUAAUAAUCAAGAAGUGUUCUCCCUGAGUAUGCACCGUUGCGAAAGUUCUUCGUGCUGAGACACCACGUGAUGAUCGGGUGUGAUAGGCUCUACGUUCAAAUACAACGGGUGCAAAACAGUUGCGCACACGGAAUACUCAGGUCAUACUUGACGAGCCUAGCAUAUACAGAUAUGGCCUCGGAACACGGAGACCAAAAGGUCGAACGUGAAUCAUAUAGUAGAUAUGAUCAACAUAGUGAUGUUCACCAUUGAAACUACUCCAUCUCACGUGAUGAUCGAACAUGGUUUAGUUGAUUUGGAUCACGUGAUCACUUAGAUGACUAGAGAGAUGUCUGUCUAAGUGGGAGUUCUUAAGUAAUAUGAUUAAUUGAACUUAAAUUUAUCAUGAACUUAGUACCUGAUAGUAUUUUGCUUGUCUAUGUUUGUUUAUAGAUAGAUGGCUCGUGCUGUUGUUCCGUUGAAUUUUAGUGCGUUCCUUGAGAAAGCAAAGUUGAAAGAUGAUGGUAGCAAUUACACGGACUGGGUCCGUAACCUGAGGAUUAUCCUCAUUGCUGCACAGAAAAGUUAUGUCCUGGAAGCACCGCUGGGUGCCAGGCCUGCUGCUGAUGCAACUGACGACGUUAAGAACGUCUGGCAGAGCAAAGCUGAUGACUACUCUAUAGUUCAGUGUGCCAUGCUUUACGGCUUAGAACCGGGUCUUCAACGACGUUUUGAACGUCAUGGAGCAUAUGAGAUGUUCCAGGAGUUGAAGUUAAUAUUUCAAGCAAAUGCCCGGAUUGAGAGACAUGAAGUCUCCAAUAAGUUCUACAGCUGCAAGAUGGAGGAGAAUAGUUCUGUCAGUGAACACAUACUCAAAAUGUCUGGGUAUAAUAAUCACUUGAUUCAACUGGGAGUUAAUCUUCUUGAUGAUAGUGUCAUUGACAGAAUUCUCCAAUCACUACCACCAAGCUACAAGAGCUUCGUGAUGAACUAUAAUAUGCAAGGGAUGAACAAAACUAUUCCCGAGCUCUUCGCAAUGCUAAAAGCUGCGGAGGUAGAAAUCAAAAAGGAGCAUCAAGUGUUGAUGGUUAACAAGACCACCAGUUUCAAGAAAAAGGGAAAGGGAAGAAGAAGGGGAACUUCAAAAAGAACAGCAAGCAAGUUGCUGCUCAAGAGAAGAAACCCAAGUUUGGACCUAAGCCUGAAACUGAGUGCUUCUACUGCAAGCAGACUGGACACUGGAAGUGGAAUUGCCCCAAGUAUUUGGCGGAUAAGAAGGAUGGCAAAGUGAACAAAGGUAUAUGUGAUAUACAUGUUAUUGAUGUGUACCUUACUAAUGCUCGCAGUAGCACCUGGGUAUUUGAUACUGGUUCUGUUGCUAAUAUUUGCAACUCGAAACAGGGACUACGAAUUAAGCGAAGAUUAGAUAAGGACGAGGUGACGAUGCGCGUGGGAAAUGGUUCCAAAGUCGAUGUGAUCGCGGUCGGCACGCUACCUCUACAUCUACCUUCGGGAUUAGUUUUAGACCUAAAUAAUUGUUAUUUGGUGCCAGCGUUGAGCAUGAACAUUAUAUCUGGAUCUUGUUUGAUGCGAGAUGGUUAUUCAUUUAAAUCAGAGAAUAAUGGUUGUUCUAUUUAUAUGAGUAAUAUCUUUUAUGGUCAUGCACCCUUGAAGAGUGGUCUAUUUUUUAAAUCUCGAUAGUAGUGACACACAUAUUCAUAGUGUUGAAACCAAAAGAUGCAGAGUUGAUAACGAUAGUGCAACUUAUUUGUGGCACUGCCGUUUAGGUCAUAUCGGUGUAAAGCGCAUGAAGAAACUCCAUACUGAUGGGCUUUUGGAAUCACUUGAUUAUGAAUCACUUGGUACUUGCGAACCGUGCCUCAUGGGCAAGAUGACUAAAACGCCGUUCUCCGGAACUAUGGAGCGAGCAACUGAUUUGUUGGAGAUCAUACAUACUAAUGUUUGUGGUCCAAUGAAUGUUGAGGCUCGCGGCGGGUAUCGUUAUUUUCUCACCUUCACAGAUGAUUUGAGCAGAUAUGGGUAUAUCUACUUAAUGAAACACAAGUCUGAAACAUUUGAAAAGUUCAAAGAAUUUCAGAGUGAAGUGGAAAAUCACCGUAACAAGAAAAUAAAGUUUCUACGAUCUGAUCGUGGAGGAGAAUAUUUGAGUUACGAGUUUGGUCUACACUUGAAACAAUACGGAAUAGUUUCGCAACUCACGCCACCCGGAACACCACAACGAAAUGGUGUGUCCGAACGUCGUAAUCGUACUUUACUAGAUAUGGCGCGAUCUAUGAUGUCUCUUACAGAUUUACCGCUAUCGUUUUGGGGUUAUGCUUUAGAGACGGCCGCAUUCACGUUAAAUAGGGCACCAUCAAAAUCCAUUGAGACGACACCUUAUGAACUGUGGUUUGGCAAGAAACCAAAGUUCUCGUUUCUUAAAGUUUGGGGCUGCGAUGCUUAUGUAAAGAAACUUCAACCAGAUAAGCUCGAACACAAAUUGGAGAAAUGUGUCUUCAUAGGAUACCCAAAGGAGACUAUUGGGUACACCUUCUAUCAUAGAUUUGAGGGCAAGAUUUUCGUUGCUAAAUUCAGAUCCUUUCUAGAGAAGGAGUUUCUCUCGAAAGAAGUGAGUGGGAGGAAAGUAGAACUUGAUGAGAUAACUGUAUCUACUCCCUUGUUGGAAAAUAGUUCGUCACAAGAACCAGUUCCUGUGACAACUACACCAACUAGUGAGGAAGCUAAUGAUAUUGAUCAUGAAACUUCAGAUCAAGUUUCUACUGAACCUCACAGGUCUACCAGAAUAAGAUCCACACCAGAGUGGUACGGUAAUCCUAUUCUGGAAGUCAUGUUACUUGACCAUGAUGAACCUACGAACUAUGAGGAAGCGAUGAUGAGCCCAAAUUCCGCAAAAUGGCUAGAGGCCAUGAAAUUUGAGAUGGGAUCCAUGUACGAAAACAAAGUAUGGACUUUGGUUGACUUGCCCGAUGAUCGGCAAGCCAUUGAGAAUAAAUGGAUUUUUAAGAAGAAGACUGACGCUGAUGGUAAUAUAACUGUCUAUAAAGCUUGACUUGUUGCGAAAGGUUUUCGACAAGUUCAAGGGGUUGACUACGAUGAGACUUUCUCACCCGUAGCGAUGCUUAAGUCUGUCCGAAUCAUGUUAGCUAUUGCUGCAUUUCACGAUUAUGAAAUUUGGCAAAUGGAUGUCAAAACUGCAUUCUUGAAUGGAUUUCUGGAAGAAGAGUUGUAUAUGAUGCAACCAGAAGGUUUUGUUGAUCCAAAAGGUGCUAACAAAGUGUGCAAACUCCAGCGAUCUAUUUAUGGGCUGGUGCAAGCAUCUCGGAGUUGGAAUAAACGUUUUGAUAGUGUGAUCAAAGCAUAUGGUUUUAUACAGACUUUUGGAGAAGCCUGUAUUUACAAGAAAGUGAGUGGGAGCUCUGUAGCAUUUCUGAUUUUAUAUGUAGAUGACAUAUUAUUAAUUGGAAAUGAUAUAGAAUUUCUGGAUAGCAUAAAGGGAUACUUGAAUAAAAGUUUUUCGAUGAAAGACCUCGGUGAAGCUGCUUACAUAUUAGGCAUCAAGAUCUAUAGAGAUAGAUCAAGACGCUUAAUAGGACUUUCACAAAGCACAUACCUUGACAAAAUUUUGAAAAAGUUCAAAAUGGAUCAGGCAAAGAAAGGUUUCUUGCCUGUGCUACAAGGUGUGAAGUUGAGUCAAACUCAAUGCCCGACCAGAGCAGAAGAUAGAGAGAAAAUGAAAGAUGUUCCCUAUGCUUCAGCCAUAGGCUCUAUCAUGUAUGCAAUGCUGUGUACCAGACCUGACAUAUGCUUAGCAAUAAGCUUGGCAGGAAGGUACCAAAGUAAUCCAGGAGUGGAUCACUGGACAUCGGUCAAGAACAUCCUAAAAUACCUGAAAAGGACUAAGGAUAUGUUUCUCGUAUAUGGAGGUGACAAAGAGCUAGUCGUAAAAGGUUACGUCGAUGCAAGCUUUGACACUGAUCCGGACGAUUCUAAAUCGCAAACCGGAUACGUGUUUAUAUUAAACGAUGGAGCUGUAAGUUGGUGCAGUUCUAAACAAAGCGUCGUGGCUGGAUCUACAUGUGAAGCGGAGUACAUAGCUGCUUCUGAAGCAACAAAUGAAGGAGUCUGGAUGAAGGAGUUCAUUAUCGAUCUAGGUGUCAUACCUAGUGCAUCGGACCAAUGAAGAUCUUCUGUGACAAUACUGGUGCAAUUGCUUAGGCAAAGGAAUCCAAAUUUCACAAGAGGACCAAGCUCAUCAAGAGACGCUUAAAUUCCAUUCGGGACCAAGUCCAAGUGGGAGACAUAGAGAUUUGCAAAAUACAUACGGAUCUGAAUGUUGCAGACCCAUUGACUAAGCCUCUCUCACGAGCAAAACAUGAUCAACACCAAAACUCCAUGGGUGUUAGAAUCAUUACUAUGUAAUAUAGAUUAUUGACUCUAGUGCAAGUGGGAGACUGAAGGAAAUAUGCCCUAGAGGCAAUAAUAAAGUUAUUAUUAAUUUCCUCAUAUCAUGAUAAAUGUUUAUUAUUCAUGCUAGAAUUGUAUUAACCGGAAACAUGAUACAUGUGUGAAUACAUAGACAAACAUAUAGUCACUAGUAUGCCUCUACUUGACUAGCUCAUUAAUCAAAGAUGGUUAUGUUUCCUAACCAUAAACAUGUGUUGUCAUUUGAUUAAUGGGAUCACAUCAUUAGGAGAAUGAUGUGAUUGACAUGACCCAUCCCGUUAGCUUAGCACUUGAUCGAUUAGUAUUCUACUAUUGCUUUCUUCAUGACUUAUACAUGUUCCUGCAACUAUGAGAAAUAUGCAACUCCCGUUUAUCGGAAGAACACUUUGGGUACUACCAAACGUCACAACGUAACUGGGUGAUUAUAAAGGAGUACUACAGGUGUCUCCGAAGGUACAUGUUGAGUUGGCGUAUUUCAAGAUUAGGUUUUGUCACUCCGAUUGUCGGAGAGGUAUCUCUGGGCCCUCUCGGUAAUACUCAUCACUUAAGCCUUGCAAGCAUUAUAACUAAUAAGUUAGUUAUGAGAUGACAUAUUACAAAACGAGUAAAGAGACUUGCCGGUAACGAGAUUGAACUAGGUAUUGGAUACCGACGAUCAAAUCUCGGGCAAGUAACAUACCGAUGACAAAGGGAACAACGUAUGUUGUUAUGCGGUUUGACCGAUAAAGAUCUUCGUAGAAUAUGUAGGAACCAAUAUGGGCAUCCAGGUCCCGCUAUUGGUUAUUGACCGAGAAUGGUUUUAGAUCAUGUCUACAUAGUUCUCGAACCCGUAGGGUCCGCACGCUUAACGUUUCGAUGACAGUUUUAUUAUGAGUUUACAAGUUUUGAUGUACCGAAGUUUGUUCGGAGUCCCGGAUGUGAUCACGGACAUGACGAGGAGUCUCGGAAUGGUCGAGACAUAAAGAUUGAUAUAUUGGAAGCCUAUGUUUGGACAUCAGAAUGGUUCCGGGUGAAAUCGGCAUUUUACCGGAGUACCGGGAGGUUACCGGAACCCCCCGGGGGGUUAAUGGGCCUACAUGGGCCACGAGGGAGAAGAGAGAAGGAGCCAGGAGGGGACCGCGCACCCCUCCCCCUCCUAGUCCGAAUAGGACAAGGGAAGGCGGGCGGCGCCCCCCUUUCCUUCCCCUCUUCCUCCUCUUCCCCCCUUCUCCUAUUCCAACUAGGAAAGAAGGGAGUCCUACUGCCGGUGGGAGUAGGACUCCCCCCUUGGCGCGCCCUCCUUGGCCAGCCACCUCCUCCCCCCUUGGCGCGCCCUCCUUGGCCAGCCACCUCCUCCCCCCUGGCUCCUUUAUAUACGGGGGCGGGGGGGAACCCUAGAAACACAAGUUGAUCUACGGAUCGUUCCUUAGCCGUGUGCGGUGCCCCCUCCACCAUAUUCCACCUCGGUCAUAUCGUCACGGAGUUUAGGCGAAGCCCUGCGCCGGUAGAGCAUCAUCAUCGUCACCACGCCGUCGUGCUAACGGAACUCAUCCCCGAAGCUUUGCUGGAUCGGAGCCCGAGGAUAAUCAUCGAGAUGAACGUGUGCUGAACUCGGAGGUGCCGUACGUUCGGUGCUUGGAUCGGUCGGAUCGUGAAGACGUACGACUACAUCAACCGCGUUGUGCUAACGCUUCCGCUUACGGUCUACGAGGGUACAUGGACGAACACUCUCCCCUCUCGUUGCUAUAUCAUCACCAUGAUCUUGCGUGUGCGUAGGAAUUUUUUUUUUGAAAUUACUACGUUCCCCAACACUACUAACUUAGUGAUGGUGACUAGAGAACUCUGUCAAUCACUAUCUUAUCUGGAAGAUUAACUCCCACUUGAUUCAAGCGAUUGUAGUACCCAGACAAUCUGAGCACAUGCUCACUAGUUGAGCGAUUCUCCUUCAUCUUUUAGCAAUAGAACUUGUUGGAGACUUCAUAUCUCUCAACUCGGGUAUUUGUUUGAAAUAUUAACUUCAAUUCCUGGAACAUCUCAUAUGGUCCAUGACGUUCAAAACGUCUUUGAAGUCCCGAUUCUAAGCUGUUAAGCAUGGUGCACUAAACUAUCAAGUAGUCAUCAUAUUGAGCUAGCCAAACAUUCAUAACGUCUGCAUCUGCUCCUGCAAUAGGUUUGUCACCUAGCGGUGCAUCAAUGACAUAAUUCUUCUGCGCAGCAAUGAAGAUAAACCUCAAAUCACGGAUCCAAUCCGCAUCAUUGCUACUAACAUUUUUCAACACAAUUUUCUCUAGGAACAUAUCAAAAUAAACAUAUGAAAGCAACAAUGCAAGCUAUUGAUCUACAACAUAAUUUGCAAAAUACUACCAGGACUAAGUUCAUAAUAAAUUUAAGUUCAAUUAAUCAUAUUACUUAAGAACUCCCACUUAGAAAGACAUCCCUCUAAUCCUCUAAGUGAUCAGGUGAUCCAAAUCAACUAAACCAUAACCGAUCAUCACGUGAAAUGGAGUAGCUUUCAAUGGUGAACAUCAUUAUGUUGAUCAUAUCUACUAUAUGAUUCACGCUCGACCUUUCGGUCUCCGUGUUCCGAGGCCAUAUCUGCAUAUGCUAGGCUCGUCAAGUUUAACCUGAGUAUUCCGCGUGUGCAAAACUGGCUUGCACCCGUUGUAGAUGGACGUAGAGCCUAUCACACCCGAUCAUCACGUGGUGUCUGGGCACGACGAACUUUGGCAACGGUGCAUACUCAGGGAGAACACUUCUUGAUAAUUAGUGAGAGAUCAUCUUAUAAUGCUACCGUCAAACAAAACAGAAUAAGAUGUAUAACAGAUAAACAUCAUAUGCAAUCAAAAUAUGUGACAUGAUAUGGCCAUGAUCAUCUUGCGCCUUUGAUCUCCAUCUCCAAAGUACUUUCAUGAUCUCUAUCGUCACCGGCACGACACCAUGAUCUUCAUCAUCUUGAUCUAUAUCAAUGUGUCGUCACAUGGUCGUCUCGCCAACUAUUGCUCUUGCAACUAUUGCUAUCGCAUAGCGAUAAAGUAAAGCAAUUAUUUGGCACUUGCAUCUUAUGCAACAAAGAGACAACCAUAGAGCUUCUGCCAGUUGCCGAUAACUUCAGCAAAACAUGAUCAUAUCAUACAACAACUUAUAUCUCAUCACGUCUUGACCAUAUCACAUCACAACAUGCCCUGCAAAAAAAAAGUUAGACAUCCUCUACUUUGUUGUUGCAAGUUUUACGUGGCUGCUACGGGCUGAGCAAGAACCGUUCUUACCUACGCAUCAAAACCACAACGAUAGUUCGUCAAGUUGGUGCUGUUUUAACCUUCUCAAGGACCGGGCGUAGCCACACUCGGUUCAACUAAAGUUGGAGAAACUGACACCCGCUAGUCACCUGUGUGCAAAGCACGGCGGUAAAACCAGUCUCGCGUAAGCGUGCGCGUAAUGUCGGUCCAGGCCGCUUCAUCCAACAAUACCGCCGAACCAAAGUAUGACAUGCUGGUAAGCAGUAUGACUUGUAUCGCCCACAACUCACUUGUGUUCUACUCGUGCAUAUAACAUCAACGCAUAAAACCUAGGCUCGGAUGCCACUGUUGGGGAACGUAGUAAUUUCAAAAAAAUAUCCUACGCACACGCAAGAUCAUGGUGAUGCAUAGCAACGAGAGGGGAGAGUGUGUCCACGUACCCUCGUAGACCGUAAGCGGAAGCGUUAUGACAACGCGGUUGAUGUAGUCGUACGUCUUCACGAUCCGACCGAUCCAAGCACCGAACGUAUGGCACCUCCGAGUUCAGCACAUGUUCAGCUCGAUGACGAUCCCCGGGCUCCGAUCCAGCAAAGCUUCGGGGAUGAGUUCCGUCAGCACGACGGCGUGGUGACGAUGAUGAUGUUCUACCGGCGCAGGGCUUCGCCUAAACUCCGCGACNNNNNNNNNNNNNNNNNNNNNNNNNNNNNNNNNNNNNNNNNNNNNNNNNNNNNNNNNNNNNNNNNNNNNNNNNNNNNNNNNNNNNNNNNNNNNNNNNNNNNNNNNNNNNNNNNNNNNNNNNNNNNNNNNNNNNNNNNNNNNNNNNNNNNNNNNNNNNNNNNNNNNNNNNNNNNNNNNNNNNNNNNNNNNNNNNNNNNNNNNNNNNNNNNNNNNNNNNNNNNNNNNNNNNNNNNNNNNNNNNNNNNNNNNNNNNNNNNNNNNNNNNNNNNNNNNNNNNNNNNNNNNNNNNNNNNNNNNNNNNNNNNNNNNNNNNNNNNNNNNNNNNNNNNNNNNNNNNNNNNNNNNNNNNNNNNNNNNNNNNNNNNNNNNNNNNNNNNNNNNNNNNNNNNNNNNNNNNNNNNNNNNNNNGGGCACAGGCCUCCUUCCUUUUGGCCUCUCUCCUCUAUUCCCGUAUGGCCCAAUAAGGCCCAUAUACUCCCCGGCGAAUUCCCGUAACUCUCCGGUACUCCGAAAAAUACCCGAAUCACUCGGAACCUUUCCGAACUCCGAAUACAGUCGUCCAAUAUAUCGAUCUUUAUGUCUCGACCAUUUCGAGACUCCUUGUCAUGUCCCCGAUCUCAUCCGGGACUCCGAACUCCUUCGGUACAUCAAAACUCAUAAACUCAUAAUAUAACUGUCAUCGAAACCUUAAGCGUGCGGACCCUACGGGUUCGAGAACUAUGUAGACAUGACCUAGAACUAUUCUUGGUCAAUAACCAAUAGCGGAACCUGGAUGCCCAUAUUGGCUCCUACAUAUUCUACGAAGAUCUUUAUCGGUCAAAUCGCAUAACAACAUACUUGUUCCCUUUGUCAUCGGUAUGUUACUUACCCGAGAUUCGAUCGUCGGUAUCCAAUACCUAGUUCAAUCUCGUUACCGGCAAGUCUCUUUAGUCAUUACGUAAUGCAUCAUUCCGUAACUAACUCAUUAGCUACAUUGCUUGCAAGGCUUAUAGUGAUGUGCAUUACCGAGAGGGCCCAGAGAUACUUCUCCGACAAUCGGAGUGACAAAACCUAAUCUCGAAAUACGCCAACCCAACAUGUACCUUUGGAGACACCUAUAGUACUCCUUUAUAAUCACCCAGUUAUGUUGUGACGUUUGGUAGCACCCAAAGUGUUCCUCCGGUAAACGGGAGUUGCAUAAUCUCAUAGUUACAGGAACAUGUAUAAGUCAUGAAGAAAGCAAUAGCAACAUACUAAACGAUCGUGUGCUAAGCUAACGGAAUGGGUCAAGUCAAUCACAUCAUUCUCCUAAUGAUGUGAUCCCGUUAAUCAAAUGACAACUCAUGUCUAUGGUUAGGAAACUUAACCAUCUUUGAUUCACGAGCUAGUCAAGUAGAGGCAUACUAGUGACACUUUGUUUGUCUAUGUAUUCACACAUGUAUCAUGUUUCCGGUUAAUAAGAUUCUAGCAUGAAUAAUAAACAUUUAUCAUGAAAUAAGGAAAUAAAUAAUAACUUUAUUAUUGCCUCUAGGGCAUAUUUCCUUCACGAUGGCCCCUGCUGCUUCAAGGAGAAGAAGCGCGCCCAGAGGUCGAUCAUGGGCUCUACCCCCAGGUACCCCUCGCACAGGGUCACAAAGCCGGAGAGCUGGACGAUGGCACCGGCGCCAAGAUGAUGCGGCUGGAGCCUGAAGAACUCCAAGAACACGCGGAAGAAGGUGCUCGCUGGCAGCCCAAAACCGCGUUCGAAAUGCGUGAGGAAGACGACGCGCUCCUGCCCCUCGGGCCGGGGCCUCUGCUCGCCGCGCGGCAGGCGGACGUCAACGUCCGUCUCCCGCGGCAGGAGCCGCGAAGCUCGAAGAUGGGUGAUGUCAUCGGUGGCGACAAUCGAGCCCAUCCAGGAGCCCAACGACAGCGGCAUGGACAGAAGAAGAAGAGAGAGGAUGGACGAUGGAGGAAGCUCUACUCGGUGCUGUGGGCGUAGCUGUGCGUCGGUGGCAAAGAGCAGAGCAGGAGCAUGGGGACAGGAGGGCGCGAGCGAGAAUGGUGUCCGCCGCCCCCUUGCCCGCUCAAUUUAUAACCCUUGGUUCAAACGUGGGGAAGUGGGAUCGUCUGCACGCACCCGUUCCAGUACCCUGCAAUAAGUGCGCACGUACACGCGCAGUAACUGCCCGGGGAAGAGCAACCAACCCCCGGAUGCUACAAUAAAUCCGCGCGCGUGGGCCAAGGGUGCGCGACGGCGGGCCCCGGCCCAUCGCCCGGUCCCGUCAUGCGCGUGGCCUGUCAUGCCCCUCUGGCUUCUGGGCACCACCUGGCGCCUGCGCGAAGCCCGAGGGAUUGCCUCAAGAUUCAGCGGAAUCCUCGGUUCCCACCACAGCCGGGAUGCCGCGAUCCGGUUUCCCAGAAAACCGGCACACAGUGGGUGUUGCCGGAUCCGGCGCUCGCAGAAUCCACCUUGCUCAAGGGGGAAACUGCGAAGGCCCACUCAUCCGAAGACGGUGGACCUUCAUAGCUUCGGGGACUACUAUCAGGGGGAUGAACCCCGGGCAGGCAACAGAACCUGGAUCCUUUUCAAAAAUGGUGGGGCCCACAUCGCCCUGCAAACCGGCACGCGCCUGGCCGGGUCGCUCGACCCGGCAAGGCCUGCAACCCGGCCAAGCUCUUCGACUCGGCAAGCUACAUUGACCUGGCCACAACAACUAGCGCAAGACAACCCAACCCGGUGCCACCAAGGCUUCCCCAACAAGCCGAACCCACCUGUGCCGUGCACGACAACCCAGCCACGGGUCAGAUCCCGUCCCAUCCAAGCCGUACGAUGGGACGAGGCUUCAAUCACCUAUGACCAAGACUACAGUCCUUCCGCCCAUGCCUAUGGUUAGCCAGACACUACUAGGGAAAACCUUAUACACAGAAUCUUACCAGUAGCGCGUGUUAAAAUGAGGCGCUACUGCUACUUAGCAGUAGCGCGUCUGCCAAAACCGCGCUACUGUUACCCCCUUAGCAGUAGCGCGACAGGAAAAGAACGCGCUACUACUAUAAUUGCCACACCGUUCCCGACUAGCUAGGUAUAGUAGUAGCGCCCUUCUGGAAAUGGCGCUACUACUACGGAUUUUAGCAGCAGCGUGUUUUUCCUCCCCACGCUACUGUUAAAGCUAUUUUCACCUAACCCCCCGCGCGGCCUGAUUCCCUCUCCUCUGCUUCCUCCCCCAAUUCCCCACUCUCUCUUCUCCCCCUCGUCGCCCCCGCCUCGCCGCCGUCUCCCCCGACCCUGCCUUGCGGCCGUCUCCCCCGCCCGCCUCGCCACCGUCUCCCCCGGCCCCGCCUCGCCGCUGUCUCCCNNNNNNNNNNCCUCGGCCCCGCCUCGCCGCCGUCUCCCUCGACCCGCCUCACCGCUGUCUCCUCGACCCCGCCUCGCAGCCGUCUCCGCCGACCCCGCCUCGCCGCGCCUCGGUGCCGCCGUCUCCCCCGACCCCAUCUCUCUCCCCGCCCUCUGUAAGCACUCUCCCCUUCCGAUCCCUCUUGUUUGCUUAGUAUGAACCCUAGCUAUUUAGUGCUAGUUAGUAUGAACCCUAGGCUAUUUUUAGUGCUAGUUAGUUAAUUACAAUUAGUAUUAACCCUAUUUAAUUAGGGCAGUAGUUCCUAGGUACUAAUUAGUUAGUAAGAACUAGGUACUAAUUAGCUAGGUACUAGUUUAUUUUUAUUUAUAGUAAGUUUAUUUUCAGUAAGAACUAAUUGAAUUAAUAGAACUAGUUAGUAAGAACUUGUUGCUAUUUUUUUAGUUAAAGCAAUUUUUCCCGCAUCGACGUUGACGAUGCCUAUCCCGCAUCCUCGUUGUCGAGUCAGCGGAGGACGACACCUGCUUGACUAGAUGGGCCAUGUCCGGGACUGGGCUCUGCCGGGGUGGUACUGGGAGGCGCUACCUACCGGGGGCGCAGGUUGGUGAGGAGCCAGCCUAUCGUUGACCCGAACCUUCAUUGGUGGAGGUCGCGUGGGCCAGUGACGGUCCAGAGGCUCGAGGACCCCGCGGAGGUGGUGCGUCACUGUGUCAGUGAGGAGGACGCGCACGUCCGUCGCUACUUGUUUGCGUUGGAGCACAUGUUCUCCAAAACCUGGCAGGUUCUCCAGGGAUCUCACUGGAGCUAUGAUCCCGUGAUGGUUCCUUCUCUGUGGGUGUCCACCACCCGCGCCGAUACCCGUCGUGUGCUAGGGUUUUAGUUGUAUUAGUGAUGUUAUAUGUAUGACACUAUUCAGGAUGUAUUAGUGAUAAUAUUCGACGAUGUACGAACACGCAUGAGAUGAUUUACUUUUGCUUAUUCAAUGCAUCCUAAUUUGAGUCCUAUAAGAUAUUUUGAAAUGUAUAUCUUGUGUUUCUCAAAUAGGAUAUGUGCUUUCCCAAGUGGCCGGUCAUGUUUGCAGGUUACACCUCCGAGUGUCCUAUGUUUUGCCGGAGUGUUGAUUCUUUUCCGUUCCGGCAAAUUUCAGGCGCUCGAUAUGUCCUAUUUUAGCAAAGGUCAUGCCGGAUUUUUCUGUGAAUUUUGGCAUGACUUGUGCCAGAAUAUGUAGGAAAUAUCGAGUGCCCCGGAUUUGCGUGUUGAUUAUCCUGGUAGUUGUCUUCGAUCGAUUUUCAAUUAAUGUUUUAACUAUGAACAUAGGAAAUGUCUGACGAUGAAAAGGACUUCGGUAUUUGCAAAUACUGCGAAGACGAGCGCGGCCUGUGCGAUGGAAUCUUCCUAGAUGAUGAUAGGCGCUUCAGCAUCAAGCUGGACGAGAACUUCGAAGUGGAUACAGUAAGUCACAACGACAAGUCUUUUUUCGUAAUUAAGCAUGACAUAUGCUUCAUUUGCUUCAACUUAUAAUUUGUUUUUACUAUUCUACUAGCGUAUCCCCUGCCAUGCAAGAGUUUUUGUAUUGGAUAAGAUAGGUUGCAGUUGUACUAUGGAGGUAAAGAAAUUUUACUUGAAGACUGAGCAUGGUUAUAUUUUCCACACAAAAUUAUACAAUUCAGACGACUACACCUAUUUUGGAUGCAAAACAUGGCGAGCACUAUGCAAGACUUAUGCAUUUGAGCCUGAUAUGGUUAUCACCUUUGAUAUUCGUCCGGAAGAUGAUAUUGAAGGUAAUACCGACAUCUGGGUCGAUGUGCAGAUGCCUCCAGUUAUACCAAAAUGUGAGUUUCUCAACCAUAUUUAUGUCUUUGAUAUUGUUUAUUCAAAAAUAGUUGACAAUUAAUUUCUAUUGAUAGCUUAUUUCGGUGCGAGCAAACAUGUCCAGCGCUUGGUAGACAGGACCGUAUACUGUGCCGGGGCUGAACUCAACUGCGAGGAGCUCAGUCAUUAUGUUUCAUGGCUUGCGGAUCUUGAUACUGUCAAGACAAAUUUUCUUCCUGCAUUUAGAAAUGUUAGUACUGAAAACGUGCGACCAAUAGUGUUCGUAAUGAACUACAGUCACAUCUAUUUAGGAAGGAUGGUAAGAUUUUUAAUAUUUGUCCUCAGUGCAUCUUUUCCAUACAUUAUUUUUGAAGCUAAACUUCAUUGCUAAGUAUGUUACCAUACGAUGUUCUUCAACAAGGAGUCCCGAUGAAUGUUGUGCCUUAUGGGAUCGAGACUAAAGGUACCAUGAGUAUUAUUAGCUUACGGCCAAGAUAUCCUACAGAUUACUUUAAUGCAUUCAAGAUUAGCGAUGGAUGCUUAAUAGUGCAAGACUGGACCAAAUAUGUGAUGGGGGAGCGUAGAGAAGUACUAGGGGGCAGCAAACAGAUGCGCUACCCACGGUUAGGAGAUAGGUUCAUCUGCAUGCUCCAACUUGAUCAAGGAGGAGAGCUAUACAUGUUUUAUGUUAUUUUACGUGCGAGAGAGCAGCAGGAGUGAUUAGCUAGCUAGAAAUGAGUUUGAAGAUGAUGAUGUGCUACACUAUUACUAUGAUGAUAAAAUAGCUAGUGUUGGUGGUAAUGACUAUGAUGAUUAUUAUUAGCUAGCGUUAGUGGUGAUUAAAUAAAUAUUGUUGGUGAUAAUGACUAUGAUGAUGAUUAAAUAGCUUGUGCUGGCGGAUUAGAUUCAAGUGGAGGCAACAUGUAGUGCACAUCGAAAGUACUACUAGUCCAAACUAGAUCAAGUUUGGAUUAGUAGUAUACUUUUGACAUGCACCACAUAUUGCCUCCACUUGAACCUAAUCCACCUUCAUUUGACACACUGUUAUGGACAUAAUGAUGUAAACCUCAUAACUGGUAUUGUACCAAUAUUUGUACGAUAGAGAGAAAACCGCAUAAAUACAGUAAAAAAAAUGAAUACUAGUAGCGAUGGAGAGAAAACGCGCCGCCACUAGUUUCAUUAGCAGUAGCGUGGGGUUGAACAAACGCUGCAGCUAGUUGUCCUAGCAGUAGCACACGCCGGCACACGUUACUACUAAGCAAUAGUUGUAGCGCCUUAUUAGUAGCGCGCCUACCUGCGCUACUAGUGAGCACAAAACCAGCGCUACUAGUGAGCACAAAACCAGCGCUACUGCUAGGGUUUUCCCUAGUAGUGAGAGCGUGGCAACAGUGCCCCUUACCUACCCGCUGACCGAGGCUGGCGUGGCAAUAGUGCUCCCGCCUUCGCCGCUAACGGCAGCAAGCGGCAACCUAACGGAGAGCAUUGUACAUGACUCGACUCGGCCACGCCCUGACGAUUGAUAAGACGGCGAAUAGUUCCCCUAGGCACGCGGGGCCUGCACCUAGGGGAACCCAGCAAACCACAAGCCCUCAAGCGGGACCCAGCCCAGUAUCCCGGACACCGAUAAUACGGACCCACCGACUCGGCGUAUUACCAUUGUAACCCUGGGUGGGUUGAUCUAUAAACCCCCCCAGGAACCCACGCCUACAGAGAGAGGCACAUGUAUGAGACACGAGAGAAACACAAGCAAGCAUAGGACUAGCCACCCAACGUCAGCACCGGAGAGAAGGAGCAGCCCAAGCCUUGUCCAGCUUCCUUCCUCCUCAUACAGCUCCAGGAGCAACAUUGUACUAUCGAUCAUCCAACUAAACUCGGCAGGACUAGGGGUAUUAUCUCUCCGGAGAGCCCCGAACCUGGGUAUGUGCGGCGUCCCACGCCCGCGCAUGCCAACCUCGCCUCUAGAUCCCACCAGCACCUCGGGCCUCCUCCUCUCUUUAGCCAUCCCUUGGCAAACAGGUACAGUAGGUUAAUUAGGUGAAGUUAAGUGAAUAACCUAAAUGAAUGAAAUUAGUAGUUAACUGUUUUUUUUCCUUUCAUCAUUAUUGAGCACUAAAGUAAACUGAAUUUUGUUCUAUUAGUAGUUAAAUGAGUUUUUUUCUACACUUAGUUUUUGAAUUAGUUUGUGAAAUUUGGACAUGUGGUUGCUCGUGUAUAUUUGGACAUGUGUUGCAGUGUCGAAGAUGGAUAUUUGAACACUGUUUCCAGGGAAUGAAGCCGAGUGGCCUAUGUUUUGCUGGAAUGUUGAUUCAUUUGUUGGAGGAACGUAGCAGAAAUUCGAAAUUUUCCUACGAGUCAUCAAGAUCUAUCUAUGGAGAAACUAGCAACGAAGGUAAGGAGAGUGCAUCUACAUACCCUUGUAGAUCGCUAAGCGGAAGCAUUCAAGAGAACGGGGUUGAAGGAGUCGUACUCGUCGUGAUCCAAAUCACCGGAGAUCCUAGUGCCGAACAGACGGCACCUCCGCAUUCAACACACGUACAGCCCGGUGACGUCUCCCACGCCUUGAUCCAGCAAGGAGAGAGGGAGAGAUUGGGGAAGACUUCGUCCAGCAGCAGCACGACAGCGUGGUGGUGGAGGAGUGUGGCAAUCCUGCAAGGCUUCGCCAAGCACCGCGGGAGAGGAGGAGUACUUGGGAGAGGGGGAGGGCUGCGGCAGAACUUGGGGUGCGGCUGCCCUCCCACCCCUCCACUAUUUAUAGGUGGGGAGAGAAGGGGGCCGGCCCCCCUAGAUCCCAUCUAGGGUUGGGGGCGGCGGCCAAGGGGGGGAGGAGUGCCUCCCAAGUCAAGUGGAGGCCCUCCCCCUUAGGGUUUCCCCUCUCCCAUGCGCAUGGGCCUUGGGGGGGCUGGUGCCCCUGGCCCAUUAAGGCUAGGGUGCCCCCUUACAGCCCAUGCUGCUGUAUUGGACAUGGUGGAACAAUUUCCGGACCUCCGGACCCCUCCGGAAUCCUUCGGAACCUUCUGGAAGCUUCCCGGUACAAUACCAGAAAAACUCGAACUUUUCCCGGAACCCGAACAACAACUUUCCAUAUAUAAAUCUUUACCUCCGAACCAUUCCGGAACUCCUUGUGAUGUCCGGGAUCUCAUCUGGGACUCCGAACAACAUUCGUUAACCACAUACAAAUUUCCUUUAUAACCCUAGCGUCAUCGAACCUUAAGUGUGUAGACCCUACGGGUUCGGGAACCAUGCAGACAUGACCGAGACGUUCUCCGGUCAAUAACCAAUAGCGGGAUCUGGAUACCCAUGUUGGCUCCCACAUGUUCCAUGAUGAUCUCAUCGGAUGAACCACGAUGUCGAGGAAUCAAUCAACCCCGUAUACAAUUCCCUUUGUCUAGCGGUAUUGUACUUGCCCGAGAUUCGAUCGUCGGUAUCCCAAUACCUUGUUCAAUCUCGUUACUGGCAAGUCUCUUUACUCGUUCCGUAACACAUCAUCCCGUGAUCAACCCCUUGGUCACAUUAUGCACAUUAUGAUGAUGUCCUACCGAGUGGGCCCAGAGAUACCUCUCCGUCAACCAGAGUGACAAAUCCCAGUCUCGAUUCGUGCCAACCCAACAGACACUUUCGGAGAUACCCGUAGUUCACCUUUAUAGCCACCCAGUUACGUUGUGACGUUUGGUACACCCAAAGCAUUCCUAAGCUAUCCGGGAGUUGCACAAUCUCAUGGUCUAAGGAAAUGAUACUUGACAUUAGAAAAGCUUUAGCAUACGAACUACACGAUCUUUGUGCUAGGCUAGGAUUGGGUCUUGUCCAUCACAUCAUUCUCCUAAUGAUGUGAUCCCGUUAUCAACGACAUCCAAUGUCCAUGGUCAGGAAACUGUAACCAUCUAUUGAUCAACAAGCUAGUCAAUUAGAGGCUUACUAGGGACAUGGUGUUGUCUAUGUACCCACACAUGUAUCUGAGUUUCCUAUCAAUACAAUUAUAGCAUGGAUAAUAAAUGAUUAUCAUGAACAAGGAAAUAUAAUAAUAAUACCUAAUUUAUUAUUGCCUCUAGGGCAUAUUUCCAACACUCUCCCACUUGCACUAGAGUCAAUAAUCUAGUUCACAUGGCCAUGUGAUUAACACUGAUAGGUCACAUCGCCAUGUGACCAACAUCCAAAGAGUUUACUAGUGUCACUAAACUAGUUCACAUCACCAUGUGAUUAAGACUCAAUGUGUUCUGGGGUUUGAUCUUGUUUUGCUUGUGAGAGAGGUUUUAGUCAAUGGGUCUGCAACAUCCAGAUCCGUAUGUAUUUUGCAAAUCUCUAGGUCAUAUUGUAAAUACUGCUUCCACGCUCCACUUUGAGCUAUUCCAAAUGGUUGCUCCACUAUACGUAUCCGGUUUGCUACUCGGAGUCACUCGGAUAGGUGUUAAAGCUUGCAUCGACAUAACCGUUUACGCCGAACUCUUUAUCACCUCCAUAUCGGUGUAAAGCGCAUGAAGAAACUCCAUACUGAUGGGCUUUUGGAAUCACUUGAUUAUGAAUCACUUGGUACUUGCGAACCGUGCCUCAUGGGCAAGAUGACUAAAACGCCGUUCUCCGGAACUAUGGAGCGAGCAACUGAUUUGUUGGAGAUCAUACAUACUAAUGUUUGUGGUCCAAUGAAUGUUGAGGCUCCCGGCGGGUAUCGUUAUUUUCUCACCUUCACAGAUGAUUUGAGCAGAUAUGGGUAUAUCUACUUAAUGAAACACAAGUCUGAAACAUUUGAAAAGUUCAAAGAAUUUCAGAGUGAAGUGGAAAAUCACCGUAACAAGAAAAUAAAGUUUCUACGAUCUGAUCGUGGAGGAGAAUAUUUGAGUUACGAGUUUGGUCUACACUUGAAACAAUACGGAAUAGUUUCGCAACUCACGCCACCCGGAACACCACAACGAAAUGGUGUGUCCGAACGUCGUAAUCGUACUUUACUAGAUAUGGCGCGAUCUAUGAUGUCUCUUACAGAUUUACCGCUAUCGUUUUGGGGUUAUGCUUUAGAGACGGCCGCAUUCACGUUAAAUAGGGCACCAUCAAAAUCCGUUGAGACGACACCUUAUGAACUGUGGUUUGGCAAGAAACCAAAGUUCUCGUUUCUUAAAGUUUGGGGCUGCGAUGCUUAUGUAAAGAAACUUCAACCAGAUAAGCUCGAACACAAAUUGGAGAAAUGUGUCUUCAUAGGAUACCCAAAGGAGACUAUUGGGUACACCUUCUAUCACAGAUCUGAGGGCAAGAUUUUCGUUGCUAAAUUCAGAUCCUUUCUAGAGAAGGAGUUUCUCUCGAAAGAAGUGAGUGGGAGGAAAGUAGAACUUGAUGAGAUAACUGUAUCUACUCCCUUGUUGGAAAAUAGUUCGUCACAAGAACCAGUUCCUGUGACAACUACACCAACUAGUGAGGAAGCUAAUGAUAUUGAUCAUGAAACUUCAGAUCAAGUUUCUACUGAACCUCACAGGUCUACCAGAAUAAGAUCCACACCAGAGUGGUACGGUAAUCCUAUUCUGGAAGUCAUGUUACUUGACCAUGAUGAACCUACGAACUAUGAGGAAGCGAUGAUGAGCCCAAAUUCCGCAAAAUGGCUAGAGGCCAUGAAAUUUGAGAUGGGAUCCAUGUACGAAAACAAAGUAUGGACUUUGGUUGACUUGCCCGAUGAUCGGCAAGCCAUUGAGAAUAAAUGGAUUUUUAAGAAGAAGACUGACGCUGAUGGUAAUAUAACUGUCUAUAAAGCUUGACUUGUUGCGAAAGGUUUUCGACAAGUUCAAGGGGUUGACUACGAUGAGACUUUCUCACCCGUAGCGAUGCUUAAGUCUGUCCGAAUCAUGUUAGCUAUUGCUGCAUUUCACGAUUAUGAAAUUUGGCAAAUGGAUGUCAAAACUGCAUUCUUGAAUGGAUUUCUAGAAGAAGAGUUGUAUAUGAUGCAACCAGAAGGUUUUGUUGAUCCAAAAGGUGCUAACAAAGUGUGCAAACUCCAGCGAUCUAUUUAUGGGCUGGUGCAAGCAUCUCGGAGUUGGAAUAAACGUUUUGAUAGUGUGAUCAAAGCAUAUGGUUUUAUACAGACUUUUGGAGAAGCCUGUAUUUACAAGAAAGUGAGUGGGAGCUCUGUAGCAUUUCUGAUUUUAUAUGUAGAUGACAUAUUAUUAAUUGGAAAUGAUAUAGAAUUUCUGGAUAGCAUAAAGGGAUACUUGAAUAAAAGUUUUUCGAUGAAAGACCUCGGUGAAGCUGCUUACAUAUUAGGCAUCAAGAUCUAUAGAGAUAGAUCAAGACGCUUAAUAGGACUUUCACAAAGCACAUACCUUGACAAAAUUUUGAAAAAGUUCAAAAUGGAUCAGGCAAAGAAAGGUUUCUUGCCUGUGCUACAAGGUGUGAAGUUGAGUCAAACUCAAUGCCCGACCAGAGCAGAAGAUAGAGAGAAAAUGAAAGAUGUUCCCUAUGCUUCAGCCAUAGGCUCUAUCAUGUAUGCAAUGCUGUGUACCAGACCUGACAUAUGCUUAGCAAUAAGCUUGGCAGGAAGGUACCAAAGUAAUCCAGGAGUGGAUCACUGGACAUCGGUCAAGAACAUCCUAAAAUACCUGAAAAGGACUAAGGAUAUGUUUCUCGUAUAUGGAGGUGACAAAGAGCUAGUCGUAAAAGGUUACGUCGAUGCAAGCUUUGACACUGAUCCGGACGAUUCUAAAUCGCAAACCGGAUACGUGUUUAUAUUAAACGAUGGAGCUGUAAGUUGGUGCAGUUCUAAACAAAGCGUCGUGGCUGGAUCUACAUGUGAAGCGGAGUACAUAGCUGCUUCUGAAGCAACAAAUGAAGGAGUCUGGAUGAAGGAGUUCAUUAUCGAUCUAGGUGUCAUACCUAGUGCAUCGGACCAAUGAAGAUCUUCUGUGACAAUACUGGUGCAAUUGCUUAGGCAAAGGAAUCCAAAUUUCACAAGAGGACCAAGCUCAUCAAGAGACGCUUAAAUUCCAUUCGGGACCAAGUCCAAGUGGGAGACAUAGAGAUUUGCAAAAUACAUACGGAUCUGAAUGUUGCAGACCCAUUGACUAAGCCUCUCUCACGAGCAAAACAUGAUCAACACCAAAACUCCAUGGGUGUUAGAAUCAUUACUAUGUAAUNNNNNNNNNNNNNNNNNNNNNNNNNNNNNNNNNNNNNNNNNNNNNNNNNNNNNNNNNNNNNNNNNNNNNNNNNNNNNNNNNNNNNNNNNNNNNNNNNNNNNNNNNNNNNNNNNNNNNNNNNNNNNNNNNNNNNNNNNNNNNNNNNNNNNNNNNNNNNNNNNNNNNNNNNNNNNNNNNNNNNNNNNNNNNNNNNNNNNNNNNNNNNNNNNNNNNNNNNNNNNNNNNNNNNNNNNNNNNNNNNNNNNNNNNNNNNNNNNNNNNNNNNNNNNNNNNNNNNNNNNNNNNNNNNNNNNNNNNNNNNNNNNNNNNNNNNNNNNNNNNNNNNNNNNNNNNNNNNNNNNNNNNNNNNNNNNNNNNNNNNNNNNNNNNNNNNNNNNNNNNNNNNNNNNNNNNNNNNNNNNNNNNNNNNNNNNNNNNNNNNNNNNNNNNNNNNNNNNNNNNNNNNNNNNNNNNNNNNNNNNNNNNNNNNNNNNNNNNNNNNNNNNNNNNNNNNNNNNNNNNNNNNNNNNNNNNNNNNNNNNNNNNNNNNNNNNNNNNNNNNNNNNNNNNNNNNNNNNNNNNNNNNNNNNNNNNNNNNNNNNNNNNNNNNNNNNNNNNNNNNNNNNNNNNNNNNNNNNNNNNNNNNNNNNNNNNNNNNNNNNNNNNNNNNNNNNNNNNNNNNNNNNNNNNNNNNNNNNNNNNNNNNNNNNNNNNNNNNNNNNNNNNNNNNNNNNNNNNNNNNNNNNNNNNNNNNNNNNNNNNNNNNNNNNNNNNNNNNNNNNNNNNNNNNNNNNNNNNNNNNNNNNNNNNNNNNNNNNNNNNNNNNNNNNNNNNNNNNNNNNNNNNNNNNNNNNNNNNNNNNNNNNNNNNNNNNNNNNNNNNNNNNNNNNNNNNNNNNNNNNNNNNNNNNNNNNNNNNNNNNNNNNNNNNNNNNNNNNNNNNNNNNNNNNNNNNNNNNNNNNNNNNNNNNNNNNNNNNNNNNNNNNNNNNNNNNNNNNNNNNNNNNNNNNNNNNNNNNNNNNNNNNNNNNNNNNNNNNNNNNNNNNNNNNNNNNNNNNNNNNNNNNNNNNNNNNNNNNNNNNNNNNNNNNNNNNNNNNNNNNNNNNNNNNNNNNNNNNNNNNNNNNNNNNNNNNNNNNNNNNNNNNNNNNNNNNNNNNNNNNNNNNNNNNNNNNNNNNNNNNNNNNNNNNNNNNNNNNNNNNNNNNNNNNNNNNNNNNNNNNNNNNNNNNNNNNNNNNNNNNNNNNNNNNNNNNNNNNNNNNNNNNNNNNNNNNNNNNNNNNNNNNNNNNNNNNNNNNNNNNNNNNNNNNNNNNNNNNNNNNNNNNNNNNNNNNNNNNNNNNNNNNNNNNNNNNNNNNNNNNNNNNNNNNNNNNNNNNNNNNNNNNNNNNNNNNNNNNNNNNNNNNNNNNNNNNNNNNNNNNNNNNNNNNNNNNNNNNNNNNNNNNNNNNNNNNNNNNNNNNNNNNNNNNNNNNNNNNNNNNNNNNNNNNNNNNNNNNNNNNNNNNNNNNNNNNNNNNNNNNNNNNNNNNNNNNNNNNNNNNNNNNNNNNNNNNNNNNNNNNNNNNNNNNNNNNNNNNNNNNNNNNNNNNNNNNNNNNNNNNNNNNNNNNNNNNNNNNNNNNNNNNNNNNNNNNNNNNNNNNNNNNNNNNNNNNNNNNNNNNNNNNNNNNNNNNNNNNNNNNNNNNNNNNNNNNNNNNNNNNNNNNNNNNNNNNNNNNNNNNNNNNNCCUCGGUCAUAUCGUCGCGGAGUUUAGGCGAAGCCCUGCGCCGGUAGAGCAUCAUCAUCGUCACCACGCCGUCGUGCUAACGGAACUCAUCCCCGAAGCUUUGCUGGAUCGGAGCCCGGGGAUAAUCAUCGAGAUGAACGUGUGCUGAACUCGGAGGUGCCGUACGUUCGGUGCUUGGAUCGGUCGGAUCGUGAAGACGUACGACCACAUCAACCGCGUUGUGCUAACGCUUCCGCUUACGGUCUACGAGGGUACAUGGACGAACACUCUCCCCUCUCGUUGCUAUAUCAUCACCAUGAUCUUGCGUGUGCGUAGGAAUUUUUUUUUUGAAAUUACUACGUUCCCCAACACUACUAACUUAGUGAUGGUGACUAGAGAACUCUGUCAAUCACUAUCUUAUCUGGAAGAUUAACUCCCACUUGAUUCAAGCGAUUGUAGUACCCAGACAAUCUGAGCACAUGCUCACUAGUUGAGCGAUUCUCCUUCAUCUUUUAGCAAUAGAACUUGUUGGAGACUUCAUAUCUCUCAACUCGGGUAUUUGUUUGAAAUAUUAACUUCAAUUCCUGGAACAUCUCAUAUGGUCCAUGACGUUCAAAACGUCUUUGAAGUCCCGAUUCUAAGCUGUUAAGCAUGGUGCACUAAACUAUCAAGUAGUCAUCAUAUUGAGCUAGCCAAACAUUCAUAACGUCUGCAUCUGCUCCUGCAAUAGGUUUGUCACCUAGCGGUGCAUCAAUGACAUAAUUCUUCUGCGCAUCAAUGAAGAUAAACCUCAAAUCACGGAUCCAAUCCGCAUCAUUGCUACUAACAUUUUUCAACACAAUUUUCUCUAGGAACAUAUCAAAAUAAACAUAUGAAAGCAACAAUGCAAGCUAUUGAUCUACAACAUAAUUUGCAAAAUACUACCAGGACUAAGUUCAUAAUAAAUUUAAGUUCAAUUAAUCAUAUUACUUAAGAACUCCCACUUAGAAAGACAUCCCUCUAAUCCUCUAAGUGAUCAGGUGAUCCAAAUCAACUAAACCAUAACCGAUCAUCACGUGAAAUGGAGUAGCUUUCAAUGGUGAACAUCAUUAUGUUGAUCAUAUCUACUAUAUGAUUCACGCUCGACCUUUCGGUCUCCGUGUUCCGAGGCCAUAUCUGCAUAUGCUAGGCUCGUCAAGUUUAACCUGAGUAUUCCGCGUGUGCAAAACUGGCUUGCACCCGUUGUAGAUGGACGUAGAGCCUAUCACACCCGAUCAUCACGUGGUGUCUGGGCACGACGAACUUUGGCAACGGUGCAUACUCAGGGAGAACACUUCUUGAUAAUUAGUGAGAGAUCAUCUUAUAAUGCUACCGUCAAACAAAACAGAAUAAGAUGUAUAACAGAUAAACAUCAUAUGCAAUCAAAAUAUGUGACAUGAUAUGGCCAUGAUCAUCUUGCGCCUUUGAUCUCCAUCUCCAAAGUACUUUCAUGAUCUCUAUCGUCACCGGCACGACACCAUGAUCUUCAUCAUCUUGAUCUAUAUCAAUGUGUCGUCACAUGGUCGUCUCGCCAACUAUUGCUCUUGCAACUAUUGCUAUCGCAUAGCGAUAAAGUAAAGCAAUUAUUUGGCACUUGCAUCUUAUGCAACAAAGAGACAACCAUAGAGCUUCUGCCAGUUGCCGAUAACUUCAGCAAAACAUGAUCAUAUCAUACAACAACUUAUAUCUCAUCACGUCUUGACCAUAUCACAUCACAACAUGCCCUGCAAAAAAAAAGUUAGACAUCCUCUACUUUGUUGUUGCAAGUUUUACGUGGCUGCUACGGGCUGAGCAAGAACCGUUCUUACCUACGCAUCAAAACCACAACGAUAGUUCGUCAAGUUGGUGCUGUUUUAACCUUCUCAAGGACCGGGCGUAGCCACACUCGGUUCAACUAAAGUUGGAGAAACUGACACCCGCUAGUCACCUGUGUGCAAAGCACGGCGGUAAAACCAGUCUCGCGUAAGCGUGCGCGUAAUGUCGGUCCAGGCCGCUUCAUCCAACAAUACCGCCGAACCAAAGUAUGACAUGCUGGUAAGCAGUAUGACUUGUAUCGCCCACAACUCACUUGUGUUCUACUCGUGCAUAUAACAUCAACGCAUAAAACCUAGGCUCGGAUGCCACUGUUGGGGAACGUAGUAAUUUCAAAAAAAUAUCCUACGCACACGCAAGAUCAUGGUGAUGCAUAGCAACGAGAGGGGAGAGUGUGUCCACGUACCCUCGUAGACCGUAAGCGGAAGCGUUAUGACAACGCGGUUGAUGUAGUCGUACGUCUUCACGAUCCGACCGAUCCAAGCACCGAACGUAUGGCACCUCCGAGUUCAGCACAUGUUCAGCUCGAUGACGAUCCCCGGGCUCCGAUCCAGCAAAGCUUCGGGGAUGAGUUCCGUCAGCACGACGGCGUGGUGACGAUGAUGAUGUUCUACCGGCGCAGGGCUUCGCCUAAACUCCGCGACNNNNNNNNNNUAGAUUAUUGACUCUAGUGCAAGUGGGAGACUGAAGGAAAUAUGCCCUAGAGGCAAUAAUAAAGUUAUUAUUAAUUUCCUCAUAUCAUGAUAAAUGUUUAUUAUUCAUGCUAGAAUUGUAUUAACCGGAAACAUGAUACAUGUGUGAAUACAUAGACAAACAUAUAGUCACUAGUAUGCCUCUACUUGACUAGCUCAUUAAUCAAAGAUGGUUAUGUUUCCUAACCAUAAACAUGUGUUGUCAUUUGAUUAAUGGGAUCACAUCAUUAGGAGAAUGAUGUGAUUGACAUGACCCAUCCCGUUAGCUUAGCACUUGAUCGAUUAGUAUUCUACUAUUGCUUUCUUCAUGACUUAUACAUGUUCCUGCAACUAUGAGAAAUAUGCAACUCCCGUUUAUCGGAAGAACACUUUGGGUACUACCAAACGUCACAACGUAACUGGGUGAUUAUAAAGGAGUACUACAGGUGUCUCCGAAGGUACAUGUUGAGUUGGCGUAUUUCAAGAUUAGGUUUUGUCACUCCGAUUGUCGGAGAGGUAUCUCUGGGCCCUCUCGGUAAUACUCAUCACUUAAGCCUUGCAAGCAUUAUAACUAAUAAGUUAGUUAUGAGAUGACCUAUUACAAAACGAGUAAAGAGACUUGCCAGUAACGAGAUUGAACUAGGUAUUGGAUACCGACGAUCAAAUCUCGGGCAAGUAACAUACCGAUGACAAAGGGAACAACGUAUGUUGUUAUGCGGUUUGACCGAUAAAGAUCUUCGUAGAAUAUGUAGGAACCAAUAUGGGCAUCCAGGUCCCGCUAUUGGUUAUUGACCGAGAAUGGUUUUAGAUCAUGUCUACAUAGUUCUCGAACCCGUAGGGUCCGCACGCUUAACGUUUUGAUGACAGUUUUAUUAUGAGUUUACAAGUUUUGAUGUACCGAAGUUUGUUCGGAGUCCCGGAUGUGAUCACGGACAUGACGAGGAGUCUCGGAAUGGUCGAGACAUAAAGAUUGAUAUAUUGGAAGCCUAUGUUUGGACAUCAGAAUGGUUCCGGGUGAAAUCGGCAUUUUACCGGAGUACCGGGAGGUUACCGGAACCCCCCGGGGGGUUAAUGGGCCUACAUGGGCCACGAGGGAGAAGAGAGAAGGAGCCAGGAGGGGACCGCGCACCCCUCCCCCUCCUAGUCCGAAUAGGACAAGGGAAGGCGGGCGGCGCCCCCCUUUCCUUCCCCUCUUCCUCCUCUUCCCCCCUUCUCCUAUUCCAACUAGGAAAGAAGGGAGUCCUACUGCCGGUGGGAGUAGGACUCCCCCCUUGGCGCGCCCUCCUUGGCCAGCCACCUCCUCCCCCCUNNNNNNNNNNCAAUGAAGAUAAACCUCAAAUCACGGAUCCAAUCCGCAUCAUUGCUACUAACAUUUUUCAACACAAUUUUCUCUAGGAACAUAUCAAAAUAAACAUAUGAAAGCAACAAUGCAAGCUAUUGAUCUACAACAUAAUUUGCAAAAUACUACCAGGACUAAGUUCAUAAUAAAUUUAAGUUCAAUUAAUCAUAUUACUUAAGAACUCCCACUUAGAAAGACAUCCCUCUAAUCCUCUAAGUGAUCAGGUGAUCCAAAUCAACUAAACCAUAACCGAUCAUCACGUGAAAUGGAGUAGCUUUCAAUGGUGAACAUCAUUAUGUUGAUCAUAUCUACUAUAUGAUUCACGCUCGACCUUUCGGUCUCCGUGUUCCGAGGCCAUAUCUGCAUAUGCUAGGCUCGUCAAGUUUAACCUGAGUAUUCCGCGUGUGCAAAACUGGCUUGCACCCGUUGUAGAUGGACGUAGAGCCUAUCACACCCGAUCAUCACGUGGUGUCUGGGCACGACGAACUUUGGCAACGGUGCAUACUCAGGGAGAACACUUCUUGAUAAUUAGUGAGAGAUCAUCUUAUAAUGCUACCGUCAAACAAAACAGAAUAAGAUGUAUAACAGAUAAACAUCAUAUGCAAUCAAAAUAUGUGACAUGAUAUGGCCAUGAUCAUCUUGCGCCUUUGAUCUCCAUCUCCAAAGUACUUUCAUGAUCUCUAUCGUCACCGGCACGACACCAUGAUCUUCAUCAUCUUGAUCUAUAUCAAUGUGUCGUCACAUGGUCGUCUCGCCAACUAUUGCUCUUGCAACUAUUGCUAUCGCAUAGCGAUAAAGUAAAGCAAUUAUUUGGCACUUGCAUCUUAUGCAACAAAGAGACAACCAUAGAGCUUCUGCCAGUUGCCGAUAACUUCAGCAAAACAUGAUCAUAUCAUACAACAACUUAUAUCUCAUCACGUCUUGACCAUAUCACAUCACAACAUGCCCUGCAAAAAAAAAGUUAGACAUCCUCUACUUUGUUGUUGCAAGUUUUACGUGGCUGCUACGGGCUGAGCAAGAACCGUUCUUACCUACGCAUCAAAACCACAACGAUAGUUCGUCAAGUUGGUGCUGUUUUAACCUUCUCAAGGACCGGGCGUAGCCACACUCGGUUCAACUAAAGUUGGAGAAACUGACACCCGCUAGUCACCUGUGUGCAAAGCACGGCGGUAAAACCAGUCUCGCGUAAGCGUGCGCGUAAUGUCGGUCCAGGCCGCUUCAUCCAACAAUACCGCCGAACCAAAGUAUGACAUGCUGGUAAGCAGUAUGACUUGUAUCGCCCACAACUCACUUGUGUUCUACUCGUGCAUAUAACAUCAACGCAUAAAACCUAGGCUCGGAUGCCACUGUUGGGGAACGUAGUAAUUUCAAAAAAAUAUCCUACGCACACGCAAGAUCAUGGUGAUGCAUAGCAACGAGAGGGGAGAGUGUGUCCACGUACCCUCGUAGACCGUAAGCGGAAGCGUUAUGACAACGCGGUUGAUGUAGUCGUACGUCUUCACGAUCCGACCGAUCCAAGCACCGAACGUAUGGCACCUCCGAGUUCAGCACAUGUUCAGCUCGAUGACGAUCCCCGGGCUCCGAUCCAGCAAAGCUUCGGGGAUGAGUUCCGUCAGCACGACGGCGUGGUGACGAUGAUGAUGUUCUACCGGCGCAGGGCUUCGCCUAAACUCCGCGACAAUAUGACCGAGGUGGAAUAUGGUGGAGGGGGGCACCGCACACGGCUAAGGAACGAUCCGUAGAUCAACUUGUGUUGUUUUGCCUAGAGGUGCCCCCUGCCCCCGUAUAUAAAGGAGCAAGGGGGAGGGGGCGGCCGGCCUAGGAGGGGGCGCGCCAAGGGGAGUCCUACUCCCACCGGGAGUAGGACUCCCUCCUUCCUUGUUGGAGUAGGAGAAGGGGAAAGAGGGGGAGAGGAAGAAGGAAAGGGGGCUGCGCCCCUUGUCCAAUUCGGACCAGAGGGGGGGGAGGGCACAGGCCUCCUUCCUUUUGGCCUCUCUCCUCUAUUCCCGUAUGGCCCAAUAAGGCCCAUAUACUCCCCGGCGAAUUCCCGUAACUCUCCGGUACUCCGAAAAAUACCCGAAUCACUCGGAACCUUUCCGAACUCCGAAUACAGUCGUCCAAUAUAUCGAUCUUUAUGUCUCGACCAUUUCGAGACUCCUUGUCAUGUCCCCGAUCUCAUCCGGGACUCCGAACUCCUUCGGUACAUCAAAACUCAUAAACUCAUAAUAUAACUGUCAUCGAAACCUUAAGCGUGCGGACCCUACGGGUUCGAGAACUAUGUAGACAUGACCUAGAACUAUUCUUGGUCAAUAACCAAUAGCGGAACCUGGAUGCCCAUAUUGGCUCCUACAUAUUCUACGAAGAUCUUUAUCGGUCAAAUCGCAUAACAACAUACUUGUUCCCUUUGUCAUCGGUAUGUUACUUACCCGAGAUUCGAUCGUCGGUAUCCAAUACCUAGUUCAAUCUCGUUACCGGCAAGUCUCUUUAGUCAUUACGUAAUGCAUCAUUCCGUAACUAACUCAUUAGCUACAUUGCUUGCAAGGCUUAUAGUGAUGUGCAUUACCGAGAGGGCCCAGAGAUACUUCUCCGACAAUCGGAGUGACAAAACCUAAUCUCGAAAUACGCCAACCCAACAUGUACCUUUGGAGACACCUAUAGUACUCCUUUAUAAUCACCCAGUUAUGUUGUGACGUUUGGUAGCACCCAAAGUGUUCCUCCGGUAAACGGGAGUUGCAUAAUCUCAUAGUUACAGGAACAUGUAUAAGUCAUGAAGAAAGCAAUAGCAACAUACUAAACGAUCGUGUGCUAAGCUAACGGAAUGGGUCAAGUCAAUCACAUCAUUCUCCUAAUGAUGUGAUCCCGUUAAUCAAAUGACAACUCAUGUCUAUGGUUAGGAAACUUAACCAUCUUUGAUUCACGAGCUAGUCAAGUAGAGGCAUACUAGUGACACUUUGUUUGUCUAUGUAUUCACACAUGUAUCAUGUUUCCGGUUAAUAAGAUUCUAGCAUGAAUAAUAAACAUUUAUCAUGAAAUAAGGAAAUAAAUAAUAACUUUAUUAUUGCCUCUAGGGCAUAUUUCCUUCACGAUGGCCCCUGCUGCUUCAAGGAGAAGAAGCGCGCCCAGAGGUCGAUCAUGGGCUCUACCCCCAGGUACCCCUCGCACAGGGUCACAAAGCCGGAGAGCUGGACGAUGGCACCGGCGCCAAGAUGAUGCGGCUGGAGCCUGAAGAACUCCAAGAACACGCGGAAGAAGGUGCUCGCUGGCAGCCCAAAACCGCGUUCGAAAUGCGUGAGGAAGACGACGCGCUCCUGCCCCUCGGGCCGGGGCCUCUGCUCGCCGCGCGGCAGGCGGACGUCAACGUCCGUCUCCCGCGGCAGGAGCCGCGAAGCUCGAAGAUGGGUGAUGUCAUCGGUGGCGACAAUCGAGCCCAUCCAGGAGCCCAACGACAGCGGCAUGGACAGAAGAAGAAGAGAGAGGAUGGACGAUGGAGGAAGCUCUACUCGGUGCUGUGGGCGUAGCUGUGCGUCGGUGGCAAAGAGCAGAGCAGGAGCAUGGGGACAGGAGGGCGCGAGCGAGAAUGGUGUCCGCCGCCCCCUUGCCCGCUCAAUUUAUAACCCUUGGUUCAAACGUGGGGAAGUGGGAUCGUCUGCACGCACCCGUUCCAGUACCCUGCAAUAAGUGCGCACGUACACGCGCAGUAACUGCCCGGGGAAGAGCAACCAACCCCCGGAUGCUACAAUAAAUCCGCGCGCGUGGGCCAAGGGUGCGCGACGGCGGGCCCCGGCCCAUCGCCCGGUCCCGUCAUGCGCGUGGCCUGUCAUGCCCCUCUGGCUUCUGGGCACCACCUGGCGCCUGCNNNNNNNNNNCCCAUGCCUAUGGUUAGCCAGACACUACUAGGGAAAACCUUAUACACAGAAUCUUACCAGUAGCGCGUGUUAAAAUGAGGCGCUACUGCUACUUAGCAGUAGCGCGUCUGCCAAAACCGCGCUACUGUUACCCCCUUAGCAGUAGCGCGACAGGAAAAGAACGCGCUACUACUAUAAUUGCCACACCGUUCCCGACUAGCUAGGUAUAGUAGUAGCGCCCUUCUGGAAAUGGCGCUACUACUACGGAUUUUAGCAGCAGCGUGUUUUUCCUCCCCACGCUACUGUUAAAGCUAUUUUCACCUAACCCCCCGCGCGGCCUGAUUCCCUCUCCUCUGCUUCCUCCCCCAAUUCCCCACUCUCUCUUCUCCCCCUCGUCGCCCCCGCCUCGCCGCCGUCUCCCCCGACCCUGCCUUGCGGCCGUCUCCCCCGCCCGCCUCGCCACCGUCUCCCCCGGCCCCGCCUCGCCGCUGUCUCCCNNNNNNNNNNNNNNNNNNNNNNNNNNNNNNNNNNNNNNNNNNNNNNNNNNNNNNNNNNNNNNNNNNNNNNNNNNNNNNNNNNNNNNNNACCCUGCCUCGCAGCCGUCUCCCCCGACCCCGCCUCGCCGCGCGUCGGUGCUGCCGUCUCCCCUGACCCCAUCUCUCUCCCCGCCCUCUGUAAGCACUCUCCCCUUCCCAUCCCUCUUGUUUGCUUAGUAUGAACCCUAGCUAUUUAGUGCUAGUUAGUAUGAACCCUAGGCUAUUUUUAGUGCUAGUUAGUUAAUCACAAUUAGUAUUAACCCUAUUUAAUUAGGGCAGUAGUUCCUAGGUACUAAUUAGUUAGUAAGAACUAGGUACAUAGGAAAUGUCUGACGAUGAAAAGGACUUCGGUAUUUGCAAAUACUGCGAAGACGAGCGCGGCCUGUGCGAUGGAAUCUUCCUAGAUGAUGAUAGGCGCUUCAGCAUCAAGCUGGACGAGAACUUCGAAGUGGAUACAGUAAGUCAUAACGACAAGUCUUUUUUCGUAAUUAAGCAUGACAUAUGCUUCAUUUGCUUCAACUUAUAAUUUGUUUUUACUAUUCUACUAGCGUAUCCCCUGCCAUGCAAGAGUUUUUGUAUUGGAUAAGAUAGGUUGCAGUUGUACUAUGGAGGUAAAGAAAUUUUACUUGAAGACUGAGCAUGGUUAUAUUUUCCACACAAAAUUAUACAAUUCAGACGACUACACCUAUUUUGGAUGCAAAACAUGGCGAGCACUAUGCAAGACUUAUGCAUUUGAGCCUGAUAUGGUUAUCACCUUUGAUAUUCGUCCGGAAGAUGAUAUUGAAGGUAAUACCGACAUCUGGGUCGAUGUGCAGAUGCCUCCAGUUAUACCAAAAUGUGAGUUUCUCAACCAUAUUUAUGUCUUUGAUAUUGUUUAUUCAAAAAUAGUUGACAAUUAAUUUCUAUUGAUAGCUUAUUUCGGUGCGAGCAAACAUGUCCAGCGCUUGGUAGACAGGACCGUAUACUGUGCCGGGGCUGAACUCAACUGCGAGGAGCUCAGUCAUUAUGUUUCAUGGCUUGCGGAUCUUGAUACUGUCAAGACAAAUUUUCUUCCUGCAUUUAGAAAUGUUAGUACUGAAAACGUGCGACCAAUAGUGUUCGUAAUGAACUACAGUCACAUCUAUUUAGGAAGGAUGGUAAGAUUUUUAAUAUUUGUCCUCAGUGCAUCUUUUCCAUACAUUAUUUUUGAAGCUAAACUUCAUUGCUAAGUAUGUUACCAUACGAUGUUCUUCAACAAGGAGUCCCGAUGAAUGUUGUGCCUUAUGGGAUCGAGACUAAAGGUACCAUGAGUAUUAUUAGCUUACGGCCAAGAUAUCCUACAGAUUACUUUAAUGCAUUCAAGAUUAGCGAUGGAUGCUUAAUAGUGCAAGACUNNNNNNNNNNGGGCACAGGCCUCCUUCCUUUUGGCCUCUCUCCUCUAUUCCCGUAUGGCCCAAUAAGGCCCAUAUACUCCCCGGCGAAUUCCCGUAACUCUCCGGUACUCCGAAAAAUACCCGAAUCACUCGGAACCUUUCCGAACUCCGAAUACAGUCGUCCAAUAUAUCGAUCUUUAUGUCUCGACCAUUUCGAGACUCCUUGUCAUGUCCCCGAUCUCAUCCGGGACUCCGAACUCCUUCGGUACAUCAAAACUCAUAAACUCAUAAUAUAACUGUCAUCGAAACCUUAAGCGUGCGGACCCUACGGGUUCGAGAACUAUGUAGACAUGACCUAGAACUAUUCUUGGUCAAUAACCAAUAGCGGAACCUGGAUGCCCAUAUUGGCUCCUACAUAUUCUACGAAGAUCUUUAUCGGUCAAAUCGCAUAACAACAUACUUGUUCCCUUUGUCAUCGGUAUGUUACUUACCCGAGAUUCGAUCGUCGGUAUCCAAUACCUAGUUCAAUCUCGUUACCGGCAAGUCUCUUUAGUCAUUACGUAAUGCAUCAUUCCGUAACUAACUCAUUAGCUACAUUGCUUGCAAGGCUUAUAGUGAUGUGCAUUACCGAGAGGGCCCAGAGAUACUUCUCCGACAAUCGGAGUGACAAAACCUAAUCUCGAAAUACGCCAACCCAACAUGUACCUUUGGAGACACCUAUAGUACUCCUUUAUAAUCACCCAGUUAUGUUGUGACGUUUGGUAGCACCCAAAGUGUUCCUCCGGUAAACGGGAGUUGCAUAAUCUCAUAGUUACAGGAACAUGUAUAAGUCAUGAAGAAAGCAAUAGCAACAUACUAAACGAUCGUGUGCUAAGCUAACGGAAUGGGUCAAGUCAAUCACAUCAUUCUCCUAAUGAUGUGAUCCCGUUAAUCAAAUGACAACUCAUGUCUAUGGUUAGGAAACUUAACCAUCUUUGAUUCACGAGCUAGUCAAGUAGAGGCAUACUAGUGACACUUUGUUUGUCUAUGUAUUCACACAUGUAUCAUGUUUCCGGUUAAUAAGAUUCUAGCAUGAAUAAUAAACAUUUAUCAUGAAAUAAGGAAAUAAAUAAUAACUUUAUUAUUGCCUCUAGGGCAUAUUUCCUUCACGAUGGCCCCUGCUGCUUCAAGGAGAAGAAGCGCGCCCAGAGGUCGAUCAUGGGCUCUACCCCCAGGUACCCCUCGCACAGGGUCACAAAGCCGGAGAGCUGGACGAUGGCACCGGCGCCAAGAUGAUGCGGCUGGAGCCUGAAGAACUCCAAGAACACGCGGAAGAAGGUGCUCGCUGGCAGCCCAAAACCGCGUUCGAAAUGCGUGAGGAAGACGACGCGCUCCUGCCCCUCGGGCCGGGGCCUCUGCUCGCCGCGCGGCAGGCGGACGUCAACGUCCGUCUCCCGCGGCAGGAGCCGCGAAGCUCGAAGAUGGGUGAUGUCAUCGGUGGCGACAAUCGAGCCCAUCCAGGAGCCCAACGACAGCGGCAUGGACAGAAGAAGAAGAGAGAGGAUGGACGAUGGAGGAAGCUCUACUCGGUGCUGUGGGCGUAGCUGUGCGUCGGUGGCAAAGAGCAGAGCAGGAGCAUGGGGACAGGAGGGCGCGAGCGAGAAUGGUGUCCGCCGCCCCCUUGCCCGCUCAAUUUAUAACCCUUGGUUCAAACGUGGGGAAGUGGGAUCGUCUGCACGCACCCGUUCCAGUACCCUGCAAUAAGUGCGCACGUACACGCGCAGUAACUGCCCGGGGAAGAGCAACCAACCCCCGGAUGCUACAAUAAAUCCGCGCGCGUGGGCCAAGGGUGCGCGACGGCGGGCCCCGGCCCAUCGCCCGGUCCCGUCAUGCGCGUGGCCUGUCAUGCCCCUCUGGCUUCUGGGCACCACCUGGCGCCUGCACGAAGCCCGAGGGAUUGCCUCAAGAUUCAGCGGAAUCCUCGGUUCCCACCACAGCCGGGAUGCCGCGAUCCGGUUUCCCAGAAAACCGGCACACAGUGGGUGUUGCCGGAUCCGGCGCUCGCAGAAUCCACCUUGCUCAAGGGGGAAACUGCGAAGGCCCACUCAUCCGAAGACGGUGGACCUUCAUAGCUUCGGGGACUACUAUCAGGGGGAUGAACCCCGGGCAGGCAACAGAACCUGGAUCCUUUUCAAAAAUGGCGGGGCCCACAUCGCCCUGCAAACCGGCACGCGCCUGGCCGGGUCGCUCGACCCGGCAAGGCCUGCAACCCGGCCAAGCUCUUCGACUCGGCAAGCUACAUUGACCUGGCCACAACAACUAGCGCAAGACAACCCAACCCGGCGCCACCAAGGCUUCCCCAACAAGCCGAACCCACCUGUGCCGUGCACGACAACCCAGCGACGGGUCAGAUCCCGUCCCAUCCAAGCCGUACGAUGGGACGAGGCUUCAAUCACCUAUGACCAAGACUACAGUCCUUCCACCCAUGCCUAUGGUUAGCCAGACACUACUAGGGAAAACCUUAUACACAGAAUCUUACCAGUAGCGCGUGUUAAAAUGAGGCGCUACUGCUACUUAGCAGUAGCGCGUCUGCCAAAACCGCGCUACUGUUACCCCCUUAGCAGUAGCGCGACAGGAAAAGAACGCGCUACUACUAUAAUUGCCACACCGUUCCCGACUAGCUAGGUAUAGUAGUAGCGCCCUUCUGGAAAUGGCGCUACUACUACGGAUUUUAGCAGCAGCGUGUUUUUCCUCCCCACGCUACUGUUAAAGCUAUUUUCACCUAACCCCCCGCGCGGCCUGAUUCCCUCUCCUCUGCUUCCUCCCCCAAUUCCCCACUCUCUCUUCUCCCCCUCGUCGCCCCCGCCUCGCCGCCGUCUCCCCCGACCCUGCCUUGCGGCCGUCUCCCCCGCCCGCCUCGCCACCGUCUCCCCCGGCCCCGCCUCGCCGCUGUCUCCCNNNNNNNNNNNNNNNNNNNNNNNNNNNNNNNNNNNNNNNNNNNNNNNNNNNNNNNNNNNNNNNNNNNNNNNNNNNNNNNNNNNNNNNNNNNNNNNNNNNNNNNNNNNNNNNNNNNNNNNNNNNNNNNNNNNNNNNNNNNNNNNNNNNNNNNNNNNNNNNNNNNNNNNNNNNNNNNNNNNNNNNNNNNNNNNNNNNNNNNNNNNNNNNNNNNNNNNNNNNNNNNNNNNNNNNNNNNNNNNNNNNNNNNNNNNNNNNNNNNNNNNNNNNNNNNNNNNNNNNNNNNNNNNNNNNNNNNNNNNNNNNNNNNNNNNNNNNNNNNNNNNNNNNNNNNNNNNNNNNNNNNNNNNNNNNNNNNNNNNNNNNNNNNNNNNNNNNNNNNNNNNNNNNNNNNNNNNNNNNNNNNNNNNNNNNNNNNNNNNNNNNNNNNNNNNNNNNNNNNNNNNNNNNNNNNNNNNNNNNNNNNNNNNNNNNNNNNNNNNNNNNNNNNNNNNNNNNNNNNNNNNNNNNNNNNNNNNNNNNNNNNNNNNNNNNNNNNNNNNNNNNNNNNNNNNNNNNNNNNNNNNNNNNNNNNNNNNNNNNNNNNNNNNNNNNNNNNNNNNNNNNNNNNNNNNNNNNNNNNNNNNNNNNNNNNNNNNNNNNNNNNNNNNNNNNNNNNNNNNNNNNNNNNNNNNNNNNNNNNNNNNNNNNNNNNNAACGACAAGUCUUUUUUCGUAAUUAAGCAUGACAUAUGCUUCAUUUGCUUCAACUUAUAAUUUGUUUUUACUAUUCUACUAGCGUAUCCCCUGCCAUGCAAGAGUUUUUGUAUUGGAUAAGAUAGGUUGCAGUUGUACUAUGGAGGUAAAGAAAUUUUACUUGAAGACUGAGCAUGGUUAUAUUUUCCACACAAAAUUAUACAAUUCAGACGACUACACCUAUUUUGGAUGCAAAACAUGGCGAGCACUAUGCAAGACUUAUGCAUUUGAGCCUGAUAUGGUUAUCACCUUUGAUAUUCGUCCGGAAGAUGAUAUUGAAGGUAAUACCGACAUCUGGGUCGAUGUGCAGAUGCCUCCAGUUAUACCAAAAUGUGAGUUUCUCAACCAUAUUUAUGUCUUUGAUAUUGUUUAUUCAAAAAUAGUUGACAAUUAAUUUCUAUUGAUAGCUUAUUUCGGUGCGAGCAAACAUGUCCAGCGCUUGGUAGACAGGACCGUAUACUGUGCCGGGGCUGAACUCAACUGCGAGGAGCUCAGUCAUUAUGUUUCAUGGCUUGCGGAUCUUGAUACUGUCAAGACAAAUUUUCUUCCUGCAUUUAGAAAUGUUAGUACUGAAAACGUGCGACCAAUAGUGUUCGUAAUGAACUACAGUCACAUCUAUUUAGGAAGGAUGGUAAGAUUUUUAAUAUUUGUCCUCAGUGCAUCUUUUCCAUACAUUAUUUUUGAAGCUAAACUUCAUUGCUAAGUAUGUUACCAUACGAUGUUCUUCAACAAGGAGUCCCGAUGAAUGUUGUGCCUUAUGGGAUCGAGACUAAAGGUACCAUGAGUAUUAUUAGCUUACGGCCAAGAUAUCCUACAGAUUACUUUAAUGCAUUCAAGAUUAGCGAUGGAUGCUUAAUAGUGCAAGACUAGACCAAAUAUAUGAUGGGGGAGCGCAGAGAAGUACUAGGGGGCAGCAAACAGAUGCGCUACCCACGGUUAGGAGAUAGGUUCAUCUGCAUGCUCCAACUUGAUCAAGGAGGAGAGGUAUACAUGUUUUAUGUUAUUUUACGUGCGAGAGAGCAGCAGGAGUGAUUAGCUAGCUAGAAAUGAGUUUGAAGAUGAUGAUGUGCUACACUAUUACUAUGAUGAUAAAAUAGCUAGUGUUGGUGGUAAUGACUAUGAUGAUUAUUAUUAGCUAGCGUUAGUGGUGAUUAAAUAAAUAUUGUUGGUGAUAAUGACUAUGAUGAUGAUUAAAUAGCUUGUGCUGGCGGAUUAGAUUCAAGUGGAGGCAACAUGUAGUGCACAUCGAAAGUACUACUAGUCCAAACUAGAUCAAGUUUGGAUUAGUAGUAUACUUUUGACAUGCACCACAUAUUGCCUCCACUUGAACCUAAUCCACCUUCAUUUGACACACUGUUAUGGACAUAAUGAUGUAAACCUCAUAACUGGUAUUGUACCAAUAUUUGUACGAUAGAGAGAAAACCGCAUAAAUACAGUAAAAAAAAUGAAUACUAGUAGCGAUGGAGAGAAAACGCGCCGCCACUAGUUUCAUUAGCAGUAGCGUGGGGUUGAACAAACGCUGCAGCUAGUUGUCCUAGCAGUAGCACACGCCGGCACACGUUACUACUAAGCAAUAGUUGUAGCGCCUUAUUAGUAGCACGCCUACCUGCGCUACUAGUGAGCACAAAACCAGCGCUACUAGUGAGCACAAAACCAGCGCUACUGCUAGGGUUUUCCCUAGUAGUGAGAGCAUGGCAACAGUGCCCCUUACCUACCCGCUGACCGAGGCUGGCGUGGCAAUAGUGCUCCCGCCUUCGCCGCUAACGGCAGCAAGCGGCAACCUAACGGAGAGCAUUGUACAUGACUCGACUCGGCCACGCCCUGACGAUUGAUAAGACGGCGAAUAGUUCCCCUAGGCACGCGGGGCCUGCACCUAGGGGAACCCAGCAAACCACAAGCCCUCAAGCGGGACCCAGCCCAGUAUCCCGGACACCGAUAAUACGGACCCACCGACUCGGCGUAUUACCAUUGUAACCCUGGGUGGGUUGAUCUAUAAACCCCCCCAGGAACCCACGCCUACAGAGAGAGGCACAUGUAUGAGACACGAGAGAAACACAAGCAAGCAUAGGACUAGCCACCCAACGCCAGCACCGGAGAGAAGGAGCAGCCCAAGCCUUGUCCAGCUUCCUUCCUCCUCAUACAGCUCCAGGAGCAACAUUGUACUAUCGAUCAUCCAACUAAACUCGGCAGGACUAGGGGUAUUAUCUCUCCGGAGAGCCCCGAACCUGGGUAUGUGCGGCGUCCCACGCCCGCGCAUGCCAACCUCGCCUCUAGAUCCCACCAGCACCUCGGGCCUCCUCCUCUCUUUAGCCAUCCCUUGGCAAACAGGUAUAGUAGGUUAAUUAGGUGAAGUUAAGUGAAUAACCUAAAUGAAUGAAAUUAGUAGUUAACUGUUUUUUUCCUUUCAUCAUUAUUGAGCACUAAAGUAAACUGAAUUUUGUUCUAUUAGUAGUUAAAUGAGUUUUUUUUCUACACUUAGUUUUUGAAUUAGUUUGUGAAAUUUGGACAUGUGGUUGCUCGUGUAUAUUUGGACAUGUGUUGCAGUGUCGAAGAUGGAUAUUUGAACACUGUUUCCAGGGAAUGAAGCCGAGUGGCCUAUGUUUUGCUGGAAUGUUGAUUCAUUUGUUGGAGGAACGUAGCAGAAAUUCGAAAUUUUCCUACGAGUCAUCAAGAUCUAUCUAUGGAGAAACUAGCAACGAAGGUAAGGAGAGUGCAUCUACAUACCCUUGUAGAUCGCUAAGCGGAAGCAUUCAAGAGAACGGGGUUGAAGGAGUCGUACUCGUCGUGAUCCAAAUCACCGGAGAUCCUAGUGCCGAACGGACGGCACCUCCGCAUUCAACACACGUACGGCCCGGUGACGUCUCCCACGCCUUGAUCCAGCAAGGAGAGAGGGAGAGAUUGGGGAAGACUUCGUCCAGCAGCAGCACGACGGCGUGGUGGUGGAGGAGUGUGGCAAUCCUGCAAGGCUUCGCCAAGCACCGCGGGAGAGGAGUACUUGGGAGAGGGGGAGGGCUGCGGCAGAACUUGGGGUGCGGCUGCCCUCCCACCCCUCCACUAUUUAUAGGUGGGGAGAGAAGGGGGCCGGCCCCCCUAGAUCCCAUCUAGGGUUGGGGGCGGCGGCCAAGGGGGGGAGGAGUGCCUCCCAAGUCAAGUGGAGGCCCUCCCCCUUAGGGUUUCCCCUCUCCCAUGCGCAUGGGCCUUGGGGGGGCUGGUGCCCCUGGCCCAUUAAGGCUAGGGCGCCCCCUUACAGCCCAUGCUGCUGUAUUGGACAUGGUGGAACAAUUUCCGGACCUCCGGACCCCUCCGGAAUCCUUCGGAACCUUCUGGAAGCUUCCCGGUACAAUACCAGAAAAACUCGAACUUUUCCCGGAACCCGAACAACAACUUUCCAUAUAUAAAUCUUUACCUCCGAACCAUUCCGGAACUCCUUGUGAUGUCCAGGAUCUCAUCUGGGACUCCGAACAACAUUCGUUAACCACAUACAAAUUUCCUUUAUAACCCUAGCGUCAUCGAACCUUAAGUGUGUAGACCCUACGGGUUCGGGAACCAUGCAGACAUGACCGAGACGUUCUCCGGUCAAUAACCAAUAGCGGGAUCUGGAUACCCAUGUUGGCUCCCACAUGUUCCAUGAUGAUCUCAUCGGAUGAACCACGAUGUCGAGGAAUCAAUCAACCCCGUAUACAAUUCCCUUUGUCUAGCGGUAUUGUACUUGCCCGAGAUUCGAUCGUCGGUAUCCCAAUACCUUGUUCAAUCUCGUUACUGGCAAGUCUCUUUACUCGUUCCGUAACACAUCAUCCCGUGAUCAACCCCUUGGUCACAUUAUGCACAUUAUGAUGAUGUCCUACCGAGUGGGCCCAGAGAUACCUCUCCGUCAACCAGAGUGACAAAUCCCAGUCUCGAUUCGUGCCAACCCAACAGACACUUUCGGAGAUACCCGUAGUUCACCUUUAUAGCCACCCAGUUACGUUGUGACGUUUGGUACACCCAAAGCAUUCCUAAGCUAUCCGGGAGUUGCACAAUCUCAUGGUCGAAGGAAAUCAUACUUGACAUUAGAAAAGCUUUAGCAUACGAACUACACGAUCUUUGUGCUAGGCUAGGAUUGGGUCUUGUCCAUCACAUCAUUCUCCUAAUGAUGUGAUCCCGUUAUCAACGACAUCCAAUGUCCAUGGUCAGGAAACUGUAACCAUCUAUUGAUCAACAAGCUAGUCAAUUAGAGGCUUACUAGGGACAUGGUGUUGUCUAUGUACCCACACAUGUAUCUGAGUUUCCUAUCAAUACAAUUAUAGCAUGGAUAAUAAAUGAUUAUCAUGAACAAGGAAAUAUAAUAAUAAUAACUAAUUUAUUAUUGCCUCUAGGGCAUAUUUCCAACACUCUCCCACUUGCACUAGAGUCAAUAAUCUAGUUCACAUGGCCAUGUGAUUAAAACUGAUAGGUCACAUCGCCAUGUGACCAACAUCCAAAGAGUUUACUAGUGUCACUAAACUAGUUCACAUCACCAUGUGAUUAAGACUCAAUGUGUUCUGGGGUUUGAUCUUGUUUUGCUUGUGAGAGAGGUUUUAGUCAACGGGUCUGCAACAUCCAGAUCCGUAUGUAUUUUGCAAAUCUCUAGGUCAUAUUGUAAAUACUGCUUCCACGCUCCACUUUGAGCUAUUCCAAAUGGUUGCUCCACUAUACGUAUCCGGUUUGCUACUCGGAGUCACUCGGAUAGGUGUUAAAGCUUGCAUCGACAUAACCGUUUACGCCGAACUCUUUAUCACCUCCAUAAUCGAGAAACAUGUCCUUAUUUACUCCAAGGACAAUUUUGACCGCUGUCCAAUGAUCCAUUCCUGGAUCAUUCUUGUACCCCUUGACUGACUCAUAGCAAGGCACACUUCCGGUGCGGUACAUAGCAUAGAAUACUAUAGAGCCUACGUCUGAAGCAUAGGGGAUGACCUUCGUCCUUUCUCUCUCUUCUGCCGUGGUCGAGCUUUAAGUCUUAACUUCAUACCUUACAACUCAGGCAAGAACUCCUUCUUUGACUGAUUCAUCUUGAACACCUUCAAGAUCAUGUCAAGGUAUGUGCUCAUUUGAAAGUACCAUUUAGCGGUUUUUGUUCUAUCCUCAUAGAUCUUGAUGCUCAAUGUUCAAGCAGCUUAAUCCAGGUUUUCUAUUGAAAAACACCUUUCAAACAACCCUAUAUGCUUUCCAGAAAUUCUACAUCAUUUCCGAUCAACAAUAUGUCAACAACAUAUACUCAUCAGAAAUGCUAUAGUGCUCCCACUCACUUCUUUGGAAAUACAAGUUUCUCAUAAACUUUGUAUAAACCCAAAAUCUUUGAUCAUCUCAUCAAAGCGUAUAUUCCAACUCCUAGAUGCUUACUCCAGUCCUUAGAAGGAUUGCUGGAGCUUUGCAUACUUGUUAGCAUCUUUCAGGAUUGACAAAACCUUCUGGUUGUAACACAUACAACCUUUCCUCAAGAAUGUCGAGGAAACAAUGUUUUGACAUCCUAUCUGCAAGAUUUCAUAAAUCAUGCAAUAACUUCUAAUCCAAUUCCAACAGACUCUUAGCAUCGCUACGAGUGAGGAAGCUUCACCGUAGUCAACUCCUUGAACUUGUCGGAAAACAUCUUAACGACAAGUCGAGCUUUCUUAAUGGUGAUACUUACCAUCAUUGUCCGUCUUUCUUUUAAAAUCCAUCUGUACCCAACAGCCUUACGAACAUCAAGUACUUCUUCCAAAGUCCACACUUUGUUUUCAUACAUGGACCCUCUCUCGGAUUUUAUGGCCUCUAGCCAUUUGUCGGAAUCCGGGCCCACCAUCGCUUCUCCAUAGCUCGUAGGUUCAUUGUUGUCUAGCAACAUGACUUCCAAGACAGGAUUACUGUACCACUCUGAAGUAGUACGCAUCCUCGUCACCCUACGAGGUACGGUAGUGACUUGAUCCGAAGUUUCAUGAUCACUAUCAUAAGCUUCUACUUCAAUUGGUGUAGGUGCCACAGGAACAACUUCCUGUGCCCUGCUACAACUAAUUGUAGUGACGGUUCAAUAACCAUAUCAAGUCUCCACCAUCCGCCCACUCAAUUUUUCGAGACAAACUUUUCCUCGAGAAAGGACCCGAUUCAAGAAACAAUCCCUAUUGCUUUCGGAUAUGAAUUAGGAGGUAUACCCAACUGUUUUGGGUGUCCUAUGAAGAUGCAUUUUAUCUGCUUUGGAUUCGAGCUUAUCAACCUGAAACCUUUUCACAUAAGCGUCGCAGCCCCAAACUUUUAAGAAACGACAACUCAGGUUUCUCCAAACCAUAGUUCAAACGGUGUCGUCUCAACGGAAUUAUGUGGUGCCCUAUUAAAGUGAGCGCGGUUGUCUCUAAUGCCUAACCCAUGAAUGAUAGUGGUAAUUCGAUGAGAGACAUCAUGGUACGCACCAUAUCCAAUAGGGUGCAACUAUGAUGUUCGGACACACCAUCACACUAUGGUGUUCCAGGCGGUAUUAAUUGUGAAACAAUUUCCAUAGUGUCUUAAUUGCGUGCCAAAGCUCGUAACUCAGAUACUCAUCUCUAUGUUCAUAUCAUAGACAUUUUAUCCCCUUGUCACGAUGAUCUUCAACUUCACUUUGAAAUUACUUGAACCAUUCAAUAAUUCAGACUUGUGUUUCGUCAAGUAAAUAUACUCGACAUCUACUCGAAUCAUCUGUGAAGUAAGAACAUAACGAUAUUCACUCCAUGCCUCAUCACUCAUUGGACUGCACACAUAAAAAAUGUGUUACUUCCAACAAGUUGCUAUAUUGUUCCAUCUUACUGAAAACGAGGCUUUUCAGUCAUCUUGCCCUUGUGGUAUGAUUUGCAUAUCUCAAGUGAUUCAAAAUCAAGUGAGUCCAAACGAUCCAUCUGCAUGGAGUUUCAUCAUGCGUAUACACCAGUAGACAUGGUUCACAUGUCUCAAACUUUUCAAAAACGAGUGAGUCCAAAGAUCCAUCAACAUGGAGCUUCUUCAUGCGUUUUAUACCAAUAUGACUUACAUGGCAGUGCCACAAGUAAGUGGUACUAUCAUUACUAUCUUAUAUUUUUUGCAUGAAAAUGUGUAUCACUACGAUCGAGAUUCAAUAAACCAUUCUUUUAGGUGCAAGACCAUUGAAGGUAUUAUUCAAAUAAACAGAGUAACCAUUAUUCUCCUUAAAUGAAUAACCGUAUUGCAAUAGACAUAAUCCAAUCAUGUCUAUGCUCAACGCAAACACCAAAUAACAAUUAUUUUGGUUUAACACCAAUCUCAAUGGUAGAGGGAGCGUGCGAUGCUUGAUCACAUCAACCUUGGAAACACUUCCAACACAUAUCGUCAGUUCACCUUUAGGUAGUCUCCGUUUAUUCCGUAGCUUUUAUUUCGAGUUACUAACACUUAGCAACCGGACCGGUAUCUAAUACCUUGGUGCUACUAGGAGUACUAGUAAAGUACACAUUAACAUGAUGUAUAUCAAAUAUACUUCAGUCGACCUUGCCUGCCCUCUUAUCUACCAAGUAUCUAGGGUGGUUCUGCUUUAGUGUCCGUUCCUCUCAUUACAAAAGCACUUAGUCUUGGGUUUGGGUUCAACGUUGGUUUUUUUCCAGAGCAGCAACUAUUUUGCCGUUUCAUGAAGCAUCCCUUCUUGCCCUUGCCUUUCUUAAAACUAGUGGUUUUACUAACCAAUUGAUGCUCCUACUUGACUUCUACUUUCAUGGUGUCAAACAUCGCGAAUACUGCAAGGAUCAUCAUAUCUAUCCCUGAUAUGUUAUAGUUCAUCACGAAGCUCUAGUAGCUUGGUGGCAAUGACUUUGGAGAAACAUUACUAUCUCAUCUGGGAGAUUAACUCCCACUCGAUUCAAGUGAUUGUUGUACCCAGACAAUCUGAGUACAAGCUCAACGAUUGACCUUUUCUCCCUUAGUCUGCAGGCUAAGAAUCUCGUCGGAGGUCUUAUACCUCUUGACGUGGGCACGAGCCUGAAAUUCCAAUUCAGCCCUCGAAACAUCUCAUAUGUUCUACGACGUUUCGAAAUCGUCUUUGGUGCCUCAACUCUAUACCGUUUAACUGAACUAUCACGUAGUUAUCAAAAUGUGUAUGUCAGAUGUUCGAAACAUCCACAGACGACGUUCGAGGUUCAGCACACCGAGCGGUGCAUUAAGGACAUAAGCCUUCUACUGUCCGCAUAAUUGCUACUGUCAACUUUCAACUAUAUUUUCUCUAGGAACAUAUCUAAAACAGUAGAACUAAAGCGCGAGCUAUGACAUAAUUUGCAAAGGGUUUUUGACUAUGUUCAGGAUAAUUAAAUUCAUCUUAUGAACUCCCACUCAGAUAGACAUCCCUCCAGUCAUCUAAGUGAUUACAUGAUCCGAGUCAACUAGGACGUGUACGAUCAUCACGUGAGACGGACUAGUCAUCAUCGGUGAACAUCUUCAUGUUGAUCGUAUCCACCAUAAGACUCAUGCUCGACCUUUUGGUCUCUUGUGUUCCGAGGCCAUGUCUGUACAUGCUAGGCUCGUCAAGUUAACCUAAGUGUUUCACGUGUGUAAAUCUGGCUUACACCCGUUGUAUGUGAACGUUAGAAUCUGUCACACCCGAUCAUCACGUGGUGCUUCGAAACGACGAACUUUUGCAAUGGUGCACAGUUAGGGGGAACACUUUCUUGAAAUUUUAAUGAGGGAUCAUCUUAUUUACUACCGUCAUUCUAAGCAAAUAAGAUGUAUAAACAUGAUAAACAUCACAUGCAAUCAAAUAGUGACAUGAUAUGGCCAAUAUCAUUUUGCUCCUUUUGAUCUCCAUCUUCGGGGCUCCAUGAUCAUCAUCGUCACCGGCAUGACACCAUGAUCUCCAUCACCGUGUCUUCAUGAAGUUGUCUCGCCAACUAUUACUUCUACUACUAUGGCUACCGGUUAGCAAUAAAGUAAAGUAAUUACAUGGCGUUGUUUAAUGACACGCAUGUCAUACAAUAAAUUAAGACAACUCCUAUGGAUCCUGCUGGUUGUCAUACUCAUCGACAUGCAAGUCGUGAUUCCUAUUACAAGAACAUGAUCAAUCUCAUACAUCACAUAUCAUUCAUCACAUUCUUUUUGGCCAUAUCACAUCACAUAGCAUACCCUGCAAAAACAAGUUAGACGUCCUCUAAUUGUUGUUGCAAGUUUUUACGUGUCUGCUAUAGGUUUCUAGCAAGAACGUUUCUUACCUAUGCCAAAACCACAACGUGAUAUGCCAAUUGCUAUUUACCCUUCAUAAGGACCCUUUUCAUCGAAUCCGAUCCGACUAAAGUGGGAGAGACUGGCACCCGCUAGCCACCUUAUGCAACAAGUGCAUGUCAGUCGGUGGAACUUGUCUCACGUAAGUGUACGUGUAAGGUCGGUCUGGGCUGCUUCAUCCCACAAUACCGCUGAAUCAAGAUUGGACUAGUAACAUUAAGCAUAUUGAACAAAAUCAACGCCCACAACUACUUUGUGUUCUACUCAUGCAAAGAAUCCACGCAAUAGACCUAGCUCAUGAUGCCACUGUUGGAGGAACGUAGCAGAAAUUCAAAAUUUUCUUACAAGUCACCAAGAUCUAUCUAUGGAGAAACUAGCAACGAAGGGAAGGAUAGUGCAUCUACAUACCCUUGUAGAUCACUAAGCGGAAGCGUUCAAGAGAACAGGGUUGAAGGAGUCAUACUCGUCGUGAUCCAAAUCACCGAAUAUCCUAGUGUCGAACGGACGGCACCUCCGCGUUCAACACACGUACAGCCCGGUGACGUCUCCCACGCCUCGAUCCAGCAAGGAGAGAGGGAGAGGCUGGGGAAGACUCCAUCCAGUAGCAGGACGACGGGGUGGUGGUGGUGGAGGAGCGUGGCAAUCCUGCAGGGCUUCGCCAAGCACCACGGGAGAGGAGGAGUACUUGGGAGAGGGGGAGGGCUGCGGCAGAACUUGGGGUGCGGCUGCCCUCCCACCCCUCCACUAUUUAUAGGUGGGGAGAGAAGGGGGCCGGCCCCCCUAGAUCCCAUCUAGGGUUGGGGGCGGCGGCCAAGGGGGGGAGGAGUGCCUCCCAAGUCAAGUGGAGGCCCUCCCCCUUAGGGUUUCCCCUCUCCCAUGCGCAUGGGCCUUGGGGAGGGGGGCUGGUGCCCCUGGACCAUUAAGGCUAGGGCACCCCCUUACAGCCCAUGCUGCUGUAUUGGAGGUGGUGGAACAAUUUCCGGACCUCCGGACCCCUCCGGAAUCCUCCGGAACCUUCUGGAAGCUUCCCGGUACAAUACCAGAAAAAUCCGAACUUUUCCCGAAACCCGAACAACAACUUUCCAUAUAUAAAUCUUUACCUCCGAACCAUUCCGGAACUCCUCGCGACACCCAGGAUCUAAUCCGGGACUCCGAACAACAUUCGGUAACCACAUAUAAACUUCCUUUAUAACCCUAGCGUCAUUGAACCUUAAGUGUGUAGACCCUACGGGUUCGGGAACCAUGCAGACAUGACCGAGACGUUCUCCGGUCAAUAACCAACAGCAGGAUCUGGAUACCCAUGUUGGCUCCCACAUGUUCCACGAUGAUCUAAUCGGAUGAACCAUGAUGUCGAGGAAUCAAUCAACCCCGUAUACAAUUCUCUUUGUUUAGCGGUAUUGUACCUGCCCGAGAUUCGAUCGUCGGUAUCCCGAUACCUUGUUCAAUCUCGUUACUGGCAAGUCUCUUUACUCGUUUCGUAACACAUCAUCCCGUGAUCAACCCCUUGGUCACAUUGUGCACAUUAUGAUGAUGUCCUACUAGGCCCAGAGAUACCUCUCCGUCAACCGGAGUGACAAAUCCCAGUCUCGAUCCGUGCCAACCCAACAAACACUUUCGGAGAUACCCGUAGUGCACCUUUAUAGCCACCCAGUUACGUUGUGACGUUUGGUACACCCAAAGCAUUCCUAAGGUAUCCGGGAGUUGCACAAUCUCAUGGUCUAAGGAAAUGAUACUUGACAUUAGAAAAGCUUUAGCAUACGAACUACACGAUCUUUGUGCUAGGCUUAGGAUUGGGUCUUGUCCAUCACAUCAUUCUCCUAAUGAUGUGAUCCCGUUAUCAAUGACAUCCAAUGUCCAUGGUCAGAAAACUGUAACCAUCUAUUGAUCAACGAGCAAGUCAAUUAGAGGCUUACUAGGGACAUGGUGUUGUCUAUGUACCCACACAUGUAUCUGAGUUUCCUAUCAAUACAAUUAUAGCAUGGAUAAUAAACAAUUAUCAUGAACAAGGAAAUAUAAUAAUAAUAACUAAUUUAUUAUAGCCUCUAGGGCAUAUUUCCAACAUCAUUUCCGUUCCAGAAAAUUUCAGGUUCUCGAUUUGUCCACUUUUUAGCAAAAGUCAUGCCGAAUUUUUCCUUGAAUUUCAGCAUGACUUGUGCUAUAAAUUAGGACAUACCAAGUGCCCGGGAUUUGCCGCACCGGGAAGGACUCAACGUUCCUGCCAAGCAUAGGCCUUUUUUAUGUCAUUAUUCAUUUUAUUAGGUCUAGAAUUAAUUGACUAGAUUUAAUCGUAGGAAACAUGGCUAGCAACGAUGAAGGACAGUGUUCUGGUGACUGCGACAACGUGUACCUGGCGGCAGAGGAAUUUUUGAGGGAAGCCGAUGAUCAAAGUUGAUGUUGUUGGGUCCACCUGUCACAUCAGAGACUGAGACCGACAUUGAGACCGGCGCUGAGACUGAGACCGGCGCUGAGACUGAGACCGCCAUCGAGACCGGCGCUGAGACUGAGACCUGCACCGAGACUAGCAGAGCCGGUAUAGAACCGAAAGCAAAUAGGCAACAACUUCCUAACAAGCUCAGGACUACUAGACUGGUGGUCACGAAGGUGGAUGAUGGCAAUUUUGAGCCAAACGCGCCCACGGAAGCGCGCGCGUGCUAUAGGUAGCAUCAUAUGGACAACCGCCACCAUCAAUGAUGAGAAACUAAAGAAGAUAGAUAAUAUGAGGCCCUCCCUCCUAAACAAGCUGCACCAGAUAUUCUUGUUCCCGGACCAUAAUGAAAAGGAUUAUAAAGAUCCAGAUAAGGACCCGGCAAUGAAGAAGAUAAACAAACACGCCAUGACCAAGUUUAGCGACACAUUGGCCGCUUGAAAAGCAAGGGUGAAACAUCGAAUUGUCAACAAAAAGGAACCCCACUCCAAGAUUGUAAAGGAUAAUCCGACAAUCACAUAAGAGCACUUUGAAAUAUUUAAGGCGGCUUGCAAGGCCGAAGCUGCCAAAAAAAAGUAGAAGUACAUGAAGAGGCUUCAACAGAGGAACAUUGGGUGCCACCACCUCGGAAGCCGUGGUUACGGCGGGAAGAGGUCCAUAUGGGCCAAGGUGGACGCGGAAGCCGAGAGUCUAGGCAUCCCAGACCCCUUGGCGGAGUUCACCGUCCCGCAGGAGCGUGAUGUCCUCAGGGCCCGGCACCAUUGAGACCCAGUGAAGAAGGUUUUCGAGAUGAAAGCGGUCACGACGGAGUUCAUGAGACUGCUUGUAAUUUUAGUUUCUGAUCAAUUUGACUGCAUGUUAGUCAUAUUUGUAAAUUAUCCUUGUGCCUUUUGCAGAGAGAGCAGCACAGGAUUGCGGCCAAAAGUGACUCGCCGUCUGAGGCGUUGGCGAUGCCCAAGUGGGACACUCCACUCAACUGGGCGUUGAACAUAUUGAAAGGACUCCCAAUGGAGAUUCAACCAUCGUAUGGACGCGUGCAUGGCGUCAGAGAUGGCGCCACGUGGAAGAAGUACUACCUUGAGACCACGGAGGAGAGAAAGGAAAGACGGAGGUUAACUGAAGAAAACAUCGACAAGAAGGUUGAGAUUGCGGUUGAGAAGAAAUCAUCUGAGAUAGUCGCAACAGCGGUAGCUGCCACAAAACAGGUGGUUGCAGAUAUGUCUACUGUCUUGGUUCCGACCGUUCUCAAUUGGAGUAGGCAAAAUCCAGAAAAAAAUGCAGCGGACUUUCCCCUUGCUGACUUCUUCGGGAGCAGCUCGACUAGCAUUGCACCAGCACCUGUGAUACGUCUCCAACGUAUCUACUUUUCCAAACACUUUUGCCCUUGUUUUGGACUCUAAUUUGCAUGAUUGAAUGAAACUAACCCGGACUGACGUUGUUUUUAGCAGAACUGCCAUGGUGUUGUUUAUUGUGCAGAAAACAAAAUUUCUCGGAAUGACCUAAAAAUCCACGGAGAUAACUUUUGGAAAAUAUAAAAAUACUGGCGAAAGAAUCAAGACCAGGGGGCCCACACCCUUUCCACGAGGGUGGGGGGCGCGCCCCUCCCCCUGGGUGCGCCCCCUGCCUCGUGGGACCCCUGGAGCUCCACCGACCUCAACUCCAACUCUAUAUAUUCCGUUUCGCGGAGAAAAAAAUCAGAGAUAAAGUUUCAUCGCAUUUUACGAUAUGGAGCCACCGCCAAGCCCUAAUCUCUCUCGGGAGGGCUGAUUUAGAGUUCGUUCGGGGCUUCGGAGAGGGGGAUUCGUCGCCGUCGUCAUCAUCAUCAACCAUCCUCCAUCGCCAAUUUCAUGAUGCUCACCACCGUGCGUGAGUAAUUCCAUCGUAGGCUUGCUGGACGGUGAUGGGUUGGAUGAGAUUUACCAUGUAAUCAAGUUAGUUUUGUUAGGGUUUGAUCCCUAGUAUCCACUAUGUUCUGAGAUUGAUGUUGCUAUGACUUUGCUAUGCUUAAUGCUUGUCACUAGGGCCCGAGUGCCAUGAUUUCAGAUCUGAACCUAUUAUGUUUUCAUGAAUAUAUGUGAGUUCUUGAUCCUAUAUUGCAAGUCUAUAGUCACCUAUUAUGUGUUAUGAUCCGACAACCCCGAAGUGACAAUAAUCGGGAUACUUCUCGGUGAUGACCGUAGUUUGAGGAGUUCAUGUAUUCACUAUGUGUUAAUGCUUUGGUCCGGUACUCUAUUAAAAGGAGGCCUUAAUAUCCCUUAGUUUCCACUAGGACCCCGCUACCACGGGAGGGUAGGACACAAGAUGUCAUACAAGUUCUUUUCCAUAAGCACGUAUGACUAUAUUUGGAAUACAUGCCUACAUUACAUUGAUGAACUGGAGCUAGUUCUGUGUCACCCUAUGUUAUAGCUAUUACAUGAGGAAUCGCAUUCGACAUAAUUAUCCAUCACUGAUCCAAUGCCUAUGAUCUUUUCACAUAUUGUGCUUUGCUUAUUUACUUUUCCGUUGCUACUGUUACAAUCACUACAAAACUGCUAUCUUUACUUUUGCCCCUGUUACCGUUACUAUCAUACUACUUUGCUACUAAAUACUUUGCUGCAGAUACUAAGUUAUCCAGGUGUGGUUGAAUUGACAACUCAACUGCUAAUACUUAAGAAUAUUCUUUGGCUCCCCUUGUGUUGAAUCAAUAAAUUUGGGUUGAAUACUCUACCCUCGAAAGCUGUUGCGAUCCCCUAUACUUGUGGGUUAUCAAGACUAAUUUCUGGCGCUGUUGCCGGGGAGCAUAGCUCUAUUCUUUGAGUCACCUGGGAUUUAUAUCUGCUGAUCACUAUGAAGAACUUGAAAGACGCAAGAACUAAGAUUUUUCCCUCAACUACGAGGGGAGGUAAGGAACUGCCAUCUAGCUCUGCACUAGAUUCUCCUUCUGUUUUGAGCAAGCUUGCGACACCUUAACUUGUUACUGCUAUGAAUUCUGAUAUGUUGCAUGUUAUUGAUGAUGCCACUUCUGCUAUGCAUGAUACUUAUGAUGAAACUACUUCUAUGCUUGAUACUACUGUGCCAUUAGGUGAAUAUCUUGAUGAACAACUUGCUAGGGUUAGAGAGAAUGAAAUUAUUGAAAACAAAAUUAUUGAUGAUAGUGAUGAUGAUGGUUCUCCCCCUAAUUAUGAAUUGCCUGUUGUUCCUGAGGGUUAUGUUAUGGAUGAAGAAGCCGCUAGAGCUAUUUUUGCUUGCAAUGAUAGAUAUGAUCUUAAGAAGUUAUUAGCUAAAUGGAAGCAGCAAUCUCUUAGUGCUAGAAUGAAACCUGACCCCGCUUUUGCUACUUCACCUAUCUAUGUUACCGAUAAGGAUUAUGAAUUCUCUGUUGAUCCUGAGAUAAUUACUUUGGUUGAAUCUGAUCCUUUUUAUGGCUAUGAAUCUAAAACUGUUGUGGCACAUCUUACCAAGUUGAAUGAUAUAGCCACCCUGUUUACUAAUGAUGAGAAGUACCACUAUUAUUAUAUCCUUAAGAUAUUUCCAUUCUCAUUAAAGGGUGAUGCUAAAACUUGGUUUAAUUCUCUUGAUCCUGGUUGUGUGCGUAGUCCCCAGGAUAUGAUUUAUUACUUCUCUGCUAAAUAUUUCCCUGCUCAUAAGAAACAAGCUGCCUUGCAGGAAAUAUAUAAUUUUGUGCAAAUCGAAGAAGAGAGUCUCCCACAAGCUUGGGGGAGGCUUCUCCGAUUACUUAAUUCUUUGCCUGAUCAUCCUCUUUAGAAAAAUGAAAUACUUGAUAUCUAUUAUAAUGGACUAACCGAUGCUUCCAAGGACUACUUGGAUAGUUGUGCUGGUUGUGUUUUCAGGGAAAGACCAGUCGACCAAGCUGAAUUACUAUUGAAUAAUAUGUUGACUAAUGAAAAUAAUUGGACUCUUCCUGAGCCAAUUCCUGAGGCAAUUGAGCCAACUCCCGAGCCUAUUCCUAAACCAACUCCGAAGAAGAGGGGUGUUCUAUUUCUCAGUCCUGAAGAUAUGCAAGAGGCAAAGAAAUCAAUGAAAGAAAAAGGUAGUAAAGCUGAAGAUGUUAAAAAUUUACCUCCUAUUGAAGAAAUACACGGUCUUAAUCUGCCGCCUAUUGAAGAAACACAUUGUCUUGAUAACCCGACAUAGGUAGUAAAGGUAAAUUGUCUCUAUAGACAUGAUAAAGUUGAAAUCCCGUCUACUAAAUUUUAUAGCCCAUGCUUAGAUGAAUUUGAUGACUUUAUGACUAGACAAGAAAGUUUUAAUGCUUAUGUUGGUAGAGAAUUAAAGAAUAAUGCUUUCAAGAUUGGACGCUUGAGUGAUUAUAUGGCUAGAGUUAAAGGUGAACUUAAACUCAUUAGCAAAUAUGCUUCUAUGGUUACCACUCAAGCUGAGCAAGUACUUAAAGCUCAAAGUGAUUUGCUCGAUGAAUUAAAUAAUAAACAUGACUUUGCUAUUAGAGUGGCUACUAGAACUGGUAGAAUGACUCAGGAACCUUUGUAUCCUGAAGGCCACCCUAAGAGAAUCGAGCAGGAUUCUCAGAGAAAUGAUGUAGAUGCACCUAGUCCUUCUAAAAAGAAGAAAAAGAAAAAUGAUAGGACUUUGCAUGCUUCUAGUGAACCUGUUGUAGACACACCUGAGAAUCCCAAUGAUAUUUCUAUUUCUGAUGCUAAAACACAAUCAGGUGAUGAACAUGAACCUAGUAAUAAUGUUAAUGAUAAUGUUCAUGUUGAUGCUCUACCUAGCAAUAAUAAUGAUGUAGAGAUUAAACCUGCUGUUGAUCUUGAUAACCCACAAUCAAAGAAUCAACAUUAUGGUAAGAGAGAUUUUGUUGCUAGGAAGCACGGUAGAGAGAGAGAACCAUGGGUUUAGAAACCCAUGCCCUUUCCUCCUAAACCAUCCAAUACAAAAGAUGAUGAAGAUUUUGAGCGCUUUGCUAAAAUGAUUAGACCUAUCUUCUUAUGUAUGCGCUUGACUGAUAUGCUUAAAUCAAAUCCUUAUGCUAAAUAUAUGAAAGAUAUCAUUACCAAUAAAAGAAAGAUACCGGAAGAUGAAAUUUCCACCAUGCUUGCUAAUUACACUUUUAAAGGUGGAAUACCAAAGAAACUUGGAGAUCCAGGAGUACCAACUAUACCAUGCUCCAUUAAAAGAAUUAUGUUAAAACUGCUUUAUGUGAUCUUGGAGCCGGUGUUAGUGUUAUGCCUCUCUCUUUAUAUCGUAGACUUGAACUGAAUAAGUUGACACCUACUGAAAUAUCUUUGCAAAUGGCUGAUAAAUCAACUGCUAUACCUGUCGGCAUUUGUGAGGAUGUGCCUGUUGUGGUUGCAAAUGUCAGUAUCUUAACGGACUUUGUUAUUCUUGAUAUUCCUGAGGACGAUAGUAUGUCAGUCAUCCUUGGUAGACCCUUUUUGAAUACUGCAGGGGCUGUUAUUGAUUGCAACAAAGGCAAUGCCACUUUUCAUGUUAAUGGUAAUGAGCAUACGGUACACUUACCGAGGAAACAACCUCAAGUUCAUAACAUCAAUUCUAUUGGAAAAAUUCCAACUAUCAUUAUUGGAGGUUACGAAUUUCCUCUUCCUACUGUCAAGAAAAUAUAUGAUAUUCUUAUUGUUGGGGAUGUGCAUAUCCCCGCUGAGGUAACCUAGUGUUAUUCGAAAUUUCUCCGGUUCCGUGUUAUUCGGAAUGAGUUUGUUAACAAGACUUGAUCAACCUUGUUAGUGGAUUCAUUUUGAUGAUCAUGAGAUGGAUGAAACUAGAAGGCACAACCUUCUGUACCCUCUUUUUACUUUCUGUUAUUUAGAAUAAAUAAAGCAAAAGUAGUAUUAUCUGUCUAUUUUCUGAAUUAUCCGUGUAAUAAGAAAAUAUCCCAAAAAUAAAAAUGCUCCAAAUGCCCUGCAAAUUUAGUAUGAUUUUUUAUGGAAUAUUAGAGGAUUUUAGGCACUGAGAACACUGCAGGGGGGGCUGGGGGUGGGGCAAGCACAUGGCCACAAGGGUGGAGGGCGCGCCCACCCUGGGCACGCCCCCUGUCUUGUGGGCCCAUGGUGGCCCCCUCCACUUAUUCCUGCACCCACACACUCCAUCUUCCUCCCAAAAAAAUCCCCAUCCAGCUUAAGCACGAGUGUAUCCUGGCAGAUUGUUUACAUGUUAUUCAAUUUUGCCAAGGUUGUUGUAGUUGAUCCUUGCAUGCUAUGAACUUGUUCUUGCCUUGGUUUGUUUCACAAACAUGCCUUAUUGAUGAUGCUAUACUUAUCUUGUCAUGCAAUGACUUGUGGUGAGUGUAUCAAGCUUGUUAAGUAGUGUACUUGCUGUUGCUUUUUUGUUAGGCUGAAUCUGUUAUUUCGUGAUGCUAUGUAAACCUGCCGCUACUAGUCAUUCUAUGCAUAAUCUGGAGAUGUUCACUAAGAGUGUUUUGUUCUACAUGUCAUGCUCUAUCCAUUCAUGCCCCUGGUUGCAAUUAUAGCUUGCUGUAGCUUGUUCAUAUCUUGCUACAAAGUUGCUUGAUAAUGUUGCUGUCAGCCUGUUAACAUUAAGUUCAGUUGUUGCCAUGAUUGUUGCUAGUGUUCCAUGCAACCUAUGAACUUGCUCUUGCCAUGCUUAGCUUCAUAAACAUGCCUUCUUACUGUUGGUUGCCUUGCCAUGCCAUAUAUUGCUCUGUGGUGAGUGGUACAAGCUCAUCAACAUGCCUUCAUAAUUCUGUUCCUGUCAUGUAUGAAUCUGUAUUAUUACUUGCCAUGUUUACAUGGGUGCCAUCAUAUCUUCUGAUCCUUUUUGGCUUAUGGCCAGUAAGGGACUCUUGUUCUAUGAAAUUAGUUGAUUCAUGCCAUGCCUUUGUUUGCCAUGAUAAGUUCCUGUAACAUGUUGUUUGAUAGCUCUAAACAUUGCAACCUGAUGUUAAUUUCUGCAAAGUCUGAAACUAUUAUCAUUUGCAAUCUUGCCAUGUGUGUUUGAGCAUGUUCUAGUGAUUUCUGGAGAUAGCUCAGUGUUCAUGUUUUGUAAUGCUUUACCUGUAAAUCAUGCCCAUGCCUUUUGUUUUCUUGUUGAGGUCCUAUAGCAUACUGUUUUGAUGCUUGCAAUAUGCCUAGUUGCUGUUUUGGGCAGAUUGUUGUUAUGACUUGUAUAGAGUGUAUGUGUUGCACCGUUGCUCCGUUUUGAGUGUGCUCUAUAUGAAACUUGCUUAGAAUUUCAUUUAGUUUCAUAUUAUCAUGUUGCAUCCUUGUUUUGAGGUGUUUGCUUAAUGUUUGGGUGCAUUUUGCAUCAAUGCCAUGUUUAACUUAUUUUGGUCAUAUCUUCUAGGCCGUAGCUCCGAACUAAAUGAACUUUAUAUGUAACUUGACUAGAAUCUCGUGUAGAUCAUAUUGGUGCAUCUUAACUUGCUGUUUAACAACUUGAACAUAAGGUUUAUUCAGAUCUGGACCAAUUUCGAAAUUUGCAUAUGAGGACUUACCGGAAUUGUUAUAUGUUGUUUCCGGCCUCAUUUAAACUUGCUUUGAUGUGUUGCUCUUGUUUGCAUCUUCUCUUGCCAUGAGUAGCUUCAUGUAGUCUUGUCUUGCAUUAUGCUUGUUGUGCAUCAUGUCUUGUCUAUGUGUGGUGUGUUUACUAUGCUGUGUGCUUCUUCUUGUUAGUUCAUGUUUCGUUGCGAUCGUGAGGAUUCGUUCGUCUACACUUGGUUCGGCUUCAUCCGUUCGUCUUCUUCAUGGACUCGUUCUUCUUCCUAGCGGGAUUUCAGGCAAGAUGACCGCUACCCUAGAUCUCACUACUAUCAUUGCUAUGCUAGUUGCUUUGUUCUAUCGCUUUGCUGCGCUACCUAUCACCUGUUUAUCAAGCCUCCCAUAUUGCCAUGAACCUCUAACCUUUGACACCUUUCCUAUGCAAACCAUUGUUUGGCUAUCUUACCGCUUUGCUCAGCCCUCUUAUAGCGUUGCUAGUUGCAGGUGAAGUUGAAGAUUGCUCCAUGAUGGACAGGAUUUGUUGGGAUAUCACAAUAUCUCUUAUUUAAUUAAUGCAUCUAUAUAUUUGGUAAAGGGUGGAAGGCUCGGCCUUAUGCCUGGUGCUUUGUUCCACUCUUGCCGCCCUAGUUUCCGUCAUACCGGUGUUAUGUUCCCGGAUUUUGUGUUCCUUACGCGGUCGGGUGAUUUAUGGGACCCCAUUGACAGUUCGCUUUGAAUAAAACUCCUCCAGCAAGGCCCAACAUUGGUUUUACCAUUUGCCUCACCACCACCUACAUUUCCCUUGGGAGUAUUUAACCCAAGGGUCAUCUUUAUUUUAGCCCCCCCCGGGCCAGUGCUUGUCUAAGUGUUGGUCCAAACUAGAGCACCGUGCGGGGCCAUCCCUUGGCAACUUGGGUUACGUCGGUUCCUGUACGCUUCGCUCAUCCGGUGUGCCCUGAGAACGAGAUAUGUGCAACUCCUAUCGGGAUUUGUCGGCACAUCGGGAAGCUUUGCUGGUUUUGUUUUACCAUUGUCGAAAUGUCUUGUAAACCGGGAUUCCGAGUCUGAUCGGGUCUUCCUGGGAGAAGGUAUAUCCUUCGUUGAUCGCAAGAGCUUGUCAUGGGCUAAGUUGGGACACCCCUGCAGGGUAUAAUCUUUCGAAAGCCGUGCCUGCAGUUAUAGGCAGAUGAGAAUUUGUUAAUGUCCGGUUGUAGAUAACUUGACACCAGAUCCGAAUUAAAACGCAUCAACCGUGUGUGUACCCGUGAUGGUCUCUUUUCGGCGGAGUCCGGGAAGUGAACACGGUUUCUGGGUUAUGUUUGACGUAAGUAGGAGUUCAGGAUCACUUCUUGAUCAUUGCUAGCUUCACGACCGUUUCUUUGCUCUCUUCUCGCUCUUAUGUGCGUAUGUUAGCCACCAUAUAUGCGACCCUAUCCAAAAGGAACUCGAAGGUCCCACCAAGGAUAGACCCGCAUAUUGAAACUCUUUUGCAAGGUGGAUAUCAUUACAUCAACAUUACAUAAUAGAAUGGGGAUACAUACAUAAGGCAUACAAUGCCACACGAUUACAACAUCACAAUACAUAAGAGCAUCAUCCGACUACGGAUGAAACACAAACAAAAACUCAAACGACAUCCACCCUGCUAGCCCAGACUGCCGACCUGGAACCUAUCCCCUGAUCGAAGAAGAAGGAGAAGAAGAACUCCAAACAAGCAAACAUCACUCUCGCGUCAUGAUCAUCGCGUAAACCGGUACCUCCAACUGUUGUUGUACUAAUCUGUGAGCCACGAGGACUCAGCAAUCCCAUUACCAUGGGUAUCAAGACUAGCAAAACUCAAUGGGUAAGGAAGGGGUAAAGUGGUGUGGUUGCAGCAGCGACUAAGCAUAUAUGGUGGCUAACAUACACAAAUAAGAGCGAGAAGAGAGCAAGCAGAACGGUCGUGAAGCUAGCAAUGAUCAAGAAGUGAUCCUGAACUCCUACUUACGUCAAACAUAACCCAGAAACCGUGUUCACUUCCCAGACUCCGCAGAGAAGAGACCAUCACGGCUACACACGCGGUUGAUGCAUUUUAAUUCGGAUCUGGUGUCAAGUUAUCUACAACCGGACAUUAACAAAUUCCCAUCUGCUUAUAACCGCAAGCACGAAUUUUGAAAGAUUAUACCCUGCAGGGGUGUCCCAACUUAGCCCAUGAUAAGCUCUCGCGAUCAACGAAGGAUAUACCUUCUCCCAGGAAGACCCGAUCAGACUCAGAAUCCCGGUUUACAAGACAUUUCGACAAUGGUAAAACAAAACCAGCAAAGCCGCCCGCUACGCCGACAAAUCCCGAUAGGAGCUGCACAUAUCUCGUUCUCAAGGCACACCGGAUGAGGAAGACGACGGGUUGGCAUAGACCCUAGUUGCCCAGGGGGCGCCGGACAUCGCUCAGGUUGGACCAACACUCGAAGGAGCACUGGCCCGGGGGGGGGGGUAAAUAAAGAUGACCCUCGGGCUCCGGAAACCCAAGGGAAAAAGGGCUAGGUGAGGCAAAUGGUAAAACCAAGGUUGGGCCUUGCUGGAGGAGUUUUAUUCAAAGCGAACUGUCAAGGGGGUCCCAUAAAUCACCCAACCGCGUAAGGAACGCAAAAUCCGGGAACAUAACACCGGUAUGACGGAAACUAGGGCGGCAAGAGUGGAACAAAACACCCGGCAUAAGGCCGAGUCUUCCACCCUUUACCAAGUAUAUAGAUGCAUUAAUUAAAUAAGAGAUAUUGUGAUAUCCCAACAUAAUCCUGUCCAUCAAGGAGCAAUCUUCAACUUCACCUGCAACUAACAAUGCUAUAAGAGGGGCUGAGCAAAAGCGGUAACAUAGCCAAGCAAUGGUUUGCUAGGAAGGAUGAAAAAGGUUAGAGGCUGACAUGGCAAUUGGUGAGGCUUGAGCAACAAGAGAUAGGUAGCGCGGCAAAGCGAUAGAAUGAAGCAACUAGCAUAGCAAUGAUAGUGAUGAGAUCCAAGGUAGCGGUCAUCUUGCCUGAAAUCCCGCUAGAAAGAAGAACGAGUCCAUGAAGAAGACAAGCGGGCGUGGUCGAACGAAUCCUCACAACUCCGGAACGAAACCGAAGGCAAGCCGGAAAAUAGCAAACAACAUGGUAAACCAACAAGCAUAAGCAUGGCAUGAUGCACAAUCAAGUAUGAUGCAUGUCCGGUUUAAUGAGGCAUGGCAUGGCAAAGUGCAACAAACAAUACUACAAGUUAAGUGGAGCUCAAUAUGCAACGAGUUGCAUAUUGACAAAACACCACAAGCAAUUAUUUAGUUCUCUCUCGGUUAGGUACACAACAAUAUUAAAUGUUGUUAAACAUGACAAGAGGUGAAACAUAAUGAAACUACCUGUCUAGGCAAGUUUAAAUGUGGCCGGAAGUAACAAACAACAAUUUCGGAAACUACCUAUCUAGGCAAGUUUUCCAGAAUUGUUGUUUGUUACUUCCGGCCUCAUUUAAACUUGCCUAGAUAGGUAGUUUCAUUAUGUUUCACCUCUUGCCAUGUUUAACAACAUUUAAUAUUGUUGUGUACCUAACCGAGAGAGAACUAAAUAAUUGCUUAUGGUGUUUUGUCAAUAUGCAACUCGUUGCAUAUUGAGCUCCACUUAACUUGUAGUAUUGUUUGUUGCACUUUGCCAUGCCAUGCCUCAUUAAACCGGACAUGCAUCAUACUUGAUGGUGCAUCAUGCCAUGCUUAUGCUUGUUGGUUUACCAUGUUGUUUGCUUCUUUCCGGGUUGCCUUCGGUUUCGUUUCGGAGUUGUGAGGAUUCGUUCCACCAUGCCCGCUUGUCUUCUUCAUGGACUUGUUCUUCUUCCUAGCGGGAUUUCAGGCAAGAUGACCGCUACCUUGGAUCUCAUCACUAUCAUUGCUAUGCUAGUUGCUUCAUUCUAUCGCUUUGCCGUGCUACCUAUCUCUUGUUGCUCAAGCCUCACCAAUUGCCAUGUCAGCCUCUAACCUUUUUCUUGGCUAUGUUACCGCUUUUGCUCAGCCCCUCUUAUAGCGUUGUUAGUUGCAGGUGAAGUUGAAGAUUGCUCCUUGAUGGACAGGAUUAUGUUGGGAUAUCACAAUAUCUCUUAUUUAAUUAAUGCAUCUAUAUACUUGGUAAAGGGUGGAAGACUCGACCUUAUGCCUGGUGUUUUGUUCCACUCUUGCCGCCCUAGUUUCCGUCAUACCGGUGUUAUGUUCCCGGAUUUUGCGUUGCUUACGCGGUUGGGUGAUUUAUGGGACCCCCUUGACAGUUCACUUUGAAUAAAACUCCUCCAGCAAGGCCCAACCUUGGUUUUACCAUUUGCCUCACCUAGCCCUUUUUCCCUUGGGUUUCCAGAGCCCGAGGGUCAUCUUUAUUUACCCCCCCGGGCCAGUGCUCCUCCGAGUGUUGGUCCAACCUGAGCGAUGUUCGGCGCCCCCAGGGCAACCAGGGUCUAUGCCAACCUGUCGUCUUGCUCAUCUGGUGUGCCCUGAGAACGAGAUAUGUGCAACUCCUAUCGGGAUUUGUCGGCACAUCGGGCGGCUUUGCAGGUUUUGUUUUACCAUUGUCGAAAUGUCUUGUAAACCGGGAUUCCGAGUCUGAUCGGGGGUUCCUAGGAGAAGGUAUAUCCUUCAUUGAUCGUGAGAGCUUAUCAUGGGCUAAGUUGGGACACCCCUGUAGGGUAUUAUCUUUCGAAAGCCGUGCCCGCGGUUAUGUGGCAGAUGGGAAUUUGUUAAUGUCCGGUUGUAGAUAACUUAACACCAGAUCCAAAUUAAAACGCAUCAACCGCGUGUGUAGCCGUGAUGGUCUCUUUUCGGCGGAGUCCGGGAAGUGAACACGGUUUUGGGUUAUGUUUGACGUAAGUAGGAGUUCAGGAUCACUUCUUGAUCAUUGCUAGCUUCACGACCGUUCCGCUUGCUCUCUUCUUGCUCUUAUUUGCGUAUGUUAGCCACCAUAUAUGCUUAGUCGCUGCUGCAACCUCACCACUUUACCCCUUCCUUUCCCAUUGAGCUUUGCUAGUCUUGAUACCCAUGGUAAUGGGAUUGCUAAGUCCUCGUGGCUCACAGAUUACUACAACAACAGUUGCAGGUAUAGGUUUUUGCGAUGAUCAUGACGCAAGAGCGAUGCUUGAUUGUUUAGGAGUUCUCCUUCUGCUUCUCCUUCGAUCAGGGGAUAGGUUCCAGGUCGGCAGCCUGGGCUAGCAGGGUGGAUGUCAUUUGAGUUUCUGUUUGUGUUUCAUCCGUAGUCGGAUGUUGUUCUCAUGUAUGAUAUGAUGUUGUAUUCGUGUGGCAUUGUAUGCCUCUUGUAAGUAUCCCCAUCUAUUUAUGUAAUGUUGAUGUAAUGAUAUCCACCUUGCAAAAGCGUUUCAAUAUGCGGGUCUAUCCUUGGUGGGACCUUCGAGUUCCUUUUGGAUAGGGUCGCAUAUUGGGCGUGACACACAUGUGGGUAGCUUCGGUUAAUUAAUUAUACCUCCAGCACACCCCUUUUUACUUGAAGAAUGUAUGAAAUGUAAUGAAAUCCAACAUGUUUAUAUGAAAUCCGACCGUGUAUGAAUGAAUUUAUUUUGAUUAGUUCGAAUUCAUGUAUCACUGGCAUUGGAUGAACAUGCAAAACAAUACGUACUAGCAUUAUUCCCAGGGUGAUCACCUUGUUUGCAACAGUUUCACAUGUACUCCCUCCGGUCCUUUCUAGUCUGCAUACAAGUUUUGUCUGCAGUCAAAGUAUCUCUAUUUUGACCAAUCUAAUACAAAAAAGUAUGCACUUUCACAAUGUGCAAAGUAAAAAGGAACAGAAGGAGUACAAAGAGUUUGAGCAGCUUUUUAGUGUUUCUGUACAUUGCAAUCAAACACACAUGGCUGGAAAUUCAUAGAGAACAUUCAAAACAAUUGAUGAUUAUGCAUCUCAGCGACUCACAUGUCAGAGGCAAUAUUUACUUCACAACUAAAGAAUAAAUAAAAAAUUGACCGACGCUGCUGACAGCAAAGGGCGUCCAAUUCGAAAAUAUCAAACACAUGUCUUGCUAAAAUCAAUGAGCAAAAUUUGACAAGGUUGUCCCAUUCCAAAAUAUCAAAUGCCUAUGAUUGUGGAAUUGGCAGGGUUUGCCAUCAGUUCGGACAUUGACAUGGCACCUCGUGCUAAAUAAACCAGCUAUUCUUUUUGUGCAAUUCCACCAAAAUCAACCAAAUUCGCGCGUAGCUUGUAUGAUUUCACCCUUUUAUUUUGCAAUGCCUUGAACUUAUCGGCUCCUCCUUUCUUGUGGUGGAAAUGAAUGAUUCGAUGUAUUCAUGAACAUUUUGUGUAGUUCCCAUUGAAAUCAAGCUGAGCACCCCUAUUUGCACAAAUACAAAAAGUGAUUAGUAUAAAGCAAACUGUACUAUGAAUUGAUAGUUUAAAUAGGCACCUACAUGGUCCAUGUAGAGCACACUUUUAGAGAAAUGGAACUCACCAGAAAGAAUCCUAGAACAACAUUGUACUCGCGCAUCACAGCAAAAAAAUGGAGAUUUGUCAGUCCUUCUGAGCUGAAGUUAGUUUGGUCUUGUGGGGAGUAAUGUAACCAUCCUUCAACUGCUCCUUCUAAUGUGAAGAUAGACAGGGCCUCUUCAUCCUGGCAUAAUUGGAACUAGUCACUUCACAUACUCCAUAUUCUUCUUCAGAGGAAGAUGAUCCUGUUGUGCAAAGACAAGAGGACUACUAGCAUCCUUGUUUGCUCAAAAAAAGGAAAGGAAAUAUUUAAAACAACACAGAUGAAGCACUUCUCAAGGACAAUUCCACUUUUUCAUGACAGUAUCUAAAUAGUAGCACAACACCAAUAGAGAUGACAAAUCUCAAUCAUAUGGAUGAAAUCAGUGGGCGAGUACCAACCUUUGUCAGGAGCUUAUUGUGUAGAGCAUACAUAUGAAUCACUUCUCCGGAACCAUCUGUUGCUAUCUACGGUGGUGGCCAUGCUUACUAUAUACUCCUUGAUUAGUUUAAUGUUUCCAACAUCAUCUUGCGAAGUUCCACUAAAAUAUAUGGUAUCUUCAAAGAAGAUCCCUGUUUGCACAAGUAGAGAUAAUUGCGUAUCACAUUAAGAGUGGCAUCAAAUCAGUGGCAAAACAACUGCUCGUUUCAGCCAUAGCAAUAAAUUAAGAUGCAAAACUAUAUCAUUACUUGUCUCAUCAUAGUUCCAGUGCUUCAUUACAGCACCGGAGUUGAUUUUUGUUUUUAUUCCGCUUGUUCUUCCCCUUCAUCACUUGGUUCAAUAACAGACAAGCUUCGCCUUCAAUGUAAUAUUUGGCAUGUCAAUUAGGGAGCACAAGUAUAGUACUAAACUUAAUUUUCUGAUGAAAGUGGCAAAAUACAGGCCAACAGUUGUGAAAUAUCCUUAUCUUACCUCAAUGGGAUAUUACAGUGCACAUACAGAUUGGAAGUCUUGUCUCCAUUUGUGUAGUUCACUAAAAUGAAGCAACAUUAUCGUACAAGUAGCACAACAUAUGAAAGCACACUGCGGAAUCAUGUGAAAGAAGGCUAGUACUAACCUCUCAUGAUGCGGAAUUCAAACAACUCACAGGAAGAAGAUCUGAACCAAAUUUGCCAACACGGAUAGGAAGUAAGAUCUCCUCUUGUGUAGUUCCACUAAGAUCAAGCAAUCAAGCAACGUUGUCGGUGUGACAUUUUGGUUGAACUGCAGAAAACACUCUUAAAAUAAAAGUGUUUUGUGCAGUGCAACAAAAGGUCACAAUGGCAACGAGGUGAAGUAGAUAACCCUGUUUACACAGAGGUGCAAAGGAAACAAUUAGUGGUCAAUAACGGUGGAUGACAUAGAAGCCAACAAAAAGAAGCAUCUACCUUAUCUAAAUGGGAAAGAAAGCAAGACAGUAGCAUUUCUCAAACGGUGGCAUUUAUUAAUAUUAACAUAUAGAUUAUAUUAACAAUAAAAUUUGUUAAACAUGUAAUUUGCUUUUAACGGUGGCAUUGCAUCAAUUUUCCAGCGGCAUUAUUAGAGGGUGUUUGUUUACAGGGACAUUUUGGUGUAGGGACUAAAAAAACUCUAUGUCAGUCCCAUCUAAACCAAACAGGAGGGACUUUUAGGGACUAAAAGUGGGCAUUUGGGACUAAAGAAAGAAGACCCCGCGGGAGUCUUUUUGGGACUUUUUCCAACAGUUGCCCCUGCCACGCAUCGCACCUUGUCUCUAUUAGUUCAUUACUAGGGGUAACAUGGUCUUUUAGCAUGUCAUUUAAUAACCUCUAGUCCAUGUUUAGCCCCUGGAAACAAGCAGGUAGGGACUAGGGAGUUUUGAACCAAACAGGGCCUUAGAUUAACAACAGCUAAUGAGUUGCACGGGACAGUGGACGCACCAGCACCAUGUGCAUCUAUCGAUGUACUGUGGUCAUGGACAGUCUGUUGCAACAAAGAACAAACAACCAAGGAGCAUAUUUGUGUUGCUCCCAGUUUUGUUAUCUUUAGACACCUUUCCCUAUGUGAGCGUAGCAAAUCUAGUCCUGCUCAAACUCUACAGCCUUGUCCCUUCCUUUCCUUUUUGAACUAGUACUUUGGCCCCUUCCUUUCCUCUUUGAACCACGUCCUAGAUUUAUGCGAUACAACUUUCCCCACUACUUUCCCCCAUUCCUUUCCUCUUUGAAACACAUCCUAGAUUCAUGCUAUACAACUUUCCCCCUUCAUUUCCUCUUUGAACUAUGUCCUAGAUUCAUGCUAUAUACAACUUUUCCCACUACUUUCCCCCACUCCUUUCCUCUUUGAACCAUGUCCUAGAUUCAUGGUAUACAUGCAGCUAGAGCAAUGUAUGUGGAGUAAGUAAAUUAUACCUUAAGGUUCUUGGGGCGUGGUUUGGUGGGCGACGGGACGGCGGCGAAGAAGAAGGGGUCGGAGACCCUCCCGUGCCACCGCUGGGUGAAAAUGAAGAGCUGCGCCGGUAGUGGAUUCCCUCCCUCGCUGACAGCGACAGUGUUAAGCCUCCUUCCCUUCCCGGUGGACGGAUCCUGCCGGCUCUUUGAGCAACAGUGAGGGGAGAGAGAGGCCAACAAAGUCUUGUUUAGAUCUGGAGAAGGCGAGAGUGUGUGAAGAGAGCAACUACAAGCGCCGAGGCUCCGGCGUAUAUAUAUAUACUGGAGAGAGUGUGAAGCGUGUAAACCGUAGAAAACAAGUGCCGAGGAUGCAGCUUAUACGUGAUGAGGUGAUUAUACGGUCACUACGAGAUCGUAUAGCUCCUUAUCCAUCCAUUUUGACCAGUCAAAGAAUCCUCCUUGCACAAAUUAUGCUCAAGUGUAGUUAUCGAACCCAAGACCUCAAGUUUGAUGAGCGAACAGGCUGACCAGCUACACAACCCUCCCGUUAUGUUCAACGAGAGGAAAAUAAUCUUUUAUACAUUCCUGCAUUUGUGUGACAAGCAUGUCGUGUUUUUUUGUGUGUGUGGGAGUCAUUGGGAUUUCAAUCAUAAUCAUGUCAUGUGGCUUUGGUGGUAAGACUAUCCAAAGUGGUGCAGAAAUAAUGCAGCCUUAGUCACCUUACCUCUCUCCAUGUAGUACGUUGGGUCCUACCAGUCAGAGGGUGAAACAAACAAAUUAAUAAGAAAAAUUAAAAGCGUCAGCGGUGUAUGUUACCUCACACAUCUCGCUACUGCUCGGGAACACUGUCCAAUUGAUCCCUCUGUUCGCUCACGUACUAGUGAAUCCUUAUUAUAACAUGCACACAAAUUUUGGGCACUUGUAUUUGACUUAAGUCAGUGUGCCACCGUAUCUCAUAUACUUACUACUCCCUCCAUCUAGGUGUAAUAAGUCACGUUAGAAGGUGUAAUGGGACCAAGGUGCGUGCGUGUGCGUGUGUGUGUUUAACAACACGUGUGUGUUAGAGAGAGCGACAUAUCGACCUACUCCUAUAGAGAGAUGGUGUGUAGUGUACGAUUUUAGCCGCGAGAGUCGGUGCAUCCUCUUGGUUCCGGGCGUGUCCGGUAGGGACAUGCGGACAGCUGCCACGCCAGCUCCUGACCAGCCUUGCCCACCCAAAGCCUCUCCAUCGCAUGUGCACGCUUCCUGCCCGAAACGGUCAGCACUGCUCCAAAGAAUUGGUGCCGCAUUCAUGCCCGGGCAGAGCGGACGCGACCUCUCACUGGCACAAGAGUGAUGGUUGCUUCUUCCAUCCAACUUACUAUUGGGUCUAUGUGAUUUGACGGCUCAUUUGUCUUUAUUACUGAGGUGGUAGGACUAAUGGAUGUCCCACGCUUUCGGCGAAAGGAGGUACUACUACUAGAUUACAAUUUUCUCCAUUCUUACAGCGGAGGAGUGCAAGAGUAGUGAAAACAUGCAGGCUCAGUGAUUACAUGGCCCACCUCACACUAUCACGGUGCGACACCUAACUCUUCACAUAGUACUCCCUCUGUUCCUAAAUAUUACUAGAUGAGUCCCCGCACGUUGCCGCGGAACAACCGUAUAUCUCUCUGCGCAAAAUUAUCAAUUUCAUAGAACUAAAAAAAACUCUAUAACCGCAUGACAAAUGUGGUAGCCAAACUAAAUAAACUCCCAUCAUCAUUUAGAUCAUCCGACGUAAGGAAAAAAGAUCAGCCAACUCCUACUGCAUAAUGGGAUUAUAUUUUUCUUUUUGACAUGUUAAUGGGACUUAAAAGCUCACUUACAUGCAUGCUACUGGUGCAUGCUUGCAUGCAUACAUGUUGAUGUGAUUUAAAACCCACUCACGUGCAUGCCACAGUAUUUCUGCAUGCUUGCAUGUGGCUUAGUGCGGAGCCUCUCAACGUCUAGAUCAGACGGCUAUUAUGGACUGAUUUAGUUCAUCUAACGGCUACAUUAAUUUUGAUGAUGUGGCUCAAGGAGAGGAUAGAGAAUUCCUAGUAGUGGGGGCUAGCUAUUAAUAGUAGAUAAGUCUUUGUAGAGAUUCCACUAGGUGAACUACAUACGGAACAAAAUUAAUGAAUCUACACUUAAAAUGCAUCUAUAUACAUCCGCAUGUGGUUCAUGGUGAAAUCUCUACAAAGACUUAUAUUUAGGAACGGAGGAAGUACUAGUAUAGUACGUACUGUAAUUUAUCAGCGAGAUAAAUUUGUACAAUGCUAUGAAGCUUCCAGCUUCUGUUACAUGUAUCUUGCAUCCAAGGUUGCCCGUUGCAACAUUUCAUCAAAUACAAAGGAGACUAACAUGCAUGCUAUUGCAUCUCAAUGAUUGACAGAUCAUAGCAAAUAUGUACUCCCUCCGUUCCAAAAUAAGUGUCUCAACUUUGUGCAAACUUUAUACAAAGUUGUACUACUACUAAAGUUGACACUUAUUUUGGAACAGAGGCAGCUAAAGAAAAAAAUGAUCCAUGCAGUCCCUAGCCCUUGAACCGUGAACCCUGACCAGGCUUCAAUUUGCUGGCAACGUUCGAGCUUCCUAAUAAAUGAAGUUUGCAACCUUUUGACCAUCGGAUCAUUUUGUGCAGUUUCACCAAAAUCGAGAUGAGCAUCCCUGUGGCAAAGAAAUUGAAGAAGCGUGAUUAGAAUAAGAUUACUGGGACUAGUUGAUGAGACAUAAACUCAUCACAAAUACAGUACGUAGAAGCCAUUAGAGGUAUGUGCGGGGCAAAGAAGUAGAGAAAUAUCCACAUGGAGUGAUGUGGGCAGCUGGAGCAGUGGUGCAAGCCGGCUGUAAAGGGAGUUGUACCUAAGGGACGUAGCUCAACCUUGAGGAGGGCGGACGGAGGCGGCAACUGCCCACGUUGCGGCAGUGAGCAAGGGACGAAGGCAACCUCACCGGCUUUGUGAGAGAGAACGGCGGGGACCCCUGAUCGGGAAGUGCCGACAGUGGGUUUUCACCGUCGGCGACAGCCACCGCAUCUACACUAAGCAUCCACCCCUUCCCCAAGCGGACGUGAUCCGCCGGGAUGUUAGAGAUGUGGCCACAGUCGUUUUGUGCGAGAUAGUGUGAAGAGAGCAACCCCAGCAAGAAACCGUGUACGCUGGCCCGUCCUGACUAUGUAUAUAGUGGAGCGGUUUCCUUUUCUCUCCAUAUGAACCAAUCAUAUUGCGUACGUGCCACUGAAGAAAAAAAACUUUAUUUAUAAAUGACGCAGCACCUACUACUCGUUCUCAUAUAAUCUUGCGCUUGGCAUCUCCAAAAUAUUAACCUUGCGAUUGGCUCUUCGCCUCUUCAGGAAGUCGAGCAAUAAUGGUAGUGCAGUAUAUAUCGUUCCGGCUAUAUGAGACCGAAUGAGUUGCUGCAUGUCCACCACGUGGGCGAGGGUCGAGGGGCGAGGGAGAGUGCUACAUACGGAGCAAAAUUAGUGAAUCUACACUCUAAAAUACGUCUAUAUACAUCAGUGUUUGGAGUAUGUACUAGUAGUUCAUAUUGAAAUCUACUAAAGGACAUAUAUAUUCCAAACAAUAUAAUAUAAUCUCUAUAACCAAGGUAGUAGGGACGAGGAGUAAACGGAGGGAGUAGUAAUUUUUUCUCCUCGUCCUGCGAGCCACUGCACGCAUGGGCAAGGGAGCGGGCAUAAGGCGAAGCAAGCUUCACCUCAUCCUGCGAGCCACCGCGCCCGUGGGCGGGGGAGAUGGCAUACUAAGCAAGCUUCUCCUCGUUCAGCGAGUUGACGGGACACAUCAAAAGUAAUCCAGUGUAUAAAGCCUUGCCUCUAAGGUAGGCCCCACUGGUUUGCCUCUUUUUUUAAUUUAACAUAACGCGUCAAGUCGCAAUUUGUUUGUUCACCCGUGGUAGACGAUCCUCCCUCCACCAAGUGGACAACCAGUACACGUGCCAAAUUACCACGUGGGCUGCCUUUUUCGUACAGAAAUGAGCUCCACCGUGUACCCGCGCGGGUGUGGUUGGGAAAGAGACGGGAGUACGUGCGCCGUGNNNNNNNNNNNNNNNNNNNNNNNNNNNNNNNNNNNNNNNNNNNNNNNNNNNNNNNNNNNNNNNNNNNNNNNNNNNNNNNNNNNNNNNNNNNNNNNNNNNNNNNNNNNNNNNNNNNNNNNNNNNNNNNNNNNNNNNNNNNNNNNNNNNNNNNNNNNNNNNNNNNNNNNNNNNNNNNNNNNNNNNNNNNNNNNNNNNNNNNNNNNNNNNNNNNNNNNNNNNNNNNNNNNNNNNNNNNNNNNNNNNNNNNNNNNNNNNNNNNNNNNNNNNNNNNNNNNNNNNNNNNNNNNNNNNNNNNNNNNNNNNNNNNNNNNNNNNNNNNNNNNNNNNNNNNNNNNNNNNNNNNNNNNNNNNNNNNNNNNNNNNNNNNNNNNNNNACUAGAGCGCUCGAUGUAUCGGUGUGUGUGGGGGGGAGGGGUGGGGGGAGGGGUAGGUAGAGGCCUAACUAUAGAGGUAGAACGACUCGUAUAUGUGUUGAGAAGGAGAGACCCAACUAUGUCUUGAGGGAGAUCGGUCGACAUCCAUACAUAACUGAAGGACGGGAAAUAUGAUGGGACAGAGAGAUAGAGGAGAGAGAGAGGGAGGGAGAGGGGUAGAGUGCUGGAUGGGUGAUGGAGUUGCUUCUCGGAGAUGGUGGGAGAGGCCUACUAGACAAACUGAGGGUGGAACUGCAAUGUUACCAAUAAGAGUGGGGAUGUGUUUCUGUGUGUGCCUGUGCAUGAUAGAUCUAUCAGGAUGCAUCCAUGGAUGAUGAAGGGGAACCAUGUGUUUGGUAAGCAAACCUAACUAGAUCGGUAGAUCAACUGCUGUUUGUCGGAGGAAGGGAGAGACACAACUAAUGAGGUAGAUCAAUGGACGCGUGGGUAAAAACGACUUAUAAGGACCUAGCUAGCUAUAUGUAUAGCGAGAGAUCGGUCGGUGUACGUCCAUUUAUUAGAGGCAAAUAAGGCCCAGCGAGACGGAUAGACAGAGAGAAUGGAGCUAGGAGGUGGUGCGAGAGGCCCAGCUACUAGCUAGAUAGGGGGAGGAGUGUGCGGUUGUGAGAUCGAUGAAAAGAGGGACAGAGUUUACACGUGUGUGUGACCGUAUGAGGGACACCAGGCAAGGACACAUAAAGGAGGAGAUUGAAGGUGUGUGUGUAUGUUGUAGGUAGGCAUCACUGGAGAGGUUUAGCGAUCGGUGUGUGUCGGAAAGGAGUUGUGGAUACUCUGGGAGAACGACCUAAAAAAAUAAAAUGAAUGUGCCCGAUGGAUAGAAUGCCGAGGGAGGGGGAGGGAAAGGAGGGUGUGUGCAUGCACGAGAGAAAGUUAGUGGUAGCUACAAAGGUUAGAGGAUUGUGUGGGUGUAAGAGACAAACAAAGAUCAUAAUUUGAUAUGAAAGCGGAUUCAUAUAUUUGAAUAGGAGAUCAUAGUGUUUUAAACAUUGCAUGCAUGAAUAUAGCGGUGAUACACGUGCUGUGCACAUGUUAUACCAUAAUGUGAUAAUGCAUGGCGUUUGCAACUCACAGCUAAAUGCCGAACAAUCUAAACCAUACUAUACAUCAAACAAUCUCACAUUUUAUUUGAAUUUGUGAUAAUGUGUGGCGUUUGCAGCUUACAACUAAAUAUCGAACAAUCUAACAAUACUAUAUAUCGAACAUUCUCACAUUUUAUUUGAGUUCGUGGUAAUGUGUGGUGUUUGCAACUCACAUCUAAAUACUUGUAGGCGUAGGGGGCGGGGCAGCAUACAUAAUGUGAUAAACACAUUAUACAUAUGAGACAUGGUUUAGAUUAUGAAGAUCUAGAUAGAGCUAGAAAUGUAAUGUGAUUUGAAAUCAAAAUAAAGUGGAUUCAAAAAAUCGAGUUCGAGUUCAUAUAGUACACAUAGUUCAUAUGUAACUCGAGACUAAUCAUGUGGUGUGCUGUGAAGAUAAUACACAAACGAUGGUUUAACUUGACAAUAACGAUGAUUGUAGAUCUUAUUAAAACAGAGAAACAAAUUCAAAUGCUUUGACUUCACAACAAUCAUUACUGUAGAUCUUAUUGAAUAGAGAAACGAAUUCAAAUUUAGUUCAUAUUGAAGCGGUAGUAUAUACGUUUGGAAUGCACUAAAACGUUCAUUUGAGUAGUAGGUUGCAUGCAUUAUACACGUAGCGAAAUAUUUUAAUUGAACAUAACAUGAAUUGAAAGUUUUGAAUGACAUUUGUAGUGCGCAUUGAUUUGUUACAAUACACGUUAGGCUUGUCCGAAAAUUUCAACCCGCGCCUUGUUAGCCCAAAAUAUUUAAGAUAUAUCUUUGUCUCGUCGUGCUCCGACAACUCCCUCCAUCUCAACCCGCGCCUUGCUAUUCCAAAAUUACAACGCACGUGAAAACUCCCACCUCCUGUGAAAUCCCGACACGCAAAAUGCCCGUGGUACCCCUGAACCAAAAGAACAACCUCAAAUCGGUGGGGGUACUUUCAUACUUACCCCACAUUUCGGACAAGCGCGUCCCUAAGCCAUGGUUCCCCACUGCCAUCCCAUCUAACCACCCAUUCAUACACCGAGGCGACGAAAACCCGCGACGAAACCCCACACCCUGCUCCCUCCGCCACCCAGCGGGAGCCUCUUCCCCGACGAUGUCGUCCACAAUAACACCUCGACGUCCCUCAUCCACCAUACCGGAUGAGGAUCCGUCAUCAAUCUCGUCGUCCCGCCGGUUCAGCCACCCCAUCCUCCACCUCCAAGGAGCUGCCCCGACGUUCCCGUCGUCUUUCGCGCCACCUCCAUUCCCACACCACCGUCUUCACCUACACCACCGAAAGAGCAUCAUCAUCACCGUUUCCUCGGAUGAAGCUGCGGCCUAAUCGGCGCAACCAAAGAGGUUGUAUACUAAUCGCCGCAUUUUCAUCUUGAUUCGAUCUCACGGUGCUGCCGGCGCUCGGUCCCGAGCCGACACGACGCGGCUCCAUCCACGGCGGCGUUGCUGGCCACUUCCUCCACGGUGUUGCUCCCUCAGUGGCGACGUCCACAUCAGUAGGAGCUGCUGCUGCUUUAGCUCUUGCUCGCGCUGCUGCUCUGCUCUUGCUCUCGAUCCCUUGCCUGGUCUACUCUUGCUAUUGCUCUUGCUCGCGCUGCUGCUCUUGCUCUUGCUCUUGCUUGCAAUGCUGCUCCGAUUUAUCUACACUUCAGUCGACUGAAUCGACUUUUGGGUCAGUCGAUUUUUAGGGGGUAGGGGGGCUCGUCGGGGUGAAGGAAGAAGCAACCACAGCGGGGAGGGGGGCUCGCCGAAGAGGUACCCCACUAUCUAUCUUAGGGUACAUGGUGGGGGCAGUGGUCGCCGGCGGUGGUGGGGCGUUGGCGGGGCGGUGGCAUGGGGAUUGCCGGAGAAAAAGCUCGGCACGGGGGGGCCUAGAGGGAUGGCCGGGGCGGCGGCGGACCGGCCGUGGGGAGUGUUUUCAGGGCAGGCGGGGCGGCGCACCGCCGGCCACGUGCGGCGGGGGGCUGCUGUUUGGCCGUUGGUGGCUGGCGGCUCAGGGGGGUGGAGGUUGAAGAUGAACUACAUGCCCUUGAUUUCGUAUCCAACGGCUGCAAAAUCGACUGACUAGAGAUGAAAAAGUCAGUCGACCGACGUGUAGCCUCACCUUGCUAGUGCGUUCAGUUUCGACAGCAAAAUUCAGUUUCGACAGCAACAUUCAGUUUCGAUAGUUAAGUUCAGUUUCGACAGUUAAGUUUAGUUUCGACAGUUAAAUUCAGUUUUGACAGUUAAGUUCAGAGAUGAGCGGCUGAUGUAUUUUACAUCUAGUACUUUGCGGUUAUGUAUUUUACGUGAUGUAAUGGAGAUGCUAUUAGAAUUCCACUCAGGUUAACAUUGUUCGUUGUAUCUCUUGUCCUGCUUCAGCCUCGGCGUCGUACAACUCACCGGAGCUACUCCAACGACGAAACCCUCCAUCACAGUGGAGUAGUACCUCGGGCUCCAUCUCCAGACGCCUAAGAUCUUCUUCCCCUCCUCCGACAGCAAAGUCAGCAGGAGCAUCCUCACCGGCCAACCCAAUCACACUGAGAUCGACAUGGCUUCGCCAAAGAGGUUGUACACUUGUUGCAUCUAUUUUUUACUCUACAUGUUAUAUAUAUUGUCCACUGAGCACACGGAUUUGUUCCUUUAGUGUCUCCUUGAAAGAAAAAACAUAGGAAUUUUAAUUUUCACUUGUCCUCCUUUUCAAAUUCCUAUUCAUGAAGCACAAGACUAAGAGAUAGUAGCAUAAUAACACUAUAACCAUACAUUUUCUUGUGGUUUGACUUAAUCUCACCAUGCUUCUUUGCAUCUUGUGAUCUUCCAAUUGUUGUGAAUCAAACACCCAGAUUGGCAGAAAUUCUCUGUUUUGCACGUGCAUUCCUAUCCUAUUCCUGUCUAUUUCCUAUCCCUGCAUUGUUGGAAUCCUCCAAUUCAAACGAGCCCUUACAGAAUUACUUCUCUUACAGAUAGUUGUCAAAGAAAACCUUGCGUGGUUUGUCCCGCUCCUGCUGCACCGUCGUCCACCCCAGCGUAGCUGCUCCAAUGACAGAAGGUCCAGCACAGCAGGGAUCCGGCCUCCAGUCUGUCUUUCGCCGCCUCAGAUCUUCUUCCCCACCGCUGGCAGCCAUGAAAACUACAUUACCAUCAUCAACCGAGCAGAUGACAUUGAGGACUACACGGGUCCGCAAGAGAGGUUGCACUCUUUCUUGUCUGCUUACGUUAUGCAUCGCUUAAUAUUACAUGCUACUUUAUCGUCCUAUUCACCGAUUAGACUCUGAAUCAGCUCCAAACUAAUGGUUAAACUUGAGUUUUUAAAUGGUUGUGGGGUACAUAUCGGGGCCGCUAUCAAUAGUAUAUAUCUACUAUCUGGUUAAUCUCCGGUGUCUACUAUGAGUUUCAUGUUGGGUGGGAAACAAACAGUAAAUAAGCCAUUGUCUGUAUUUUUUAACUGAAGCCAUCAUCUGCCUGCUAUUAUUGGUUUUGGGUCUAUCCAUAGGUUUCUACCAUCACUCUAGAUUUCUGCAUGCACUCCUUACAUAAUCUCACUAUGUUUUAUUCCUAUGCAUGACAGUUGUUGUAAACAAGGGAACUAAACAUGUAGAGCAAAAGAGACGAGCCUUGCGUGGCAAUAAAGUUUCAUGCAGACGUUGCUCCAUGGUAGGCGCAAGGCAGCCUCCCUCCAUGCAUUUCGGAUUGUAAUCGAGAGGAAUAUAUCUGUUCUGAGGGGGAUUCAGAAGGAGAAGACAAUUCCUAUUUACCCCCUGAGGUCUUCGCUCCAACUUGGCAUGCUCAUGUUGGUUAUAUCAUGCAUAUGGUGUCUUGCAUUGCUUACUUUAUACAUCAAACAUGUCAUCUGCUUAGUUUAGACAUCCUUUGUGCGAAUGCCAUCUGUUUAGUUUAUUCAUCGUUUAUGUGAAUUAUGCAACACCAUCUUGUUUAGCCAGGCAUCAUAUAUGUGAAUUUUGCAAUGCCAUCUGCUUAGCCAGUCAUCUUAUAUGUAAAUUAUAUAAGUCCAUCCUUUUUUUGUUACAUAUUACAUUUGUCAACAAUGUUAGUACAUUCAAAUUCUCUUCGUGUGCAUCAGCCAUUUGACACGGUGAUGGCAAAUUCUAGAGUGAAAGCAAGGUCUUCAGAGCAGACUAUGCUAUCUGACAAAGUGCAUAUCUCGCUGGUUACGGAUAGCUCCUCAGAGGAGGAUUCAGAGACAGAUGACCAGUCCUAUUCCCCCCCGAGGUGUAUGCUCUAACUUUGCAGGGUUAUGUUUCUCAUAUCAUGCAUAUGGUGUCUCGCAUUACUAUGUCAUUUGAUUAGUUUAGACAUGCUUUGUGUGAAUGCCACCUAUUUAGUGUCUAAUUACCAUAUAUGUGAAUUAUGCUUUGCCAUCUUGUUGCAAGAAAUUAUAUAUGUGAAUUAUACAAUGCUAUCUUGUUGCAAAGGCAUUAUAUAUGUGAAUUAUGCAAUGCCAUGCUGUUUAGACAAUCAUCAUGUAUGUGAAUUAUAUCAUGCUAUCAUUUUUUUGUAUUACGUGUUCCAUUUGUCGACAACGUUUGUAUAUUCAACCACUCUUCCUGUGCAUCAGCCAUUUGAAGCGGUGAUGGAAGUAUCUGGAGUGAAAACAAGGUAUUCAGAGCAGACAAUGCUACCUACUGAAGCAGACAUCUUGCCGGUUACAGAGAGCUCCUCAGAGGAGGAUUCAGAGACUGAUGACCAGUCCUAUUUCUCCCCUGAGGUCUAUGCUCAAACUUGGCAGGGUUAUAUUACCCAUGUCAUGCAUGUUGUCUUGCAUUUCUUAGUUUUUACAUCAUAUAUGGAUUGCCAUCUGCUUACUUGCUUACUAUAUAAAUCAUAUAUUUGAAUUAUAUCAUGCCAUCAUGUUUACAUAGUACAUACACAUCAUCUAUCUGAAUUAUGGCAUGGCAACCCAUUUAAUAAAGACAUCAUAUAGUUAUAUCAUCUCAUCCUGUUUAGUGUUUACAGUCAUCAUAUUUUGAAUUAUGGCAUUCUAUCCGUGAAUGUAUGUGAAUUAUGGCAUGCCAACCUAUUUAAUAAACACAUUAUAUAUUUAUGUCAUGUCAUCCUGUUUACAUAGUCUGAUAUUUUGAACUAUGUCUUUCCAUCUUUUUUAGUUAGCCAUCAUAAUGUGAAAUUGUGUCAUGCUAUCCUGUUUAGUUAGCCAUCAUAUAUGUGAAAUUGUGUCAUGCUAUCCUGUUUGGUUAGACAACAUAAAUAUGACUUAUUUCAUGCCCUCUUUUAUUCCCCACUAUCCAUUGCACCUGUCUAUCAUACAAUGUCUAUACUUUCAAUUACUUUUCUUGUUUAUCAGCCAUUUGAAUUGGAGAGGGUGAUGGCAAUAUCUAAGGGAGUAACAACACGGUCUUCAGAAAAGAUAUUGCUACCAGUUAAUGCAGAUAGAAACACGGUUGUACUUGCCCAAGGACCAGAUCCACCACACAUAACCCAGACUCUCACAGAUUGUACCCCUACCCAGUUGGAUAGAGAACCAGCUACACCUCUUCUAACCCCAACCCCGACAGAUAGUAACCCAGUUCUAGUUGACACAAUACCGUCUCCACCACAGAGCACCCAAACACGAGCAGUUAGUAAGGGAACUGCAGUGCCCAAAGCACGAGGACCACCACUCCGAAUCCCAACUCAACGCUUAAAGGAGAAGAAGAUUUGUUCUCAGGUCAGGUUCUGUAGCUAUGGUUCAUACUCCUUUACUCUUGCAUUACUGUAUUUACUCAUACCAACUAUUUUCAAAUUUGAAGGAUGGAAUUGAAACUCCAAUGGCACAAUAGGUAUGUUUUAAACCUGUUUCUUUAACUUGUUUGAUGCUGUAACCUGCUCUAUGUUGAUUUUAGUUUCAAUUGAAUAAACAGUUAUGUUCUCAUGUCAUGCACAUUACAAGUGUUAUUAUUGCUCUAUAGUUACCCACACUUAUAUUCUGUCUAUUCUGCUUUGUCUUGAACAAAUAUUAUUUGAACUGUGUCUCUAUCUUGAUUUGGCAACAAAAACUAGAAUGAUAUAGACAAUAAAGUGACCAUGGUACAUAGAUAUAUGUUUGUUUCAUGCUGUUAUCCUGCCCACUUUACUACUCAAAUCAUUUACCAAAAUGAGUUUCAUAUACAACAUGGUAAACAUGUGAUGUGUCUGCUUGUUUCUCUUUUAGAAUGCGGAUAAAAUAUUGGAGAACAGUAUCGCGUUAUCCAAUGGUAAAGGAAGUAAUGCAGAUAAGGUUCAAGAUAGUGAGACAUCCCUGUUGGUCUCCAAGAAAGCUGAUAAAAACUAUCUUGAUGACAGUGAGAGAACCCAAAAGUCCUGUCUUGAUGUAGUGUUCGAGUUACUGGCCACUACUGCUGGCACAAGCUCUUCGAACUCGCUGCCUGAAUCAGUUCGUCUUCUUGAGUCUCCACUUCAAGUUGAAAGACAUCGAUCAGAUGUGCUGCGACAGGAAGCUGAAGGACUGAGGAAGGCCCUGCAGAAUUCAGAUGCAUAUUUCCUGGUGCAACAGCAAGCGCUGGAGGAUUUAAGCGCCAAACAAUAGAAAGUUAAUAAGCUUGCUAAGCAUCUUGCCAGCAUUAUGGGUACCCAGGAUAUUGUUUCUUGAGAUCUUCUGAAGUGGUUUCAGUUCUGGAUUUGUUUUGCUACGGCGUUUAUUUGCGCUGGUCGCCAACUUUGACAACCAGUGUAUAUGAUAUGCUGCUUUGUUCCCUAUAUUUGCACUGGUGGCGAACUUUGAUGCCCAGUGUAUGUAAUAUGUGUAAUAGCCAUGAUAGCCUAGCGUUAGUUUCUUGCUUAUUUAUUUCCUUGUUGUCUUGUUUAUUUGUUUGCUUGUAGUCAUUACAGUUCUUUUUCUGUGGUUUGCUAGUGGCUGCAAUAACCUAUUUUUAAAAACUAGGCCACAAUAACCAUGGGCUAAUAUUUACUGUAGUGACACUGGGCCUCCUGCUGGCCGUAGAAACAGUGGGCCUUCUACGGGCCAUAGAAACAAUGGGCCUUCUACGGGCUGUAGAAACAAUGGGCCUUCUGCGGGCCGUAUCGUCAAUGGGCCUUAUACGGGCCGUAUGAUCGAUUGGCCAAAUAUGGGCCAAACAGACCGCAUUAUGGCCGUAAACGGGCUAGAGUUGGAAUCAUCCGUUCAUGGGCCGACCAUAACGGGCCAUCGUUAAUAGGCCGUAUUUGAUGACGCUAUGAAAAUGGGCCAACAUAUUAACGGACCACAAACGGGCCGAUUGUAACCACGGGCUAAAUUUGGCCCACAAGCAGAAAAUGGCAGUAACGGGCCGUAAGUAAACGAAUGCUAGAAAUGAGCCCAAGAAUAAAUGGGCUCUGAGAAGGCUGAAAGAUAACAUGGGAUGGAAACGGCCCAAUGGAAUAACGGGCCGUUAAUGGGUUUAACGUGAUACACUGUUCAUUAUGGGCCAGUUUCACCAUGGGUCGUUAAUGGGUGUAAAGUGAUACACUGUUCAUUACGGGCCAGUUUCACCACGGGCCGUCAAUAGGCCAAGAGUUACAAAGGGCCUCAUAUGGGCCGAAAGACGUCAUGGGCCAUACAUGGGCCAGAAGUGGAAACGGGCUGGAAUCAUAUUGGAUGGCCCAGAUGAUGCUACUGGGCCUAAUUCGGAUAGGGCGUAACGGGCCUUGGGUUAGCGGGCUGUAAAUGGGCUAUAUGCGAACAGGCCGUUAACAGGCUUUCCAUGGGCCGGCCCGCCACCUUUUUACCAAGUCAAACGGGCCGACCUUUUCACAGGAAUGGGCCUCUGUUGGUCCGUGCCACGUGUCGACGUAUCAUAGGUGCCUUCUGUCCAAUGAGUGGAUGACAUCUGUCCCAACAAUGAGCCGACACGUGUUUCCUCCAGCCAAUGAUGAUUUUACACGUGGAAAAUCCCCAUUGGUCGGGGCUGUUAACGGGUUAUCGGAUCCAAAACCCGACCCGAUAGCUUAACGGCGUUCCGUUACGAUGGAUGCCACGUGUCGGUCACCCUUGAUGAAAGCACUUCUGUGACGCGCGAUUUAUCGUCAUGGAAGAGGACACUUCCGUGAUGAUAAUUUUGGUAAUGUCAUGGAAAACUUCUAUGACAGCACAUGUAUGACUAUCUUGAUUCUGUCAUAGAAUCGUCACCGAUGUACAUGCAUGACAAAAAACGCGACCUACUGUGACAAACACGUAUCAUCACGGAAGUGUAUUUUUUUGUAGUGAUGUGCCUCGCUACCCCUACUAUGUCACUGGGUGAUGACACCGCAAGAUUGAACCCAAAACUAAACACCUCUCCCAUUGCAAGAAAAACCAAUCUAGUUGGCCAAACCAAACCGAUAAUUCGUAGAGAAAUACAAAGAUAUCAAAUCAUGCAUAUAAGAAUUUAGAGGAGACUUAAAUAAUAUUCAUAGAUAAUCUGAUCAUAAGUCCACAAUUCAUCGGAUCUCAACAAAAACACCGCAAAAGAAGAUUACAUCAGAAAUAACUCCAUGAACAUCGAGGAGAACGUGGUAUUGAAGAUCAAAGAGACAGUAGAAACCAUCUAGCUACUAGCUAUGGACCCGUAGGUCUGUGGUAAACUACUCACAUAUCAUCGAUAGGGUAAUAUGGUUGAUGUAGAAGCCCGGUGUGAUCGAAUCCCCCUCUGGCAGAUCAUCGGAAAAGGCCCCAAGAUGGGAUCUCACGACAACAAAAGCUUGCGGUGGCGGAAAAAUAUUUUUGUGGAUGCUUCUGUUGGUUUGGGGAUAUUUUGGAAUUUAUAGUGCAAUGAUUAGGGUUGGGGUAAUCCCGAGAGGGCCACGGGCCAGGGAGGUGCGUACCUCCCCCUAGGGCGCGCCUCUGUGGCUUUUGGACUCCUCGUGAGUCUUCUGACCCCCUCCCCAAGCCUUCUGGUCCAAGGAAAAUCACCAAGAAAGUUUUAUUCCGUUUGGACUCCGUUUGAUAUUCUUUUCUGAAAAAAAAUCAAAAACAAGGAAAAAACAACAACUGGCACUGGGCACUAGGUUAAUAGGUUAGUCCCAAAAAAAGAUAUAAAAAAGUAUGGUAAUGGAUAUAGAACAUCCAAGAUAGAUAAUAUAAUAGCAUGGAGCAAUAAAAAUUUAUAGAUACGUUGGAGACAUAUCAAGCAUCCCCAAGCUUAAUUCCUGCUUGUCCUCAAGUAGGUAAAUGAUAAAAACAAAAAAUUUGAUGCAGAAUGCUACCUAACAUAAUCAUUAAUGCAAUUUUCUUUAUUGUGGAAAAAAUAUUCAUAUCCAUAAGAUUCAAAACAAAAGUUUAUUAUUGACAUAAAAACAAUAAUACUUCAAGCAUACUAAUAAAGCAAUUAUGUCUUCUCAAAAUAACAUGGCCAAAGAAAGUUAUCCCUACAAAACCAUAUAGUCUGGCUAUGCUCCUUCUUCAUCACGCAAUUUCAUCAUGCACAACCCCAAUGACAAGCCAAGCAAUUGUUUCAUACUUUUGCUGUUCUCAAAACUUUUUCAACUUUCACGCAAUACAUGAGUGUGUGCCAUGGAUAUAGCACUGUAUGUGGAAUAGAAUAUGGUGCUUGUGGAGCAGACAAAAAGAAGGAGAAAGUCUCACAUCAACUAGGAAAAUUAAUGAGCUAUGGAGAUGCCCAUCAAUCGAUAUCGAUGCAAGUGGGUAGGGAUUGCCAUGCAACGGAUGAACUAGAGCUAUAAGUGUAUGAAAGCUCAAAAAGAAACUAAGUGGGUGUGCAUCCAACUUGCUUGCUCAUGAAGACCUAGGGCAAUUAGAGGAAGCCCAUCAUUGGAAUAUACAAACCAAGUUCUAUAAUGAAAAUUUCCCACUUGUAUAUGAAAGUGAUAAUAUAGGAGACUCUCUAUCAUGAAGAUCAUAGUGCUACUUUGAAGCACAAGUGUGGAAAAAUGAUAGUAACAUUGUCCCUUCUCUCUUUCCUCUCAUUUUUUGUUUGGGCUUCUUUGGCCUCUUUUUUCUCUCGUUUUUAUAUUCAGUCCAGAGACAUCUCCCAACUUGUGAGGGAAUCAUAGCUUCCAUCAUCCUUUCCUCACAUGGGACAAUUCUCUAAUAAUGAUGAUCAUCACACUUUUAUUUACUUACAACUCGAUGCUAGAACAAAAAUAUGACUCUAUGUGAAUGCCUCAUGCAUAUGAGAACAAUAUGACAAUGAUGGUACGUGUCAUGAUAAACGGAACGGUGGAAGUUCCAUGGCAAUAUAUCUCAGAAUGGCUAUGGAAAUGCCGUAAUAGGUAGGUAUGGUGUCUGUUUUGAGGAAGAUAUAUGGUGAGUUAAUUGCACCAUGGAAAGUUGUGCGAUACUAGAGAGGCUAGCAAUGGUGGAAGGGUGUGAGUGCGUAUAAUCCAUGGACUAAACAUUAUUCAUAAAGAACUCACAUACUUAUUGCAAAAGUCCAUUAGACAUCAAAACGAAGUACUACACACACGCUCCUAGGGGGAUAGAUUGGUAUGCAAAGACCAUCGCUCAUCCUCGACCGCCACUCAUAAGGAAGACAAUCAAAAAAUAAAUCAUGCUCCUACUUCAUCACAUAACGGUUCACCAUACGUGCAUGCUAUGCGAAUCACAAACUUUAACAGAAGUAUUUCUACCAAUCCAAAAUUACCCACUAGCAUGAAUCUAAUAUCACCAUCUCUAUAUCUCAAAAAAAUGCAAGGAAUCAAACUUCUCACAUAUUCAAUGCUCUUUAUAUGAACGUUUUUAUUAUAUCCCUCUUGGAUGCCCAUCAUAUUAGGACCAAAUUCAUAACCUAAGCAAAUUACCAUGCUAUUAAAGACUAUCAAAAUAAUAUAAGUGAAGGAUGAGGGUUCAUCAAUUUCUAUAAAAUAUGGCCACUGCCGUGCUCUAAAAACAUAUAAGUGAAGCACUAGAGCAAACUACCUAGCUCAAAAGAUAUAAGUGAAGCACAUAGAGUAUUCUAAUAAAUUCAUGAUUAAUGUGUGUCCCUCUCAAAAGGUGUGUACAGCAAGGAUGAUCGUGACAAACUAAAAAGCAAAGACACAUAUCAUACAAGACACUCCAAGCAAAACAUGUAUCAUGUGGUGAAUAAAAAUAUAGCCUUGAUUAAAUUUACUGAUAGAUUGAAGAUGAAAGAGGGGAUGCCAUCCAGGGCAUCCCCAAAGUUAGAUGCUUGGUCAUCCUUGAAUAUUAGCUUGGGGUGCCUUGGGCAUCCCCAUGCUUAGGCUCUUGCCACUCCUUAUUCCAUUGUCCAUCAAAUCUUUCCCAAAACUUGAAAACUUUACAACACAAAACUCAACAGAAAACUCAUAAGCUCCGUUAGUAUAAGAAAAUAAAAUCACCACUUUAGGUACUAUUUUGAACUCAUUCUAAAUUUAUAUUUGUGUUAUAUCUACUGUAUUCCAACUUAUCCAUGGUUCAUAACCCCCGAUGCUACCCAUAGAUUUAUCAAAAUAAGCAAACAACACAUAGAAAACAAAAUCUAUCAAAAACAAAACAGCCCGUAACAAUCUGGAAACUUCGUAUACUUCUGUAACUCUCAAAAUUCUGAAAAGUUAGGACAACCUAGGAAAUUUGUAUAUCAAUCAUGUGUAAAAAAUCCAGAUCAAAAGCACACUUCUGUGAAUUAUGAAAAUUCCAGCAAUGAGCGCAAAAAUUCUGUUUUUCAGCAAAAUGAAAUCAACUAUCACAAUAGAUCAUCCCAAAGGUCUUAGUUGGCUCAAACACUAACUAAAACACUAUGACAAAAUUACUACAUAAGUAAUAAUGUGUAUUUUCAUAAAACUAGAAAAUAAAAAUAUUGGGUUGUCUCCCAACAAGCGCUUUUCUUUAAAGCCUUUUAGCUAGGUGUUGAUAUUUCGAUGAUGCUCACAUGAAAGAUAAUAAUUGAAACACAAAGAGAACAUCAUGAAGCAUGGGAAAAACAUCUAACUCUAAGAUACUUCUAAUGCAUGCGCAUUUUAUUAGCAACAAAAUUAUCAAAACAAGAGACAACUAGCAUAUGCAAGGAAUAAGAAUAAACAUUGACAACCUCAACAUGAAGAGAGGUAAUGUAGUAACAUGAAAAUUUCUUCAACCAUAUUUCCCUCUCUCAUAAUAAUUACAUGUAGGGUCAUAGUCAAAUUCAACAAUAUAGCAAUCAUAUAAAAUAUUCUCAACAUGAUCCACAUGCAUGCAAAGUUGACACUCUUCCAAAAUAGUGGGAUUAUCAUCAAAUAAGGUCAUGACCUCUCCAAACCCAGUUUUAUCAAAAAUUUCAUAAUAUUUAUCAAUCUCCAAAGUAGUGGGAUCAUUAUUUCCUAAACUUGACACUCUUCCAAACCCACUUUAGAUGUUAUAGCAAACUUAUUCAUCAUGAGGCUUAAAUAAAUUUUCAAGAUCAUAAGAAGCAUUAUCACCCCAAUCAUGAUCAUUGCAAUAAGUAGCGGACAUAGCAAAACUAGCAUCCCCAAGCUUGGGGUUUUGCAUAUUAUUAGCAAAACUAGUGUUAAUAGAAUUUAUAAUAACAUCAUUGCAACCAUUGUUUUCAUUCAAUGAGCUAUCGUGAAUUACUUCAUAAAUUUCAUCACAACUUUCAGAUUCACGAAUUUCAAGCAAAACUUCAUAAAGAUAAUCUAGUGUACUCAACUCACUAGAAAUAUGUUCAUCAUAACUGGAUCUCUUAAAAAGAUUAGCAAGUGGAUGAGGAUCCACAAACUUUUUAUUCUUGAUUUCCAAUAAAUACACAAUUAUGCCAAGCGAACAAGCAAACAAACCAAGUAAGACAUUAAGGCAAACGGAAAGAAGGCAAAUAAAACGGCAAAUAUUUUUGUAUUUUCUUGAAAGCGUUUCAGAAGUGGGGGAGAGGAAAAUGAGAGGCAAAUGACAAAUAAUGUAAUGUAAUAGAUGAGAGCUUAUGAUUGGUACUUGGUAGGCUUGAUGUAGAACCUCCCCGGCAACGGCGCCAGAAAUUCUUCUUGCUACUUCUUGACUUGCGUUGGUUUUUCCCAUGAAGAGGAAAGGGUGAUGCAGCAAGUAGAGGUAAGUAUUUCCCUCAGUGAGAACCAAGGUAUCAAUCCAGUAGGAGGUACAAGCAAGUCUCCAAUCUAUGCACCUACACAAACAAUCAAACACUUGCACCCAACACGAUAAAGGGGUUGUCAAUCCCUCGGUGUUCACUUGCAAGGAUGAGAUCUGAUAGAGAUACAUAUAAAAGAUUACUAAAAUGUAAAAUAAAGUAAACACAAAUAAAUUGCAGCAAAGUACUUUUGGGUUCAUGGUUUUGUAGAUCUUAAAAUAUAUGAUGGAAAAUAGACCCGGGGGCCAUAGGGUUCAGUAGAGGCUUCUCUCUUGAAAGAAAACUUAAGGUGGGUAGACAAAUUAUUGUUGAUCAAUUGAUAGAAUAGCGUAAAGUCUUGACGAUAACUAAGGCAAUGAUCAUGAAUAUAUGCAUCAUGUCCGUGACAAGGAGACCGACUCCUGCCUGCAUGUACUAUUAUUACUCCACACAUCGAUCGCUAUCCAACAUGCAUCUAGAGUAUUAAGUUCUUAAGAACGGAGUAACACCUUAAGCAAGAUGACAAGAUGUAGAGGGAUAAACUCAAACAAUAUGAUAUAAACCCCAUCUUUUUAUCCUUGAUGGGAAAAAUACAAUACGUGCCUCGCUACCCCUACUAUGUCACUAGGUGAGGACACCGCAAGAUUGAACCCAAAACUAAGCACCUCUCCCAUUGCAAGAAAAUCCAAUCUAGUUGGCCAAACCAAACUGAUAAUUCGAAGAGAAAUACAAAGAUAUCAAAUCAUGCAUAUAAGAAUUUAGAGGAAACUCAAAUAAUAUUCAUAGAUAAUCUGAUCAUAAAUCCACAAUUCAUGGGAUGUUAACAAACACACCACAAAAGAAGAUUACAUCGGAUAGAACUCCAUGAAGAUUGAGGAGAACAUGGUAUUGAAGAUUAAAGAGAGAGAAUAAGCCAUCUAGCUACUAGCUAUGAACCCAUAGGUCUGUGGUGAACUACUCAGACAUCAUCUGUAGGGCAAUAUGAUUGAUGUAGAAGCCCUCCGUGAUCGAAUCCCCCUCCGACAAAUCGCUGGAAAAGGCCCCAAAAUGGGAUCUUACGAGAAAAGAAGCUUGCGACGGUGGAAAAGUAUUUUGGUGGAUGCUUCUGUUGGUUUGGGAAUAUUUUGGAAUUUAUAGAGCAAAGAUUAGGGUUGGGGGACUCCCGAGGGGGCCACAAGCCAGGGAGGCGCACCCCCUACCCCUAGGGCAUGCCCCUGUGGCUUGUGGACUCUUCGUGGGUGUUCUGACCCCCUCCCCAAGUCUUCUGGGUGUCUUCUGGUCUAAGAAAAAUCAUUGCGAAAGUUUUAUUCCGUUUGGACCCCGUUUGAUAUUCCUUUACGAAAAAGUCAAAAACAAGGAAAAAACAGCCACUGGCACUAGGUUAAUAGGUUAGUCCCGAAAAUGAUAAAAAAUAGUGUGGUAAUGCAUAUAAAGCAUCCGACAUAGAUAAUAUAAUAGCAUGGAAAAAUAAAAAAUUAUAGAUACGUUGGAGACGUAUCAGAGACCCACAUGAACAUGGGUAGUGGGGAAAUUCCUCACACCCCUGGUCUAGGCGCACCAAGAUCCUCCCUUAAAAGUAAUCGUAUCAUAUCCCAAAGGGAUAAGAUUAGAAUCCCUAAAAGGGGGGAUAGCGAUCGGUGGGGUAGGAAAGGAGGGAUUUCCUUUGUCCCCCUUUGACCAACGAUCCUAGGUCCUUGGAGGGCAAGCCACCAACCCCCUCCAUGCCUAUAUAAAGGUGGGGAGGCAUUGGGGGCAGCCCCCUUGAAUCUUGGCCCGUUACCUCUCUCAAGUGCUCCCACGUUUCACCGAUAUGUGCUUUGCGAAGCCCUGCCGGAGUUCCGAUGCCACCAGCACCAUGACGUCGUGUUGAUUCAAAUGUCAUCUACCUCCUCUCCCUCCCUUGCUGGAUCAAGAAGGAGAGGACGCCGCCGAGCCGUAUGUGUGCUAAACUCGGAGGUAGCGCACGUGCGGUACUUGGAUAGGAUUGGAUCUUGACGCGAGUACGACUACGCUAACUAUUAUCUCUAGAUCGUUAACACUUUCGGUCUACAAGGGUAUGUAGACACCACUAUUCAUAUCAUCACCAUCAAAUAUGUGAGUCAAUAAUCCCUGUGGAACAUGUUGUGUGUUACUCGAAUCAUCCAUUAAUGUAUGCCAUCACACUUGUCAUGAUGUUUGUUGUCUCCAUGUGCGAGUAGACCCCUAGUUCUCGAGGAUAUGGAUGAACAUUGGUAUGUGUAGAAUCUCAAAAGUUACUUUGGAUAUGAGAUUCCAUGUUGAAUGCUUAGUUUAAUAACUUCAUGAAUGUUGUGAAGGGGGCCCACUCAGCAUUUGUGCCUAUUUGCCACGAAGUAUAUCUUUGUCAUUUUUUUGACUAUAUACUGCAAGGCAAAAAUCAUCACAAUUCACUUUAUUAAAAAAAACAAAUAGAAAAGAGUCAUGUACAAGCUAGAGAAAGGGAGAUAUACUUACAAAGUAAUACUUACAUAGAAGGAAGUUAGCCUAAGAAACUAACUAGGGUAGAUUAGACAACCAGUCCAUGUAACCAUCCUUAAAUUUACAUUUGAUCCUAUGGGUUAACACAGUCAUGUCAUGGAUGAAGUUUUGCCUCCAAAGUCUUAACAGAGGCCUUUCAUUCCUAAAAACCUUUCCAUUCCUAAUGAUCCAGAUGUUCCAAGCAGCAGUAAAGACCACCUUAGUCAUUCUAAAGGGCUAGGACGUGAAGGUAAUUCAGGGUGACAGUAAAAGCCUUUGCCCCUAACCUUUGCAAUUGAUAGGUUAAUUACAGAGAACCCUUAGAGAGGCCGUGUCACGGGGUAAACCCUUAAUUAUCAUGAGCUAUAACCCUAUGGGGGAGACUAUGAAGGUGGCAGGUGUGGCACAAAGUGUACUUCGGGAGAACAUGUAAUGUAUCCUGCUCCGCCCAACAAAAUCUCAUUGACCUUUCAACUAGGUUGCUUCUGAAAAUUUUAGCCAUAAGGGCUAUUACAUCAAUUACAAUUGGCACUAUUGGGUUUAGUAUCUGUAAUAUCAUCGUCUCUACAAGUUUUCUUGACACCCAAGUCUUGUAAGACUUUUUCUUGUACGUGCUUAUUCUUUGUUAACAUCACUUUAUUUUAAUAGACCGAUUUUUAUGGAUUUUUUUAGAAAGUUACAAAUACAUUUUUUCUCGCUCUAAGUUUUAGAAAGUGAUUACACCGGUACCUUGGAUCAUUCAACUGUACAUAUUAUCAUAUGAAAUUUAAUGCGCAUGGGCACGACCUCUAAAAUAUAACUUUGGCCCAUAAUAUUUUUGUUAUGUAAGGAUACAAGUCAAUAUGGCAAUUAAAUUGCACCAAAACUAGGAAGAAACCAUUAAUGCGGAAAAGGAAACGAGUAUGAAUCAUUGUGCAUUUGCUCCUCUUUAUAAGCACCGAUGCAGGAGAGAUACUUUCAUAGAAGGACAACAUCAAGAGAAAGUAAGUAAUAGCCAGGCAUUCAUGACGAUGGCACUUAUCAAGAAAAAGACACACAUUCUCUAUUUUGUUGCUCUUUUGCUGAUGUGUACCCCUUUUCUGUGUGGCCCUGUAGCAGCUGGGAGGGACAUAGGUAAUUUCCAAAUACGUUUCUUGAAUGAGUUUCUCGAUAUUCAACAAACCCAAAUGAUUAAGUAUCUUGUAUUCCAUAUGUAUUAAUUUGUAUGUUGUGGUGCUUCCUGCAUUGUGUUUAGGUACCAACACUGCAUUUGGAAACCAAUGUUUUACUUACUCGGUAUGCAUGGACCCAUAUCAAUACGCCGUUGAUUACUGCAAUAAAGAGUGAAAAAUUCUUGUCUAUGACGGGCAGAAAGGCUACUACAAGAAGGAGAAUAACGGCGUGUGUUGUUGUGUUGCUCCCUCCCUAAUGUGAAAAUCAUGUUAUACUAUCAUUUUAUAGAAAACCAUUGCUUGUAUUUGCUAGUCAGAAUACCAAUUUAUAUGAAUUAUAUGAGAAUUUCAAUAAAUUAUAGAGGUAGUUUCUUUCAAACACCAACUUGACUAGCCGAUCAAUUCUUCAGGUCAUUUGAAACAACAAUGAAGCAGCUAAAAAAUUGAAAGUACUAAAAAUCUUAAAAAAUAUAUUGGGGAGUGAAUUGAUGAAAAUAUAUCAAAAAAUUGGUAUAAAAUUUUUGUCAUUGAAAGAUGUUAGUUAAUAGUAAUUGAUGGACGUACAACUCAAAAUAUCCAUAAUUCAACCCUAGACUAUCACAAAUGUCUAAGAAUCAACCCCAAACUUUGAAACAAUCUAAGUUGCAAUUCUGAAAUGUCAAAGCCAAUCAAGUAUCAAUUUUUCCUCUCCUCAAACCGGUUUUUGGUGAGUUGAAGUGAUUUUGAACAGUUUACCGCCUAGUUAGCCGCCAUAGCACCCAAUAUUCUUCUGAUUAUGUAUUUUAUUGCAUUUUGUAGUAUGUUUGGUAGUAAUUUGUGGAACUUCCCAGAUUGAUCACCAUGGUAGUGUAGAUUUUAAGUAUUUUUAGGAAACUUUCAUUGUUUGUUAAAUAUUGAAAUAAGAGGCUGAAUAUGUAUUUUUCUUGUAUUUUUUAAGAGUGGCACAUCAUUGGGAUCAACAUGACCAUUUUUAGUAGCAAGCAUUUUCAUAGAGCAUCCAUUUUAUCACUCAAAGUAGAGACUUCCUUGGCUGAGUUUACCUUCUUACCAGUUGGAGCUCUAGAGGUGUGCCAUUGGUAAUUAUUUGUCAUUAUAUUAUCAUGGAGUUUUAUCGCUUCUCCCAAUGUGAUUCUCUUAAAAAUGCAUAUAAAGUAUCUGUCAGAAUCGGGACUCCGCGGACCCAAACAAGGUUUGAACUCCGGGGCGUGAACGAAGGAUCCAGCCUAGCUAUAGGUCGCUGCUCACCAUCCCAUGGCCUGGCUCCGACGAGUUCGGGCGAGCGGGAAGAAGAAGUGGAGACGGUGAUUUUCUGUAGCGACUAGACCUCAAACGGUCAAGUCUCAGAGCAUCUAUGUCAUCCCCGGAUUGGUAAUGAUGACACACAUAGUACUCGAGGAAUUAUAAUAGAGUCUCAAUCACACACUUAUUACAUCGAGUCCUCGUAAAGAUUAUGAUUACAAAAAUAUAAUGGCUGAAGGCCAUCUAAACUAGAUAACUGUGGACGCUUCGAAGGUAAAUGAGUCCAUCAACUCCAACGACAUAGCUGAGUGCAAAACAACAACCUAUCACACCUUAUUCGUCGUCUGAGUAGUCUGCAACAUAAGACGUUGCAGCCCGAAAUGGGUCAGCACAUGGAAUAUGCUGGCAUAGUUACACUGUAAAGCAAUGAAAUGCAAUAACUAUAUCUACAUGCAAUAUUUGGCUGGUGGAGGCUGUAAGUUUCAUGAUUUUUCAUAAAGCUAGUUUUUCCCUACAACAAAGGAAUAAAUUUAUUUAACUACUCCAAUGUUGCCCAUUAUUUGAGAAGGUAACCCCAACUCAAAUCCCAAUUAAAAGUAUCAUCAUUAACCCAACUCAAUUUAAUUAAAGUAACAUGACGAGAUCACAUCAAUAGAUUCAAGUACUAGAUACUCAAGACGUCCAUAACCGGGGUCAUGUCUAACCAUGAUUAGUUUAUACACUCUACAAGGGUUUGCACACUUUUCCCCACAAGACUUGACCGCAUCCAUGAUCGGAUGAUCGAGACAUAGCCUUUCUGAAGCAUUAACUCUCUACUCCGGGUAGACAGUACCACCUACAACCCUCUACAUCUGCUAGUCUACCUCUUCAAGAGCUCACGCAACUUACUCAACUAUGCCAGAGCCCAUAAUGGCUUGUGGCUGCACAUGGAAGUUUCUAGCUUGAAUAAUCUUAUGAUCCCUUUGGGCCCGGGUGGCAUUCCAUAGGAUAAUCACACAGAUACCCCGGGAUUUCCAAAAACAGGCAACACUGGGUUCCCCAGGUGCCUCAACCAAUCCACCUAGCUGUGUAUUAAAGUUGCCACCUUAAUGUUAUCCAUAAUUAAAAUAACUCUCAAACUUCCAUGUGUGAAUCACGAUCCAAUCCCCGUCUAUGAGCAUGGCUAAGCAACAAUAAGCAUAACGUAUAUUCCUGGGGUGAUCAAAAGGUAUUAGGUUCCUACCUCAAGCACUAUAACCAAAACCACAUGUUCCCAAUCCUACUAAAUGCAAAUAUUUGUGGGGCAAUACUAACGCAUAGUAAAAACUGGGUAUAAAAGAGUAUGAUCAAAGUGUAACUUGCCUUGCUGACGAUAUGCAAACUCUAGAGAUUCGUAGUAACUAGCUUUGCACUUCGGGUAAUCUAGCGUAGACAAACAAUAGCAUACAUAAGCAAUCACUCAAACAAAACACGAGAGACACCGAGAAAAGAUCCAAAUCAAACACGAAACAAGCAAACGGCUUAAACUAGCAAGUGUCAAAACCUAACAACAAUAUUAACAUGUGAAUUAGAUCUUAACAGUAGAUACAUGUGACUAGCUACGAUUCACAAAAAGAUUCAACUCAAACGGAGAAACGAAACUCAAAAUACGAAUGAAACAAGAUCGUUUACUAAUCUGGACUAAAAUCAAAUUUUUAUAGUAGCAAAAUGAUGUUCAAGUUGGUUAUCCGGAAAAAACAGAAUGAAACAAAGAUUUUGGCGCUAGUUUCAUGUAAUUUGGAUAAACGAGUAAAAAGUUAUGCUAAUUUAAAGAUCAGGGGCUAAAUCAUGAUAAAAAUAUUCACGGAUAAGUCUCUGGCCGAGAAUAAACUAAAAAGAAAAAGGCUAUCGAACGAACAUUCGCUGACUGAACUAAUCCGACGAAUAACGUUCGUUAAACGAACAAACGUCCGCUAAAUAAAAUAACCGAACGAAAAACCGAUCUAAAACAAAACCCCGAAAACCUUAAAAAAAUCGGGCGGUCCGAUUCGUACCUGUUUGGGAAAAACAGUUGGCAGCGGCGGGGUCAAUGGCGGCGGCGGAGGCUAACUAUGAGGCGGCGGCUUCGAGGCAGGGUGGCGGGUCCGGCGUCGCGGGGCGGCGGCGGCGGCAGCUAGAAGCGGCGGCGCGCAACGCGAGUGUCGGUGUCAAAACUGGGGGAUCUCAGGUAGGGGGUCCCGAACUGUGUGUCUAAGGCUAAUGGUAACAGGAGGCAGCGGACAUGAUGUUUUACCUAGGUCCGGGCCCUCUCGAUGGAUGUAAUACCCUACUUCAUGCUUGAUUGAUCUUGAUGAUAUGAGUAUUACAAGAGUUGAUCUACCACGAGAUCGUAGAGGCUAAAGAGCUAGCCUAUGAUUAUGAUUGUUGUUGUCCUACGGACUAAACCCUUUGGUUUAUAUAGACACCAGAGGGGGCUAGGGUUACACAGAGUCGGUUAUAGAGAAGGAGAUCUACAUAUCCGAAUUGCCAAGCUUGCCUUCCACACAAAGGAGAGUCCCAUCCGGACACGGGACGAAGUCUUCAAUCUUGUAUCUUCAUAGUCCAACAGUCCAGCAAAAGUAUAUAGUCUGGUUGUCGGAGGACCCCUUAAUCCAGGACUCCCUCAGUAGCCCCUGAACCAGACUUCAAUGACGAUGAGUCCGGCACACAGAUUGUCUUCGGCAUUGCAAGGUGGUUUCCUUCUCCGAAUACUCCAUAGAAGAUUUUGAACACAAGGAUCGUGUCCAGCUCUGCAAAACAAAUUCCACAUACCACCGUAGAGAGUACAACAUUCCACAAAUCUAAUCUGCCGACAACUUUUUCAUAGUGUGACAUCACGCCAUGGCCCGGUCAUUAUUUGAACCGUUUUUCACAACCUGCCACUGCACAUAUCGCGAGGCAGCUUUAUCGGCACGUCUCGUCGAAGCAGAUAUUGUGUCCCCUUAUCACGGGAUUUGCAUCAAUACGGGUGUGGGCAACCCAACCGUGCCAUCAAUCGUGGCGCUUGGGGAAUAAGCGAUUUUAGCGGGCAAGUGGGGAGGCGCAGGAUCUCUGCUGCCUUUAUAAGGGGAUAAGAACUUCCUUUUUCACCCACGCCCUCCUCUACUCAUCCAUUCCUUUUCGCUCGAGCCCUAGUGCCCAAGCGCUCCUCUUCUCCACCCAAAAAGGCUUCCCGAAAAUGUCCAGAUCCAGAGCAGGAGGUAAGUGGAUGGCCUCUACCGUCCGGGAGAAGGAUAUCAAAAAGCUUCGGGGGGCCGGGUAUCUGGCCAAGAGAAUUGGCCACCAUCUUCCAACGGUGGGACAAAUCAUCCCCACUCUGGAACUCUACAAGAGGGUGGUAUUCCUCCCUCAUUUUAUCCGCGGGCUAGGGUUUCCCCUUCAUCCGUUCGUUCGCGGCAUCAUGUAUUAUUACGGGAUUGAUUUUCAUGAUCUAUCCCCAAAUUCCUUCCUCAACAUCUCGACAUUCAUCGUCGUGUGCGAGGCCUUUCUCCGCGUCCCGCCGCACUCCGACUUAUGGCUGAAGGUUUUUAAUGUGAAUCCCAAGGUAGUGAGAGGAGAGCGUGCCGAAUGCGGAGGCGCCAUGGUGAGCAAGAUGCCCAAUGUUACAUGGCCAACAGGUACUUUUAAUGAUUUCGUCAAGGAGUGGCAGCAGCAGUGGUUUUACAUCACCGAGCCGCGUGGCAAGGAAUGGGCCGCCGCUCCAGAGUUCAGAUCCGGUGCCCCCCUGUGACUUACGUCCUGGCACAAGAAGGGCCUGAACUAGGCUUCGUCUGACGAGUUAUCAGAGCUCCAGACGCACGUCCAAGACAUGGAAGACAAGAACAUCAAGCUUGUCAAUGUAGUCCAGGUGAUGUUGGUUCGCCGGAUUCUACCAUGUCAACACCGGGCUUGCAAUCUAUGGGAGUUCGACCCGGCCAAGCAGCAGACCAUGCUAGAGCUCUUUGGCUCUAUGCACAAGGACAUCUGGAAGGUGCUUUUUAAGUCCGGCAAACCGUGGCCGGACUCCGCCGAGGACCGCGCGUACCAACUGUCCCGCCCCGCAAGUUCGGUAAGUAACUGUAAGUUGACAAUUCGUGUGUUUUAUCUGCACAUCCCCAGGAAAAUACUUAAUGUAUUUCCCAUCAAUUUCCUAGGGCUUGGCGAAGAAGGCGGGGCGGAUCUACUGUCCGGCCCCGCUGCAAAAAGAACCGGCCGGCCCACUUCUGAUGAAGAUGCUGGUCCCGGCGCCUUACAAGGCGCCAAAGAAGAAGGCCGAAAAGGAGGCCAAGAAGACCAGGGGCGGCCUCCGUCGUUGUGGAGCCUCGGACAAAAAAUCCGAAGACUCCAAUGCCCAUUCUUCCUCCGAAGAGGACGGGGAGGAGGAGGAAGACGAAUCCCCCGUGGGGAAAAAAAAGAAAAGGACGGCCUCCACAUCCUUGGAGGCCGAUUCGGCUAAGAGGGGAAAGACUCCCCUUCAAGAGGAGUCCACCGCCGCCGCCGAUAGCAUCCCAGAGUGUGAUCCCAGGGCCGAGCCCCUAGUGAACUCGUGAGUAUAAAAUUCGAACACGCUCAUGUGUCCAGACUUGUCACGGCGUGAUAUUUUAAUCUGAGCCAUACUUUUUCAGUCCGGCGAGGUCCCGCGCCGAACAAUCCUCGUCAGAGGAUUUACUAGGUUCGGAUGCAAUGGAGAGCGGGACACCGCCGAAGGCCCCCUCCCCCAAACAUAUGACUGAAACCAAGGUUUCAUCCCAGAAGGACCCAGGCCAUGGGGAGGGGGGGGGGGAGAUCGCAAAGGCGGCGCCAGGAGGCCAGACUUCAUGGUCCGGACAUACGGGAGAGAAGGCUCCCGUGAAUGUCGAUGAUGGGGGUUAUCUUGAAUCCGGCCCCCAGCCGGACACGAUCCUGGAGACCCAUAAUACUGUAGGGUCAGGAAGGCGACCUCCAUUAGCUGGAGGAGGUGUGUCUGUUCCACCGGCAACCUCUGUCCAACCAGAGGUGCCGGAUGCUUUAUUGGCAGCGCUGAAGGAUGCCUCCAUCGUUGAUGAACAUUGUACCCUUAUGGGUGCGGUGAUUGAGAAGAUUCAGUCUGCUGAGAGUGGACUAAAUGAAUCCUGUAUCAGCCUCAUAAGAGGCUUUGAGGUAUGUUUUAUGAAGUUUGGAAGAGUGUCAUGGUAUAGAUAGCAGCCCCUGAUACACUGUUCGGUGAAAGAAAGAACUGGACAGAGGAUCAAAUUUAUGUUUGCAGGAGACUCACUUGAUGACAUCUAUCACUCUUUUUAAUAAGCAGGUGUCUAGCGACUGCUGCCUCUCAUGCUGCGGAAGUAUCCAGACUGAGGCGUAGUCUGGAGCGGGCUGAAGGAGAACUUGGCCAAGUGAAGAAACAACUGGAGGGUAACAAAGGUAUGCAGAAACCUUGCUUAUUUAGCACAAAUGAAUAAGUGUGCAUGAUGAAAAUAUUUUGAUAAUGUGCUCUAGGGGUGACGGCCGAAAUUGAGGCUCUUAAGAAGGCUGUGGCCGAAGCCGAGAAGAAGGCACCUGCAGAGCAGGCUCUUCGUGAGAAGCACGAGGCCAGAGUUAUUGAAGCUGAGCGGGAGCUUCAGGAGGCCGUAAAGAAAUGCGAGUCCUUGGAGCAAAGCUUAUCAGGGAAAGAAUCUGAACUCUCCCAGGCUCGCCAAGCCACCAGUGAUUCCCAGGGGGAAGCCCGAGGUGUCGUGAAGGAAAUCCAGGAGGCGAGGACGAUUGCGGCUGGUAAGGCUUUUUCUAUACAAAGCGGGUAUUUGAGCGGAGAAAAUCAAGUUUGAUAGCAUGAAUUUUGAUUUCUACAGGGGUAUUCGCGGAGCUGCCGUGCAGCAUAUCUGAUGCCGCCCAAUUCUAUCGAGCCGAAGAGAGGAAUACUGCGGAUAAGCUCUUCUGGAUGCAGUAUCUGGCGCCGAAUUAUCCGGUGCCUUUCUCCGAUCAACUGAAGCAGUUGGUCGAACUACGUAAGGCGGACGAGCUAGCCAUGAAGGAUUUAAUUAUCCGGAUGUGGCCCACUGAGCCAAUUCCUAGCAGUUACUUCGGGCUCGUGAAGCGGCUUGUGAGUGCCUACCCUCGACUCGAAGUCAUCAAGCGGUCAGUCUGCAUAGAGGGUGCGCGAAUGGCCUUCGCCCAUGCAAAGGUGCAUUGGGGGAAGAUGGAUGCGGAAAAGCUGAUGACCGAGGGACUGCCGGAGGGGAAGGAGCACCGCAAGCCCGAACUGUAUUAUGAAGGUGUCUUGAAAGGAGCCCGCCUUGCGGUGGAGCAAUGCACUAAGACAUUAUAUUUCCUGUGCUAGUUCUUAUAUGCUGAAGACUAGUAAAUUCAAGUGGGAUUUACUGGAGAAGAAUUAAACGCAACUUUGAAGAUUGGGGUUCCGACGAUGGUAAGUGACGGUGUCCUGGACUAGGGGGUACUCACCACGUCGUCCCCCAAUCGGUUAGAUUGGGCCGAGGACCCCCAGGGCCGUAUACUCAUGGGCCAGUCCGAACAGCUGCCGCAUACAAGGAAGAAUCCACAAGACUCGGCGAUCAAGACAAGGACUCCUCCCCCACCGGCGUAUUCGGCUAGGACUCUUGUUAUCCUAGGCCUCUGGUGCAUUAUAUAAACCAGGGCCAGGCUAGUCGACAGAUACAACAAUCAUACCAUAACUAGCUUCUAGGGUUUAGCCUCCUUGAUCUCGUGGUAGAUCUACUCUUGUAACCCACAUCAUCAAUAUUAAUCAAGCAGGACGUAGGGUUUUACCUCCAUCAAGAGGGCCCGAACCUGGGUAAACAUCGUGUCCCUUGUCUCCUGUUACCAUUGAUCCUAAGACGCACUGCUUGGGACCCCCUACCCGAGAUCCGCCGGUUUUGACACCGACAUUGGUGCUUUCAUUGAGAGUUCCGCUGUGUGAUCGGCGAAAGGAUCGAUGGCUCGCCUGCAGAUCAACUACGACUUCGGCAUCUUCGUCACCAGCUCGACUGGUCACCUUGGUUCGAUCAAGGACUGUGCCCUACCUCCGAUUGUCGUGUUCGGAUGAGGGCCUUCAUCAUCAUCAACUCCGAUCUCUAUCAAGAUCAUGGAGGAAUCAUCCAGGGAGCCCGGGGGCUCAACGUCAACAUUGCCCUCGGGCGACCGUACUAUUUUUCUGGACAGCGGACUUGUGUCCGCCGCCACCGCCUCCCCAAGCGUCAUUUUAACGAUUGCUUCGGUGUAAUUGUGCGGAAUUGAGUCUACAACAACCCUGGAAAAUUUUGUCGAGUUCCGAUGGAGGAAUCUCUGGCAAUCUCCGAUAUACCGGAGCCGCAUUGAAUCUGGACGAGAAUCCGGACGAGUUUAGGGCAUGGUGUCCAGAUUCUAGCUCGGACUUCCUUUGGAAGAUCCAACCGUUGAUCGGCUGCGGAAUUCCUAUAUCUACCACCCCUCAAAAUUUCAGCUCGAUCUGACCGUCCAAACUCUAGGAACCUUCCGAUUAGUGCAUCACUUUUUGGAUCUGUUUUCUGCGCGAAAACGAAUCCGACGCGAGUUCGUCUUUUUUAUGAACGGGAUUUCGGACAUCCUUUUUGAAGGAAGUUUUGUAUGGGGUGUUGUGUUUUGUUCCCGAACACAUCCAACUAACUUUAAGAUCUUUUGAACAUGAUCUUCAACAUCAUGCUGGUGUCAAACCAGUCCGGCAAUAUUGCUCCACGGCUGCCGACCUGCACUAGACACGUCGUCACUUUGUUGAGCCAAGCUCAACUUCUUCGGAUCAUCAUCUUGGUAAGCCGAACAAGAGUCUGGCAUCACGAAGGAUAAAUCAUCACCAACAUCGCCGCCCCGCGGAUUACACGGAGCGGGCAUACCGGCAUCGCCACUUGGUCACUUCAUCAAGCCGGCAUUAACCACGUCACGACCUGCAUCGGCAGGGUUGCACUAUUGCUUCUUCAAGCUGGUGUCCAUCAUGCCGACCUACUUCGACUCAUCGGCUGACACCAAGGCCUUAUCACGUUAGCUGGACCGGGGGCUUCAUCAUCUCUUCAUCAACCUACUCCGGACACUUCGGCGUCACUAGCCGACCAGCUCCGUCACGUUAGCUGGGCCGAGGGCUUUGCCUCGGAGAGCCAACCUUUGCCGGCAUCAUCAUGCCGUCGUUUUAUCACCCAUCAGGCAAUGGGUGCGCGGAUCGAGUCCCGAUUCUGGGAAUCACCUUCCUUCAGAUUACUACAAUGAAUAAACUAGGUGCUAUUAAUCCUAGUAUUUUUUUGCUUGUUUGGGCUCAUUUUUUCCACGAAAUUAUUACUCUGGUUUGUCCAUCAUAUGUACACAGGUCUAUCAAGUGGUGGCCGAAUUAUCGACGGUUGCAUGAUGGUUCGGUCAGUUUCCGUACAAAGUCCGGCGAACGCCGCACCCGGAACUUGAACCGACCUGCGAAUUCAGGCCUUGCCAUGCCUUUACCACGUCACGCCGCCGCCCUGCACCGACUUCGGCGCCAGGCCAUAUUUCUUUUAUUACUCAUUUUGCAUAAAUUAUUUAUUAUGCAACAUUUUUUUUAUUAUCUCUGGUUUGCACUAUUUUUUGUGCACGGGAAAAUGAUCCAGCCGGACUUUAUCCUUCGACGUCACCUCGGCUGGACGGGGGGCUUCGUCAACACUUCAUUACUCCAUGCCAGGGACUUCGGCGUCACUCUGUCGUCCUGCAUUGACCGUGCUAUGUCACCACUUCACAGUGCCGAGCUCUUUGCUCCGCCACCUCGGGACCGGCUUGGGGGAUAGAACCUUGUCCCGCAUCAAGCUCAGACCGCAUCGUCAAUACCGAACACAUUAACCAGCUAAGUUUCAUUCAUGCUCAAAGUUUUAAAUUUCUAACUUGUGUUCGUUCGACCAAGCAUUAUACUUUUUUGUAAAAAAGUUGCUUGUAAAAAUUUUCCUUGUCGAAACUUUGUUCACACACACUUGACGCGCUACCCGCGCUCAUUAUACCUGGGGGCUUCUUUAACAGAAGCUUAUUAAUACGGGCUUUAUGCCCAACACAUGUGUCACACUUCUGCAUGUACCUUUUAUUCACCAUUAUAUGCAUCGAUAUGACUUAAGUUUUGGCCAAGCUGGGUUGCCUGGCUCCUGUGCUUACCCCUACGUUCCCGAUUGUUCGGCUAGGUGGUAAAGGGAGCACCUCUGCGAUUGUUACUGCCGGGUUAGCCGGAUGUGUACCUCAGACUGGGUGAAGCCGAAAGCUAGCGUUCUUAAGAGAAUACUCGGUCGGUGAACUAAAAGAUGAUUUCUUACCUAUUUAUUUACCUGCCCCCAGAUGUUUUUCUGCUCUUUUCGCAGUCCGGACAUGCACUUUAGGGCAUGCCUCCCAGGGAAAGGAACCCCUAACGGAACUAUUCUCCCUGGAACAUGUUUCUUACUAACCAUGUAAUAUAACAUAAAUAGUUGGGCACUUGUCUGAUAAAGCACUAAUGACCCCUACGCUUGGUCUCCACGCAUGCCCCGGUUUUUAUAACCGCGAGGGUGUUCGGACACACUCCGGACUAUUGGGUCCAGAGGUUGAAGCGAAAAGGUCCGCUACGACAAACGAUCUACAAUCCGGCUAGAAGGCAUUUUACAUGUCACCUUACAUUUUAUAGUCAACUUUUACCCAAGUCGCUUCGGGGCUCUCAUGUUUAUUUGAGCCGUUUCAUACUAAGUGUUUUUCUUCUUAGUCGUUGCAAAGUUAAAGCACGACAGAAGCACUUUUUUUUUCUAAAGUCCAAUUUUCGGAUUGGCACCGAACACUUGAUCUUGUUCGGACGUCAUGUUUUUACUGACGUUUUUUGGUUUUCCAAGCUUUUGGCACUUUUAACUAUUUGUGUGUUUUCAGCACAAGUCUCGCAGUGCAACGCCGGACACCUUUAAAGAUUCGGCAAAAACAUUCUCGGAUGUUGCUAUAUAUGCAUCAGCUUCGAAUUGUGUCUUCGGUCAAUAGUUGGGUUGCUCGGCUCCCGCGAUUGCCUCCUACGUUCCGCUUUGUUCGGCUAGGUGUGCAAAAGGAGAACCCCUGCGAUUGUGCUUCCAGCUCAUAUGGUUAAGCACCUCAGUGGAGAAAGCCGAAAACUAACUGUCACAAUAAGCAUAAACUGGUCGGUGAUCCGAUGACGGCGUUAAACGACGGGCCAUUCAUAACAAUGGCCGAAGUGUUUACGGCUUGACCUCGACUGUCGCCGAGCACUAGCGGGGGCUAUUAACUGGCCUCCCAAACUAAAUCCUCGAUAUUUUGCUCUUACAUUGGAGCUGAGGUUUCAUGAUCAUGCUUAGCAUGACAACCCAAAGAAAGGAACCGAUAGCGGGACUAUUUUCUUUGGAAGACAUUUCUUCUGUUAAACAGUAAUAUAACAUAUCUCUCUGCGUACCUUUGUUUAGAAAGCCGUAUGACCAGAUUGCCUUGUUUGUCGUAAAUCUUUGCCCUCAUAAAGGCUUUAUAAAGUAGGACAAACACUCCUCGGCUACCGGCUGAGGAGGUUGAAGCCCAUGGUCGGUCAACAAAGUUUUGUACAAUGCGGAUCCGAGCAUUAAUGACAUAAAGUACUUGGAUACAUUGAGUCAUUACACAUAAUUUGUGAUUUUACUAUGGAUAUUGAUCCUUAAUUCGGCCACCCGUGCCCGCAUUAAGGCUCGGGGGCUACUGGGCUUCGGGCUUAUUAUUUAAAAAUAUUAAAGGGGCACAUUGAUCCCCUGAUCUGGUGUUGCCACCCGACCAGUGUAUCGGGGGCUACUGCGUUGCUUGUUCUAUGCAGAAAAUCUUAAGUGCAAUACAGUUUCCAAGGAGAUUUUGAUCCUCAGGUUGGUCGGCCGCACCCAACCUGAGUCUCGAGGACUGAGCAUGCCGCUUUUUGUGUCCCGAAGUAUUCUGCCGAGCUAGGACUUGAUCCUCAGACCGAUUUUCCAAAUCAACCCGAGUCUCAGCGGCUAUGGGGAUCAGCGGUCUUAUGUCAUCCUUCAGGUGCAUCUCGGGUUUUAGACCGAUACAUACCUUGAGGGCUACUGGCUAUAUAUCUCGUUAGAGAAUAAAUUACAUCAAUAAAAAACAUUAACCAAAAAUCAGCCCAUGACCGAGGUGCUUAACCACCUCGGAAGCGGUUCGACAUAUAGCUCAGAUGCAAGUGGCUGGCUCCUUAGAGGGCAUUUCCGGCAUUAAGCUCGGCUAAACUCCUUCAAACUUCUUUGGACCAAGGUGAUUUUCGACACCUCGGAUACAGUCCGGCAUUGGAGCUCGGAUAUAGUCCGGCGUUGGAGCUCGGAUACAGUCCGGCGUUGGAGCUCGAAUACAUAGUCCGGCGAUAGAGCUGGGAAGCAGUCCGGCAUUGGUGCUCGGCUGCAAAAGAUACCUCGAAUGUAGUCCGGCGUUAGAGCUCGGACGCAAGAGGACACUGCCUCCCGGGCAUAACUUCAAACCCGAGGCGUGGCAUAAAAAUAAGGCAUUGAUAAAGGCCGUAAACUUAAAGGGGCUCCUCGGAUACCCAACGUGUAAACUCGUCGAAUGCAUUUCAGCGAUCCUCAAGAUAUAAGAUUUGUUGAACCAGUUUUCAAGACCGACGACCGAAGAUGAAGAACAGUUCGGAAGAAUCGAGGAGCGUCCCUAACUUGAAGACCGGUUCAGGGGGCUACUGACGGUGUCCUGGACUAGGGGGUACUCACGACGUCGUCCCCCAAUCGGUUAGAUUGGGCCGAGGACCCCCAGGGCCGUAUACUCAUGGGCCAGUCCGGACAGCUGCCGCAUACAAGGAAGAAUCCACAAGACUUGGCGAUCAAGACAAGGACUCCUCCCCCACCGGCGUAUUCGGCUAGGACUCUUGUUAUCCUAGGCCUCUCGUGCAUUAUAUAAACCAGGGCCAGGCUAGUCAACAGAUACAACAAUCAUACCAUAGGCUAGCUUCUAGGGUUUAGCCUCCUUGAUCUCGUGGUAGAUCUACUCUGGUAACCCACAUCAUCAAUAUUAAUCAAGCAGGACGUAGGGUUUUACCUCCAUCAAGAGGGCCCGAACCUGGGUAAACAUCGUGUCCCUUGUCUCCUGUUACCAUUGAUCCUAAGACACACUGCUUGGGACCCCCUACCCGAGAGCCGCUAGUUUUGACACCGACAGUAAGGAUUCAAGUAUGACACCUAAGUUUGAUUGUGUUAAAUCUUUUAUGGAUACCGAUGCUUUUCGUGGAUUUAGCGCUAAAUAUGGACUUGACUCUGAGAUAGUAGGUUCUUUCUGUGAAUCUUUUGCUGCUCAUGUUGAUCUCCCUAAGGAGAAGUGGUUAAAUACAAUCCUCCCAUUGAAGAAAAAGUAGUUGCACCUAUUACAGUUGAAGAAAAGUCUAUCACUUAUAAUGAUCCUAUUGUUCCUACUACUUCUGUUGAGAAACCACCUUUUCCUGUUAGGAUAAAUGAUCAUGCUAAAGCUGCAACUGUGGUCCGUAAGAGUAAUACUAGAACAUAUACACCUCCUGAGCAAAUUAAAGUUGAACCUAGUAUUGCUAUGGUUAAAGAUCUCUUGGAUGAUAAUAUAGAUGGGCAUGUUAUUUAUUUCUAUGGUGAAACUGCUAAUAUUGCUAGACCAAAUGCUAAGAUACAUAGACCUGUUGUAGGCAUGCCUGUUAUUUCUGUUAAAAUAGGAGAUCAUUGUUAUCAUGGCUUAUGUGAUAUGGGUGCUAGUGCUAGUGCAAUACCUAUUUCCUUAUACAAAGAAAUUAUGCAUGAUAUCGUACCCAUUGAGUUAGAAGAUAUUGAUGUUACAAUUAUGCUUGCCAAUAGGGAUACUAUCACACCAUUUGGGAUUGUUAGAGAUGUCGAAGUCUUGUGUGGGAAAGUUAAAUAUCCUGCUGAUUUUCUUGUUCUUGGUUCCCCACAAGACGACUUUUGUCCCAUUAUAUUUGGUAGACCCUUCUUGAAUACUGUCAAUGCUAAGAUUGAUUGUGAAAGAGACGUUGUUACAAUUGGCCUAGGGGAUAUGAUACACGAGUUUAAUUUUGCUAAGUUUCGUAGACAACCCCAUGAUAAAUAAUUGCCUAGUAAAGAUGAAAUUAUUGGUCUUGCUUCUAUUGUCGUGCCUCCUACUGAUCCGUUAGAACAAUAUUUGCUAGACCAUGAAAAUGAUAUGUUUAUCAAUGAAAGAAGGGAAAUAGAUGAAGUAUUCCUUAAACAGGGUCCUAUUUUGAAACACAAGUUGCCUGUUGAAAUCCUAGGGGAUCCCCCUGAGGGAGUCCUGGAUAAGGGGGUAUCCAGACAAUCGAACUAUAUGCUUUGGCCGGACUAUUGGACUAUGAAGAUACAAGAUUGAAGACUUCGUCCCGUGUCCGGAUGGGACUCUCCUUGGUGUGGAAGGCAAGCUUGGCGAUUUGGAUGUAGAUCUCCUUCUCUGUAAACCGACUCUAAGUAACCCUAGCCCCCUCCGGUGUCUAUAUAAACCGGAGGGUUUAGUCCAUAGGACACAACAACUAUCAUACCAUAGGCUAGCUUAUAGGGUUUAGCCUCUCUGAUCUCGUGGUAGAUCAACUCUUGUAAUACUGAUAUCAUCAAGAUCAAUCAAGCAGGAAGUAGGGUAUUACAUCCAUCGAGAGGGCCCGAACCUGGGUAAACAUCACAUCCCUAGUUUCCUGUUACCAUUAGCCUUAGACGCAUAGUUCGGGACCCCCUACCCGAGAUCCGUCGGUUUUGACACCGAAAUUGGUGCUUUCAUUGAGAGUUCCUCUGUGUCGUCGUUGUAAGGCUCGAUGGCUCCUCCAACCUUCAACAACGCCAUCCUGGGUGAGAUUUUCCUCCCCAAACAGAUCUUCGUGUUCGGUGGCUUCGCACUGCGGGCCAACUUGCUUGGCCAUCAGGAGCAGAUCGACAGCUACGCCCCUGGCCAUCAGGUCAGGUUUGGAAACCUAAACUACACUUCCGACAUCCGCGGGGACUUGAUCUUCGAUGGAUUCGGGCCCAUGUCAGGAGCACCGAACAAUCACGACAUGCACGACCUAGAUCUGCCGUCGGACAGUAUUCGGAACAUCGCACGUGCUACGGCUCCGGACGUUCCGGAGCAGGUCGUGUCUUCCGAGGACGGGUGGAUGGACCCCGCCCUGGAGGCCGCAUACUCAUCGGUGUUGGAGCCGAACACAGACUCUGCUCCUAAGGAGAUCUCUGUCUCCGGACCCCCGGACUAGUCUCCGGCCGUGUGUUCCGGACCGCGCGCACACAUGCCCAUUAAAUCUAAUUGGGCUCCGUGUAUGGAGUUCACCGCCACGGAUAUCUUUCAACACUCACCCUUCGUAGACGUGCUAGAUUUAUUAAGGUCUCUCUCUCUCUCUCUGUCAGGAGAUUCCUGGCCGAACCAUGUUCGGCUCGAGUGGGAAGCUGGCGACGAAGAAAUUCGUUACCCACCCACCACCCACUUAAUAGCCACGGUCGAUGACUUGAACGAUGUGCUUAACUUUGAUUCCAAAGACAUUGACGUUAUAGACGACGAUGAGGGAGCAGAACAGGAACCACUACCCACAGGCGCUGGACUGCCACCUCUUCAUAUGAUAUAUAUAUGGUGGAUACUCCCAAAGAAAACAAUGGCGAUGAGGCAACAAGAGAUAACCCCUCAGGGAAGAAAUCAAAGCAUGGACGUCACUGGCGCCGCUCCAAGCCCCACCACAGAAACACCGACACUGGAGAAGAAAAUCCAGAUGGUGCCGAAGAGGAAUAUGAUCCUGAUCAACCCACCUUCGAGCAAGCCGAAUAGGAACACGGGCAGGCCAGCCCAGACGAAUAGGCGACGGACGGAUACAUGGAGGACGAUAACUAUAUGCCUCCCUCCGAAGAUGAGGUGAGCCUCGGUGACGACGAAUUCGGCGUACCAGAGGAUCCCAUAGAGCAGGUGCGCUUCAAGCGCCGGCUUAUAGCCACUGCAAGAAGCCUGAAAAAGAAGUAGCAGGAGCUCCAAGUUGAUCGGGAUCUGCUCACAGACAGAUGGACUGAAGUCCUGGCAGCUGAGGAAUACGGACUCGAGCCCCCCAUCAGGGGUUACCCAAAGCACAAAUCGCUAGAAGAACAGGCCGAAGAGCCUGAACUUCCAGCACGAGAUGAGGCUGACCAGCCACCCCGUGGCCGGGACAAAACGGCAUAUCAGGCCAGAUACCAGCCCGCACCCCCACGCCGGUUCACUACGGCCCGGGGCAAUACGCAAGACCUGCGAGACAUAUUGGAAAACAACGCAUGACAACCAAGAUCGAUCUACGGAUCAUGGGGGCGCGCCACUGAUCGUUAUGCCGGAUAUAAUACUGAUAAAUCUGGCCGGGCCGAACACAACUGACCAGACCUAAUCGGACUGCGCCACGACAUAACCCGGCACAGAGGCGCCGCACACCCCCUCUGCUUCACUGAUGAAGUAAUGGAACAUGAAUUCCCAGUAGGGUUUAAACCCGUCAACAUCGAGUCAUACGAUGGCACAACAGACCCUGCAGUGUGGAUCGAAGAUUUUCUUCUCCAGAUUCAUAUGGCCCGCGGUGAUGACCUACACACCAUCAAGUAUCUCCCACUCAAGCUUAAAGGGGCAGCCAGACAUUGGCUGAAUAGCCUGCCAACAAACUCCAUUGGCAGUUGGGAAAAUCUUGAGGAUGCAUUCCUCGAUAACUUCAAAGGCACCUACGUGCGACCACUGGAUGCUGAUGACUUAAGUCACAUUACCCAACAGCCCUGAGAGUCAACCAGGUAAUUCUGGACUCGGUUCCUAACUAAAAAGAACCAAUUUGUCGAUUGUCUGGAUGCCGAGGCCCUGGCGGCCUUUAAGCAUAAUAUCCGCGACGAGUGGCCUGCCCGACACCUCGGGCAAGAAAAACCGAAGUCCAUGGCGGCCCUCACGACACUAAUGACCCACUUUUGCGCGGGUGAGGAUAGCUGGCUAGCUCACAGUAACACCGCACCAGGAAACUCUGGCACUUCAGAUAUCCAUGACAGUAACAGAAAGCCACGACGAAACAGACACAAACGUCAAAACAAUGGUGACAAUGCUGAGGAUACGGCAGUCAAUGCCGGAUUUAGCAACUCCAAAUCCGGUCAGCGGAAGAAGCCGUUCAAAAGAAACAAUCCGGGAUCGUCCAGUCUAGAUCGCAUACUUGAUCGCUCGUGCCAGAUUCACAGCACCGCCGACAAACCAGCCAAUCACACUAACAUAGAUUGCUGGUUGUUCAAACAGGCCGGCAAGAUAAAUGCCGAGAACAAGGACAAGGGGCUGCAUAGCAAUGAUGACGAGGAGCCCCGACGUCCGAACACUGGGGGACAGAAGAAAUUUCCCCCCAGGUGAAAACGGUGAACAUGAUCUAUGCCACUCACAUACCCAAACGGGAGCGAAAGCGUGCACUUAGGGACGUCUAUGCGAUGGAGCCCAUCGCCCCAAAGUUCAACCCAUGGUCAUUGUCGGUGUCAAAACCGGCGGAUCUCGGGUAGGGGGUCCCGAACUGUGUGUCUAGGCGGAUGGUAACAGGAGACAAGGGACACGAUGUUUUACCCAGGUUCGGGCCCUCUUGAUGGAGGUAAAACCCUACGUCCUGCUUGAUUGAUAUUGAUGAUGUGGGUAUUACAAGAGUAGAUCUACCACGAGAUCAAGGAGGCUAAACCCUAGAAGCUAGCCAAUGGUAUGAUUGUUGUUCGUCCUAUGGACUAAAGCCAUCCGGUUUAUAUAGACACCGGAAAGGGCUAGGGUUACACAGAGUCGGUUACAAUGGUAGGAGAACUACAUAUCCGUAUUGCCAAGCUUGCCUUCCACGCUAAGGAAAGUCCCAUCCGGACAUGGGACGAAGUCUUCAAUCUCGUAUCUUCAUAGUCUUGGAGUCCGGCCGAUGAUGAUAGUUCGGCUAUCCGGACACCCCCUAGUCCAGGACUCCCUCAGUAGCCCCUGAACCAGGCUUCAAUGAGGACGAGUCCAGCGCGCAUAUUGUCUUCGGCAUUGCAAGGCGGGUUCCUUCUCCGAAUAAUUUAUAGAAGAUUGUGAACACCAGGAUAGUGUCCGGCUCUGCAAAAUAAAUUCCACAUACCACCGUAGAGAGAAUAAUAUUUACAAAAGUUCAAUCUGCUGACGUAUUUUGUGGCGUGACGUCACACCACUACUAAGCCUUUACUCGAAUUGUUUUUACUGUACCACCUCAGCGUGUUUAGCGAAGCGGUUUCCUUGGCACGUCUUGUCGAGGCAGAGAUCGUGUUCCCCUUAUUCCUGGAUUCCCAUCAAUACGGACAUGGGUAACCCAACCGCGCCAUUGAUUGUGGCGCUUGGGAGAUAAGCGAGUUUUAUCAGGCCAGUGGGGACACAUGUUUUCGUCCGCCCAUAUAAGGGGAUAAAGAUCCAACCCUUGUACCUACGCCUUCUUCCUCCUUUGCUUAUCCAUCUCCGCGAACUCGAGCUCCAGCACCCAAGUCCGCACAUCUCACCUCAACCUUCUCCAACUAUGUCCGGAGCGGGAGGCAAGUGGAUGGCCUCCUCCGUUACGGAGGGGCACAUCCAGAAGUUGCGCAACACCGGAUAUCUGUCCAGCGACAUCGCGCACCGGCUCCCUGACGAGGGGGAGCUCAUCCCCACCCCCAGGCCCCAUGAGAGGGUAGUAUUUCUUUCCCAUUUCCUUCGCGGACUGGGCUUCCCACUCCAUCCCUUUGUCCGGGGGCUCAUGUUCUACUACGGCCUGGAUUUCCAUGAUCUGGCCCCGAAUUUCAUCCACAAUAUCUCGGUGUUUAUCGUCGUGUGUGAGGCCUUCCUGUGCAUCCAGCCUCACUUAGGCUUGUGGCUCAAGACCUUCAGUGUCAAGCCGAAGGUUGUGAAGGGCAGCCAAGCGGAGUGCGGAGGCGCCAUGGUGGGCAAGAUGCCCAACGUUACUUGGCUCGAGGGCACCUUCGUGGAAAACAUUAAGGGGUGGCAAUCGGGGUGGUUCUACAUCACCGAGCCGCGUGACCCUGAAUGGGCAGCGGCCCCCGAAUUCAGAUCUGGCAUCCCCAUACGACUCACCUCCUGGAAAGAGAGUGGCCCGACAUGGGGUGAUUCGGAGGAGCUAACCGGACUUCAAGCCUACAUCCAAAAGCUAGUGAACAAGAAGCUCAAGCUUUUCAACGUAGUCCAGGUCAUGCUCAUCCGCCGGAUUCUCCCGUGCCAACAAUGGGACUUCAAUAUGUGGGAGUUCGAUCCGUCGCAGCACCAGACUUUGAGCGGGCUCUUCAACACUACGUACGAAGAGGCAUGGAGGGUGCUGUUUAAGGGCACCGAGGCUCCCGCAUCCGGUACCGAAGAUCACGGAUUCAGCUCGCAGCGUCCGGCUAGCGAGGUAAGCGAUUUUGCCCUUUACGGGACACUUGUUUUCCAUAGUUUGACUCUAUGCGGGAUCUAAACCCCUCCUUUGACAGGACUGGCUGAAGAAGGCCGAACAGACUAUCUGUCCAGCCCCAUUGCCAGAAGACCCAGCGGACGCCCGCUUAACGGGGCUGCUGGCUCCGGCACCCCACGUGGUGCCGGAGAAGAAGGCCAAGAAGAAGGCCACGGGCCUCGAAAGAGUUCCCCUUUUCAGGUGUCAUCGGACGAUGACUCCGAGGCAGACUCCUCCCACAAAGGCGAGGAGGAGAAGAAGGAGGCCUCUCCCCCAGCGGGGGGAGGGAAGAAAAGGAAGGCCUCCUCAACGAGGGAGGCCGAAGGGUCCAAGAAGGGAAGGAAUCUUCCCCCGGACUGCUCCGCCAACGCCGGCGACGACAACGAGGAUUGGCCUCCAAGGGCCAAGCCUCUGGCGAGAUCGUAAGUAUCCGGACUCCUGAAUAACUUCAUGGUUUUUCUUUUCGCCACAUGGUGUCUUCCUAAUGCCGCAUACUACCCUGCAGUCCACAUGAUCCUCCCGCUUCGUCGAGCGGGUCCUUGGGUGCAUCAGAUAUGGAUUGUCUUCCGACCGCCUCCACCCCCCGUGAUGCAGACGAUGCCGAGGUGGGAUCCUGGGAAGGGACCCGCCAGGAGGAGGAGUCCCUGGAGGUGCCGCAGGGCAACCUCUCGGACUUUGCACCGGACUCCACCCCAGAACCUGUAGUGGCUCCGGAGUCCGGCGGGCGGCCCCUUCAUAAGAAGGGCAAGACCAUGACGCCGGCGGCCUCCGUCCAACCGGAGGCGCCGGAUAGCUUGCUGGAGGCGCUCAACGGCGCCUCCAUCGAAGAGGAUCAGCGCACUGUCAUGAGUGCGGUGAUUCAGAAGGUUCAGCUCGCCAAGAGCAGGCUGACCGAAGCCUGCAGCAGCCUUCUAACAUGCUUUGAGGUAAGAAUUUUGAUAUAUGUAAAAUAGUACCGCAUAGACAGUAGCCCCUGAUGCUCGGUUCGGUAUUCAGAAAGAAAAGCCGGACUGAGGAUCUAAAAAGAUAUACGCAGGAGUCAUAAAAAAAGUAUGUCAAUAUGGGAUUGCAGGCUGUGCUGCUGACCUCUGCCGCCCUGACUGCGGAGGGCAAUACUUUGAAGCAAAGCCUCGAGUGGUCCGAGAACGAGCUCGGCCGUGCCAAGAAGCAGCUCGAGGAUAAGGAAGGUGAGUAACACCUUAUUAAAAUUGUACCUUACAGAAAAGGAUUUGGUUGCAAGAAGGAUGACAAGGAUAACAUGGGUAUUGCAGGGGCCACGAACGAGGUGGCGACCUUGAAGGAGGCGGUGUCUGCGGCCGAACGUAAUGCGGCCGCGGAGCGCACCGAGCGAGAGAAGCAGGAGGCGCGGGUGGCGGAGGUACAUCAAUAGCUGCAGGCUCUCGUGGAAAAACAUGGGAGUUUAGAGCAUGACUCGAAGACUCAAGAGUCCGAGCUUGCAUCGACUCUUGAGAGUGCCAAAGCCGCUAAGGCCGAAGCCUACCAGGCCCUCCAGGAAAUCGAGGCGUUGAAGAAAAUAGCGGCGGGUAAGGCAUUUUUCAUGCAAAGUAAGCAUGUGAGUGUGAAUUACCUAUCACUUACCCGAAUUCGGAGCUCUCCAGGAGCGUUCGCAGAUCUACCCUGCAGCGUGUCCGAUGCUGCCGCUUUCUAUAGGGCCAAGGAGGGGAGCUCGACGGAGAGGGUCUUCUGGUCUCAGUAUGCUGAGGCCGGACAUCCGGUGCCCCUUAGCGACCAGCUGAAGCAGUUGGUCGAGCUCCACAAGGUGGCCGAACAGGCCAUGAAGGGCCUCAUAGUUCGGCUGUGGCCUAAGGAGGCCAUGCCUGGGAGCUACUUCGGCCUGGUGCGGCGGCUGGUGGAUGCGUGUCCACGGGUUGAAGUCAUCAAGCACUCCGCCUGCAUUGAAAUUGCCCGUCGGGACCUUGCCCGCGCAAAGGUGCAAUGGGGCAAGAUGGAUGCUGAGAAGCUUGUGACGGACGCGCCACCGCCGGGCAAGGAGUAUCGCACGCCCGAGAUGUAUUAUAAGAGUGUCCUGAAGGCUGCCCGCAUUAUUGCGGGUGAGUGCUCCAAAGAUGUAAUAUUUGAGUAGACUCACAUUUUGUUAUCCCGUGCGCUGAAAACUUUGCUCAUAUGCGCUAAGCAACGCUUUUUAAUUUAAAAUAUUACCUUCUGUGCGGCCAUUUAUCAAAUCUGAGAGAUGGCAAGUCGUCGGCUUCAACCCCCAUGCCACGAGUGCUGGGGUGUUCGGGAUAAAUUUUAGCACUCUUGUUCCCAUUUUUGGGUCCAUCUAGGGAGGCGCUCAACACAACGAACAAGGCAACCGGACUUAUAAUGCUUGAACACUCUCACUUAGCCAUAGAAUUCUAUAAUUUUAAAUUUCGGUGAAGCCCCUAGUGUUCGGAAGGCCAAAUUUGGGGCGCUAUCCACACCUGGGCCGGACAAAGCCGGUUCCUCGCUCUAAGCGGCAUAAGUCUUUCGGGACUCGAAAAAACCUCUCGAACAGCGACUGGCUCUCGCCGCAUCAUGACGGUCAGUUUUAGCUUUCUCCACUGAGGCGCUCGCCCAGCUCAACUGGGGCGCAAUUGCAGUGGUUCUCCCAGUGCUACCUUAGCCGAUACAACGGAACAUAAGGUACCAAAACAUGGGAGCCGGGCAAACCCAACUAUUGACCCAAGACAUGAUUCGGAGCCGAUGCAUAUAAUGCUAUAAGUUCGGGGUGCCGCACUUGUGAAAGUGUUCGGACUUAUCACACCAUGAUGAGGGAAGCAUAAGCCCCUGGUGUAUUUAGCCGUACCAAAGUGUACGGAUGCAACAUGUCAUAUAUGUAUAAGAAAGAAAUGCAAUUAUAAGCAAAAUGGUGCUGCAUUGUUUAUUCAAGAAAUACUGCUGUGAAUGCAUAACGAUACAAAUGGUGCGAUAAGCAAGGGAUGGGACUAUUAAACCUGCCCCCCUCCAGGGGUAGGCUGCGGAAUGGUGUAUUAAACAGAUUAAUGCUCGUAAUGGAGACCACCUGGAUAUUCAUCGUAGCCUUUCUCCUUCCCUGGCUGUUGCAUCGUGAGUUCGGCAGGUCUACUACCGGACAGGGCCUCUAAUGAACAGAGUCCUGUGGAUAAAAAAAAGAAAAAGAGAGAAAAAAAGAACGACACACUUGAGAGCCCCUGGUGUAGUUAAGCCGCAUUCUGGGCCUAUCGUGGUCGUGCCCCUCCCCCUAUGCCCAUGGUAUCUCCAGAGUGUAAUGAUGUACGCGAAGGACCUGUCUUGAAAUUUUGCAGGGGCUGGGGUUGGGGCCGCAUUGCUAUGCGUGCUCGGAACGUGCCAGGUGGUCUUGUUGUAGGUUACUCCGGGCGCGUUUAGCCGUGUCCGGUCGCUUAGCGGCCGGACUCGAGAAUUGCCUUAAGAGGCUGCACUGUACUUCUGACGCGAGAGCCGCUGUAUGUUCCUCCGUUCGGAGAGAGCGUUCAGUGUUUCCAUUGACCGUGAUGACUCCUCGAGGGCCUGGCAUCUUGAGCUUGAGGUAUGCGUAGUGCGGCACCGCGUUGAACUUUGCAAACGCGGUACGUCCGAGCAGAGCAUGAUAGCCGCUGCGGAACGGAACUAUGUCUAAGAUUAACUCCUCGCUUCGGAAGUUAUCCGGGGAUCCGAAGACCACUUUCAGUGUAACUGAGCCUGUACAAUUGGCCUCUACACCUGGUAUGACGCCUUUAAAGGUCGUCUUUGUAGGUUUAAUCCUUGAGGGGUCUAUGCCCAUUUUGCACACCGUAUCCUGAUAAAGCAGGUUCAGGCUGCUGCCGCCGUCCAUCGGGACUCUGGUGAGGUGAAAUCCAUAGAUGAUUUGGUCUAAAACCAAUGCGGCGAAUCCGCCGUGGCGGAUGCUGGUGGGGUGGUCCCUUCGAUCAAAAGUGAUCGGGCAGGAGGACCAUGGAUUGAACUUCGGGGCGACUGGCUCCAUCGCGUAUACAUCCCUGAGUGCACGCUUCCGCUCCCUUUUGGGUAUGUGGGUUGCGUAUAUCAUGUUCACCGUCCGCACUUGUGGGGGGAAACCCUUCUGUCCUCUAUUGUUCGGCGGUCGGGUCUCUUCCUUGUCAUCGCUAUGCAGCCCCUUGUCGUUAUUUUCGGAAAUUAACUUGUCUGCCUGCUUGAAUACCCAACAGUCCCUGUUGGUGUGGUUAGCUGGCUUUUCGGGGGUGCCGUGUAUCUGGAACAAGCGGUCGAGUAUUCGGUCCAAAUUGGACGGACCCGGAGUAGUUCUUUUGAAUGGCUUUUUCUGCUGACCGGGUUUGGAGCCUCUGAAUCCUGCAUUGACUGCCGUAUCCUCACUAUUGUCGCUGUUAAUGCGGCGUUCGUUUUUGUUGCGACGCGACCUGCCAUUGCGGUCCUUGAUAUCCAGACUGCCAGAAUUUUUGCUGAGGUUGUUGCUGCGGGCUAGCCAGCUGUCCUCACCCACGCAGAAGCGGGUCAUGAGUGAUGUGAGGGCUGCCAUGGAUUUCGGCUUUUCUUGUCCUAGGUGUCGGGCAAGCCACUCGUCGCGGAUGUUAUGUUUGAAGGCCACGAGGGCCUCCACAUCCGGACAGUCGACGAUUUGAUUUUUCUUAGUUAGGAACCGUGUCCAGAAUUGUCUGGCCAAUUCGUCUGGCUGCUGAAUUAUAUGGCUUAGGUCGUCAGCGUCUGGUGGUCGCACAUACGUGCCUUGGAAGUUAUCGAGGAAUGCGGCUUCUAGGUCUUCCCAACUCCCAAUUGACUCUGCUGGCAAGCUAUUAAGCCAAUGCCAGGCUGGUCCUUUAAGCUUGAGUGGGAGGUAUUUGAUGGCGUGAAGAUCAUCACCGCGGGCCAUGUGGAUAUGAAGGAGAUAGUCCUCGAUCCAAACCGCGGGGUCUGUUGUACCAUCAUAAGAUUCAAUGUUCACGGGUUUAAACCCUUCGGGGAUUUGAUGAUCCAUUACUUCAUCUUUGAAGCAUAGUGGGUGUGCGGUGCCUCUGUAUUGGCCAAUAUCACGACGAAGUUCAAAAGAGCUUUGUCUACUGUGUUCGGCCCGGCCGGACUUACUGUGUCCGGCGUGAUGGUUGUCGUCACGUAUCAUGGGGCUCCCAUGCGAUCCAUAGAUCGAUCUUGAUUGUCUUGCCUUAUCCUCCAAUAUAUCUCGCAAGUCCAGAGUGUUCCCCUGUGGCCUUGUGCUUUUCGAGCGAUGCCGGGGUACGGUUCUAGUGGAGGGCCUAGAGGCCUCUCUGUCGCGGCCACGGGGUGGUCGGUCAGCCGUAUUGUCCGCUGGUGAUGCAAGUUCAUAUGCCUCCUCCCCUAAUCGGGGGAGCAGCUUGCGUUUAGGGUAGCUUUUGGAGGGGCGUUCGAGCUCAUGCUCUUUGGCCGCAAGGACUUCAGUCCAUCUGUCGGCUAGCAGAUUUUGAUCAGCUCUAAGCUCUUGCUGCUUUUUCUUGAGGCCGUUUGCCGUGGCCAUAAGCCUUCGUUUAAAACGCUGUUGUUCGACGGGAUCCUCAGGUACGACGAAUUCGUCGUCGUCGUCGAGGCUUGCCUCGUCUUCGGAGGGAGGCAUGUAAUCCUCUACCUCUUCGUCUGCCGCUCUCUCAUGAGGGCUGGCGUCUCCGUCCUCCUGUGCUGAAUCUUGCUGGAGGGGGUUGUCUUCGGCACUGUCUGGGGUGUUAUUAUCUCCGGUGCCGGAAUCUCCAUUCUUGCUGUGGCGGGAUUUAGAGCGGCGCCGCUGACGAUGGCGCUUGGGCUGUUUCUUGGAGGGGUCAUACUUCGCUGUUCCUUCGCCAUUCCCAUCCUUUGGGAUAUCCACCAUGUAUAUGUCAUAUGAUGAGGUGGCUUUCCAGUGCCCAGUAGGCGCUGGUUCUUGGUCGUCUCUGGCAUCGUCGUCCAUACCGUCGAUGUCUUCGGAGUCGUAGUCUAGCAAGUCGGUUAGAUCGUCGACAGUGGCUACUAAGUAGGUGGUGGGUGGGCUUUGAAUUUCUUCGUCAUCCGCAUCCCAACCGUCCUGACCGCAGUCCGGCCAGGGCUCUCCUGAUAACGAGAGAUACUUUAGCGAACUCAAGAUGUGGCCAAAAGGUGAGUGUUGAAAGAUGUCCGCAGCGGUGAACUCCAUGAUCGGCGCCCAAUCGGAUUCGAUUGGAGGGGGCAUGGGAGGUUCGGAGUCCGGCGAGGAGUCCGGCACCUCGGAGUAACGAGCUUCAUGAGGGACAAGGUCAGUGUUCGGCUCCAUCGUCAUAGAGGUUGCAGCCCCCGAGGCAGUGUCUAGCCACCCGUCCUCGAUCUGCACAGCCGGCUCCGAAUUGAGGAUCGGAGCGGACUUGUGUGCGGCCUCCAGGGCACUGUCCGGCUGCAGAGCUAAAUCAUGCCCAUCGUGACAGUGCGGCGCGGUCGGCUGUGGCUCGAAUCCAUCGAAGAUCAAGUCUCCAUGGAUGUUAGCCGUGAAGUUCAAACUUCCAAAUCUGACCUGACGGCCAGGGGCGUAGCUUUCGAUCUGCUCCAGAUGGCCAAGUGAAUUGGCCCGCAGUGCAAAGCCGCCGAAUACGAAGAUCUGUCCGGGGAGAAAGGUCUCACCCUGGACUGCGUCGUUGUUGAUGAUCGAAGAAGCCAUCGAGCCUAUUGGUGACGACACAGAGGAACUCUCAAUGAAAGCACCAAUGUCGGUGUCAAAACCGGCGGAUCUCGGGUAGGGGGUCCCGAACUGUGCGUCUAGGCGGAUGGUAACAGGAGACAAGGGACAUGAUGUUUUACCCAGGUUCGGGCCCUCUUGAUGGAGGUAAAACCCUACAUCCUGCUUGAUUGAUAUUGAUGAUGUGGGUAUUACAAGAGUAGAUCUACCACGAGAUCAAGGUGGCUAAACCCUAGAAGCUAGCCAAAGGUAUGAUUGUUGUUCGACCUAUGGACUAAAGCCAUCCGGUUUAUAUAGACAACGGAGAGGGCUAGGGUUACACAGAGUCGGUUACAAUGGUAGGAGAUCUACAUAUCCGUAUUGCCAAGCUUGCCUUCCACGCAAAGGAAAGUCCCAUCCGGACACGGGACGAAGUCUUCAAUCUUGUAUCUUCAUAGUCUUGGAGUCCGGCCGAUGAUGAUAGUUUGGCUAUCUGGACACCCCCUAGUCCAGGACUCCCUCAGUCAUCCUGCCCGAUCACCUUUGAUUGUAGGGACCAUCCAACCAGCAUCCAUCAUGGCGGCUCAGCCGCAUUGGUCCUUGACCCAAUCAUCGACGGAUUCCACCUCACACAAGUCCUCAUGGACAGUGGCAGUAGCCUGAACUUGCUUUAUCAGGACACAGUGCGCAAAAUGGGCAUCGAUCCGUCAUGGAUCAAACCCACCAAAACCACCUUCAAGGGUGUAAUUCCAGGGGUAGAGGCCUGCUGUACGGGAUCAAUAACACUGGAAGCGGUCUUCGGAUCUCCAGAUAACUUCCGAAGCGAGGAGUUCAUCUUCGACAUCGUCCCUUUCCGUAGUGGCUAUUAUGCACUACUUGGACAAACCGCGUUUGCUCGAUUCAAUGCGGUACCACACUAUGCAUACCUCAAGCUCAAAAUGCCAGGACCUAACGGGGUUAUAACAGUCAAUGGAAACACAGACCGUUGCCUCCGUACGGAAGAGCACACUGCGGCCCUCGCGGCAGAAGUACAAAGCAGCCUCCUUCGACAAACAGCCAAUUCAGCAACAACAACCCCGAACACCGUCAAGCGAGUCCAGAGCACCCCGCAACAGGACCGUCUGGCAUGCCAGGAGCUCGAUUAGCAAUCCGGCCUCCACCCCAGCCCCAUUUAGGCGGCAUUCAUGCCACGCGUACACAAAUACACGCUUAAAAUACCAUGGGCAUAGGUGGAGGCGAGACGACCAUGCGGCCUGCAGUGCAGUUCAGCCGCCAUGAGGCCCGCACACCAUUUUUCUUUCUUUCUUUCAGGACCCUACUUUCGGGCAGCCCCUUCAGAGAGAUCGGAUAACCAGACUCAUCCCAGGAGGGAACACCAAGUAGGCAAGCGGCGUUGCACACAAGGGAGUACCCAAGUGGUCUUUGUUAAUGAUCGUUAUACCUGUUUUACGUACCUGCAUGCAGCCUGCCCUUGGAUAGGACAUGUCAAAUGGCCCUAUUUGUUUUCGCUUAAUGCAUUAAUUGUAAACAUACGCCUUGACGUAUUAUACAAAUAACAAUGGGAAACGAUAUACCAACGUCAACUUCUUACUAAUAUCUUCAUAUUUUCCCUUGAAUAUUUAUUUAAUAUUGCAUCCGUACAUUUUGGUAUGCUCAAUUUGCCAGGGGCUUCUUAUCGAGCCCCAUAACAUGGCAAGAAAAGUCCAAACACUUUCGACAGUGCGGCACCCCGAACUAAUAGCAUUAUAUGCAACAACUCCGAAUUAUGUCUUGGGUCAAUAGUUGGGUUAGCCCGGCUCCCUUGUUUUGGUACCUUACGUUCCGUUAUAUCGGCUAAGGUAGCGCAGGGAGAACUACUGCGAUUGUGUCCCGGUUCUUCCGGACGAGCACCUCAGUAGAGAAAGCCAAAGACUGACCUUCAUGAUGCGGCGAGAGCUAGUCGCUGUUCGCGAGGUACUAAAUCCUUAAAUAUUUUUUCCGCUUAAGGCGAGGAAUCGGCCUUUCUCGAUUUAGGCGUGUAUAGCGCCCUAGUUCGGCCUUCCGAAUAUUAGGGGCUUCACCGAAAUUUAAAAUUAUAGACUUCUAUGGCCAAGUGAGAGUUAUAAAGCCGAAUAGCCCAAUUGCCUUGUUUGCUGCGCUAAACACCUCCUUAAAGGACCAAGAACUUGGAUAAAUAGUGUUUGAGUUUCCACCAACACCCCAGUACUAGUUACAAGGGGGCGGAAGCCGACGACUGGCCUACUUUCAGAUUUUGAUAAAUUGCCGCAGAGAAGGUAAUAUUUUAAAUCAAACAAAGUGAUAUAUAGCACAAACAAACCCGUUCUCAUAUUACAAGGACGACAUGAGUACAUUCACUCAAAAAUUAUGUUCUUAGGACAUUCAUUUGCCACGAGCCGAGCGCCUUUCAUAACGCCAUCAUAAUACUUUUCGGGGUAGCGAUGCUCCUUACGCUCCAGGGGUCCAUCCAUCAUGAGCUUCUCAGCAUCCAGUUUGGCCCAAUGCACCUUCGCGCGGGCAAAGGCCCGCCGGGCACCUUCAAUACAGACGGACAGCUUGAUAACUUCUAGCCGUCGACAGGUAUUCACCAUCCGCUUUAUCAGGCUAAAAUAGCUGCCGGGUAGGGGCUCGCCAUGCCACAUCCGGACUAUGAGGUCCUUCAUGGCCCGUUCAGCUGCAUUGUGGAGUUCGACCAGUUGCUUGAUACGUCUCCAACGUAUCUAUAAUUUUUGAUUGUUCCAUGCUAUUAUAUUACCUGUUUUGGAUGCUUAUGGUCUUUAUUUUACAUAAUUAUAUUAUUUUUGGGACUAACCUACUAACCGGAGGCCCAUCCCAUAUUGCUAUUUUUUUCCUAUUUUAGUAUUUCGAAGAAAAGGAAUAUCAAACGGAGUCCAAACGGAAUGAAACCUUCGGGAGCGUUAUUUUUGGAACAAAUCUGAUCCGGAGAGCCUGGAGUGCAAGUCAAGAAAGCUCCGAGGGCCCCAUAAGAUAGAAGGGCGCCCCCCUGUAGGGCGCACCCCCUGUUUCGUGGGCCCAUCGGGCGUCCACCGACAUACUUCUUCCUCCUAUAUAUACCUACGGACCCCGAAAACAUCCGGGGGCACCACGAAACACAAUUUCCACCACCGUAACCUUCUGUAUCCGUGAGAUCCUGUUGGGGGAGGCUGAUCUACCAACACCUAUGGGGACAGGGCCCCUUUUGGUUCGGUGGGAGGCGGAGAACGCACAAAGAGCGGAUCGAGGCGGUACACGCGAGCGGUUUUACCCAGCUCCGGGCCGCACGGAUGCGUAAAACCCUACUGCUGCUUGUUUGUGUGUAUUAAAUUCUUGCUCAGGAGCGAUGGACGCUGCCAGACUGAGCGUGAGAGUGUUCCUGGUGUUUCGAAUGAGCCUAACCUCCUCUACGUUGCGCUUGGGCCUCCUUUUAUACUCUCAAGGGGUUACCCACAGGUGGCAACGUAGACUAGAAGGGUAGAAAUGGAAAAGGAUGCGGUAGGUGCAGCUACCGCUACUGUGGACACAGUGCACCCUACCUAACUCUGACGGCAGGGGACAAGGUCAUUGAAUGCUCGUCUGUGUCGCCUAAACAGUACCGAAACGGACCGCUAGGGACGCCACCGCUUGCCACGAUGGUUAUCUUGUCAGCGCCUGCUUGCCACCGCGCACCCCUAGCUGCACGGCCUCCUGCCACGUGCGCUUGGGAGAGUCCUAGAGCGACACGUUAGCAGGUGUGCUGGAGCGCGGGCACGAAGUGGGGGUUUCCCGCGACAAGCUCCUUGCCGCGGUCGUCGUCUUGUCGUGUUCGGGAGCUUGCCGCUCACCGGGCCUUGCCGGGGCGCGCGGCGCAUCGCGGCAAGCUUUCUUGGUAUGCCUUGAGUGGUCUUCCCGGCAAGCUCCUCUUGCCAGGGUCUUGUCUGGCCUUCCCGGCAAGCUCCUCUUGCCGGGGUCUUGUCUUCUUCCCGAUCAGCUUCUCUUGCCGGGGCCUGGGUUGGCCUUCCCGGCAAGCUCCUCUUGCCGGGGCCUUGGUUGGCCUUCCCGGCAAGCUCCUCUCGCCGGUGCCUUGGUUUGAGUACUUUGUUCUUGAAUGGUCUUCAAGGGAACCACGGAGGGUCUUGGCGGUCACCCGGCAAGCCUUGCCGCGGGAUGCUGCGACCGCCCGUGCACAAGUUCGGGGUAAUAGGGUACCCCUACUCUAGUACACCGACAGAUCCCAUCUUGGAGCCUUCGCCGGCACACUGCUGGAGGGGGAAACGACCACAGAGGGCCUCUACAUCAACAUCCUUGCCCCUCCUAUGAGUUGUGAGUUGUUUACCACAGACCUUCGGGUCCAUAGUUAUUAGCUAGAUGGCUUCUUCUCUCUUUUUGGAUCUCAAUACAAUGAUCUCCCCCUCUCUUGUGGAGAUCUAUUUGAUGUAAUCUCUUUUUGCGGUGCGUUUGUCAAGAUCCUAUGAAUUGUGAGUUUAUGUUCAGAUUUAUCUAUGGUUAUUAAUUGAAUCUUCUCUGAAUUCUUUUAUGUAUGAUUGAGUUAUCUUUGCAAGUCUCUUCAAAUUAUAGGUUUGGUUUGGCCUACUAGAUUGAUCUUUCUUGCCAUGGGAGAAGUGCUUAGCUUUGGGUUCAAUCUUGCGGUGUUCUUACCCAGUGAUAGAAAGGAUUGCAAGACACGUAUUGUAUUGUUGCCAUCGAGGAUAAAACGAUGGGUUUUAUAUCAUAUUGCAUGAUUUUAUCCCUCUACAUCAUAUCAUCUUGCUUAAUGCGUUACUCCGUUCUUAUGAACUUAAUACUCUAGAUGCAUGCUGGAUAGCAGUCGAUGUGUGGAGUAAUAGUAGUAGAUGCAGGCAGGAGUCGGUCUACUUGUUUUGGAUGUGAUGCCUAUAUACAUGAUCAUGCCUAGAUAACAUCAUAAUUAUUCGCUUUUCUAUCAAUUACUUGAUAGUAAUUUGUUCACCCACCGUAAUACUUAUGCUCUCGAGAGAAGCCUCUAGUUAAACCUAUGGCCCCCGGGUCUAUCUCUUAUCAUAUUUGCUUUCAAUCUACUUUUAUUUGCAUCUUUACUUUUCUUGCAUCUAUAUUAUAAAAUACCAAAAAUAUAUCUAUCUUAUCAUACUAUCUUUAUUAGAUCUCACUUUCGCAAGUGGCCGUGAAGGGAUUGACAACCCCUUUAUUGCGUUGGCUGCGAGUUCUCAGUUUGUUUGUGUAGGUGCGUGGGACUUUUGAGGAGCCUCCUACUGGAUUGAUACCUUGGUUCUCAAAAACUGAGGGAAAUACUUACGUUGCACUUGCUACAUCACCCUCUCCUCUUCGGGGAAUACCAAUGCUAGCUCAAUACGUAGCAAGAAGGAUUUGUGGCACCGUUACCGGGGAGGUCUUCGCUCAAGUCAAGACAUACCAAGUACCCAUCACAAACUCAUCUCCCUCGCAUUUACAUUAUUUGCCAUUUGCCUCUCGUUUUCCUCUCCCCCACUUCACCCUUGCCGUUUUAUUCGCCCUCUCUUUCCCAAUCUCCUCCUCUCUUUUUCGGUUGCCUCCUUUUGUGUGCUUGUUUGCCGUUUGACCUUAUGGCUACGCCUAAGUAACCUGAACACCUUCUCAGAAGGAUGGAUGAGAUUGAAUCAAAUAAUAGAAGCUUUAUGAAUUUGCAAUUUGAGCAUAAUAAUAUCUUUAGUAAAGAGCUUAAGGAACAAAAAAGUUUUUGGGAUUUAUAAACAAAGAGCUUGAUGAUAUGAAUAAAGAAUUCUAUGGUGUUAACGCUCAAAUUACUCGACUUGAAAAUGCUAUAGCCAAAAUUUCUGACAAGCCAGCCACCUUAGUCAAUAAGAUGGCCGCUAAACCAGAAAAAAUACAUGAAAAUAUUGAUGAGGAUCUUAAAGUUAUUGAUACGUCUCCUAUUAGAUCUAUGUUGUGCAAUAUGAAUUUUGAUGAUUAUGGGACUGAUGAUGAAUCAACUUUGCCUAGAAGGCGUCCCAAAAAUUCGGAGUCUUUAGAUCUUAAUGCUAAAUUUGGUAAAAGAGAGAUUGGAGAAUCCUCAACUUCUAAUAAUAUUGAACCUACUAUGUCGGAUUUCAAGGAAUUUGAUUAUGAUAAUUGGUCUUUAAAAGGUUGUAUUUCCUUGUUGCAAUCCGUUGUUAAUUCUCCUCAUGCUUAUAGUCAAAAUAAAGUUUUUACCAAACAUAUUGUUGAUGCCUUGAUGCAAUCUUAUGAUGAAAAACUUAAGUUGGAAGUUUAUAUACCUAGAAAACUUAAUGAUGAGUCGGAACCUACUAUAAAUAUUAGAAUUAAAGAUUUUGAGUGUUUUGCUUUGUGUGAUUUGGGUGCUAGUGUUUCCACAAUUCCGAAAACUUUAUGUGAUAUUCUAGACUUCCAUGAUCUUGAUGAUUGCUCUUUAAAUUUGCACCUUGCGGAUUCCACCAUUAAAAAGCCUAUGGGAAGGAUCAAUGAUGUUCUUAUUGUUGCUAAUAGAAAUUUGGUGCCCGUAGAUUUUAUCGUUCUUGAUAUAGAUUGCAAUUUUUCUUGCCCUAUUAUUCUUGGAGGACCUUUCCUUAGAACGAUUGGUGCGAUUAUUGAUAUGAAGGAAGGGAACAUUAGAUUCUAAUUUCCUUUAAAGAAAGGCAUGGAGCACUUUCCAAGAAAUGUAGUCAAAUUACCUUAUGAAUCUAUCAUGCGUGCUACUUAUGAAUCAAGUGCCAAAGAUGGCACUCGUUAGAGCUAUCCUUGCUUUUAUGCCUAGCUAGGGGCGUUAAACGAUAGCACUAGUUGGGAGGCAACCCAAUUUUCUUUAUGUUCUUUGUUUCUGUUCCUCUUUAGUGUUAAAUUUUGUUUCUACUUUCUGUUUAGAUGUGUUUUUAUCUUUUGUUUAGUGUUUGUGCAAAGUAGAACCUAUAGGUUAAAAUAUGAUGAUGGUUGAUUUGAUUCUGCUGAAAAACAGAAACUUUGCGCUCAUAAGAAAGAAUUCAAUAAAUCAGAGAAAAGAGAUUUUGCGUUGAUUCAUUUUGAUGCUGAUCAAUAAACAAAGUUUCCAGUACGUCCUAUUUUGGUAGGAUUUUUAGAGUUCCAUAAGUUUGCGUUAGUUACAGAUUGCUACAAACUGUUCUGUUUUUGACAGAUUCUGUUUUUCGUGUGUUGUUUGCUUAUUUCAAUGCAUCGAUGGCUAAUAAAUUAGUUUACAAACCAUAAGGAAGUUGGAAUAAAGUAGGUUUAACACCAAAAUAAAUAAAGAAUGAGUUUAUUUCAGUACCUUAUGUGGUGGUUUUGUUUUUUUUCACUAACGGAGCUUAUAAGAUUUCCUGUUGAGUUUUGUGUUGUGAAGUUUUCAAGUUUUGGGUAAAGCUUUUAUGGACUAUGGAAUAAAGAGUGGCAAGAGCGUAAGAUUGGGGAUGCUUAUGGCACCCCAAGGUAUUCAAGAAUAGCCAAAAGCCUAAGCUUGGGGAUGCCCUGGGAUGGCAUCCCCUCUUUCGUCUUCGUUCAUUGGUAACUUUACUUGGAGCUAUAUUUUUAUUCGCUACAUGAUAUGUGUUUUGCUUGGAGCGUCGUGUAUUAUAUUGGUCUUUGCUUGUUAGUUUACCACAAUCAUCCUUGCCAUAACACACCUUUUUGGAGAAGCCUAUUUGAUUAGAAUUUGCUAGAAUACGCUAUGUGCUUCACUUAUAUCUUUUGAGCUUGAUAGUUUUUGCUCUAGUGCUUCACUUAUAUCUUUUAGAGCAUAGUGGUGGAUUAAUUUUAUAGAAAUUGCUAGUCUCUCAUGUUUCACUUAUAUUAUUUUCAGAGUCUCUUAGAGCAGCAUGGUAUUUGCUAUUGUCACAAAGUUGGUCCUAGAAUGAUGAUCAUCCAAGUUGGGUAUAAUAAAAACUAUCAUAGAAAGUGAAUUGGAUGCUAUGAUCAAUUUGAUGCUUGAUAAUUGUUUUGAGAUAUGGAGGUAGUAAUAUUAAAGUCAUGCUAGUUGGGUGAUUAUGGAUUUAAAUAAUUCUUGUGUUGAAGUUUGUGAUUCCCGUAGCAUGCACGUAUGGUGAACCGCUUUGUGAUGAAGUUGGAGCACACUUUUAUUUAUUGAUUGUCUUCCUUAUGAGUGGCAGUCGGGGACGAGCGAUGGUCUUUUCCUACAAAUCUACCACCCUAGGAGCAUGCGUGUAGUGCUUUGGUUUUUGAUGACUUCUAAAUUUUUACAACAAGUAUAUGAGUUCUUUUGAUUAAUGUUGAGUCCAUGGAUUAUACGCACUCCUUUCCCCCUCCAUUAUUGCUAGCCUGUCUUGUAUCGUGCAACUUUCGCCGGUACCAUACACACACCAUACUCCUUCCUCAAAACAGCCACCAUACCUACCUAUUAUGGCAUUUCCAUAGCCAUUCCGAGAUAUAUUGCCAUGCAACUUUCCACCGUUCCGUUCAUAUGACACACAUUACUUUUGUCAUAUUGCUUUUUGCAUGAACAUGUAAUUGACAUUGUAUUUGUGGCAAAGCCACCGUUCAUAAUUCUUUCAUACAUGUCACUCUUGAUUCAAUGCAUAUCCCGGUAUACCGCCGGAGGCAUUCAUAUAGAGUCAUAUUUUGUUCUAAGUAUCGAGUUGUAAUUGUUGAGUUGUAAAAAAAAUAAAAGUGUGAUGAUCAUCAUUAUUAGAGCAUUGUCCCAGUGAGGAAAGGAUGAUGGAGACUAUGAUUCCCCCAUAAGUCGGGAUGAGACUCCGAACGAAAUAUAUAUAAAAAAGAGGCCAUAAAAAGAAGAGCAAAGGCCCAAAUAAAAAGAAAUAUGAGAGAAAAAGAGAGAAGAGACAAUGCUACUAUCCUUUUACCACACUUGUGCUUCAAAGUAGCACCAUGAUCUUCAUGAUAGAGAGUCUCAUAUGUUGUCACUUCCAUUUACUAGUGGGGAUUUUUCAUUAUAGAACUUGGCUUUUAUAUUCCAAUAAUGGGCUUCCUCAAAAUGCCCUAGGUCUUCAUGAGCAAGCAAGUUGGAUGCACCCCACUAGUUUUCCUUUGUUGAGCUUUCAUAUAUUUAUAGCUCUAGUGCAUCCGUUGCAUGGCAAUCCCUACUCACUCACAUUGAUAUCUAUUAAUGGGCAUCUCCAUAGCCCGUUGAUACGCCUAGUUGAUGUGAGACUAUCUUCUCCUUUUUUGUCUUCUCCACAACCACCAUUCUAUUCCACAUAUAGUGCUAUGUCCAUGGCUCAUGCUCAUGUAUUGCGUGAAAGUUGAAAAAGUUUGAGAUUAUUAAAGUAUGAAACAAUUUCUUGGCUUGUCAUCGGGGUUGUGCAUGAUUAAAUACUUUGUGUGAUGAAGAUAGAGCUUAGCCAGACUACAUGAUUUUGUAGGGAUAACUUUCUUUUGGCCAUGCUAUUUUGAGAAGACAUGAUUACUUGCUUAGUAUGCUUGAAGUAUUUCUAUUUCUUAUAUCAAUAUGAAUUUUUAUUUUGUAUUACUUGGAUAUGAUCAUUCAUGCCACAAUGAAAGAAAAUUACAUUAUGAAUUAUGCUAGGUAGCAUUCCACAUCAAAAAAUUUCUUUUUAUCAUUUACCUACUCAAGGAUGAGCAAGAAUUAAGCUUGGGGAUGCUCGAUACGUCUCCAACGUAUCUAUAAUUUUUGAUUGUUCCGUGCUAUUAUAUUACCUGUUUUGGAUACUUAUGGGCUUUAUUUUACAUAUUUAUAUCAUUUUUGGGACUAACCUACUAACCGGAGGCCCAGCCCAUUUUUUUUGCCUGUUUCAGUAUUUCGAAGAAAAGGAAUAGCAAAUGGAGUCCAAACGGAAUGAAACCUUCAGGAGCGUUAUUUUUGGAACAAAUAUGAUCCGGAGAGCCUGGAGUGCAAGUCAAGAAAGCUCUGAGGGCCCCACGAGAUAGGAGGGCGCACCCCCGUGUCUCAUGGGCCCCUCGGGCGUCCACCGACGUACUUCUUCCUCCUAUAUAUACCUAUGGACCCCGAAAACUUCCGGGGGCACCACGAAACACAAUUUCCACCACCGUAACCUUAUGUAUCCGCGAGAUCCCAUCUUGGAGCCUUCACCGGCACUCUGCCGGAGGUGGAAACGACCACGGAGGGCCUCUACAUCAACAUCCUUUCCCCUCCUAUGAGUUGUGAGUAGUUUACCACAGACCUACGGGUCCAUAGUUAUUAGCUAGAUGGCUUCUUCUCUCUUUUUGGAUCUCAAUACAAUGAUCUCCCCCUCUCUUGUGGAGAUCCAUUCGAUGUAAUCUCUUUUUGCGGUGUGUUUGUCAAGAUCCGAUGAAUUGUGAGUUUAUGUUAAGAUUUAUCUAUGGUUAUUAAUUGAAUAUUCUCUGAAUUCUUUUAUGUAUGAUUGAGUUAUCUUUGCAAGUCUCUUCGAAUUAUCGGUUUGGUUUGGCCUACUAGAUUGAUAUUUCUUGCCAUGGAAGAAGUGCUUAGCAUUGGGUUCAAUCUUGCGGUGUUCUUACCCAGUGACAGAAAGGGUUGCAAGACACGUAUUGUAUUGUUUCCAUCGAGGAUAACAAGAUGGGGUUUAUAUCAUAUUGCAUGAGUUUAUCCCUCUACAUCAUAUCAUCUUGCUUAAUGCCUUACUCCGUUCUUAUGAACUUAAUACUCUAGAUGCAUGCUGGAUAGCAGUUGAUGUGUGGAGUAAUAGUAGUAGAUGCAGGCAGGAGUCGGUCUACUUGUUUUGGAUGUGAUGCCUAUAUACAUGAUCAUGCCUAGAUAACGUCAUAAUUAUUCGCUUUUCUAUCAAUUGCUUGAUAGUAAUUUGUUCACCCACCGUAAUACUUAUGCUCUCGAGAGAAGCCUGUAGUGAAACCUAUGGCCCCCGGGUCUAUCUCUUAUCAUAUUUGCUUUCAAUCUACUUUUAUUUGCAUCUUUACUUUUCUUGCAUCUAUAUUAUAAAAUACCAAAAAUAUAUCUAUCUUAUCAUACUAUCUUUAUUAGAUCUCACUUUUGCAAGUGGCCGUGAAGGGAUUGACAACCCCUUUAUUGCGUUGGUUGCGAGUUCUCAGUUUGUUUGUGUAGGUGCGUGGGACUUUUGAGGAGCCUCCUACUGGAUUGAUACCUUGGUUUUUUAAAUUGAGGGAAAUACUUACGCUACACUUGCUGCAUCAUCCUCUCCUCUAUGGGGAAAACCAACGCUAGCUCAAGACAUAGCAUUGCUUAAGUUGUUCACUUAGAGGCAUCAGCUUUUCGGUUCCAAUGUAUUGGGACCAGAACAACUUCUCCAUUGAGCUCCCCUCUUCAGCAUGAUAGAACUCUGCGGCAUCCAAAAUGCUGCAUGGCAGAUCUACGAAAGCCCCUGGAGAGCUCCGAAUUCGUGUAAGUAACAAAAAUGACUCCUCCACAUGCUUGCUUUGUAUAAAGAAUGCCAUACCCUUCGCUAUCUUCUUGGCCACUUGGAUCUCCUGGAGGGCCUUUUGGGCUUCGGCCUUGGCGUCUGUCGCACUCUGGAGGGCCUUCGCAAUCUCAGACUCUUGCGUCUUGAAGUCAUGCUCCAAGGACUCAAACUUCUUGCUGUACCUCUCCCACCCGAGCGUCUUGCUUCUCGCGCUCGGUGCACUCCGUAGCCGCCUUGGCUUCAGCCGCGGACAUCGCUUUCUUCAGGGCCGCCACUUCGCUCGUGGCUCCUAUCAAAAACCAUGAUGCUUUUUGUUAGCAUCAUUACUUUUUCUCCUCUAUAUGACACACAGACGGGGCUUCUUCUUCACGAGGCCGAGCUCUUCUUCGGCCUGCCAUAGUUCGCGCUUGAGUCCGGCAACCUCAGCCGUGCGUGCAGCGGCAGUCAGCAGCAAUGCCUGUUUGUUCACAAAGACAAGUACUAUUAGCUUCCUAUGGUUUUUUAGUUGACCCUCCGUUUGGCUUUUUCCCCCAAACACCAACCAGAGUAUCAGGGGCUACAUUCUAUCGGGUGAUAUUUCCUCACACUUUUUCGUUACUUACCCUGUUAGUAGGCUGGUGCAGGCUUCGGUCAAUCCGCGCUUGGCGGACCGAACCUUUUCAAUCACCGCACUCAUAAGAGUACGGUGCUCAUCAUCAAUGGAAGCGCCUCGAAGCACUUCCAACAAAUUAUCCGAUGCCUUAGGCUGGGGGGAGGUCAUUGGCACGGCCGGCUCGCUCUCCUUCGCGAGGGUCUGCCUUCUAUAAUCCGGAGCUUUUGGAGGCUCCGGCGUAGUAACCGGCUGGGAGCCAGACUUGUUGUGGCUCCCGUCAGCAUAAUCCAUGGGGGUCUUACCCCCCAUGCGCCCGGCGUCUUGGAUCUCGCCUUGGGGCAUCUCCGGAGCCGUCGCCUCCUGCUUUGGUAUCCUUCGGGACAACACCUCGUUGUCGUCCGCAGGUCGUGGGGAGGUGGCCGUCGGGAGUGAAUUCAUCUCCGACUCGCCCAAAGACUCCUCCGAAGAGGACACCCCGAGAUUGGACCCGGCUGGACUGCAUAUACGUUUUCGGCGUUAUUGAAAGCCAUAAGGUGAAAACCGCACAAAAAAUAUUACAGAAUGCGGAUACUUACGACCUCGCCCGGGGCUUGCCCCUGGGCAGCCACUCCUCGUCGCUAUAAGCAGCGGUUGAGGAGUGAUCUGGAAGGGAUGCCUUUCCCUUCUUCGGUAUCCCGGCCUCCCCCGACGGGGCGGCCUUCCUUUUCUUCUCCUCCCUGGUACGGGGAGGGGGCAUUUUUUCAUGUUUUCCCCCGUCUUCGGGAGGAGGGGGAAUCUUCCUCGUCAUCUUCGGAUGACGAUUGUAUAACGACCUUGCACCGGAGACCUUUUCUGGUCCCCGCGGCCGCCUUCUUGGACCCUUCGGCCCCCUCGGUUGAGGCGGCCUUCCUCUUUCUCUCCUCCCCUUUGUGGGAGGAGUGCGCUUCGUCAUCUUCGGGCGAGGCGUCGGGCGCGGCCUCGCGCCGGAGACCCUUCUGGGUCCCCAUGGCCUUCUUUUCGGCCUUUUUCUCCGGCACCUUGUAAGGCGCUGGAACCAGCAUCUCCGCCAGGAGUGCGUCUACUGGGUCCUCAGGCAAUGGAGCCGGACAGUCAAUCUACUCCGCCGUCUCCACCCAAUCCUGUUUGGUCAGCAUGGUGACUUAAAAAUCCUCCCCCGCAUGUACUAGGAACGGAACAUCUUGUAAUAGUCAGAGAACUUACCGGACUGGCGAGGCGCAUUGCGUUGAGCCCAUGGUCCUCAGAAAGGGGAGGAGGAACUUCGCCGGUCUUGAACAUCACCUUCCAAAUUUCUUUGUGCAUUGUGUCGAAAAGCUCCAGCAGCAUCUGAUGUUCGGCCGGGUCAAACUCCCACAUAUCAAAUGCCCGUCUCUGACAUGGGAGAAUCCGGCGAAUGAGCAUGACCUGGACCAUGUUGAUGAGCUUGAUAUUCUUGUCCCUCAUAUUUCUGAUGCAGGUCUCGAGUACGGUCAGCUCCGUGGGUUCGCCCCAGGCCAGGCCCUUCUUCUCCCAAGAAGUGAACCGCUUGGGGAUUCCGGAUCUGAAUUUGGGGGCCGCCACCCAGUUGGCGUCGCGCGGCUCGGUGAUGUAGAACCACCCUGAUUGCCACCCUUUUAUGGUCUCCAUGAAGGAGCCAUCAAGCCAUGUGACGUUGGGCAUCUUGCCCACCAUGGCGCCUCCGCACUCCGCCUGUUGGCCGCUCACGAUCUUCGGCUUCACGCAAAAGAUUUUCAGCCACAGGCCGAAGUGAAGCUUGAUGCGGAGGAAGGCCUCACACACGACGAUGAACGCCGAGAUGUUGAGGACAAAAUUCGGGGCUAGGUCAUGAAAAUCUAGCCCGUUGUAAUACAUGAGCCUGCGGACAAAUGGGUGGAGUGGAAAUCCUAGUCAGCGGACGAAAUGAGGGAGAAAUACUACUCUCUCCCGAGACUUUUGGGUCGGGGUGUCCCUCUGCUAGAAGCCUAUGCGCGAUGCCCUCGGCUAGUUAUCCGGCCUCCCGAAGCUUGGUAAUGUCCUCCUCCAUGACAAAGGAGGCCAUCCACUUGCCUCCCGCUCCGGACAUGCUGCGGUCUUAUAGAGAAAGUGAGAACUUGGGCGCUGGAGCUCAAGGGUGCGAGGACGGAUGAGCAAAUGAGGAAGAAGGCGUGGGUGAAAAUGGGGGAUCCUUUUCCCUUUAUAAAGGCAAUGCAGGAUGUGCGCCUCCCCACUUGCCUCUCUAAAUCAUUUAUUUUCCAAGCGCUUCGAUUGAUGGUGCUGGUUGGGUCACCCAUACGCGUAUUGAUGGAGAUCCCGUGAUAAGGGGACACGAUCUCUGCUUUGACAAGACGUGCCCGAGAAACCGCCUCGCGAUGUGUGCGGGAGCUGGAUGUAAAAAGCGGUUCGAAUUAUGACCGGACCACGGCGUACUGUCACACUGCGAAGGACUGUCGGCAGAUUAGAUUCGUGGGCUAUUGUUCUCUCUACGGCGGUAUGUGAAGAACCGGACACGGUCCUUGUGUUCGGAAUUUAUCUUGGAGUAUUCGGAGAUGGAACCCGCCUCGCUAUGUCGAAGACAAUCUAUGCGCCGGACUCAUCGUCAUUGAAGCCUGGUUCAAGGGCUACUGAGGGAGUCCUGGAUAUGGGGGUAUCCGGACAGCCGGACUAUAUGCUUUGGCCGGACUGUUAGACUAUGUAGAUACAAGAUUGAAGACUUCGUCCCGUGUCCGGAUGGGACUCUCCUUGGCGUGGAAGGAAAGCUUGGCGAUUCGGAUGUAGAUCUACUUUUCUGUAAACCGACUCUAUGUAACCCUAGCCUCCUCCGGUGUCUAUAUAAACCGGAGGGUUUAGUCCGUAGGACACAACAACUAUCAUACCAUAGGCUAGCUUCUAGGGUUUAGCCUCUCUAAUCUCGUGGUAGAUCAACUCUUGUAAUACUCAUAUCAUCAAGAUCAAUCAAGCAGGAAGUAGGGUAUUACCUCCAUCGAGAGGGCCCGAAUCUGGGUAAACAUCGCGUCCCCAGUCUCCUGUUACCAUUAGCCUUAGACGCAUAGUUCGGGACCCCCUACCCGAGAUCCGCCGGUUUUGACACCGACACCCCCUCCACCCAAGGGUGAUCCCGUGUUUGAGCUCAAACAUUUACCUGAUAAUCUUAAAUAUGCUUAUCUUGAUGAAAAGAAGAUAUAUCCUAUUAUUAUUAGUGCUAACCUUUCAGAGCAAGAAGAGGAAAGAUUAUUGAAAACUCUGAAGAAGCACCGUGCUGCUAUUGGAUAUACUCUGGAUGAUCUUAAGGGCAUUAGUCCCACUCUAUGCCAACAUAAAAUUAAAUUGGAUGAAGGCUCCAAACCAGUUAGAGAUCCUCAAUGACGGUUGUCGGUGUCAAAACCGGCGGAUCUCGGGUAGGGGGUCCCGAACUGUGCGUCUAGGCGGAUGGUAACAGGAGACAAGGGACACGAUGUUUUUACCCAGGUUCAGGCCCUCUCGAUGGAGGUAAAACCCUACUCCUGCUUGAUUAAUAUUGAUGAUAUAGGUAGUACAAGAGUUGAUCUACCACGAGAUCAGAGAGGCUAAACCCUAGAAGCUAGCCUAUGGUAUGAUUAUUGUAUAUCUCUAUCGACUAGCCUGGCCUCGGUUUAUAUAAUGCACCAGAGGCCUAGGAUAACAAGAGUCCUAGCCGAAUACGCCGGUGAGGAAGGAGUCCUUGUCUUGGUCACCAAGUCUUGCGGAAUCUUCCUUGUAUGCGGCAGCUGUCCGGACUGGCCCAUGAGUAUACGACCAUGGGGGUCCUCGGCCCAAUCUAACAGAUUGGGAGAUGACGUGGUGAGUACCCCCUAGUCCAGGACACCGUCAGUAGCCCCCUGAACCGGUCUUCAAGUUUAGGGACGCUCCUCGAUUCUUCCAAACCGUUCUUCAUCUUCAGUUGUCGGUCUUAAAAAUUGGUUCAACAAAUCUUCUCAUCUUCGAUCUUGAGGAUCGCCGAAAUGCAUUCGACGAGUUUACACGUCGGGUAUCCGAGGAGCCCCGUUAAGUUUCCGGCCUUUAUCAAUGCCUUGUUAUUUUUAUGCCACACCUCGGGUUUGAAGUUGUUCCCGGGCGGCAGCGUCCUCUUGCGUCCGAGCUCCAACGCCGGACUGCAUUUGAGGUAUCUUUUGCAGCCAAGCACCAAUGUCGGACCGCUUCCCAGCUCUAACGCCGGAAUGUAUCCAAGCUCCAACGCCGGACUAUGUAUCCGAGCUCCAACGCCGGACUGUAUCCGAGCUCCAACGCUGGACUAUGUAUCCGAGCUCCAACGCCGGACUGUAUCCGAGGUGUCGUAAAUCACCUUGGUUCAAAGAAGUUUGAAGGAGUUUGGCCGAGCUUAAUGCUGGAAAUGCCCUCUAUGGAGCCAGCCGCUAGCGCCUGAGCUUUAGGCCAGACUGCUUCUGAGUUGGUGCACCACCCCGAAUGUGGGCCGAUUUUUGUCAAUAUUUUUGAUUGGUGCAAUUUAUUCUCUGCCGAGAUAUAUAGCCAGUAGCCCUCAAGGUGGGUAUCGGUCUAAAAGCCGAGAUGCACAUGAAGGAUGACAUAAGACCGCUGAUCCCCGUAGCCGCUGAGACUCAGGUUGAUUUGCAAAAUCGGUUUGAGGAUCAAGUCCUAGCUCGCUAGAAUACUUCGGGACACAAAAAGCGGCAUGCUCAGUCCUCAAGACUCAGGUUGGGUGCGGCUGACCAACCUGAGGAUCAAAAUCUCCUCGGAGACUGUAUUACACUUAAAAUUUUCUGCAUUGGACAGGCAAUGCAAUAGCCCCCGAGACACUGGUCGGGUGGCAACACUAGAUCAGGGGAUCGAUGUGGCCCUUUAAUAUUUGUAAAUAAUAAGCCCGAAGCCUAGUAGCCCAGUAGCCCCCGUGGCUUAAUGCGGGCACGUGUGGCCGAAUUAAGGAUUGAUAUCCAUAGUAAAAUCAAAAAUCAUGUGUAAUGACUCUAUGUAUCCAAGUACUUUACGUCAUUAAUGCUCGAAUCCGCAUUGUACAAAACUUUGUUGACCGACCAUCGGCUUCCACCUCCUCGUCCAAUAGCCGAGGAGUGUUUGUCCUACUUUAUAAAGCCUUUAUGAGGGCAAAGAUUUACAACAAACAAGGCAAUCUGGCCAUACGGUUUUAUAAACAAAGGUACGCAGAGAGAUAUGUUAUAUUACUGUUUAACAAAAGAAAUAUCUUCCAAAGAAAAUAGUCCCGCUAUCGGUUCCUUUAUUUGGGUUGUCAUGCUAAGCAUGAUCAUGAAACCUCAGCUCCAACGUAAGAGCAAAAUAUCGAUGAUUUAGUUUGGGAGGCCAGUUAAUAUCCCGUGAUAGUGUUCGGCGAUAGUCGAGGUCAAGCCGUAAACACUUCGGCCAUUGUAUGAAUGGCCCGUCGUUUAACACCGUCAUCGGAUCGCUGACCAGUUUACGCUUAUUAUGACAGUUAGUUUUCGGCUUUCUCCACUGAGGUGCUUAACCAUGUGAGCUGGAAGCACAAUCACAGUGGUUUUCCCUUUGCACACCUAGCCGAACAAAGCGGAACGCAGGAGGCAAGCGCAGGAGCCGGGCAACCCAACUAUUGACCGAAGACAUAAUUCGAAACCGAUGCAUAUAUAGCAAUAUCCUAGAAUGUUUUUGCUGAAUCUCUAAAGGUGUCCGGCGUUGCACUGCGAGACUUUUGCUGCAAACACACAAAUAGUUUAAAAGUGCCAUAAGCUUGGAAAACCAAAAAACGUCAGUAAAAACUUGAUGUCCGAACAAGAUCAAGUGUUCGGUGCCAAUCCGAAAAUUAGCCUUAGCAAAAGAAUUGCUUCUGUCGUGCUUUAACAUGAUACAUCCUAUCUCAAGGCUUCAAGCGGGUCAGCCUACGUAUUCAACCUCCUAUCCCGAGGGCGGAGUACUUCUCAUUAGUCCAGUUUAGCAAACUAAACUCUAGCGGCUUUGAGAGAGAAAUUAGGCUCCCCGGCUAGUGACCACACGAUCGUGUCGAAAAAAGGAGUGAUAGAUAAUAAUAAAAACUUUGCAACGACUAAGAAGACAAACACUUAUUAUAAAACGGCUCAAAUAAAUUUAAGAGCCCCCAAGUGACUUGGGUAAAAUAAUGAUUGCAUGUACCGAAGACUUAUAUCAUAUAUAUGUUCAACCGAACUUUAAACGCGUCUUAACCGACCGUCGGCUCCUCCCUCUUCGGUCAAGGACCGAAAAGUAUUAUGUACUCCAUCUGUCGAGAAUAUCGACGGUGUUUCCAAUAACCAGGCAAUCAGGCCAUAAGGCUGUAACAGACAAAGCACGCUCAGGGAACUUAUGCUAUAUUACUGCGAAGUGUAAGAAGCAUCUUCGAAGAAAAUAGUACCCCCACCGAUACCUUUCUUCGGUGCUCAUUGUUAUUAUGAGACUUGUGCAAUAGAUUUUUUGUACUCAUGAGUUCCGUUGUGUGCCGACCAUCAUUGAAAACUAUAAGAGCGCUAGCUUUCGGCGUCACCCAGUCUGAGGUCCGGCUCGGAUGACCCGAUCCUGACAAUCGCAGAGGUGCUCCCUUUACUCCCUAGCCAAACAAUCGGGAAUGUAGGGGUAAACACAGGAGCGAGGCAACCCAGCUUGCAAAUCGCUUAAGUCAAUAUGGUGCAUAUUGUGGCGUAAUACACGAACAAGGAAUGAAGCCGUACAAGUAUAAUCAUAUGCAAGAGGAAAAGCUUCAUGAGGGAAGCCCCCAAGUAAACGGGGUAUUUGAAUUUGCACGUCACAAACAAAGUUUGGACAAGGAAAUUUUUGCAAGCAACUUUUUUCCAAAAAAGUAUAAUGCUUGGAUGAGCCAAACACAAGUUAAAAAUUUAAAACUUUGAGCAUGAAGGCAACUUAGCUGGUUAAUGUGUUCGGUAUUGAUGACGCGGUCCGAGCUUGAUGCGGGACAAGGUUCCAUCCCCCAAGCCGGUCCCGAGGUGGCGGAGCAAAGAGCUCGGCACUCUGAAGUGGUGACAUAUUCAUGAAGGAAGCUCAAUGUUGGACGACAAGGUUAUGCCGAAGUCCCCGGCAUGGGGUAAUGAAGUGUUGACAAAGCCCCCCGUCCAGCCGAGGUGACGCCAAAGGAUAUAGUCCGACUGGAUCAUUUUCCCGUGCACAAAAAAUAGUGCAAACCGGAGAUAAUAGUAAUAAUAAUAAAAAAUUCAUUGCAUAACAAAUAAUUUAUGCAAAAUGAGUAAUAAAAGAAAUAUGACCUGGCGCCGAAGUCAAUGACGAUGCAGGGCGGCGGCGUGAUGCGGUAAAGGCAUUGCAAGGCCUGAAUUCACAAGCCGGUUCGAGUUCUGGAUGCGGCGUUCGCCAGACUAUGUAUGGAAACUGACCGAACCACCAUGGGACCGUCGUUAAUGCGGCCACCAUUUGAUAGACCUGUGUACAUAUGAUGGACAAAUCAGUGUAAUAAUUCGUUGGGAAAAAUGAACCCAAACAAGCAAAAAAUACUAGGAUUAAUAGCACCUGGCUUAUUUGUUGUAGCAAUCCGAAGAAAGGUGAUUCCCAAAAUUGGGACUCGAUCCGCGCACCUAUCGCCUGAUGGGCGAUAAAGCAACGGCAUGGCGAUGCUGGCAAAGGUUGGCUCGCCGAGGCAAAGCCCUCGGUCCAGCUAAUGUGAUGGAGCUGGUCGGCCAGCGACGCCGAAGUCUCCGGAGUAGGUUGAUAAAGAGAUGAUGAAGCCCCCGGUCCAGCUAACGUGAUGAAGCCUCGGUGUCAGCCAAUGAGUCGAAGUAGGUCGGCGUGAUGGACACCAGCUUGAAAAAGCAACAGUGCGGCCCUGCCGAUGCAGGUCGUGACGUGGUCGAUGCCGGCUUGAUGAAGUGACCGCGCGGCGAUGCACGUGUGCCCACUCUAUGUAAUCCGUGGGGCAGCGAUGUUGGUGAUGAUUUAUCCUUCGCGAUGCCGGACUCUUGUUCGGCUUGCCGAGAUGAUGAUCCAAAAAAGUUGAGCGCAGCUCAACAAAGUGACGAUGUGUCUAGCGCAGGUCGGCAGCCGUGGAGCAAUAUUGCCGGACUGGUUUGACAGCAGCAUGAUGUUGAAGAUCAUGUUCAAAAGAUUUUAAAGUUAGUGGGAUGUGUUUGGGAACAAAACACAAUACCCCAUACAAAACUUUCUUCAAAAAGGAUGUCCGAAAUCCCGUUCGUAAAAAGGAUGAACUCAGGCCGGAUUUGUUUUCGCGUAGAAAACAUAUCCAAAAAGUGAUGCACUAAUCGGAAGGUUCCCGGAGUUUGGACGGUCGGAUCGAGCUGAAAUUUUGAGGGGUGGUAGAUAUAGCAAUUCCGCAGUCGAUCAACGGUCGGAUCUUCCAAAGGAGGUCCGAGCUAGAAGCUGGACACCACGCCCUAAACUCAUCCAUAUUCUCGUCCAGAUUUGACAGGGCUCCGAUAUAUUGUAGAUUGUCGGAGAUUCCUCCAUCAGAACUCGAUGAAAUUUAGCAUGGCUGUUGUAGAUGUAAUUCCGCACUAUUCCACCGAAGCAAUCAUCAAAACUACGCUCGAGGAGGCGGUGACGGCAGAUACAAGUUUGCUGUCCAGAAAAACAGCACGGUCGCCCGAGGGUAAUGUUGAUGUUGAGCCCCCGGGCUCCCUGGGUGAUUCCUCCAUGAUCUUGAUAGAGAUCAGAGCUGAUGUUGAUGAAGGCUCUCAUCCGAACAUGACGAUCUGAGGUAGGGUGCAGUACUUGGUCGAACCAAGGUGACCAAUCGAGCUGGUGACGAAGAUGCCGAAGUCGCAGUUGAUCUGCAGGCGAGCCAUCGACCUUUUGCCGAACACACAGCAGAACUCUCAAUGAAAGCACCAAUGUCGGUGUCAAAACCGGUGGAUCUCGGGUAGGGGGUCCCAAACUGUGCGUCUAGGCGGAUGGUAACAGGAGACAAGGGACACGGUUUUUUUACCCAGGUUCGGGCCCUCUUGAUAGAGGUAAAACCCUACUCCUGCUAGAUUAAUAUUGAUGAUAUGGGUAGUACAAGAGUUGAUCUACCACGAGAUCAGAGAGGCUAAACCCUAGAAGCUAGCCUAUGGUAUGAUUGUUGUAUAUCUCUAUCGACUAGCCUGGCCUCGGUUUAUAUAAUGCACUAGAGGCCUAGGAUAACAAGAGUCCUAGCUGAGUACGCCGGUGGGGGCAGAGUCCUUGUCUUGGUCGCCAAGUCUUGCGGAAUCUUCCUUGUAUGCGGCAGCUGUCCAGACUGGCCCACGAGUAUACAGCCAUGGGGGUCCUCGGCCCAAUCUAACAGAUCGGGAGAUGAUGUGGUGAGUACCCCCUAGUCCAUGACACCGUCAAUGGUUAAAUCCUAAGAUGAGAGAAUUGGUAAGAAAGGAGAUACUAAAGCUCCUUGAGGCAGGUAUAAUUUAUCCCGUUGCUGAUAGUGAUUGGGUAAGUCCUGUCCAUUGUGUCCCUAAGAAGGGAGGUAUUACUGUCGUUCCUAAUGAUAAAGAUGAAUUGAUCCCGCAAAGAAUUAUUACAGGUUAUAGUAUGGUAAUUGAUUUUCGUAAAUUAAAUAAAGCUACUAAGAAAGAUCAUUACCCUUUACCUUUUAUUGAUCAAAUGCUAGAAAGACUAUCCAAACACACACAUUUGUGCUUUCUAGAUGGUUAUUCUGGUUUCUCUCAAAUACCUGUGUCAGCGGAGGAUCAAUCAAAAACUACUUCUACUUUCCCUUUCAGAACUUUUACUUAUAGACGUAUGCCUUUUGGUUUAUGUAAUGCACCUGCUAUCUUCAAAGAUGCAUGAUGGCUAUAUUCUCUAACUUUCGUGAAAAUAUUUGUGAGGUAUUCAUGGAUGAUUUCUCUGUUUAUGGAUCCUCUUUUGAUGAUUGCUUGAGCAACCUUGAUCGAGUUUUGUAGAGAUGUGAAGACAGUAGCCUCGUCUUGAAUUGGGAAAAGUGCCACUUUAUGGUUAAUGAAGGCAUUGUCUUGGGGCAUAAAAUUUCUGAAAGAGGUAUUGAAGUUGAUAAAGCUAAAGUUGAGGCUAUUGAAAAGAUGCCAUGUCCCAAGGACAUUAAAGGUAUAAGAAGUUUCCUUAGUCAUGCCGGUUUUUAUAGGAGAUUCAUUAAGUACUUUUCUAAAAUCUCUAGGCCUCUGACUAAUUUAUUGCAAAAAGAUAUUCCUUUUGUAUUUGAUGAUGAUUGUUAGAAGCAUUUGAGAUACUUAAGAAACCUUUGAUCACUGCACCUAUUGUUCGGCCACCUGAUUGGAAUUUACCCUUUGAAAUUAUGUGUGAUGCUAGUGAUUAUGCUGUAGGUGUUGUUCUAGGGCAAAGAGUUGAUAAAAAAUUAAAUGUUAUCCAGUAUGCUAGUAAAACUCUUGAUACUGCCCAGAGAAAUUAUGCUACUAUUGAAAAAGAAUUCUUAGCGGUUGUAUUUGCAUGUGAUAAGUUCAGACCUUAUAUUGUUGAUUCUAAAGUUACUAUUCACACUGAUCAUGAUGCUAUUAAAUAUCUUAUGAAAAGAAAGAUGCUAAACCUAGACUUAUUAGAUGGGUACUCUUGCUCCAAGAAUUUGAUUUGUAUAUUAUUGAUAGAAAGGGAGCUGAGAAACCUGUUGCAAACAACUUAUCUAGGUUAGAGAACGUUCUUAAUGAUCCACUACCUAUUGAUGAUAGCUUUCCUGAUGAACAAUUAGCGGUCAUUAAUGCUUUGCGUACUGCUCCAUGGUAUGCUGAUUAUGCUCAUUACAUUGUUGCUAAAUUUAUACCACCUAGUUUCACAUACCAGCAAAAGAAAAAGUUCUUUUAUGAUUUAAGACAUUACUUCUGUGAUGACCCACACCUUUAUAAAGAAGGAGUAGAUAGUGUUAUUAGAUGUUGUGUACCUGAGCAUGAACAUGAACAUAUCCUACGCAAGGGUCACUCCAAACCAUAUGGAGGGCACUACGCUAGAGAUAGAACUGCACAUAAGGUAUUGCAAUCCGGUUUUUAUUGGCCUACUCUCUUCAAAGAUGCCCGUAAGUUGGUCUUGUCUUGUGAUGAAUGUCAAAGAAUUGGUAAUAUUAGUAGACGUCAAUAAAUUCCUAUGAAUUAUUCUCUUGUUAUUGAAGCAUUUGAUGUUUGGGGAUUUGAUUAUAUGGGACCUUUUCCUGCCUCCAAUGGAUAUACACAUAUUUUAGUUGCUGUUGAUUACGUUACUAAGUGGGUAGAAGCUAUUCGAACUAGUAGUAUUGAUCAUAACACUAUGCUUAAAUAAGUUAUUUUUCCGACGUUUGGAGUCCCUAGAUAUCUCAUGACUGAUGGUGGUUCACAUUUUAUUCAUGGUGCUUUUCGUAAAAUGCUUGCUAAGUAUGACGUUAAUCAUAGAAUUGCAUAUCCUUAUCACUCAUAGUCUAGUGGUCAAGUAGAAUUGAGCAAUAGAGAGCUCAAAUUAAUUUUGCAAAAGACGGUCAAUAGAUCUUGAAAGAAUUGGUCCAAGAAACUUGAUGAUGCAUUAUGGGCCUACAGAACUGCAUAUAAAAAUCCUAUGGGUAUGUCUCCGUAUAAGAUGGUAUAUGGGAAAGCAUGUCACUUACCUCUCGAACUUGAACAUAAAGCAUAUUGGGCUAUUAAAGAGAUCAACUAUGACUUCAAACUUGCCGGUGAGAAGAGGUUAUUUGAUAUUAUCUCACUUGAUGAGUGGAGAACCCAAGCAUAUGAGAAUGCUAAGCUGUUCAAAGAAAAAGUUAAAAGAUGGCAUGAAAAAAGAAUACAAAAGCGUGAGUUUAACGUAGGUGAUUAUGUGUUGCUAUUCAACUCUUGUUUAAGAUUUUUUGCAGGAAAACUUCUCUCUAAGUGGGAAGGUCCUUACGUUAUUGAGGAGGUCUAUCGUUCUGGUGCCAUAAAAAUCAACAACUUCGAAGGCACAAGUCCGAGUGUGGUGAACGGUCAAAGAAUUAAACAUUAUAUCUCAGGUAAUCCUAUAAAUAUUGAAACUAAUAUUGUUGAAACCGUAUCCACGGAGGAAUACAUAAGGGACACUUUCCAGAACAUUUCAGACUCCGAAAAGGAAUAGGUAUGUGGUACGGUAAGUAAACCGACUCCAAAACAAUUCUAAUGGCAUUUUUUCUCCAUUUUGGAAUAUUUACGAAUUUGGGAAAGCAAGAAGUAAUCCGGGAAGGACACGAGGCCUCCGCGAGGGUGGAGGGAGCCCACCUUUACUAGGCGCGCCCCCUGUCUCAUGGGCACCUCGUGUGCCUCCCGGACUCCAUUUUCUUGCAUGCUACUUCUUUUGGUCAGUAAAAAUUCAUUAUAUAAUCUCCAGAAGGUUUUGACCACCGUAUCACGUAAAAAUCUUCUAUUUUCAUUUCGAGCCGUUUUUCUGACAGAUCUAAAGCAUAAUGACGUCACCCUCCUUCAACAAUGAAGACAAGGAUGCUUGGCUAUUGAAGAUAGAGCUGAAAAGAGAAGGACCUGAGGAGAUCAACAAGGAUGAAGGGAUCAAGAAGGCCAUGGAGGAUCAAGCUUCGGCUGUGGAAGAAGAAAACACCCCCAACCUCUACCUAACCUCUUUACCCCAACUGACAUUGAAGCUUUCAAGAUGAUUGAGUUAGCUCGCAUACAAAACAAGUAUCUCACACAGGAAAAUAUUUUGUUGAUGGAUCAUAUCAUUGCACUCAAGGGCAUUAUCCGCAAGUUGGAAGAGCUUUUACAUUCGAUGUGCGAUUAUCCACCAUCAUCAUCACCACCUUCAUCACCUCCGAGGACAUAACCACAUGGGUAUGGGCACUCCCCUUGGCAACUGCCAAGCUUGGGGGAGGUGCCCCGGUAUUGUAUCACCAUCACACUCCUAUCUUUACCGUUUUUCUUAGUUCGAUCCUUUUAGUAAUAUCUUUAUCUAGUAGAAUAAAGUUUUGGUAUGAAUUAGUUUUGAGUUUUGCUUUGUGAUCCUUCUAUGUAAUCGAGACUGUGGGCUAUAUAAUAAAGAUUAGUGUUGAGUCAAGGGCUUUGCUAUCUUGCUAUGAUCUUGAGAAAUAGAAAGAAUAAAAAGAAUAAAAGAGUUCAUAUUGAUCUUAUGGAUAGUAAUGACUUCACACAUAGAGAGUAUGAUGCUUAAAAGUUGUUGAAAGUUGACAAACAUAGUUUUGGUCAUCGUUGCAAUUAAUAGGAAGUAAUAAAGAAAGAGAGGUUUUCACAUAUAAAUAUACUAUCUUGGACAUCUUUUAUAAUUGUGAGCACUCAUUAAAGUAUGACAUGCUAAAGAGUUGAUGUUGGACAAGGAAGACAACGUAAUGGGUUAUGUUUUCUCACAUCUCAGUUAAAGUAUAUAGUUAUGGAUCAUUCCAACAUGUUGAGCUUGCCUUUCCCCCUCAUGCUAGCCAAAUUCCUUGCACCAAGUAGAGAUACUACUUGUGCUUCCAAAUAUCCUUAAACCCAGUUUUGCCAUGAGAGUCCACCAUACCUACCUAUGGAUUGAGUAAGAUCCUUCAAGUAGGUUGUCAUGAUUGCAAGCAAUAAAAAUUGCUCUCUAAAUAUGUAUGACUUAUUAGAGCGUAGGAGAUCAGCUUUAUAUGAUCGUGUGAUAUGGAAGUAAUAAAAGCGACGAACUGCAUAAUAAGAUAUUGUGCAUCCAACCCUCAAAGCACAUGACAACCUCUGCUUCACUCUGCGAAGGGCCUAUCUUUUACUUUAUGUCUUUUACAUUAUGCAAGAGUCAAGGUGAUCUUCACCUUCCCCUUUUUCAUUUUAUCCUUUGGCAAGCACCUCGUGUUGGGAAGAUCCUGAUAUAUAUAUAUAUAUAUAUAUCCAAUUGGAUGUAAGUUAGCAUGAACUAUUAUUGUUGACAUCACCCAAAGGUGAAUAUGUUGGGAGGCGAAAUUAUAAGCCCCUAUCUUUCUUAGUGUCUGAUUAAAACUCCAUAACCAUAAGUAUUGCAUGAGUGUUAGCAAUUGUGGAAGACUAUAUGAUAGAUGAGUAUGUGGACUUGCUGAAAAGCUCUAUUCUUGACUCUUUCCAAUGUUAUGAUAAAUUGCAAUUGCUUCAAUGACUGAGAUUAUGGUUUGUUAGUUCUCAAUGAAGUUUCUGAACCAUACUUGACAUUGUGAAUAGAUUGUUACUUGAGCAUAAGAAAUUAUAUGACAAAAUCUAUAUAUGUUGCUGUUAUAAGAAUGAUCAUGAUGACCUCAUGUCCAUAUUAUAUUUUUAUUGACAGCUCUAUGUCUAAACAUGUGGACAUAUUUUUUGUUAUCGGCUUCCGCUUGAGGACAAGCAAGGUCUAAGCUUGGGGGAGUUGAUAUGUCCAUUUUGCAUCAUGAUUUUAUAUCAAUAUUUAUUGCACUAUGGGAUGUUAUUACACGUUAUGUCACAAUACUUAUGGCUAUUCUCUCUUAUUUUACAACGUUUUUCAUGAAGAGGGAUAAUGCCGACAGCUCAGAUUCUGGCUGGAAAAGGAGCAAAUAUCGGAAACCUAUUCUGCACAGCUCCAAAAGUCCUGAAACUCCACGGAAGUCAUUUUUGGAAUUAAUAAGAAUUAUUGAGCAAAGAAAGUACCAGAGGGGGACCACACCCUGGCCACGAGGGUGGGGGCCUCCCCCUACUGGGCGUGCCCCCCUAUCUCGCGGGCCCCUUGUUAGCCCUCCGGUUCCCAUCUUCUGCUAUAUGAAGUCUCUUACCCUGGAAAAAAUCAUAAGCAAGCUUACAGGACGAAACUCCGCCACCACAAGGCGGAACCAAUCUAGGGCUCCGGCGGAGCUGUUCUGCCGGUGAAACUUCCCUCCGGGAGGGGGAAAUCAUCACCAUCGUCACCACCAACGAUCCUCUAAUCGGGAGGGGGUCAAUCUCCAUCAACAUCUUCACCAGCACCAUCUCCUCUCAAAACCCUAGUUCAUCUCUUGUAUCCAAUCUUGUAUCAAAACCACAAAUUGGUACCUGUGGGUUGCUAGUGGUGUUGAUUACUCCUUGUAGUUGAUGCUAAUUGGUUUACUUGGUGGAAGAUCAUAUGUUCAGAUCCUUAAUGCAUAUUAGUACUUCUCUGAUCAUGAACAUGAAUAUACUUUGUGAGUAGUUACGUUUGUUCCUGAGGACAUGGGUGAAGUCUUGCUAUUAGUAGUCAUGUGAAUUUGGUAUUCGUUCGAUAUUUUGAUGAGAUGUAUGUUGUCUCUCCUCUAGUGGUGUUAUGUGAACGUCGACUACAUGACACUUCACCAUUAUUUGGGCCUAGAGGAAGGCAUUGGGAAGUAAUAAGUAGAUGAUGGGUUUCUAGAGUGACAUAAGCUUAAACCCUAGUUUGCGUUGCUUCGUAAGGGGCUGAUUUGGAUCCACUAGUUUCAUGCUAUGGUUAGGUUUACCUUAAUACUUCUUUUGUAGUUGCGGAUGCUUAAAAUAGGGGUUAAUCAUAAGUGGGAUGCUUGUCCAAGAAAGGGCAGUACCCAAGCACCGGUCCACCCACAUAUCAAAUUAUCAAAGUAACGAACGCGAAUCAUAUGAGCAUGAUGAUAACUAGCUUGACGAUAAUUCCCAUGUGUCCUCGGGAGCGCUUUUCUCAUCAUAAGAAAUUGUCCAGGCUUUUCCUUUGCUACAGAAAGGAUUGGGCCACCUAGCUGCACCUUAUUUACUUUCAUUGCUUGUUACCCGUUACAAAUUAUCUUAUCACAAAACUAUUUGUUACCUACAAUUUCAGUGCUUGCAGAGAAUACCUUACUGAAAACCGGUUGUCAUUUCCUUCUGCUCCUCGUUGGGUUGGACACUCUUACUUAUCUAAAGGACUACGAUAGAUCCCCUAUACUUGUGGGUCAUCAUGCGGCCAUGCUCUUUCCUAUACUCCAGCUUGGUGCAUCCAGGUAGAAAUCAAUAGGCUCUGUUGUUGGCGCAAAGGUCAUCCCAGGUAUCCAUACUUUGAUCUUCUAGCGCUCCUCUUCCGGUACAGAGGUGGAGAAAGUGCCUGUGAAGCUUGGUAAUUCGAUGUUCAAAUACUUAGUGACUUCCUUCAAGUGCUUUCCGAAAGGGGUGUCGCCAUCCGGUUGAGUGAACUUGUUCCUGGGAUUCACCAUCUAUAGAGUAGAAAGCAAGGAGAAUUAGAAACGAGUAGAGAAAAGAAAUCAUGUGGCUCAUUCUAGUGGUCACAUCCUGCAGUCAGCGUGUGCUCUAAUACCAUCUUGUAGUGACCAGACCGCAAACGGUCAAGUCUCUGUGCAUCAGUGUCAUCCCUGGAAUGGUAAUGCUGACACACACAGUACUUGAGGAAUUAUAACAGAGUCUCAAUCACACUUAUUACAUCGAGUCCUCAUAAAGAGUAUGAUUACAAAAAUAUAAUGGCUGAAAGCCAUCUAAACUAGAUAACUUCGGAAGCUUCAAAGGUAAAUGAGUCCAUCAACUCCAACGGCAUAGCUGAGUGCAAAACUGCAACCUAUCGCACCUUAUUCGUCGUCUUAGUAGUCUGCAACAUAAGACGUUACAGCCUGAAACGGGUCAACACAUGGAAUAUGCUGGCAUAGUUACUCUGUAAAGCAAUGAAAUGCAAUAACUAUAUCUACAUGCAAUAUUUUGCUGGUGGAGGCUGUAAGUUUCAUGAUUUUGCAUAAAGCUAGUGUUUCCCUACAACAAAGGAAUACAUUUAUUUAACUACUCCCAUGUUGCCCAUUAUUUGAGAAGGUAACCCCAACUCAAAUCCCAAUUAAAAGUAUCAUCAUUAACCCAACUCAAUUUAAUUAAAGUAACGUGAUGAGAUCACAUCAAUAAAUUCAAGUACUAGAUACUCAAACGUCCAUAACCAGGGACACGGCAAACCAUGAUUAGUUUAUACACUAGACAGAGGUUUGCGCACUUCUCCCUACAAGACUCGCCCGCAUCCAUGAUCGGAUGAUCGAGACAUAGCCUUUCUGAAGCAUUAACUCUCUACUCCGGGUAGACAGUACCACCUAGGACCCUCUACAUCUACUAGUCUACCUCUUCAAGAGCUCACGCAACUUACUCAACUAUGCCAGAGCCCAUAAUGGCUUGUGGCUGCACACGGAAGUUUCUAGCAUGAAUAAUCUUAUGAUCCCUUUGAGCCUGGGUGGCAUUCCAUAGGAUAAUCACACGGAUACCCCGGGAUUUCCAAAAAUAGGCAACACUUGGUUCCCCAGGUGCCCCAACCAAUCCACCCAGAUAUGUAUUAAAGUUGCCACCUUAAUGUUAUCCAUAAUUAAAAUAACUCUCAAACUUCCAUGUGUGAAUCACGAUCCAAUCCCCAUCUACGAGCAUGGCUAAGAAAUAAUAAGCAUAAUGUAUAUUCAAGGGGUGAUCAAAAGGUAUUAGGUUCCUACCUCAAGCACUACAACCAAAACCACAUGUUCCCAAUCCUACUAAAUGCAAAUAUUUUUUGAGCAAUACUAAUGCAUAGUAAAAACUGGGUAUAAAAGAGUAUGAUCAAAGUGUAACUUGCCUUGCUAACGAUUUGCAAACUCUAGAGAUUCGUAGUAACAAGCUUCGCACUCCGGGUAAUCUAUCGUGGACAAACAAUAGCAUACAUAAGCAAUCACUCAAACAAAACACGAGAGAAACUGAGAAAAGAUCCAAAUCGAACAUGAAACAAGAAAAUGGCUUAAACUAGCAAGAGUCAAAACCUAACAGCAAUAUUAACAUGUGAAUUAGAUCUUAACAGUAGAUAUAUGUGACUAGCUACGAUUCGCAAAAAGAUUUAACUCAAAUGGAGCAACGCAACUCAAAAUACGAACGAAACAAGAUCGUUUACUAAUCUGGACUAAAGUCAAAUUUUACAGUAGCAAAAUCAUUUUCAAGUUGGUUAUCCAGAAAGAACAGAACAAAACGAAGAUUUUGGCGCUGGUUUCAUCUAAUUUGGAUAAACAAUUAAAAAGUUAUGCUAGUUUAAAGACGAGAGGCUAAAUCACGAUAAAAAUAUUCGCGGAUAAGUCCCUGGCCGAAAAUAAACUGAAAAGAAAAAGACUACCGAAUGAACGUUCGCUGACUGAACUAAUCCGACAAAUAAAGUUCGUUAAAACGAACGAACGGACGAACAUCCGCUAAAUAAAAUAACCGAACGAAUAAUUGAUCUAAAACAAAACCGCAAAAACCUAAAAAAUCCAGGCGGUCCGGUUCGUACCGGCUCAGGAAAAACUGUAGGCGGCGGCGGGGUCAAUGGCGGCUGCAGCGGCUGACGGCGGCGAAGCGGGGUGGUGGGUCCAGCGUCGCGGGGCGCUGGUGGCGGUGGCUAGAAGUGGCAGCGGCAUGCGGCGGCGACGGCACGCAGCGUGAGCGGCGGCGGGGCGGUNNNNNNNNNNNNNNNNNNNNNNNNNNNNNNNNNNNNNNNNNNNNNNNNNNNNNNNNNNNNNNNNNNNNNNNNNNNNNNNNNNNNNNNNNNNNNNNNNNNNNNNNNNNNNNNNNNNNNNNNNNNNNNNNNNNNNNNNNNNNNNNNNNNNNNNNNNNNNNNNNNNNNNNNNNNNNNNNNNNNNNNNNNNNNNNNNNNNNNNNNNNNNNNNNNNNNNNNNNNNNNNNNNNNNNNNNNNNNNNNNNNNNNNNNNNNNNNNNNNNNNNNNNNNNNNNNNNNNNNNNNNNNNNNNNNNNNNNNNNNNNNNNNNNNNNNNNNNNNNCCGGGAGAGGGAGGGGGGGGGGGCGACGACAGCUUGCGGGAUGGGGCAGCUAGGUCAGAGUGAGAGAGGACUUCGGCUCGGCCACGGCGGCGAUGUCGGUGGCGGCGGCGCGGGCCGGCUUGGCUGGGCCAUUGGCCCAAUCGGGCGAAGGAACUUUUUUUUAAAAUAAAUUCGCCCAAAGAAAAAAUUUCCUAAUAAAAUAUAAAAAAUCUAGAAAAUGCCAAAAACAAUUUUCACCAUCUUAUUAAAAUAUUUAGAACAAACUCAACAUUUUUCUGGCAUAAAAUGCAAUUUUCAAAAAUGUUUAUUAUUCUAAUUGAAAUAAAAUAGCAGAUAAAAAUACAAAUAAAAUCAUAAUUUGAUUUUGAAAUUCUUUCUCCAAUAUUUCUCUUAAUUUUGAAGAAGUCAUAUUAUCUCUCUAAGUUAAUUUUAAUAAUGGAAAUAAUUGGAGAGAAAAAUAAUAAAAAUCAAAUUGACCCAUUCUUCAAUUUUGAAAUGAAUGCAAAUAUGAUUUUUGUGAAACCUACAUCUCUCUCCUUGGGUCCUUGAGUUGCUUAAGAUUUCUAGGAUCUCAACAAAAUGCAAGAAUAUGAUAUGCACAUGAUGACCUAUGUAUGACAUCCAAAUUGAAAAUUGGGAUGUUACAUUUCCCAAGUUCGGGCCACCUUGCGGUGUAAAACCUACUCCUGCUUCGUGGUGGAUUUCCUUGGUAGGAGGAUGAGUAUGAAUUAGUACAUGUGUGAGCUGCCUCCGGAGGGCUCAAUGGCAGAAUGAUUCAAUAUUUCUCCAUGGUGGAGACUAACCUAUAUUUAUAGUGGCCUUGGUCCUCUUCCCUCAUAGCUUAGGCGGGAAGGGAAAUCACAACGGCCAAUUUUGAAGGGGGACAGGAGUACACCCUAUCUUGAGUAAAGGUGGUCUUCGCCUGCAAAUCUUCUGGUCAUGACGUAGUGGUGGGCUCGGUGAUGACCUUCGUCCUACCGAGCCCGCGGUCUUGGUAUUGUUGCGCUGGAAUAAAACCUUUGGGGGAUUCCUUGGGAACCCGUGUACGUCCUUGCCUACUUAGCUCCAAAGAGGAAACUGCACCGUAUUUUUCCCGCUGGCGCCCUGCUGGCCUUGGUUGUCAUGGCUCACGUCACCGUGCGCCUCGCGAGGUGAGGUGAUUGCCUAGAGAUAUCUGCUCCACGGGAGGUGUCCUCAGGUGGUCGCUCCUUGGGAGAUCUUGAUGUCGAUCGCCUCGCGGGGUGGGGGGCCUCGUAAGGGUCUUUGCUUGUUCGUGAGCUCCUGCUGCUUGGCCGCGCCGGGCCAUGUUGAGGCCACGCGCUAGGCCACGGGCAGAAGGGUCUGGGUACCCUUGGUCCCAGAACGCUGACACCAGCACCCGGGCCCAUGGCACGCUCGGCAUAGCUUUGAGGCCAAGGCAGAGAGGGGAGGGCGAAGCGACGCGGGCCCUAACUGCCUAAGGGUCAGGCUUGACGCAUGGGACACGACGGGCCACAGACACCCCACUUACCCAUGUCGCGUCGAUAAUUGCCCGGGCUAACAAAAAGCUGGCGCUUGUGCAGCGAGGCCAACCUUGCUCGAAGGUGGAGGGGCACCGGUUGGCCCUCUCUGAUCUCCUAUAAGAAGGCGAAGGGGCUGAACCGCUAACCAUCUCUGUCUUCUUGUCGACUCACCUCCAGUCCUUGUCGCGGUAGCCGUGGCGCCUGUGAGGAGGUUCACUACCGCCGAGAAGGGCAAGGCUCCGAAGGAGGGACCGGAGCCGCCGCAGCCCAAGACGGGGCACGACCUUCCCCACAAGUCCGCUGCUACACGUGCAGUGUCAUCUCGGUGUCGUGGGCGCCCUCCAUUGGUGGUCUGCAUUGGCUCCGGCAGCCGUGCAAAGAGACCCACUCACGAAAGCGGUUGUGGAGGCCAUGGCGGUCAUGGCUAUGGGGGGAAUGGGGCGGCCGCCCGUCCUCCCUGACCACAGUCCCACUCCGCCGACAAGGCCUGCAAGUUCGUCAUGUGGAUGGAGAGUCCACCCCGCACCUGGCUCCAUCGCGCGCUCCUUCGUGACGGAGCUGGCAGCGGACAGGCCCAUUGAGUUAUGGCUGCAGCCCUCCGGCUGCUACAACAAGUCCUCAUGGGCGGUGGUCGAAGUCACUCCCUCCGGCUAUGUUUACAUGACUCGGGGGUGACAGUCGUUCGCCUGUUCCUGUGGCCUGGAGGGAAGGCACACCCUCCAUUUUAGGUUUGACAGGGUGGUGACGCUCUUUGUCAAGAUCUUCGAGGAGGCCGGCGGAUGCUUGUGAUGCUGCCCGGAGGGCGACAGCAGCGGCAACGACCAACCUCCUGUAAUGACGACAGCGUGCGGAGGUGGCGGCGACGUCCGCGGCAGUGAACUUGCACCUGGCGACGGCCGCGGCACCUCCUCCGGGGACAGCGGAAGGGACAAGACUACGACGAGCCGCGACGCCACCGCAUCAAGCUGGAGGAUGACUCUGACUAGGCGCCCGUGCGGUCGGAGCUGGCGCUUCAGGAGCUACGACCCUCGGGAGGCCGUUUCUUUUGCGCUUUUUUUAUUUCCUGCAUUGAAACCAUCAAGGGCCCCAUGGGGUCGUGUAAGGAACCAUGUCACUUGCACCUAUAUCUUUAAUGCUUUCCACUUGUGUUUUGAGUUGUGUUGGCGUAUUUCGUUUGGCCUCGAGUCCCUUUUCCUUUGCGAUAACUUAGUGCUCUGCAUCAUCGGGACCCAGUCCCCAGGAAAACUUCUAACAUCACUGGUAUGCCAGGUCGUGAUGCCGUGUGCAAGGCCAGGAGGUCAGCGGCCCGAGGUCCGGUAAGAGCUCCUGAGGCGCGAUGCUCGGGAGGUCCCCCUUGACGCGCAAGAGGCUUUUGAGAGAAAAUGGGGUUUUCGUCCGUGCAAGAUCGCAAAAACGAAAGUGAGGCGUGAAUGGUAAGGCUCGCACCAGGCCGUUGAUACAUCCAUUUUGCAUCAUGCUUUUAUAUCAAUAUUUAUUGCAUUAUGGGCUGUUAUUAUAUGUUAUGUCACAAUACUUAUGCCUAUUCUCUCUUAUUUUACAAGGUUUAUCAUGAAGAGGGAGAAUGCCGGCAACUGGGAUUCUGGCUGGAAAAGGAGAAAAUAUUGGAAACCUAUUCCGCACAGCUCCAAAAAUCCUGAAACUCCACGAAAGUCAUUUUUGGAAUUAAUAAGAAUUACUGAGCAAAGAAAAUACCAGAGGGGGCCCACACCCUGGCCAGUAGGGUGGCGGGCGCGCCCCCCUACUGGGCGCGCCCCUGGUCUCCUAGGCCCCCUAUUGGCCCUCCGGUGCCUAUAUUCUGCUAUAUGAAGGCUUUUACCCUGGAAAAAAUCAUAAGCAAGCUUACGGGACGAAACUCCACCGCCAUGAGGCGGAACCAAUCUAGGACUCCGGCGGAGCUGUUUUGCUGGGGGAAACUUCCCUCCGGAGGGGAAAAUCAUCACCAUCGUCAUCACCAACGAUCCUCUCAUCCGGAGGGGGUCAAUAUCCAUCAACAUCUUCACCAGCACCAUCUCCUCUCAAAACCCUAGUUCAUCUCUUGUAUCCAAUCUUGUAUCAAAACCACAAAUUGGUACCUGUGGGUUGCUAGUAGUGUUGAUUACUCCUUGUAGUUGAUGCUAAUUGGUUUACUUGGUGGAAUAUCAUAUGUUUAGAUCCUUAAUGCAUAUUAAUACUCCUAUGAUCAUGAACAUGAAUAUGCUUUGUGAGUAGUUACUUUUGUUCCUGAGGACAUGGCUGAAGUCUUGCUAUUAGUAGUCAUGUGAAUUUUGUAUUCAUUUGAUAUUUUGAUGAGAUGUAUGUUGUCUCUCCUCUAGUGGUGUUAUGUGAACGUCGACUACAUGACACUUCACCAUUAUUUGGGCCUAGAGGAAGGUAUUGGGAAGUAAUAAGUAGAUGAUGGGUUGCUAGAGUGACAGAAGCUUAAACCCUAGUUUAUGCGUUUCUUCGUAAGGGCUGAUUUGGAUCCACUAGUUUCAUGCUAUGGUUAGGUUUACCUUAAUACUUCUUUUGUAGUUGCGGAUGCUUGCAAUAGGGGAUAAUCAUAAGUGGGAUGCUUGUCCAAGAGAGGGCAAUACCCAAGCACCGGUCCACCCACAUAUCAAAUUAUCAAAGUACCGAACGUGAAUCAUAUGAAUGUGAUGAAAACUAGCUUGACGAUAAUUCCCAUGUGUCCUCGGGAGCGCUUUUCUGAUUAUAAGAAAUUGUCCAGGCUUGUCCUUUGCUACAAAAAGGAUCAGGCCACCUUGCUGCACUUUAUUUACUUUCAUUGCUUGUUACCCAUUAGAAAUUAUCUUAUCACAAAACUAUCUGUUACCUACAAUUUCAGUGCUUGCAGAGAAUACCUUACUGAAAACCGCUUGUCAUUUCAUUCUGAUCCUCGUUGGGUUCGACACUCUUACUUAUCGAAAGGACUAUGAUAGAUCCCCUAUACUUGUGGGUCAUCAGGCGCGUAGAAGGUGACUUAGCUUAGGGUGGUCGUAGCUCGCGAAGGAUUCCUGCGUCAUGAGGGCAAGCUUCCUUGGAGCUUUGAUCCUCUGUACGCUUCAUCUCAAGCGAUGCCCGCGCUGCAGGACCGCGCCCCUCUUCCCGUGCUCCCUCGCGAGGUUUACCCAUUGUUUCCUCGCUCCCCAAGGUGCUCUACGUCCUCAGGACCCGGCCCUCGAGUGGAGCUCAGCCGCCACUGGUAUAGCAGGUCGUGAUUCCUGGGACAAGGCCAGGGGAUGAGGGCCUAAUAGCUAGUAGGGGUUCCUGAGUCAUGAUGCUCAGGAGCCACCCUUUUAACGUGCAAGUGGCUCGUGGGAAAAGGAGUGGUUUGCCUCACUGGGAUUGCAAGGGAAAGGGACUUUGGCCAGCAAAACGUGGCAGCUCAAGUGAUUUUACUUAGCCUGUAACAGGUCAAACCGCCACCUGAUUAAGGCGGAUCCUCCUGAGGCGGCAGGGCAUCAUGGAGGAGCUACUCGAACGCAUGUCUCCCAAGGUUCCCGCGCAUUUGAUAGAUAACGAAAUACAAGGGCCGACACGUGCUUGCUGGUCUGCUCAUGAUUGUUCCAUGAGAAGAUGAAGGCACUAAGGACCUGGUGAGGUGACGUGCACGGGGCUGGCCCGUGAGCCAGAGCUCAGUCGCUUAGAUUUAUAAGUGCUGUUGGGACGGACCCAAGCAUAGGCGCCGUGCCAGUAGCCCUAUGAUAGCCUGGUUUUUGCCGCCUCUUCUUUGCCCGAUUUUCAGUUGGUUUGAAUUUGAGUUUGGAGUUUUUGAAUCCUUUCAUUGGACUUAACCAAUUGGGUACCCCUUGACUUUCACCCAAGUGCUUCAUCUCCCUCUCAAACCAUCACUCCAUCUCUGGUUCACCUCAUAAUAUCAUUUAGAAUAUUUUUCUUGAAUGAAAAAUAUUCAUUUUCCCUCCUAAACCCUAGCUAUCUCAAUGUGCUCCAAAGCAACCCGAAUUUUUCUUGCCCAUAAAAUCCUGAGAAAAAAUCCAAUUAUUCUUUGAACCCUAGGGCACCUUUCUGAGAAAAAAUAUAUUUCAUCACUUUUGGAAUAUUUUGGCUAUAGAAAAUAUUUUCAUUUCUGGACAGAAAUGGUAGUUUCUUCAGCAACUACCAUUUUACUUGCUCCAUUGUAGCUGGUUUUUCUUGUGCUUCUUCACCUUAGUAAAUGUUGGUUAGCCUCCAAAGCCCAACCCUCAACUCCCAGUGGUUUGACCACAAUAAAAUCUCAAAGUUACUGUCCAGAAACUUACUUGGAGUGUAAAUUCAUUUCUACUACACCUGAAACCCAACCCAAGUGUGGUAACAGACAAAUCUACCAUGGACUACAUGCCAGACAUGAAGUUUGGGCUUACGUUGGCUUGAGGUCAUAGUUCACGCGGUGACUGUGUUUGUCCAGGCAUGCUGGCAUGCAAAACACGUGCUCUGAGUGCCGCCGAGCGCUCUGUUGCGCGCGUUGAGGGAGUCCCGGAUUAGGGGGUGUCCGGAUAGCCGGACUACCAUCAUCGGCCGAACUAUCAUCGGCCGGACUAUCAUCAUCAUCGACCGGACUCCAAGACUAUGAAGAUACAAGAUUGAAGACUUCGUCCCGUGUCCGGAUGGGACUUUCCUUGGCGUGGAAGACAAGCUUGGCGAUACGGAUACGUAGAUCUCCUACUAUUGUAACCGACUCUAUGUAACCCUAGCCCUCUCCGGUGUCUAUAUAAACCGGAUGGCUCUAGUCUGUAGGACCGAACAACAACAACCAUUACAAUCAUACCAUAGGCUAGCUUCUAGGGUUUAGCCUCCUUAAUCUCGUGGUAGAUCCACUCUUGUAAACAUCCACAAUAUCAAUAUCAAUUAAGCAGGACGUAGGGUUUUACCUCCAUCAAGAGGGACCGAACCUGGGUAAAACAUCAUGUCCCUUGUCUCCUGUUACCAUCCGCCUAGACGCACAGUUCGGGACCCCCUACCCGAGAUCCGCCGGUUUUGACACCGACACGCGUGCUCGCUGCUUUGCCUGCCCGAUCGUGCCAAACCGCGCCACCAUCAUCGUCUCUACUCAAUUAACUCCGCCCUGGCACUCGCCAUAGUGCGCGGCGCACUGUGCUCGUCGUCUUCCUCUCGCCCCUGUGCUCGUCCCCGUCCGCCAACAAUCCCCGCGUGAGCUACGUCUUCUUCCCCGUCUCUCACUGACGCUGUUCGCCGGGCGCCACGGGCAGGUGUCUAACGGCAGGGCCCGAACCCCGCUAGCUGCUCGCCAAUAAAUACGGCCACCCCCCAGCCUCCUCGAGCACCCUCAUCCACUACCACACACUCCACAAGCACGUAGAAAGCCGUAGCCGGCCGGGCAGGCCGCGGGCUGCCGUCCCCGAGCUCGAGCUCGCCGGCGAUCCCCUCGGGUCGUCCCCACAGCUCCAGCCCCUCCCGGGCCGUGGCAACCCUUCCAGGGCCUCCGCCACUCUCCGGUGGUGUUGUUCCGCCCAGUUGGAGCCCCUGGAGUCGCCCCUAGUUGCCGUCGUCUUCGUCUCUACGACCGCUGCUCUCUGCCUCCGCUGGAGAGGCUGUUUCCAGCACCGUCCGACCACCCCUAGCCACUCUACGGGUACGGGCAGGUGCGCCUCCGUCUCCUCUCUCGACCCCUCCCUCUCGUUUUGGCCCAAGAGCCCUCGCCGCCGGCAUGCACUCUGGCGAAGCCUCGCCGCUCCUUGUUUCCUCCUCCCCUCCACCUCACCUGACUAGCGGGGCCCGCUAGUCAGCCACUCUAUACGCGCGCAAAGCAGUACGAGUGGUGGCGCCCUGGGCUUUUACGCCUACGAUGUCACACCCCCCAGUCUGUUUAUUUUUAAUUCAAAUUUCAUUUAAAUCCAGAGAACUUCAAACGGCCAAAACUUUUUAACCAUAAGUCCAAAUGAUUUGGUUCUUUUUGCAUUGUGUUCUUUAUCAAAAAAUCUAGCAGCUCACCAAGAUAGGGUUUUCCCCUGCUGUCUAGAUUUUCUGGUGAAUUUUAGAAGGUUUCUUGAUGAUUUCUUUUUGUGUUUUUAAAUAUUUUCAGAAGGCCAGGCUUGUCUUGAGGAUCACCAGGAGGAUUGUGAACCUCAUCUGCACUAAGGCAAGCCACAGAAACAUUUUCAUAGUGCGACUACAAUAUUUGUUAUUUUCUACUUGAACAAAUGAUUAUCCAUGCUUUUAAAUUAUUAAUAUGUUAAUUAUAUUCUGUUAGAUGCUUGUUAAAGUGAAUAUGCUUGAUUUACAGAAAGCUUGAAGUGAACUUACUUGGUAAACUAGCAAGGAUUUAGUUUUUGGGUGAUGAAAGAAUAAUAUGGCUAUGGAUAUGAAUAAUUAGUGGAAUUAUUUUCUUGCAUGAGUAAAAAUGAUAAAUUUGCUAGAAAAGGUUCUGGUUGAAGUGAGGCUCGAUCUUAACCAGAGAAGCAUCAUGAGUUGUUGAUGCUCAGUGUGAGCAUAGUUGACUUAGUCAUUUCCGUUGAUAUGUGAUGCAUAUGUUGGUGAUGCAUGCCAUGGCAUUAUGACGCUGGUUAUUUUCACUUUAAGUUGAACCUGAUAAUAACUCAACUUGAAUAUGUUGUUGACCGGGUCAUGGUGCCGCUGAAUCGAGUCUUUCCCAGUGCAACCACAUUUGCCGGUAUGGGAUGGACUUCAUUCGUUUGAUUGUCAUGCCUCUGGUCGGUGCGUCCAACUAGGGAAGGUUAUGGGCGUGUUGUACCCUGGCCCGGUAAGCAGGCAUAACCUUGUGUGCCCGUUGUUAAGUUUUUGGUACCGGGUCCUCGUGUGGGAUCAUUUGGCCACAACGGUGGUCGUUGUGUCUUUGGUAGACACAGGGCCACCCAGGACUAGCCCGAUGGGGAGUGAGUCAGAGUGGCUGGGAGAGUGUCAUGGCAAUGGAGGGGUUUCUUCGGAAUGCCAUUGGUCCACCCAAAUGGGAGUGCGAGGCCAUGGGUUCCAUCAUGUGGGUCCAGUGCGCUACCUCUGUAGAGUGUAUUAAUCUAUCGAUAGCUGAGUCCACGGUUAAGGACACGCUCGAAAGUACGUCACACCAUGGGUCAACAUUUAAUGAAUUUUGCACACUAAGUAUGAAGUUUGCAUUGUGUUGGUGGCGGGAAGGCCAUUGUGUUGAUUUGGACCAGAUGUUGGUCGUCGUUGUGAUCGCCGUAAGGAUCACGAGCCAAAUAUUGGUGGUGGUUGUGAUCGCCGUAAGGAUCACGGGCCAAAUAUUUGUCGUGGUUGUGAUCGCUGUAAGGAUCACGGUUUGGGGCCAAUUAUUGGUCAUGGUUGUGAUCACCGGAAGGAUCACGAGAUGUCUCUGGGUUGGCACGUUUGUGAUCCAGGAACAAUCACGUUUGGUAAGCCAGUCCGAGGGACGAUUAUCACAAGAGCAUGGUCACAUCAUGUUGAAUAUAUUGUUGCAUGGUUAUAAAUUGGUUAAUUGUCAUGAUAUUAUUUCUCAUUAUGUUUAUGCUUGUUGUGAUCUUGCAAGUACAUUCAAUGUACUGACAUGGCGUGUCAUGCCAGAUUUCAGGAAAGUCCCGUUGGAAAGGAGUGCUGUCCGAGUCUAGAUUGUGUCCACAUCGAUGUCCUUGUGCUAUGGAGUUCCGCUACAACGUUGUUCCGCUGCCGCGUAGUUAUUAGGAUCGAGGCCCCUUUAUGUUCACUAAAUAAUUUACAUAUUGUUUAGCCGCACUGCGUGUGCCGCUUGGCCUCGCCAACUGUUGUAAUAUAAACUUUGAUCCGCUAGCAUCAAUAAAGCGGUUGUUUUCUGUACCAAGUUGUUGUGUGUUGCCAGAAGACAAGGUCUCUGGGCUGGCAAUGCAUGGUAAACCGGUUGCUCUAAGCCGGGGUGCCAGAAUGCUUGGUAUUAGAGCCGCGCUAACUGUAGGCCAUGCUAGACUACGGCGAGUUAACCGGAUGCUAGAUACGAGUUGUAGUUGAGUGCCGGUAGCAUUUGUAGCUGGUUGUUUCAUUGCAUGCACUGAAUUUAUUUUUAUGCUAACCUGCUAAUGGUUGUGAGUGUAGAUGGCUCUGGUGCCGUAUCCGUGCCAGUUACAGCUGAUACCGUACACGUCGUUGCAUCUCCUUCGCAACGUGUGGCAUCGGCUGUACCCCCUCGGUGACGACCCAGCCUAUCGUGUGUACCGGGAGCGUCUAGCUGACUCAGUGUAUGAGUAUCAUGCCGUGGUUACUUUGCGCACCAGUUUCGAUUCCAGCACUUACACUCGUACCUCUCGGAGCGGUUACGCUUCUACCGCUUCUCAGGCUGUCCAGUUUGCUGCAUUCGAGGUACUUGUUGAGCUUCACUACAACGAGGUUUGGAUGCAGAAUCACCUAGGUUUCUACUACUAUCCUUCUCUACAUGAUAAUGGUCGUGUCCGUUUCCCUAUCAUUGAUCCAGAGUCUGAUAGUGUUGCUAGCCACCUUUCUCGUUAUAUCACUGCUAGCUAUCUUAUGAUCUACGAGCUGGCUCAAGAGCUAACUCGUGCCCGUACUGCUCUAGCGUCUGCUAGAUCAGUCACUACUCCAGCUUCUGUGGGAUUUACUCCUUAUAUUCCCGCCAAUUCUAGUUCCCCUGUUUCACCGGUUACUCCUCCAAGUAGCUCGGGCACCGCGACCGUGAGUCCACUCAGUGCUCCUGUUGAGUGGUUUCACUUCUCGCCACUUCCGUAGCCCCGAUGCUUCACCCUCCACCUACCCCAAAGGGAGAACCCUCGAGGCAGCGUCGUCGUGUCACCUUUAACCCAGAGGUCUCAGUUAACCAUGUCAGUUCAGGAUCCGAGUCCGCUUCAGGAGAGGACCCCCAGCACUAGCAUAGCAGUAGAGUUUCCGAGUAUCCGCAGUCGUCAGUAUGGUGUACGGAUGUAGUCGUACGAGCCAUGAUGUUUCGUUUCUUGUAUGAGAUUAGCUGAACCUAGCAUGUUGUUAUCUUUCAUGUAUGAGUCUAUGUAUAAUUAUGUUGGAACUCUAUUUUAUUCACCGUAUUUUCUUUGUCAUUUCGGUUUUUCUUGGGCUUUUGUUGCUGGCUUUCCCCCAAUUUAUUUUGAAUGCUUCUCAUCUCGGUUCCGUUGCCUUGGGAAAAAUCAUAAUAGGAUGACGCGGGGAGGCAGCAGUAGCAACGUUCGCAUGGGUUCUGUUGUCCGUCGUACCGCACGACAAGCAGGACACUCACCUGAGCCGUACGUUCCACCACCGCCUCCACCGCCAAAUCCGCCUUCCACCGAGAAAAUUCUGCGUAUGUUUGAGGAAAGGCGGAAUAAUGAUCUGAUUGAAAUAUUAAGAAGUGUUCAAGUUGUGGUUGGACAGAAUGGGAAUCAGCCCGGUCAUCACUCCAAGCUGUCCGAUUUUCAAAGGACGAAGCCUCCCUGUUCAGUCAGGCUAUUGAUCCCUUGGAUGCAGAUGAUUGGUUGAGACCCAUGGAGAAGAAGCUUGAGAUUGCUCGUAUUGAAUGAGAUAAGGUUCCAUUUGCAACUCAUUAUCUUGAAGGCGCUACUGCCAUAUGGUGGGCGAAUGAAAAAGCCAUGUGGUGUGCUGAUGAAGAAGUCACCUUGUCAAGAUUCAAGGAACGAUUCCAAAAAUAUCACAUCCCUACGAGUGAUGGGGGUUGGGUGUGACAUAUGCCAAAGGAUGGCUUAUCAUGGUGGAAGCGAGUAGAACGUCACCGGUGCCUGGAAGCGGGAUGAGGCGUAGACACGAAAGCCGGCACACUUUACCCAUGUUUGGGGCUCUCCUAGGAGAUAACACCCCUAGUCCUGCUCUGUGGGGUCUCCGCAUGACCACUAAGGCACAAGUGAUUCAAUGGUGCUCCUUGAGCGGUAUGCUAGAGGUAGAAGGAGGCAGGGCUAGCUAGCUCUCUUCUUCCUCUAGGGUGGAGUCUAGUUAUAACAGGUUGGGAACCCUUCGCAUGGGUGCCCUGGGGUUUAUAUAGGCCUACCCCCAGGGGUACAAUGGUAAUCUGGACGGGUGUUGGACCCGGCUAUUAGUGUCUCUGAUCGCCGGCUUCUCCGCCGGCUGCUGGGGCCCGCCGCCUGGCAGGCUCCGCUGAAUGGUCUGGUACGGAGCCGACAAGCCGCUCCUACCGCUUGCGGGUCUGGUGGGUGUCUGGUCGCUGUAGCCGUGACGCUAAUGAUGCAGGCUUGGUCAGUGGAGCGUGGCUACAGUCCUGCCGCCUGGUGGGAGAUCACUAUAGCCACACCAUGUCUUAUCUGGUUAAUGGUGCACGUGCCUCAAGGGAGGAACUGUCCGCCUGCUGGAGGCCGGCCUCCCUAAGGUCUGGCUGGUCUAGCCUCCGUCAUCUUUCGGGCUCUCACUACCUAGUAGAGCCCGCCGCUUGGAGGCCGUACUGACAGGCCGUCGUGGGAGCAGGGCUCCGCCUGUCAAGAGUGACGUGGAGGGGGAGUGGCAACAGUGUCGCGCCGUGCGGAGAUCUCUGCCUGUAUGGGGCAUUGUAGCCAUGCCAAGCCCAGGAUUUGGGGAUGAGGUACUACACUGUAGCCUCACUCUGUCUUGUCCUCUUGAUAAAGGGCACAAACUCUGAGGGUGCGGGGAGGCCAUCUGCUAGGACUGACCAUUCUUGGUGUUGUCUGCUGGUGGGUGGCCGCCUUCGGGCAGCCGUCCAUUGAGCUAGCCGGCCACUGGAAGGCAGUGCUUCAUUCUGAGGUCUCGUGGGGCGAAGCCAGCCCAAAGUCUUGAAAUGCUCAGGGACUCGGGUGAGACUAACCGUGGCCCAUUACUCUGACAGUAGUCCCUGAAGUUGGUGGGGCGUCGUGGUCGAUGGGCCAUGAAGUCCAAGCAUCUCCCCCUCUCGUCGCGCUCUGAUCGAACGCUCGACCCGUCUUGUGACGCGCCGACUGCCGGAGUUGACCUGACAAGGCGGGCUCGUCCGCCAAUUUCGAACUCCAAGGCGGGAAACAGAUGGCGUCCCUGCUAAGCUUCCCCAGGCCUGCCGCCCUCCACGAGCACGCCACGCGGCGCACGUCAGCCUGGCCAGCCUGCCAUCCCAUGCUCCUAAUGGGAUGUGACAGUGGGCCGGGCCCGCCACUACUGGGCACCGGCACACGGGCGGAUCCGCUGCGGCCGAGGCAAGCGGUUGCGAUUCCCGCAAGAGUUACUGCGCAUUAACUCUGCGCAAUAAUCGGGGGGUCGUGGGGUCAUGGGCGCAAUUAAUCCCACGAUCCAAUGUCCUGCCCCCUCGGCUUCACAACCCGAGGGCUAUAAAUGGGGGGAGGCAGGGGAGCGGCGGAGCACGCGCACCCUCCUCCCCACACUUUCUUCCUCCUCUCUCUCUCUGCUGCUGCUGCUUAGCGCCCGCCGUAGUGCCGCCGCAGCUUGCCAUUGUCGAGCUCUUGCUCCACACACAGCUCCGCUCGAUCACCAUGGCGCGCGAGAAGGGUGGGGAUUGGGACGGUUCGACAGUGAUCGAGGAUCACCUUACCUUUCUCCGGGCCACGCACAGGAUGCCCAAUGCGGCAUUCGUCAAGGUGCGGGUGCCGCCGCGGGAGGAGAUCUUGCCGGCGCCGCAGGGGGACGAGUGGGUCGUCUUCCGAUCGCACUUGUUCAGGGACUUCAACCACAUCCAGCCGCACCACAUGACGCCCAACAUCGUGACGCUGUUGUCCGCCUUCGUCACGGUGUGCGAUGGCUACCUCGGCAUCCUCCCCACCAUCGAGCGGUGGGGAGCUUUCUUCUACGGCAAGCUGGGCACCUCCGCCAAGGAGACGGCGGCCGAGUGUGGCGCCUACGUCGUCGUGCGCUAGCGGGCGAAGAGGAACGCCUUCCCGGUCAUCAAGCUGUCACAGUCGGUGAAACUGUGGCAGCAAUCCUACUUCUACGUUGAGAACAUCGACCCGGCAGUCGACUUCCUCAAUCAUCCGGCCUACGAGGCUGGCUCCCCUGUUGGCCUUUGGCCCAACUGGGGCUACAAGCCGAAGCCUGUGUCGGCGGACGCGGCUGCCGCCAUCUGCCGGCUCCGGGUGCUUCAGGAGUCGGAGGGUCUCGUGGUGUCUGACCUGCUGAUCGCCUUCAUCGAGCGCCGGGUUCUCUCGCUCGAAGGCCGCCCUCAUCUGAUCUGUCGGAUGAGUGGGCACCACGACCCGAGCAGGAUGUGCAUGAAGGAGAUGCCGACUACCGAGGUGGCGAGGAUGGUGAACGACAUCUCCGACCUCAAGGUGUCGGAGGGAGCCUGGCGGUUCGGAAGCGGCCGUACUCCCGCGACGACCCGCUGCCUGCCGUAAGUUUUUUCUUUUUAGUUCUUGCUUUAGUCUUGGUCUUGGUAUGAAGUGGCUCCUUCUCUGGAGUGCAUAUUUAUAUGUCUGCGGUGACGGCGGCCAUCGUGGGGCCGGGUGGUGACUACCAGCCGGACCGGGAGGUGAGCGACAAGAUCGACCCCAACUUGGGGGCGGCUGCCUUGGAGGAUGACGCUAUAGGCGGCGGCGACGGAGCAGGCGGCUCCGAAGAAGGGGGCGGCAUGGAGACCUUGCCCACCGACGACGACGAUGAAGAUGAGUCGCGCCCUGCCCGGAGCACCGCUAACACUGGCGUAGGCCCCUCCGCCGUACCGUUUGCUCGAGGCGGCAAGCGCAAGCAGAAACAGGGCGCCACCCUGUUCGGCAGCGCGCCGAAGAAGCCCAAGAACCCGGCCGCGGCGACCAGGCGGAAAGAGGCCGCGACGAAGGUGGCCAAGUACCAGAGGCAACCAAAGGUACCGAUCAUGGUGUCAGUGUAAGUAUUUCUCUUAUGCUUCCACUUUCUUGCCGAUCUGGCCUAAAAACUUCUUUAUCUUUCUUUCUUAUCUCAGGGCCCUCCUCGCCCUUGAAAAGUCGGCCACCACCUUGGUCAUAAGGUCGGCGGAGACCUCCACCACCACCCGGCGAAUCGAUCCAGCCACCGACCUCCGGGAGGCGCAGGAGCGAAACACGUGGGGGGUUGCGUGAGGAGCAGGAAGCCGCCCAGCUGGAGAAGGCAGAGGCUGACAAGGCGGCGACAUUCGUGGCGAGGAAGCUGGCGUAGGCGGAGGCUGAUGCUGCGACGAAGGAUCGUCUUGCGGAGGCCGCGCACCGCCAUGAGCCGCUGCUCGUGGCUCCCCUGAAUUCCGCGCCCCCUCUGCCAGAGUUUGUGGCGACGACCGGGGGAGCCGGCGAUGAUCAGCCGAUCAUGGAGAGGGAAGGAGGCGACGUUGCCAUGCCGGGCGUCAUCGUGCAUCUGCCACCGUCGACCGGCGGAGCACAACACAGGCAGCCGGCUGGCUAGCCGGUGCCGCCAGCUGGGAUCGAGGUGGUGACGGGCCCAACUCCUGAGGCCCACUGAUACGUCUCCGUCAUAUCUAUAAUUUUUGAUUGUUUCAUGCCAAUAUUGUUCAACUUUCAUACACUUUUGGCAACUUUUUAUAUUAUUUUUGGGACUAACAUAUUGAUCAAGUGCCCAGUGCUAGUUCCUGUCUGUUGCAUGUUUUAUGUUUCACAGAAAACCAAUAUCAAACGGAAUCCAAACGGGAUAGAAACGGACGGAGAAUUAUUUUGGAAUAGUUGGGAUUUUCCGGAGGAAGAAUCAAGGCGAAACAGUGUCCGAGGUGGCCACGAGACAAGGGGGCGCGCCCCCUACCCUUGGGCGCUCCCUGGGCGCUCGUGGGCCACCCAUAAGGCGGUUGAGGCCCUUCUUUUGCCGCAAGGAAGCUAAUUUUACAAGAAAAAUCUGGGCGAAAGAUUUACCCCAAUCGGAGUUACGGAUCUCCAGAUAUAAAGGAAACGGUGAAGGGGUAGAAUCAGGGAACGCAGAAACAGAGAGAUAGAUCCAAUCUCGGAGGGGCUCUCGCCCCUCCCACACCAUGGGAGCCAAGGAACAGAUAGGAAACCCUUCUCCCAUCUAGGGAGGAGGUCAAAGGAAGAAGAAUAAGAAGGGUACCCCUCUCCCCCUUGCUUCCGGUGGCACCGGAGCGCUGCCGGGGGCCAUCAUCAUCACCGCGAUCUUCACCAACACCGCCGCCAUCUUCACCAACAUCUCUACCAACUCUUCCUCCCUCUAUGCAGCGGUGUAACCUCUCUCUUAUCCGCUGUAAUCUCUACUUAAACAUGAUGUUCAACGCUAUAUAUUAUUCCCCAAUGAUGUAUGGCUAUCUUAUGAUGUUUGAGUAGAUCCGUUUUGUCCUAUGGGUUAAUUGAUGAUUGUGAUUGGUUUGAGUUGCAUGUUUUAUUAUUGGUGCUGUCCUAUUUUGCCCUCCGUGUCGCGCAAGCAUGAGGGAUCCCCGUUGCAGGUUUGCAGUAUGUUUAUGAUUUGCUUAUGGCGGGUGGCGUGAGUGAACAGAAGCACAGACCCGAGUAAGUAGGUUGUUUGCGUAUGGGAUAAAAGGGGACUUGAUACUUUAAUGCUAUGGUUGGGUUUUACCUUAAUGAAUAUUUAGUAGUUGCGGAUGCUUUCUAGAGUUCCAAUCAUAAGUGCAUAGAAUUCCAUGUAAGGGAUGAUAUGUUAGCCUAUGCCUCUCCCUCAAAUAGAAUUGCAACAGUGAUUACUGGUCUAGUUAUCGAUUGCCUUGGACAAAUAACUUCCUCGUAACAAAAAGCUCUCUACUAAUAUUUACUUUGUUGCUUCUUUAUUUAAACAACCCCUAGCUUUUAUUUACAUGCUCUUUAUUAUCUUGCAAACCUAUCCUAUCACACCUACAAAGUACUUCUAGUUUCAUACUUGUUCUAGGUAAAGCGAACGCCAAGCGUGCGUAGAGUUGUAUCGGUGGUCGAUAGAACUUGAGGGAAUAUUUAUUCUACCUUUAGAUCGUCGUUGGGUUCGACACUCUUACUUAUUGAAAACUGUUGCGAUCCCCUACACUUGUGGGUAUUCACCCACAGACCCGCGCGCCACCGUGUUGCGAAGGCGUUCUCGGCGCCGUGACCACUGGAGGCCGGUGCCGCGAGCUCGUCGGUCCCGGACACCGAGGCGACUAGUGCCGCGCCCACUGGCUGAGUGUGUGGAGGCGGGACGGGAGCCUUGAACGAGGCGGCCUUGGAUGGCCAGGCCAAGCUUCGGGCCGAAGCCGACGCCCUCAAGCGGUGCAACGAGGCAUUUCUGAACUCGCCAGCAGUCAUCCGAGUAAACUUCUCUCUUGUUCGUUUUUGAUCUUCUUGUUUCUUGGUGGGGGCACGCCAGCGCACCCACUGGGUGUAGUCCCCAAGUUUCGGGCCGGCUGCUGAGCAGGCGGUCCGGAACUUUAACUUGCAAGCAUCAAACGCUAACUUCUUCUGACAACCUUAUUGCGGGAUUCCCACAAUCUUCGCGCGACCACCUUCAACUCCGGAGUCCGGGAGCUAGAGAAGCAGACCGCCAACUUGUCCAAGAGCCGGAGUAAGUCUUGUCUUCCUUUCUCCGCGGGGGCGCGCUGGCGCACCCGCGGGCUGUAGUCCCCGAGAUUUGGGCCAACAGCUGAGCAGUCAGGCCGGAUCUUCCUAGCAACCGUAUUUCUUUUGUUGACUGUUGAUAACUUCUUUCUCUGCGGGGGCGCGAUAGAGCACCCGCGGGCUGUAGUCCCCGAGAUUCGGGCUGAUUGCUGAGCAGUUGGGCCGGAUCUCCUCGGCAACUGCAUCUCUUACUUGCUAAGUGUUGUUGUUCUUUCUUCUUUUUUCUUUGUAGAAGCCAACGCCGCCUUGCAGCAGCAGCUGGGCGAAGCCAACACCGCGCUUCGUGAUAAGGAGGCGGAGUGCAGCAAGCUGGCCGAGGAGCGUGACCGACUGGUCACGCAGCUCGUGGAGUAGACGGAGCAUCUCAAGACGGCUCAGAAGGAGGCGAAGAUGAAGGAGACCAACCUCCUUGCUGAGUUCGAGAUCGAGCGCUCCGCUUGGGCCGACAAGGAGGCGUAGCUGAUUGCGUGCUUCAGCAGCAUUGAGGACUUCAUCGCCGGUAGGCCUCUUCUUUUUUAUUUCUUUCUUUGAGUCGCCGGCCCUUAUCCAGGCCUACUGUUGGCUUCUGACAUCUAACUUUCUUGCCCUUCAUUCAAACAGACUUGUUCCCAGGCCACUCCAUCGCCGCGAACCAGGCCAUCGAGGCUCAACGCCAGGAGCGGAGGGCUGAAGGCAUGCAGAUUGCCGCCGACGCCCCCCGGACCCUUAGCGAGCAACUCCUCAGCAUCCAGGGCCGCCUGCGAUCAGCCCAUGAGAUGUUGCGCUGUCUUCAGCAUGUCGGGGCCCAGGCGAUCUCCACCCUCUGGCCGGGCAUGCAGGCUCCGCGCACUCCCAGUCAGACUGUCGACUGGCUGGAGGUGGCGGCCGGCCGCGUGGAGGCCUGGAAGGGCUCCUCGGCCCGGGAUGGAGCGCGCCGAGCCCUGGAGUUCGUUAAGGCAUGGUACCCUGGGCUAGAUCUAGCCCAGCUGACCACGUUUCGACUGGAGGCGCAGGAGGAGCUAGUGGCAGUGGAAGGCGACCUUGUCAGUAGGGCGGCGGCGAUCACCGACUACACCGACACCAGCGUCUUCAUCCCGAAGGUAGUUGAAGAGGGCGCCGAGGUGCCGCUGGAGUGGCUCAGGCUGAACCCGGAGGACAGCGAGGAAUCGACUGAGAUAAUCGACUCCAACAACAAAGGGGAGGAGGGGGAGGAUGAGGAAUGCGAGGAUGACGCGCCGGAGGUCGGAGCGGAUGGCCAGCCUCAACCUGACCGCGCCUCGAGCAACGACCCGCGCUCAAGUGCGCCGACUGCUGCUGAAGGCAACCAGGCGGAGACCGACCAACCGCCUGUUCCACCGACUAGCGCCGCCGACUCUGCUGUCCAGUCGUCCACCGCUCCGACCGAUGCCACCGACUCCGCCAUCCAGUCAGGACCUUCUACUGCCCCAACCGGCGCCACUGACUCCACCUUCCAGCCGGAACCCUCUGUUGCCCCUUAGGGCGUUGUCUUUAUUUUUCUGCUCAUUAGUCUCGAAAAACUUUUAUUAAAUUUGCACAAUUCCACUCGCAGGCUGUAUAUCAAACUCUGUUGAAUGCUGGCGAGUGGGCCUUUUGCUAUGUAAAUAUCCCUUGUCGCCAAUUAUGCUUUGUUUGUCGGCUUCUGAUUUUCCUUGCUUUCUGCUCCUUGCUUUUUUCCUUUGCCGCCCUCCCUUGGCUACCCUCUUGCCAGCCAAACAGCCGCUCUGCCGACUAUAGCCAGGUUGAGUAAUUAGCUAUUUAUGGGAGGGCAAGUACUUAGCCGCUUGGAGUGUUGGCAAGGUAAGCAUAAGCCGGCCGGCCGGCUGCUCGGCAGCCGGCUGAAAAGGCGGGAUGCCGGCCUCAGCUAUAUGCGCAAUUUUCCUUAGCCAUUUUUCAUGUGGGCAUUGUUUUGCAACCCCUGCCUGCCGUACAGUCGCUCUGCAAGCUGCGGCUUCUGACAGGGGAAGUUUUUUGGUGCCGACACACUACUUGUCCGACUACAGGAGGCGGCAUAUAGCAGAAGGCGGCUAGCCUCCGGGCCGUCUGGUCGAACCUGGUGCUAGGCGGAAUAAUAAAACAACACGCUCAUAGGCAUAACACUUAUCAUAUAGAUAAAAGAGGGUAGUCCCCGAGCUCUUCUUAGGGGACCCGGAGUCGUCGUACUUAAUACAAAGGAUAGCGUGAUACAUACUGCUUUUAACUGUAAAAUCUUCGGAGAAGAUUUGUGUUCCAUGGCCUUUCCAUCUCCUUGCCUGAGUCAUCACUUUUGCGUGCUCUGGGCUUCUGAGCAUCGAUCAGGUAGUAGGAACCGUUGCCCAUCACUUUGCUGACAAUGAAAGGUCCUUCCCAAGGUGCCGAGAGCUUGUGCUGGCCGCCUGUUCGCUGGAUCAGCCGGAGCACAAGGUCUCCCUCUUGGAAGGAUCUUGGCUUCACCUUGCGGCUGUAGUAUCGGCACAGACUUUGCUGGUAGAUGGCAGAUCGGCUGAGUGCCAACAGCCGGCCCUCUUCCAUCAGGUCGACGCCGUCUUCUCGUGCCUCCUUGGCGUCUGCCUUGGUGUACAUGGUGACUCGUGGGGAGUCGAACUCUAUGUCCGUCGGGAUGACGGCUUCAGCGCCGUAGACGAGGAAGAAGGGCAUGAAGCCAGUCGACUUGUUUGGAGUUGUGCGCAGGCUCCAGAGGACGGCCGACAGCUCAUCGAGCCAACAGCCAGCCGAAUGUUCUAGAGGCUCGACCAGUCGGGGUUUGAUGCCUGACAGAAUGAGGCCGUUUGCUCGCUCCACUUGGUCGUUUGACUGCGGAUGAGCAACGAACGCUAAGUCCAGUCGGAUGCCCUGUGUCGCGCAGAAAUGAGCCAAGGCUCCUUUGGCAAAGUUUGUGCCGUUGUCGGUGAUGAUGUUGUGUGGUAUGCCAAACCCAGUGGUGAUGUCGGCGAUGAAAGUCAUGACAGUUGGCCCAUUCAGCUUCUUGAUUGGCUUUGCUUGUAUCCAGUUGGUGAACUUGUCCACAGCGAUAAGAAAAUGAGUCAUGCCACCACGGGUUGUCUUGAAUGGCCCCACAAUGUCCAGCCCCCAAACGGCAAAGGGCCAGGAAAUGGGGAUGGUCUUGAGCGCAGAAGCCAGCAAGUGUGGCUUGGAGCGGAACUUCUGGCACCCUUUACACUUCUGGACCAACUCCUUGGCAUUUUCUAGAGCAGUCGGCCAGAAAAAACUGUGGUGGAAAGCUUUGGUAACAAGGGAUCUUGAAGCCUCGUGGUGACCACAUUCACCUUGGUGGAUAUCUUUGAGGAUUGCUUGAACCUAGUCCGGCUCUACGCAGCGCUGGUACACACCAGGGACACUGCACCGCACCAGCUCCUUGUUGACUAUGGUGUAUGCUGCUACCCGCCGUUGCACUUGUCGGGGUAGGAUCUCGUCAGUCGGCAGCUCUUUAUUCACCAGAAAGUUGAGGAUGGGUUGAGCCCAUGAAGGUGUUGCUAUUUCUUCGAUUGCCACGACUGCAACUUGUACAAGGGCAGUUGGGCCUGGAGGUGGCGGGUUGAAGUUGGCUACCGCCUGUUGAGCUGAAGAAGUCCCCGGGCCGACUGCUGCAGCCCCCGGGCCGGGUUCUGAAGUCCCCAGGCCAGGUGCCACGGCUGUAGUCCCCGGGCCGUUUGUCGAGGUCCCCGUGCCGGAUUCUGGGGCCCUCAAGUUGGAUCUGACUGCUUCAGGAGGGGCCGACACGAAUAUGGAGUCGGAAUCUGGUGACGGCUUGACAGAUGGCUUGAGGAGGCGCUGUAGGGCGACACCGGCUGGUAUUGCUUGCCGGGUGGAGCCGAUCCGUGCCAGGGCAUCUGCUUGCUCGUUGUCAUUUCUUGGCACAUGGAGGAACUCGCACCCGUCAAAAUAUCCACUGAGUUGUUGUACGAGGAAGCAGUAGCUCGCCAUAUUUGCAUCUUUGGCAUCCCAGUCGCCUGACGACUGCUGGACCACUAAGUCGGAGUCACCAUAGCACAGGAUCCGGCGAAUGCCGAGUUCCAUGGCAAGACGGAGCCCGUGUUUGAGUGCCUCGUAUUCAACUACGUUGUUGGAGGCGGCAAAGUGGAUUUGCAGCACAUAUCUGAGCUUGUCGCCUUUGGGAGAGGUGAGGACGAUGCCUACUACGUCUUGAGCUUGCGUUGGUUUUCUUUGAAGAGGAAAGGGUGAUGCAGCAUAGUAGCGUAAGUAUUUCCCUCAGUUUUUCAGAACCAAGGUAUCAAUCCAGUAGGAGGCUCCUCACAAGUCCCACGAACCUACACAAACAAACAAAUAACUCGCAACCAACGCGAUAAAGGGGUUGUCAAUCCCUUCACGUCCACUUGCGAAAGUGAGAUCUGAUAGAGAUAAUAUGAUAAGAUAAAUAUAUUUUUGGUAUUUUAUAAUAUAGAUGCAGAAAAUAAAGAUGCAAAUAAAAGUAGAUUGAAAGCUUAUAUGAUAAAGUAUAGACCCAGGGGCCAUAGGUUUCACUAGAGGCUUCUCUCAAGAUAGCAUAAGUAUUACGGUGGGUGAACAAAUUACUGUCGACCAAUUGAUAGAAAAGCGAAUAAUUAUGAGAUUAUCUAGGCAUGAUCAUGUAUAUAGGCAUUACGUCCGUGACAAGUAGACCGACUCCUGCCUGCAUCUACUACUAUUACUCCACACAUCGACCGCUAUCCAUCAUGCAUCUAGAGUAUUACUUUCAUAAGAACAAAGUAACGCAUUAAGAAAGAUGACAUGAUGUAGAGGGAUAAACUCAAGCAAUAUGAUAUAUACCCCAUCUUUUUAUCCUCGAUGGCAACAAUGCAAUACGUGCCUUGCAACCCUUUCUGUCACUGGGUAAGGACACCGCAAGAUUGAACCCAAAGCUAAGAACUUCUCCCAUGGCAAGAAAGAUCAAUCUAGUAGGCGAAACCAAACUGAUAAUUCAAAGAGACUUGCAAAGAUAACUCAAUCAUACAUAAAAGAAUUCAGAGAAGAUUCAAAUAUUAUUCAUAGAAACUUUAUCAUAAACCCACAGUUCAUCGGAUCUUGACAAACACACCGCAAAAAGAGAUUACAUCGAAUAUAUCUCCACAAGAGAGGGGGAGAACAUUGUAUUGAGAUCCAAAAAGAGAGGAGAAACCAUCUAGCCAAUAACUAUGGACCCGAAGGUAUGUGGUAAACUACUCACAACUCAUUGGAAGGGCUAUGGUGUUGAUGUAGAAGCCCUCCAUGGUGGAUUCCCCCUCCGGCAGAACGCCGGCGAUGGCUCCAUGAUGGGAUCUCGUGGAUACAAAAGGUUACGGUGGUGGAAAUAUUUCUUCGGUGGCUCCCUAGAUGUUUUCAGGGUAUGUAGGCUUAUAUAGGAGGAAGAAGUACGUCGAUGGCCGCCUGAGGGGCCCAUGAGACAGGGGGCGCGCCCUGUAGGGGUGGGUGCGCCCCCAUCCUCAUUGCUGCCUCGGCUGCUUCUUGACUUGCACUCCAAGUCCUCUGGAUCAUGUUCGUUCCAAAAAUCACGCUCCCGAAGAUUUCAUUCCGUUUGGACUCCGUUUGAUAUUCCUUUUCUUCGAAAUACUAAAAUAGGCAAAAAAACAGCAAUAUGGGCUGGGCCUCUGGUUAGUAAGUUAGUCCCAAAAAUGAUAUAAAUGUGUAAAAUAAAGCCCAUGGACAUCCAAAACAUGUAAUAUAAUAGCAUGGAACAAUCAAAAAUUAUAGAUACGUUGGAGACGUAUCAAGCAUCCCCAGCUUAAUUCCUGCUCGUCCUCAAGUAGGUAAAUGAUAAAAACAGAAUUUUUGAUGUGGAAUGCUACCUAGCAUAAUUCUGAAGCUAAUUUCUCUUUAUUGUGGCAUGAAUGUUCAGAUCCAGGUGAUUCAAAAUAAAAGUUCAUAUUGACAAAAGAAAUAGCAAUACUUAAAGCAUACUAAUAAAAGCAAUCAUGUCUUCUCAAAAUAACAUGGCUAAAGAAAGUUCAUCCCUACAAAAUCAUAUAGUUAGUCUAUGCUUCAUUUUCGUCACACAAAGAUGUACCCAACUUCUAUACCCCCGAUGACAAGAUAAGCAAUUGUUUCGUACUUAAAUAAUCUUUUUCAACCUUCAUGCAAUACAUGAGCGUGAGCCAUGGAUAUAGCACUAUGGGUGGAAUAGAAUAAUGAUUGGGGAUUGUGUGGAGAAGACAAAAAGGAGAAAGUUUCACAUUGACGAGGAUAAUCAAGGGGCUAUGGGAAUGCCCAUCAAUUGAUGUCAACAUGAGGAGUAGGGAUUGCCAUGCAACGGAUGCACUACAGCUAUAAAUGAAGGAAAUCUCAACAAAAGAAAACUAGUGGGUCUGCAUCCAACUUGCUUGCUCACGAAGACCUAGGGUAUUUGAGGAAGCCCAUCAUAGGAAUAUACAAGCCAAGUUCUAUAAUGAAAAAUUCCCACUAGUAUAUGAAAGUGACAACCUAUGAGACUCUCUACAUGAAAACAUGAUGCUACUUUGAAGCACAAUAUAUGAGACUCACUACAUGUAGAACAAGGUGCUACUUUGAAGCACAAGUGUGGAAAAAGAGAUAGUAGCAUUGCCCCUUUAUUUAUUUUACUUUUUUUUCUUUGGCCUUUUUUUGGCCUUUCUUUUUUCUUUUUGGGCAAUGCGCUAAUAAUGAUGAUCAUUACACUUUUAUUGAUUACAACACAUGAAUUACAACUCAAAACUAGAACAAGAUAUGACUCUAUAUGAAUGCCUCCGGUGGUGUACCAGGAUGUUGCAAUGAAUCAAGAGUGACAUGUAUAAAAAAUCAUGCAUGGUGGCUUUGCCACAAAUACGAUGUCAACUACAUGAUCAUGCAAUGGCAAUAUGACAAAAGUAAUGUAUGUCAUGAUGAUGAUGAACGGAACGGUGGAAAGUUGCAUGGCAAUAUAUCUCGGAAUGGUUAUGGAAAUGCCAUAAAUAGGUAGGUAUGGUGGCUGUUUUGAGGAAUAUAUAAGGAGGUUUAUGUGUGAUAGAGCGUAUCAUAUCAUGGGGUUUGGAUGCACCGGCGAAGUUUGCACCAACUCUCAAGAUGAGAAAGGGCAAUGCACGGUACCGAAGAGGCUAGCAAUGAUGGAAAGGUAAAAGUGUGUAUAAUCCAUGGACUCAACAUUAGUCAUAAGAAUUCAUAUACUUAUUGCAAAAAUGUACAAGUCAUCAAAAACCAAGCACUACGCGCAUGCUCCUAGGGGGAUAGAUUGGUAAGAAAAGACCAUCGCUCGUCCCCGACCUGCCACUCAUAAGGAUGCACAAGCCACGUACACUUCAUGCUUCAAAUUUGUUACACAACUUUAACCAUACGUGCAUGCUACGGGACUUGCUAACUUCAACACAAGCAUUCUUUAAAUUCAUAAUCACCCAACUAGCAUGACUUUAAUAUCACUACCUCCGUAUCUCAAAACAAUUAUGAAGUAUCAAGUUUAUCAUAGCAUCCAAUUCACUUCUUAUGAUAGUUUUUACUAUACCCAACUUGGAUGCUCAUCAUUCUAGGACCAAUUUAUAACCAUAGCAAACCAUGCUGUUCUAAAAGACUCUCAAAAUAAUAUAAGUGAAGCAUGAGAGAUCAAAAAUUUCUUCAAAAUUAAUCCACCGCCGUGCUCUAAAAGAUAUAUGUGAAGCACUAGAGCAAAAACUAGCUAGCUCAAAAGAUAUAAGUGAAGCACAUAGAGUAUUCUAAUAAAUUUCAAUCAAGUAGGCUUCUCCCAAAAGGUGUGUUACAGCAAGGAUGAUUGCGGUAAACUAAAAAGCAAAGACUAAAAUAAUACACGACGCUCCAAGCAAAACACAAAUCAUGUAGCAAAUAAAAAUAUAGCUCCAAGUAAAGUUACCAAUGAACGAAGUCGAAAGAGGGAUGCCUUCCGGGGGCAUCCCCAAGCUUAGGCUUUUGUCUAUUCUUGAAUAUCUUGGGAUGCCUUGGGCAUCCCCCAAGCUUAGGCUUUUUCCACCCUUUAUUCCAUAGUCCAUCAAAUCUUUACCCAAAACUUGAAAACUUCACAACACAAAACUCAACAGGAAAUCUCAUAAGCUCCGUUAGUGAAAGAAAACAAAACCACCACAUAAGGUACUGUAAUGAACUCAUUAUAUAUUUAUAUUGGUGUUAAACCUACUGUAUUCCAAGUUCUCUAUGGUUCAUACCCUUACAUACUAGCCAUAGAUGCAUCAAAAUAAGCAAACAACACACGAAAAACAGAAUCUGUCAAAAACAGAACAGUCUGUAGAAAUCUGUAAGUAACGCAAACUUAUGGAACUUUAAAAAUCCUACCAAAAUAGGAAGUCCUAAAAAAUUUGUUUAUUAAACAUCAGAAAAAAGAAUCAAUGCAAAAUCUCGUUUAUGUGAUUUAUUGAAUUGUUUCUCGUGAGUGAAAAGUUUCUGUUUUUCAGCAGAAUCAAAUCAACUUAUACCAUCGGUUAUCCUAUAGGUUCUACUUGGCACAAACACUAAAUAAAACAAGAAAACACAUCUAGUCAGAAAGUAGAAACAAAUUUUAUUGAAUAACAGUAAGGAAAAAUCUUGGGUUGUCUCCCAACAAGCGCUUUUCUUUAAAUCCUUUUUAGCUGGGCAUUGAGAUUUCAAUGAUGCUCACAUGAAAGACAAGAAUUGAAGCAUAAAGAGAGCAUCAUGAAACACGUGACAAACACAUCUAAGUAUAACAUACUUCCUAUGAAUAGGCAUAUUAUAAGCAAACAAAUUUCAAGGCAAGCAAGAACUAGCAUAUGAAAGGAAGAAGAAAGAGAGGAUAGCAAUCUCAACAUGACGAGAGGUAAUUUAUUAAGAUAAAAAUUUCUACGACCAUAUUUUCCUCUCUCGUAAUAAUUACAUGUAGGAUCAUAGGCAAAUUCAACAAUAUAGAUAUCACAAAACAUAUUCUCAACAUGAUCCACAUGCAUGCAAAGUUGACACUCUUCCAAGAUAGUGGGAUUAACAUUAACUAAAGUCAUGACCUUUCCGAACCCACUUUUAUCAAAAAUAUCAUAAGAUUGAACAUACUCCAAAUAUGUGGGAUCUAAAGUUUACACUCUUCCAAACCAACUUUCAAUAUUAUUGCAAACACUAUUAUCAAUCUCAUAUUCAUUAUGGGGCUUAAAUAAAUUUUCAAGGUUAUAAGAAGAAUCACCCCAAUCAAGAUCAUUGAAACAAGUAGUAGACAUAGCAAAACUUGCAUCCCCAAGCUUAGGGUUUUGCAUAUUAUUAGAACAAUUGACAUUGAGAGAAUUUAUAGGAAAAUCAUGGAAAUCAUGCUUUUUAUUCAAGGAGUUAUCGUGAAUCUCUUCAUAAAUUUCAUCAUCGUAAUUUUCAGAUUCACAAAUUUUUAGCAAAGCUUCAUAAAGAUAAUCUAAUGCACAAAACUCACUAGCAAUUGGUUCAUCAUAAUUGGAUCUCUUAAAAAGAUAGCAAGCGGAUGAGGAUCAAUAGAUCUUAAGUUCUCUGUUUAGCAAUAAAUAAAAAACUAGUCCAACCAAACGAGCAAAUGAGCCAAGUAAUACAUCAAAGCAAAAAGACGAACAACAGAAGGGCGAAUAAAACGGCAAGGGCGAAGUGGGGGAGAGGAAAACGAGAGGCAAAUGGAAAAUAAUGUAAAUGCGAGGGAGAUGAGUUUGUGAUGGGUACUUGGUAUGGCUUGACUUGAGCGAAGACCUCCCCCGCAACGGCGCCGAAAAUCCUUCUUGCUACAUCUUGAGCUUGCGUUGGUUUUCCUGGAAGAGGAAAGGGUGAUGCAGCACAGUAGCGUAAGUAUUUCCCUCAGUUUUUGAGAACCAAGGUAUCAAUCCAGUAGGAGGCUCCUCACAAGUCCCACGAACCUACACAAACAAACAAAGAACUCGCAACCAACGUGAUAAAGGGGUUGUCAAUCCCUUCACGUCCACUUGCGAAAGUGAGAUGUGAUAGAGAUAAUAUGAUAAGAUAAAUAUAUUUUUGGUAUUUUAUAAUAUAGAUGCAGAAAAUAAAGAUGCAAAUAAAAGUAGAUUGAAAGCUUAUAUGAUAAAGGAUAGACCCAGGGGGCAUAGGUUUCACUUGAGGCUUCUCUCAAGAUAGCAUAAGUAAUACGGUGGGUGAACAAAUUACUGUUGAGAAAUUGAUAGAAAAGCGAAUAAUUAUGAGAUUAUCUAGGCAUGAUCAUGUAUAUAGGCAUCACGUCCGUGACAAGUAGACCGACUCCUGCCUGCAUCUACUACUAUUACUCCACACAUCGACCGCUAUCCAGCAUGCAUCUAGAGUAUUAAGUUCAUAAGAACAGAAUAACACAUUAAGAAAGAUGACAUGAUGUAGAGGGAUAAACUAAAGCAAUAUGAUAUAAACCCCAUCUUUUUAUCCUCGAUGGCAACAAUACAAUACGUGCCUUGCAACCCUUUCUAUCACUGGGUAAGGACACCGCAAGAUUGAACCCAAAGCUAAGCACUUCUCCCAUGGCAAGAAAGAUCAAUCUAGUAGGCCAAACCAAACUGAUAAUUCCAAGAGACUUGCAAAGAUAACUCAAUCAUACAUAAAAGAAUUCAGAGAAGAUUCAAAUAUUAUUCAUAGAUAAACUUGAUCAUAAACCCACAAUUCAUCGGAUCCCGACAAACACACCGCAAAAAGAGAUUACAUCGAAUAGAUCUCCACAAGAGAGGGGGAGAACACUGUAUUGAGAUCCAAAAAGAGAGAAGAAGACAUCUAGCUAAUAACUAUGGACCCGAAGGUAUGUGGUAAACUACUCACAACUCAUCGGAAGGGCUAUGGUGUUGAUGAAGAAGCCCUCCGUGGUGGAUUCCCCCUCCGGCAGAACGCCGGCGACGGCUCCAAGAUGGGAUCUCGCGGAUACAGAAGGUUACGGUGGUGGAAAUAUUUCUUCGGUGGCUCCCUGGAUGAUUUCGGGGUAUGAAGGCUUAUAUAGGAGGAAGAAGUACGUCGGUGGCCGCCCGAGGGGCCCACGAGAAAGGGGGGCGCGCCCUGUAGGGGUGGGCGCACCCCCCACCCUCGUGGAUGCCUUGGCUGCUUCUUGACUUGCACUCCAUGUCCUAUGGAUCACGUUCGUUCCAAAAAUCACGCUCCCGAAGGUUUUAUUCCUUUUGGACUCUGUUUGAUAUUCCUUUUCUUCGAAAUACUGAAAUAGGCAAAAAAACAGCAAUACGGGCUCGAGCUCCGGUUAGUAGGUUAGUCCCAAAAAUGAUAUAAAUGUGUAAAAUAAAUCCCAUAGACAUCCAAAAUAGGUAAUAUAAUAGCAUGGAACAAUCAAAAAUUAUAGAUACGUUGGAGACGUAUCAAUGCCGGUUCCCAGACCGGUGCGCAUCUUUGAACCAUCAAAUCGCAUUCGCCAAUGGGUGGAGUCUGGCACUGGCGGCAUAUACUGGGUCUCAGCCCAGUCGAUGAGGAAGUCGGCCCAGUGACUUGAUGGCGGUGCGAGGUUGGUAGUAGAUGGUGUAGGGGGCCAGAUAAAUGGCCCAUUUGGCCACUCGGCCUGAGGCAUCUCGGCUUCCAAUGAUCUUAGUAAGUGGAGCAGUGCAGACAACAGUAAUUGGGUGCUCUUGAAAUUAAGGCUUUAGCUUCUUGGCGGCAAAGGGCACACCAUAGCACAUCUUCUGAUAGUGGGGGUAGUUUUGCUCGGAAGUGGACAACACCUCUCUCAGGUAAUACACCGGCCUCUGGACCGGCAAUGCUCUACCUUCCUCCUUGUGCUCCACCACUUUGACUGUGCUGCCACCCGACUGGUGGCGGCGAUGUAGAGGAGCAUGGGCUCUUUUUCAGUCGGAGCCGCCAUGAUAGGCGGGGUGGUCAACAUCUUCUUGAGCUGGAGAAAAGCUUCGUCCGCCUUGUCGUUCCACUCAAAAAAGUGGUCUUCUUCACGAGCUGGUAUAGGGGAAGAGCCUUCUCGCCCAGCCGACUGAUGAAAUGGUUGACUGAUGCCAGGCAACCAGUGAACUUCUGCACGUCCUGUCGGAGUAAUGGGCCACGGGUAGGCUAACCCGAGCCCCAAGACAUUUCAGGACAUUGGGGAAGGCCGCGCCCCUCAGGCCGAGUCCCAGAAGCGACUCCAAAGUAUGCCGAGUCCCAGACGGCGACUCCGGAGAGGCCGACUCCAAGCUGGCGACCUCCAGAGAGGCCGACUAUGGAGAGUCGGCCCGUGACUCCUCCCCCGUCCUGAAGCACGACGCGGGGUACGGUCACGGCGUGGCUGUUCCCCCCUCCCUGCUCACGAAGGGCCAGCAUGGCUACAGUGGGCCGUAUCGCUGGAAGAUCUCCGGCGAGGCGCGGCACUGUUGCCAUGCCUGCCCUGACCUCAGCCAUAGUGCGCAGAACACUGUGCCCACGACGUCGGCCUGUACAACCCGAGGGCGGCGGGGCCGCCUGUCAGUGGGUGGGCCGAAGGCGGCCUAGGUGCCCGAAGACGGACCUGUGGGAGUCGGCCUCCCUGGAGUCGGCCGACUCCUCCCCAGGGCCCCACGAGCCAUUAACCAGAUAAGAUCGGGAAUGUCAAUAGUGAUCGCCCGAUAGACGGCGACACUGUUGCCACGACCCAAUGACCAAGCCUGCGUCAUCAGGAGUGCCGCUACAGCGUCGCGCCUGUCCGCAGGACCCGCCAGCCGGCGGGCCCAGAAGCCGGCAGGAAGGACAGUGGCCUGAGAGACAGACGGCUAGGACCCGCGCCCAGCCGUAUUACUAUUGUACCCCCAGGGGGUAGGCCUAUAUAAACCCCCUGGGGCACCCAUGCAAAGGGUUUGGAUCUGAAUAGAGAUAGACCAGAUAGCACGGUAGGAGAGAGCUAGCCUUGCCCUCUCCUGCCUCCCAAAACAGCUCUAGGAGCACCAUUGUAGUCACCUUGCUUGAGUGAUCAUGCGGAGACCCCGCAGAGCAAAAGUAGGGGUGUUAUCUCCUAGGAGAGCCCUGAAGCUGGGUAAGUUCCGCUGGCGUGCAUGUCUUCGCCUCAUCCCGCUUCCAGGCACUAGCGACGUUCUACUCGCUCCCACCAUGAUAAGCCAUCCUUUGGCAUAUGUCGCAUCCAACCCCCGACAUUUGGCGCCCACCGUGGGGCGAGGUGCACCGUCGUCCGGAGAUCUGCUCUAGACGGGAACCGUAUUCCUUCCCGGCGAGCACGGCGAGCCCGGCACACCGGAUGGCGUUUGUGACGACGCACUGCACGGCGCAGAGAUCGCCUGUGCGGCCAGCUGCCUCACCGAUCUUAUCGGUGAGGUUCGCCUCUCCGAUGAGCCUGCGUCCGACGCAGGCACGAGUGUCCCCGAGGCCUCCUCGCGGGCCUCCUCGACCAACUCCACGUCGCCGGCGAGCCUGCCACGGACCUGGAGUCCAUAGGAUCCACCGACCCGAUGCUGGUCGACUCCGACACCGCGUCGCUCGACGCGUUCCCCACCAACAUGGUGGUCUACGACGAGCCGCUCUCAUACGCGGGGAGCGGCGGAAGCACCGUCACUGAGGUCCUCGUCCUCGAGAACGGCGAGCUCUCCGGCGAACGAGUGCAUGACCCGCUCGACGCGGCCCUGCGAGGCCUUGCGGCGCCGAUUCCAGAAGACGCCGACGCCGAGACGCUGGAGGCACUCCGCCUUCAGCUCGUCGAGGGCGCGAAGAAGCUGGCAAGCAUGAGGCGCUUGUCAGAAGCUUACCAACGCGAGAUGGAUCGUGCCAUAGGCGGCUCGCCGGCUCCGACUGGGCCUAGCCGCCUAGGCGCGGUCCGACAGCGCGGCGUGGCAAUCGCCAACAUCUUCGGGGCUGAUCGCCCUGUGUACGCCACGCCCGCAGAGAAUAUCCGUGCCGCCCAGGCGGCGGCAAACGAGCUCGACAACUUCGAAGGUGAAGAGCGCCGCAUAAUGACGGAGCGAGUUCAACAGCUCCUCGACGCGGCCGCCGCGCAGAAUGGUGCCGGCUGCCGCACCGAGGCGCCGCAGCGCCAAAACGACAACCCACCACCUCGCGGAGAUCAAGGUGAGAUGUCUCGGACGCUGACUGGAGGGGCCCGUGGGAAGAAGGACAAGGAGCCGGCUGUCAGCCACAGUCGGACUCACAUCACCAUCGAGCGCGACCAAGACGGCCGCCCCAGAGCGGUGGAACGGCGGGACGACUACCAGCCUCCCCCUCCUCGUGGAGAAAGGCGAGUCUCCCCACCGCCCGUGGAACAUCCGACUCUCGGCGACCGCCUUGGCCGCCGAGAGGGAGUCAGAGAGAACGACGCCCGCCACCGGAUCGACUGACUCCAUCGAUCCCUGGCGCUGGAAGAAGAAGACGAGUUGGGUCCCCCCUGCUUUGGACCCGGCAUCCGGGACGAGCCCUUUCCCAAAGGGUUCACGCUCCCCCGAGACACGCCCAAAUAUAUCGGCACCGUGAAGCCGGAAGAUUGGCUGAUCGACUACUCCACAGCUGUCAACAUAGCGAACGGCAACAAGCGUGUUGCCGUAGGAUAUGUCCCUCUCAUGCUCCAGGGCUCGGCCUGGACGUGGUUAAACAGUCUGAAGCCUCGCAGCAUCAAUAGUUGGGUUGACUUCAUCGAGGCUUUUGUCCGCAACUUCACGAGCAUGUACAAGCGACCUCCCAAGCCACGCCAGCUCUCCUUGUGCGUGCAAGGCCCUGACGAGUCUACUCGCGACUACCUCACGCACUGGGGCGAACUCCGGAACUCCUGCGAGGGCAUGCACAAGGUGCAGGCCACCGAGUACUUUACUGCCGGCUGCAGAGAAGGCACCCUCCUCAAGCACAAGCUCCUCUGCGACGAGCCGGAGACCCUCGACGAGCUGCUGAUCACGGCGGACAAGUACGCCACGGCCGACUCCUCCAUGAAGGCGGAGAUCUGGGUCAGCACAACUGGCAAAGUCACCCCUCAGGCUCCAAGAACUCUGGCUGGAGACACCAGUCGGCGGCAACACCAGAAUGACCAGAAGCGCAAAGCCUCGUAGCCGAUUUCCAGCAGUCGGCAAGUGGCGACAGCAGAAGACCAGCAAUUGGAGGGACCGCCUCCGGUGAAGCGGCAGAAGGGCGGCCAGUCCAAUUGGCUGCCGGCUUUCUGCUACGAGCAGACUCUGGAUGGUCCCUGCAAGUUCCACAGCGGCGCAAAGCCGUCCAACCAUACCACAAGGAAAUGUCACUGGCUGACCAGAAUGGCCCCAGUAGCCGGCCGUCAGGCCAGUCGGCGCGAUACAAGACGAGUUCCCGGACGAACACGGAGCCUAUGUGGUGUUCACAAGUGUAGCGAAUGACCGGCGUAGCAGGCGCCAACAGCAGCAAGAAGUAAAUGCGGUUGCAUCAAGUACUCCAGAGUUCAUGCAUUGGUCCGAAAAGCCUAUCAGUUGGAGCAGAGCUGAUCACCCAGAGGUGAUGCCGAGUCCAGGCUCCUACGCCUUGGUCUUAGGCGCCACGCUUGCGACGGACAGGCGGGCCGCUCGCUUCUCGCGAGUACUGAUAGACAGAGGCAGCAGUAUCAACAUCCUGUACAAGGAUACGAUGGAGAAACUAGGAAUCAAGCGAAGACAACUUCAGAGCAGCCGGACUGUGUUUCACGGAAUCAUCCCUGGCCUUUCCUGCUCGCCAAUCGGCAAGAUCCUGAUAGAUGUCCUCUUCGGAGACAAGGAUCAUUUCCGCCGAGAGCCAAUUUGGUUUGAGGUGGUGGACCUUGAAAUCCCAUAUCACGCAUUGCUUGGCCGACCCGCCCUGGCCAAGUUCAUGGCGGUACCCCACUACGCCUACCUCAAGAUGAAGAUGCCGAGUUCCAAGCGAAUCCUAACCGUGGCCGGCGACUACAGGAAGUCGUCCACCUGCGCGGCCGAAAGCAGCCAGCUGGCCGAGUCCUUGGUGAUCACAGCUGAGAAACGGCUUCUUGAUCGGGUCGUGACGAUGGCCGGCAAGCAGCCCAAGUUAUCGCCCGACCCCAAGGAGUCGGAAGCAGAAGGAUCAUUCAAGCCGGCCAAAGAAACAAAGAAGAUACCGUUGGACCCAGGGCACCCGGAGAGGUACGCUAUCAUGGGCACUGGCCUUGACAGCAAAUAGGAAGGCGAGCUCGCCGAUUUCCUCCGUGAGAAUCGCGACAUCUUCGCAUGGUCCCCCAAGGACAUGCCUGGUGUCCCGACGGAAUUCACCGAGCACUAGUUGCAUGUCCGAUCUGAUAUGAAGCCCGUCAGGCAGCCCUUGCGCCGCCUGUCAGAAGAAAAAAGAAGAGUUGUUGGAGAAGAAAUAGUCCGGCUCCUGGCGGUCGGCUUCAUCAUGGAAGUGUUUUUCCCAGAGUGGCAGGCAAACCCGGUACUGGUGCUGAAGAAGAACAAGCAGUGGCGGAUGUGCAUUGAUUAUACAAGCCUCAACAAAGCUUGCCCCAAGGACCCAUUUGCUCUGCCAAGAAUCGAUCAGGUGAUAGACUCCACAGUCGGAUGCGAGCUGUUGAGUUUCCUAGAUGCAUAUUCAGGAUAUCACCAGAUCAAGUUGAACCCGGCUGACGGUGUCCUGGACUAGGGGGUACUCACCACGUCGUCUCCCGAUCAGUUGGAUUGGGCCGAGGAUCCCCAUGGCCAUAUACUCAUGGGCCAGUCCGGAUAGUUGCCGCAUACAAGGAAGGUUCCACAAGACUUGGCGAUCAAGACAAGGACUCCUCCCCCACCGGCGUAUUCGGCUAGGACUCUUGUUAUCCUAGGCCUCUGGUGCAUUAUAUAAACCGAGGCCAGGCUAGUCGAUAGAGAUAUACAACAACAACCAUUACAAUCAUACCAUAGGCUAGCUUCUAGGGUUUAGCCUCCUUGAUCUCGUGGUAGAUCCACUCUUGUAAACAUCCACAAUAUCAAUAUCAAUCAAGCAAGAUGUAGGGUUUUACCUCCAUCAAGAGGGCCUGAACCUGGGUAAAACAUCGUGUCCCUUGUCUCCUGUUACCAUCCGCCUAGACGCAUAGUUCGGGACCCCCUACCCGAGAUCCACCGGUUUUGACACUGACAUUGGUGCUUUCAUUGAGAGUUCCUCUGUGUCGUCACCGAUAGGCUUGAUGGCCUCUUCAAUCGACAACGACGCAGUCCUGGGUGAGACUUUUCUCCCCGGACAGAUCUUCGUAUUCGGCGGCUUCGCACUGCGGGCCAACUCACUUGGCCAUCUGGAGCAGAUCGAAAGCUACGCCCCUGGCCAUCAGGUCGGGUUUGGAAGCGUAAACUUCACGGCCGAUAUCCGCGGGGACUUGAUCUUCGAUGGAUCUGAGCCACAGCCGAGCGGGCCGCGGUGUCACGAUGGGCACGACCUAACUCUGCCGCCGGACAGCACCUUGGAGGCCGCACACGAAUCCGCUCCGACCCAUAGUCCGGAGCCGAUCGCUCAGAUCGAGGACGGAUGGCUGGACACCGCCUCGGGAGCUGCAACUUCUACGGCGAUGGAGCCCAACACUUACCUUGUCCCGCAUAAAGCUCAUGACUCCGAGGUGCCGGACUCUCUGCCGAACCCCGAACCUCCUGCGCCCCUGCCAGUCGAAUCCGACUGGGCGCCGAUCAUGGAAUUCACCGCUGCGGACAUCUUUCAGCACUCACCCUUCGGCGAUAUCUUAAAUUCGCCGAAGCAUCUCUCGCUAUCCGGAGAGCCCUGGCCGAACUACGGCCAGGAUGGUUGGGACGCGGACGACAAAGAAAUUCAGAUACUUCCGCUUUAUUCUCAAACACAUCCCAUUAAUAUUAAAAGUAUUUUUACAAUACGAUCUUCACCAUCGCGCCGGUGUCAAACCGGCUCGGCAACAUCACUCCACGACGGCCGACAUGCGCUAGACGCGUGGUCGCUUUGUUGAGCCGACCUCAACUUCUUCGGAUCAUCCUCUCGGCAAGCCGGACAAGAGUCCGGCAUCGCGAAGGAUAAAUCAUCGCCAACAUCGCCACUCCACGGAUUACAUGGAGCGGGCACACCUGCAUCGCCGCACGGUCACUUCAUCAAGCUGGCAUCGACCAUGUCACGACCUGCAUCUGCAGGGCCGCACUCUGGACCGGGGGCUUCAUCAUCUCUUCAUCAACCUACACCGGAGACUUCGGCGUCGUUGGCCGACCAGCUCCGUCAUGUUAGCUGGACCGAGGGCUUUGCCUCGCCGAGCCAACCUUUGCAAGCAUCGCCAUGCCGUUGCUUUAUCGCCCAUCAGGCGAUAGGUGUGCGGAUCGAGUCCCAAUUUUGGGAAUCACCUUCCUUCGGAUUGCUACAACAAAUAAACCAGGUGCAAUUAAUCCUAGUAUUUCUUUUUGCUUGUUUGGGUUAAUUUUUCCCAAGGAAUUAUUACUCUGGUUUGUCCAUCAUAUGCACACAGGUCUAUCAAAUGGUGGCCGCAUUAUCAACGGUCGCAUGAUGGUUCGGUCAGUUUCCGUACAUAGUCCGGCGAACGUCGCAUCCAGAACUCGGACCGACUUGUGAAUCCAGGCUUUGCCACGCCUUUAUUGCAUUACGCCAACGACCUGCAUCGACAUCGACUUCGGCGCCAGGCCAUAUUUAUUUUACUACUCACUUUGCAUAAAUUAUUUAUUAUGCAACAUUUUUUUUAAUUCCUAUUAUUACUAUUAUCUCUGGUUUGCACUAUUUUUUGUGCACAGGAAAAUGAUCCAGCCGGACUAUAUCCUUACGUCACCUCGGCUGGAUGGGGGGUUUCGUCAACACUUCAUUACCCCAUGCCAGGGACUUCGGCAUCACUCUGCCGUCCUGCAUCGACCGUGCUAUGUCACCACUUCGGAGUGCCGAGCUCUUUGCUCCACCACCUCGGGACCGGCUUGGGGGAUGGACACUUGUCCCGCACCAAGCUCGGACCGCGUCGUCAAUACUGAACACAUUAACCAGCUAAGUUGCCUUCAUGCUCAAAGUUUUAAAUUUCUAACUUGUGUUCGGUUCGACCAAGCAUUAUACUUUUUUGUAAAAAAAAGUUGCUUGUAAAAAUUUUCCUUGUCCAAACUUUGUUUGCACAUACUUGAUGCGCUACCCGCGCUCAUUAUACCUGGGGGCUUCUUUAACAGAAGCUUAUUAAUUCGGGCUUUAUGCCCAACACAUGUGUCACACUUCCGCAUGUACCUUUUAUUCACCAUUAUAUGCAUCGAUAUGACUUAAGUUUUGGCCAAGCUGGGUUGCCUGGCUCCUGUGCUUACCCCUACGUUCCCGAUUGUUCGGCUAGGUGGUAAAGGGAGCACCUCUGCGAUUGUUACUGCCGGGUCAGCCGGAUGUGUACCUCAGACUGGGUGAAACCGAAAGCUAGCAUUCUUAAGGGAAUACUCGGUCGGUGAACUAAAAGAUGAUUUCUUACCUAUUUAUUUACCUGCCCCCAGAUGUUUUUCUGCUCUUUUCGCAGUCCGGACAUGCACUUUAGGGCAUGUCUCCCAGGGAAAGGAACCCCUAACGGAACUAUUCUCCCUGGAAGAUGUUUCUUACUAACCAUGUAAUAUAACAUAACUAGUUGGACACUUGUCUGAUAAAGCACUAAUGACCCCUACGCCUGGUCUCCACGCAUGCCCCGGUUUUUAUAACCGCGAGGGUAUUCGGACACACUCCGGACUAUUGGGUCCAGAGGUUGAAGCGAAAAGGUCCACUACGACAAACGAUCUACAAUCCGGCUAGAAGACAUUCUACAUGUCACCUUACAUUUUAUAGUCAACUUUUACCCAAGUCGCUUGGGGGCUCUUAUGUUUAUUUGAGCUGUUUCAUACUAAGUGUUUUUCUUCUUAGUCGUUGCAAAGUUAAAGCACGGUAGAAGCACUUUUUUUUCUAAAGUCCAAUUUUCGUAUUGGCACCGAACACUUGAUCUAGUUCGGACAUUAACCUUUUUGGCUUUUCGAGCCCAUGGCACUUUUAAACUAUUUGUGUGUUUUCAGCACAAGUCUCGCAGUGCAACGCCGGACACCUUUAGAGAUUCGGCAAAAACAUUCUCGGAUAUUGCUAUAUAUGCAUCGGUUUCGAAUUGUGUCUUCGGUCAAUAGUUGGGUUGCCCGGCUCCUACGCUUGCCUCCUAUGUUCCGCUUUGUUCGGCUAGGUGUGCAAAGGGAGAACCACUGCGAUUGUGCUUCCAGCUCGCAUGGUCAAGCACCUCAGUGGAGAAAGCCAAAAGCUGACUGUCACAAUAGGUGUAAACUGGUCAGCAAUCUGAUGACUAUAUUAAAUGACGGGCCAUUCAUAAAAUUGGCUGUUUCCGGCUUGACCUCGACUGUCGCCGAACACUACCGGGGGCUAGUAACUGGCCUCCCAAACUAAAUCCUCAAUAUUUUGCUCUUACAUUGGAGCUGAGGUUUCAUGAUCAUGUUUAGCAUGACAGCCCAAAGAAAGGAACCGAUAGCGGGACUAUUUUCUUUGGAAGACAUUUCUUCUGUUAAACAGUAAUAUAACAUAUCUCUCCGCGUACCUUUUUUUAUAAAACCGUAUGGCCAGAUUGCCUUGUUUGUUGUAAAUCUUUGCCCUCAUAAAGGCUUUAUAAAGUAGGACAAACACUCCUCGGCUAUUGGCCGAGGAGGUGGAAGCCGAUGGUCGGUCAACAAAGUUUUGUACAAUGCGGAUCCGAGCAUUAAUGACGUAAAGUACUUGGAUACAUAGAGUCAUUACACAUAAUUUGUGAUUUUACUAUGGAUAUCGAUCCUUAAUUCGGCCUCCCGUGCCCGCAUUAAGGCUCGGGGGCUACUGGGCUUCGGGCUUAUUAUUUACAAAUAUUAAAGUGGCACAUCAAUCCCCUGAUCUGGUGUUGCCACCCGACCAGUGUCUCGGGGGCUACUACAUUGCCUGUUCUAUGCAGAAAAUUUUAAGUGCAAUACAGUUUCCGAGGAGAUUUUGAUCCUCAGGUUGGUCGGCCACACCCAACCUGAGUCUCGAGGACUGAGCACGCCGCUUUUUGUGUCCCGAAGUAUUCCGCCGAGCUAGGACUGGAUCCUUAGACCGAUUUUGCAAAUAAACAUGAGUCUCAGCGGCUACGGGGAUCAGCGGUCUUAUGUCAUCCUUCAUGUGCAUCUCGGGUUUUAGACCGAUACCCACCUUGAGGGCUACUGGCACCAAUCAAAAAUAUUGACAAAAAUCGGCCCACAUUCGGGGUGGUGCACCACCUCAGAAGCAGUCCGGCGUAAAGCUCGGGCGCUAGUGGCUGGCUCCAUAGAGGGCACUUCCGGCAUUAAGCUCGGCUAAACUCGUUCAAACUUCUUUAAACCAAAGUGAUUUACGACACCUCGGAUACAGUCCGGCGUUGGAGCUCGGAUACAUAGUCCGGUGUUGGAGCUCGGAUACAUAGUCCGGUGUUGGAGUUCAGAUACCAUCCGGCGUUGGAGCUCGGAUACAUAGUCCGGCGUUAGAGCUGGGAAGCAGUCCGGCAUUGGUGCUCGGCUGCAAAAGAUACCUCGAAUGCAGUCCGGCGUUGGAGCUCGGACGCAAGAGGACGUAGCCGCCUGGGAACAACAUCAAACUCGGGGUGUGGCAUAAAAAUAACAAGGCAUCGAUAAAGGCCGGAAACUUAAAGGGGCUCCUCGGAUACCCGACAUGUAAACUCGUCGAAUGCAUUUCGGUGAUCUUCAAGAUCGAAGAUGAGGAGAUUUGUUGAACCAGUUUUCAAGAACAACGACCGAAGAUGAAGAACAGUUCGGAAGAAUCGAGGAGCGUUCCCAACUUGAAGACCGGUUCAGAGGGCUACUGACGGUGUCCUGGACUAGGUGAUACUCACCACGUCGUCUCCCGAUCAGUUGGAUUGGGCCGAGGAUCCCCAUGGCCGCAUACUCAUGGGCCAGUCUGAACAGUUGCCCCAUACAAGGAAGGUUCCACAAGACUUGGCGAUCAAGACAAGGACUCCUCCCCCACCGGCGUAUUCGGCUAGGACUCUUGUUAUCCUAGGCCUCUGGUGCAUUAUAUAAACCAAGGCCAGGCUAGUCGAUAGAGAUAUACAACAACAACCAUUACAAUCAUACCAUAGGCUAGCUUCUAGGGUUUAGCCUCCUUGAUCUCGUGGUAGAUCCACUCUUGUAAACAUCCACAAUAUCAAUAUCAAUCAAGCAGGACGUAGGGUUUUACCUCCAUCAAGAGGGCCCAAACCUGGGUAAAACAUCGUGUCCCUUGUCUCCUGUUACCAUCCGCCUAGACGCACAGUUCGGGACCCCCUACCCGAGAUCCGCCGGUUUUGACACUGACACCGGCUGACAGACUGAAGACCGCUUUCAUCAUGCCGUUUGGAGCCUUCUGCUACCUGACCAUGACGUUCGGCUUAAGAAACACCGGCGCCACCUUUCAGCGUUGCAUGCAGAAGUGCCUCCUGAAGCAACUUGGCAGAAACGCCCACGUCUAUGUGGAUGAUGUAGUGGUGAAGACGAAGAAGCGUGGAACCCUGCUGGAGGACCUCAAGGAAACCUUUGAGAAUCUGCGCCAAUUCCAGAUCAAGCUCAACCCAGAGAAGUGCGUUUUUGGAGUACCAGCCGGCCAGCUCCUCGGUUUCUUGGUCUCCGAACGCGGCAUAGAGUGCAAUCCUAUGAAGAUCAAGGCCAUCGAGAGGAUGGAAGUACCCAGACGACUGUUAGAUGUGCAGAAGUUCACCGGCUGUUUGGCAUCCAUCAGCCGAUUCCUCAGUUGGCUGGGCGAGAAGGCUCUCCCCUUGUAUCAGCUCAUGAAGAAGACGGCCUUCUUUGAGUGGACUCCCAAGGCGGACGACGCUUUUCUCCAACUGAAGAAGAUGUUGACUACUCCCCCUGUGCUGGCGGCUCCGACUCCCAAAGAGCCCAUGCUCCUAUACAUUGCCUCCACCAGCCGAGUAGUCAGCACAGUCAUUGUAGUCGAGCGCAAGGAGGAAGGCAAGGCGCUACCUGUCCAGAGACCGGUAUAUUACCUGAGUGAAGUACUGUCGACCUCCAAGGAGAACUACCCCCAUUACCAGAAGAUGUGCUACGACGUGCAUUUUUCCCGCCAAGAAAUUGAAGCCUUACUUCCAGGAGCAUCCAAUCACCGUGGUCUGUACAGCUCCGCUGGCCGAGAUCAUCGGAAGUCGAGAUGCUUCUGGCCGAGUGGCCAAAUGGGCCAUUGACCUGGCUCCCUACACCAUCUACUACGUGGCCCGCACCGCCAUCUAGUCGCAAGCGCUGGCCGACUUCCUCGUCGACUGGGCCGAGACCCAGUAUCUGCCGCCAGCGCCCGACUCCACCCAUUGGCGGAUGCACUUUGACGGCUCCAAGAUGCGCACCGGCUUGGGAGCCGGCAUUGUCCUCACAUCCCCCAAGGGCGACAAGCUCAGAUAUGCGCUGCAGAUCCACUUCGCCACCUCCAACAACAUGGCCGAGUACGAGGCGCUCAUACACGGGCUCCGGCUUGCCAAAGAACUCGGCAUUCGCCGGAUCCUGUGUUAUGGCGACUCUGACUUGGUAGUCCAAUAAUCAUCCGGCUAUUGGGAUGCCAAGGAUGCAAAUAUGGCGAGCUACCGUUUCCUCGUCCAGCAGCUCAGCGGAUACUUCGAGGGAUGCGAGUUCCUCCACGUGCCAAGGAACGAGAACGACCAAGAAGACGCCUUGGCACGGAUCGGCUCCACCCGCCAGGCAAUACCAUCUGGUGUCGCCCUCCGGCGCCUUCUCAAGCCUUCUAUCAAGCCGUCACCAGAAUCAGAUUCAAUCUUUGUACCGGCUCCGCCUGAGGAAGACGGACCCGACUCCAAGAAGCACAUAGUCGAAGCCGGCCCAGGGACUUCAGAACCCGGCCCGGGGACUGCUGCGGUAAGAUCGAAGACCCCAGAGCUCGGCCCGGGGACUACUCCAGUCAGCCCCGGGACUUUUUCAAACCAUCCAGCGGCUGCGGACUCCAACCCGCCGCCUCCCAGCCCGGCCGCCCUUAUCCAGGUCGCACUAGUGAUAGUUGAAGAAAUAGCAGCACCUUCAUGGGCCCAGCCCAUCCUCAGAUUCUUAGUAAACAGAGAGCUGCCAACUGAUGAAAUCUUGGCCCGACAAGUGCAACGCCGUGCAGCAGCCUACACCAUAGUCAACAGAGAGCUGGUCAGGCGCAGCGUUACCGGCGUCUUCCAACGCUGUGUCGAAGCAGAACAAGGCCAGGCAAUCCUCAGAGACAUCCAUGAAGGCGAGUGCGGUCACCAUGCGGCCUCCAGGGCACUCAUCGCCAAAGCCUUCCGGCAUGGUUUCUUCUGGCCAACCGCCCUGGAAGAAGCCAAAGAGUUAGUCCAAAAGUGCAAGGGGUGCCAGAUUUUCCGUUCCAAGCCACUUCAACCAGCUUCCACACUCAAGACUAUCCCCAUCGCCUGGCCCUUUGCAGUCUGGGGUCUGGACAUGGUCGGACCAUUCAAGACGGCACGAGGUGGCUUGACUCACCUGCUUGUCGCAGUGGACAAGUUCACCAAGUGGGUGGAGGCGAAACCCAUUAAGAAGUUGAAUGGUCCGACUGCAGUGACCUUCAUCGCUGACAUCACAACUCGGUACGGCAUCCCACACAACAUCAUCACCGACAAUGGCACGAAUUUUGCCAAAGGCGCCUUGGCCCGUUUUUGCGCGACACAGGGCAUCCGACUGGACCUAGCGUCCGUUGCCCAUCCGCAGUCAAAUGGCCAGGUGGAGCGAGCGAACGGCCUCGUCUUAUCCGGCAUCAAGCCUCGACUCAUCGUCCCGCUGGAGCGAUCUGCCGGCUGUUGGCUUGAGGAGCUGCCAGCCGUCCUCUGGAGUCUACGCACGACACCAAACAAGUCAACCGGCUUCACACCCUUCUUCCUCGUCUAUGGUGCCGAAGCCGUCAUCCCAACGGACAUAGAGUUCGACUCCCCACGGGUCACCAUGUACACCGAGGAAGAAGCAGAAGAAGCACGACAAGACGGCGUUGAUCUGCUGGAAGAGGGCCGGCUGUUGGCACUCAGCCGGUCCGGCAUCUACCAGCAGAGCCUGCGUUCAUACUACAACAGGAAGGUCAGGCCAAGAUCUUUCCAAGAAGGCGACCUUGUGCUCCGGCUGAUCCAGCGAACAGCCGGCCAGCACAAGCUGUCGGCACCUUGGGAAGGCCCCUUCAUCAUCAGCAAGGUGCUAGGGAACGAUGCCUACUAUCUGAUCGAUCCUCAGAAGCCCCGAGCGUGCAAGAAGGACGACUCCGGCAAAGAGGCAGAGCGCCCGUGGAAUGCAAAUUUUCUUCGAAGAUUUUACAGUUGAUGCAGAAUGUAUCGCACUACCCCUCUAUAUUAAAGUAUUAAGAAUUUGGGCCCCCCCGAGACGAGCUCGGGGACUGCCCCUUUUGUUAUCUGUAUGAUAAGAAUUAUGCCUUCGAGAACAUCACUUUCAUUACAAGCCGCUUGGCACCGGGCCAGUCGGCCCGGGGACUAGCCGCCUUGUGCUAUAAAGAGCUUCCCACAGUCAGACAAGUAGUGCGUGGUGCCCAAUCCGCCUCCUGGCAAAGCCGCAGCUCGCAGAGCGACUGUGAGGCGAACAGGAGUAAGGAAGAACGGGCACCCACACGAAAAAUGGCUAAGGACCUAAAGCAUGAACAUAGCGUAAGACGGCCUCCAGCAUUUCUAAAGCAGAAAGCCGACUCAUGAGUAGCCGGCUCGCCGUCUUUAUUAGCCUUCUGUCAAGGACGGCCGACUCUUGGGUAGUCGGCCUUUCGCUUUCUAUCCGACUUGCUAAAGAAACUCUAAACGGCCAAGUACUUGCCUUCUCAAAGUAGCCGAGCACUUGACCCAGCAACAGUCUGUAGAGCGGCUGUCCGACUGGCAAGCAGUGACUAGGGGAAGGCGGCAAAGGAAAAAGGCUAAAGAGCAGUAAGCAAGGAAAGACGGAAAUCGGAUAAAUAUUUACAUAGGCCCUUGGCCGAAUCUUCGAUUAGAAGUUCAAGAACCACCCCGCGGGUGGAAUUGUUCGAAUCUAACAAGUUUUUCAAAAGAUCACUAAGACAGACAAGCAGUGGCGAAAAAUGAAGCCUAGGAGGCGGCGUCGGGGAUCGGAGGAUCGGAGGAGACGGCGGUGUCAGGCGCUGGGUUAGUCGGCUGGGCGGUCUCGGCUUGAUCAGCUCCGGCGGCAGUCGCCUUCUCUUGACGCGGCUCAUUGCUGGAGGCGCGGUCGAGCUGAGGCUGGCCGCCUGCUCCGUCUUCUGGCACCUCCGCCUCGCCUUCAUCCUCCGCCUCGUCCUCCUCCUCAGUGCUGGAGUCGAUCACCUCCGCCGAAUCUUCGCCAUACUCCGGGUUCAUCCCGAACCACUCUGGCGGCACUUCCUCGCCGCCUUCGGCCCGCUCGGGGACGAAGACACUGGUGUCCAUGUACUCAGUGAUGGCCGUUGCACGCUCGAUAAGGGAGCCCUCCAUGGCCUCCAGCUCGGCCUGGGCUUCUGACCGGAACGUGGCCAGACGGUCCAGGUCCAGCCCUGGAUACCACGCCUUGACGAACUCCAAGGCCCGGCGUGCUCUGGCCCGGGCCGAGGAGCCCUUCCAAGCCUCAAGACGGCCGGCAGCGACCUCCAGCCAGUCGGCAGUUCGGCUGGCGGUGCGCAGAGCUGGCGUGCCUGGCCACAAGGCGGCAACCGCCUGGGCACCGGCACGUUGGAGCCAGCGCAACAGCUGGUAAGCCGGACGAAGACGGGCUUCAAUGCUCAGAAGCUGCUCUUCGACGGUUCGGGGGGAAUUAGCGGCGAUCUCCUCAUCGUUUGCCCUUCGCGCCUCACGAGCAGCCUCGAUGGCCAGAGGAACUGCCUGCGAAUGACCGGGGAAGAAGUCUGCCAAGACAAAAAAGAAGCAAGUCAAAAAAAUCAGAAGUCGGCCUAACACAUAGUCGGAAGCCCGAAGAAGCGAAAGAAACUUAUCAUCAACGAUAUCCUCGAUCUCGUGGAAGCCGGAGGUCAGCAUCGCCUCCCUAUCAGUCCAGGAGGAGCGCUCGCUCUCGAACUCGGCCAGGAGUGCGGUCUCCCACUUCUCGGCCUCGUCCUGCGCCUUGUUGAGCAGCUCCUUCUGCUCGGCCAGCUGCGCCGCCAGCAGGUCGCAUUCCGUGGCGAGCUUGCCACACUCCUCCUCCUUGGCACGACGGGCGGUAUUGGCCUCGCCCAGCUUCUCCUGAAGAACGGCGUUGGCUUCUAAGGAGCAAAAGAAGAGACAAAGUAAGUCGUUAGCAAAAAAAAGAUCGCCGGGAAGAUCCGGCCCGACUGCUCAGCAGUCGGCCCGAAUCUCGGGGACUACAGCCCGCGGGUGCGCCAGCGCGCCACCGCGAAGAAGAAGAACUCACUCCGGCUUUCCGACAAGUCGGCAGCCCGCUUGCUCAACUCCUCAACAUUGCGGUUGAAGGCAGUGGCGCGGAGGUUGUGAUACUCCUGCAAUAAGUCACUGAAGACAAAGUUAGUGUUUGGAACUCGCCAGAGCGAGUUCCGAACCGCCUGCUCAGCAGCCGGCCCGGAACUCGGGGACUACACCCAGUGGCUGCGCUGGCGCGCCCCCACAGAGAAAAAACAAGAAUCCAAAGGGAAAGAAACUUACUCGGACGGCCGUUCGUGCGGCCAGAUGCGCUCUGGUGCAGGCUUGAAGGGCGUCGCCCUCGGCCCGCAGCUUCGCCUGGACUUCCAGGAGCAGUUGAUUUAAUGGCCCGGUGCCGCCUCUGUGCACCCACCCGGUGGGCGCGGCGCUUGUGGCCUCGGUGUCUAGGGUUGCCGAGCUGGCAGCGCCGAUCUCCAAGGAUGCGGCGCCGAGGUCGCCCUCUCAAGACGACAGCGCACUGGCGAGGCGACUUGGAGAAGCAGCCGCGCCUCGGCCUCGUCCAUGACCGGCGGCUCCGACUGACUCACCGGCUGUUUGCCGUGCGGCCUCCCAGACGGCGGUGGAGGCGGUGGUGGUGGAACGAGGGUGUCCAACAUAGAAGCCUCGCCGUCCUCCUUCUCCAUGAUGGGGUUCUCGGUGCCGGCCCCUCCGGUUUGCCCCGUGAACUCCGGAGGCGGCCGCACAGACGAGAGUGGGGGGACGAGCAUCGCUGAUCGGUGACGCGCGGCCUCCUCGGCACGCCGUCUCGCUGCGAGGGUAGCUUCGGCGUCCUCCAGCUUCUUCUGGGCGGAGGCGGCCGCCUUGUCGGCCUCCGCCUUCUCCAGACGUUCGGCUUCCUCCUCCUCGCGCUUCUCCCGCGCGUUUCGCUCCGUCGCCUCCCGGAGGUCGGCGAUGGGGUCGGCCCGCCGAGAAUUGGCGAACGUCUCCGCCGACCCCAUGACGGAGGGGACGACGACUCUCUCAAGGGAGAGAGGGUCCCUGGAGAAGAUUGGAGGGAGCAUAAAGGAAAACCCGGACGAGAUUCGAUAAAGGAAAAUAAAAAAGCGUAAAGACUUACGCAGAGACUAGUGGCGGCCUCCUCACUUCCGUUCGGAAGCGGUUGGCCUUCGCAGCCGCCUCCUCCCGUCUGGUCGCGGCGGCCACCCCCUUUAUCUUCUUCAACUUGGUGCCAGACGCACUCGGCCCGGCGUGACGCCUCUUCAAACCACCCUGAUUGGCGGAGGAUCCGACCUUCGGCUGGUGGCGUGGGGCGACUUCCCCUUCGGCGUCGUCGUCGGGCCAGUCGGCGAAGGUGGCCGAAGGCCUGAAGUCGCCUUCCGCUCCUUCUCCCCCGCCUUCGGCGUCGGCUUCCAUCGCCGCUGCCCCCAGGUCAGGGUCGUCGACGUCGCUCUCCGCACGGUCGGGAUCAUACUCGCGGGGCUGUCUCGUGGCACCGGCGGCAGGCUGCAUAAGAGGAUUCUAGUUCAGAAGAAGCCAACAAGAGUCAGAAGCCGGAGUCGGCUGCGGAAAAAUGACAAAACAGUAGGAAGACGCGACUUACCACUGGUGGAGGGUUGUCGCGCGAGUACGGCUCCUUGCCGAACUGCCAGUCCUCCUCGUACUCGCAGUGCGUGAUGUAAUUCACCAUAUUAGCCACCUCUUUGCGGGGCAUCUCCUUGGUACUCAUCCGACUUGGGUCUCGGAGGCCGCUCAUCUGACAGAUCAGGUGAGGCAGGCCUUGGAGCGGGAGAACUCGGCGCGCCAUGAAGGCGGUCAGCAAGUCGGCCCCGACGAGUCCCUCCGACUGUAUCAAGACUCGGAGUCGCGCUACGGCGGCGGCUCCGGCAAGGGUUAGCGACUUGACUCGGUGAGACCAGCUGGGGAGCCUCCCGGUCAUGGGAGCGGCGUUGUAGGGCGGCAGCUUGACCCAGUCACCGUCGGAGGCAAGGUUCUUCACGUAGAAGUACGAGCGCUGCCACAUCUUCACCGACUUGAUCAGCGCGAUGGGAGGAAAGGGGUUGUCAGCCGUCGAGCGCCGCAUCGCGAUGAAGGCGCCGCACUGAGCCGGCACACCAGCGAUGUGCGUGCCAAGCUUAGAAGAGAAGAAUUCUCCCCACAGCUCGACGGUGGGGAGAACGCCGAGGAAACCUUUGCACAGAGUGGUGAAGGCGGAAAGCAACACCACCAUGUUCGGAGUGAGUUGGUGCGGCUGAAGACUGUGGAACUCCAGGAACGAGCAGAAGAAGCCGCUCGCUGGCAGCCCCAGGCCGCGCAUAAGGUGCGAGCGAAAGACAACCCGCUCGCCCUCUUCCGGCGCCGGCCGGAUUUCCUCCUCCGGUGCGGCGCGGGCGCGCACGAGGUCCGCGCUGGGAAGACGGCGUGUCCGGCGGAGGAACUCGAUGUGUUCUUCCUCUAGCUCCGAGCUGUCCCACACGCCGGAGCGCACGGCAGGGGCCGCGGCAGAGGAAGAGCUCAUCGCCGCAGUAUGGUGUGCUCUUGCUCAAUGGCGGAGGAAGGAAGGAGAGAAAGCAAGAUGAGGCGGGGGAGCGGGGAAGAAGGGCGCGCGAGCUGUGCCGCUCCGCUUCCCCCCGCCUACUUAUAGCCCUGCGGGCUGAGAAGCCGAGGGGGCGGGCGUGGGAUUAACUACGCACGAUGUCCCACGCCGCCCCACGAUUUACCCCACGAAGUUACUGCGCGCAGUAACGACGUGGGAAAACCAACCGUCCACGGCCGCAAUGGAUCCGUUCGUAUGCUGAGGCACGGUAGUGGCGGGCCUCGCCUGACGGCCCGUCCCAUCGCGCGUGUGGGUAGGCAGACUGUUCUCUCCACGUGGAACCACGCGAUAGGACCGCCCUGAUGGCAGCGGGGAGGUGUAUCAGGCACGCCGCCUGGUUUCCUGCCGCGACUUUCGAACUGCGGCUCUUCACUAAAACUCCGACUUUCGACAGUCGGCCCAAGGGAAGACGACCCGAGUUCCAGAGUCUGCACUUUUAAAGAUUGAAGCUAUUGAAGCCCCACAAUGCAGCGACCGCAGGGCUUCACCAGCUUCGGGGACUACUGUCGGAGUAAUAGGCCACGGGUAGGCUAACCCGAGCCCCAAGACAUUUCAGGACAUCGGGGCAGGCCGCGCCCCUCAGGCCGAGUCCCAGGAGCGACUACAAAGUAUGCCGAGUCCCAGACGGCGACUCCGGAGAGGCUGACUUCAAGCUGGCGACCUCCAGAGAGGCCAACUAUGGAGAGUCGGCCCGUGACUCCUCCCCCGUUCCGAAGCACGACGCGGGGUACGGUCACGGCAUGGCCGUUCCCCCCUCCCUACUCACGAAGGGCCGGCAUGGCUACAGCGGGCCGUAUCGCUGGAAGAUCUCCGACGAGGCGCGGCACUGUUGCCAUACCUUCCCUGACCUCAGCCACAGUGCGCAGAACACUGUGCCCACGACGCCGGCCUGUACGACCCAAGGGCGGCGGGGCCGCCUGACAGUGGGUGGGCCGAAGGCGGCCUGGGCGCCCGAAGACGGACCUGUGGGAGUCGGCCUCCCUGGAGUCGGCCGACUCCUCCCCAGGGCCCCACGAGCCAUUAACCAGAUAAGAUGGGGAAUGGCGAUAGUGAUCGCCCGAUAGACGGCGGCACUGUUGCCAUGACCCAAUGACCAAGCCUGCGUCAUCAGGAGUGCCGCUACAGCGUCGAGCCUGUCUGUGGGACCCGCCAGCCGGCGGGCCCUAGAAGCCGGCAGGAAGGACGGUGGCCUGAGAGACAGACGGCUGGGACCCGCGCCUAGCCAUAUUACUAUUUUACCCCCGGGGGGUAGGCCUAUAUAAACCCCCUGGGGCACCCAUGCAAAGGGUUCGGAUCUGAAUAGAGAUAGACCAGAUAGCUCGGUAGGAGAGAGCUAGCCUUGCCCUCUCCUACCUCCCGAAACAGCUCUAGGAGCACCAUUGUAAUCACCUUGCUUGAGUGAUCAUGCGGAGACCCCGCAGAGCAGCAGUAGGGUUGUUAUCUCCUAGGAGAGCCCUGAAUCUGGGUAAGUUCUGCCGGCGUGCAUGUCGUCGCCUCAUCCCGCUUCCAGGCACCGGCGUCGUUCUAUUCGCUCCCACCAUGAUAAGCCAUCCUUUGGCAUAUGUCGCAUCCAACCCCCGACACGUCAAGCAGUCGGGUGGGCACCUCCAUCUUCUCAAUGGCCUUGAUCUUCACAGGGUUGCACUCUAUGCCGCGCUCUGAGACCAGGAAGCCGAGAAGCUGGCCAGCUGGUACUCCAAAGACGCAUUUCUCCGAGUUGAGCUUGAUCUGAAAUCGGCGCAGGUUCUCAAAUGUCUCCUUGAGGUCUUCCAGCAGCAUGCCACACUUCUCCGUUUUCACCACCACAUCAUCCACGUAAAUGUGGGAGUUUCUGCCGAGUUUCUUGAGGAGACACUUCUGCAUGCAAUGUUGAAACGUGGCGCCGACAUUUCGCAAUCCGAACGUCAUGGUCAGGUAGCAGAAGGCUCUGAAUGGCGUGAUGAAGGCAGUCUUCAGCCUGUCGGCCGGGUUAAUCUGAUGGUACCCUAAGUACGCAUCCAAAAAACUCAGCAGCUCGUGUCCGGCUGUGGAGUCUAUUACUUGGUGAAUUCUUGGCAAGGCAAAGGGAUCUUUGGGGCAAGCUUUGUUGAGGCUGGUAUAAUCAAUACACAUGCCCCACUGCUUAUUCUUCUUCAGCACAAGAACUGGGUUGGCCAACCAUUCUGAAAAGAAUACUUCCAUGAUGAAGCCGACUGCUAGAAGCCGGGCUAUCUCUUCUCCGACAACUCUUCUCUUUUCUUCCGACAGGUGGCGCAAGGGCUGUUUGACCGGCUUGGCGUCAGGUCCGACAUGUAACUUGUGCUCGGCGAAAUCCGUCGGAACACCCGACAUGUCUUUGGGAGACCAUGCAAUGAUGUCCCGAUUCUCACAGAGGAAAUCGACGAGCUCGCUUUCCUAUUUGCUGCCAAGGUUUGGACCAAUGACAGCGUGCCUCUCCGAGUGCUCCGGGUCCAAGGGUAUCUUCUUUGUUUCCUUCACCAGCUUGAAUGAGCCCUCAACUUUCGACUCCUUGGGGAUGGGUGACAUUUCCGGCUUCUUGGCUGCCAUCACCACAACCCAGUCAAGGAGCUGCUUCUCAGCUGCAAUCACAAGGGACUCGGCCAGCUGGCUGCUGUCUGCAGUGCGGGCGGAUGACUUCUUGUACUCUCCGACUAUGGUCAGGAUUCCCUUGGUGGUCGGCAUCUUCAUCUUGAGGUAAGCAUAGUGGGGGACCGCCAUGAACUUGGCCAGAGCAGGACGGCCAAGUAGCGCAUGGUAGCGGCUCUCAAGGUCCACCACUUCAAAUCAAACUGUCUCUCAACGGAAGUGAUUCUCGUAUCCAAAGAGAACAUCAAUCUGGGUCUUGCCGAUUGGUGAGCAGGAAAGGCCAGGGACUAUGCCAUGGAAUACAGUCUGACUGGGUUGAAGCUGCUUCUGCUUGACUCCCAAUUCCUCCAUUGUGUCACGGUACAGGAUGUUGAUGCUGCUGCUGCUAUCUAUCAGGACUCUAGAGAAACGAGCUGCCCACCUCUCUGUUGCGAAGGUGGCAUCUAAGACCAGGGCGUAAGAGCCAGGGGAGGGCAUCACCUUCGGGUGGUCGGCCCUGCACCAACUGAUGGGCUUUUCAGACCAAUGCAUGAACUCUCGAAUAUCUGAUGCCACUGCUUGUACUUCUUGUUGUUGCUGCCGUCUGCUACGUCUGUCGUAGGCCACACUGGUGAAAACAACAUAGGCUCCGUGCUCCUAUGGAUACUCAUCUUGUAUGGCGCCCACUAGCCGAACAGCCGGCUGCUGGGGCGGAGGAGGCGGCGGGCCGGCAGGAGGAGGAGGCAGGAGUCCAUCUCCCUUAGCGAUUCUGGUGAGCCAAUGGCACUUCCGAGUGGUGUGGUUGGACGGCUUCACACCACUAUGGAACUUGCAGGGUGCAUCAUUGGGCUUGACGCCCUUCUGAUGGUUGGGUGGAGGCUGCCCCUCCGGCUGCUGGUCUUCGACUGUCGCCACCUGCCGGCUGGUGGAAGCCGGCUGCGUGGCCUUGCGCUUGUUGUCGCUUGGCUGGUGUCGCCGACUGGUGUCACCAGCCGGUGUCCGAGGAGCCUGAGGAGCUACCUUGCCGGAUGCAUCAACUAGGAUCUCCGCCUUCAUGCAGGAAUCGGCAGUAGCGUGCUUGUCAACGAUGAUCAGCAGUUUGUCGAGCGUCACAAGGUCGUCACAGAGAAGUCGGUGCUUGAGGAGGGUGCCCUGUCGGCACCCAACGGUGAAGUAUUCGAUGACCUCCACCUCGUGCACGCCUUUGCAAGAGUUGCGCAGCUUGGCCCAGCGUGUGAGAUACUCACGAGUCGAUUCGCUGGGCCCUUGGACGCACAAGGAGAGCUGGCAUGGCUUGGGAGGCCGCUUGUACAUUAUGGUGAAGUUGCAGAUGAAGGCUUUAGUGAAAUCAACCCAGCUGUUGAUGCUGCGGGGCUUCAGGCUGUUAAGCCACGUCUGGGAUGUGCCUUGAAUUAUGAGCGGAACAUACUUCACAGCAACACGCUUGUUGCCGUUCGCUAUGCUGAUGGCAGUGGAGUAGUCGACCAGCCAGUCCUCCGGCUUCAUGGAGCCAAUGUACCUGGGCGUAUCUCUUGGGAGCAUGAACCCUUUAGGGAAGGGCUCAUCUCGGAUUCGUGGGCCGAAACAAGGUAGACCCAACGCGUCUUCUUCUUGUAGCGCCAGGGAUCGGUUGAGGCGGUCGAUCCGGUGGCGGGCAUCGUUCUCUCCGACUCCUUCUCGGCGGCCAAGGCGGUCGCCGAGUGUUGGGUGCGUGAUAGGCGGCGGAGUGGGGUGCCUUUCUCCGUGAGGCGGAGGGGAGGCGGGUCGCCUUGCCGCUCCACUACUCGAGGGCGGCCGUCUGCGUCACGCUCGAUGGGGAGGUGAGUCCGACUGCGGCUGGCAGCCAGCUCAUUGACUCUUCUUCCGCAGGCGCCGCCAGUCAGCGUCCGGGAUGUUACGCCAUGGUCCUGGCGAAGGGGCGGUUCGUUGUUCCGACGGACGGGCACUUCGGCACGAUAGCCAGCUUCGUGCUGCUCAGCGGCCGCGUCAAGGAGUUGCUGGACUCACUCCGUCAUGUGGCGACACUCGUCGCCCUCGUACUUGUCCAACUCAUACGUCACCGCCUGGGCGGCCCGGAUGUUUUCUGCAGGCGUGGCGUAGACGAGACGAUCCAUCCGGAACAUGCUGGCGAUGGUCGCGCCAUGCUAUGGGAUCGAGCAAAUGUGGCUAGGCCCCUCAGUAACUGGUGUGCCACCAACAGCUCGGUCCAUCUCGCGCCGGUAGGCUUCCGAGAGGCGUCGCAUGCUGGCCAGUUGGCCGGUGCUCUCGAGGAGUUCAACGCGGCGUGCUUCCAGCGUCUCAGCGUUUGCGUCUUCCUGGAUGGGCGCUGAAGAGUCUCGCAGCAUCGGAUCGAGUGGGUCUCGGACGCCUCCGUCCGAGUGCUCACCACUAUUGAUGACAAGCACCUCCGUGAUGGUGCUUCCGCCGCUGUGCUCGCGAGGAGGCGGCUCGUUGUAGACGACCACGUUGGUGGUGAACGCGUCAACCGACACCGUGUUGGAGUCGAUGAUCAUCGGGUUAGUGGAGCCAACCAACUCCAAGUCAACAGCAGGCUCGCUGGUGACAUGGAGGUGGUUGAGGAGACUGACGAGGCGGCUCUCGGGGCGGUCGGUGCCCGCGUCGGAGGCAGCCUUGUCGGAGAGGCGGAUCUCGCCAACAAGGUCGGUGAGGCAGCUCACCGCGCAGGCAAUCUCCGCAUCGUGCAGCGCAUCGAGGCUGACUCCGUCGGGCGUGCUAGGCUGGCUGCGCUCGCUAGGAAGGAACAAGGUUCCUGUCAAGAGAAGAUCUCCAGAUGACGGUGCACCUCACCCCAUGGUAGGUGCCAAAUGUCGGGGGUUGGGUGCGACAUAUGCCAAAGGAUGGCUUAUCAUGGUGGGAGCAAGUAGAACGUCACCGGUGCCUGGAAGCGUGAUGAGGCAUAGACACGAACGCCGGGGCACUUUACCCAGGUUCGGGGCUCUCCUAAGAGAUAACACCCCUAGUCCUGCUCUGCGGGGUUUCCGCAUGAUCACUAAGGCACAAGUGAUACAAUGGUGCUCCUUGAGCUGUAUGCUAGAGGUAGAAGGAGGCAGGGCUAGCUCUCUUCUUCCUCUAGGGUGGAGUCUAGUUCUAACAGGUUGGGAACCCUUUGCAUGGGUGCCCUGGAGGGUUUAUAUAGGCCUACCCCCAGGGGUACAAUGGUAACCUGGUCGGGUGCUGGACCUGACUGUCAGUGUCUCUCGUCGCCGGCUUCUCCGCUGGCUGCUGGGGCCUGCCGCCUGGCAGGCCCCGCUAACUGGUCUGGUACGGAGCCGAAAGGCCCCUCCCGCCACUGGUGGGUCUGGUGGGUGUCUGAUUGCUGUAGCCAUGAUGCUAAUGACGCAGGCUUGGUCAGUGGAGCGUGGCUACAGUCCCGCCGCCUGGUGGGAGAUCACUGUAGCCACACAAUGUCUUAUCUGGUUAAUGGUGCACGGGCCUCGAGGGAGGAACUAGACGCCUGCUGGAGGCCGGCCUCCCUCAGGUCCGGCUGGUCUGGCCUCCGCCGUCUUCCGGGCUCUCACUGCCUGGUAGGGCCCGCCGCCUGUAGGCCGUACCGAUAGGCCGUCCUGGAAGCAGGGCUCCGCCUGUCAGGAGUGACGUCGAGGGGGAGUGGCAACAGUGUCGCGCUGUGUGGAGAUCUUCGCCUGUACGGGGCACUGUAGCCAUGCCAAGCCCAGGAUUCGGGGGUGAGGGACUACACUGUAGCCUCACUCUGUCUUGUCCUCUUGAUGAAGGGCACAGAUUCUGAGGGCGCGGGGAGGCCGUCUACUAGGAGCCGGCCAGUCUUGGUGCCAUCUGCUGGUGGGUGGCCGCCUUCAGGCAGCCGGCCGUUGAGACAGCUGGCCACCAGAAGGCGGUGCUUCAUUCUGAGGUCUCGUGGGGCGAAGCUGGCCCAAAGUCUUGAAAGGCUCAGGGACUCGGGUGAGACUACCCGUGGCCCAUUACUCCGACAACGGGAAUUAUGAAGACUAAGCAGCGUGAAUUUCUUGCGCUCCUCCAAGUAAAUCAGCCUGUGGAUGAAUAUUUGCAAAAAUUCAAUCAUCUCGCAUGUUACUCCCUAUGGCAACUGAAGAAAGAAAGAUUGACAGAUUUCUUGGCGGAUUAAACCCGCAACUACGGUGUACUCUUAGUAUGUUCAAUUUCCUAGACUUCCAAACCCUGGUGAUCAAGGCUUUCAUUGCUGAAUGAGAGCACAAGCUUGUAUCAGAUAAUAGGUCUGCUAACAAUGAUCACAAGCGCAAGUUUGAGCCAAGGAAGGAGGUAAAACCAGCGCAAAAGGCUCGUACCUAGCAACAGACUCAGGUGGAAUACAAGCCCAAUUGGCAACAGAAUGUUAACAAGACCACCACUCAAGUCAAGAAUGUCGUAACCAACCCAGUGCAAGAGGAGCGUCUGCGUAACAAUUCUUGCUUUAGUUGUGGGCAAACCGGACAUUAUGCCAAACAGUGUCCCAAGAACAACAGGUUGAAUGCUAUAUUCUAGCCACAAGUCCAUUUUAUGGAGGCAGGCUUGAACCAGCAAAAUAUCACGGCAUACAUUCGUCACCUCUCCCCCGAUGAAGCCCAAGAGAACCCCAAAGUCGUCAUUGGUAUGUUUUCUGUUAAUAACAUACCUGCAGUGAUUUUAUAUGACUUUGGGGCUUCCCACUCUUUUAAUUCUCGGAGUUUUGUUGCCCAAAACAAAUUUCCAUGUUCGCUUUUGGGCAAGAAUAUGCUGGUACAAACCCCGGGAUCCUUAAUCAGAAGCAAUCUAGUCUGUCGAAAUCUGGAAGUCAAUACCAAUGGAGUCUGUUUUCCAAGUUCCUUGAUACUUAUCGAGUCUAAUAAGUUGGAUGUUAUCUUGGGUAUGAAUUGGCUGACUCAAUAUCAAGUAUGCAUAAAUUGUGCGACCCGAGAAGCCACUUUGACCAGCCAACAAGGGCAGACUACAAAAUUCUGUGCUCGUAGAAGCAUACCCGCGAAACAAAUGGUCUUCACCGCAGUGGCGGAAUUUGAAUUAAUUCCUGUGGUCAGUGAGUUUUCUGAUGUAUUUCCAGAAGAAGUGCCAGGCAUGCCACCGGAUCGAGAGAUUGAGUUUGCAAUAGAUCUUAUGCCCGGGACCACACCAAUACACAAGAAGUAUUACCGAAUGCCUGCAUCAGAAUUAGUGGAGCUAAAGAAACAGCUUGACGAAAUGCUCCAGAAAGGAUAUAUCUGUCCCAGCUCUUCACCAUGAGGAUCACCUGCUAUCUUCGUGGACAAAAAGGAUGGCAGCCUCCGCAUGUGUGUGGAUUACCAUCAGCUGAAUGAUGUCACAAUCAAAAACGAAUGUCCACAACCAAGAAUUGAUGACCUAUUUGAUCAGCUCAGUGGGGCCAAGGUAUUCUCCAAGAUUGAUUUAUGGACUGGAUACCAUCAGCUCAAGAUUAAAAAGGAGGAUAUUCCUAAGACCGAAUUCACCACUCGAUGCGGUCUUUAUGAAUAUACAGUUAUGUCUUUUGGUCUCACCAACGCCCCUGCCUUCUUCAUGCAUAUGAUGAACAAAGUAUUCAUGGACUUCCUCGAUAAGUUCGUGGUAGUCUUCAUUGAUGAUAUACUUAUUUACUCAAGAAGUGAAGAAGAGCAUAAAAAACACCUCCGAGCAGUGUUACAACGACUCCGUGAACAUCCGUUAUACACCAAAUUCAGUAAAUGUGAGUUUUGGCUCAAGCAAGUUGGAUUUAUUGGACAUGUGCUCUCCGCCGAAGGUAUAGGCGUGGACCCGAGCAAAGUAAAGGAUGUACUCGAUUGGUUGCCACCCACAACUGUAUCUCAAAUCCGGAGUUUUCUUGGAUUAGCCGGAAAUUACCGUCAUUUCAUUGAAGGGUUCUCCAAGAUUGCUAAACCCAUGACAGAGCUGCUCAAAAAGGAUAAGAAGUUUGAAUGGACUGAGGAUUGUGAAAAAAGUUUCAAUGAGUUAAAGAAACAGUUGACAACUUCACCGGUAUUGACUCUUCCACAUAUCUACCGCAGUUUUGAUGUGUAUUGCGACGCUUCCAGGCAGGGACUUGGAUGCGUACUUAUGCAAGACGGCAAGGUAGUAGCUUAUGCCUCACGACAGCUACGACCCCACGAGGGAAAUUAUCCUUCUCAUGAUUUGGAGUUGGCAGCGGUGGUUCAUGCUUUAAAAAUUUGGAGACACUAUCUCAUCUGGAAGAGGUUCCAAAUUUUUACAGAUCACAAAAGUGUCAAGUAUAUAUUUACUCAACCAGAUUUAAAUCUCCGUCAACGAAGAUGGCUUGAGUUAGUCAAGGAUUAUGACCUUGGAAUAAAUUACCACCCGGGUAAGGCCAACGUGGUUGUCGAUGCGCUCAGUCGAAAGCCCGUCAACCUAAAUGUCAUAUUGGAAUCCUUGCCUCCUGAACUCCAAGAAGAGAUUGCUCAGCUCAACCUGGUCAUAGUAGAUGCUGGCCUUGCUAACAUUUUGGCAGUUACCCCCACAAUUGAGGAAGAGAUCCGCAAGGCCUAGUCGGAUCACACUGAUCUACAGAAACGUGCCAUGCAUAUGGUAGCAAGUCAGACUUUCGAUUUCUCGAAGGAUCAGAUUGGUACCCUCCGAUUCCGGGGAAGGAUUUGUGUUCCCAAUUAAGCAGAUUUAAAGUCGAAGAUCCUGUCAGAAGCACACGAAUCCUCGUAUUCAAUUCACCCUAGAGGUACGAAAAUGUAUGAAGACCUUCGACAAACAUUCUGGUGGGAUGGGAUGAAGAAAGACAUUGACUAUUUCGUGGCCUGUUGCAACAUAUGCAACAAAGUGAAGGCAGAGCAUCAGAAGCCAGCCGGACUUCUCCAACCGCUGCCAGUGUCAUAAUGGAAAUGGGAUGAUGUCUGUAUGGAUUUCAUCACAGGACUACCUAAGACUCGACGCGGCAAUGAUGCAAUCUGGGUCAUAGUGGAUACAUUAACCAACGUAGCCCACUUUAUCCCGAUCAGAACCACAUAUCGAGCAGAUGAACUUGCACAAUUGUAUGUAUCCAGAAUAGUCAGUCUGCAUGGAGUCCCCCGAACCAUCACUUCUGACCAAGGUUCACUUUUUACCUCCACUUUUUGGUCCUGACUCCGUCAAGCCUUGGGGACAGCAUUAAAAUACAGUACCGCUUAUCAUCCUCAGACUGAUGGACAGAUAGAGCGGGUAAACCAAAUACUCGAAGAUAUGCUGCGAGCCUGUGCUUUGGCCCAAGGACUGAAAUGGGAAGACUGUUUGCCCUAUGUUGAGUUCUCCUAUAACAAUAGUUUCCAGACCAGCUGAAAGAUGUCACGGCAUGAGGCUUUGUUUGGCCCUAAGUGCCGCACUCCUUUAAAUUGGUCUCAAACUGGAGAUAGCCACAUUUUCGGAACUGAUCUCAUGCUGGAAGCCGAGAAGCACGUCAAGGAAAUCAGAGACAGAUUGUAGUUGGCCAAAUCUCGACAGAAGAUUUAUUAUGAUGCAAAGCACCGACAGAUCAGUUUUGAACCCGGAGAACAUGUAUACCUUCGAGUCACGCCUAUGAAAGGAGUCAAGAGAUUUCAGACUCAUGAAAAGUUGGCACCCAUAUUUAUUGGUCCAUUUCCAGUUAUGUCACGAGUGGGUACUGUUGCAUAUUAGUUGGAGCUACCCCCUGAAUUGUCAGACGUGCACAACGUGUUUCAUGUUUCAUAGUUACGGUGUUGCAUAUCACCGCCGGAGAAAAAGACUGAUAUGACGGAAAUAGAGCUGGCCAAGGAUUUAACCAACAAAGAGAGGCCAGUUAGAAUCUUGGAUCAGAUGGAAAGAGUCACUCGCAGUAAGGCAUGGAAGUUUUACAAAGUCCAACGGAAGCAUCACACAGAGUCAGAAUCAACAUGGGAAUCAGAAGAAUAUCUAAGGGCACAUUAUCCAGAAUGGUUUUCACAAGCAAACUAAUCUCGAGGACGAGAUUCAUUCUAAGUGGGGGAGGUUUGUGACAGCCUGGUUUUUGCCCCCUCUUCUUUGCCUGAUUUUCAGUUGGUUUGAAUUUGAGUUUGGAGUUUUUGAAUCCUUUCAUUUCGACUUAACAACUUGGGUACCCCUUGACUUUCACCCAAGUGCUUCAUCUCCCUCUCAAACCAUCACUCCAUCUCUGGUUCACCUCAUAAUAUAAUUUGGAAUAUUUUUCUUGAAUGAAAAAUAUUCAUUUUCCCUCCUAAACCCUAGCUAUCUAAAUGUGCUCCAAAGAAACCCCAAUUUUUCUUGCCCAUAAAAUCUUGAGAAAAAUCCCAACUAUUCUUUGAACCCUAGGGCACCUUUUUGAGCAAAAACAUUUCAUCACUUUUUGGAAUAUUUUGGCUACAGAAAAUAUUUUCAUUUCUGGACAGAAAUGGUAGUUUCUUCAGCAACUACCAUUUUACUUGCUCCAUUGUAGCUGGUUUUUCUUGUGCAUCUUCACCUUAGUAAAUGUUGGCUAGCCUCAAAAGCCCAGCUCUCAACUCCCAGUGGUUUGACCACAGUAAACUCUCAAAGUUACUAUCCAGAAACUUACCUGGAGUGUAAAUUCAUUUCUACUGCACCUGAAACCCAACCCAAGUGUGGUAACAGUCAAAUUUACCACGGACUACACGCCAGACAUGAAGUUUGGGCUUAGGUCGGCUUGAGGUCAUAGUUCACACGGUGACCGCGUUCGUCCAGGUGUGCUGGCAUGCAAAACAUGCGCUCUGAGUGCCGUCGAGCGCUCUGUUGCGUGCGUGCUCGCUGCCCUACCUGCCCGAGCGUGCCAAACCAUGCCACCAUCAUCGUCUCUACUCACUUAACUCCGCCCUAGAACUCGCCGACUCGGGAGCUCGCCGCAGCGGGCACGGGCACGGUCCGACCAAUGCCACAGUGCGCGGCGCACUCUGCUCGUCGUCUUCCUCUCGCCCCUGUGCUCGUCCCCGUCCCCGAGCUCGAGAUCGUCGGCGAUCCCCUCAGGUCGUCCCCGCAAGUCCAGCCCCUCCCAGGCAAGGGAAACUCUUCCAGGGCCUCCUCCCCUCUCCGGUGGUGUCGUUCCGCCCGGUUGGAGCCCAUGGAGUCGCCCCUAGUCGUCGCCGUCUUCGUCUCUGUCGACUGCUGCUCUCUGCCUCCGCUGGAGAGGCUGUUUCCGGCACCGUCCGACCACCCCUAGCCACUCUACGGGUACGGGAAGGUGCGCCUCUGUCUCCUCUCUUGAUCCCUCCCUCUCGUUUUGGCCCAAGAGCCCUCGCCGCUGGGCCCGCUAGCAAGGCCCGCUAGCGAAGCCUCUCCCCCUCCACCUUACCUGACUAGCAGGGCCCGCUAGUCAGCCACUCUGUACGCGCGCGAAGCGGUACGAGUUGUGGCACCCUGGACUUUUACGCCUUCGAUGUUACCCCCCCACACACACACAGUCUGUUUAUUUUUAAUUCAAAUUUCAUUUAAAUCCAGAGAACUUCAAACAGCCAAAACUUUUUAACCAUAAGUCCAAAUGAUUUGAUUCUUUUUGCAUUGUGUUCUUUGUCAAACAAUCUAGUAGCUCACCAAAGAUGGGAUGUUUCCCUGCUGUCUAGAUUUUAUGGUGAAUUUCAGAAGGUUUCUUGAUGAUUUCUUUUUGUGUUUUUAAAUAUUUUCAGAAGGUGAGGCUUGUCUUGAGGAUCACCAGGAGGAUUGUGAACCUCUUUUGCACUAAGGGAAGCCACAUCAACAUUUUCAUAGUGCCACUAAAAUAUUUGUGAUUUUCUACUUGAACAAAUGAUUAUUCAUGCAUUUAAAUUAUUAAUAUGUUAAUUAUACUCUGUUAGAUGCUUGUUAAAGUGAAUAUGCUUGAUUUACAGAAAGUUUGAAGUGAACUUAGCUGGUAAACUAGCAAGGAUUUAGUUUUUGGGUGAUGAAAGAAUAAUAUGGCUAUGGAUAUGAAUAAUUAGUGGAAUUAUUUUCUUGCAUGAGUAAAAAUGAUAAAUUUGCUAGAAAAGGUUCUGGUUGAAGUGAGGCUUGAUCUUAACCAGAGAAGCAUCAUGAGUUGUUGAUGCUCAGUGUGAGCAUAGUUGACUCAGUCAUUUCCGUUGAUAUGAGAUGCAUAUGUUGGUGAUGCAUGUCAUGGUAUUAUGACGCCGGUUAUUUUCACUUUAAGUUGAACCUGAUAAUAACUCAACUUGAAUAUGUUGUUGACCGGGUCAUGGUGCUGCUGAAUCGAGUCUUUCCGAGUGCAACCACAUUUUCCGGUAUGGGACGGACUUUAUUCGUUUCAUUGUCAUGCCUCUUGUCGGUGCCUCCAACUAGGGAAGGUUAUGGACUUUAUUCGUUUCAUUGUCAUAACCUUGUGUGUCUGUUGUUAAGUUUUUGGUACCGGGUCCCCGUGUGGGAUUGUUUGGCCACGACGGUGGUCGUUGUGUCUUCGGUAGACACGGGGCCAGCCAGGACUAGCCCGAUGGGGAGUGAGUUAGAGUGGCCGGGAGAGUGUCAUAUCAAUGGAGGGGUUUCGUCGGAAUGCCGUUAGUCCACCCGAAUGGGAGUGCAAGGCCAUGGGUUCCGUGGUGUGGGUCCAGUGCACUACCUCUGCAGAGUGUAUUAAUCUAUCGAUAGCCGAGUCCACGAUGAAGGACACGCUCGAAAGUAGGUCACACCAUGUGUCAAUAUUUAAUGAAUUUUGCACACUAAGUAUGAAGUUUGCAUUGUGUUGGUGGUGGGAAGGACAUUGUGUUGAUUUGGACCAGAUGUUGGUCAUGGUUGUGAUCGCCAUAAGGAUCACGGGCCAAAUAUUGGUCGUGGUUGCGAUCACCGUAAGGAUCACAGUUUGGGGCCAAUUAUUGGUCGUAUUGUGAUUGCCGGAAGGAUCACGAGAUGUCUCUGGGUUGGCACGUUUGUGAUCCAGGAACGAUCACGUUUGGUAAGCCAGUCAGAGGGACGAUUAUCAUAAGAGCAUGGUCAUAGCAUGUUGGAUAUAUUGUUGCAUGGUUAUAAAUUGGUUAAUUGUCAUAAUAUUGUUUGUCAUUAUGUUUAUGCUUGUUGUGAUCUUGCAAGUACAUUCAAUGUACUGACCUGGCAUGUCAUGCCAUAUUUCAGGAAAGUCCCGUUGGAAAGGUGUGCUGUCCGAGUCUAGAUCGUGUCCACAUUGGUGUCCCUGUGCUAUGGAGUUCCGCUACGACGUUGUUCCGCUGCCACGUAGUUGUCAGGAUCGAGGCCCCUUUAUGUUCACUAAAUAAUGUACAUAUUGUUCAGCCGCACCUCGUGUGCCGCUUGGCCUCGCCAACUUUUGUAAUAUAAACUUUGAUCCGCUGGCAUCAAUAAAGCGGUUGUUUUCUAUACCAAGUUGUUGUGUGUUGCUAGAACACAAGGUCGCUGGGUUGGCAAUGCAUGGUAAACCUGUUGCUCUGAGCCGGGGUGCCACAAGCCCCGUCUCAUGGGACGUUCAGGAGGAGAGUGGGCAACGCGCGGAGCCCGCAGGGUAGAGAAUCCAUGUGACAUCAAGUGCAGGGAUUAAUAGUCAUCAUAACUCAUGAAAGCAUAACUGUUUCAAGGUACAUGAACGGAAUGAUGCAACUGCAGGAGCGGACCCUUACCGCCGAGGAUAAUGCAGCCCAAGGGGCACCCUCAAUUGAACAAACAAAAGGUCACGUGGUAAAGAUGUUACGAAGGCGUCGAGGUAGUCGAUGAAGCGUGUCGUGAAGGUUGAACCCUCAUGAGUCGGACGGCUCCGGAGCCUCGAGAGGCUUGUGAGGUCCAUGGGGCACGCGAGGGCCAGGUCUCCUAAGUCGCCACUGUGGCACCCCGGCUCAGAGCAACCGGUUUACCUUGCAUUGCCGGCCCAGAGAUGAAGUCUUCUGGCAAUACACAGCAACAUGGUACUGAAACAACCACUUUAUUGAUGCUAGUAGAUUACAUAGGUCUGAUAUUACAUCAAGAUUCGAGGCCAAGCAUCACACACGGUGCCGCUGCACGGUAUGUACAUUAUUUAAUGAAGAUGAUGGAGCCUCGAUCGCACGAUCUAUGCAGCAGCAGAAGAAAAACGUAGAGGAACUCCAUAGCACAGGGACACCAAUGUGAACACGGCCUAGACACGAGAUGCGGUCCGAUGCGAACUGACUUGCGUGAAAGCUGGCAUAACACGCCAGGUCAGUACAUUGAAUGUACUGGCAAGCUCACAACAAACAUAAGCACGAUGACAAACAAUAUCAUGAUAUUUAAACAGAUUUAUUCAAUGCAAAACUACUACUACCAAACAAACAUUUCAUGCAAUGAGUCCAAUAGACUCGCUUACGAGACGGUUACCACAUAACCAAACAAUGACCAUACGCUGGUGACAACGGAAACCAAUCACUCAUGAGCACCUCAAGUGUUCAUGCUUUCGUCACGAACCAAUGCAUCACAUCACUCACUUAGUUUGCGAGAUUAUUAGAAAAGUUGAUCCAUGGUGUGACUUACUUCCGAGUUUUGCCCAUAACCGAGGACGCGGCUAUCGAUAGAUUAAAUACACUCUACAGAGGUAGCACACUUUACCCACACUACAGAAUACCUAGCCCCGCAUUCCCGUUCGGGUGGACCAAAGCAUUCCGACGAAACUCUUUGAGGGAGUCCUGGAUUAGGGGGUCCUCGGACAACCAAACUAUAUACUUUGGCCGGACUGUUGGGCUAUGAAGAUACAAGAUUGAAGACCUCGUCCCAUGUCCGGGUUGGACUCCCCUUUGCGUGGAAGGCAAGCUUGGCAAUUCGGAUAUGUAGAUCUCCUUCUUUGUAAUCAACUCUGUGUAACCCUAGCCCCCUCCGGUGUCUAUAUAAAUCGGGGGGUUUAGUCCGUAGGACAACAACAAUCAUAAUCAUAGGCUAGCUUCUAGGGUUUAGCCUCUACGAUCUCGUGGUAGAUCAACUCUUGUAAUACUCAUAUCAUCAAGGUCAAUCAAGCAGGAAGUAGGGUAUUACCUCCAUCGAGAGGGCCCGAACCUGGGUAAACAUUGUGUCCCCCACCUCCUGUUACCAUUAGCCUCAGACGCACAGUUCGGGACCCCCUACCCGAGAUCCGCCGGUUUUGACACCGACAUUGGUGCUUGAAUUGAGAGUUCCACUGUGUUGUCACGAUAAGGCUUGAUUGCUCCUUCAAUCAUCUACAACAAUACUAUCCAGGGUGAGGUUUUCCUCCCCGGACAGAUCUUCGUAUUCGGCGGCUUCGCACUGUGUGUCAACUCGCUUGGCCAUCUAGAGAAGAUCGAUAGCUACGCCCAUGGCCAUUAGGUCAUAUUUGGAAGCCUGGACUACACCGCCGACUUCCUCGGAGAUUUGAUCUUCAACGGAUUCGAGCCCAUGGCAGGCGCGCCGAACAGUCACGAUGAGCAUGACUUAGAUCUGCCAUAGGACGGUGUUCAGGAGAUCACACCUACGGCUACCCCGGCUUUUAAUCCGGAGGUGAUCGUGCCAUCCGAGGAUGGGUGGAUGGACCCCGCCACAGAAGCCGCACACUCUUCAGCGCUAGAGCCGAACACAGACUUCACCUCCACAGAGGUCUGUGUCAUCGAACCCUCGGACUCGUCUCCGCCAUAGGUUCCGAACCACGCACAUCUAUGCCUAUCGAAUCUGAUUGGGAACCGAUCAUGGAGUUUUCCUCCACGGAUAUAUUUCAGCACUCACCCUUGGGCGACAUGCUAAAUUCACUGAAAUUUCUCUCCCUGUCAGGAGACUCUUGGCCGAACUAUGUCCGGCUUAAGUGGGAAGCGGAUGACGAAGAAAUUCGUUACCCACCCACCACCCACUUGGUAGCCACUGUUGAUGACUUAACCGACAUGCUUGAUUUUGACUCUGAAGACGUCGACGAUAUGGACGACAAUGCUGGAGAGGAACAGGAACCACCGCCCAUAGGGCGCUGAACAGCCACCUCAUCAUAUGCUAUAUACAUGGUGGACACCCCCAAAGAAAGUGAUGGCGAUGAGUCCACAGAGGAUAAUCCCCUUGAGAAGCAAUCUAAGCAUCGGCGUCAUUGGCGCUUCUCUAAGCCUCGCCAUAGCAAAAAUGCGAUACGGGUACAACAGACAAUAACGCUCCAAAUAAUGCCGAAGAUGAAAACAAUCCCGCCCAGCCAGGCUUCGAGCAGGCCGAGCGGAAGGAUGGGCAAGCUGGCCCUAAGGAACAGGCAACAGAUGGAGAAUCAGAGGAUGACAAUUACAAGCCCCUCUCUGAAGACGAAGUGAGCCUUGGCGACGAAGAAUUCAUCGUGCCUGAGGAUCCCGUCGAGCAGGAGCGCCUCAAGCGCUGGCUUAUAGCCACUACAAACAGCUUGAAGAAAAAGCAGCAGUAGCUUCAAGCUGAUCAAGAUCUACUAACGGAUAGAUGGACUGAGGUCCUGGCAGCCGAGGAAUACGGACUCGAGUGCCCAACCAAAAGUUACCCAAAGCGCAGGUUGCUACCUCAACUCGAGGAGGAGGCAUUAAAGCCAACACUACCAGCGCAGGAUGUGGCUGACCAGCCACCUUGUGGCCGAGACAAAGCGGCGUAUCAGCCUGAACACCAGCCCGCACCCCGUCGCCAAUCAAACAAAAACACCAAGGCCUGGGGCUACACGCAGGACCUGCAAGACGUAUUGGUAAAGCAGGAUAGAUAAGAUCGAUCUAUGGAUCACGGGGGCGCCCCCCAAUGCGUGACGAUGACCGUCAUGCCGGAUAUACUAAAAGCAUAUCUGGCCGGGCCGAAUACAACAGACCAGACUCAUUUGAACUGCGUUGUGAUAUAACCCGGCAUAGAGGCGCCGCACACCCCCUAUGCUUCACUGAUGAAGUAAUGGAUCAUGAAUUCCUAGAAGGGUUUAAACCCGUGAACAGUAAAUCAUACGAUGGUACAAUAGACCCCGCGGUAUGGAUUGAAGAUUUCCUCCUCCACAUUCACAUGGCCCGCGGCGAUGAUCUACGUGCCAUCAAGUACCUCCCAGUAAAACUCAAAGGACCGGCUCGGCAUUGGCUGAAUAGCCUGCCGGCAAACUCCAUUGGUAGUUGGGAGAACUUGGAAGACGCAUUCCUGGACAACUUCCAGGGCACUUAUUGCAACCAUCAGAUGCUGAUGACUUAAGUCACAUAACCCAACAGCCCGGAGAGUCAGCCAGGAAAUUCUGGACUCAGUUCCUAACUAAAACGAACCAGAUUGUCGACUGUCCAGAUGUCGAAGCCCUGGCAGCCUUUAAGCAUAACAUCCGCGACAAGUGGCUCGCCGUACACCUCGGCCAAGAGAAGACGAAGUCCAUGGCAGCCCUCACGACACUCAGGACCCGCUUUUGUGCGGGCGAGGACAGCUGGCUGGCUCGUAGCAACAUCACAUCAAGAAAUCCUGGCACUUCAGAUGCCAGAGAUAGCAAUGGCAAGCCACGACGCAAUAGACAUAAGCGUCGCAACAAUGGCGACAACACCGAAGACACGACGGUCAAUGCCGGAUUUAGUGGCUCUAUGUCCGGCCAGCGGAAAAAGCCAUUCAAAAGAAACAAUCCAUGCCCGUUCAGUCUUGUCAGGACCCCGACUCAAUGCCACACCGAUCUAGCAUGUAACACCUCAUAUCACUUUGCGGCCUAACACAUGGUAUUCCCACGGGUGACGCCUUGCCAGGCCUGGGACCAUUUGCGCCUUUUGGCACAUGUAUACGAUAGUGUCGCUAGCAUCCAUAUGACAAGUAGCCCGGGCUGACAUGGCUAGUCGUGAACCCAAAGUGGCGCUAACUUACAGGGACAAGCAUACAUGACCCAACAACGAACGUGUCGGUCGUCAGCGAGUGAAUUCGGGCUGUAGCAGCUGGGCUAGCAGGACUCCGGAGAAUCCGGGCUAUACCAGGCUAACAGGACUUCGGUAGACACCGCGUGACAUUUCCCCGAAGGGACAGACACAGGAUCAAAGAAGGACACAUGCAGGCUAGCCUAAGUGCUCCGGAGCAGUAGCAAGCUACCAAGGCUCAAUGGAAGCACUAGGAGAGAUUUCCCGGUAAGAGAUGCUACCAAGGAUAAACAACUAGAUAGUCAGAUCCCACACAUACCAAGCAUUUCACUAGCAUACACAGAAUAUGCUCAAUAUGUGCAAAUACAACAUGGCAUCACAACAUGACUCUACAACUCAAGUAUUUAUUCAAUAGGCUCCGAGGAGCGAGAUAUUACAAACAUGGGUCUCAUGACCCAACAUUCAAAGCAUACAAGUCAAAUCACAUGCGGAAGCUUAACAUGUCUGAGUAUAGACAUCUACAAAUGAAAAAGGCUGAGAAGCCUGACUAUCUACCAGAUCCUGCCGAGGGCACAAGAUCGUAGGUGAGGUAACAAGCUAAACGUCGAAGUCUACGUGGAACUACUAGCGAGACUGAAGUCUCUCUGCAAAAAACAUAAAUUAAGCAACGUGAGUACAAAUGUAUCCAGCAAGACUUACAUUAGAACUAACUACAUAUGCAUCAUUAUCAACAAGGGGGUGGUGGAGUUUAACUGCGGCAAGCCAGCUUUGACUCGGUGGCGAUCCUGAACUAUGACUGCAAGUAAAUCUUUUGAGGUGGCGCACAUGAGUCCACAUAUUCAUCAUAUCAAUACACCACUAUGGAUCUGCUCCCAUCUCUCUACGAGAACGCCAUCCAUAGCACUCUCGCUUAUCUUGCGUAUUUUAGAGUGUCCACUUUCACUUGUCUAUGAACUAUAUAGGCAACCCAGAAGUCCUUUACCGCGGACACGGCCAUUCGAAUAGAUCAUAUUAACCCUAUAGGGGUGUACUUCUUCACACACGCUCUCGCCACUUACCGCCAUGUACACGUCAUGUAUCUCGGCAACCUUCAAGCAGAAGCCUGGCGAGGGUGUCUUCCACAACCUGACUAACUAGACAAGUAUCUCGUCCAGGUUUAUCGCCUAUUCGGGUUCCAUCCGCAAGGAGAUCUGGCCGGGGUGUCGCUCACGGCCCCAAACGAUGUGUGAAAGUUCCCAAUCCCACCAUCCGGGUGCCACUUGGUACACCGGGCCACUGUGCCUAGUCUGUCCCAAGCCCACCUGUACCGGGUGCCACUUGGUAGACUACUAACACUACCUACAAACACCAGAAACUAGUUGCAACUCCUCGACAGAGAUCAUGUUGAUUAAUAAGUCGAGAGGGGUCGAGUUACCAGAACCCAAUGUGUGGUAGUAACAGUUCAUGGAUCACAAAGAGAGGACUCAGUUCCUAAGGACGGCUUCAAUGAGACAACCCACCAUGUACUCCUACAUGGCCUCUCACCGCUACAUUUAUCAAACCAUGUUCACACACUUAGCUCACACACAGUAGGACAUGUUCACAACAUUCCAAUUCAUCCCCGAUGAAUCAGACCAGACUCAACUCUAAGAAGUAGCAGGCAUGAAAAACAAGCAUGAAUGAGUAGGCACAUCAGGGCUCAAACAACUCCUACUCAUGCUAGUGGGUUUCAUCUAGUUACUGUGGCAAUGACAGGUCAUGCAGAGGAAAGGGGUUCAACUACCGCAGCAUGUAACAGUUGAAUCGUUGUGUUCCUAAUGCAGUAAAAGAGAGCAGGAGCGAGAGAGUGGGAUGGUAUCGGAAUGAACAAGGCGUUUUUGCUUCCCUAGCACUUCUGAAGAUAGUAUAAUUGUUCAUUUGUGUCAUUGAUCACAUCGUCGAAAUGCGUCUACCAAGAGGGGGCAAUUACCGGCAACUGAGAAAGAAACACAAUCAAUGCAAUGCACAAUAUGAUGCAUGCUCAUGACAUGGGAAUAUGAGUGUGUUGGCCUAGUGCAACUACGACCAGAUGUAUUUGGGUCAUUUUGAACCGAAGGUUCAAUCCCAAACUCAAAUUAUGAAUUUAAAUAGUGCCUUAUCAUGUUUUGAUAUAAACAGCAGGUUUAAGUUGCUUUAUCAUGCAUGAAACUAGUGCAGAUGGAUAGAUUGGAUUUUUGUGAUCAUUUUUCAUAUAUAACUUGUUUCAUUUGGAGCUACGGUUGAAUUUAUAUGAUUUUUAGAAUUUACGCCUUUUUCUGGAUUUUCUGAUUAAAUAGAACUAAACUAAUUCCAGAAAAGGAUUUACUGCAUCAGCCUGACGUCAGUGUGAUGUCAGCAGGUCAACUAAGUCGGUCCAGGUCAAACCUGACUAGUGGGGUCCACUGGUCAGUGGCUGGAGAUGGCUAGUGCCGCUGACAAGUGGGCCCAGUCAACAGCCAUGUCAGCUUGGUCAAAGCUGGCGCGUGGGUCCCGUUGGGUUAUAACUAAUCUAAGCAGAAAUAAAACUGGAGUUAAUUAGGGUGUAGGGCCCAUGUGUCAUUGGCUCAAGGGGUUGUUUAGUGGGAUGAUUAGCCGCUAAUUACGCGGCCACGUCGGACGCGCCGGCGAUUAAAUGACGGCGACCACGGCUCGUGGCGGCGACGCUCGGGAUCGGGCUGUAGGCCAUGGUUUCGAGCGCAGUUUGGUCCUAAGAGACGCUGGUGCUCGUCCGCAUCCAACGGAGCCAUCGGCUCGCGCUGGGGUGGACCGUAGUUACAUCGGCGACGACAAGCCCGGCGGCCGGAGCUCGGGCAAGCUCGGCAACGACGCUGCGGUGCAUGGGGGAACUGGCUGACGAUGGUUUUGGGUUUCAGGGAACAUUCUGAGCAUGUAGCGGUGCUUGGACGCGACGAAAACGACCUCUAGCCACGGCGGCUUGAAGUCUGGCGGCGGUGAGCUCACGGCUCCGGCGACUAACGUGGUUGAGGGAGGAAACGAUGGCAGGCUAGGGGGAAAAGAGAAGGAGCUCGUAGCGCGUCGGGUGAGGGUCUCAGCGAGCUCGGGGAAGGCCUGACGAUGGCGAAUCAAGCGGCGGGGAUCGUCGGCACCGAGGUUGAAGAAGACAUCCAGGAUGGUGACGCGGUGCUUCCCGGUUUUUUGGCUCGGCGUGGACGAAGAGGGCGAAGAUGCGGAGCUCAGGGACGCGGAGAGGGAGCGAGGGAGUGGCUGUGGCCACGGUGCUGCUCAUCGGCGGCGGCGGUGCGGUUCGAUGAGGUGGGCAAAAGGCAAGGGAGGAAGAACCAGAGGAGGGGGAGAGCUCCAGGGAGAGACGGGAGAAGUGCAGGGUCGUGCUCAUCCCCUGGGCCUGUCGUGCUGGCUAGGGAAGCAGGCAGGAAGGAGGUGGCGUUGGCGUGUGCGCAUCCGGCACGCAGCUGCUUCGGGGCGAGGGGGAGGAAGACGACAGAGGGGAGGAGGUGGGCUGGGUCGGCCAGCUCAGAUGGGCCGCCAGCUGGACUAGAGCGCCUGGUAAGUGCCCACGUGAGCCUCUCUCUCUUUUAUUCUCUGUCUUUGUUUCUGGAUUUAGUAAAAAUACUAAACCUAUCUAAAAAUCCUGAAAUAAAUUGUGGGCACUGUUGAAAUGUUUUUCAGUGGCCCUCAACCAUUAUCAGAAUUAUUUGGGCAAAUAAAAUAUUUAUAGUAUUUAAAUGGCCAAAUUCAAAUACUUUAUGAUUUAAUUCAAAAAUCCAGAAUGGUCCUAGAAAGGUGUGCACCAUUUUUGGCAGGGGUUCUAGACCAAUUCAAAAAUGAUGAACUUUUCCAAAGGCAUUUUGGGUUCAUUGAAAAUGACUUUUAUUUGAACCUAGUUGGAUUCAUUUGUGCUAGGGUUUGGAUCAAUUCCCAUUUCAAGUUUAAAUGCAAUUUAAACAUGAUACAACAAAUGUCUAGCUAGCCCACAUCAUAACAGAUCUAGGGAUGUGACAGCUCACCCCCACUAAACAAGAAUCUCAUCCCGAGAUUCAAGACGUGAGGUAGGAAGACAGAAGGGACACAAAGCUAGCACAAACUUCAUGAUUCAGGUUGCACUUCAUAAGAACAUUGAUUUGAUCCUCAUCUUUGUCUCGAUGUCUUUCUUUGAGAACUCCAACCAACAUGACAACGAGAAGAAAGGAAAAUCUCUAGAAGAAUCAGUCUUCUUGAAGAUCGAACAACUCAGGAUCAACUCACAUAAUGAGAUAUUGAAACAUCUCUCGAGCUGAGGCAUAGAACAUACAACUAGAGGGAUGGAGUGAAACAGACGACGAAGGUUCACUAGAUAGGCGAUAGUUCCACACUUAAGAAGGUGGUGAAUGGUUGUGAAUGUAGCGAGAAGUUGAGUUGCCAUGAUUCUAUAACGGGGCACCUUAGAGGAGGUGAUUCGUAGAAUUAUCCCUUAAGUGGAAAAAAGAAUUACUUUUGAUACAUAGAUCAUUGAAAAUCUUCUUACCAGGCUAAGGCAAUUCACAAAUGAUUGUUUGACGGAGUUCGAAGAAAUUGCAUACUCAGAUCGGAAUGGAAACUAUUGUUAUAGAACAACUCGGCAAACGGAAGGCACAUUCCAAUUGAUACCGACAAUAUAACCAAGUGACUGAGCGUGCUCUCAAGAACUCGAGCAUUUCCAUAUUCAUCAAGGUCUUACCAGCAUCCGUGCCAAGGAUCCUGGCCACAACAUACUACCAUGAUGAAUAAUGAUGGAGGAUGCAGGUGCAGAGAAGGACAACACUUUCUCAGAUUUUACCUUGACGACGCCAAGCAAACAAAAUCUGGAGGAUCAACCGAGAGACAUUUAGCACUCCGCUUCUAAUGUUCUCCUUGACGUUCCAGGUACCACGAUCAUGCUUAAAAGCAUCGACAUGGCCAUCAAGUAAAGGUCGGACUUCGGAAUACAAAGGAUCCAUAAGGAACAACUUCUAUAAUAAGUCACUCGAAAUCCGCAUGGAGAAGAUGGUCGACUUGCUCAAUCAAGAUACUAAAAUGAUAGAUCUUUCGGCUAGGUGUGUCAGCCAGAACAUCAACCUUGUCGGGACCUACAUCAUAGAUCUUGGAAGGGUUCCAACCAUCAUAUCUGCUUGAGAUUCAGAUCUGGUUGGUAACUGAAUAUUUUAGACAACAUGUGUGGAAAAGAAAGUUUGCAACACAAACCGACGAGAUGACGUUGCAAGAUUCUCGGGAUAAGAACUACGAUACCAAGCUCAAAAACUUGAGCUGGCUCUGCUACAUACAUGUGAACAUGCUGUCCCAGACAAGCAUGACCACGUAGUAUUCUUAUAAUAAAACACUACCGAGUUUAGGUGGGGAACCAUCAUCAAGGAUAUUGGAAUCUUGUGCAUGAACUAAUAUUCACACAACAACUCCUUUUCCUCAAACAAAUCAAUCAGUGGCUUGGUGUGCUAGAAACACAUACGGAGUGGAGGCGGCCAACCUACCAAACCAUAGAGUACUUCCCACAUAUGCGUGACUAACUUGGGAUGAUCCCAGAGGAAGCAAAAACAAGCUUUCUCGAAUUCACAGCGGCAACUUGCAUCAAAUGCACAUGAAUUUAGAGCAAGCCACUUCUUUCAUACAAACAUAUGCUUCAUGAGCUAGCAUGAAGAAAUGCUUUCAAAAAUUUCCAACACCAGCUUUAAUGUUCAACAUGAAUCAUGGAGGAGAUAAAGACGUUGUCGAUGGGCUUAACACCAAUUUAUCAAGAUUUCCAUAAGAUGGUUUGCAUGGUUAUGUGAACAAGAUGAUAGCAUUGAUCAGGCCAAAAGAUGUAAUGAUGUAUGCUCGAGGGAUCAACCACGAGUAAGACAACAUUACGAACAUCGUUGGUACCGAUUUGAUUUGGUGAUAGCCCAUACUCAAAUCAAAGUUUUUAUAAGACAAUAGGUCCAUCAACUGAACACAGGGACCAAUCGAUGAAGAUAUCAUCUUUCUUCAACUAACACACAGACACAAAGAUAUCCCUUUGGAAUGAGCUAAGUUAGGCAAGCUUUUAUCUUCCAACUCUCCAAGUUGUUGUUUAGCUUAACCAACUAGCUCAGGGGUAUCCAACACAGAUUCUUGGAGAAAGGCAUGGCUACAAGAAACCAACUUGAUCACGAACUCAACAUAGCGGUCAGGUGACAACCUAGUAACACUUCCGAGAAGAUAUUCGGAAAAUCACGAACCACCGAUAUGUUACUAAGCUAGAGAACAAUGUUGCUUUUCAGGGCAAGAUGAUGUGACCAAGAGAGUGAUGGAUUGCCAAAAUCCUAACUCAUUGAUCGAAGAGUACACCGAAAAUAAGGACUAGGUAGCACAAUCUAUCUUAGAAUGAUGAUUCAAGAACCAACACGCUAAGAAUGAAAUUAUUGUCCUUUAACUACCAAGCAACUGGGUUGCUAGGAGUAUUGAUUUCACGCAUCAUAGUUCACCUGUCGGCAUUCCGGUUGCAACAACACAGAAAACUGAGGAAUGAGCAAUGAUGGCAGGAAGAAUCACUGCGUCAAGAAUUCAUAAGAGGUGGUGCAAUUCUCAUGACAUUCUUGACAUAAAGAUGGUAGCACUCCAGGUUAGAACAGAGCAAAAGCUGGAUUGGCAUUUUGAUCUGCUGAAUACAACUACUUUGACUCAAUCCUAGAAAUGGACGAGGUACUGGAGUUUGUUUCUCCUAGUCAUUCCGGAAUAGUAUGGCUUGACGGACCACAAGAAUAAUAGGCAUCGAUAUCACGAAUGCACAACCAGUCCUGACUAUCAAUUGAUAGAUGAGGGCCAGAAAACAACUAAAGAGGGACAACUCAAAAGAACAUCUGAUUUUCUAAGUUGUGGAUGUAUAGAUUAGUGUGUCGAGCAAAGCUCAACAUUUCUUCCUGAUAAUCUAUGCAGAAAGGUAGGACUGGCAGAUUCACAAUGCAGAAUGGAGGACUCAUCAAGAGCACUCUUAUUGUGAUCUUUUGGUUCAAGAACUUCUGCCAUAAGAAGUUUAUGGUAUUUGGAAGAAGGAUAUACCACGGACCUCGAGGACUAUCGCAAAGGUUACUAAUAUCCUAAAGGAACUAGCAAACACUAACAACAUGAAGUGAGUAGGGUUAAUCUCGGGUUAAAAACCCAGGAGUAGAAUACCUACUAACUAAAUUGCAUCACGGGAUGCUUUCGAGAAUGGUGGCCAGAAUCAUCACACUAGGAACGCAAAACAUGGUUAGCUUACUAGGUGGCACUCUAAGACACCUAGGGUCAUAGUAAUAGCUCUAACAUAUAUGCCAAGGCAACAGAGUACCUCAACUGAACGAUUAGUGUGGUUAAUCUGGCCCAAAGGGACAUCAAAAUGAGAGGAAGGGAUUUUGCAAAUGCUUCAGACUAUUUAGAAACCUAGGAUGACUCGGACAGCAUAACGGCUGUAAAUGCUCAAAGGAUUUGAGACAUCCUACAAAUGAUGGCAUAACCACUCGAGCGUUACAAUAUCAAGGUUCCGAGAUCAACUAUGAACACACAGAGGUAGAAGAAACUGGACUAAGGCUUAAAUCCAACAAUCUUAUAAGUCUAUGGAUUAGUAACACGUGAUCCUGAUAGAAAGAAGAGAUAGCCUAGUUCCUUAACCCGUAGGAAAGAUAAGACGACUCGGAUCAGAAGGGCAUAGGGUAUAAGGAGAAAAAAGAGCCUUACGUUCCAUCCCAUAAUCAAUUCCCUUAUAUAACUAAAGCAUUUCUAGACUCAAGUUCGACCAGUUUGGCUUGGUAAUCCUACAGGCAGUCAGGCUCUGAUACCAAAGCUGUCAGGACCCUGACUCAAUGCCACACCAAUCUAGCAUGUAACACCUCAUACCACUUUGUGGCCUCACGCACGGUAUUCCCACGGGUGACGCCUUACCAGGCCCGGGACCAUUUGCACCUUUUGGCACACGUAUAUGAUAGUGUUGCUAGCAUCCAUAUGACAAGUAGCCCGGGCUGACAUGGCUAGUCGAGAACCCAAAGUGGCGCUAACUUACAGGGACAUGCAUACAUGACCCAGCAACGAACGUGUCGAUCAUCAGCGAGUGAAUCCGGGCUGUAGCAGUUGGGCUAGCAGGACUCCGGAGAAUCCGGGCUGUAGCAGGCUAACAGGACUCCGGUAGACACCACGUGACAUUUACCCGAAGGGACAGACACAAGAUAAAAGAAGGACACAUGCCGGCCAGCCUAAGUGCUCCGGAGUAGUAGCAAGCUACCAAGGCUCAGUGGAAGCACUAGGAGACAUUUCCCGGUAAGAGAUGCUACCAAGGAUAAACAACUAGAUAGUGAGAUCCCACACAUACCAAGCAUUUCAAUAGCAUACACACAAUAUGCUCUAUAUGUGCAAAUACAACAUGGCAUCACAACAUGACUCUAUAACUCAAGUAUUUAUUCAAUAGGCUCCGAGGAGCGAGAUAUUACAAACAUGGGUCUCAUGACCCAACAUUUAGAGCAUACAAGUCAAAGCACAUGCGGAAGCUUAACAUGUCUGAGUAUAGACAUCUACAAAUGAAAAAGGCUGAGAAGCCUCACUAUCUACCAGAUCCUGCCGAGGGCACAAGAUUGUAGCUGAGGUAACAAGGUAAACAUCGAAGUCUACGUGGAACUACUAGUGAGACUGAAGUCUCUCUGCAAAAAACAUAAAUUAAGCAACGUGUCUACAAAUGUACCCAACAAGACUUACAUUAGAACUAACUACAUAUGCAUCAUUAUCAACAAGUGGGUGGUGGAGUUUAACUGCAGCAAGCUAGCUUUGACUCGGUGGCUAUCCUGAACUACGACUGCAAGUAACUCUUUUGAGGUGGCGCACAUGAGUCCACAUAUUCACCAUAUCAAUACACCACUAUGGAUCCGCUCCCGUCUCCCUACGAGAACGCCAUCCAUAGCACUCACGCUUAUCUUGCGUAUUUUAAAGUAUCCACUUUCACUUGUUUAUGAACUGUAUAGUCAACCCAGAAGUCCUUUACCACGGACACGGCCAUUCGAAUAGAUCAUAUUAACCCUACAGGGGUGUACUUCUUCACACACGCUCUCGCCACUUACCGCCAUGUACACGUCAUGUAUCUCGGCAACCUUCAAGCGGAAGCCUGGCGAGGGUGUCGGGCACGACCUGACUAACCACACAAGUCUCUCGUCCAGGUUUAUCUUUUAUUCGGGUUCCAUCCGCAAGGAGAUCCGGCCGGGGUCUGGCUCACGGCCCGAAAUGAUGUGUGCAGGGUUCCCAAGCCCACCAUCCGAGUGCCACUUGGUACACCGGGACACUGUGCCUAGUCUGUCCCAAGCCCACCUGUACCGAGUGCCACUUGGUAGACUACUAACACUACCUACAAACACCAGAAACUAGUUGCAACUCCUGGACACAGAUCAUUUUGAUUAAUAAGUCGAGAGGGGUCGAGUUACCGAAACCCAAUGUGUGGUAGUAACUCUUCAUGGAUCACAAACACAGGACUUAGUUCCUAAGGACAGCUUCAGUGAGACGACGCACCAUGUACUCCUACAUGGCCUCUCACUGCUACCUUUACCAAAUCGUGUUCACACACUUAGCUCACACAUAGUAGGACAUGUUCACAACAUUCCAAUUCAUCGCCGAUGAAUCAGACCUGACUCAACUCUAAGCAGUAGCAGGCAUGACAAACAAGCAUGAAUGAGUGGGCACAUCAGAGCUCAAACAGAACUCAUGCUAGUGGGUUUCAUCUAGUUACUGUGGCAAUGACAGGUCAUGCAGAGGAAAGAGGUUCAACUACCGCAGCAUGUAACAGUUGAAUCGUUGUUGUCCUAAUGUAGUAAAAGAGAGCAGAAGCGAGAGAGUGGGAUUGUAUCGGAAUGAACAAGGGGGUUUUGCUUGCCUGGUACUUCUAAAGAUAGUAUAAUCCUUCAUUGGUGUCAUUGAUCACAUCAUCGAAACGCGUCUAUCGAGAGGGGGCAAUUACCGGCAACUGAGAAAGAAACACAAUCAAUGCAAUGCACAAUAUGAUGCAUGCCCAUGACAUGGAAAUAUGAGUGUGUUGGCCUAGUGCAACUACAACCAGAUGGAUUUGGGUCAUUUUGAACCAAAUGUUCAAUCCCAAACUCAAAUUAUAAAUUUAAAUAGUGCCUUAUCGUGUUUUGAUAUAAACAACAGGUUUAAGUUUCUUUAUCAUGUAUCAAACCAGUUCAGAUGGAUAGAUUGGAUUUUUCGAAUCAUUUUUCAUAUAUAACUUGUUUCAUUUGGAGCUACGUUUGAAUUUAUAUGAUUUUUAGAAGUUUAAGCCUUUUUCUGGAUUUCCUGAUUAAAUAGAAUUAAACUAAUUCCAGAAAAGGAUUUACUGCGUCAGCCUGAUGUCAGUGUGACGUCAGCAGGUUAACUAAGUCGCUCCAAGUCAAACCUGACCAGUGGGGUCCACUGGUCAGUGGCUGGAGCUGGUUAGUGUCGCCGACAAGUGGGCCCAGUCAACAGCCACGUCAGCUUGGUCAAAGUUGGCGCAUGGGUCCCGUUGGGUUAUAAUUAAUCUAAGCAGAAAUAAAACUGGAGUUAAUUAGGGCAUAGGGCCCAUGUGUCAUUGGCUCAAGGGGUUGUUUAGUGGGGUGAUUGGCCGCUAAUUACGUGGCCACAUCGGAUGCGCCGGCUAUUAUACGACGACGACCACGGCUGGGGUGGACCGUAGUGACAGCGGCGAUGGCAAGCGCGGCGGCCGGAGCUGGGGCAAGCUCGGCAAUGACGUUGUGGUGCACGGGGGAACUAGGUGACGGUGGUGUUGGGUUUCUGGGAACAUGCUGAGCACGUAGCGGUGCUUGGACGCGAUGGAAACGACCUCUGGCCAUGGCGGCUUGAAGUCCGGCGACGGUGAUCUCACGGCUCCGGUGACUAGCAUGGUAGAGGGAGGAAACGACGGCAGGCUAGGGGGGGAGUAGGAGCUCACAGCGCGUCAGGCGAGGGUCUCAGCGAGCUCGGGGAAGGCCUGACGGUGGCGAAUCAAGCGGUAGGGACCGCCAGCACCGAGAUUGAAGAAGACAUCUAGGACGGUGACACGGUGCUUCCCCGGUUUCUUGGCUCGGCGUGGACGAAGAGGCCGACGAUGCGAAGCUCGGGGAUGCGGAGAGGGAGCGAGGGAGUGGCUGUGGCCAUGGUGGUGCUCAUCAGCGGCGGCUGCGCGGUUCGGUGAGGUGGGGAAAAGGCGAGGGACGAAGAACCAGAGGAGGUGGAGAGCUCCAGGGAGAGAGGUGAGAAGUGCAGGGUCGUGCUCAUCCCCUGGGCCUGUCGCGCUGGCUGGGGAAGCACGCAGGGAGGAGGUGGCGUUGGCGCGCGCGAGUCCGGCAUGCAGCUGCUUCAGGGCGAGGGGGAGGAAGACGAUAGAGGGGAGGAGGUGGGCUAGGCCGGACAGCUCAGAUGGGCCGCCAACUGGACUAGAGCGCCAGGUAAGUGCCCAGGUGAGUCUCUCUCUCUUUUAUUUUCUAUUUUCUAUUUUCUGUCUUUGUUUCUAGAUUUAUUAAAAAUACUAAACCUUUCUAAAAAUCCUAAAAUAAAUUGUGGGCACUGUUGAAUUUUUUUUCAGCGGCCCUCAACCAUUAUCAGAAUUAUUUGGGCAAAUAAAAUAUUUAUAGUAUUUAAAUGCCCAAAUUCAAAUACUUUAUGAUUUAAUUCAAAAAUCUAGAAUGGUCCUAGAAAGGUGUGCACACUUUUUGGCAGUGGUUCUAGACCAAUUCAAAAAUGAUGAACUUUUCCAAAGGCAUUUUGGGUUCAUUGAAAAUGACUUUUAUUUGAAUCUAGUUGGAUUCAUUUGUGCUAGGGUUUGGAUCAAUUCCCAUUUCAAGUUUAAAUGCAAUUUAAACAUGAUACAACACAUGUCUAGCUAGCCCAGAGCAUAACAGAUCUAGGGAUGUGACAAGUCUGGACCGCAUACUUGAUCGCUCGUGUCAAAUUCACGGUACCCCCAAUAAACCAGCCAACCAUACCAACAGAGAAUGCUGGGUGUUCAGACAGGCCGGCAAGUUGAAUGCCGAAAACAAGGAAAAGGGGUUGCAUAGCGAUGACGACGAGGAGCCCCAGCCGCCGAACACAGGAGGACAGAAGAAAUUUCCUCCCCAGGUGAAAACGGUUAACAUGAUAUACGUAACCCAUAUUCUCAAGUGGGAAUGGAAGCAUGCGCUAAGGGACGUCUAUGCGAUGGAGCCAGUCACCCCAAAGUUCAACCCAUGAUCUUCUUGCGCGAUCACUUUCGAUCGCAGGGACCAUCCUACCAGUAUCCGUCAUGGCGGUUCGGCCAUAUUGGUCCUCGACCCCAUCAUUGGCGGAUUCCACCUCAUACGAGUCAUUAUGGACGGUGGCAGCAACCUGAACCUGCUCUAUCAGGAUACUGUGUGCAAAAUGGGCAUCGACCCCUCAACGAUCAAACCCACAAAAACCACCUUUAAAGGUGUCAUACCAGGUGUAGAGGCCUGUUGCACGGGCUCAAUCACACUUGAAGUGGUCUUCGGAUCUCCGGACAACUUCCAAAGCGAGGAUUUAAUCUUCGAUAUUGUCCCCUUCCGCAGUGGCUAUCACGCACUGCUCGGACGAACCGCAUUUGCCAGAUUCAAUGUGGUACCACAUUAUGCAUACCUAAAGCUCAAAAUGCCAGGACCUCGCGGGGUUAUAACAGUUAAUGGAAACAUAGAGCGCUUGCUCCGUACGGAGGAGCACACUGCAGCCCUCGCAACAGAAGUAUAGAGCAGCCUUCUUAGGCAGACCGCCAAUUCGGCAAUAAAGCCCCCGGACACCGUCAAGCGAGUCCGGAGUACCCUGCAACAGGAUCGUCCGGCACAUACAGAGCUCGCCUAGCAAUUCGGCCUCCGUCCAAGUCCUAGUCAAGCGUUGAAAUUUGUGCCACGCGUACAUAAUUACGCGCUCAAAAUACCAUGGGCAUAGGCGGAGGCACGGCUACGACACGGUCCACAAUGCGGCUCAACCGCCCCAGGAUCUGUAUAUCUUCACACCUUUUCUUUUCAAGUCCCUAUUUUCGGGAAGCCCUUCCGAUAGUCCGACUAUCGGACCCAUAACAGGAUGGAAAUACCAAGGAGACAAGAAGCUUUGGCGUACAAGGGAAUCCCCAGCUGGUCUCUAAUAAUGAUCGCUAUACCUGUUUUACAUACCCGCACGCAGCUCGCUCUUGGUAAGGACGUGUCAAACAGUCCCAUUUCACGCAUCGCACUACUUGCAUACACAUGCCUCGAUGUAUUAUUCAAAUAACAAUGGAAAAUAAUGUACAGCGUCAGCUUAUCAUUGCAUUUCUUUAUCUUUUUCCUUGACUGAUUUAUUUAUUGCAACCGUACAUUCUGGUACAUCCAGUCCGCCAGGGGCUUUAGUGCACCCCAUAACACGGCAAGAAAUGUUCAAAAACUUUCGACAGUGCGGCAUCCCGAACUUAUAGCAUUAUAUGCAUCAGCUCCGAAUCAUGUCUUGGGUCAAUAGUUGGGUAUGCCCGGCUCCCAUGUUUUGCUUCCUUACGUUCUGGUACAUCGGCUAAGGUGGCACGGGGAGAACUACUGCGAUUGUGUCCCAGUUCUUCCGGACGAGCACCUUAGUAGAGAAAGCCGAAAACUGACUGUCAUGAUGCAGCAGAGCUGUUCGCUGUUUGAGAGGUCUCAAAUCCUUAAAGCUUUUUUCCGCUUCGGGCGAGGAAUCGGCCUUGUCCGAUUUAGGCGUGUAUAGCGCCCCAAAUUCGGCCUUCCGAAUACCAGGGGCUAUGCCAAAAUUUAAAAUUAUAGAAUUCUAUGGCUAAGUGAGAGUGAUAAAGUUGUAUAGUCCGAUUGCCUGGUUCGUUGCGCUAAACACCUCCUUAAAGGACCAAAUUUUUUGAUAAAGAGUGCUUAGGUUUAUCCCGAACACCCCAGUACUAGUUACAUGGGGGCAGAAGCCGACGACUGGCCAACUCUCAAAUUUUAUAAACGGCCGCACAGAAAGUAAAAUUUUAAAUCAACAAGCGUUUUAUAGCGGAAAUGAACUUGUUUUCAUAUUACAGGAUCAAAUGAGUACAUUCAUUCAAAUAUUACAUCCUUAGCACAUUCCUUCGCCACAAGGUGGGCAUCCUUCAGGACACUGUCAUAAUACUUUUCGGGGUGGCGAUGCUCCUUUCCCUCCAGCGGCCCCUCCGUCACCAGCUUCUCGGCAUCCAUCUUCGCCCAGUGCACUUUCGCGCGGGCGAAGGCCCUGCACGCACCUUCAAUGCAAACUGACCGCUUAAUGACUUCAAGCCUCGUACAGGCACUCACCAGCCGCUUUACAAGGCCGAAGUAGCUGCUGGGCAGGGGCUCAGCAGGCCAUAGCCAGACAAUGAGGUCCUUCAUGGCCAGUUCGGCCGCCUUGUGUAAUUCGACCAGUUGCUUCAGCUAGUGGCUCAAGGGCAUCGGAUGUUCGGUCCCAGUAUAUUGAGACCAGAACAACUUCUCCAUCGAGCUCCCUUCUUCGGCUCGGUAGAACUCCACGGCAUCCGAUAUGCUGCACGGCAGAUCUGCGAACGCUCCUGGAGAGCUCUGAAUUCGGGUAAAUAAAAGGAAAGUCUCCUUCACAUGCUUGCUUUGCAUAAUGAAUGCCUUACCCGCCGCUAUCUUCUUGGCUGCCUGAAUCUCCUAGACGACCUUUUGGCCUUCUGCCUUGGCAUCUUGUGCGCUCUGAAGGGCCUUCGCAAGCUCGGACUCUUGCGUCUUAGAGUCACGCUCUAAGGACUGAUACGUCUCCGUCGUAUCUAUAAUUUUUUAUUGUUCCAUGCCAAUAUUCUUCUACUUUCAUAUACUUUUGGCAACUUUUUUUUACUAUUUUUGGGACUAACAUAUUAAUCUAGUGCCCAGUGCCAGUUCCUGUUUGUUGCAUGUUUUAUGUUUCGCCGAAAACCAAUAUCAAACGGAGUCCAAACGGGAUAAAAACGGACGGAGAAUUAUUUUGGAAUAUUUGGGAUUUUCUGAAGGAAGAAUCAACGCGAAACGGUGUCCGAGGUGGCCACGAGAUAGGGUGCAUGGGCUUUGCAGCAAGAAAGCUAAUUUGAUGAGAAAAAUCUGGGCGAAAGAUUCACCCCAAUCGGAGUUACGGAUCUCAGGAUAUUAAAGAAACGGUGAAGGGGUAGAAUCUGAGAACGAAGAAACAGAGAGAUAAAUCCAAUCUCGGAGGGGCUCUCGCCCCUCCCACGCCAUGGGAGCCAAGGACCAGAGGGGAAACCCUUCUCCCAUCUAGGGAGGAGGUAAGAAGAAGGGGGGCUCUCUCCCCCUUGCUACCGGUGGCGCCGGAGUGCUGCCAGGGGCCAUCAUCAUCACCGCGAUCUACACCAACACCUUCGUCAUCUUCACCAACAUCUCCAUCACAUUCCCCCGUCUAUAUCCAGCGGUCCACUCUCCUGCAACCCGCUGUACCCUCUACUUUAACAUAGUGCUUUAUGCUUCAUAUUAUUGUAUAAUGAUGUGUUGCCAUCCUAUGAUGUCUGAGUAGAUUUUCGUUGUCCUACCGGUGAUUGAUGAAUUGCUAUGAUUGGUUUAAUUUGCUUGUGGUUACGUUGCUGUCUUGUUGUGCCCUCUGUGUCACGCAAGCGUGAGAGAUUCCCUCUGUAGGGUGUUGCAAUACGUUCAUGAUUCUUUUAUGGUGGGUUUAUUGAGUGGCAUAAGCAUAAACCCGAGUAAGGGGACUAUUGCGUAUGGGAUAAAGGGGACUUGAUACUUGAAUGCUAUGGUUGGGUAUUACCUUAAUGAAUCUUUAGUAGUUGCGGAUGCUUGCUAGAGUUCCAACCAUAAGUGCAUAUGAUCCAAGUAGAGAAAGUAUGUUAGCUUAUGCCUCUCCCACAUAAAACUUGCUAUCGGUCUAGUAACAUAGUCAAUUACUUAGGGACAAUUCCACAACUCCUACCACCACUUUUCCACACUCGCUAUAUUUACUUUAUUACUUCUUUAUCUAAACAGCCCCUAGCUUUUAUUUACGUGCUCUUUAUUAUCUUGCAAACUUAUCCAACAACACCUACAAAGUACUUCUAGUUUCAUACUUGUUCUAGGUAAAGCGAACGUCAAGCGUGCGCAGAGUUGUAUCGGUGGUCGAUAGAACUUGAGGGAAUAUUUAUUCUACCUUUAGCUCCUCGUUGGGUUCGACACUCUUACUUAUCGAAAACUGUUGCGAUCCCCUACACUUGUGGGUUAUCAAGGACUCAUAUUUUUUGACGAAAUCCUGGAGCUCUUGCUGGACCUCGUCUACUCGGGCCUCUUGCUUCUUGCGCUUGAUGUGCUCCUUGGCCGCUUUGUCUUCGGCCUCAGACAGCGCCUUCUUCAGGGCCGCCACUUCUGUCGUGGCCCCUAUUAAAGUUCGUGACGAUUCUAUGAUAUAAAACCAUUCUUUUCUUUAUCAAUAUACAGACGGGGUAUCACUUCCCUUUGUUCUCCUCGAGAUGCCUCUUCAUGAGGUCUAGCUCUUCCUUGGACCACUCUGAUAACCCGCAAGUAUACGGGAUAGUUUUAGCCUCUUUCGAUAAGUAAGAGUGUUGAACCCAACGAGGAGAAGGUAGAACAAAUACUCUCUCAAGUCCUAUCGGCCACUGGUACGACUCUACGCACGCUUAGUGUUCGCUUUACCUAGAACAAUAAUGAAACUAGAAGUACUUUGUAGGUCUGAUAGGAUAGGGUUGCAAGGUAAUAAAGAGCACGUAAUAAAGGCUAGGGGCUGUUUAGAUAAAGAAGUAAUAAAGUAAAUAUAGCGAGUGUGGAUAAGUGGUGGUAGGAGUUGUGAAAUUGUCCCUAAGCAAUUGACUACGUUACUAGACCGGUAAUCACUAUUGCAAUUCUAUUUGAGGGAGAGGCAUAAGCUAACAUUCUUUCUCUACUUGGAUCAUAUGCACUUAUGAUUGGAACUCUAGCAAGCAUCCGCAACUACUAAAGAUUCAUUAAGGUAAAACCCAGCCAUAGCAUUAAAGCAUCAAGUCCCCUUUUAUCCCAUACGUAAACAACCUACUUACUCGGGUCUGUGCUUCUGUGACUCACGCCACCCACCAUAAGCAAAUCAUGAACAUAUUGCAAACCCUACAGAGGGAAUCCCUCACGCUUGCGCGACACGGAGAGCACCAUAGGACAACACCAAUAAUAAAACAUGCAACUCAAACCAAUCAUAGAAAUUCAUCAAUCACCGAUAGGACAACGAAAAUCUACUCAAACAUCAUAGGAUGGCAACACUUCAUUGGAUAAUAAUAUGAAUCAUAAAGCACCAUGUUCAAGUAGAGGGUAUAGCGAGAUGCGGGAGAGUGGACCGCUGAAUAUAGAAGGGGGAAGGUGAUGGAGAUGUUGGUGAAGAUGACGGCGGUGUCAGUGAAGAUCGCGGUGAUGAUGAUGGCCACCGGCAGCGCUCCGGCGCCACCGAAAGCAAGGGGGAGAGAGGCCCCCUUCUUCUUCUUAUUCUUCCUUGACCUCCUCCCUAGAUGGGAGAAGGGUUUCCCCUCUGGUCCUUGGCUCCCAUGGUGUGGGAGGGGCAAGAGCCCCUCCAAGAUUGGAUCUAUAUCUCUGUUUCUGCCUUCUCAGAUUCUACCCCUUCACCGUUUCUUUAAUAUCCGGAUAUCCGUAACUCUGAUUGGGGUGAAUCUUUCGCCCAGAUUUUUCUCAUGAAAUUAGCUUUCCUGCAGCAAAAGAAGGGCAUCAACCGCCUUACGGGUGGCCCACGAGAGUGCCAGGCACGCCCCGGGGUGUGGGCGCGCCCCCCUGUCUCGUGGCCAGCUCGGACCCCGUUUUGCGUUGAUUCUUCCUUCGAAAAAUCCCAAAUAUUCCAAAAAAAUUCUAUGUCCGUUUUUAUCCUGUUUGGACUCCAUUUGAUAUUGGUUUUCUGCGAAACAUAAAACAUGCAACAAACAGGAACAAGCACUGGGCACUGGAUCAAUAUGUUAGUCCCAAAAAUAGUAUAAAAAGUUGCCAAAAGUAUAUGACAGUUGAAGAAUAUUGGCAUGGAACAAUCAAAAAUUAUAGAUACGAUGGAGACGUCUCACCCUCCAGGUCCUACUUCAGUUCGGAGACCUCCGCAGUAUGAGCGGCAGCGGCCAGCAGCGACACCUGCUUAUUCACAUAGACAUAUUAUGAUUAGACUCCUGUGGAUGUUAUUUGAUCCUCUGUUUGGCCUUCCUUUCGGAAGACCAACCAGAGCAUCAGGGGCUACUGUCUAUACUGUGAUAUUCUCUCAUAAUUGGAUUACUUACCUCAAAGCCUGUUAGGAGGCUGGCGCAGGCUUCGGUCAAUCUGCUUUUGGUAGACCGAACCUUCUCGAUCUCCGCACUCAUGAUGGUGCGGUGCUCUUCGUCAAUGGAAGCGCCGCGAAGCGCUUCCAGCAAGUUGUCCGAUGCCUCUGGAUGGAUAGAGGUCAUCAGCACAGGUAGCUCGCCCCCCUAGUGCGAGCAUCUCCAGCCGUUGGCCACCCAGGAGGCGCUAAAAAUCGCCCCCUGGGGGCGCCCGGCGCUUAACCGCGCACUGGGGGCGUGAUGCCCCCAAGUCGCGGCACCCAUGUUUUUUUUUAAAUUUUAAUUACAGCACAAACACGGUGCAAAUUCAACCAAACUUCGGUGAGUUCGUUCAUAUUUAAACAUAUUUUAUGAAAAAAAACUACUAGGCUGCUCCUGGCCGUCUCCCUCGCCGCUCCUCACCGCCCGCCGCCCUUGCAGUUCUACAUGCCGAGGAGGCUGUAGAACCGCGUGUAGUCGCCGCCGUCGUCAUCGUUGUCAUCAUCGUCGUCAUCGCCUCCGCUGCAGCCGCCAUCCCUACUGCAACCCUCCCCUAGUUGGCGCGGCGGGUUGGAUGGUUCGGGGGCCUCCUCUCGUCGUUGCUGUCGAGGAUCACGAUGCCGUGCUCGUCCUCGCGCCCACGUUUGCGGGCGGCUAUCUCCUCCAGGGCCCGGUGCUGCCGGACCAUCUCGUCGCGGAGGUAGUCGUCCCGCGCCCACCGUAGGGCCUCCUGGUCGGAGAAGCCGCGCCGGGCUAUCUCCUCGUACUCCACGGGGAGGCCGGUGUCAAAACCGGCGGAUCUCGGGUAGGGGGUCCCAAACUGUGCAUCUAAGGCUAAUGGUAAUAGGAGGCUGGGGACACAAUGUUAACCCAGGUUCGGGCCCUCUCGAUGGAGGUAAUACCCUACUUCCUGCUUGAUUGAUCUUGAUGAUAUGAGUAUUACAAGAGUUGAUCUACCACGAGAUCAGAGAGGCUAAACCCUAGAAGCUAGCCUAUCGUAUGAUUGUUCUUUUUUGUCCUACGGACCAAACCCUCCGGUUUAUAUAGACACCGGAGGGGGCUAGGGUUACACAGAGUCGGUUUACAGAGGAGGAGAUCUACAUCCGAAUCACCAAGCUUGUCUUCCACGCCAAGGAGAUUCCCAUCCGGACACGGGACAAAGUCUUCUAUCUUGUAUCUUCAUAGUCCAACAGUCUGGCCAAAGUAUAUAGUCCGGCUGUCCGGAUACCCCCUUAUCCAGGACUCCCUCAGUAGCCCCUGAACCAGGCUUCAAUGACGAUGAGUCCGGCGCGUAGAUUGUCUUCGGCAUUGUGAGGCGGGUUCCAUCUCCGAAUACUCCAAAAUUAAUUCCGAACACAAGGACCGUAUCCGGCUCUGCAAGAUAACAUUCCAUAUACCACCGUAGAGAGAAUAAUAAUAAUCCACGAAUCUAAUCUGCUACCAAUUCUUCGAAAAGUGACAUCACACCACGGUCCGGUUUUUAUUCGAAUCGUUUUCUACAACCUGCUUCAGCACACAUCACGAGGCGGUUUCUUUGGCACGUCUUGUCAAAGCAGAGAUUGUGUCCCCUUAUUGCGGGGUCUCCAUCAAUGCGGGUAUGGGUAACCCAACCAGCGCCAUUAAUCGAGGCGCCUAAAAAAAUAAGUGAUUUCGAGAGGCAAGUGGGGAGGCGCACAUUCACAUCGCCUUUAUAAAGGGGCAGAGAUCUCCCAUUUUCACCCACGCCUUCUUCCUCCUUUGCUCAUCAGUUCUCACACCCUAGAGCUCUAGCGCCCAACUUCUCACCUUCCCCGUAGGACCGCAGCAUGUCCGGAGCGAGAGGCAAGUGGAUGGCCUCCUCUGUCAUAGAAGAGAACAUUACCAAGCUUCGGGAGGCCGGAUACCUGGCAGAGAGUAUCGCGCACAGGCUUCCGACAAAGUGACAGAUUACCCCAACUCCGAAGCCUCGGGAGAGAGUAGUAUUUCUCCCUCAUUUUGUCUGUGGACUAGGAUUUCCACUCCACCCGUUCGUCUGCGGGCUCAUGUACUACUACGGGCUAGAUUUUCACAUCUGGCCACGAAUUUCGUCCUCAACAUCUCGGCGUUCAUCGUCGUGUGCGAGGCCUUCCUCGGCAUCAAGCCUCACUUUGGCUUGUGGUUGAAGAUCUUCUGCGUAAAGCCGAAGAUCGUGAGCGGCCAACAGGCAGAGUGCGGAGGCGCCAUGGUGGGCAGAAUGCCCAAUGUUACAUGGCGUGAUGGCUCCUUCAUGGAGACCAUAAAGGGGUGGCAAUCAGGGUGGUUCUAUAUCACCGAGCCGCGUGACGCCAACUGGGUGGCGGCCCCCAAAUUCAGAUCCGGAAUCCCCAUGCGGCUCACUUCCUAGGAGAAGAAGGGCCUGGCCUAGGGCGAACCCACGGAGCUAGCCAGACUUGAGACCUACAUCAGAAGUAUGAGGGACAAGAAGAUCAAGCUUGUCAACGUGGUCCAGGUCAUGCUCAUUUGCCGGAUUCUCCCGUGUCAAAUACGGGCAUUUGAUGUGUGGGAGUUCGACCCGGCCGAACACCAGAUGCUGCUAGAGCUCUUUGACACAACACACAAAGAAAUCUGGAAGGUUUUGUUCAAGACCGGUGAAGUCCCUCCUCCCCUUUCUGAGAACCAAGGGCUCAGCACAACGCGCCUGGCCAGUCCUGUAAGUCCCUUGAUUAUUUACUAGAUGUUCCCUUAGUACAUUCUGGGGAGGAUUUUUAAGUCACCUUGCUGAUCGAACAGGAUUGGGUGGAGACGGCGGAGUGGAUCGACUAUCCGGCUCCAUUGCCUAAGGACCCAGUAAGCGCACUCCUGGCGGAGAUGCUGGUUCCGGCGCCUUACAAGGUGCCGGAGAAAAAGGCCGAAAAGAAGGCCACGGGGACCCGAAGGGGUCUUUGGCACGAGGCCGCACACGACGCCUUGCCAGAAGAGGACGAGGCGCACUCCUCCCACGAAGGGGAGGAGAGGAAGAAGAAGAAGGCCGCCUCAACUGAGGGGGCCGAAGGGUCGAAGAAGGUGGCCGCGGGGGACCAGAAAAGGUCACCGGUGCAGGGUCGUGAUAGAGUCGUCAUCCGAAGACGACGAGGAAGAUUCUCCCCCCGGAGACAGGGGAGAACAUGAAGAGAUGCCUCCUCCCCAUGAUAGGGAGGAGAAGAAAAGGAAGGCCGCCCCAUCGGGGGAGGCCGGGACGCUAAAGAAGGGAAAGGCAUCCCUUCCAGAUCAAUCCACUACCUCCGCCUUUAGUGAUGAGGAGUGGCUGCCCAGGGGCAAACCCUGGGCGAGGUCAUAAGUAUGCGCAUUCCAUAAUAUUUUCCAUAUGACUUUUGACCUCAUGGUUUGUAAUGACGCCGAACACGUAUAUGCAGUCUGGCCGGGUCCGACCUCUAGGAGUCCUCUUCGGAGGAGUCUCUGAAUGAGUCGGAGAUGAAUUUGCUCCCGACGGCGACCUCUCCACGACCCGUGGAUGACACCGAGGUGUUGUCCCGGAGGAUGCCAGAGCAGGAGGCGAUGGUUCCGGAGAUGCCCCAAGGCAAAAUCUCGGGCGCCGGACACGUGGGGGAUGAGAACCCCAUGGAUUAUGCUGACGGGAGCCAUAGCAAGUCUGUCUCUCGGCCGAUUAUUGCGCCGGAGCCUACAAAGGUUCCAGAUUCUGGUAAGCAGUCCCUCGCGAAGGAAGGCAAGCCAGCCGUACCGAUGACCUCCGCCUAGCCGGAGGCAUCGGAUAAUUUGUUGGAAGUGCUUCGAGGCGCUUCCAUCGAGGAUGAACACCGUACACUUAUGGGUACGGUGAUUCAGGAGGUUCGGUCCACCAAGAGCGGAUUGACCGAAGCCUGCACCAGCCUGCUAACAGGCUUUGAGGUAAAGAGAGUGUGAGGAAAUAUCACCCGAUAGACAGUAGCCCCUGAUACUCUGGUUGGUGUUCAGAAAUAAAAGCCAAACGGAGGGCCAACUAAAAAUUCGCAGGAAGCUAAUAGUUUUUGUCUGUAUGAAUCAAACAGGCACUGCUGCUUACCGCCGCUGCGCGCACGGCUGAGGUUAGACUCAAGCGCAGACUGGGGCAGGCCGAAGAAGAGCUCGGCCUCGUGAAGACGCAGCUCGAGGCGAACAAAGGUAAGAGAAACCCCGUCCGUAUGUCGUAUGGAGGAUAAAAAGUUGGUGAUGCUAAUAAAAAGCAUCAUGGCUUUUGAUAGGGACCGCGACCGAAGUGGCGGCCCUGAAGGAAGUAUUGUCCGCGGCCGAAGCCAAGGCGGAUAUGGAGCGCACCGAGCGAGAGAAGAAAGAUGCUUGGGUUGGAGAGGUACAGCAAGAGCUCCAGGAGCUCGGCAAGAAGUUCGGCUCCCUGGAGCAUGACUACAAGACGCAAGCGUCUGAGCUUGCAAAGGCCCUCCAAAGCGCGGCCGACGCCAAGGCCGAAGCCCAAAAGGCCCUCCAGGAAAUCCAGGCGGCCAAGAAGAUAGCGGAGGGUAAGGAAUUCUUUAUGCAAAGGAAGCAUGUGGAGGAGUUAUUUCUUUUACUUACACGAAUCCGGAGCUCUCCAGGGGCAUUCGCAGAUCUGCCACGUAGCAUUUCGGAUGCCGCGGAGUUCUAUCGCCCUGAAGAGGGGAGCUCAGCUCUACGGAGAAGCUGUUCUGGUCCCAAUAUACUGGGGCCGAACACCCGAUGACUCUGAGUGACCAACUGAAGCAGCUGGUCGAACUCCACAAUGCGGCCGAACAGGCCAUGAGGGACCUCAAAGUCCGGAUGUGGCCUGGCGAGCCCCUGUCCAGCAGCUACUUUGGCCUGGUGAAGCGGAUGGUGCAUGCCUGUCCACGGCUAGAAGUUAUCAAGCAGUCUGUAUGUAUUGAGGGUGCCCGACGGGCCUUUGCCCGCGCGAAGGUGCAUUGGGGCAAGCUGGAUGCUGAGAAGCUCGUGAAGGAUGGACCCCGGAGGGCAAGGAGCAUCGCUGCCCCGAGAAAUAUUAUGAUGGCGUUAUGAAAGGCGCUCCUCUUGUGGCGAAUGAAUGUCCUAAGAACAUAAUUUUAAGUGAAUGUACUCAUGUCGUUCAUGUGAUAUGAGAAUGGGUUUAUUUGUGCUAUAUAACACUUUGUUUUUGAUUUAAAAUAUUACCUUCUCUAUGGCCGUUUAUCAAAAUCUGAAAGUAGGCCAGUCGUCGGCUUCCGCACCCUUGUUACUAGUACUGGGGUGUUCGUGGAAACCCAAACACUCUUUAUCCAAAAUUUUGGUCCUUUAAGGAGGUGUUUAGCGCAGCGAAUGAGGCAAUUGGACUAUUCGGCUUUAUAACUCUCACUUGGCCAUAGAAGUCUAUAAUUUUCAAUUUCGGCGAAGCCCCUAGUUUUCGGAAGGCCGAACUGGGGCAUUAUGCACGCCUAAAUCGGGCAAUGCCGAUUCCUCGCCUCAAGCGGAAAAAAUCUUUAGGGAAUUUAGUACCUCGCGAACAGCGACCAGCUCUCGCCGCAUCAUGACGGUCAAUUUUUGGCUUUCUCUACUGAGGUGCUCGUCCGGAAGAACUGGGACACAAUUGCAGUAGUUCUCCUUGCACUACCUUAGCCGAUAGAACGGAACGUACGGUACCAACACAAGGGAGCUGGGCUAACCCAACUAUUGGCCCAAGACAUGAUUCAGAGCUGAUGCAUAUAAUGCUAUAAGUUCGGGGUGCCGCACUGUUGAAAGUGUUCGGACUUUCCUUGCCAUUUUAUGGGGCUCGAUAAGAAGCCCCUGGCAAACUGACCUUACCAAAACGUACGGAUGCAAUAUUAAAUAAAUAUUCAACAGGAAAUAUGAGGAUAGUAAUAAGAAGCUAACGCUAUGUACUACUUCCAAUUUAUUUGGACAAUACAGCAAAACGUAGGUGUACAAUUGAUGCAUUAAGCAGAAAAAUAGGAUAAUUUGACAUAUCCUAUCCAAGGGCAGGCUACAUGCGGGUAUGUAAGAACUAGUAUAACGAUCAUUGAAGAAGACCACCUGAGUAUUCCCUUGUGUGCAAAAGCCUCUUGCCUCCUUGGUGCCCCCUCCAUAAUGAGUCCGGUUAUCCGAUUUCUUCUGAAGGGGCUGCCCGAAAGUGGGGUCCUGAAAAAGGGAAAAAAAGUAUGCGGGCCUCCUAGCGGCUGAACCGCACUCUGGCCACAUUGUCAUUUCACCUCCACCUAUGCCCAUGGUAUUUUGAGCGCGUAAUUGUGCACGCGUGGUACGAAUGCCGCUUGAAUUGGGCUGGGUGGAGGCCGGAUUGCUAAUCGAGCUCAUGGCGUGCCUGACUAUCCUGUUGCGGGGUACUCUAGACUCGCUUGACGGUGUUCGGGGAUGUCGUUGCUGGAUUGGCUGUUUGUCAGAGGAGGCUGCUUUGUACUUCUGCCGCGAGGGCCGCAGUAUGUUCUUCCGUACGGAUGGAGUGGUCUGUAUUUCCAUUGACUGUUAUGACCCCGCGAGGUCCUGGCAUCUUGAGCUUGAGGUAUGCAUAGUAUGGUACUGUGUUGAAACGAGCGAACGCGGUUCGUCCAAGUAGUGUGUGAUAGCCACUAUGGAAAGGGACGAUAUCGAAGAUUAACUCCUCGCUUCACAAGUUAUCUGGAGAUCCGAAGACCACUUCCAGUGUUAUCGAGCUUGUGUAGCGGGCCUCUACCCCUAGAAUUACACCUUUGAAGGUGGUUUUGGUGGGUUUGAUCCGUGACGGAUCGAUGCCCAUUUUGCACAUUGUAUCCUGAUAAAGCAGGUUCAGGCUGCUGCCACCGUCCAUGAGGACUCGCGUGAGGUGGAAUCCGUCGAUGAUUGGGUCGAGGAACAAUGCGGCUGAGCCGCCAUGACGGAUGCUGGUGGGAUGGUCCCUACGAUCAAAGGUGAUCGGGCAGGAUGACCAUGGGUUGAAUUUCGGGGCGACAGGCUCCAUCGCAUAGACGUCCCUAAGUGCACACUUUCGCUCCCGUUUGGGGAUGUGAGUGGCAUAGAUCAUGUUCACUAUUUUUACCUNNNNNNNNNNNNNNNNNNNNNNNNNNNNNNNNNNNNNNNNNNNNNNNNNNNNNNNNNNNNNNNNNNNNNNNNNNNNNNNNNNNNNNNNNNNNNNNNNNNNNNNNNNNNNNNNNNNNNNNNNNNNNNNNNNNNNNNNNNNNNNNNNNNNNNNNNNNNNNNNNNNNNNNNNNNNNNNNNNNNNNNNNNNNNNNNNNNNNNNNNNNNNNNNNNNGGGGGUUCUUCUGCCCUCCAGUGUUCGGACGCUGGGGCUCCUCGUCAUCAUCGCUAUGCAGCCCCUUGUCCUUGUUCUCGGUGUUUAUCUUGACGGCCUGUUUGAACACCCAGCAAUCACUAUUAGUGUGAUUGGAUGGUUUAUCGAGGGUGCCAUGAAUCUGGCACGAGCGGUCGAGUAUGCGGUCUAAACUGGACGAUCCCGGAUUGUUUCUUUUCAACGGCUUCUUCCGCUGGCCGGAUUUGGAGUUGCUGAAUCCGGCAUUGACUGCCGUAUCCUCCGCAUUGUCGCCAUUAUUUCGAUGCUUGUGUCUGUUGCGCCAUGGCUUUCCGUUACUGUCACGGAUGUCUGAAGUACCAGGGUUUCCAGGCGCGGUGUUGCUGCGAGCCAGCCAACUGUCCUCACCCAUGCAAAAGCGGGUCAUUAGUGUCAUGAGGGCCGCCAUGGUCUUCGGUUUUUCUUGGCCGAGGUGUCGGGCAAGCCACUCAUCACGGAUAUUAUGCUUAAAGGUUGUCAGGGCCUCAGCGUCCGGACAGUGGACAAUUUGGUUCUUUUUAGUGAGAAACCGAGUCCAGAAUUUCCUGGCUAACUCUCCGGGCUGUUGGGGUAAUGUGACCUAAGUCAUCAGCAUCCGGUGGUCGCACAUAGGUGCCCUGGAACUUAUCGAGGAAUGCAUCCUCAAGAUUUUCCUAGCUGCCAAUGGAGUUUGCUGGCAGGCUAUUUAGCCAGUGUCUUGCUGGCCCUUUAAGCUUGAGUGGGAGAUACUUGAUAGCAUGUAGGUCAUCACCACGGGCCAUGUGAAUGUGGAGAAGAAAAUCCUCGAUCCACACCGCGGGGUCUGUUGUGCCAUCGUAUGACUCGAUGUUGAUGGGUUUAAACCCUUCUGGGAAUUCAUGUUCCAUUACUUCAGCAGUGAAGCAGAGGGGAUGUGCGGCGCCUCUGUGUCGGGCUAUGUCACGGCGUAUUCCGAUUGGGUCUAGUCGGUAAUGUCCGGCCUGGCUGGAUGUAUCGUUAUUGUAUCCGGCAUGACGAUCGGUGGCAUGAGCUAUGGCGCGCCCUCGUGAUCCGUAGAUCGAUCUUGAUUGUCCUGCGUUGUUUUCCAAUAUGUCUCGCAGGUCCUGCUUAUUGCCCCGGGCCGUGGUGAACUGGCAUGGGGGCGCGGGCUGGUGUCUGGCCUGAUAGCCGGUUUUAUCCCGGCCACGAGGUGGCCAUUCAACCUCAUCUUGUGCUGGAAGUUCGGGCUCUUCGGCCUCUUCUUCUAGCGGUUUAUGCUUUGGGUAUCCCUUGCUCGGGGGCUCGAGUUCGUAUUCCUCGGCCGCCAGGACUUCGGUCCAUCUGUCUGUGAGCAGGUCUUGGUGAGUUUGGAGCUGCUGCUUCUUCUUCUUCAGGCUUCUUGCAGUGGCUAUAAGCUUACGCUUGAAGCUCUCCUGCUCUAUGGGAUCCUCUGGUACGCCGAAUUUGCCAUCACCGAGGCUCACCUCGUCUUCAGAGGGAGGCAUAUAGUUAUCGCCCUCCAAGUAUCCGUCCGUCGCCUGUUCAUCUGGGCUAACCAGCCCGUGUUCCUGUUUAGCUUGCUCGAAGGUGGGUUGAUCAGGAUCGUAUUCCUCUUCGGCACCAUCUGGAUUCUCUUCUCCAGUGCCGGUAUUGUUGUGGCGAGGCUUGGAGCGGCGCCGAUGACGCCCGUGUUUUGCUUUCUUCCCUGAGGGGUUGUCUUCCGUUGCCUCAUCGCCAUUGGUUUCUUUGGGAGUAUCCACCAUGUAUAUAUCAUAAGAAGAGGUGGCAGUCCAGCGCCCUGUGGGCGGUGGUUCCUGUUCUUCUUCUGCAUUGUCGUCUAUACCGUCAAUGUCUUCGGAGUCGAAGUUAAGCACAUCAGUCAAGUCAUAGACCGUGGCUAUUAAGUGGGUGGUGGGUGGAAAACGAGUUUCUUUGUCACCAGCUCCCCACUCAAGCCGGACAUAGUUCGGCCAAGAGUCUCCUGACAGAGAGAGAGACCUUAAAGAAUCUAGCACGUCUCCGAAGGGUGAGUGCUGGAAGAUAUCCGCGGCGGUGAACUCCAUGACUAGAGCCCAGUUAGAUUCAAUGGGCAUGGAUGCCCGCGGUCCGGAACACACAGCUGGAGAUGAGUCCGGGGGUCCGGUGACACAGAUCCCUUUAGAAGAGGAGUCUGUGUUCGGCUCCAACGCCGAGGUGUGUCCGGCCUCCGGGGCGGGGUCCAUCCACCCGUCCUUGGAAGGCGCGACCUGCUCCGGAACAAUGUCCGGAGCGGUAGCAGGUGCGAUGUUCCGAAUACUGUCCGACUGCUGAUCUAGGUCAGGCGCGUCGUGAUCGUUCGGCGCUCCUGACACGGGCCCGAGUCCGUCGAAGAUCAAGUCUCCGUGGAUGUCGGCGGUGUAGUUUAGGUUUCCAAACCUGACCUAAUGGCCAGGGGCAUAGCUAUCGAUCUGCUCCAAAUGGCCAAGCGAGUUGGCCCACAGUGCGAAACCGCUGAACACGAAGAUCUGUCUGGGGAGAAAAGUCUCACCCAGGACAGCGUGGUUGAAGGUUGGAGAAACCAUCUAGCCUUGCAGCGAUGACAUAGAGGAACUCUCAAUGAAAGCACCAAUGUCGGUGUCAAAACCGGCGGAUCUCGGGUAGGGGGUCCUGAACUAUGUGUCUAAGGCUAAUGGUAACAGGAGGCUGGGGACACGAUGUUUACCCAGGUUCGGUCCCUCUCGAUGGAGGUAAUACCCUAAUUCCUGCUUGAUUGAUCUUGAUGAUAUGAGUAUUACAAGAGUUGAUCUACCACGAGAUCAGAGAGGCUAAACCCUGGAAGCUAGCCUAUGGUAUGAUUGUUCUUUUUUGUCCUACGGACCAAACCCUCCGGUUUAUAUAGACACCGGAGGGGGCUAGGGUUACACAGAGUCAGUUUACAGAGGAGGAGAUCUACAUCCGAAUCGCCAAGCUUGCCUUCCACGCCAAGGAGAGUCCUAUCCGGAAACGGGACAAAGUCUUCUAUCUUGUAUCUUCAUAGUCCAACAAUCCGGCCAAAGUAUAUAGUCCGGCUGCCCGUAUACCCCCUUAUCCAGGACUCCCUCAGCCGGGCUCCGGCUUGGGCGCGACGAGGACGAAGCGGCCAGAGGGGGGGUGGAGUCGCUGAUGUGGACGUCUGAGCUACGGGUGCGCCCGCUAACAGGCGUGUCCUGGGGUUCCGGCUUGACGGGGCGGAGGCAGGAAGAGCCGGACAAGCGGCCGGACGAGGAGGAGGACGCCCCGGGCUGCUCCAUGCGCCUCGGCGCCCACAAGCUCCCACAUCGGCGAGAGAAGGAUGGGGGAGUGGGGUACUCGAGCCUCGUAUUGUUGCCCGCCUCGAUGUACUCGAGGACGGCCUCCAACAUGCGGCCGGGGAUGCCCCACCAUCGGUGCCGCCCCUCGGACUUGAGCCUUCCGGAGGGCACGACGCCGUUCGUGGCCUCGAGCUGUUCGGUGUGGCAGCGGCGGAAGAAUGGCUCCGAGAGUAGGCUGUCGGGGACGUACCGCGGCCCUUCCCUCACCGCCCGCUGCAGGGAGGCAUGGAUACGCGCGAUCUACGCACGCUGCGCCGCCCCAGUGGGCGGUGGUGGCACCGGGACGCCGCCGGCACUGAUUCUCCACGCCCCGGGCACCCGCAUGUCCAGCGGGACCGGGUACUUGGCCUCGAAGAGGAGCCGAGCUUCGUCCUGGUGAAGAUGGCGGUGGCCAAAGCCGUUCGCCACCUCCCCAUCACCUGGGAAGCGCUCGGCCAUGCUUUGAAUAGAGACGGUGAGAGGAGAGUGAGGAAGGGAAAGAAAUGGCACGUCGGCGGUGGAGGCUCUGUGCGUGUCUCCGGCGCGCUGGGGGUCGGCUUAUAUAGGCGGAGGCGCCGCGUACGCGUGGCCGCCGCAUGUAUGCGUGGUGGGCAAGGGGACGUGCAUCGUCCGGUCUUCACUGCACCGCCCGUGAGGCAUCAAUGGAGGCUGACUAGCUCGGCAGCGCGCAGCAGCUUUGGGAUUGAUUCGCCGCGGGAAACGGGGCGAUGAGGAUGAUGAAGCGGCGAGACGAGAGACGAGUCACUGGCAAGGAGGGCCCGUGGCUCUUUCAUGCCAAAAACGAUUCGCCCGGCGCCCCCGAGCGCCCCCAGCGCGUCGGGUUUGGGUUGGGUCCGUCGGUGCCAAUUUCGGUCCGAGCCGGCAAAAACUGGGCCCUUGGGGGCGCGACUAGGCUGAUUUUUUGGCGCCGGUGGACGAAAAGUUGCCUGGGGGCCUAGUUGGGGGCACAGAUGGAGGUGCUCUAAGGGGCUGCCUGCCUGAAUGCAGAACCACUGGAGGUUCCGGCGCAGUAUCCGGCUAGGGGCCAAACUUGUUGCGGCCCCCAUCAUUAGAAUCCAUGGGGGUCUUCCCCCCCAUGUGCCUGGCGUCUGGGAUUUCGUCUUGGGGCGUCUCCAGAACGGUCUCCCCUUGGUCCGAUAUCCUCUGAGACAACACCUCACUGUCGUCCGCGGGCCGGGAGGACGUGGCCGUCGGGGGUGAAUCGAUGUUCACCGCCGACUGGCCCAAAGACCCAUCCGAGGAGGAUACGUCGAUGUGGGCUUUGGAUAGACUGCACGAUCAUAUUUGACAUGAUAAGAAGCAAUAAAGCAGAACAUACCACAAGUAUUAUAGUGUCCAGAUACUUACGACUUCACCAGCGGCUUGUCCCAGGGCAACCAAUCCUCGUCGCUGUAGGCGGCUGCUGUGGAGUGGCCCGAAGGGUGGGUCUUUCCCUUCUUGGACCCUUCGGCCUCCCCAGGCAGGGUGGCCUUCCUUUUCUCCCCCCUGGUUGGGGGGGGGAGGACUUUCCUCUUCCUCCUCCUCGUUUUCGUUGGAGGAGCUUGCCUCGAUGUCUUCGGACGAUAAGUCCGAUACAACCUUGCGCCGGAGACCUUUCCUGGUCCUCUUGGCCUUCUUCUCCAGCACCUCAUAGGGCGCCGGAAACAGCAUCUCAAUUAGAAGAACCGAUGCUGGCUCUUCAUGUAGUGGAGCUGGACAGUCGAUCCGCUCCGCUAUCGCUACCCAGUCCUGUUAAAUUGGCGUGGAGGCUUAGAUCCCUCCCACGAAUAUACUGGGGAAAGGAACAUCUUGUGAAAUAUAAAGAGCUUACCGAAUUGGCGGCGCGCUUUGCGCUGAGUCCGCGAUCCUCGGUAAUGGGAGGAGGAACCUCGGCGGCCUUGAACAGCACCUUCCAGACGUUUUUGUACGUCGUGUCGAAGAGCUCUCGCAGCAUCUGGUGUUCGGCCGGGUCUGGAGUCCGGUCAGCUCUACCGAUGAACACCAGGCUAAGCCCUUCUCUUUCCAGGAGGUGAGCCACAUGGGGCUGCCAGAUCGAAAUUCGGGGGCCGCGGCCCAGUUAGCAUCGCGCGGUGCCGCCGCCCAGUUGGGGUCGCGGUCGGUGAUAUAGAACCACCCUGAUUGCCACCCCUUAAUGGUCUCCACAUAGGAGCCUUCGAGCCAGGUUACGUUGGGCAUCUUACCCACCAUGGUGCCUCCACACUCCGCUUGCUGGCCGACCACCACAUUCGGCUUCAGAUUGAAUGUCUUCAGCCACAGGCCGAAGUGGGGCUUGAUGCGGAGGAAGGCCUCGCACAUGACGAUAAACGCCGAGAUGUUGAGGAUGAAAUUGGGGGCCAUAUCAUGGAAGUCCCGCCCAUAGUAGAACAUGAGCCCGCAGACGAAGUGAGCAAGGAAUACAACCCUCUCGUGGGGCUCUGGAGUAGGGACGAUUUGCCCUGCGUCUGGGAGCCGGUGCACGAUGUUUACGGCCAGGUAUCCGGCUUCUCGGAGCUUCGUAAUGUCCUCCUCCGUGACGGAGGAGACCAUCCACUUGCCUCCCGCUCCGGACAUGUUUGGAAUGGCUUUACGGAGAAGGUGAGAACUUGGGCGCUGGAGCUCGAGCGUGCGAGAAUGGAUGGGCAGGGGAAGAAGAAGGCGUGGGUGAAAAAUAGGAAUCUUUAUCCCUUUAUAAAGGCGGUAGAAACUGUGCGCCUCCCCACUUGCCCUGUAAAAUCGCUUAUUCCCCAAGCGCCGCGAUUGAUGGCGUGGUUGGGUUACCCACACCCGUAUUGAUGAGAAUCCCGUGAUAAUGGGACACGAUCUCUGCUUCGAUAAGACGUGCCAAGGAAACCGCCUCGCAAUAUGUGCAACAGCUGGUUGAGAAAAACGGUUCGAAUAAUGAUCGGGCCGUGGCAUGAUGUCACGCUAUGGAAAGUUGUCGGCAGAUUAGAUUUGUGGAAUAUUGUACUCUCUACGGUGGUAUGUGUAAUUUGUUUUGCAGAGCCGAACACGAUCCUUGUGUUCAAAAUCUUCUAUGGAUUAUUCGGAGAAGAAACCCACCUUGCAAUGCCGAAGACAAUCUGCGCGCCGGACUCAUCGUCAUUGAAGCCUGGUUCAGGGCUACUGAGGGAGUCCUAGAUUAGGGGGUCCUCGGACAACCGGACUAUAUACUUUGGUCGGACUGUUGGGCUAUGAAGAUACAAGAUUGAAGACCUCGUCUCGUGUCCGUGUGGGACUCUCCUUUGCGUGGAAGGCAAGCUUGGCAAUUCGGAUAUGUAGAUCUCCUUCUCUGUAACUGACUCAGUGUAACCCUAGCCCCCUCUGGUGUCUAUAGAAACCGGAUGGUUUAGUCCAUAGGACAACAACAAUCAUAAUCAUAGGCUAGCUUCUAGGGUUUAACCUGGGUAAACAUUGUGUCCCCCGCCUCUUGCUACCAUUAGCCUUAGACGCACAGUUUGUGACCCCCUACCCGAGAUCCGACGGUUUUGACACCGACACCCUCCCUUUGUCAUGCACUCUCCCCAGCCACUCCAACCAACUCCCCCUCGGGGAUAGGUCUUGGGUGGCCCCGUGUCUACCAAAGACACCAACGGCCACAGUCAUGGCAAAACGGUCCCAAACGGGGACAAGGUACCAUAAAAACAAAACGAUCACACAAGGUUAUGUCUGCCUACCGUCCCAUAAGGUAGAUGUGGUCGCACUGAAUUAAAAACCCUAUUCAGUGGCACCAUGAUGUGAUCAACAUCAUAUUCACGUUGAACUUAAUCAAGUUUAGCUUUGAUAAAAACUUUUUAUCAUUAACAUGAUAUAAUCAAAAUAAUCCUGCAACUACUCGUCAUGCAAAACAAACAACUCAUAUUCAUCGAUCAAACUUAACAACACAUGCAUCUUGCAAUACUAAGAAUCAAACUUCUCUGGUUAUAACUCAUUUUCAUAACCAAGCAAUAUUUUAUUAGUUCAUUAUUUAAAUAAGACCAUUACUAGCAAAAUAACUAUCAUUGAUUUCCAUAGAAAUUUUCAUAGUGCAAAAUAUUACUCUACCUAGCCAAACAAGUUCAUGCAUUCAACCAGAAGCUAAAACAAGCAUAUCAAGCAUGGUAAAGUAACUAGAAAUUAACCAAAGUUAUUUAUCAAAUUUUAAAUUCAGAUAAUAACUCAUAUUCAGGUAGAAAAUCAUAGAUAUUGAAAUAACACGAUCCAAAUGCUGGUGUGGCUUGCCUUAGUAUAGAGGUGGAUCACUCCCCUCUUCGUUUGCUUCAAGACAAGCUUCUCCUUCUGAUAAAUAAUUUAAACCACAAAAAUAAUUAUCAAAACACAUUCUGAAAAUCACCAGAAAUUCUAGACGGCAAGGAAAAAUACACCUUCUGGCGUGCUACUAGAGUUUUCUGUAACAAAGACAAUACAAAAAGAAUCAAAUCAUUAGGACCUGUGGUUUAGAAAUGGUGGCUGGUCAAAGUUUGGUCAAAUUUCUGAAUAAAUUUGAAAUAAACAUAAAAUCCUAGGGGAGGGGGUGACGUCGAAGGCGUAUAACAAAAAUACGCCUCCACUCAUACCGCUUCGGGCGCGAGUGGUGAGACCGACUGGUGGGUCCCGUGCGUCAGGGGCGAGAGAGAGUGAGAUCGGAGGGAGGCGGGGCUUCCCCGGAGCUCACAGCGGUGACGAGGGGGUUCGGGGCAAAACGGGAGAGAUAGAAUUGAAGCGGGGCUCGAGGCGCACCUUAUCGUACCCGUGGCUUGGCGAGAGGUGGCCGGAGCUCAUCGCAGUUGAGAAUGCAAGCUUUGGUGGCGGAGGGGAUUCGCCGGAGAGUAAGGAGACGAUGGCCAGAGGUCCAGGCAGCACCAGGAGACCCCCAAUGCCCCACCCAAGCAGCUGCUUGAGCUAAAGAGGCACCGGAGCGCGGUGGCUGGACUACGGGGAUCGCCGGAGUCCUCGGGUCGGGGUGACGGCCAGAGGCCUGCCCGAUCGGGCUUUUGCUCGUCUACAUGUUUGUGGAGGUGGUGUGGAGUGGUGCGUGGCCAGCAAGUGAGGAGGGGGCGCUAUAUAUAGCAGGAGCGGAGGGGGGGACGUGUCGCCAUCGGAGCUCUCUGGACACACGGCGAACAACGAUGAGAAGCUCUAACGAGAGGGGGCAAGCGCUCAGCGUCAAUGCAGAAGCUUGCCCACGCACGCGGAUGAGCAUAGGAGGCAGUUGGAGAAGCGGACAAGUGCACGCGCACACUGUGGCCUUUUGGCCGCGACAUGCCCGUGCUUGCUGCGGCGGCUCCGGUGUCGGCGAGCACCAGCGAGCGGUCAAGGGUGAUGUGGCGAGGCUGGUGGCACUGUGUGGUAGUCAGAGGUGAGCACUGGAUCGAGCACGCGCGAAAUAGAGCGCAAGGCGCCAGCCAAAGCGCGCUGAGACGCAUGCUAGGAAUCAUGUCCACGCAUGGUCACCAGGCUGGCAUGGUCAAAACGACACCCAGGAGAGGCCAAACCUUGUCUACAUGCUCGACUGUGCAGUGUUUAGUCUAGGGGAGUUGAUGGCUCAUGCCCAGGCCAACCAGAUUAGACUUCACUAAGCUGACAAGUUUCUGUACAAAAACUUGGCCGCCAAGUUUGGCCACCUUCUAGAAGGCCAUUAGCACUAAUCUCCUGGGGUUUAGGGUUUCUUAGGAGGGUGUUGAAGCUCAAGAAAGAUCAAGGUUAAAAGCUCACAGAAUAAUGUACUUGCUGUAGAAAGUGGAUAUCUGGUCCAGAAGUGAAAAUAUUUUCUACAGCCAAAAUAUUGGAAAAAGUGAUGCAAUAUUUUCACAUGGGAAGUUGUGCCAUGGUUCUAAGAAUAUUUGGAUUUAUCUCAGAUUUUUCUGAGCAAGAAAAAUAGAGGUUGCUUUGGACCACAAGAUUCUGAAGUGAGUUUCAGAGGGAGAAAUGAAUAUUUUUCUUUUAUGAAAAAUACUCAUUUGAUUAUUUUGAGGGUUUGACCAGAGGAAUAGAGAAGAUAAGUCACUUGGGUGAAAGCCAAGGAUAUGCCCAAGUGACAAGCCCAUUUGAAAAGAUUCAAACUCCAAAUCAAAUCAGGGCAAAAACCACGAUAAAACCAAAUCCGAAAAGAGAGAAGGCAAGUCCGGAAAAAGAGAGAAGGCAAAAUCCAGGCUGUCACAAACCUCCCCCACUUAAGAUGAAUCUCGUCCUCGAGAUUCGGUUUCUUCGGAAAACCAUUCUGGGUAUGCAGUCCUUCAAAAAUCCUCUCUUUCCCAGGUCGCUUCCUCUUCGGUGAGGUGCUCCCACUGAACCUUGUAAAACCUGAUUUCCUUGUUGCGAGUGACCCAUUCUGUCUGAUCCAAGAUUCUGAUUGGGUUUUCCUCAUAAGUUAAAUCCUUAGCCAAUUCUAUCUCUGCCAUAUUAGUCCUUUUCUCCGGUGGCGAGAUACAUCUUCUUAGUUGUGAUACGUGGAACACGUUGUGUACUUCUGAUAGUUCCGGUGGCAAUUCCAACUGAUAUGCAACUGUUCUGACUAUGGCCAUGAUGGGGAAUGGACCGAAUAUCUGGGUGCCAAUUUUCCAAGGGUCUGAAACCUCUUGACUCCUUGUCGAGAUUUGGCCAAUUGCACUCUGUCUUCCCACUUUUGUCGAGAUUUGGCCAAUUGCACUCUGUCACGGAUUUCCUUGACUUGCUUCUCUGCUUCGAGCAUUAAAUCACUUCCGAAGAUACGGCUAUCUCCGGUUUGAGACUAGUUCAAUGAAGUGCGGCACUUCCGGCCAUACAGGGCUUCAUAGGGUGACAUCUUUAAGAUGGCCUGGAAACUGUUGCUGUAGGAGAACUCGGCGUAAGGCAGACAGUCUUCCCACUUGGUUCCUGGGGCCAAUGUACAAGCCCUGAGCAUAUAUUCAAGUAUUUGAUUUACUCGUUCAGGUUGUCCAUCUGUCUGAGGAUGAUAGGUGGUGCUGUAUUUCAACGCGGUCCCCAGGGCUUGAUGUAGUCGGGACCAAAAUGCGAAUGUGAAGAGAGAUCCCCUGUUGGAGGUGAUAGUCUUAGGUACUCCGUGCAGACUGACGAUUCUUGACACAUACAGCUAUGUGAGUUGAUUCGUGCGGUAUGUGGUUCGGAUAGGAAUAAAUUGUGCCACCUUUGUUAAGUGUCCACUGUGACCCAUAUUGCGUCAUUCCCUUGAUGAGACCUGGGUAGUCCGGUGAUGAAGUCCAUGCAGAUAUCAUCCCAUUUCCAUUGGGAUACUGGCAGAGGUUGGAGGAGUCCUGUGGGUUUUUGGUGUUCCACCUUUACCUUAUUGCAUACGUCGCAACAGGCCACAAAGUAUGCGAUGUCUUUCUUCAUUCCAUUCCACCAAAAUACCUGACGAAGGUUGAGGGAGUCCCGGAUUAGGGGGUGUCCGGAUAGCCGGACUACCAUCAUCGGCCGAACUAUCAUCGGCCGUACUAUCAUCAUCAUCGACCGGACUCCAAGACUAUGAAGAUACAAGAUUGAGGACUUCGUCCCGUGUCCGGAUGGGACUUUCCUUGGCGUGGAAGGCAAGCUUGGCGAUACGGAUACGUAGAUCUCCUACUAUUGUAACCGACUCUAUGUAACCCUAGCCCUCUCCGGUGUCUAUAUAAACCGGAUGGCUCUAGUCCGUAGGACCCACCAACAACAACAACCAUUACAAUCAUACCAUAGGCUAGCUUCUAGGGUUUAGCCUCCUUGAUCUCGUGGUAGAUCCACUCUUGUAAACAUCCACAAUAUCAAUAUCAAUCAAGCAGGAUGUAGGGUUUUACCUCCAUCAAGAGGGCCCGAACCUGGGUAAAACAUCAUGUCCCUUGUCUCCUGUUACCAUCCGCCUAGACGCACAGUUCGGGACCCCCUACCCAAGAUCCGCUGGUUUUGACACCGACAUUGGCGCUUUCAUUGAGAGUUCCUCUGUGUCAUCACCGAUAGGCUUGAUGGCCUCUUCAAUCGACAACGACGCAGUCCUGGGUGAGACUUUUCUCCCCGGACAGAUCUUCGUAUUCGGCGGCUUCGCACUGCGGGCCAACUCACUUGGCCAUGUGGAGCAGAUCGAAAGCUACGCCCCUGGCCGUCAGGUCAGGUUUGGAAGCCUAAACUUCACGGCUGAUAUCCGCGGGGACUUGAUCUUCGAUGGAUCUGAGCCACAGCCGAGCGUGCCGCGCUAUCACGAUGGGCAUGACCUAACUCUGCCGCCGGACAGCACCUUGGAGGCCGCACACGAAUCCGCUCCGACCCAUAGUCCGGAGCCAAUCGCACGGAUCGAGGACGGAUGGCUGGACACCGCCUCGGGAGCUGCAACUUCCACGGCGAUGGAGCCGAACACUUACCUUGUCCCGCAAAAAGCCCAUGACUCCGAGGUGCCGGACCCCCUGCCGGACUCCGAACCUCCUGCGCCCCUGCCAGUCGAAUCCGAUUGGGCGCCGAUCAUGGAAUUCACCGCUGCGGACACCUUUCAGCACUCACCCUUCGGCGAUAUCUUAAAUUCGCUGAAGCAUCUCUCACUAUCCGGAGAGCCCUGGCCGAACUACGGCCAGGAUGGUCGGGACGCGGACAAUGAAGAAAUUCAGAGCCCACCCACCACCCAGUUCGUAGCCACCGUAGACGAUCUAACCGACGUGCUAAACUACGACUCCGAAGACAUCAACGGUAUGGACGACGAUGCCGGAGACAAUCAAGAACCAGCGCCUACAGGGCACUAGAAGGCCACCUCAUCACAUGACAUACAUAUGGUGGACACCCCAAAGGGAAGCGAUAACGACGAACAACGAUACGCGGCAGAGGAUAAUCCCGCCGAUAAACAACCAAAACGGCGACAUAGACGCCGCCCUAAGUCCCGCCUCGAUCAAAGCAGCAUUCCUAACGACCCAGCGAUAGAGCAGGGCAAACCAGCGGACGACGAACAUACAACCAAGCAACCAUCCGAACAAGACGAACCAGAUAAUCAACCACUUCACGGAGCAAUCAACAGUCCGGACACAACACCGGAGCAUAAGAACCUUCACAAAAGACUCGUCGCCACUGCAAGAAGUUUGAAGAAGGAAAAACGGAAGCUCAAAAAAGUGGAAGACAUACUCAGAACAAAGUGGGGCAAAGUACUCAAGACCGCAGACAAAUAUGGCAAUGGCCAUCAAACAAAGAGCUACCCGAAGUGCAAGUUGCUGCUAGAAUUUGACGAGGAAGCCAUAGAACCCUCACAGUCAAAAAAUAAAGAGGCCGCCUAGCCAGAUAGACGGCCAGAUGACAGGCCAAAAGCGACAAGCGGCGCCGCACACAAGCCGACUUAUGAUCCUGGGAAAACGGACGGCCCAACUAGGUCCAUCUACGGGCCAAAAAAGAGGGCCCCAGGAAGUAACACAACACGACAAGUGUUCGAAGACAGCGGCACACCCAAAUACAGGGGCGCCGCACACCCGCUAUGUUUUACUGAUGAGGUGCUGGAUCAUGAAUUUCCAGCAGGGUUCAACCCCAUAAACAUAGAGGCAUACGACAGCACAACAGACCCCGGAGUCUGGAUAGAAGAUUACAUACUACACAUACACAUGGCUAGAGGAGAUGAUCUCCACGCCAUAAAAUACCUACCCCUCAAGCUCAAAGGGCCAGCUCGGCAUUGGCUCAAAAGCCUCCCAGAAAACACUAUUGGAAGUUGGGAAGAGCUUGAGGACACGUUUAGAGUAAAUUUUCAAGGGACUUAUGUCCGCCCUCCGGAUGCAGACGAUCUGAGUCAUAUAACCCUACAGCACGGAGAGUCAGCGCGCAAAUUCUGGAACAGGUUCCUUACCAAAAAGAACCAAAUAGUCGACUGUCCGGACGCGGAAGCCUUAGCAGCUUUUAAACACAACGUCCGAGACGAAUGGCUCGCCAGACACCUCGGCCAAGAGAAGCCAAGAACAAUGGCCGCGCUAACAAGCCUCAUGACGCAAUUUUGCGCAGGAGAAAACAACUGUCUAGCAAGAUGCAGCACCAGCGACCCGAGUACAUCCGAGAUCAGAGAUGGAAACGGAAAAUCACGGCGCAGGAAAGAUCAGCGCCGGAAUAAAGAAAAAAGCCCAAAGGGCAUGGCGGUCAACACCGGAUUCAAAAGCUCGCGGCCAAACAAUAAAACACUGCCUCUUAAGGACAUAGCGACGAGCUAUCAAAUUUAAACAAAAUCUUAGAUUGGAUAUGUCAAAUCCACAGUACCUCCGGAAGGCCUGCAAACCAUACCAACCGAAAUUGUUGGGUUUUUAAACAGUCCGGCAGACUCAAUGCCGGACACAAGGGGCUCGAUGCGCCAAGCGAGGACGAUGACGAACCCCACCAGCAGAGCACCGGAAGUCAAAAGACUUUCCCACAAGAAGUCAAAAUAGUAAACUCGCUUCAUGCGAUAGUACGGAAAACCAACACGGCACUCGCUAAGACAAGUGUCGCACGGUCCACCCCAGCGGAACAUCGAGAUUGGAUGUCAAAACCAAUCACUUUCGACCAUCUGGAUUAGUCCAGAAGUAUCCGGAACGCAGGAUAGACUGCCCUGAUAUUGGAUCCCAUAAUAGACGGACUGCAAUUCACGCAGGUUUUGAUGGACGGCAGCAGUAACUCAAACCUGCUAUAUCCGGACACAAUCCGCAAGUUGGGAUAGACCCUACUACAAUUCGGCAUAGCCGCACUUCCUUCAAAGGAGUGGCGCCAGGCCCUUACGCCAAGUGCACAGGUUCAUUAUUACUAGAAGUUGUGUUCGGGUCACCUGACAACUUCCGACGAGAAAAGCUAACCUUUCAUGUCGCCCCAUUUAAAAGUAGCUAUCAAGCAUCACUGGGACGGGAAGCUUUCGUCCGCUUCAAUGCAAUACCACAUUACGCGUCUCUUACGCUUAAAAUGCCCGGUCCGCGUGGCACCAUUUCAUUAAAAGGUCGCCUGAGACCCCGAACACGGCUGGACGAGUCCGGAACAAAUAAGCUAGGGGCUACCUAGCCGCACAUCCCUUCACAAGGGUUUGUACAUAUAAGCCAUAAUGAGCUAGCAUAGGCUCAACUUUAUUAAUCUAUAUUUCAAUUUUUUAUGCACUUUCUCGCAUGAUUUCUUUUCAAACUAAGUUCCUCUCUUUUUACAGAUGAACAGCGUGCACACCCGUCCAGGAUACGGCACAACGGAGACACAGGCGCAGACGUGCAGUAGGGACCCGUUGCAAGGACUCUUUUCAGACUAAGACCCUACGUAAACCUUUCUUACUGUCUCUUGUUGCUUUAAUCCCCUGGUUUCUCAUUAUAACCAGAGUGGAGACUGGCGUUUUGGCAUCGGCCGCGCCAGAAGAACUUGCCCGUACCUGGACACAAGGGGCUUAGGGCAUUGUUUUGCCCGCUAUUGUAAAGACCGAACACCUUCGGGAGUGUUUGGUGUCUCGAGUUAGGCCAUAUAUGCAUUAGCUCCGAAUCAUGUCUUUGGUCAAAUGUUGGGUUUGCCCGGCUCCUGUGUUUUGCUGCCUUACGUUCCGUAUCACCGGCUAACGCGACACCAGGAGAACUACUGCGAUUGUGCCCCAGUUCGGCUGGGCGAGCACCUCAGUAGAGAAAGCCGAAAACUGACUGUCAUGAUACAGCGAGAGACUGGUCAACCACUCGAUCGACCAUGGGAAUGUUUAGAAUUCCUCCGCUUUGACGAAGGGCCGUUUCUUGGUCAGGCACAUACGCGCCCCAAAUUCGGAGAGCGCGGUGCCCCCAGGGGCUAUGUCGUAGCCCCACCCUCGAACUCCAUGGCUAAGUGAAAGUGAUAAAGCAUUAUAGUCCGGUUGCCUCGUUUGCUACGCUACCACCUCCUUUACAGGACCGAGACGUCGGAUUAAGUGUGAAAACGCGUUUUUUUGCAAAGACCCCCGCACCUUGUGCGUGGGGGCUGAAGCCGACGACUGCCAUCUUUCAGGUUAUACACACGUAUACAUGAACGGCCGCAUAGGAGAUAUUCUAUUACUUGACCGCACAAGUAUAAAAGGCGCUUACAUCAUAAAUAUUGUUUUACAUCAUAAAAACGUUCAUUCAAACGUAAUAUUUUUUGAGCACUGCGACUCUAUUACACGAGCACCACGCAGCACUUCGCCAAAAUAGUGCUCGGCGGGUAACCGGUUAUCGUCCGAACCCGGGGUCGCAACAGCGGUGGCAUCCAUCUCUGUCCAACGUGUCUUCACACGGGCGAGUGCCAUCCGCGCACCCUCUAUGCAGGCCGACCGCUUCAUCGCCUUGAUAUGCGGCACCGCCCCAAGAAAUUGAUGCAAUAAGCCAAAGUAACUCUUCGGCUUGGGCCUAUCCGGCCAGAUAUGGGUCACUAUAUCCGUCAUAGCAAGCCCGGACAACCUAUUUAGCUCAGCCCACUCGGCCAAACGGUCGGUCAGCGGAAGUGAACACUCCGGACUAUGGAAUUGAGACCAAAACAGCUCUUCCGUCUUGUGAUCCUUCUGGCUUCGAAAAUGCACAACGGCAUCGGCCGCACUCGCUGCUAAGUCCAUAUAAGGGUCCUCUGGACCCCACAGUUGGCCCAGCUGAGCAUAUUUUGGAUCCGUAAACCUUCGACGCAGCAGAAAAGGCUUACCAGCUACAAUAUCUCCGGCGUGGCGCAGCUCUUCCUUUAUAGCCUGCAUUGCAGAGCGGGCAUCCUUGGCUUCGGCGGUGGCCUUCCCCAGGUCUUCUUGCCCCGCUAGGCGCUACUUCCCAAGAGCCUCAUUGCGGUCGGUAGCAUCUUUUAACUUCACGGCCAUUUCGGCCAUCUCUUCCCUGCUCCGGCAGUGUGCGACCCUUUCGGCCGCUAACUCCUCGGCCGCCCUUGAGGCCGCCGCAUUACUCCUUCUGGCCUGCUCCUUGGCUUGAGCAAGUUUGGUCCGAAGGCUCUCCACAGCAGUGGCACUAUCUGCAUUUCACACACAUGUUAUAAGGAGCUGGCUUCGGCUCCCUUACCAAGUGACCGCACAUAAACACUUACCUUGCGACUCAUCAAGUCGCCUGUUGACGAGCGUGAUGUCCGCAUCCGCAACAGCGAGUUGCCGCUUUAGUUCAGCAACUCCAUCAGUCCAGCUGGCCCCCGGACGACCCGCCACCUACAUCGGCACGGCGGAAAUUUAAACCUGCAAUUUUGAUCCUCGGCACGCUCUCGAUUUCGACAACCUACCGAGUCUCAGGGGCUACUAUCUAUACAGGGCGCAUUCUAUAUGCAAAACUGUUAAAAGGUGUGUCAUUUUUACGUACCUCAAACCCCGCCAGCAAACUCCUGACGGCAUUAUGCAACCCGCCUUCGGUGGACGAAAUCCUUUCAAUCACCAUGCUCAUCAAUGCGUGGUGAUCUUCUGAGAUAGACGCCCUCUCAAGCAGAUCGUUCAGCCAUACACCAGUUGGCGCCGAACUAUCCGGCUUUGCCAAACCAGGGGGCUCCCUCCGUGACGACACUUCAGGCUCGUCCACCCUAUCCGACGGCGCCCCGGACGGAGGCGUCUCGCUCUCCAUCAUCUCCGGACGAAGGUCCCCCAAAGACGAGCUCAUUUGUAAAGAACGGAGAUCCGAACUACAAGGUAAAAACUUUAGUUAUCCUCAGAAGCACAAAUAGGGAUGUCCCUUAUUAUAAAACUCCUUUCUUUCUACUUACGGCUCAUUGGAGGGCUAAUUCUUUAAGGGAGAUUGUGCGGCCGGGGCCUCCCCGGACGCAGGACCCUCUGGCGAAGAUUUCUUCCCCCAUUUAGGGGCAUUUGCCCCCGGGUCCUCGGAGGUAGUUCUCUUCUCCCCUUGGAGGGAGGGAUUCUCGAUCACCCCUCUUUCAAGAGCCUCCUUAGGCGAGGCAGUAGCUUUCCUGCUUUCCCCUUCGCCUUCCUCUAGAGGCGCAACCUCAAGCAUCCGGACCAGCACGGAAUCCGGCGCGGUCUCAGGGAGGGGGGGUGGACACCAUAUCAAUUUUGCUUCCGCUAUCCACUCCUGUUUGGAAAGAAGUUGGUCAUAAGGCGAAUCAUCGAAAGGAAAACAAACGGUAUGUCCGGACUUGGAACUACUUACUUGAGUAUCCAGGCGAUUGCAGCUUAGGCCAGCAUCCUCAGUCAAUUCUAGACGCGCCUUUUGCGAUCCGAAGAAUAAUUUGUACAUCUCCAGGGGUGUCAUACCCAUGAAGUGUUGAAGAAUCCGUGGGCCCUCCGGAUUGAACUCCCACAGCCGGAGAGGGCGGCGUUUGCAGGGCGGGAGACGCCUAAUCAGCAUAACCUGCAUUACCACCACCAUAUCAACCUCCCUCGUUUGGAGAUCUCGAAUCCAGCCCUGCUAUAGGGGCACGUCCUUUGACGGCCCCCAGUUGAGCCCUUGGUUGAUCCACGACAUCAACCGUCGUGGAGGUCUCGGGUGGAAUAAGGGCGGCGGCUUUUGUCUGCGGCCCCUCGGAACGGUAAUAUAGAACCACUCUUGCUGCCACGGGCCGAGCUCCUCUUGGAAGGAGCCAGCGGGCCACGGGGCAUCAGCCCUCCUACUUAUGGCCGCCCCGCCGCACUCCGCUUGACGCCCCCCGAUCAUCUUCGGCGCCACAUUGAAGGUCUUCAGCCACAGGCCGAAGUGAGGGGUGACGCGGAGGAAGGCUUCGCAGACAACAAUAAAUGCGGAAAUAUGGAGGAUGGACUCCGGAGCCAAAUCGUGGAAUUCCAACCCAUAGUAAAACAUGAGCCCUCUCAUAAAAGGAUCCAUCGGGAAGCCAAAACCCCGACGGAGGUGGGAUACGAAAACGACAUACUCGCCGGGCUCGGGGGAGGGGAUGGCCUGCCCUUCGGCAGGCAACCUGUGCGAAAUCUCAUAAGCCAAGUACUUGGCCUCCCACAGCUUUAGCACGUCCUCCUCCGUGACGAAGGAGGGCAUCCACCGGCCCUGGAGAUCGAAACCGGACAUCGUUGAAGGUCCAAAGCGCUCGAAUCUGGAGCUCUAGGUGCUGGAACUUGGAGCGGGGAGAGGAUUCGAUGGAGGAUUGAAGAAAAGAAAUGAGCCUUGGUCCCGUUAUAAAGAGGGAGAAUACUGAGAGCCGUCUCCGUGACCGUUUGGGACUCGCCUUCGAUAGAGGGGGCGUGGCGACGGGCGCGGUUGGGUUACCCACGUCCGUAUUGAUGAGAAUCCCGGAUUAAGGGGGAACACGAUCUCUGCUUCGACAAGACAUGCCAAGGAAACCGCUUCGCUAAAUGCGGUGAGGUGGUAGAGUAAAAAAUGAUUCAAGUAAUGUCCUGGUAGUGGCGUGACGUCAUGCCGCAAAAAAUGUCAGCAGAUUGAACUUGUGUAUAUAUUAUUCUCUCUACGGUGGAAUGUGGAACUUAUUUUGCAGAGCCGGACACUAUCCUGGUGUUCGCAAUCUUCUAUCAUUCGGAGGAAGAACCCGCCUUGCAAUGCCAAGCAAUAUACGCGCCGGACUUAUCGUCAUUGAAGCCUGGUUCAGGGGCUACUGAGGGAGUCCCGGAUUAGGGCGUGUCCGGAUAGCCGGACUACCAUCAUCGGCCGAACUAUCAUCGGCCGAACUAUCAUCAUCAUCGACCGGACUCCAAGACUAUGAAGAUACAAGAUUGAAGACUUUGUCCCGUGUCCGGAUGGGACUUUCCUUGGCGUGGAAGGCAAGCUUGGCGAUACGGAUACGUAGAUCUCCUACUAUUGUAACCGACUCUAUGUAACCCUAGCCCUCUCCGGUGUCUAUAUAAACCGGAUGGCUCUAGUCCGUAGGACCCACCACCACCAACAACCAUUACAAUCAUACCAUAGGCUAGCUUCUAGGGUUUAGCCUCCCUGAUCUCGUGGUAGAUCCACUCUUGUAAACAUCCACAAUAUCAAUAUCAAUCAAGAAGGACGUAGGGUUUUACCUCCAUCAAGAGGGCCCGAACCUGGAUAAAACAUCAUGUCCCUUGUCUCCUGUUACCAUCCGCCUAGACGCACAGUUUGGGACCCCCUACCCAAGAUCCGCCAGUUUUGACACCGACAAAGGUCCUUAUACAUUUUGGUACCACCGGGAUGACUUGAUUAUGGUGCUUCAUGCGCUUCUGCCAAUAUCAUCUUCUUUAGACUUCCUUGGUUGGGUACGCAGAGUCUUCCUCGAAACCUUAGUGAACCUCGCUGAUCCAUAGAGAAGUCGGGUGGAUGCCCUUGGUGCAUCUUCUGAACAUAUCUUUUUGACCUCCAAUCAUUUGCUUGAGCGAUGCGGAUUUCUUCUUUGAGAGUAUGGGCAACUUCCAAUAUAUUGGCAAGACGGGCGUCGGUGAUUACCAAAUUGGGCUGUAUGAUUUCUUCAUAAAGCUUAGGAGGCAAAAAAACCAUUAGAGCAUUAAGGUUGGCUGGUUUGCGACUGAGGGUGUCAGCCACCACAUUAGCUUUGCCCGGGUGAUAAUUUAUCCCGAGGUAGUAGUCCUUAACUAAUUCGAGCCAUCUUUGUUGUCGAAGGUUCAAAUCGGGCUAAGUGAAUAUAUACUUGAGACUCUUAUGAUGGGUGAAUAUCUGGCACCACUUCGCAAUCAGAUAGUGUCUCUAGAUCUUCAAAGCGUGUACUACCGCGGCCAUUUCCAAAUCAUCGGUAGGGUAGUUUCCUUCGUGUUCCCGUAGUUGUCGAGAUGCAUAUGCCACCACUUUGCCAUCUUGCAUGUGUACGCACCCUAGUCCUCUUAUGGAUGCGUCAUGGUAGAUGUCUGGAAGAGUCAAUACUAGUGCUGUGGUCAGCCGAGUUUUUAACACGUUGAAACUCUUCUCGCAUUCCUUAGUCCAUACAAACUUCGUAUCCUUCUUCAGAAGCUCAGUCAUAGGCUUGGCGAUCAUCGAGAAGCCUUCGCUAAAAUGGCAAUAAUAUCCGGCUAGUCCAAGGAAACUCCGGAUUUCUAAGACUGUGGUGGGUGCGGACCAAUCAAGAACAUCCUUCACCUUGCUUGGGUCCACUGAGAUUCCUUCUGCCGAGAGGAUAUGCCCGAGGAAUCCCACUUGUUGGAGCUAGAACUCACAUUUGCUGAAUUUGGCAUAAAGCUGAUGGUCGUGAAGCCUUUGCAGAACUGCUCGAAGAUGCUCCUUGUGUUCAUCCUUGCUCUUGGAUUAAAUGAGGAUGUCAUCAAUGAAUACCACCACAAAUUUAUCCAAGAAGUCCAUAAACACCUUGUUCAUCAUAUGCAUAAAGAAUGCAGGAGCGUUGGUGAGGCCAAAGGACAUAACGGUGUACUCAUAAAGACCAUAUCGAGUGGUGAACGCGGUCUUAGGGAUAUCCUCCUUCUUUAUCUUGAGUUGAUGAUAUCCAGUCCUCAAAUCAAUUUUUGAGACUACUUUGGCCCCAAUAAGCUGAUCAAACAGGUCGUCGAUCCUUGGCAGUGGAUACUUGUUUUUGAUGGUGAUGUCAUUUAGUUGUCGGUAGUCUACACACAUUCGUAGACUGCCAUCCUUUUUGUCCACGAAGAUUGCUGGUGAUCCCCAUGGUGAAGAGCUUGGUCGAAAGUAUCCUUUUUGCAACAUAUCAUCCAUUUGUUUCUUCAAUUCCACCAAUUCUGAGGAAGGCAUCUGAUAAUAUGUCUUAUGUAUCGGAGUGAUUCCAGGCACCAAGUCAAUCGCGAACUCCAAAUCUCGGUCUGGUAGCAUGCCUGGCAAUUCUUCCGGAAAGAUGUCUGGAUACUCACUGUCCACAGGAAUUAAAUCCACUUCUUCGGCCACUUCUACGAAAACCAUAUCUUUCAUGGGGAUUCGCCUGCGGGCAUAAAAACUCGUGGUGCAACCUUCCAUAUUUUUCAGGGUAGCUUCUCUAGUCGCACAGCUGAUGCAGACUUGAUAUUGAGUUAACCAAUUCAUGACCAAAAUGACGUCCAAUUUGUUGGAAUCGAUGAUUAUCAACGAGGUUGGAAACUUGACGCCCUUGAUGUCAAUUUCCAAAUUUCAGCAGACGAGAUUGCUUCUGAGUAGGGAUCCCGGGGAUUGUACCAGCAUGUGCUUUCCCAAAAUCGAACAAGGAAUAUUGUUUUGGGAAGCAAGACUCCAUGAUAUAAAAGGGUGGGAAGCCCCAGAGUCAAAUAAAAUUACAGCGGGUAUGUCAUUAACAGGAAACAUACCAAUGACGACUUACGGGUCCUCUUGAGCUUCGUUUGUGGAGAUGUAGUUAAUUUGACCUUGAAUCAUAUCUGGGGCGGGAUACGGCUCCAUGUAGUUGACUUGCGGUUGGAAUGGAGCUACUUGCUUUCUGUUCUUGGGACACUGCCUGGCGUAGUGUCCGGUUUGACCAUAGCUGAAACAUGUAUUGUUGUGCUGACAGUCUUCACGCACCAGACUGGUCACAACAUUAUUGACUUGUGUAGUAGUCUUGUUGACAUUCUGCUGCCAAUUUGGUUUGUACUCCACCUGAGUCUGUUGCCAAGUACGAGCCUUUUGCACUGGUUGCAUAUCCUUCUUUGGCUCGAAUUUGCGCUUGUGGUCGUUAACAGCUGACUUGUGGUCAUGUAGGAGCUUGUGUUCCCUUUCGGUGAUGAGGGCCUUGUUCACCAGCAUCAAGAAGUCUGGGAAAUCAAACAUGCUGAGAGUGCACCUGAGAUGCUGAUUCAGGCCUGACGGAACCGGUCGAUCUUCCGCUCUUCGGUGUACACAUCGUGGAGAGAAUAGCGGGCCAAAUGGUUGAACUUGUUUAGGUACUCGUUGACAGUCAUGCUGCCUUGAGUGAGAGCGAGGAAUUCACACUGCUUGAUUUUCAUAACUCCGGUGGGAAUAUGAUACUUGUUGAAUUGUUCCUUGAAUUUGUCCCAAGUAAUUUCCUCGUCUGCAGGCCAUAUUGCAUUGGCAUUAUCCCGCCAUAUCGUGGCAGCUCCUUCGAGAUAAUGCGUUGCAAAGGGAACCUUGUCUCUUUCUUCAGUGCGGGCAAUCUCCAGUUUCCUUUCCAUUGUCCUUAGUCAGUCGUCGGCGUCCAAAGGAUUAGUAGCGUGGCUGAAACUGGGAGGCUUGGUUCGCUGAAUGUUUGACAGUUUGGAGUGAUGGCCAUUCUGGUUUCCAUUCUGCCCAACCAUAACUUGUACACUCUUCAGGAUUUCCAACAGGUUGUUGCUUCUUAUUUCUUCAAACAUUCUCAUGAUCUGAUCGGUGGAAGGCGGUUGUGGCUGGUACCGCUCGGGGGAAUGUCCCGCCUGUCUUGCGAGUGAUGGAUAGGGGUAUCCUCACAAGCUUGGCUGCUGCAACCUCCACGCGUCAUCCUAUUUUUCGUUUUCCCAAUACAUAGCAACCAUGAUGAGAAAAAUCCAAAAUGGGGGAAAAAGCCAAUGACAAAUCGUGGAAGAAAACAGCGAACGAAAUCCAAGGCGUAUAAAAAGUUCCAACAUAAUUAUACAUAGUCCCAACAUGAAAGUAACAUCACAGCAGGUCUACUACCCUCGUACAUGAAACUACGCAUCAUGACAAGUGUAGGUACAACCAUACAUCAUGCUCAUGACUACCACGAUACUCUAACAGUCUACUUCUCGGUCGGUGCUACUGCAGGCUCGUCUCCUGAGUCGGACCCUCAUCCUGAGCUGAUAGCAGAGUCCUCUGGACCAAGAGAAACGCGACGACGCUUCCUUGAGGGCUCUCCCUCAGGGGCAGGCGGGGGAUCGGAUCUAAGCAUAGAAGUAGCAGGAGUAGAGACAAGGGAAGACAAUGCAGCAGGGGUGCUGCGAGGGUUCACCGUCAGAGGGUUAACGGUACCCUGCGAGGUCGUCGGUGGAACAGGGGUGGGAAGAACCGGAGAAGAAGUGUAGAUAACAGCGGGAAGAGGGUUCCUCACCCGAGUGCGAGAGCGGUGCGAGCACGUGAAAGCUCCCGAGCUACUCGUAGUUUAGAAGAUAACUAGAUGUGAUGUAGCGAGAAAGGUGGCUAGUGGGAUGAUCGCACGCCGGAUUAAUCAAAGGAAAAUGGACACACCCAUUCUUGUGCAGAGAUGGGUAGUAGAAGAGACCAGGGUGGGUAUGCAUGCGAACCUCGUUGUAGCACAAGUCUACAAGAUCCUCGAGAGCAGCAAAAUGAAUUGCCUGGGAUGGCGUAGAAGCAAGACCACCCUUAGUCGAACGAGUGUAAGCGUCGGUAGGUGAACUGUGAUGUAGAGUGACCUCAGCAUAAUGCUCAUACAAUGCACCGGCCAGAUGCUCGCGAUACACCCGAUACUCUAGAUCAGCACCCUCUGGGUAGAUUUGUCGCCACACAUUCUAAAGCAGAUGCGACGAUGUGUAUGGAGCUCGCUCAGGAUGGUACAAGAUCGGUACUGGUGCCAUCUACACUCAUAAAUCAUCCGGAUAGUAAUAACAAAUAAACAUGCAUGCAAUGCAAUAAUCGGCACUCAAACGAAGCUAUCUACCAUUUUACUAGCGCACUUACGGUCUAGCGUGUCCUACAAUCAGCGCGGCUCUGAUACCAAGUGCUGUGGCACCCCGGCUCAGAGCAACCGGUUUACCUUGCAUUGCCAACCCAGAGAUCAAGUCUUCUGGCAAUGCACAACAACAUGGUACAGAAACAACCGCUUUAUUGAUGCUAGCGGAUUACAUAGGUCUGAUAUUACAUCGAGAUUCAAGGCCAAGCGGCACUCACGGUGCUGCUAGAUGGUAUGUACAUUAUUUAAUGGACAUGACGGGGCCUUGAUCGCACGAGCUACACAGCAGCGGAAGAACAACAUAGAGGAACUUUGUAGCAUAGGGACACCAACGUGAACAUGGCCUAGACACGAGAUGCGCUCCGAUGCGAACUGACUUUCCUGAAAGCUGGCAUAACACGCCAGGUCAGUACAUUGAAUGUACUUGCAAGCUCACAACAAACAUAAGCACGAUGACAAACAAUAUCAUGAUAUUUAAACAGAUUAAUUCAAUGCAAAACUACUACUACCAAACAAACAUUUCGUGUAAUGAGUCCCACGGACUCACUUACCAGACGGUUACCGUGUAACCAAACGGUGACCAUACCCGGGUCACAACGGAAACCAAUCACUCAUGAGUACCUCAAGUGUUCAUGCUUUCGUCAUGAACCAAUGCAUCACAGCCCUCACUUAGUUUGCAAUAUUAUUAGAAAAGUUGAUCCAUGGAGUGGCUUACUUCCGACUUUUACUCAUAACAGAGGACGUGGCUAUCGAUAGAUUAAAUACACUCUGAAGAGGUAGCGCACUUUACCCACACUACGGAAUACCUGGCCCCGCAUUCCCGUUCGGGUGGACCAAAGCAUUCCGACGAAACCCUCCCUUUUUCAUGCACUCUCCCCGGCCACUCCAACGAACCCCCCCUCGGGGCUAGGUCUUGGGUGGCCCCGUGUCUACCAAAGACACCAACAGCCACCGCGUGGCAAAACAGUCCCAAACCAGAACAAGGUACCAUAAAAACAAAACGAGCACACAAGGUUAUGUCUGCCUACCGGGCCAGGGUAUGCACGCCCAUAACCUUCCCUCGCGGGAGGCACCGGUGAGAGCCACAACAAAGGACCGAAUCAAGACCUUCCCAUAAGGUAGAUGUGGUCGCACUGAAUUAAACCCAAUUCAGUGGCACCAUGAUGUGAUCAACAUCAUAUUCACGUUGAACUUAAUCAAGUUUAGCUUUGAUAAAAACUUUUUAUCAUUAACAUGAUGUAAUAAAAAUAAUCAUGCAACUACUCGUCAUGCAAAACAAACAACUCAUAUUCAUGGAUCAAACUUAACAACACAUGCAUCUUGCAAUACUAAGAAUCAAACUUCUCUGGUUAUAACUCAUUUUCAUAACCAAGCAAUAUUUUUAUUAGUUCAUUAUUUAAAUCAAACCAUUACUAGCAAAAUAACUAUCAUUGAUUUCCAUAGCAAUUUUCAUAGUGCAAAAUAUUACUCUACCUAGCCAAACAAGUUCAUGCAUUCAACCAGAAGCUAAAACAAGCAUAUCAAGCAUGGUAAAGUAACUAGAAAUUAACCAAAGUUAUUUAUCAAAUUUUAAAUGCAAAUAAUAACUCAUACUCAAGUAGAAAAUCAUAGGUAUUGAAAUAACACCAUCCAAAUGCUGGUGUGGCUUGUCUUAGGGUAGAGGUGGAUCACUCUCCUCUUGGUUUGCUUCAAGACAAGCUUCUCUUUUUGAAAAAAUAAUUUAAACCACAAAAAGAAUUAUCAAAACACAUUCUGAAAAUCACCAGAAAUUCUAGACAGCAAGGAAAAUCCACCUUCUGGUGUGCUGCAAGAGUUUUUUUGUAACAAACACAAUGCAAAAAGAAUCAAAUCAUUUGGACUUGUGGUUUAAAAAUGGUGGCUGGUCAAAGUUUGGUCAAAUUUCUGAUUAAAUUUGAAUUAAACAGAAAAUCCUGUUGGGGGGGGGUGACAUCGAAGGCGUAAAACAAAAAUAAGCCUCCACUCGUACCGCUUCGGGCACGAGUGGUGAGACCCAUAGGUGGGUCCCGUGCGUCAGGGGAGAGAGAGAGAGCGAGAUCAGAGGGAGGCGGGGCUUCGCCGUAGCUCACGUCAGCGACAAGGGGGUUCGGGGCAAAACGGGAGGGAUAGAAUUGAAGCGGGGCUAGAGGCGCACCUGCCCGUACUCGUGGAUUGGCGAGAGGUGGCCGGAGCUCGUUGCAGUCGAGCUCGCAAACUCCGGUGGCGAAGGGGAUUCACCGGAGAGGAAGAAGACAACGGCUAGAGGUGGCUCCGAGGGCUUGGCGGGGUCCAGGCAGCACCAGCAGACCCCCAAUGCUCCGCCCAAGCAGCUGCUUAAGCUCGAGAGGCACCGGAGCACGGCAGCUGGACUGCGGGGAUCGCCGGAGUCCUCGGGUCGAGGCGACGGCCAAAGGCCUGCCCGACCGGGCUUCUGCUCGUCUACAUGUUCGUGGAGGUGGUGUGGAGUGGUGCGUGGCCAGCAAGUGAGGAGGCGGGUGCUAUAUAUAGUCGGAGCGGAGGGGGGGACGUGUCGCUGCUGGAGCUCUCUGGACACGUGGCGAACGUCGAUGAGAAGCUCCAACGAGAGGGGGCAAGCAUUCAGCGUCAACGCAGAAGCUUGCCCACACUCGUGGACAAGCACAGGAGGCGGUUGAGGGAGCGGACAAGUGCACGCUCGCACUGUGGCCUUUUGGCCGCAACGUGCCCGUGCUUGUUGCGACAGCUCUGGUGUCGGCGAGUGCCAGGGAGCGGUCAAGGGUGAUGGGGCGAGGCUGGUGGCACGGUGUGGCAGUCGGAGGCAAGCGCUGGAUCGAGCACGCGCGAAACAGAGCGCAAGGCGCCAGCCAGAGCAGGCCGAGAUGCAUGCCAGGCACCGUGUCCACACGCGGUCACCAGGCUGGCAUGGUCGAAACGACACCAAGGAGCUGCCAAACCUUGUCAACGCACUCGACCGUGCAGUGUUUAGUCUAGGUGAGUUGAUGGCUCAUGCCUAGGCCGACCAGAUUAGACUUCACUAAGCUGACAAGUUUUUGUACAGAAACUUGGCCGCCAAAUUUGGCCACCUUCUAGAAGGCCAUUAGGGCUAAUCUCCUGGGGUUUAGGGUUUCUUAGGAGGGUGUUUAAGCUCAAGAACUAUCAAGGCUAAAAGCUCAAGGAAAAAUGUACUUGCUGUACAAAGUGCAUUUAUGGUCCAGAAGUGAAAAUAUUUUCAACAGCAAAAAUAUUGCAAAAAGUGAUGCAAUAUUUUUACAUGGGAAGUUGUGCCAUGGUUCUAAGAAUAUUUGGGAUUUAUCUCAGAUUUUUCUGAGUAAGAAAAAUGAGGUUCCUUUGGAGCACAAGAUUCUGAAGUGAGUUUCAGAGGGAGAAAUGAAUAUUUUUCUUUUAUGAAAAAUACUCAUUUGAUUAUUUUGAGGGUUUGACCAGAGGAAUAGAGAAGAUAUUUCACUUGGGUGAAAGCCAACAAUAUGCCCAAGUGACAAGUCCAUUUGAAAAGAUUCAAACUCCAAAUCAAAUCAGGGCAAAAACCAUGAUACAACCAAAUCCGGAAAGAGAGAGAAGGCAAGUCCGGAAAAAGAGAGAAGGAAAAAUCCAGGCUGUCACAGCCACCGCCAGGCGUCAGGGCCUCGUGAGGCGCCAUAGCAUGCUGCGCCAGGUGCUGGUACGAGGCGCCAACAUUCAGCAGGCCGAACAGCAUGCAGACGUAGUUGCAAGGGAAGCUCCUACUUCGGCCAAUGUGUGAGGCGAGAAGAGGUCUUGGGAUGCGGCAAUGUUCAGGCCCAGGAUGUCAACGCAGACGCGUAAGCCAUCGCCCGUGUGCGUGCGGCGGCUACGCUGGGGCAUGUGGGGCGGCGCCCGUCGCACAUGGCUUGUGCUUCCUAAAGCUCCUCGAUCGCCUUGGUGAUGAAUUCUCGUGCUCCUGGUACUUCGUGCCAUGUUCCUUGCUUGUGGGGGGUGUCGAGCACGUGGAGGCACGCCUCCAAGUGCUUCCCAGGCACCUCACUAUCGCCCUGGUCCAGUCAGACACUCCCAAGAUGGAAGCCCCCAAGCCCAUCCCGAGGGAGGCACCAGGCGUGCCUUCCUAUGCGGGAGUAAGGGGCGCCCUGGUAGUAGGCGCGGAGCCUGAGGCACCGCCUGCGGGCUUCUUGGCCUCCGAAUGGCUCUUGGGGAGGAGGUACUUAUUCUUUGCGGAGGCAGCCUCAAGGGGCGCGACGUCACCUUCGCUAUCUGAGUUUUUGGACACCGCAGCCCGGUAGGCAUGCUCAAGGUAGUAGACCGCAUCCUUUUCAGCACGGCGACAAUGAUGACACCGCUGCACACUGGCAUCUUGAAGAUGUUGUAGCUAUGGUGGCUAGCCGCAAUGAACUUGGCGAGAGAAGGGUACCCCAGGAUGGCAUUGUACGGGAGGAUGAUGUGGGCCACGUCGAAGUCGAUGAGCUCUGUGUGGUAGUUUUCGCGCUUGCCAAAGGUGAUAGGAAGGCGCACCUACCCCAGGGGAAUAAUGGAGCCGUCAGUCACUCCAUAGAACGGCUUUGUGGGCAUGAGUUGUUCGUAAGGCACUUGAAGCAUCUCGAAGGUCUCCACUGAAAGCAUGUUGAGGCUAGAGCAACCGUCGAUGAGGGUCUUGGUGACUGAGACAUUGCUGAUGGAGGGCGUGCACAACAUGGGGAGCGCGCCAAUAGUAGCCGAACACCUGAGGUGGUUCCUUGGAGCUGAAUGUGAUGGCGUACUAUGACCAAAUGAGGGGACGGGCAGCUUCAAGCCUUGGGAGGGCCGCAUUCACCUCACGAGAGAAGUGCUUCAAGAUGUGGUUCGAGGCGGGUGCAUGAGCUUCGCUAAGGAUGCAGGCAAUGGCACGAGGCUCCUGGUAGCCCCCAGCCCCCUCGUCUUGUUGGUUGUCAUGGUUUCUCCUGGGCAGCGGCAGCAGAGAUGGGAGGCCAGCAUUGCCCUGCGGGCGGGCCUCGCGAGGCUAAUCGCACCAUGUGCCAUCGCGAGGGUGAUCAUGCCAGCCACCCUCGCAAGGCUAGUCACGCCAGCCCUGGCGGGAAUUGCGGUUGUCCAAGCGGCUUCUGCCACCGUCUAUUCGCUCGGGGCAGCGGCCCAGGCGCUCGUCCCGGAGCGCCCUAAGCUCCUGACAGUCAUCGGUGUUAUGGGUGUGCAGGUUAUGGAAGACACAGAAAGGCAAAGCUUCCUUGGCGGGCUCGUCGCGAUCACAGUCGCGCUUUAGCUCAGGUUCUGCUACCAGUACGGUGGGGCCCUUGCACUUUGCCUCCCUGGCCUUGACCUUCUUAUCUUUGGGGUCGACGUUUGGGUGCUCGAGGAGGGAGAGGCGGCCUUCGUCAGCCUUCACGCACUUGUCAGUCAGGUUGAAUAGCUCCAAUGCUAAGCACAUGUCAUCGUCGAUGGCGAGCUCCUCGCUCAUCUUGAUAUCUGUGACGCCUUAUGUGAACACGAAGAUGAUGACCUUGUUCGAAGCCUUCGGGAUCUUGAUGCGAACUUGGGUGAAGCGCUGCAUGUACUUGCAGAGGUUCUCACCAGGAUGUUGCUUCACGCGCUGCAAGUUGUUGACGGUGAGGGCACAACCAUGGGUCACUUGGAAGUUGGCGAUGAACCGCUUGCGGAGCUCAUCCCAUGAGGAGGUUGAUCCCUCCGGGAGGUGCAUGAGCCAGGAGUGCGAGCUAUCCUUAAGGGCCAUGGGGAACCAGUUCGCCAUGACCUUGUCAUCACCAUUCACUGCCUCAAAGCUCAGCAUGUAGAGCUGGAGGAACUCCAUAGGGUCGGGGAUGUCAUCGUAGUGCGGAGGCUGAUCCGGCGUAAACUUGACCGACCAGAUAACAUGGCGCAUCUCAUUAGUGAAGGCGCGGUAGCCUGCCGCGCUCACGGGCGCGGCCCACGUGAGAGGGGCACGAUCCUGGCGCCCAUGCGCAACGGCUUCCAGAGUGGCCCGGUCUUGAAACUGUCGUGGCGGCACCGGGAGCGCACGCGCGUCGUAUUAUGGCUGCUGCACAACCUGGCAGCUAGCUUCGUCCUCGGCCAGCACCGACGUGCCACGCGCCGGGUCGCGCGGACGCGCGUCACGCCUUGGUUUAGCUUUGUCGCCGUGCCGGGGAGGAGGCGGAGGCGCACCAUGUGCCACGUCGCCCACCCGAUAUGGUGGGGUGCAGAGCGAGUGGGAGAGCGCUUGGGCCUCGCCGGCGGCAUUGACGAGCUCGGUGAUACGGCCCAGCCAGGCAUCGUAGCCUUCAUUGGUGGGGCGGUAGCGCAGCAGCUCGCGCGCCAUGAGUAGCACAGCCUUUGUGUUUGCUGUCUUGCACGUGGGAGGACGAGGUCGUGGCAGGAGUGAGGGAAGGCAUGGCAGUGCGGCCAUCCCGCUGCAUAGAGAGCGGCAGCAAAGAGUCAUGCUACACGUGGGUGGCAAGGUCGGUGGCAGUGUUAGCCGCCGGAGAAGUGGAGCGGCGCAGGCCGUCAUGGCCCACCGGGGCCAUCUGGGCGGCCCGGCGCUUGGUGCGCACUCGGUGUGCCUCAUCCAUGGGGGUGACGAAGCACCGACGGAAUGAAGUAGGCGGACGAGGAAGAACUUUGACACGUCCCUACUGAAGGAAAUAUUCCCUAGAGGCAAUAAUAAAGUUAUUAUUUAUUUCCUUAUAUCAUGAUAAAUGUUUAUUAUUCAUGCUAGAAUUGUAUUAGCCGGAAACAUAAUACAUGUGUGAAUACAUAGACAAACAGAGUGUCACCAGUAUGCCUCUACUUGACUAGCUCGUGAAUCAAAGAUGGUUAAGUUUCCUAACCAUAGACAUGAGUUGUCAUUUGAUUAACGGGAUCACAUCAUUAGGAGAAUGAUAUGAUUGACUUGACCCAUUCCGUUAGCUUAGCACUUGAUCAUUUUGUAUGUUGCUGUUGCUUUCUUCAUGACUUAUACAUGUUCCCAUGACUAUGAGAUUAUGUAACUCCCGUUUACCGGAGGAACACUUUGUGUGCUACCAAACGUCACAACGUAACUAGGUGAUUAUAAAGGUGCUCUACAGGUGUCUCCGAAGGUACUUGUUGAGUUGACGUAUUUCAAGAUUAGGAUUUGUCACUCCGAUUGUCGGAGAGGUGUCUCUGGGCCCUCUCGGUAAUGCACAUCACUAUAAGCCUUGCAAGGAAUGUAGCUAAUGAGUUAGUUACAGGAUGAUGCAUUACGUAACGAGUAAAGAGACUUGCCGGUAACGAGAUUGAACUAGGUAUUGAAAUACCGACGAUCGAAGCUCGGGCAAGUAACAUACCAAUGACAAAGAGAACAACGUAUGUUGUUAUGCGGUUUGACCGAUAAAGAUCUUUCUAGAAUAUCUGGGAGCCAAUAUGAGCAUCCAGGUUCCGGUAUUGGUUAUUGUCCGGAGAUGUGUCUUGGUCAUGUCUACAUACUUCUGGAACCCGUAGGGUCUGCACGCUUAAAGUUCGAUGACAGUUAUAUUAUGAGUUUAUGUGUUUUGAUGUACCGAAGGAGUUCGAAGUCCUGGAUGAGAUCGGGGACAUGACGAGGAGUCUCUAAAUGGUCGAGACAUAAAGAUCGAUAUAUUGGACGACUAUAUUCGGACUUUGGAAAGGUUCCGAGUGAUUCGGGUAUUUUUCGGAGUACCGGAGAGUUACGGGAAUUCGUAUUGGGCCUUAAUGGGCCAUACGGGAAAGGAGAGAAAGGCCCCAAAAUGUGGCCGCACCCCUCCCCAUGGACUAGUCCGAAUUGGACUAGGGAGGGGGGGAGCCCCCUUCGUUCUUUCUCCUUCUCCCUUCCGUUUCUCCUACUCCAACUUGGAAGGGGGGAAUCCUACUCCCGGUGGGAGUAGGACUCCCCUAUGGCACGCCCAAGAGAGGGCCGGCCCUCCCUUCCUCUACUACUUUAUAUAUGAGGGAGGGGCACCCCAUGGAGACACAACAAUUGAUCAUUGAUCUCUUAGCCGUGUGCGGUGCCCCCCUCCACCAUAAUCCACCUCGAUAAUAUCGUAGCGGUGCUUAGGCGAAGCCCUGCGUCGGUAGAACAUCAUCAUCGUAACCACGCCGUCAUGCUGAUGGAACUCUCGCUCGACACUCGGCUGGAUCGGAGUUCGAGGGAUGUCAUCAAGCUGAACGUGAGCAAGAACUCAGAGGCGCCGUGCUUUCGGUGCUUGAUCGGUCGGGUCAUGAAGAUGUAUGACUACAUCAACUGCGUUGUGCUAACGCUUCCGCUUUCGGUCUACGAGGGUACGUGGACACACUCUACCCUCUCAUUGAUAUGCAUCACCAUGAUCUUGCGUGUGCAUUGGAAUUUUUCUGAAAUUACGGUGUUCCCCAACAGUGGCAUCGGAGCCUGGUUUUAUGCGUAGAUGUUAUAUGCACGAGUAGAACACAAGUGAGUUGUGGGCGAUACAAGUCAUACUGGUUACCAGCAUGUCAUACUUUGGUUCGGUGGUAUUGUUGGAUGAAGCGGCCCGGACCGACAUUAUGCGUACGCUUACGCAAGACUGGUUCUACCGACGUGCUUUGCACAUAGGUCGCUGGCGGGUGUCAGUUUCUCCAACUUUACAACCGAGUGUGGCUACGCCCGGUCCUUGCGGAGGUUAAAAAAACACUAACUUGAUGAACUAUCGUUGUGGUUUUGAUGCGUAGGUAAGAACGGUUCUUUCUCAGCCCGUAGCAACCACGUAAAACUUGCAACAACAAAGUAGAGGACUUCUAACUUGUUUUUGCAGGGCAUGUUGCGAUGUGAUAUGGUCAAGACGUGAUGCCAUAUUUUAUUGUAUGAGAUGAUCAUGUUUUGUAACUGAGUUAUCGGCAACUGGCAGGAGCCAUAUGGUUGUCGCUUUAUUGUAUGCAAUGCAAUCGCCCUGUAAUUGCUUUACUUUAUCACUAGGCGGUAGUGAUAGUCGUAGAAGCAAUAGGUGGCGAAACGACAAGGAUGCUACGAUGGAGAUCAAGGUGUCGGGCCGGUGACGAUGGUGAUCAUGACGGUGCUUCAGAGAUGGUGAUCACAAGCACAAGAUGAUGAUGGUCAUAUCAUAUCACUUAUAUUGAUUGCAUGUGAUGUUUAUCCUUUAUGCAUCUUAUUUUGCUUUGAUUGACGGUAGCAUUAUAAGAUGAUCUCUCACUAAAUUUCAAGGUAUAAGUGUUCUCCCUGAGUAUGCACCAUUGUGAAAGUUCUUCGUGCUGAGACACCACGUGAUGAUCGGGUGUGAUAGGCUCUACGUUCAAAUACAACGGGUGCAAAAAAGUUGCACACGCGGAAUACUCAAGUUAAACUUGAUGAGCCUAGCAUAUACAGAUAUGGCCUCGGAACACUGAGACCAAAAGGUCGAGCGUGAAUCAUAUAGCAGAUAUGAUCAACAUAGUGAUGUUCACCAUUGAAAACUACUCCAUCUCUCGUGAUGAUCGGACAUGGUUUAGUUGAUUUGGAUCACGUGAUCACUUAGAUGAUUAGAGGGAUGUCUAUCUAAGUCGGAGUUCUUAAGUAAUAUUAUUAAUUGAACUUUAAUUUAUCAUGAACUUAGUCCUGGUAGUAUUUUGCAAAUUAUGUUGUAGAUCAAUAGCUCGCGGUGUUGCUUCCCUAUGUUUUUAUAUAUGUUCCUAGAGAAAACUAAGUUGAAAGAUGUUAGUAGCAAUGAUGCAGACUUGGUCCGUGAUCUGAGGUUUAUCCUCAUUGCUGCACAGAAGAAUUAUGUCGUUGAUGCACCGCUAGGUGACAGACCUAUUGCAGGAGCAGAUGCAGACAUUAUGAACGUUUGGCUAGCUCAAUAUGAUGACUACUUGAUAGUUUUGUGCACCAUGCUUUAUGGCUUAGAACCGAGACUACAAAAACAUUUUUGAAACGUCACAGAACAUAUGAGAUGUUCCAUGAGAUGAAAUUGAUAUUUUAGACUCAUGCCCGUGUCAAGAGGUAUGAGACCUCUGACAAAUACUUCGCCUAAAAGAUGGAGGAGAAUUGCUCAACUAGUGAGCAAGUGCUUAGAUUGUCUGAGUACUACAAUCACUUGAAUCAAGUGGGAUUUAAUCUUCCAGAUAAGAUAGUGAUUGACAGAGUUCUCUAGUCACCAUCACCAUGUUAGUAGAACUUCAUGAUGAACUAUAGUAUGCGAGGGAUGGCGAAAACGAUUCCCGAGCUCUUCGUGAUGCUGAAAUCGACGAUGGUAGAAAUCAAGAAAGAACAUCAAGUGUUGAUGAUUGACAAGAUCACUAGUUUCAAGAAAAGGGCAAAGGAAAAGAAAGGGAACUUCAAGUAGAAUGGAAAGCAAGUUGUCACUCCCGUGAAGAAGCCCAAAGCUGGAACCAAAGCCUGAAACUAAGUGCUUCUAUUGCAAAGGAAAUGGUCACUGGAAGCGGAAAUGCCCUGAAUAUUUGGUGGAUAAGAAGGAUGGCAAAGUGAACAAGGGUAUAUUUGAUAUACAUGUUAUUGAUGUGUACCUUACUAGUGUUUAUAGUAACCCCUGAGUAUUUGAUACUUGUUUGGUUGCUAAGAUUAGUAACUCGAAAAAGGAGUUAUAGAAUAAAUAGAAACUAGUUGAGGGUGAAGUGACGAUGUGUGUUGGAAGUGGUUCCAAGAUUGAUAUGAUCAUCAUUGUACACUCCCUAUACUUUCGGGAUUAGUGUUGAACCUAAAUAAAUGUUAUUUGGCAUUUUCGUUAAGCAUGAAUAUGAUUUGAUCACGUUUAUUGCAAUACGGUUAUUCAUCUAAAACAGAGAAUAAUUGUUGUUAUGUUUACAUGAAUAAAGCCUUCGAUGGUCAUACACCCAAUGAAAAUAGUUUGUUGGAUCUUGAUCGUAGUGAUACACAUAUUCAUAAUAUUGAUUCCAAAAGAUGCAAAGUUGAUAAUGAUAGUGCAACUUAUUUGUGGCACUGCCGUUUGGGUCAUAUCGGUGUAAAGCGCAUGAAGAAACUCCAUAAUGAUGGAUUUUUGGAAUCACUUGGUUAUGAAUCAUUUGAUGCUUGCGAACCAUGCCUUUUGGGCAAGAUGACUAAAACUCCGUUCUCCGGAACAAUGGAACGAGCUAGUGACUUAUUGAAAAUAAUACAUACCGAUGUAUGCGGUCCAAUGAGUGUUGAUGCUCAUGGCGGGCAUCGUUAUUUUCUGACCUUCACAAGAUGAUUUGAGCGGAUAUGAGUAUAUCUACUUAAUGAAGCACAAGUCUGAAACAUUUGAAAAGUUCAAAGAAUUUCAGAGUGAAGUGGAGAAUCAUCGUAAAAAUAAAAUAAAGUUUCUGCGAUUUGAUCACGGAGACAAAUAUUUGAGUUACGAGUUUGGUCUUUAAUUAAAACACUGUGGAAUAGUUUCACAAACUCAUGCCACCUGGAACACCACAGCUUAAUGGUGUGUCCGAACGUCAUAACCAUACUUUAUUGGAUAUAGUGCAAUCUAUGAUGUCUCUUACCGAUUUACCACUAUCGUUUUGGGGUUAUGCAUUAGAGACAGCUGCAUUCACUUUAAGUAGGGCACCAUCAAAAUCCAUUGAGACGACACCAUAUGAACCGUGGUUUGGCAAGAAACCAAAUUUGUCGUUUCUUAAAAGUUUGGGGCUAUGAUGCUUAUGUGAAAUAUUUCAACCUGAUAAGCUCGAACCCAAAUCGGAGAAGUGCGUCUUCAUAGGAUACCCAAAGGAAAUUGUUGGGUACACCUUCUAUCACAGAUCCGAAAGCAAGAUUCGUUGCUAAGAAUGGAUCCUUUCUAGAGAAGAAGUUUCUCUCGAAAGAAGUGAGUGGGAGGAAAGUAGAACUUGAUGAGGUAAUUGUACCUUCUCCCUUAUUGGAAAGUAGUUCAUCACAGAAAUCAGUUCCAAUGAUUCCUACACCAAUUACUGAGGAAGUUAAUGAUGAUGAUCAUGAAACUUCAGAUCAAGUUGCUACCAAACCUCGUAGGUCUUCCAGAGUAAGAUCCGCACCAGAGUGGUACGGUAAUCCAGUUUUGGAAGUCAUAUUACUAGACCAUGAUGAAGCUACAAACUAUGAGGAAGCGAUGAUGAGCCCAGAUUCCGCGAAAUGGCUUGAGGCCAUAAAAUCUGAGAUAGGAUCCAUGUAUGAGAACAAACUAUGGACUUGAUUGACUUGCUCGAUGAUCAGCAAGCCAUGUUAAAUAAAUGGAUCUUCAAGAGGAAGACGGACACUGAUAGUAGUGUUACUAUCUACUAAGCUCGACUUGUUGCAAAAGGUUUUUGACAAGUUCAAGGUGUUGAAUACGAUGAGAUUUUCUCACUCGUAUCGAUGCUUAAGUUUGCCUGAAUCAUGUUAGCAAUUGCCACAUUUUAUGAAAUCUGGGAAAUGGAUGUCAAAACUGCAUUCCUUAAAUGGAUAUUUCUUAAAGAAGUGUUGUAUAUGAUACAACCAGAAGGUAUUGUCAAUCCUAAAGGUGCUAACAAAAUGUGCAAGCUCCAACGAUCCAUCAAUGGACUGGUGCAAGCAUCUCGGAGUUGGAAUAUACGCUUUGAUGAGUCAAUCAAAGCAUAUGGUUUUAUACAGACUUUUGGAGAAGCUUGUAUUUACAAGAAAGUCAGUGGGAGCUUUGUAGCAUUCCUAAAACUAUAUGUAGAUGACAUAUUGUUGAUUGGAAAUGAUAUAGAAAUUCUGGAUAGCAUAAAAGGAUACUUGAAUAAGAGUUUUUCAAAGAAAGACCUCGGUGAAGCUGCUUACAUAUUGAGCAUCAAGAUCUAUUGAGAUAGAUCAAGACGCUUCAUAAGAUUUUUCAAUGAGUACAUACCUUGAUAAGAUUUUGAAGUAGUUCAAAAUGAAACAGUCAAAGAAGGAGUUCUUGCCUGUGUUGCAAGGUGUGAAGUUGAGUAAGACUCAAAACACGACCAUGUCAGAAAAUAGAAAGAGAAUGAAAGUCAUUCCCUAUGCAUCAAUCAUAGGUUCUAUAAAAGUAUGCCAUGCUAUGGACCAGACCUAUUGUAUACUCUGCCCUGGUUUGGCAAGGGAGUACAAUAGUGAUCUAGGAGUAGAUCACUAGACAUUGGUCAAAAUUAUCCUUAGUGGAAUAAGGAUAUGUUUCUUGAUUAUGGAGGUGACAAAAGGUUCGUCGUAAAGGGUUAGGUCGAUACAAGUUUUGGUACUGAUCCAGAUGACUCUAAGUCUUAAUCUGGAUACAUAUUGAAAGUGGGAGCAAUUAGCUAGAGUAGCUCCAUGCAGAGCAUUGUAGACAUAGAAUAUUUGCAAAAUACAAACGGCUCUGAAUAUGACAAACCCGUUGACUAAACUUCUCUCACGAACAAAACAUGAUCAUACCUUAGUACUCCUUGGGUGUUAAUCACAUAGCGAUGUGAACUAGAUUAUUGACUCUAGUCAACCCUUUGGGUGUUGAUCACAUGACGAUGUGAACUAUGGGUAUUAAUCACAUACAUAUGUGAAUAUUAGUGUUGAAUCACGUGGCAAUGUGAACUAGAUUAUUGACUCUAGUGCAAGUGGGAGACUGAAGGAAAUAUGCCCUAGAGGCAAUAAUAAAGUUAUUAUUUAUUUCCUUAUAUCAUGAUAAAUGUUUAUUAUUGAUGCUAGAAUUGUAUUAACCGUAAACAUAAUACAUGUAGGAAUACAUAGACAAACAGAGUGUCACUAGUAUGCCUCUACUUGACUAGCUCAUGAAUCAAAGAUGGUUAAGUUUCCUAACCAUAGACAUGAGUUGUCAUUAGAUUAACGGGAUCACAUCAUUAGGAGAAUGAUGUGAUUGACUUGACCCAUUCCGUUAGCUUAGCACUUGAUUAUUUAGUAUGUUGAUAUUGCUUUCUUCGUGACUUAUACAUGUUCCUAUGACUAUGAGAUUAUGUAACUCCCGUUUACCGGAAGAACACUUUGUGUGCUACCAAACAUCACAACGUAACUGGGUGAUUAUAAAGGUGCUCUACAGGUGUCUCCGAAGGUACUUGUUGAGUUGACAUAUUUCGAGAUUAGGAUUUGUCACUCCGAUUGUCGGAGAGGUAUCUCUGGGCCCUCUUGGUAAUGCACAUCACUAUAAGCCUUGCAAGCAAUGUAGCUAAUGAGUUAGUUACAAGAUGAUGCAUUACGUAACGAGUAAAGAGACUUGCUGGUAACGAGAUUGAACUAGGUAUUGAGAUACCGACGAUCGAAUCUCGGGCAAGUAACAUACCGAUGACAAAGGGAACAACGUAUGUUGUUAUGCGGUUUGACCGAUAAAGAUCUUCGUAGAAUAUGUGGGAGCCAAUAUGAGCAUCCAGGUUCCGCUAUUGGUUAUUGUCUGAAGACGUGUCUCGGUCAUGUCAACAUAGUUCUCGAACCCGUAGGUUCUGCACGCUUAAAGUUUGAUCACAGUUAUAUUAUGAGUUUAUGUUUUUUGAUGUACCGAAGGAGUUCGGAGUCCCUGAUGAGAUUGGGGACAUGACGAGGAGUCUCGAAAUGGAUGAGACGUAAAAUUGAUAUAUUGGACGACUAUAUUCGGACUUCGGAAAGGUUCCGAGUGAUUCAGGUAUUUUUUCGGAGUACCGGAGAGUUACAUGAAUUCGUAUUGGGCCUUAAUGGGCCAUAUGGGAAAGGAGAGAAAGGCCCCAAAGGGUGGACGCACCCCUACCCAUGGACUAGUCCAAAUUGGACUAGGGUGGGGGCGCCCCCUUCCUUCCUUCUCCUUCUCCCUUCCCUUUCUCCUACUCCAACUUGGAAGGGGGGAAUCCUAUUCCUGGUGGGAGUAAAACUCCCCUAUGGCGCGCGCAAGAGAGGGCCGGCCCUCCCCUCCUCUACUCCUUUAUAUAUGGGGGAGGGGGCACCCCAUGGAGACACAACAAUUGAUCAUUGAUCUCUUAGCCAUGUGCGGUGCCCCCCUCCACCAUAAUCCCCCUCGAUAAUAUCGUAGCGGUGCUUAGGUGAAGCCCUGCGUCGGUAGAACAUCAUCAUCGUCACCACGCCGUCGUGCUGACGGAACUCUCCCUCGACACACGGUUGGAUCGGAAUUCGAGGGAGGUCAUCGAGCUGAACGUGUGCAAGAACUCGGAGGUGUUGUGCUUUCGGUGCUUGAUCGGUCGGGCCGUGAAGACGUACGACUACAUCAACCGCGUUGUGCUAACGCUUCUGCUUUCGGUCUACGAGGGUACGUGGACACACUCUCCCCUCUCAUUGAUAUGCAUCACCAUGAUCUUGCAUGUGCAUAGGAAAUUUUUUGAAAUUACUGCAUUCCCCAACACCUACAUGGCGCGCCAAAUGUCGGAAUUGGGGCUCCAUGGACCCAAACAAGGUUCGAAGUCUGGGGCAUCAAACGAAGGAUCCUGCCAUGCUAUAGGUCGCUGCUCACCAGCCCACGGCCUGGAUCCGAUGAGUUCGGGCGAGCGGGAAGAAGAAGUGGACAUGGUGAUUUACCCAGGUUCGGGCCACCUUGCGGUGUCAAACCCUACUCCUGGUUGGUCGUGGAUUGCCUCGCGAGGAGGAUGAUUAUGAACUAGUACAAGUGUGAGCUGCCUUGAGAGGGCUCCAUGAUAGAAGGAUUCGAUCUUUCUCCAUGGUGGAGACUAACUCAUAUUUAUAGUGGCCUUGGUCCUCUUCCCUCAUAGCUUAGGCAGGAAGGGAUACCACAACGGCCAAAUUUGAAGGGGGAUUGAAGUACACCCUAUCCUGACUAAAGGUGGUCUUUGCCUGCAAAGCUUCUUAUCGUAACGCAGUGGUGGGCUCGGUGAUAACCUCCGUCCCGCCGAGCCAGCGGUCUUGGUCUUGUUGCACCUGAAUGGAAACCUUUGGGGGAUUCCUUGGGAACCCGUGUACGUACUUGCCUCCUUAGCACCAAAGAGGAAACUGCCCCGGACUGCGCCCGUCGGGGCCCUGCUUGCCUUAGUCGUCAUGUCUCACACCACCGCGCUCCUCGCAAGGUGAGGUGCCUUCCUAGAGAUAUCCGCUCCUCGGGAGGCAGCCUCACGUGGCUGCUCCUCGAGAGAUCUUGAUGGCAUUCGCCUCGUGAGGAGGGGGGCCUCGCAAGGGUCUUUAAUUGCUCGUGAGGUCCUACUGCUGGACCGUGCUGGGCCGUUGUUGAAGCCACACGCUAGGCCGCGGGCAUACGGGUCUGGGACCCUCGGUCCCAGAAUGUUGAUAGUAGACCCUGGGCCCACGGCACACUCGGCCUGGCUUCGAGGCAAAGGCAGAGAGGGGAGGGCGAAGCGACGCGGGCCCUACCUGCCUAAGGGCAAGGCUUGACUCGUGGCACACGACGGGACGUGGACACCCCCACUUCCCCAUGUCGCCUCGAUAACCACCCUGGAUGACAGUCUGGCACGCGUGCAGCUGAUAACCCACAAGUGUAGGGGAUCACAACAGCUUUCAAGGGUAGAGUAUUCAACCCAAAUUUAUUGAUUCGACACAAGGGGAGCCAAAGAAUAUUCUUAAGUAUUAGCAGUUGAGUUGUCAAUUCAACCACACCUGGAUAACUUAGUAUCUGUAGCAAACUAUUUAGUAGCAAAGUAGUAUGAUAGUAAUGGUAACAGUGGAAAACGUAAAGAUAAUUGUUUUGUGGUAAUUGUAACAGUAGCAACGGAAAAGUAAAUAAGCGAAACACAAGAUGUGAAAAGCUCGUAGUCAUUGGAUCAGUGAUGGAUAAUUAUGUCGGAUGCGAUACCUCAUGUAAUAGCUAUAACCUAGGGUGACACAGAACUAGCUCCAGUUCAUCAAUGUAAUGUAGGCAUGUAUUCCGAAUAUAGUCAUACGUGCUUAUGGAAAAGACCUUGCAUGCCAUCUUUUGUCCUACCCUCCCGUGGCAGCGGGGUCCUAGUGGAAACUAAGGGAUAUUAAGACCUCCUUUUAAUAGAGUAUCGGACCAAAGCAUUAAAACAUAGUGAAUACAUGAACUCCUCAAACUACGGUCAUCACCGAGAAGUAUCCUGAUUAUUGUCACUUCAGGGUUGUCGGAUCAUUACACAUAAUAGGUGACUAUAGACUUGCAAGAUAGGAUCAAGAACACACGUAUAUUCAUGAAAACAUAAUAGGUUCAGAUCUGGAAUCAUGGCACUCGGGCCCUAGUGACAGGCAUUAAGCAUAGCAAAGUCAUAGAAACAUCAAUCUCAGAAGAUAGUGGAUAAUAGGGAUCAAACCCUAACAAAGCUAACUUGAUUACAUGGUAAAUCUCAUCCAACCCAUCACCGUCUAGCAAGCCUACAAUGGAAUUACUCACGCACGACGGUGAGCAUCAUGAAAUUGGUGAUGGAGGAUGGUUGAUGAUGAUGACGGUGACAAAUCCCCCUCUCCGGAGCCCCGAACGGACUCCAAAUCAGCCCUCCCAAGAGAGAUUAGGGCUUGGCGGCGGCUCCGUAUCGUAAAAUGCGAUAAAACUUUCUCUCCGAUUCUUUUCUCCGUGAAACAGAAUAUAUGGAGUUGGAGUUGAGGUCGGUGGAGCCUCAGGGGGCCCACGAGACAGGGGGGGUAUGCCCAGGGGGGAGGGUGCUCCACCCACCUGAUGAGGAUACAGACCUGGGGUAGGGUCAUAGGCCUGACCUAUACGUCCUACCUAAGGUCACUACCCCAGAAGAUAAAAAGACCAAGAGUCAACAGGAGAGCACCAGUCGAGUACAUCGAGUGCAAUCCACUCGACGAUCACAUCACUCAAUAGUCACCCCCUACCAUUAAUCGACUAUAUGGGGAGUCACUCGACUGUAUCAAAGACCAGGAGUCGGAAGAUCAUGCAAUGGCCGGACGUUCACUCCUUAGUCUUUAUGAGCAUUAAGAAUACUUAAGACUGGCAUUACCAGUAACGCCCCUUACUUUAUGUACAUUAAGCCCCUUGUAAUGGAGGAUGGCGGGGGUCCUGGCGCACUCUAUAUAAGCCGCCCCCUCCUCUGGGACAAGGGUUCGCACCCCCUAUAAUACAACACACAUAAUCCAAUCGACCGCCUCUCGGCACCGAGACAUAGGGCUAUUACUUCCUCCGAGAAGGGCCUGAACUCGUAAACCUCGUGUGUAAAACUUCUCCAUAGCUAAGAUCUUGCCCCUCCAUACCUACCCCCCUUUCUACUGUCAGUCUUAGGACCACGACAGUUGGCGCCCACCUUGGGGCCGGUGUCUUAGCGACUUGUUGGUGAAGUUGCAAGUUUUACCGAUCAUCAUCAUCAUGGUUUCCAGCGGCGGAUUGGCUGAGGGCCACGAGAUCCAUCUCGGUGCGCUCGUUUUCGUCGCCGACGACUCCGCGUGGCUUCAAGAAGCUCCCCUGGACACUGAGGCGCUCCCAGUGCGAGGGGCGAUGCAAUUCCGUGCGUGCGUUCACGGCAUCCUUCUCCGGCAGCCGUCGACUCAAUAUUAGUUGGCUACGAUGGUGUUUUCCCUCCCCGCUGUUCGCCGCCGCAAGCGGUCCGGUGGGUGAAACACGUGGUGGCUCGGCAUUCGACGACCCAUCAAGUCGCGGCAAUCGAGCCCGACGAAACUCUCCAUGGCCUGUUCGAUCUGUCGACUGGCUCCGCGGAGACCGCAUCCGAGUGUGAUAGCAGCGAUCCUGCGGCCGAAGUCUUGAUGGUCGAUGGGCCUCACAACCCGCCCGGUUUCCGCCGCGAGGGCGGCGGGGAUGGAGGCGGUGAUCCAUCGCACGUUCAUGAGGAAUACCGACCCGAGCCCCUCUCUUCACAGCAGAGGGAAGAACUUCAUCGCCGUAACAUGGAUGCACUCCACACGCCCAUUGUUGGAGAAACCCCCGAGGCUCUGGCCUUGGAGGAGGUACGCUUGGCUAAUUUGGCUGAGCGCACUCGACUGGAUAACCUUCAGCUGGCUCUCAACGAGCGCGCUCAGGAGCGGAUCCAUGAGUCCAUCUGACAACAACUUUUUCCGCCUCCACCUAAGGUAUACCGCACUCCGAUUCAGAAUCUCACAGCUGCGGCCCGAAUAGCAGAGUCGAUCCAACCUUCCCAGUCAGAAGCUGGCAUAGGGUUGAUGCAGAUCCGGGCCCUGCUUAGGGCAGCAGGAGAACAGAAUACAUCAAUAUCUCAGUCGCGGAAUAGGAUUCACAGCAGAUCCGUUGCAGCGGACAUGGUUCAGUCGGCUCACAGCCCAAGAUCGCCUCCGCGGCGGGAAGGCCGUGGGCAGUAUGAUCAUCCACUCGACCGUGACAAUCGCCGUCGAGGACCCAUGCCUCCCCCGAGGAGUGCGUCAUAUGUGCCUCGGUGGAACGAUGACAUGCGCCGUCACAGUGGUGAGCGCAGGGCUUCAGUCGACACAAGGGAACCGGGCUUCGAUGCGUCGUCUAUCCUCGUUCAACGCCUGGUCGACCGGAACAGACACACAGAGAAGACCCAGGCAGAGAUCGUCCAAGUGGAACCCGAGUGCAUGUUUCUGGUCCCGAGUGUUUUAGCAGGGCCAUUAGGGAAGCAGUGAUUCUGCCCAACUUCAGGUUGGCGUCCGGAGUCAGUAAGUUCACCGGCGAAUCUAAGCCUGAAACUUGGCUUGAAGAUUACCGAGUGGCUGUAUAGAUUGGCGGUGGAAACGAUGAGGUUGCGAUGGAACAUCUUUCUCUGAUGUUGGAAGGGUCAGCCCGAGCGUGGUUGACUCAGUUGCCUCCAAGCAGUAUAUACAGCUGGGAAGAACUGGCUCGAGUGUUUGUCAGAACUUUCAAAGGCACGUGCAAAUGACCAACGGGGUUAACCGAGUUGCAGCAUUGUGUUGAGAAGCCGGGUGAGACCUUGAGGGAUUUUAUCUAGAGGUGGUCCACUAUGCAUCACACCGUCGAAAAUGUCUCAGAGCAUCUGGCAGUGUGUACUUUCAAGGAAGGAGCCAAAUAUAGAGAGUUGGUCUUGAAAUUUGGCCGGACUGGGGAUAUGACUCUGACUCGGAUGAUGGAGAUAGCCACCCGGUACGCUAACAGAGAAGAGGAGGAUCGACUGCAUAGCAGGAAUAGAAAACCAGUUGGCCAAGAGGCCGGUGGAGGUAACUCCGGUCGGAAACAGAAGCAUAAGGCCGAACCAGCGGCACCUGGAGAGAUUGCGGCAAUGAAUCAAGGAAAGUUUAAGGGAAAAUCUAAGGGGCCCUGGCCCCCUAAAAAGGUAAAGGAUCAAGCAGGGAAUGACGUGCUGGAUUUGCCAUGUCACAUCCACCCAAAGAAAGAUGAACAAGGUAAUCUGAUUUACCUGAAACAUACAACUCGACAGUGUCGACUCUUGAUCCAGCAGUUCCGGGAGAAGCAGCCCAAUGAGAAGUGAUGACCCACAAGUAUAGGGGAUCUAUCGUAGUCCUUUCGAUAAGUAAGAGUGUCGAACCCAACGAGGAGCAGAAGGAAAUGAUAAGCGGUUUUCAGCAAGGUAUUCUCUGCAAGUACUGAAAUAAGUGGUAACAGAUAGUUUUGUGAUAAGAUAAAUUGUAACGAGCAACAAGUAACAAAAGUAAAUAAAGUGCAGCAAGGUGGCCCAAUCCUUUUUGUAGCAAAGGACAAGCCUGGACAAACUCUUAUAAUAGGAAAAGCACUCCCGAGGACACAUGGGAAUAUCGUCAAGCUAGUUUUCAUCACGCUCAUAUGAUUCGCGUUCGGUACUUUGAUAAUUUGAUAUGUGGGUGGACCGGUGGUUGGGUGUUGUUCUUACUUGAACAAGCAUCCCACUUAUGAUUAACCUCUAUUGCAAGCAUACGCAACUACAACAAAAGUAUUAAGGUAAACCUAACCAUAGCAUGAAACAUAUGGAUCCAAAUCAGCCCCUUACGAAGCAACACAUAAACUAGGGUUCAAGCUUCUGUCACUCUAGCAACCCAUCAUCUACUUAUUACUUCCCAAUGCCUUCCUCUAGGCCCAAAUAAUGGUGAAGUGUUAUGUAGUCGACGUUCACAUAACACCACUAGAGGCUAGACAACAUACAUCUUAUCAAAAUAUCGAAUGAAUACCAAAUUCACAUGACUACUAAUAGCAAGACUUCUCCCUUGUCCUCAGGAAAAAACGUAACUACUCACAAAGCAUAUUCAUGUUAAUAAUCAGAGGGGUAAUAAUGUGCAUCAAGGAUCUGAACAUAUGAUCUUCCACCAUAUAAACGAACUAGCAUCAACUACAAGGAGUAAUCAACACUACUAGCAACCUAGUAGCACCAAUCCCGGACUUGGAGACAAGAAUUGGAUACAAUAGAUGAACUAGGGUUUGGAGAUGAGAUGGUGCUGGUGAAGAUGUUGAUGGAGAUUGCCCUCUCCCGGUGAGAGGAGCAUUGAUGAUGACGAUAGUGAUGAUUUCCCCCUCUCAGAGGGAAGUGUCCCUGGCAGAACAGCUCUGCAGGAGCCCUAGAUUGGUUUCGCCAAGGUUCCGCCUCGUGGCGGUGGAGUCUCGUCCCGAAAGGUUGCCUCUGGUUUUUUUUCUCAUCGAAAGACUUCAUAUAGGAGAAGAUGGGCGUCGGAGAGCCACCAGGGGAUCCACGAGGUAGGGGGCGCGCCCCAGGGAGGGGGAGCGCCCCCCUCCCUCGUGAGCAGGGUGUGGGCCCCCUGGCCUUCAUCUUUGGCGACGAUUUUUCUUUAUUUAUUUUAAGAUAUUCCAUUGAGUUUCAGGACUUUUGGAGUUGCGCAGAAUAGGCCUCCAAUAUUUGCUCCUUUUCCAGCCCAGAAUUCCAGCUGCCGGCAUUCUCCCUCUUCAUGUAAACCUUGUAAAAUAAGAGAUAAUAGCCAUAAGUAUUGUGACAUAACGUGAAAUAACAGCCCAUAAUGCAAUAAAUAUUGAUAUAAAAGCAUGAUGCAAAAUGGACGUAUCAACUCCCCCAAGCUUAGACCUCGCUUGUUCUCAAGCGAAAAGCCGAUAACAAUAAAUAUGUCCUCAUGUUUAGAGGUAGAGGCGUGGAUAAAAAUAAAAUACGGGCAUGAAGGCAUCAUGAUUAUUUCUAUAACAGCAACAUGUAGAGAUUUUGUCAUAUGAUUACUUAUGUUCAAGUGAUGAUCUUUUCACAAAGCAAAAAGUAUGAAUCAGAAACCUUAUUGAGCACCAACAAAUUAUAACCUCAGUCAUUGAAGCAAUUGCAAUUUAUCAUAACAUCGGAAAGAGUCUAUGUCAGAGCUUAAAAGCAAGUCCACAUACUCAACUAUCACUUAGUCCUUCAUAAUUGCUAACACUCACGCUAUACUUGUGGUUACGGAGUUUUAAUCGGGCACAGAGAAAGAUAGGGGCUUAUAGUUUUGCCCCACAACCUUUUACCUCAAGGGUAAUGUCAAUAAUAAUGAUUCAUGCUCCCCUACAUCCAAUUAGAUAUAUAUAUCAUGUUCUUUCCAACAUGCUGAGCUUGCCAAAGGACAAAAUGAAAAAGGAAAGGUGAAGAUCACCGUGACUUUUGCAUAAGGUAGAGGAUAAUAAAAAAGGAUAGGCCCUUCGCAGAGGGAAGCAGAGGUUGUCAUGCGCGUUUAGGGUUGAUGCACAAAAUCUUAAUGCAAAAGAACGUCACUUUAUAUUGCCCCUUGUAUGUGGACCUUUAUUAUGCAGUCCGUCGCUUUUAUUACGUCCACAACAAGUUCGUACAAAGCUUAUUUUCUCCGCACUAAUAAGUCAUGCAUAUUUAGAGAGCAAUUUUUAUUGCUUGCACCGAUGACAACUUACUUGAAGGAUCUUACUCAAUCCAUAGGUAGAUAUGGUGGACUCUCAUGGCAAAACUGGUUUAAGGGUAAUUGGAAGCACAAAUAGUAUUUCUACUUGGUGCUGAGAAUUUGGCUAGCAUGAGGGGGAAAGGCAAGCUCAACACGUUAGAGGAUCCAUGACAACAUACUUUAUCUUAGAUAUAAGAAAACAUAACUCAUCAUAUUGUCUUCCUUGUCCAACCUCAACUCUUUAGCAUGUCAUAUUUUAAUGAGUGCUCCCAAUCAUAAAAGAUGUCAAUGAUAAUAUAUCUAUAUGUGAAACCUCUCUUUCCUUAUUACAUCCUAUUAAUUGCAACGAUGACCAAAGCUAUAUUUGCCAACUCCCAACAAAUUUUAAUCAUCAUACUCUCUCUAUGUGAAGUCAUUACUUUCAAUAAGAUCAAUAUGGACUCUUUGAUUAUUUUUAUUCUUUUCUUCUAUUCACCCAAGAUCAUGGAAAAAUAAACAAUCCCUUGACUUAACACUAAUCUUUAUUAUAUAGCUCAUGGACUCGAUUACAAAGAAGGAUCGUAAAGCAAAACUCAAAACUAGAUCAUGCCAUGACUUUAUUCUACUAAAUCAAGAUACUACUAAUAGGAUCGAACUAAGAAAAAUGGUAAAGAUAGGAGUUGUGAUGGUGAUACGAUACCAGGGCACCUCCCCCAAGCUUGGCAGUUGCCAAGGCGAGUGCCCAUACCCAUGUGAUUAUGUCUCCUUCUUUGUUGUUGGUUGAAUAUUCUUGGCGAUGAUUCCCCUCAAGAUACGGUUCUCCUCCUCGAGCUUAUUGACUUGCUGCUUGAGGUCCAUUAUUUCCUUGCGAAGCUUUCCUGUAACGGCUAAAGCUCCUUGUACCCAAGGGUGUUUCAUAGCUGCGGGAGAACAAGAGACACUCCUCCUCAUAUUUUCAUAAGAAAGAAAUCUAAUAUUAGAAGGGAUAACCGAGUUUGGAAUAGCUGAGCUCUGUAGUUCCCCCAUAGUAAACCCAGUUCGGAGGCGAGAGGUGACUUCUUGAUCUUCCAUGGUAUCUACCCUCAUUAGGUCAGCCUCCAUCUCUUCCUCCGUUGCUGGACCAAAGUGGUCAGCAUCGCUGUUUGCCCUUGGUUCCGGUCACGGAUUAGAUAUCCGGCUCCCCCCAACUGACUCUUGAGAAGACAUCUUUCUCAAAUCUGAAGUAGCAACAGCUCGAGACAAGAACAGGGGAUAUUUGCAUGAUACGAGAGUCAAAACCUUCGGGAGAAUAUAUAAUGAAUUUUUACCAGCCAAAAUACGUAUCGUACAAGAAAACGGAGUCCGGAGAGCACACGAGGUGCUCACGAGGUAGGGGGCGCGCCCAGGGGGGUAGGGCGCGCCCUCCACCCUCGUGGAGGCCUCGUGUCCUUCCCGGACUGCCACUUAUUUUUCUAUUUUUCUAAAUAUUCCAAAACGGAGAAAUAUUGCCUUAAAAAUUGUUUUGGAGUCGGUUUACUUACCGUACCACAUGCCUAUUCCUUUUCGGAGUCUGGAGCGGGCUGGAAAGUGUCCCUUAUUUAUUCCUCCGGGGUUACAGUUUCAAUAAUAUUGGUUUCAACAUUUAUAGGAUUACCUGAGAUAUAGUGUUUGAUUCUUUGACCGUUUACCACCUUCGGGUUUGUGCCUUCAAAGUUGUUGAUUUUUAUGGCACCGGAACGAUAAACCUCCUCGAUAAUGUAGGGACCUUCCCAUUUAGAGAGAAGUUUUCCUGCAAAAUAUCUUAAACGAGAGUUGUAUAGCAAUACAUAAUCACCUACAUUAAACUCACGCUUUUGUAUUCUUUUGUCAUGCCAUCUUUUAACUUUUUCUUUAAACAACUUGGCAUUUUCAUAAUCUUGGGUUCUCCAUUCAUCAAGUGAGCUAAUGUCAAAUAACCUCUUCUCACCGGCAAGUUUGAAAUCAUAGUUGAGCUCUUUAAUAGCCCAAUAUGCCUUAUGUUCUAGUUCGAGGGGUAAGUGACAAGCUUUUCCAUAGACCAUUUUAUACGGAGACAUACCCAUACGAUUUUUAUAUGCAGUUCUAUAGGCCCAUAAUGCAUCAUCAAGUUUCUUGGAACAAUUCUUCCUAGACCUAUUGACAAUUUUUUGCAAAAUUAAUUUGAGCUCUCUAUUUCUCAAUUCUACUUGACCACUAGACUGCGGGUGAUAAGGAGAUGCAAUCCUAUGAUUAACGUCAUAUUUAGCAAGCAUUUUACGGAAAGCACCAUGAAUAAAGUGUGAACCACCAUCAGUCAUUAAAUAUCUAGGGACUCCAAACCUCGGAAAAAUAACUUCCUUAAGCAUUUUAAUAGAAGUGUUAUGAUCAACACUACUAGUUGGAAUAGCUUCUACCCACUUAGUAACGUAAUCAACAACAACUAAAAUAUGUGUGUAUCCAUUAGAGGAAAAGUUCCCAUAUAAUCAAAGUCCCAAACAUCAAAUGGUUCAAUAACAAGUGAAUAAUUCAUAGGCAUUUCUUGACGUCUACUAAUAUUACCAAUUCUUUGGCAUUCAUCGCAAGACAAAAAAACUUACGGGCAUCCUUGAAGAGAGUAGGCCAAUAAAAACUAGAUUGCAAUACCUUAUGUGCAGUUCUAUCUCCAGCAUGGUAUCCUCCAUAAGCUUCGGAGUGACACUUGCGUAGGAUCUGUUCCUGUUCAUGCUCAGGUACACAACAUCUAAUGACACCAUCUACUCCUUCUUUAUAAAGAUGUGGGUCAUCCCAAAAGUAAUGUCGCAAGUCAUAGACAAACUUUUUAUUUUGUUGGUAUGUGAAGCUAGGUGGUAUAAAUUUAGCGACAAUAUAAUUAGCAUAAUCAGCAUACCAUGGAGUGCUACGAGAAGUGCUUAUGACAUUUAAUUGCUCAUCAGGGAAGCUAUCAUCAAUAGGUAGUGGGUCAUCAAGAACAUUCUCUAAUCUAGAUAAGUUGUCUGCAACGGGGUUCUCAGCUCCCUUUCUAUCAACAAUAUGCAAAUCAAAUUCUUGUAGCAAGAGAACCCAUCUAAUGAGUCUAGGUUUUGCAUCCUUCUUUUCCAUAAGAUAUUUAAUAGCAGCAUGAUCAGUGUGAGUAGUUACUUUAGAAUCAACAAUAUAGGGUCUGAAUUUAUCACAAGCAAAUACAACUUCUAAAAGUUCCUUUUCGGUAGUAGCAUAGUUUCUUUGAGCAUUUUCUAGAGUCUUACUAGCAUAAUGGAUAACAUUUAAUUUUUUAUCAACUCUUUGCCCUAGAACAGCACCUACAUCAUAAUCACUAGCAUCACCCAUAAUUUCAAAGGGUAAAUUCCAAUCAGGUGGCUGAACAACAGGUGCAGAGACUAAUGCUUUCUUAAGUAUUUCAAAUGCUUCUACACAAUCAUCAUCAAAGACAAAUGGUACAUCUUUUUGUAAUAAAUUAGUCAGAUGCCGAAAUUUUUGAGAAGUCCUUAAUGCACCUCCUAUAAAACCUGGCGUGACCAAGGAAACUUCUUAUAGCUUUGAUGUCCUUGGGACAUGGCAUCUUUUCAAUAGAAUCAACCUUGGCCUUAUCAACUUCAAUACCUCUUUCAGAAACUUUGUGCCCCAAGACAAUACCUUCAUUAACCAUAAAGUGGCACUUUUCCCAAUUGAAGACAAGAUUAGUUUCUUCACAUCUCUGCAAAACUCGAUCAAGAUUGCUCAAGCAAUCAUCAAAAGAGGAACCAUAGACGGAAAAGUCAUCCAUGAAAACCUCACAAAUUUUUUCACAAAAGUCAGAGAAUAUAGCCAUCAUGCAUCUUUGAAAGGUAGCAGGUGCAUUACAUAAACCAAAAGGCAUAUGUCUAUAAGCAAAAGUACCAAAAGGGCAUGUAAAAGUAGUCUUUGAUUGAUCUUUAGCCGACACAGGUAUUUGAGAGAAACCAGAAUAACCAUAUAGAAAGCAAUAAUGUGUAUGUUUGCAUAAUCGUUCUAGCAUUUGAUCAAUAAAAGGUAAGGGGUAAUGAUCCUUCUUAGUAGCUUUAUUUAAUUUGUGGAAAUCAAUUACCAUCCUAUAACCUGUGAUAAUUCUUUGUGGGAUCAAUCCAUCUUUAUCAUUAGGGACAACUGUAAUACCUCCCUUCUUAGGGACACAAUGGACAGGACUUACCCACUGACUAUCAGCAACGGGAUAAAUUAUACUGCCUCUAGAAGCUUGUGUAUUUAUUUUCUUACAACUUCUUUCAUUUUAGGAUUCAAACGUCGUUGAGGAUCACAAACUGGUUUGGCAUCCGCUUCUAAAUUUAUUUUAUGUUGACAUAGAGUGGGACUAAUGCCCUUAAGAUCAUCAAGUGUAUAUCCAAUACCGGCACAGUGCUUCUUCAGAGUUUUCAAUAAUCUUUCUUCUUCAUCCUCUGAAAGGUUAGCACUAAUAAUAACAGGAUAUAUUUUCUUUUCAUCAAGAUAAGCAUAUUUAAGGUUAUCGGGCAAUGGUUUAAGCUCAAACACGGGAUCACCCUUGGGUGGAGGAGGAUCCCGUAGGAUUUCAACAGGCAAAUUAUGUUGCAGGAUAGGUUCCUGUUUAAAGAAUACUUCAUCUAUUUCCCUUCUUUCAUUCAUGAACAUAUCAUUUUCAUGAUCUAGCAAAUAUUGUUCUAAAGGAUCACUAGGAGGUACAGCAAUAUAAGCAAGACCAAUAACUUCAUCCUUACUAGGCGAUUCUUCCUCACGAUGAUGUUUACUAAAUUUAGAGAAAUUAAACUCAUGAACCAUAUCAUCCAAGCCAAUAGUAACAACAUUCUUUUCGCAGUCUAUCUUAGCAUUAGCAGUAUUCAAGAAGGGUGUACCAAAUAUAAUGGGACAAAAGCUAUCUUGUGGAGAACCAAGAACAAGAAAAUCAGCGGGAUAUUUGGUUUUCCCACACAAGACUUCAACAUCUCUAACAAUUCCCACUGGAGAAAUAGUAUUUCUAUUGGCAAGUUUAAUUGUGACAUCAAUUUCUUCUAACUCAGCAGGUGCAAUAUCAUGCAUAAUUUCUUUGUAUAAGUCAAUGGGUAUUACACUAGCACUAGCACCCAUAUCACAUAAGCCAUGAUAACAAUGAUCUCCUAUUUUAACAGAAAUAACAGGCACUCCUACCACAUGUCUAUGUUUAUCUUUAUCACAAGGUUUAGCAAUUCUAGCAGUUUCACCCUGGAAUUGAAGAUCCUGCCUGUCGAUAUUAUUAGACAAGAGAUCUUUAACAAUAGCAAUAUUGGGUUCUACUUUGACUUGCUCAGGAGGUGUAUAAGUUCUAAUAUUGCUUUUAUGAACAACAGUUGAAGCUUUGGCAUGAUCCUUCAUUCUAGCCAGGAGAGGCGGUUUCUCAACAUAAGAAGUGGGAACAAUAGGAUCAUUAUAAGUAACAGUCUUUUCUUCAACUUUAAUAGGUGCAGCUACUUUUACUUCUAUGGGAGGAUGAUAUUUAAACCACUUCUCCUUGGGGAGAUCAACAUAAGUAGCAAAGGAUUCACAGAAAGAAGCUACUAUCUCAGAGUCAAGUCCAUAUUUAGUGCUAAACUUACGGAAAAUAUCGGUAUCCAUAAAAGAUUUAACACAAUUAAACUUAGGUGUCAUACCUGACUCCUUACCUUCGUCGAGGUCCCAAUCUUCAGAGUUGCAUUUAAUUCUAUCCAAUAAAUUCCAUUUAAAUUCAAUAGUCUUCAUCAUAAAAGAGCCAGCACAAGAAGUAUCGAGCAUGGUGCGAUUGUUAUCAGAAAGUCGAGCAUAAAAACUUUGCAUAAUUACUUCUCUUGGGAGCUCAUGAUUGGGGCAUGAAUAUAACAUUGAUUUAAGCCUCCCCCAAGCUUGAGCGAUGCUUUCUCCUUCGCGAGGCCAAAAAUUAUAUGUAUAAUUGCAAUCACGAUGAACAAGAUGCAUAGGGUAAUACUUUUGAUGAAAUUCCAAUUUCAAUCUUUUAUAGUUCCAUGAUCUCAUAUCAUCACAUAGCCUGUACCAUGUAAAUGUGUCUCCCUUCAAAGAUAAAGGGAAGGCCUUCUUAUUAACAACAUCAUCGGGUAUACCUGCAAGCUUAAAUAGUCCACAAACGUCAUCCACAUAGCGUAGAUGUUCAUCAGGAUGCCUUGUUCCAUCUCCUGUAAAAGUGUUAGCUAGCAGUUUUUCCAUCAUACCUGAAGGAAUCUCAAAAGGAGUUUCAUUUUCAAUAGGUUCAGUAGGUUGAGUAGGUUCAGUAGGUUGAGGAGCAACUCUUUGCUCUACUGGACGGGGUGAAGAUACCCCGAACAAGCCCCUCUGAGAAUUACUUUCCAUAGUAACAAGUGACAGAAAGUUUCAGCACACUAAAUAAAUUUUUCCUUACCAAAUUCCACCUACCAAAGGCGCUUCACUCCCCGGCAACGGCGCCAGAAAAGAGUCUUGAUGACCCACAAGUAUAUGGGAUCUAUCAUAGUCCUUUCGAUAAGUAAGAGUGUCGAACCCAACGAGGAGCAGAAGGAAAUGAUAAGCGGUUUUCAGCAAGGUAUUCUCUGCAAGUACUGAAAUAAGUGGUAACAGAUAGUUUUGUGAUAAGAUAAAUUGUAACAGAUAGUUUUGUAGCAAAGGACAAGCCUCUGAGAAUUACUUUCCAUAGUAACAAGUGACAGAAAGUUUCAGCACACUAAAUAAAUUUUUCCUUACCAAAUUCCACCUACCAAAGGCGCUUCACUCCCCGGCAACGGCGCCAGAAAAGAGUCUUGAUGACCCACAAGUAUAUGGGAUCUAUCAUAGUCCUUUCGAUAAGUAAGAGUGUCGAACCCAACGAGGAGCAGAAGGAAAUGAUAAGCGGUUUUCAGCAAGGUAUUCUCUGCAAGUACUGAAAUAAGUGGUAACAGAUAGUUUUGUAAUAAGAUAAAUUGUAACGAGCAACAAGUAACAAAAGUAAAUAAAGUGCAGCAAGGUGGCCCAAUCCUUUUUGUAGCAAAGGACAAGCCUGGACAAACUCUUAUAAUAGGAAAAGCGCACCCGAGGACACAUGGGAAUAUCGUCAAGCUAGUUUUCAUCACGCUCAUAUGAUUCGCGUUCGGUACUUUGAUAAUUUGAUAUGUGGGUUGACCGGUGGUUGGGUGCUGUUCUUACUUGAACAAGCAUCCCACUUAUGAUUAACCUCUAUUGCAAGCAUCCGCAACUACAACAAAAGUAUUAAUGUAAACCUAACCAUAGCAUGAAACAUAUGGAUCCAAAUCAGCCCCUUACGAAGCAACGCAUAAACUAGGGUUUAAGCUUCUGUCACUCUAGCAACCCAUCAUCUACUUAUUACUUCCCAAUGCCUUCCUCUAGGCCCAAAUAAUGGUGAAGUGUUAUGUAGUCGACAUUCACAUAACACCACUAGAUGCUAGACAACAUACAUCUUAUCAAAAUAUCGAACAAAUACCAAAUUCACAUGACUACUGAUAGCAAGACUUCUCCCUUGUCCUCAGGAACAAACGUAACUACUCACAAAGCAUAUUCAUGUUCAUAAUCAGAGGGGUAAUAAUGUGCAUAAAGGAUCUGAACAUAUGAUCUUCCACCAAAUAAACCAACUAGCGGCAACUACAAGGAGUAAUCAACACUACUAGCAACCUACUAGCACCAAUCCCGGACUUGGAGACAAGAAUUGGAUACAAGAGAUGAACUAGGGUUUGGAGAUGAGAUGGUGCUGGUGAAGAUGUUGAUGGAGAUUGCCCUCUCCCGAUGAGAGGAGCGUUGAUGAUGACGAUGGUGAUGAUUUCCCCCUCCCGGAGGGAAGUGUCCCCGGCAGAACAGCUCUGCAGGAGCCCUAGAUUGGUUCCACCAAGGUUCCGCCUCGUGGCGGCGGAGUCUCGUCCUGAAAGGUUGCCUGUGGUUUUUUUCUCAUCGAAAGACUCUAUAUAGGAGAAGAUGGACGUAGGAGAGCCACCCGGGGGCCCACGAGGUAGGGGGCGCGCCCCCCACCCUCGUGAGCAGGGUGUGGGCCCCUUGGCCUUCAUCUUUGGAGAAAUUUUUUGUUUAUUUAUUUUAAGAUAUUCCGUGGAGUUUCAGGGCUUUUGGAGUUGCGCAGAAUAGGCCUCCAAUAUUUGCUCCUUUUCCAUCCCAGAAUUCCAGCUACCGGCAUUCUCCCUCUUCAUGUAAACCUUGUAAAAUAAGAGAGAAUAGCCAUAAGUAUUGUGACAUAACGUGAAAUAACAGCCCAUAAUGUAAUAAAUAUUGAUAUAAUAGCAUGAUGCAAAAUGGACGUAUCAAGAAGGAGAAAGAGUCGGACAAAGAUGAAGAUGAAGAGGAAGACGAUGGUUAUCCCAAAGUCAAUUCCACUCUGAUGAUUUUUGCUGGCGUUGAAAGUAAGAGUCGAUUGAAGGUCAUCAACAUAGAAGUGAAUAUGGUCGCUCCUGCAGCAACGACAACCUACCUGAGAUGGUCUCAGACAGCCAUCACGUUCGACCAGUCUGACCAUCCUGCUCGUGUGGCCACCCCUGGGAGGCAAGCACUGGUGGUCGACCCCGUGGUUGGGGGCACUCGACUGACCAAAGUACUGAUGGACGGUGGCAGUGGUCUGAACAUCCUUUACGCUGAAACCUUGAAGGGGAUGGGCAUUUCGAUGUCCAAACUUAGCGAGAGCAACAUGAGUUUUCAUGGUGUUAUCCCUGGAAAGAAAGUCGAAUCACUCGGCCAGAUCGCCCUCGACGUGGUUUUUGGUGAUUCCAAGCAUUUCCGUAAGGAGAAGUUGACAUUUGAGGUUGUGGAUUUCCAGAGUGCCUAUCAUGCCAUCCUGGGUAGGCCAGCCUACGCUCGUUUUAUGGCUCGACCAUGUUAUGUGUAUCUCAAGCUGAAAAUGCCUGGCCCCAAAGGUGUGAUCACAGUUACUGGCAAUCGGCAGAAGACAGAGGAAUGCUUCCAGAAAGGUUCCAAAAUCACCGAUGCAUAAAUGGCAGCGGUUGAAUUGCAAGAGUAUCAGAAGAGUGCAGAUCCGAGUGAUUUGCUCCGAGCCAAGAAGCCCGCUAUAGACUCUGCAUUUCAGUCGACUGGUGAAACGAAGCCGAUCCACAUUCACCCGACCGAUCCCAAUGCUGCACCGACUCAUAUUUCAACAACACUCGACAGCAAAUAGGAAGAAGCGCUCAUCCAGUUCCUCCGUGAGAACUGGGACAUCUUCGCAUGGAAACCCUCUGACAUGCCAGGUGUACCUAGGGGACUGGCUGAGCACCGUUUGUGUGUUGACCCCAAGGUAAAACCCUUCAAAGAGCACCUUCGGCGGUCCGCCAUCCAGAAGAGAAAAGCAAUUGGCGAAGAAGUGGCUCGGCUAUUGGCAGCAGAGUUCAUCCGUGAAAUCUACCACUCCGAGUGGCUAGCCAAUGUAGUCAUGGUCACCAAGAAGGAUGAUUCACUUCGUAUGUGCAUUGAUUUCAAGCAUAUCAAUCGGGCCUGCCCGAAAGAUCACUUCCCUCUCCCUCGCAUCGAUCAGAUUGUUGACUCGACUAUGGGGUACGAGCGCUUGUCUUUCUUAGAUGCAUAUUCCGGAUACCAUCAGAUCUGACUAUAUGGUACCGAUGAAAUAAAUAGAGCCUUCAUCACCCCAUUCGGGUGCUUUUGCUAUGUCACCAUGCCUUUUGGUCUGAAAAAUGCCGGAGCCACAUUCCUGAGAAUGAUUCAGAAGUGACUGCUCACUCAAAUCAGUCAGAAUGUGGAAGCAUACAUGGAUGACAUUGUGGUCAAGUCUCGCAAAGGUUCCGACCUAUUGACUCACCUUGCAGAAACCUUUGCCAACCUGAGAAGGUACGACAUCAAGCUUAAUCCGUCAAAGUGCACAUUCGGAGUUCCGGGAGGAAAGUUACUCGGUUUUCUCGUUUCCGAACGAGGGAUCGACGCCAAUCCAGAAAAAGUUGAUACCAUUCUCCGAAUGAAACGCCCCGUGCGAGUGCAUGACGUUCAGAAGCUGACUGGUUGUCUGGCCACCCUGAGUCAAUUCAUUUCUCGUCUCGGUGAAAAGGCCUUGCCACUUUACCGAUUGAUGAAGAAGUCUGAUAAGUUCGAGUGGACUGAAGAAGCUGACGUAGCGUUUGCAGAGCUCAAAACCCUGCUUUCCAACCAGCCGGUGCUCCCUACGCUAAUCAGCAAAGAGCCUUUACUGCUUUACAUUGCAGCCACUAGACAAGUCGUCAGUAUAGUAGUCACGGUCGAGCCAGAAGAAGAAGGAAAAGCUUUCAAGGUUCAACGCCCAGUCUAUUAUCUCUCUAAAGUUUUGACUCCAUCCAAGCAACGAUAUCCACAUUAUCAGAAGCUUGUCUAUGGAAUAAACAUGACCAUGAAGAAGGUUGCGCACUAUUUCUCUGACCACUCCGUUAAAGUCAUCAGCGACGCGCCACUAUCUGAAAUUCUGAAUAACAGAGAUGCAACUGGUCGAGUGGCAAAAUGGGCGAUUGAACUCCUUCCAUUGGAUAUCAAUUUCGAGGCAAAGAAAGCGAUCAAGUCCCAAGCAAUCGCAUAUUUCCUUGCCGAGUGGACUGAGAAGCAAUUACUGACUCAAGUUCACUCGGAGCAUUGGAUUAUGUUCUUUGAUGGCUCCAAGAUGCUAAAUGGUUCAGGUGUAGUGGUAGUAUUGGUAUCCCCCCGUGGAGACAAGCUUAGUUAUGUUCUCCAGAUUCAUUUUGAUUCCUCCAAUAAUGAAGCCGAAUAUGAAGCACUUUUAUACGGGUUGCGUAUGGCCAUUUCACUCGGCGUCCGUUGCCUUAUGGUCUACGGCGACUCAGAUUUGGUGGUUAAUCAGGUGAUGAAGGAAUGGGAUGUCAGGAGCCCAGCCAUGACUGGUUACUGCUAUGUAGUGAGAAAGCUGGAAAAGAAGUUUGAAGGUUUGGAGCUUCACCACAUACCCCGAUUGAAAAAUCAAGCUGCAGAUGAGUUGGCAAAGAUAGGAUCAAAGAGAGAGGCCAUUCCCCGAAAUGUGUUUUUGGAACAUAUUCAUUCACCUUCAGUUCAGAAAGAUCCUUUCAACGAAGAAUCACCACAGCCCAAGACUGCCACAGAUCCGACUGAAGUCGAAAUCCUAGCCGUGGUUGACUUAGUCAUGGAGGUUUUGGUCAUCACGCCCGACUGGACAGUACCAAACAUUGCAUACAUUCUUAGGAACAAACUCCCAGAGGAUGAAGAAGAGGCUCGAAAGAUCGUCCGACGGUCUAAAGCCUUCACUGUGAUAAAAGGAUAGUUGUGCAGAGAAAGUGUAAUUGGGGUCUGCCAGAAGUGCAUCAUGCCAGAAGAAGGCCAAAUGAUCCUCAAUGAUAUUCACUCGGGGACCUGUGGUCACCAUGCGUCCUCUCGGACCAUCGUGGCCAAAGCAUACCGAGCCAGGUUUUACUGGCCGCACGCCAACGAGAUGGCAAAGGAAAUAGUGGAAAAGUGUGAAGGUUGUCAGUUUUAUUCCAACAUGUCCCACAAACCUGCAUCAGCUCUGAAGACUAUUCCACUCGUCUGGCCUUUUGCUGUUUGGGGAUUGGACAUGGUUGGACCUCUGAGGACCAGCAGGAGCGGAUUUACCCACGUGCUGGUAGCAGUCGACAAGUUUACCAAGUGGAUCGAAGCCAAGCCCAUUAAAAACCUUGAAGCAAGUACUGUUGUGAGCUUCAUCAGAGAGUUGAUAUGCAGAUAUGGCGUGCCGCACAACAUCAUCACUAAUAACGGAUCGAACUUCGACUCUAAUGAGUUUAGAGCCUUUUGUGCUUCCCAAGGCACGAGGGUCAAUUACGCUUCGGUCGCCCAUCCCUAGUCGAAUGCGCAGGCUGACCGAGCGAAUGGAUUGAUUCUCAAAGGACUGAAUCCCCGGUUUAUGCGUGACCUUAAGCACGCGGCAGGAGCUUGGGUCGAUGAGCUCCCAUUGGAGCUUUGGGGGCCGAGGACAACCCCCAAUCGAUCGACUGGACGGACUCCAUUCUUUUUAGUCUACGGAGCCGAAGCCGUUUUGCCGAGCGAUUUGCUCCACAACGCUCCCCGAGUCGAACUCUUCUCAGAAGAAGAAGCAGAGCAAGCUCGACAAGAUGCAGUCUACCUCCUGGAGGUAGAAAGAGAGAUGGCCAUGAUCCGGUCGACCAUUUAUCAGUAAGACUUGCGUCGAUUCCAUGCCAGGAACGUAAGAGGUCGUGCGUUCCAGGAAGAGGACUUGGUCCUCCGAGUGGAUCAGCAGAAGCCACACAAGCUCACCCCCGCUUGGGAAGGCCCUUUCGUCGUCACCAAGGUGCUCCACAACGGGGCAUACCGUCUCUUCAACGUCGAGCACAACAAAGAUAAACCGCGCGCCUGGAAUGCGGAACUGCUCCGCCCUUUUUACUCUUAAGUAUUUAGACUGAUGAGAUGUAAUAAGAAGUAACUCUUAGUUUGAUUAUCAAAAGACAUAAUUUUACAGUCUUCUGAAUGAUUGUUGUUUAUUUCUUUUGUAUGUGUUGCCUUAGCUGCGAAUCUGUUUCGCCUAGGAUGAAGUGAUAAAAAUCCUACCGAGUGUUGAGUCUGCCUCUCACUCGAGGGCUUAGCUGCAGCCCAGUGCUCGCCUAAGUUUGAAAAAUCCUACCGAGUGGUGAGUCUGCCUCUCACUCAGGGGUUUAGCUGCAGCCCAAUGCUCACUUAAGUUUGAAAAAUCCUGCCGAGUGGUGAGUCUGCCUCUCACUCGGGGGCUUAGCUGCAGCCCAGUGCUCGCCUAAGUUUGAAAAAUCCUGCCAANNNNNNNNNNNNNNNNNNNNNNNNNNNNNNNNNNNNNNNNNNNNNNNNNNNNNNNNNNNNNNNNNNNNNNNNNNNNNNNNNNNNNNNNNNNNNNNNNNNNNNNNNNNNNNNNNNNNNNNNNNNNNNNNNNNNNNNNNNNNNNNNNNNNNNNNNNNNNNNNNNNNNNNNNNNNNNNUCGCCUAAGUUUGAAAAAUCCUACCGAGUGGUGAGCAGCCCUCCCACUCGGAGGCUUAGCUACGGUCCGGUACCCGCCUAAGUAACAAAAGUCCUCCCAAACAGUAUGGGUCGAUCACGACCCUUCAUCCCCCCGGGGGUUGCACCGUCAAGAAGAAGGACGAGAUUGUGGUGAGCAGCACUCGCCUAAGUUUGAAAAAUCCUACCGAGUGGUGAGCGACCCUCCCACUCGGGGGCUUAGCUGCAGCCCAGUGCUCGCCUAAGUUUGUAAAAUCCUACCGAGUGGUGAGCGACCCUCCCACUCGAGGGGCUUAGCUGCAACCCAGUGCUCGCGUAAGUUUGAAAAAUCCUACCGAGUGGUGAGUGACCCUCCCACUCGGAGGCUUAGCUACAGCCCAGUGCUCGCCUAAGUUUAAAAAAUCCUACCGAUUGGUGAGCGACCCUCCCGCUCGGGGGCUGAGCUGCAGCCCAGUGCUCGUCUAAGUUUGAAAAAUCCUGCAGAGUGGUGAGCGGCCCUCCCACUUGGAGGCUUAGCUGCAGCCCAGUGCUCGCCUAAGAUUGAAAAAUCCUACCGAGUGGUGAGCGACCCUCCCCUCGGGUGCUUAGCUGCAGCCCUGUGGUCGCCUAAGUUUAAAAAAUCCUACCGAGUGGCGAGCGACCUUCCCACUCGGAGGCUUAGCUGCAGCCCAGUUCUCGCCUAAGUUUUAAAAAUCAUACCGGGUGGUGAGUGAGGCUGCAGGUUGCCCACGCCCCCCCCACCCAGGGGCUGCACCAUCAAGAAGGAGGACGAGAUUGUGUGCACACAACGAUUGGCCCCUUGCUGAUGACAGGAACGUCAAGACCAUUGCUGAGUACCUCGCUGAUGAGCUGAUCAAUGCUACCAAGGGCUCAUCAACGGGUCGACUGCUGACUCUUCUUAUGCACCUGCAUCAAACGAUGAGAAAACCGAUCCAAGUGAAGAACAGACUUCACUCGAAGAUGAACCCAACAUAUUUAACGAUAAAUCCAGAGAUUCCUAACCGCAGAUUAAAAGUACUCGGGCACCAGACCCGAAGGAGUUCUAAUGGUUACAAAAUCACUCGGCAUCCCGAGGCAAAUAAAGGUGAAGCAUAAUGUUUUUUCGAUCACUCGGCGGGAGAAGGACUGGCCGGAUCGCAGAAGCUGUCGAGGUCAAUGUUGUUGGCAAUGCGAGUGGCUGCCUCGAGGAACGUGUCUAUGAAGUCCUGGAAAGAGUGCUUCUUAGUAUUCGCCACCUUGAGGGCCGCCAGCUUCUCUUCUUUAGCCUCCUUGCAGUGCAUGCGAACAAGGGACAAGGCGACGUCGGCGCCACAGCGGGGAGAAGACUUCUUCCACUCUUGCACUUGGUCAGGGAUUUGGUUGAGUUGAGUCAUCAGCGACUCGAGACUUUGAGGAAGUUCUGCCUGAGGCCAGAGUUCGGCGUCCACUCGGGCCAUCGCGGCCUUCAGCCGAGCCAGAUAGUCGACUGCACCGUCCAAGCAUGAUUCCAGUCGAAGCAAGUUCAUCGCAACUUCAUCUUUCAUGGGACAGUUCAUGGGGUCGAGACCUGUCUCGACCCGUCCAGUUUCAGCUUCAAAGUCCUGACAGAGUUCUGUUCCAUCACAACAAACAAUGAGUCGACAGUAUUGCAAAUCUCAGUUGACGACAGUUAUCUAACUGAACAGUCAUACCUUCAAGCUUCAAGACAAUCUUCGCCGCGAGUUGUUCCAAAUGGGACUCUAGCUUGCCCGUCUUAGCCCUGAGACCGUCGACUUCAAUGGUCAGAUUCUCCUUGUCCUUCCUCAGUUGCUCGACCUCCCGAUUGGCGUCCGAGACGGCUGUCUUCAACUUCGCGUUCUCAUCCUCCAACUUGCCGACUAAAGCCAGCUUCUGGUCCACAAGCGUUGUCUUCUCACGAGCUUCUUUUUGAGCAACAGCAAGGUCCAUGUCCUUCUUCUCCAACGCCUCCUUCAUUCACUCUAAAGAAACAACACUCUUCAGACGAGCCUGAAAUUGGCAGUUUUCACUACGCACAUCUGCUUAUGUGAAAACACUCGGCUCUAAGAGAUUGAAUGAAAAGCAGUGGAAAGUCUACUAAGCAAACGGUCGAAUGGUUACCUCCCAUGAUAACCGUCUCUUCCUGGGAAGUCUUCAGAUUCUUCUUGGCAAGUUCAAGGUCAAGUUCAACGCUGAUAUGCUUCUUCUUUAAUGUCACGACCGACUUUUUCAAUAAAUAACUAUUGAGAAAAUCGAUCUUUAAAUCCCAGUAUAGGAAAAGUCAUCCUUCUGGUAGACAAAGCUUGAUAAACAGAGAACCAGUAGCAUCAAAUAUAUUACAGGGCUGAGCUAAGGCUGCUCAACAAUUUAUUACAAACUUGCCAAUAUCUUACAUAAGGGCGGUUAUGACACAGGGGUGUGGUGGCAUGCUACUAGCUCGAGGAUAAGUGGUGGAUAACUUGACUCCUAACUGGCAUCUCAUCGAGCGUCGAGGUGAGGCUCGAUGAAUUUUAUUCUGGGGUUGCGGAAGCGGAUAAUACAGUGAUCAAAACAGGAUCACACGGGACUGACUGGGACUCCUCUAGGCGUCGGACUCGCUAUCAAACUCUUCAUCCGUGAGAUCGCCUUCAUCAACAUCUGGCCAAAUCAACAAGUCAGGUGAGUACUUUGAAAGUACUCGCAAGACAGUUCGGACAAAAGAUAUAAUCAAUGAAUGCAUGAAUGCAUCAUGAAUAAAGGAUGAUGCUCAUAUAUCAAUGAUAAUAUUGCAGGACUUGAUAAAUAAAAUAAAUGACUGAAAACCAAUCGGGUGUCUGGAGCGACGCCCCGAAAGGUAAAUAAAUAAAAUGCAUGCCGCAGUCGGGCGUCUAAGCGACACCACAUAAAGGGCUUAAAGGAAAUGCCACAGUCGGACGUCUGAGCGACAUCACAUAAAGGGCUUUAAAAGAAAUGCCACAGUCGGACGUCUGAGCGACAUCAUAUAAAGGGCUUUAAAAGAAAUGCCACAGUCGGACGUCUGAGCGACAUCACAUAAAGGGCUUUAAAAGAAAUGCCACNNNNNNNNNNNNNNNNNNNNNNNNNNNNNNNNNNNNNNNNNNNNNNNNNNNNNNNNNNNNNNNNNNNNNNNNNNNNNNNNNNNNNNNNNNNNNNNNNNNNNNNNNNNNNNNNNNNNNNNNNNNNNNNNNNNNNNNNNNNNNNNNNNNNNNNNNNNNNNNNNNNNNNNNNNNNNNNNNNNNNNNNNNNNNNNNNNNNNNNNNNNNNNNNNNNNNNNNNNNNNNNNNNNNNNNNNNNNNNNNNNNNNNNNNNNNNNNNNNNNNNNNNNNNNNNNNNNNNNNNNNNNNNNNNNNNNNNNNNNNNNNNNNNNNNNNNNNNNNNNNNNNNNNNNNNNNNNNNNNNNNNNNNNNNNNNNNNNNNNNNNNNNNNNNNNNNNNNNNNNNNNNNNNNNNNNNNNNNNNNNNNNNNNNNNNNNNNAGUCGGGCGUCUAAGCGACACCACAUAAAGGGCUUAAAGGAAAUGCCACAGUCGGACGUCUGAGCGACAUCACAUAAAGGGCUUUAAAAGAAAUGCCACAGUCGGACGUCUGAGCGACAUCACAUAAAGGGCUUUAAAAGAAAUGCCACAGUCGGACGUCUGAGCGACAUCACAUAAAGGACUUUAAAAGAAAUGCCACAGUCGGACGUCUGAGCGACAUCACAUAAAGGGCUUUAAAAGAAAUGCCACAGUCGGACGUCUGAGCGACAUCGCAGACAGGGCUUGCAACAAAUGUAAAUAACAGACAUGCCACUGUCGGACGUCUGAGCGACAUCACUGACUGGGCUUGUAAUAAAUGUAAAUGAUAGGUAUGCCACCGUCGGACAUCUGAGCGACAUCACAGACAGGGCAGGUAAUUAAUGUAAAUAACAAGAUUAGUCCAUCCACAAGAAUAAUCUUUUAACCGGAUGUAUCACACAUAAAUCCCACCGGAGUUUUGUCACUGACGAUGAUACGUGACAAGAUAAGAUGAAUAUAGUACUUGAACAAAGUACAAGAUAAUUGAAAGAUUUGAGAAUCUGCAGAGUUCGGAUGAACUGACCACAGCCAACGGGUUUCCGUAGUCACGAAGGACUAGUCCCAUUUACGAUAUUUCAGUAGAAACACAUUUAACUAGUACACACAUAUUCCACCUCAUGAUGCCAGGAAUCACCCUGGACAACGUCCAAGAAAAACUUUGAGACGGGGAGGCCACAACCUCGAAUAGCAUGGGAUCGAAUUUCUAUACAUGCGCUCUAAGGGGUGCCCCCCUCUCGAUCCCAACCGGAAACACCCAUGCCCCCUGACCGGAUGACGGGCUUUAAUCCAGGGCCAUGGAACCCUCAUCCCGGCCUCUCUAAUUGGUGUGUACCAGGAAAACGAUUUGCAACUUACUAUGCCAUAUUCCUUUUGGAAAACAUGUGACAAUAUAGGAAGGAAUGAAUGGAAAUAUGAUUUGUUUCACGAUGACACAGAAGUCAAAUAAUCUGGCAUAAGACUGGCAUGUCACAACACUGCCAUCUUACCCAUCCUCAUGCCAACACAUGGCUAUGCAAAUAUGUAUCCAACAACAUAAUGCUUUCCGAAACUUACUUUCCGCUCAUGUGCAUGAAAUAUAACUUUCAAAGUGUUGUUCAUAAACAUGCCAUGAUGUCGGUGUACUAGAGUAGGGGUACCCUAGUACCCCGAACUUGUGCAUGGGCAGUUGCAGUCCGCCGCGGCAAGGGCUUGCCGGGUGACCGCCAAGAUACUCCGUGGAUCCCUCAGAGCCGUUCAAGAACAAAGUACCCAAGUAAAGAAGACAAGGCCCCGGCAAGAGGAGCUUGCCGGGAAGGCCAACUGAGGCAUCUCAAGGAACUUGCCGCGACGCACCACGCGUCCCGGCAAGGCACGGCAAGCGACAAGCUUCCGGGUGCGACAAGACCACGAUCGCGGCAAGACGCUUGCCGCGGCAAGCGGCCGCUCUGUGCCCACGCUCCAGCGCAUCCACCAACGUGUCGCCCUGGGGGCCUUUCCAGGCGCGGGUGGCGGAAGGCUGUGCAGCCAGCGGUGCGCAGUGGCAUGCGACGCUGACAAGAUCACCAUCGUGGCGAACGGUGGCGCCCCUAAUGGUCCUUUUCUGCACUAUUUGGGCGACACAGACGGGCAUUUAAUGCCCUUGUCCCCUGCCGUCAGGGUUAGGUAGGGUGCACUGUGCAGACAACUGUACCAACCACCUCUCUUUUUAUGUUUUUACCCAUCUUUACGUUGCCACCUGUCGGUGACCCCUUGAGCGUAUAAAAGGAGGCCCAUGUGCAACGUAAAGGGGGUUCGGCUCAGUUCGAAGCAGAAACACUCACACUCGGUCUCGUUAGCUGCUCACGUGUACUGUAACACUCAGCGCUCCCGAGCAAGAACACAAUACAAUCAGACAAGCAGCAAUAGGAGUAUUAUCUCUCCGGAGAGCUCCGAAGCUGGGUAAACUGCUCGUGUGCUUCGCCUCGAUCUUCUCUUCGUGCGACCUCCGCCCCCCGCCGAACCGAAAGGGGCUCGGUCCGCCGGUCCCAUAGGUGUUCGUGGAUCAGUUUCCCCGACAUCUUUGGCGCGCCAGGUAGGGGGCGUCGAGAUUGUGUGAACCUGAUCCGGCGUGCACACGAGCUAGAUCUUCAUCUUCUUCAUCGACAUGCCACCGAAGAAGAAGGGUUCGGAGGCAGCUGCUCCGUCCACAUCGAUCUCACCGCCACCGGAACAAACGGGUGGUGGGGUUGACGCUGGUGGAAGAACCAACAUCGACGAGGAAGCUCACGGUGCUGCCAGGUCCAAGGACAAGGCUGCACAAACCUCGGUGUCCGUACUUCCGCCGUGCCCCUCUCAGGAGGCGCAGGACCGACAGCAUCAUGGUAUUCGCAGUACCAUACGUUUGUUGGACCAAGAUCAAGCUGGUGGGUCUCAGGGCGCUCAAGACCAGCAUGCACGUCAGCGCGCCGGCACGAGCGAGGCACUGUCGCCUGGACGGGGUACUGCUCCUUCUAACAUAGUUAGAAGUCCGAGCAUGUCCCGCUCCUCGCACCGUUCGCCACUGCCGCCCACCACUCCAGCGGAAGCUUUGGCACGAGCUCAACUACUCCUGGAUUAUCCUCCAACGUCGGACAAGAUCGACGAAUGGAGGGCCACCAUUCAGAGCCUCAUCGGCUACGCCAACGGCGACACUCCGCGGCAGCCGAAUACAUCGCUGCCGCGGCAGGACUGCCAGGCGCGAGCCGGUGGUGACGAAACUGGUGGGGGUGCAACCACCGUGCACUCUCCACCCCGAAGUCCAAGAUCGCCGACUCACCGGAUCCACCUUGACAGCGACUCCACCGCAUCAUCGGAUCCGCGAGCUCGUCGCGAUCAGCGCCAAGUCCUUCACGAUCGACAGCAAGAAGACGCUCGAACUCGCAUUGAGCGACGAAGAGAAGCGCGGCGUCAAUCCGACCAGCGCGCUGGGCCUUCUGUCGACAUGCAUGCGCCAAGGGAACCAGGCGACCUGCCGUACGCGGGGGGCUGCCCUGCGUUCACUCGUGAGCUGCGGCAAGUCCAGUGGCCCAGUAGGAAAACUUUCAAGCCAGAUGUACCGGAGAAGUACGACGGCAAGGCGCACCCGUCGGAGUUCCUCAGCAUCUACACCAUCGCGGUGCAGGCUGCCGGAUGACGAUACGACAAGAUCCUUGCCAACUACUUCCCACUGGUACUCAAACCCAACGUCAGAUCCUGGCUCAUGCACUUGCCGGACAACUCCAUAUCUUCCUGGGCGGAUCUGUGCCAUCAGUUUGUCGGCGCCUUCACAGGCGGCCACAAGCCUCAUGGCCAAGAGAGUGACCUUCAUCUGCUCGCCCAGAAGGAAGGAGAGCCCCUGCGCAAGUACAUUCAGAGAUUCAGCAACGUACAGCACAACAUCCCAGAUAUCCACCCUGCCGCGGUAAUCAGCGCGUUCCAUCAGAACGUGCGGAACCGCAGGAUGCGGGAGGAGAUGGCGAUGUGCAAGAUCAGAGACGUCAGUGAGCUAUAUGCCCUGGUCGACAAGUGUGCACGUGCUGAGGAAGGGAGGAGACUCCCCGGAGAGAAUAUAGGAGCAGGAGGAUCUGACAGUGAGGAUACUGCCCCGGCAAGGAAAAACCGGCGGCGGAAUAAUAGAAAGAAGAAAGGCAAAGAGGUGCUAGUUGUCGAGCAUUCCGGCAACGGAGGUGGCGCCGGGAAAGCCAAAGCUGGUAGCUCCGGCAAGGAGAUUGCCGUAGAGGCUGUGGCGGUCGCCGACAAGCAGGACGGUACCAACAAGCAGUACUGCAAGAUCCACCGCUCCAAGGGCCAUGACCUCCAGAGCUGCAAGAAGGUUGAGCAGCUUGUUGAGCAGCAAAAGGAUGAAUACGAGCGGCGCGACAAGGAGAAGGCCCAGGAAGGUGCUGGAGUAUCCGGUAAGAAACGUCCCGGCCGGGGGGGGGGGGCGCCGCGGCAAGGCCAAGCAGCGGCAAGGAGACAGACUUCCCCGCGGCCGCGACAAAGAUGAAGAUGACGACGACGACGAAGAUAUAGAUGAUGAUGAGACCGACGAGCAGGAGUUUCAGAAAGCCACAGAGGUCCUGUGCAUUGACGGUGGUGCUUCUCUGCAUACUUCGCACCGCCAACUCAAGCAAUGGGUGCGGGAGGUUAAUGCAGCAGAACCACCCAUCGAGUCAAGCAGGACCCUGAAAUGGUCCAGCACGCCUAUCAUCUUUGAAAUUGAGGACCACCCUGAUCGCAUAACUGUGGUCGGGUGCUUGCCGAUGUUGGUUUCACCAACUAUCCGCAACCUCAAGGUCACUAAGAUCUUAGUUGACGGCGGGGCCGGCUUGAACCUGAUCUCCUCCGCGGUGCUCCAGAAACUCCAAAUCCCUGACAGCGAGCUCGAAGAGACUGGCACAUUCCAAGGAAUCAAUCCGGGAAGGAGCAAGCCGAAGGGAAAGAUCACGUUGCCGGUAACAUUUGGCAGCGAGCUGAACUUCAGGACUGAGAGGGUCACGUUUGACGUCGCUGACUUCCCAUUGCCUUAUAAUGGGAUACUCGGCCGUCCAGCACUCGCCAAAUUCAUGGCAGCCUCUCACUAUGCCUACAACGUGCUGAAAAUGCCAGGCCCGAUAAGUGUCAUCUCUGUCCCUGGCGACAAGAAGGAUGCUCUUAUCUGCGCCGACAAGAUCUACCGGGAAGCAGCAGCCGCAGCGGAUCACACGUCACUUGCCGCUGAAGCUCCCGGGGGGAAGAAGAAGACCAAGUCCGGCAAGAGAUCUGAUGCCCACUCCGGCAAGCACACCUCUUGGGAGUGCUGCGCUACCGUCGAGGACGCACCAUCGAGCUCCACCGGCAAGUGUAAGAAGGCAAUGGCAGCUCCACCUGAGACCAAGAAGGUGUCCGCCAAGGAGGACGGCACUGGUGGUACCUUCACCAUCAGUGCCACUCUCGACCCCAAAUAGGAAAGCACGCUCGUUGCUUUCCUGCGGGCGAACGUCGACGUGUUCGCGUGGCAACCAUCUGACAUCCCCGGUGUUCCCAGGAAAGUAAUUGAGCACCACCUGGCCGUCUGUCCUCAUGCGCGGCCCGUCAAGCAGAAAGUCAGGAAGCAGGCAGUGGAGCGCCAAGAAUUCAUCGCAGAAGAGAUCAUGAAAUUGGAAGCAGCAGGCCUUGUCAGAGGAGUGCUCCAUCCUACGUGGUUGGCCAACCCUGUAGUCGUGCACAAAGCUAACGGGAAAUGGAGGCUUUGUAUCGACUUUACCGAUAUCAAUAAAGCUUGUCCCAAAGACCCAUUUCCCUUGCCGCGCAUUGACCAGAUUGUUGACUCCACGGCCGGAUGUGACUUGCUUUCAUUUCUUGAUGCAUACUCAGGAUACCAUCAGAUCUUCAUGGCAGAAGAAGAUGGGGAGAAGACUGCAUUCAUCACACCAUGUGGCACCUACUGUUUCAUACGGAUGCCCUUCAGUUUAAAGAAUGCUGGUUCAACAUUUGCGAGGGUAGUCCAUCAUGCUUUUGAGCUGCAGAUGCACAGAAAUGUGGAAGCCUACAUGGAUGACAUAGUGGUCAAGAGCAAGAACAGGGCGACCCUGAUUCAAGAUUUAGACGAAACCUCCACAAGUCUGUGCAAGAUCAACCUCAAGCUGAACCCCGAGAAGUGUGUGUUUGGGGUCCCCUCCGGCAAACAUCUCGGGUUCUUUGUGUCUCAGCGGGGAAUUGAAGCCAAUCCCGACAAGAUCAAGGCCAUUGAGCAGAUUGAAGCACCAAAGCACGUCAAGGAUGUACGAAGGCUUGCCGGUUGCGUGGCUGCUCUCAGCAGGUUUAUCUCUAGAUCUGCUGAGCGCGCCCUGCCGUUUUUCAAAAUAUUGAAAAAGGCAGGUCCAAUGAAAUGGACUCCAAAAGCGGAGGCUGCGCUGUAGGACUUGAAGAGAUAUCUGUCCUCCAGUCCAACACUUGUCGCACCUAGGCCAAAAGAGAAGUUGCUGCUGUAUAUAGCGGCAACCAAUCAGGUGGUUAGUGCUGCGUUAGUGGCGGAGAGGGAGGCAGAUGAUGAGCCUGCAACCAUGGCAGACGCGUCCAGCGACAAGCAGUGGGCUUCACCAGCAAGCUCUAGUCCGGCAGGCUCUUAUCCGGCAAGUUCUGGUCCCGACAAAGAUGGAUCUGCGCAGACGCAUAAGGAGAUGCAGAAGAGAAUGGUGCAGCGCCCAGUUUACUUUGUCAGUUCCCUUCUGCAGGGGGCUAGGUCAAGGUACUUUGGUGUGUAGAAAUUGCGUUUUGGCCUUCUCAUGGCCUCGAGAAAGCUGGGCCAUUACUUCCAAGCACAUGAGAUCACAGUUGUCACUCGCUUUCCGUUGAAGAGGAUACUGCAAAAUCCAGAAGCAACAGACAGGAUUGUCGAGUGGGCACUGGAACUGUCAAGCUUUGGCCUCAAGUUUGAAAGCACUUCAACUAUCCAAAGCAGAGCAUUGGCGGAAUUCAUAGCAGAAUGGACACCAACACCAGAUGAAGAAAUUCCAGAGACGAGGAUCCCCGUCAAGGAGGCAAGUAAAGAGUGGCUAAUGUACUUUGAUGGUGCCUUCUCGCUGCAAGGCGCCGGUGCGGGCGUGCUGCUUGUCGCACCCACCGGAGAGCACCUCAAGUAUGUGGUCCAGAUGCACUUUCCCAAGGAGCAAUCAACGAACAAUACUGCAGAGUACAAAGGCUUGCUUGCUGGUCUCAGGAUCACGGCAGACCUUGGGAUUAAGAAGCUCAUUGUCAGGGGUGACUCACAGCUUGUCGUCCGCCAAGUGAACAAGAAUUAUCAGAGUCCGUUGAUGGAAGCUUAUGUUGAUGAAGUGAGAAAGCUAGAAGAGCACUUUGACGGCCUACAGAUGGAACAUGUUCCAAGAGCUCAGAAUGACAUUGCUGAUGGCUUGUCAAAGUGCGCCGCACUUAAGUUACCUGUGGAACCAGGGAUCUUUGUGCUCAAGCUGACUCAACCAUCUAUAACACCAUCAACUGGACAGAGCAAGAAGAGAAAGUUGAUUUCUGGUGACUAUUUUCCGGCAGAGCUCCCUGAAGCCGCCGCCAAGAAGGUCCCCAAGGUCAACACCAAGAGUGCUCAGGAGCAGUCUGCUCCAGCAAGCCUAACGGUUUGUUCCGUUGAAGCAGACGCUCCCGACAAGCUUGGCUCCGGCAAGCUUGCCGGGGAACAUCAAGCUCCGGCUGAACCGCAGGUUCUCGCCGUAGAAGCAGAUGUUUCUGCAGUAGCAGAAGUGCCUUUAGUCCUUGUUGUCGAGCCACAAGCUCUAGCAUGGGCACAGCAAAUUGUCCGUUUCCUUCAGACAGGAGAACUUCCCCAAGAGCAAGAAGAAGCGGAAAAAGUAGCCCGGCAGUCGAGUAUGUACCAGUUUGUCGACAACAUACUGUACAGAAGAAGACUCAACGGCGUGAAAUUGAAGUGUAUUUGCCGGGAAGAUGGACAGAAGCUGUUGGCAGAGAUACAUGGAGGCAUAUGUGGUCACCACAUUGGCGCAAGAGCACUUGCCGGCAAAGCUUUCUGGCAAGGUUUCUUUUGGCCGACAGCCCACCAGGAUGCAACUGCACAAGUAACCAAGUGUGAAGCGUGCCAGUUCCAUUCCAAGCAGAUACACCAGCCAGCUCAAGCUCUCCAAACGAUCCCUUUAUCCUGGCCAUUUUCGGUCUGGGGGCUCGAUAUCCUCGGCCCCUUCCCCUGAGCUGUCGGGGGCUUUGAGUACUUGUACGUUGCAGUCGACUAGUUCACAAAGUGGCCGGAAGUGGAACCAGUGAGAAAGGUGACAGCACAGUCAGCAGUCAAGUUCUUCAGGUCGAUUGUUUGCCGUUUCGGGAUCCCUAAAUGGAUCAUCACCGACAACGGCACACAAUUCACGAGCCGCACCUUCAUGCAGUACGUCCAAGAUCUUGGCGCCAAGGUCUGCUUCGCUUCUGUUGCUCAUCCGAGAAGCAACGGUCAAGCGGAGAGGGCGAAUGCUGAAGUGCUGCGCGGGCUCAAGACCAGGACUUUCGACAGGCUGCGCAGGUGCGGAAAGAACUGGAUUGAGGAGCUGCCGGUGGUUCUUUGGUCGGUCAGGACGACGCCAAAUCGAGCCACUGGACAGACGCCUUUCGCUCUAGUUUAUGGAGCAGAGGCAGUUCUCCCCACGGAACUCGUAUACGGAUCACCUCGAGUGCUCGCUUAUGAUGAGCUUGAGCAAGAGCAGCUGCGACAAGAUGACGCGCUGCUCCUUGAGGAGGACCGUCUUCAGGCUGCUGUACGAGCUGCUUGAUACCAGCAAGCUUUGCGCCGCUACCAUAGCCGCAAAGUUAAUGCCAGAAGCUUCGAGGAAGGCGACCUUGUUCUUCAGCGAAUUCAGUCCGCCAAGAAUUCCAACAAGUUGACCCUGAAGUGGGAAGGCCCUUGCCGGGUGAAACAAGUCACUAGGCCUGGCGUUGUCCGCCUUGAGACCGAAGAUGGCAUUCCGGUGAGCAACUCCUGGAACAUUGAGCAUCUUCGUAAGUUUUACCCGUAGGGCGCGGUUGCCAGAACCUGUUCUGGCAACCACCUUUUGUACAAGUCUUGCCGAUGUUGCAUGUAAUCCUUUGUACAAAGCCGGGCGCAGAUCCCGUGCAUAAGUAAAGCUCAUGUGCUCCGCACACCUUGUCAAUUUCAUGCAUUACAUUCUUUCUUGCAUACAUUAUCUGACACUUUGUGCAGCACCUACCCCCGGUAAGCAAUAACGAGACGAAAGGCCCCAUAUCUUUAUUUUCUCUUCUUUCUUUUUCUCAAACAAAGGAAAGAAAGGUUCCCUCGCACACAAGUUUGCCGGGGGGAAAGGAGAAGAUAAUGGUAUGGACCAGGCAUCGUUUAAAGAAGGUUCGCCUUGCCGGGAAGCAAACGACAGAAAAGCUAAGUUGCCAAAGUUUGAGCAAUUAGUUUUAAUUUUUAAGUUAUCUUCCUCGAACGACUGUGCUUUGUAUGGAAAACCUGUGCCCGGAGGAACCAACUCGUAGCUAGUUGCGCCCUUACUUUGUUUCGAGUCCGCUCAACAACUUAAGUGUGUUGCAACUAGUCGCGACAAGGUUUCUUGUCGAAGCGGCACUGCCAGCAGGCUGCUGACGUUCCGCACUCAGCGCUCGCGGCUCGGGUGCCUGCGCCGACAAGUUCCCUAAAAGCGUAGGGUAAAACAUACAAAGCUAGGGAUCUAGUAACAGAAAUAACAUAGCGAUCAUUAUCCAAAAUAAAGUUAUGUUACAAGAUAACUUGUCGCUGCUCUAACACAUUGUUCCCAUGACAUGACCAGCAGCGACAGGGAAAAAGAUAAAACGGGCAGCCUAGUCUACGCGACCGCCCUCAACCCUCUUGAUCUCGCUCACCUUGUCCACAAUGGGUGCGACAAGGGCCUUGAGCGCUUCCAGAUCGGCGUCGGGUGGCAGAGACCUGAGGACGUUGGUGAGGUUGAGGCCUGGGUUGCGGAAGGCCACCUUCACCAGCACCUUCUGAAGAACUCCUGCGCAAAUCUUGCGCGACUCAUCGGCCAGCUGCUUUGGGAUCUUCUCCCGAAGCCACUGGAGGGCCGUCGCCACGCCCUUGAAGAACAAGCUGAGCUUGGCGCUGGGUUGGAGAUGCUCGUCGGAAGAAUACCCGAAGUCCUCCAUCCCCAGCUGCGCCAGCUCCCCGUCGAUGACUGCGGCGAUAUUCACCAGACCCUCGGUCAAGUGCUCCACUGUCUCCCUGAAUGAGUUCUGGGUGACGGCAAUGCUCGCCAGCAGCGCCUCGUCGGCCUUGAUCUUCUCCGACAAGGUCACCUCUCGCUCCUUGGCGCCAUCCAGCAUCUGAGUCAGCGUGGCCAACUUCAGCUCGAGAUCCGCGUUGGAGUCCUUGGCGGCGCUGAGCUCCUUGCUCCUCUCAGCGAGAAGACCUUGCAGCUCGCCGUGGGCGGCAGCAUCCUUCUCGCGCUCGCGCUUGAGCACGGCAAGCUCCUCGCCGCUCGUCCUGAGAUUUGCCCCCAGCUGCGCCACUUUCGCCUCCAGCUCUUUCUUGGCGGCCUCGGCAGCCACGGCAGCGUCCUUUGCUUCCUUGAGGGCCCCGCCAAGUUUUUGCUCGCGCGCGACGAGCUCCUGCUCGUAGCUGUCAAGAUUGGCCUUCCGUUGCACCAACUCGCCUUCUCGCGCGGACUGCUUCUCGGCAGCAAGCCGUUGUUGCUCCUCAGCUUCAGCCUUCUCGAGGAGGAAGGUUGUGCGCUCCUCGGCGAGUUGCUCCCGCUCCUCCGCCAGGGACCGGAGAGUCUCCUGCCUGAGACCCCGGAGCUCCUCCGCGCGCUUCUCAAUGUCGACUCCCACCUUCGCGACAAGCGCUUCUUGGGAGGCCAGCUUGGCUUGCCGGGCGCGGUAGAGCAACGUCAGCUUGCGCAGCAGCCGCUCCUCUUCAGGCUCGUCGCUGCUGCUGGGCGCGUCAACCAGCGUCAAUCCGGUGGAAGCGAGCACCUCCCCGUCAAAGGCUUCUCCUUCGACCGGCGCCCUGGAGCUCGAAGCCCAGGGGAGCUUGAUGAAGAUGCCAUCGCCGGCCUUCAGGUAGGCGCCGGGCUGUGGCUCUUCGUAGCCUGGAUCUGCGGCAGCGGCAGGGGGAUCGGCGGUCGGUGCAGCGCCUGGCGCUCCUGCGGCCUCGGUGCUGUCAGUACGAUCGCCGGAUCCCUCGCCGGCUUCUGCGGCGGCAGCCUUGGCGGCCUCUUCGCCGGCGGGUUCAUCAAUGCCGGCCUCUCCUUCAGCGGCCUCGGUUUCCAUCGGCUUAGCGGCGGAUGGAUCUGAGGGACGAAGAAGGGAGAGAAGUCAAGAAAAUAUGCAAAAGGAAAGUUAGAAAAAGAAAAAUCCAAGGGCAAGUUUGUAGGCAAGUGGAUUACCUGUGCUAGGGUCUGCAGUCGUGGUCUCGACCACCGGAGGAUCACUGGCGCUGUCCCUUGCCGGAGAAUUGUCCCUUGCCGCAGAGUUCUCCCUUGACGGAGAGCGCUCCCUUGCCGGGGACUCCUCCCUUGGCGGCAUAGUCGAAGCAGAUGACACUUCGGGAGCAGCUUCCGGGCACUCCUGGUGAGGCUGUUCUGCUCCUACACAAAUCAACAGUCGAGAUAUCAGUAGAGAGAAGAGCACCCAUGAGCGCCUGUCAGCAAGAAGCAAACCAUGUACUUACGCUGGGGGCUGCGCUAGGGGCUGCCUUGGGGAGUAGCUGCCGGGUGCGUCAAGGUGGUCUCGGACACACCCCCUGCUGACACAGUGGGAUCGUCCUCGAUGACAAUCACCGCGGCCUUGGCUCUCUUCUCCACUCUCUGGGCCAGCGUCCUGAAAAGGAAUGGAUUCAGAUCGAAGCAAGUCAGAUACAAGACGAAAGCAACAAAGACAACAAAGGUUGAAGGAUUACAAAUACGACAAGGGGAUCUGACUAUUCUUCUUCGUCGUCGGAGCUGAGCGCGGAGAGAUUGAAGUCCGGCUCGCCUCCGGUGCGGCGAGGCGGAGGAGUAGGCUCCCUUGCCCGCUUGGCAGGGGCAGGCGCGGUGGACCGGGAAGAUCCCGCUCCGAUUGCCGCAGCGGUGUGAGGUGCUCCCACAUCAAUAGUGCUUGCCGCGGUCGAGCGCGUCGCGCGCUGUGACGGCUGUUGACUCGUAUGCCGCCCCGCCACAUCCCCGGCCCUGCGGAGACGCCUCCUUGCCGGGGCCGGGGGCUCCGCCUGCGGCAGACUGUCUGAAGGUUCGGGCUCUUCCUCGCCGGGCUCGCUCGCCUCAGUUUCAGGGCUGGCAAGAUCUUCCUCGCCGGCAAACUCCUCGCGCUCGGCAAGGCUUGCCGCCUCUGCUGCCUCUGCUUCCUCCACGGUGAACCCGAACUCACCCGCGGGAGCUGCUGCCGCAGCCUCCUCUGUCCUGGUGGCGAUGCGCUGCAGCUCCGCGUCGGUGGUGUCGCGGGUGAGGCUUUUCUGCUCGUCAGCGCAGACCCGCACUUCUUCCAAGUUGUCGAAGAACGCCCGCACGACGUCAUCCGCAGGCUCUUGCCAAGUUGGAACGAUUCCGUGGGAAUCGCACAACGGCAUCAUGGCGCAGAUCCGGUCAAGCGAAGAAUUAUUGCACAAUGGAACAACGCUCCUCGGCAAAACGAAUGGGUGCUGGGGAUCGCGUUUGAACAGCUCCAGGAGCAUUGCAUCCAGCUCCAGGACGGUGAAAUUGAAAUUGAGGCCUGGCCGCAACCUCAUGAUGUCCGCCGAGUUCUUAAAUUCCCAGGCGGGUCUCCCCCUCUCCUACAGGGAGGCGAUGCGGCGGCAAACGAAAUCUGCGCCAAUAGCGCCUACGGUGCACCCGGCAAGCCUGAGGCGAAGGAUUCGGGUGAUGGCGAUCUUCAGCCUCUCGUCUUUCGGGGCCAUGUUGCUCCAAUCGUUGCCGCGCACUAUGGGGGCUUGGCGCAGGGCAGUGAACGGCUGCGAGUUCUCCUCGAUGAUCCAGCACCACUCCGCUCUCCACUCCUCCCAUUUGCUGCGAAGCUCACCCUCCAGAUACGCUUCCUUCUUGCCGACUCUCGAGAUCCAGGCGAUCCCUCUGGCAAGUGGCUCUCCUCUCUCGACCCGAGGCAUGAAGAAGUGGCGGAAAAGGGCUACAUUGGGGUGGACUCCGACAAAGUUUUCGCACAAAUGUGCGAAAACUGCCAUGGUCAGGACGGCGUUGGGGGUGAAAUCAAGGAGGCGGAACCCGUAGGUGUUCAUUAUGUCGCAGAAGAAUUCCGAGAAGGGCAGGCACAGCCCGCAAUAGAAGAACAAUGCGAAAAAUGGGUACCCGUUUGGAGCCAGUUCCGAUGCGGCGGCCGGGAGCACCUUCGUGCGCGGGUGCGCUCGCGUCUCCGUCGACCAGAAGAGGUAAUAGUACUCCCUCUGCUCCUUGGCGUCGAGCUGAGGGGGGAAGAUGGCCCGCUCCUUCCGCAGCGCCGCGAGCCACUGCGCCUCGGCCGACUUCACGCCCUUCCCCUUGUCGGCUUUCGGAGCCAUGGCGGAGGUGGCGGGGGAAGUCGACGGCGUUGGUGGUGCUGGUGGCGACCGGGGGCGGAGCGCUGCUCUCUUUCAGCUUUGAGAAGAAAGGGGGAGCGACGGAGAUUUUCGAGGAAGGAGUAACAACCGGCGAAGUGGGGAAACUACCCCUGUUUCCCCUUCUUAUAAAGAGGGAGGGGGCGGACGUUUCACCCUUCCGAAUAAAGCACCCCCCACGAUCUCUCCCACGAUGCCGCACUCAACGCGUGCCGUUGGGGGAGGGCGCGGUGGAUACGGAGUAAGAUACGGCGUGGCCCAGGCCGCGUGUGCUCGUGCCCUGUUUUGGGCCUGGCCCAACAGUGCUCGGCAUCGUUUAUGGCCCAGGCCCGGGGGCUCCUGUCGAUGUACUAGAGUAGGGGUACCCUAGUACCCCGAACUUGUGCAUGGGCAGUUGCAGUCCGCCGCGGCAAGGGCUUGCCGGGUGACCGCCAAGAUACUCCGUGGCUCCCUCGGAGCCGUUCAAGAACAAAGUACCCAAGUAAAGAAGACAAGGCCCCGGCAAGAGGAGCUUGCCGGGAAGGCCAACCGAGGAAUCUCAAGGAACUUGCAGCGACGCACCACGCGUCCCAGCAAGGCCCGGCGAGCGACAAGCUUCCGGGCGCGACAAGACCACGACCGCGAUAAGAAGCUUGCCGCGGCAGGCGGCCGCUCUGUGCCCACGCUCUAGCGCAUCCACCAACGUGUCGCCCUGGGGGCCUUUCCAGGCGCGCGUGGCGGAAGGCUGUGCAGCCAGCGGUGCGCGGUGGCAUGCGACGCUGACAAGAUCGCCAUCGUGGCGAAUGGUGGCGCCCCUAACGGUCCUUUUCUGCACUGUUUGGGCGACACAGACGGGCAUUUAAUGCCCUUGUCCCCUGCCGUCAGGGUUAGGUAGGGUGCACUAUGCAGACAACUAUACCAACCACCUCUCUUUUUACGUUUUUACCCUUCUUUACAUUGCCACCUGUCGGUGACCCCUUGAGCGUAUAAAAGGAGGCCCAUGUGCAACGUACAGGGGGUUCGGCUCAGUUCGAAGCAGAAACACUCACGCUCGGUCUCGUUAGCUGCUCACGUGUGCUGUAACACUCAGCGCUCCCGAGCAAGAACACAAUACAAUCAGACAAGUAGCAGUAGGAGUAUUAUCUCUCCGGAGAGCUCCGAAGCUGGGUAAACUGCUCGUGUGCUUCGCCUCGAUCUGCUCUUCGUGCGACCUCCGCCCCCCGCCGAACCGAAAGGGUCUCAGUCCGCCGGUCCCAUAGGUGUUCGUGGAUCAGUUUCCCCGACACAUGACUAUACUAAAGUGCAAACAUGCAACAACACUCAUCAUAUCAAGAGUUCAAGCAUGCUUGCCUGGUUCGGAGAAGUCGGAGUUUAACUGUGUGAAGUUUGCCGCUCCGUCACCUCCUCCGGUAUCUAUAGUAUAAGAGAAAUACGUACGUAACGUAAAUACCAUGAGUGUACAGAAAAGUGUUCCAAAUAUUUUUCAAAUAAAUAUGGCAAACAACUAGACGAAAAAAUAAAGAUGACAGAAAAGGAAUCAAUCAAAAAUCAUUUUCUCUUAAAAAGUUAUAAGAGUUUUGGUCCGAGGACCCAUCUGUAAUGAAACAGAAAGUUUCCAGGGGGCUCUGCGGAAAAGUCCAGAAUAACGUUUCGUUUAAACGAAACAGCUGUGAGGCUGACAUGCGGGCUCCACCUAUCGGGUUUGAAAUUUCAAACGGAGAAAUAGAGCGUGACGGCGCCCAAGAGGUGCGGUGGUCGCCGGCGGCGAUCCACGGCGAGGCAAGGUGAUCGGGGGUUACCUUCGAGAUCAGUGCACCAUUCUGCGUCCGUGGGUGGUGGUGGUGGUCGCCGGCGAGCACUGUGUCGAUGGCGGCCCUUGCUCCGGCGGACGGCGGUUCGGGCAGUCGUGGAUCUCGCCGGAGGGAGCUGCGGUGAUCAAAUAGGAGUGGGGGUUAGUCUCCUAGUUGCUCGAGAGGGUUGCUGACGAAGUUAGGGCAUUGGAGACGGCCUCACCGGAGCGAAUCAAGGUGGAGGCCAAAGCGGAAUGGGGCGGCCGGAAUCAGGGAAGAAGGGCCCCUCGAGGCUCUCCCAGUGGCUAGGCGGGGUCUAGUAAGGUGGUGGAGUCGUGCGGGGGCGAGAGCAGGCUCGGGGGGUGCUAUAUGUAGCCGGCCCGAGUCGGUUGCCACGAACGGAUAAGUCCGGCGAGUGGAUUACGGCGGCGCUAUGGCUGGACGGGCGGCUUAGGAGCUUGAGCAUAGCCUUGGUGGAGUAGUGGUGCCAUUUUAGGGUCCAGCUCAGCACGGGAGGAACGUUUACGGCCUGCCCUCGACGGAACGGCCGCACGGCCUGUCGGCGGCAGAGAACGCGCUCUGCGCGUGCCAGGCCACGGCGACGGUGCCGCAUGCGUGCGCUGGCAAGGAGGUGGCCACGCGGAGCUACCAGGACGCUUGGGCGGCGCCGAACGGCGUUGAGCCGCCGUUUUUCUCCCUGUCGGCCGUUACGGUGCUACGGCCGCCGCAAAGCACAUCGGCGCAGGCGGGCCAGGGUGCCACUGACGCCCGGAAGGCGCCAAGCGCGCGUGUGAAGCUCCGGACAAGCAGGCCAGGCUGUGAGCAACGUGCCAAGGGCACUGUGGACAUGUGACUGAAGUUACUGACGGAGAAUGACACUGACCUCUGAAUUUACUGAAUGUGAAUAGUACUAGUGCAUGCAAAGUGUUCGACAGAAUGAUUCUGGCAUCUAGGGAUUUUUCCUUAAGCUGAUUUUUGGUGGAGUGGUCUCUUAUUGCAACUAGAGGUUUCCUGAAUUUUGGUGGAAUUUUUGGAGAAGUGUAGAUAUGAAUUUCACCAAAUUUGGAAAAUCUGGUCCAAACUUGCAGAGAGUGAAAUUUGAAAUAUUUGAAAAGAAGAUGAGUGGAUCAAGAUGGUUCUGGGUUGUGGGUACAAAGGACUAUCCAGGGGUGUUGAGUUGAGGUCAAAAAUCAAAAGCAUUAGGGUACUUGCUUUGCAAAUCACCUAGGCCCAAAAGAAAAGACAGAAUUAUUUUGGAAGGAGAAAUAAUUGGAAUAAAAUACAAAAAUGGAUUUUAUUAGUUUGGACAGAAUGCUUGGGUAGUACCAAAGUGGGAGGAGGGGUUUUUGGGGGAGUUUUACCAUAGGAGGCAUGGUAAAACCAGAGUGGAUCAAAAUCAAAUGAAAGACCAAAAAUCAAAAAGGUUUUGUUUUUAAAAGAAACUAAAUUCAACAAAAAGAUUUUUGAGAGGGCAAACUUAGAAGAUGGUUUUUAGGAAGGGUUUAAAUGACCUUCUUUCAAACCAAGCAAGGCUCUUUCUGAAAACAAAAUUUCACAAAAUUUUUGGAGUGUCACAGCACCUACCCCCUUAGGAAAAAUCUCGUCCCCGAGAUUUCAGAUGAUCCUUAAACAGGUGUGGGUGCUCUGUCCGAAGAAAAUCCUCGCUCUCCCAGGUUGCUUCAUUCUCGGUGUGAUUACUCCACUGAACUCUGAAAAACUUAAUGGUUUUCUGUCGGGUCCUCCUCUCAGACUCUUCUAAUAUUUUUAUUGGGUGCUCCCGGUAUGUGAGGUCCGGUUGUACGUCAAUAUUCUCAUGUGAAACUUGCUUCUCUGGGUUGCUCACGUAUUUUCUCAACUGCGAGAUGUGAAACACGUUGGAGAUACCGGAUAAGUCUCCGGGUAGGUCUAGCUGGUAGGCUACCAUGCCUCUUCGGGCCACUAUAUGAAAUGGUCCGAUGAAUAUUGGUGCUAGUUUCCCCUUAAUCCUGAAUCGUUGUAGACCCUUCAUAGGAGAAACUCUCAGAUAUACCAAUUCUCCGGGUCCAAAACUGAUUUCCCGAUGCUUUCGGUCGUAAUAACUCUUUUGCCGACUUUGAGCUGUUUUGAGUCGAUCUCUAAUUGUCUUAACUUUCUCCUCGGCCUCCUUGAGCAUAUCUGGGCCAAAGAUAUGGCUGUCUCCGGUCUCUGACCAAUUUAGCGGGGUACGACAUCUUCUCCCAUAUAGAGCUUCAAAGGGUGCCAUUUGCAAGCUGGCUUGAUAGCUGUUGUUGUAUGUGAACUCUGCAUAUGGCAAGCUUUCUUCCCAACUGUUCCCGUAGGUGAGGACACAGGCUCUCAGCAUGUCUUCUAGGAUUUGGUUUACACAUUCCGUCUGCCCAUCAGUCUAGGGAUGGUAUGCGGUACUGAAGGCCAGUUGGGUUCCCAGUGCCUGUUGUAGGUGAUCCCAAAAUAUAGAGACGAACUGUGUGCCUCUAUCGGAGAUGAUUGUCUUAGGGACUCCAUGCAGGCAGACGAUACGGGCAAGAUAAAGUAUGGCCAGUCUCUGAGUGGUGUAAGUUGUCUUUACCGGAAUAAAAUGUGCCACCUUGGUUAAUCUGUCGGUUAUGACCCAUAUGGCAUCGUUUCCGUGUCGUGAUCGUGGCAGUCCAACGAUAAAGUCCAUUCCAAUCUCGUCCCAUUUCCACUCGGGUAUCUUAUUUGGCUGUAAUAGUCUGGCUGGUUUCUGGUGCUCGGCCUUGAUACGUUGACAAGAGUCACAUCAUGCAAUGAACGUGGCUAUAUCUCUCUUCAUACCAUGCCACCAAAAAAAAUCCUGAAGGUCCUUGUACAUUUUUGUCCCUCCAGGAUGGAUUGAAUAUGGAGCUGUGUGACUUUCAGUCAAUAUCUGCUGUUUGAGGUCCUUGACAUUUGGUACGCAUAGCCUCUCUCCGUACCACAAUAUUCCUUGCUCAUCUAUGUUGAAUUCUGAGGCUCUCCCCAAACUCACUUUUCUUUUUAUGCCCUCAAUGCUGGGGUGUCCGUGCUGGGCUUCCUUGAUCCUUUCCAUCAGGGUAGGCUGUAUUUCUAUAUUCGACACACUGCCUUCGGUAACCAUUAUUAGAUUGAGUCGGGCAAAUUCCUGCUGAAAUUCUGGCCUCAACUUUGGUAUACUGUCGUCGUCCAUGCUGGUAUUUCGACUAAGUGCAUCUGCCACAACAUUUGCUUUUCCGGGAUGAUAGUGGAUUCCAACAUCAUAAUCCUUCACCAACUCUAACCAGCGUCGUUGCCGUAAAUUUAACUCUGGCUGGGUGAAAAUAUACUUAAGACUCUUAUGGUCUGUGUAUAUCUCACAAUGAUUCCCAAGUAGAAAGUGUCUCCAUUCCUUGAGUGCAUGGAUGACCGCUACUAAUUCCAAGUCAUGAGUGGGAUAAUUCUCCUCAUGCUUGCGUAGUUGUCUAGAGACAUCCGCAACUACCUUGCCUUCUUGCAUCAAUACGCAUCCGAGGCCUUUCCGGGAUGCGUCACAAUAUACCUCAAAAUUCUUGUGUAUAUCUGGCACAAUUAGUACUGGUGCCGUUGUUAAUCUGCUUUUUAGCUCUUGGAAGCUUUUCUCACAUGCUUCUGUCCAUUCAAACUUCUUGCCUUUCUUGAGCAAUUGUGUCAUGGGCUUUGCUAUAGUGGAGAAUCCUUCAAUAAAUCUCCGAUAAUAGCCUGCCAUUCCCAAGAAACUCCGUACGUCCAUUACGUUACCUGGUGGUUUCCAGCCAAGUACGGCCUUGACUUUUUCCGGGUCCACUGCAAUACCUUCUUGGGUUAGCACGUGGCCCAGAAAACCCACCUGCCUUAGCCAAAAUUCACAUUUGCUGAAUUUGACGUACAGUUGAUGUUUCCUGAGUUCCCCGAGUACAACCUUGAGAUGUUCGGCGUGCUCUUCUGUUGUUUUGGAAUAUAUCAUAAUAUCAUCAAUGAAUACUACAACAAACUUGUCCAUAUACUUCAUAAAUACAUUGUUCAUGAGGUGAACAAAAUAUGCGGGGGCGUUGGUUAGCCCGAAUGGCAUUACUGUGAACUCAUACAGUCCAUAUUUGGAGGUGAAGGCGGUCUUGGGAAUAUCUUCUGUUCGUACUUUUAAUUGGUGGUAUCCUGAUCUCAAGUCAAUUUUUGAGAAGACUUUGGCCUGUGCGAGCUGAUCGAAUAAAUCAUUUAUUCGGGGCAUUGGGUAUUUGUUCUUGAUUGUGACCAAUUUGAGAGCCCGAUAAUCAAUACACAACCUCAUUGUUCCAUCCUUCUUCUUGGCAAAUAAAAUUGGAGAACCCCAAGGUGAGGAGCUGGCUCGUAUGUUCCCUUUCUCCAACAAUUCUUUUAUUUGCUUCUUCAACUCUACCAAUUCGGAUGGUGCCAUUCUGUAAGGUUUCUUGUAAAUAGGAGCGGUUCCGGGUGCUAGCUCAAUGCUGAAUUCUAUCUCUCGGUCUGGUGGCAUGCCUGGUAGUUCUUCUGGAAAUACGUCUGGGAAUUCACAUACUACUGGAACCUUGUUCAUCUCGGAAACAUCCACCUUGUUUAUUCUAGGUUGCCGAGGUAUUUGUCUCUCUUUGGCUGAAACUUUUAUUUUCUUCCCAUGAUGGUGUGUGAGAAUCACGGUAUGGUUGAAGCAGUCAAUAAAACCUUUGUUGGUGGUUAACCAAUCCAUUCCUAGGAUCCAGUCCUUUGCUUUCUAGUACAAUAAGGUUGGCGUAAAACUUCAAUCCUUCAAAUUCAAUAAUCACACCUUGACAGUAACUCUGGGUCACUUGCUUAAUUCCAGGGGACUUGAUGAUCAUUGAUUUUUCCAAGGGAAGCAUCGAAAAAUUAUUUUGCCAAGCAAAACUUUUCGAAACAAAUGAGUGAGAAGCUCCAGAAUCAAACAAAACCACGGCAGGUAUUGUGUUGACGGGGUACAUACCGAGUACGAUAUGUGGGGCGUUCUGUGCUUCCUCUCGGGUCACGUGGUUCAAGUGACCUUUCCGGUGGUUGUUGUUGGGGUUGAAAUUGCUUCGCUUUGGUGCUGAAUUAUUGCCACCAUUAUUGAGCUUCGGGGUUGAGCUACUUGGCUUGGGGCACUGCUUGACAUAGUGCCCUUCUUCUCCACAAGCAUGAUAGGUAACGCCUGGGCGAUAGGUGAAUUCUUUGUCUCUUGCAUGGAAAUUCUUGAUUGGACGUGAAUUUUCCGUCGGGGUUUUGUGUGUUCUACCCUUCUGAAUUUCCGUCUUGUUUCUGGGGUUGCGAGCAAAAGUAGUCUGGUCCCUUUUGCGUUUGCGGAAAUCUUCCAGGCUAUGUCGCUCAUUUUCCAGAGUAAUGGCCUUAUCCACCAGUGUUUUAAAAUCUGGAAAGGUAUGCACAACUAGCUGGCACUUAAGGGCAGGUGCCAAGCCUUCCAAGAAUUUUUCCAUCUUCUUGCUCUCGGUCAUGCGUUCUUCAUUGGCGUAGUGAGACAGCAGAGUGAAUUGGUUGUUGUAUUCUGACACUGUCAUGGCCCUUUGCUUGAGUUCAUCAAAUUCUUUCUUCUUGAUUUUCAUGACGCUCUUAGGAAUAUGUGCCCCACGAAAACCUUCCUUGAAAUUUUCCCAUGUGAUUUCAUUUUCGUUGGGGUGCAUGUGCAGGAAGUUUUCCCACCAUGAUGUGGCUGCUCCUAUGAGAUAAUGUGGUGCAUACAAUACUUUUUCACGGUCUGAACACUGUGCGAUAAUUAAUUUUCUCUCCAUGUCUCAAGCCAGUCCUCGGCCUCAAGAGGCUUGUCAGUAUGAGAAAAUGUUGGAGGACGCGUCUUUUGUAACUUAGAUAAUUUGGAUUGCGAUUGAUACUGACCAUGGUUACUUCCCAUAUUGAUGAAUUGGUUCAUCAUUUCUUGGUGUUGAUGCUGACUCUGUUCAUACAAACGACAAACUUGUGUAAAAGUUGUUUCACUGCCCUGUUGACUUGUCUGACCCUGAGUGAAAUUGUGGUUCUGCGGUGUGCCAUAAUUUUCUUCUGGCUGAGUUGGCAUGGAGCGCGUCCAAGGACGAGACAUCUUUCACUCUGGGGAUAUAUUUUGUGAACUCGUAAGAUAAGAAAGAGAGCCGCAAAAAUCAAUAAAAUCACACACAAAGAGCAUUUUAAAUUCUAGGAUAUUUUUGGAAACACACGAUUGCGCGCGGAGAAGGACUAUUACAUAUCUUACAUGCGGGCAUAAUUAUACAUUACAUCACUCAGGAUAUGCGCACAUAAACCUGACAUGUUAUUUAAACUAGUGCACUCCUCCAGAUCCUACAUAAUGCGCAAACAGGCUACUUCUCACAACCUAUGUACAUAUAAACAUAUUACACAAGUCGAUACAUCGCAUGGCGUCUACGCGUACUCAGUCGGAGAUGGUGAGGAUCUGCCUUGGCCUGCCGAGGGUGAGACGCAGUGACGUUGGGGAAUCAACUUCCUCCUCACUAACAGGUUCCAGACGAGGAACGCUGCCUGAGCUGAUGGAGUAGGUGUCGUAGGUAGAGUACCCUGAAUAAAAGUGGGCGGAAUAGGUGGAGUAGCACGUAUGGGAGUGGGUGCAAAAAGUGGUGCAGCGCGAACGGGAGUGGGUGCAAUAGCCUGGUUGAAUUCCUCAGUGGUAGGUAGACGACGUGCAGUAGCGAGAAUGGUAGGCGAAUGAGAAGCUGAGGACGAGAUAAAGGUCAGCGGUGGAGCGGUGUGUAGGAGUUCCCUCCUGUUAGCAGCACAGCCAUGAACUGAGUCCAUGCGGACAGCUACGAGGUCGUCCACCAUGUUGUCAAAAGCUGCCUCCAGGGCUCGGAGGUACUCGACAAGCAUCUCAAAGGCCUCGUCUUGCUCUCAUCUGGGGCAAGAGAAUGAGUAGUGACAGGUGUAAGGAACAUGGCAUGGAAGGUAGCGAUAGCGACGGGUCUUCAUUGUAGGAAGGACAUCCCGAAGACGAGCUAUCGCCUCGCGGGCUGCCAUCUGCAUAGCAUGCCUCUCUGUAGGCAUGGCUCUCCCCAAGAAACGGAAGCGGCACAUCUCAACACGCCCUCCCCUGAAUUGCACCGCGGCUUGGUGCAUGGUCAGACUGUCGUUGAUCUUGUGUGGAUAAAGCGUGAAGACUGGGCGAACGGAUGGCCCCAUCACGACCUGAACGAUGAAGGAGAGGAGUUUGACGAACCCCUCUGGCAUGUUGGCGAACAUUUGAGACUCGCAGUCGCUGCCAGUCAUCUACAAAAGUAGGCAAAAAUUCUGAGUGAUCAGAUCAUAAAUUUUUAUGCUGACUGUCAGAAAGAUGACUACAUUUUGUAAAAACAAGAAUAAACACUGUCAUGCUAAUAAUUAAAUUAGCGAUUGCACCUAGUGGCUUCCUACAGUCAGCCUGGCUCUGGUUACCAAGUCUGUCACGACCGACUUUUUCAAUAAAUAACUAUUGAGAAAAUCGAUCUUUAAAUCCCAGUAUAGGAAAAGUCAUCCUUCUGGUAGACAAAGCUUGAUAAACAGAGAACCAGUAGCAUCAAAUAUAUUACAGGGCUGAGCUAAGGCUGCUCAACAAUUUAUACAAACUUGCCAAUAUCUUACAUAAGGGCGGUUAUGACACAGGGGUGUGGUGGCAUGCUACUAGCUCGAGGAUAAGUGGUGGAUAACUUGACUCCUAACUGGCAGCUCAUCGAGCGUCAAGGUGAGGCUCGAUGAAUUUUAUUCUGGGGUUGCGGAAGCGGAUAAUACAGUGAUCAAAACAGGAUCGCACGGGACUGACUGGGACUCCUCUAGGCGUCGGACUCGCUAUCAAACUCUUCAUCCAUGAGAUCACCUUCAUCAACAUCUGGACAAAUCAACAAGCCAGGUGAGUACUUUGGAAGUACUCGCAAGACAGUUCGGACAAAAGAUAUAAUCAAUGAAUGCAUGAAUGCGUCAUGAAUAAAGGAUGAUGCUCAUAUAUCAACGAUAAUAUUGCAGGACUUGAUAAAUAAAAUAAAUGACUGAAAACCGAUCGGGUGUCUGGAGCGACGCCUCGAAAGGUAAAUAAAUAAAAUGCAUGCCACAGUCGGGCGUCUAAGCGACACCACAUAAAGGGCUUAAAAGAAAUGCCACAGUCGGACGUCUGAGCGACAUCACAUAAAGGGCUUUAAAAGAAAUGCCACAGUCGGAUGUCUGAGCGACAUCACAUAAAGGGCUUUAAAAUAAAUGCCACAGUCGGACGUCUGAGCGACAUCACAUAAAGGGCUUUAAAAGAAAUGCCACAGUCGGACGUCUGAGUGACAUCGCAGAUAGGGCUUGCAACAAAUGUAAAUAACAGACAUGCCACCGUCGGACGUCUAAGCGACAUCACUGACAGGGCUUGUAAUAAACGUAAAUGACAGGUAUGCCACCGUCGGACGUCUGAGCGACAUCACAGACAGGGCAGGUAAUAAAUGUAAAUAACAAGAUUAGUCCAUCCACAACAAUAAUCUUUUAAUCGGAUGUAUCACACAUAAAUCCCACCGGAGUUUUGUCACUGAGGAUGAUACCUGACAAGAUAAGAUGAAUAUAGUAAUUGAACAAAGUACAAGAUAAUUGAAAGAUUUGAGACUCUGCAGAGUUUGGAUGAACUGACCACAGCCAACGGAUUUUCGUAGUCACGAAGGACUAGUUCUGUUUACGGUAUUUCAGUAGAAACACAUUUAACUAGUACACACCCAUUCCACCUCACGAUGCCAAGAAUCACCCUGGACAACGUCCAAGAAAAACUUUGAGACGGGGAGGCCACAACCUCGAAUAGCAUGGGAUCAAAUUUCUAUACGCGCGCUCUAAGGGGUGCCCCCCUCUCGGUCCCAACCGGAAACACCCAUGCCCCCUGACCGGAUGACGAGCUUUAAUCCAGGGCCAUGGAACCCUCAUCCCGGCCUCUCUAAUUGGUGUUUACCAGGAAAACAAUUUGCAAAUUACUAUGCCAUAUUCCUUUCGGAAAACAUGUGACAGUAUAGGAAGGAAUGAAUGGAAAUGUGAUUUGUUUGACGAUGACAUGGAAGUCAAAUAAUCUGGCAUAAGACUGGCAUGUCACAACACUGCCAUCUUACCCAUCCUCAUGCCAAAACAUGGCUAUGCAAAUAUGUAUCCAACAACAUAAUGCUUUCCGAAACUUACUUUCCGCUCAUGUGCAUGAAAUAUAACUUUCAAAGUGUUGUUCAUAAACAUGCCAUGACUAUACUAAAGUGCAAACAUGCAACAACACUCAUCAUAUCAAGAGUUCAAACAUGCUUGCCUGGUUCGGAGAAGUCGGAGUUUAACUAUGUGAAGUUUGCCGCUCUGUCACCUCCUCCGGUAUCUACGGUAUAAGAGAAAUACGUACGUAACGUAAAUACCGUGAGUGUACAGAAAAGUGUUCCAAAUAUUUUUCAAAUAAAUAUGAGAAAAAACUAGACAGAAAAAUAAAGAUGACAGAAAAGGAAUCAGUCAAAAAUCAUUUUCUGUUAAAUAGUUAUAAGAGUUUUGGUCCAAGGACCCAUCUAUAAUGAAACAGAAAGUUUCCAGGGGGCUCUGCGGAAAAGUCCAGAAUAACGUUUCGUUUAAACGAAAUGGCUGUGAAGCUGACAGGCGGGCUCCACCUGUCGGGUUUGAAAUUUCAAACGGAGAAACAGAGCGCGACGGCGCCCGAGAGGUGCGGUGGUCGCCGGCGGCGAUCCACGGCGAGGCAAUGUGACCGGGGGUUACCUUCGAGAUCAGUGCACCGUUCUGCGUCCGUGGGUGGUGGUGGUGGUCGUCGGCGAGCACUGUGUCGACGGCGGCCCUUGCUCCGGCGGACGGCGGUUCGGGCAGUCGUGGAUCUCGCCGGAGGGAGCUGCGGUGAUCAAAUAGGAGUGGGGGUUAGUCUCCUAGCUGCUCGAGAGGGUUGCUGACGAAGUUAGGGCGUCGGAGAUGGCCUCACCGGAGCGAAUCGAGGUGGAGGCCGAGGCGGAACGGGGCGGCCGGAGUUGGGGAAGAAGGGCCCCUCGAGGCUCUCCCAGUGGCUAGGCGGGGUCUAGUGAGGUGGUGGAGUCGUGCGGGGGCGAGAGCAGGCUCGGGGGUGCUAUAUAUAGCUGGCCCGAGUCGGUUGCCGCGAACCGAUAAGUCCGGCGAGUGGAUUACGGCGGCGCUGUGGCUGGACGGGCGGCUUAGGAGCUUGAGCAUAGCCUAGGUGGAGUAGUGGUGCCAUUUUAGGGUCCAGCUCAGCACGGGAGGAAGGUUUACGGCCUGCCCUCGACGGAACGGCCGCACGGCCCGUCGGCGGCAGAGAACGCGCUCUGCGCGUGCCAGGCCACGGCGACGGUGCCGCAUGCAUGCGCUGGCAAGGAGGUGGCCACGCGGAGCUACCAGGAUGCUUGGGCGGUGCCGAACGGUGUUGAGCCGCCGUUUUGCUCCCUGUUGGCCGUUACGGUGCUACGGCCGCCGCAAAGCACGCCGGCGCAGGCGGGCCAGGGCGCCACCGACGCCAGGAAGGCUCCAUGCGCGCGUGUGAAGCUCCGGACAAGCAGGCCAGGCUGCAAGCAACGUGCCAAGGGCACUGUGGACAUGUGACUGAAGUUACUGACGGAGAACGACACUGAACUCUGAAUUUACUGAAUGUGAACAGUACUAGUGCAUGCAAAGUGUUCGACAGAAUGAUUCUGGCAUCUAGGGAUUUUUCCUUGAGCUGAUUUUUGGUGGACUGGUCUCUUAUUGCAACUAGAGGUUGCCUGAAUUUUGGUGGAAUUUUUCGAGAAGUGUAGAUAUGAAUUUCACCAAAUUUGGCAAAUCUGGUCCAAACUUGCAAAGAGUGAAAUUUGAAAUAUUUGAAAAGAAGAUGAGUGGAUCAAGAUGGUUCUGGGUUGUGGGUAAAAAGGACUAUCCAGGGGUGUUGAGUUGAGGUCAAAAAUCAAAAGCAUUAGGGUACCUGCUUUGCAAAUCACCUAGGCCCAAAAGAAAAGACAGAAUUAUUUUGGAAGGAGAAAUAAUUGGAAUAAAAUCCAAAAAUGGAUUUUAUUAGUUUGGACAGAAUGCUUGGGUAGUACCAAAGUGGGAGGAGGGGUUUUUGGGGGAGUUUUACCAUAGGAGGCAUGGUAAAAGUAGAGUGGAUCAAAAUCAAAUGAAAGACAAAAAAUCAAAAAGGUUUUCUUUUUAAAAGAAACUAAAUUCAAGAAAAAGAUUUUUGAGAGGGAAAACUUAGAAGAUGGUUUUUAGGAAGGGUUUAAAUGACCUUCUUUCAAACCAAGCAAGGCUCUUUCUGAAAACAAAAUUUCACGAAAAAAAUUUGAGUGUCACAUUUAACUCAUUAAGACAAGCUCCAAGAUCACAAGACCUCUACAGUCAGCAAAAGUGCCAUGUCAGUCGACAGAAAUAAAGGACAAUUGACGGAGAAAAGCUAAUCUAAGACUGCUAUCGAAUCAAAUAUCCAACAAGUAGUCUCAGGGACUACACCCAGUGGGAGCACUUAGCGUGCCCCCACUGGUUCAGAUAAAUACUCAGUAGGGUCUGCCUAGCGUGAGUCCAAAAAAAAGAGAGAUACAUUCUAAGACCGCAGUCGACUGCCAGCAGUCGACCGUGGUCUCGGGGAAUACACCCAGUGGGUGCACUUAGUGUGCCCCCACUGGUUCAGAUCAAUACUCAGCAGGGUCUGCCCAGCGUGAGUUCAGACAGUCUACUAAGAUUCAACUCAAGUCGAGUGGAAUGGAAAAUUUUCCAGGCUAUAUGCAACAAAACACCCCAGUGGGUGAUCAGAUAUAAGACAAUAUUCGACAGGUCAGUCGGAGUCUUGCUGACCUAAACAUUGGCCUGAAGGGCAGUACUGGCGUUGUAGGCCACCUGGCUAGCCUCGUGCACCACCUUCACCUGCUCCAUGACAAGGUCCACCUGGCGAAGAGCUUCCCUGGCUACACUCGGCGAGUCAUCCGGACUCGGAUACACAGUAAAAAGUGAUGGUUACAGAGCAGCUUGAGCGGUCGCCGAGUCAGAGGUGUGAAGUUGCACUGGAGCGGCAGGAGUCGGAGCAGUCGAGCCCUCCGGACGAUCAGUCAUCAGCGGGCUGGCGAACAUGACUCUGGUCCGAACAGGCUCCCCGGAGUGUUCGACCACCGCCUCGAGCUCCGGUGUCGACUGAGGGACCUGAACUUCAAGCCUCCUCCUGCCGGAGCUUCCACCCUUCCUCCUCCUCUCCCGUAGAGGCGGCUCUUCUUCAUCGUCAGGGAGCACAACAACUUCUUCCAGAACUACAGAAAGAGAGAAAUGACAGAAAAUCUGCCGAUUGACGAUCUACUCAACUCAAUGAGGCUUGGUCGAUCAGACUUACCGACUCGUGAGGUGGCCUCUUCAUCUCAUGGUGCCUUAUCAAUGUCCAUGUCAGUGGCAGCAGAGGUGGGACUGGAAAGACACACGAAUUGGUUGGUCAGAACAAGAAAAUCUUCAGUCGAGCUACGGAAACGCAAACAAGAUACUCACCCCGAAGCAACAGGGACGUCCAUCUUGAUCCGUGGCAAUGUCUUUCGAGCUUUGGGAGGAGCGACUUUAGGCUGCUUGGCCACCUUCUCCGUCGGCUCCAGAGUCGACGUUCGAGCGUGCUUCUGGGUAGUGGCACUCGGAGCCACGCUUUUCCCGCGCCCGCCAGACGGGUCAUGCUGCUGUUUGGAUAGACGUUCAGAAUGAGGCGGCGAGUCGACCUCUUCCUCCUCGUCCAACUCCUCGCUCUCCUCCUCCUCCUAUUCUCUCGGAGACUCCCACUCACCACUCUCCUCAGCACUGUCCUCCCCUCCUGGUAUUGUGCCAAAGCAUGUUCACCCUUGGGCAUUGAAUGCAUCUCAGUGAAUACCUGCAAAGCAAACCGAUCGAGCAAGAGUCAGCCAACAUCAAGUACAGUCGGAACGCGAGCGGGAAACAGUCGGAACAAAGAGUGUACCUUGUCGGGUGGGUUGUCUUCACCAAAAGGGGCGACCCGCCUGGAUCCUCUUGGGUUAUCUUGGUUGCCUGUGAUGCCCUUCAACCACAAAGCUACGGUUUCGGGCGGCACUUCUUCUAGAUGGACCCGAGCGGUGUCGUCCGGUCCAGAAUACAGCCACAUCGGGUGAUCGCGAGCCUAGAGAAGCUGGAUGCGCUGAAUGAGGAACACUUCCAGCAAGUCCAGGCCGGUAAGGCCAUCAUUGAUGAGCUGAACCACUCGGUCCACCAACAUCCUCGUCUCCAUGGUCUCGGCAGCGGUUAAUUUCAGCGGAGCAGGAGUCUGGACACGAUCAAACAAGAAGGGGGGAAGACCGAUCGACUGACCUAGAGCUGCGACAUCCUGGCAGUAGAACCAGGAUGACUGCCAACCCCUAACAGAUUCAGGAAGAGUCACAACGGGGAAAGAGCUCCUAUUCCUCUUUUGAAUACCUAAACCCCCGCACAUCUGGAUGACGUGGGUCUUUGAGUCACUCGACUCCGCCUUUUUUACCGAUUGAGAGUGAAUCAUGAAGAUAUGUUUGAAGAGGCCCCAGUGCGGUCGGCACCCUAAGAAGUUCUCGCACAUCGAUACAAACGCAGCCAGGUACGUGAUGGUGUUGGGAGAAAAGUGGUGGAGCUGAGCGCCAAAGAAGUUCAAAAAUCCCUCGAAGAAAGGGUGCGGAGGGAGCGAGAAACCCUGGUCGACGUGAGUGGCAAGUAGAACACACUCACCCGGUCGAGGUUGAGGUUCCGUCUCCCCCUUCGGAAGCCUCACCGCCCCCUUGGCAAUCAGCCCGGACUCCUCCAGUUCGGCCAGAUCCUCCUGCCGGACCGGAGACCGGAUCCAAUCGCCCUGGAUCCAGCCCGGCGGCAGCCCCACGCGCGACGACGACCCGUGGCUCGGCUUCCUGCCCUUCGCCGCCCCCGUUGCCUUCUUAGCACGCUCUAGCGCCGCUGUUUUGUCCUUCACCAUGGCAUGGGAGCAACAGCGUCGAGAGCGGAGGCGCUGGGCGUGGUGGAGAAGCAGAAGAGAAACAAGGAACAACAGGCGUGCACAGUGCAAGCGCCUCGGCCCCGUCGCCUUAUAAAGGGCCACUUCCGAGUGACUGGCCCGCGGGUCCAGGCAAUCCCGUCAAAUCCUGCAAUAGAUGCGCGCAGCUGUAGGAUCAGAAGUAUGUCUAGAGGGGGGUGAUUAGACUACUUGACCAAUUAAACACUUAUCCUUUUUCCCAAUUUUAGUCUUUGGCAGAUUUUAGCUAUCUUAGCACAAGUCAAGCAAUCUUCACACAAUUCAAGCAAGCAUGCAAAGAGUAUAUGAGCAGCGGAAAGUAAAGCAUGCAACUUGUAAGAAUGUAAAGGGAAGGGUUUGGAGAAAUCAAACGCAAUUUGGAGACACGAUGAUUUUUGAGCCGUGGUUCCGAUAGGUGGUGCUAUCGUACAUCCACGUUGAUGGAGACUUCAACCCACGAAGGGUAACGGUUGCGAGAGUACACGGAGGGCUCCACCCAUGAAGUGUCCACGAAUAAGCAACCUUGUCUAUCCCACCAUGGCCGUCGCCCACGAAGGACUUGCCUCACUAGCGGUAGAUCUUCACGAAGUAGGCGAUCUCCUUGCCCUUACAAACUCCUUGGUUCAACUCCAAAAUCUUGUCAGAGGCUCCCAAGUGACACCUAGACAAUCUAGGAGACACCACUCUCUAAGAAGUAACAAUUGGUGUGUUUAUGAUGAACUCCUUGCUCUUGUGCUUCAAAUGAUAGUCUCCCCAACACUCAACUCUCUCUCACAGGAUUUGGAUCUGGUUGAAAGAAGAUUUGAGUGGAAAGCAACUUGGGGAAGGCUAGAGAUCAAGAUUCAUAUGGUAGGAAUGGAAUAUCUUGGCCUCAAGACAUGAGUAGGUAGUUCUCUCUCUCAGAAAUGGUAAGCUGGAAGUGUAUGUUUGUUCUGAUGGCUCUCUCCAUGAAUGAAGAGGAGGUGGAGGGGUAUAUAUAGCCUCCACACAAAAUGUAACUGUUACACACAAUUUAUCAAUCUCGGUGGGACCGAAUCAACAAACUCGGUCGGACCGAUUUAGUAAACCUAGUGACCGUUAGGGUUUUCAGUGGGACCGACAUGCAACUCGGUAGGACCGAUAUGGUUAGGGUUAGGGCAUAACGUAAUCUCGGUGAGACCAAUUACACAAACUCGGGACCGAUUUUGGUAAUAAGCCAACCAGAGAGUUGGUCAGGUAAACUCGGUGGGACCGGUUCGCUCAUUUCGGUUGGAUCGAAAUGUUACGAAAAGGAAACAGAGAGUUUACAUUGCAAUCUCGGUGGGACCGAUAGCUCACUUCGGUUAGACCAAAACGUUAUGAAGGGAAACAGAGAGAUUACAAUUCCAUCUCGGCGAGGCCGAGAUCCCUAUCAGCAAGACCGAUUUGCCUAGGGUUUGUGGCAGUGGCUAUGACAUCUGAACUUGGUGGCGCCGGAUAGAAAGAAUCGGUGGGGCCGAGUUUGACUUUAGGUUUAGGUCAUAUGUGGAUAUGAGAAAGUAGUUGAGGGUUUUUGGAGCAUAUCACUAAGCACUGUGGAGCAAGAAACUCAUUAAGCAACACCUCAUCCCUCCUUGAUAGUAUUGGAUUUUCCUAUAGACUCAAUGUGAUCUUGGAUCACUGAAAUAUAAAAUGUAGAGUCUUGAGCUUUUGAGCUUGAUCCAAUCCUUUUAUCCUUAGUAUUUUGAGGGGUAUCCACUUUCCUCAUCCAUGCCAUGCCAUUCAUUGAGCUUUUCCUGAAAUGUUCAUCUUGGAAUGAUGUUAGCUCAGUGAGCUAUAUGUUGUUAGGAAUUACCAAAACCACCUAGGGAUAGUUGCACUUUCAGCAGCGUACAUGGAGAAAAAGGCGGCACGGUAAUCGAGGCAUCGCUACUUAUCCGAGCCGCUUGUUUUGGCGCUCUCUGGCCCACGCGCUUCUCCAAAAAUUCAUAUCCCGCGAAAUCUGGGAUAUGCCGCAGACAAUCGCGCCCAAGAUCUCAUGCUCUAACACAGCACUCGAUGCUUGAUGUCACCAGUUCAUUCGACGGCUCACUGAAUGGAUUAAGGCGACUGAGUUGACACCGAUCUACCGAUGCAAGCGUUCAGAUUUGCAGAAAGCACUCGCAAAGGCCUGAAGAUCGGAGCAGGCUCAACUUCAGCCUACUUUCCACUCGCACCUUAAUCCAUUCGGGGGCUACUGAUGAGGAUACAAACCUGGUCUAGGGUCAUAGGCCUGACCUAUACGUCCUACCCAAGGUCACUACCCCAGAAGAUAAAAAGACCAAGAGUCAACAGGAGAGCACCGGUCGAGUACGUCGAGUGCAAUCCACUCGACGGUCACCCCCUACCAUCACUUGACUAUAUGGGGAGUCACUCGACUGUAUCGAAGACCAGGAGUCGGAAGAGCACGCAACGGCCAGACGUUCACUCCAUAGUCUUUAUGAGCAUUAAGAAUACUUAAGACUGGCAUUACCAGUAACGCCCCUUACUUUAUGUACAUUAAGCCCCUUGUAAUGGAGGACGGCGGGGGUCCUGGCGCACUCUAUAUAAGCCGCCCCCACCUCUGGGACAAGGGUUCACACCCCCUGUAAUACAACACACAUAAUCCAAUCGACCGCCUCUGGGCACCAAGACGUAGGGCUAUUACUUCCUCCGAGAAGGGCCUGAACUCAUAAACCUCGUGUGUACACAUUCACCAUAGCUAAGAUCUUGCCUCUCCAUACCUACCCCCCUUUCUACUAUCAGUCUUAGCACCACGACACCACCCUCGUGGACAGGGUGUGGGCCCCCUGGCCUUGAUUCUUUCGCCAGUAUUUUUUAUAUUUUCCAAAACUUAUCUUCGUGGAUUUUCAGGUCAUUCCGAGAACUUUUGUUUUCUGCACAAUAAACAACACCAUGGCAGUUCUGCUGAAAAUAGCAUUAGUCCGGGUUAGUUUCAUUCAAGUCAUGCAAGUUAGAGUCCAAAACAAGGGCAAAAGUGUUUGGAAAAGUAGAUACGUUGGAAACGUAUCAACUCCCCCAAGCUUAAACCUUUGCUUGUCCUUAAGCAAUUCAGUCUAUAAACUGAAAGUGGUAAAGAAAAACUUUUACAAACCCUGUUUGCUCUUGUUGUUGUAAAUAUGUAAAGCCAACAUUCAAGUUUUCAGCAAGUAUUAUGAACUAACCAUAACUUAGGUCUCAUAAUUACUCAUAUCAAUGGCAUAAUCAGCUAGCGAGCGAUAAUAAUAAAACUCGGAUGACAACACUUUCUUAAAACAAUCAUAAUAUGAUAUAACAAGAUGGUAUCUUGCUAGCCCUUUCUGAGACCGCAAAACAUAAAUGCAGAGCACCUUUAAAGAUCAAGGACUGACUAAACAUUGUAAUUCAUGUUAAAAGAGAUCCAGUCAAGUCAUACCCAAUAUAAAGGAAUAGUAAUGAAUGCAAAUGACAGUGUGCUCUCGAGCAGGUGCUUUUUAAUAAGAAGGUGAUGACUCAACAUAAAAGUAAAUAGAUAGGCCCUUCCCAGAUGGAAGCAGGGAUUUGUAGAGGUGCCAGAGCUCGAUUUUUAAAAUAGAGAUGAAUAACAUUUUGAGCGGCAUACUUUCACUAUCAAUGCAACAACAAUGAGAUGGCGAUAUCUUCCAUACUACAUCCAUUAUAGGCAGUUCCCAAACAAAAUGGUAAAAUAUUAUACUCCCCCACCACCAACAAGCAUCAAUCCAUGGCUUGCUCAAAACAACAAGUGCCUCCAACUAACAACAGCCCUGUGGGAGUUUUGUUUAAUUAUUUUGAUUUGCUUUGAUCUUUUUGGAUCAUGGGACUGGGCAUCCCGGUUACUGGCCCUUUCUCGUGAAUAAGGAGCGGAGUCCACUCCUCUUGAGAAUAACACACCUAGCAUGGAAGAUACAGGCAGACCUAGUUGAAACAUGAGCUGCUCGAGCAUACAAAACAGAAUUUCAUUUGAAGGUUUGGAGUUUGGCACAUACAAAUUUACUUGGAACGGCAGGUAGAUACCGCAUAUAGGAAGGUAUGGUGGACUCAUAUGGAAUAACUUUGGGGUUUAAGGAGUUUGGAUGCACAAGCAGUAUUCCCGCUUAGUAUAGGUGAAGGCUAGCAAAAGACUGAGAAGCGACCAACUGAGAGAGCGACAACAGUCAUGAACAUGCAUUAAAAUUAAUUCAUACCGAGUACCAGCAUGAGUAGGAUAUAAUCUACCAUGAACAUAAAUAUCAUGAAGGCUAUGUUGAUUUGUUUCAACUACAUGCGUGAACAUGUGCCAAGUCGAGUCACUCAAUUCAUUCAAAGGAGGAUACCAUCCCAUCAUACCACAUCAUAAUCAUCUUAAUAGCAUGUUGGCACGCAAGGUAAACCAUUAUAACUCAUAGCUAAUCAAGCAUGGCACAAGAAACUAUAAUCUCUAAAGGUCAUUGCAAAUAUGUUUACUUCAUAAUAAGCUGAAUCAGGAACGAUGAACUCAUCAUAUUUACAAAAACAAGAGAGGUCGAGUUCAUACCAGCUUUUUUCAUCUCAAUCAAUCCAUCAUAUAUCGUCAUUAUUGCCUUUCACUUGCACGACCGAACGAUGGGUAUAAUAAUAAUAGUGCAUGUGCAUUGGACUAAGCUGGAAUCUGCAAGCAUUCAACUCAAGAGAGAAGACAGAGUAAUAUGGGCUCCAAAUUAAAUCAACAAUCAUGCAUAUUAGAGCCUACUAAACAUUUUCAAUAUGGUCUUCUAUUCUCGACCCCCAAAGGAAAGGAAAGAAAAGAAAACUAUUUACACGGGAAAGCUCCCAACAAGUAAGAAGAAGAACGAGAAAUCUUUUUGGGUUUUCAUUUUAAUUAAUACAAGCAUGGAAUUUAAACUAACUAAUUUUUUUGGUUUUUCUUAAGGUUUAUCAAACACACAAGAAGAAAGCUAGAAAAAGAGAAUAAAACUAACAUGGAUAAUAUAAUGAAAGAGUAUGAGCACCGACAACUAGAAUAGUGUGUGAACAUGAAUGUAAAGUCGGUGAGAAAUACGUACUCCCCCAAGCUUAGGAUUUUGGCCUAAGUUGGUCUAUUGCCAAGGACCAUAGCUACUCUCCCCGGUGUACUGAGGGGUGUAAUCAGGAUACCACUGGUUGGCAUCUCCUCUGGAUCCCACUGGUAGGAUGAUGCACGAUAAGGGUCCGAUGAAGGUUCCGGCUCAGGCUCAGGAGUGGAUGCUUGGCCUCAAUGAGCGUACACCGCUUCCGGCGUGACAAGAUAAUUAACUGCAGUCAAAUCAAACAACAGAGGCGCAGGCAAAAUAAUAGUCUCAUUGUGUUUCUUAUUAAAUCUCAAGUUAUACAGGAGCAUCUUAUCAUCAUUAUAAACAAUAAACUCAUGUGCUACCAUGCUCCUAUAAUCUAAAAUGUAGCGAGGCAAUAUUGUCUCCUCUUUCUCAUGGUGCCUAAUAGGUAUCUCAAAAUGUUUAGCAAGACGUGCAGCAUACAUACCUCCAAAGAUGGGGCCUUUUGUACGGUUUAGGCUUGGCCGUUUAGAAAUUACGGCACCCAUACUAAAACUAUUAUCGCCAAACAAGGCAUGGAGAAGAAUAAUAAUAUCAGGAACAUUGAAGUUUCCACUAUUUCCACGACCAAUUAAGCAUCGACUAGCAAAUAUGGCAAAGUAGCGUAAAACAGGAAAGUGUAUGGUAGAGAUUCUCGCAUCGAAACCCUUCUUUGGAUCCCCUACAGUGAUGGUGUUAACAAAGCCAUCAACAUAUUUACGAUGUGGUUCAUCUAAUUUACCCUCUAAGGGUAUUUACAUACCACGCAAAAAUUACGUAAAGACAUUUCCCUGAAUUCAUCAUAUAAAUGAAAUGAUACUAAAGGCGGUGACUUCUUAGGAUAAUAAUAAAAGUUUUGCACGAAAGUAUUGGUGAGUAAGAGAUACUGAUUGAUCUGGUCGUGGAGGAAAUCAGUGAGGCCUGCAUUCUCGAUCGAAGAAUAAAAGUCUUCAUAAAUUCUGGCUUCUCUCAAGAAACCGUCAUAGGGCCAUUCAAACGGCCGUACUUCCGCUAUGUGAGGAAGAUUAUACUUGGCCUUUUCCUUAUCUUUAGCUUGUUUUUCCUGGGAGCCUUGGCUAGAAGAGCCCCUCAAAAAUCUCCUUAAUAUUUUCUAAAAAUUUCUGAAAUUUUAGUAAUUUCAAAAUAAAAGUGAAUAAAACUAAACAAGAUUGGUAGCAACUACUCCUACAAGUGCCUAGAGCCUAUAUAAUGCAUUAGAAUUGCUUGGGACCUCAUAAAAUUGACAUGCAAGCUCAAGAACAGGGUCACCUAUGCAGCAAAAAUUUGCAAUGAAUAAAGCACUAGAACAAAAACUAAUUGCACCAAUGGAGGAGUCACAUACCAAGCAACAAUCUCCCAAAGCAGUUUUGUGAAUGGAGCUUUGAGCAAGGAGAUCGAAAAUCGUAGCAAAAUGAGCUAGAACUCGUUCUUGAGCUGGAUGGUGAAUUUUUGGGAAGAAGAUGGAGUGUGUGGGUGCAGGAAUAAGUGGAGGGGGGCCACUAUGGGCCCACGAGACUGGGGGCGUGCCCAGGGGGUGUGAGCGCUCCCUCCACCCUCGUGGCCAGGUGCUUGCCCCCCUGCAGUGCUUUCAGUGCCUAAAAUCCUCAAAUAUUCCAUAAAAAAUUAUACUAAAUUUGCAGGGCAUUUGGAGCACUUUUAUUUUCGGGGUAUUUUUAUUGCAUGGAUAAUUCAGAAAACAGACAGAUAAUACUAUUUUUGCUUUAUUUAUUCUAAAUAACAGAAAGUAAAAAGAGGGUACAUAAGGUUGUGCCUUCUAGUUUCAUCCAUCUCAUGAUCAUCAAAAUGAAUCCACUAACAAGGUUGAUCAAGUCUUGUUAACAAGCUCAUUCUGAAUAACACGGAACCGGAGAAAUUUCGAAUAACAAUAAGUUACCUCAACGGGGAUAUGAACAUCCCCAACAAUAAGAAUAUCAUACUUUUUCUUGAUAGUAGGAAGAGGAAAUUCAAAACCUCCAAUAAUGAUAGUUGGACUUUUUCCAAUAGAAUUGAUUUUAUGAACUUGAGGUUGUUUCCUCGGAAAUUGUACCAUAUGCUCAUUACCAUUAACAUGAAAAGUGACAUUGCCUUUGUUGCAAUCAAUAACAGCCCCUGCAGUAUUCAAAAAGGGUCUACCAAGGAUAAUCGACAUACUAUCAUCCUCGGGAAUAUCAAGAAUAACAAAGUCCGUUAAGAUAGUGAAAUUUGCAACCACAAUAGGCACAUCCUCACAAAUACCGACAGGUAUGGCAGUUGAUUUAUCAGCCAUUUGCAAAGAUAUUUCAGUAGGUGUUAACUUAUUCAGUUCAAGUCUACGAUACAAAGAGAGAGGCAUAACACUAACACCAGCUCCAAGAUCACAUAAAGCAGUUUUAACAUAGUUUCUUUUAAUGGAGCAUGGUAUAGUUGGUACCCCUGGAUCUCCAAGUUUCUUUGGUAUUCCACCCUUAAAAGUGUAAUUAGCAAGCAUGGCGGAAAUUUUAGCUUCCGCUAUCUUUAUUUUAUUUGUAAUGAUAUCCUUCAUAUACCUAGCAUAAGGAUUUACUUUAAGCAUAUCAAUUAAGCGCAUAUGUAAGAAAAUAGGUCUAAUCAUUUCAGCAAAGCGCUCAAAAUCCUCAUCAUCCUUUGUCUUGGAUGGUUUGGGAGGAAAGGGCAUGGGUUUCUGAACCCAUGGUUCUCUUUCUCUACCAUGCUUCCUAGCAACAAAAUCUCUUAUCAUAACAUUGAUUCUUUGAUUGUGGGUUAUCAAGAUCAACAGCAGGUUCAAUCUCUACUUCAUUAUUUUUGCUAUGUUGAGCAUCAACAUGAACAUUAUCAUUAACAUUAUCUCUAGGUGCAUGUUCAUCACCUGAUUAUUUUUGAACAUCAGAAACAGAAAUAUCAUUGGGUUCCUUAGGUGUGUCUACCACAGGUUCACUAGAAGCAUGCAAAGUCCUAUCGUUUUUCUUUUUCUUCUUUUUGUAAGAACUAGGUGCCUCUAAAUUAUUACUCUGAGAAUCUUGCUCGAUUCUCUUAGGGUGGCCUUCAGGAUACAAAGGCUCCUGAGUCAUUAUACCAGUAUAGUAGCCACUCUAACAGCAAAGUCAUAUUUAUUAUUUAAUUCAACAAGCAAAUCACUUUAAGCUUUAAGUACUUGCUCAACUUGAGUGGUAACCAUAGAAGCAUAUUUGCUAAUGAGUUUAAGUUCACCUUUAACUCUAGCCAUAUAAUCACUCAAGCGUCCUAUCUCGAAAGCAUUAUUCUUUAAUUCUCUACCAACAUAAGCAUUAAAACUUUCUUGUCUAGACAUAAAGUCAUCAAAUUCAUCUAAGCAUGGGCUAUGAAAUUUCGUAGAGGGGAUUUCAACUUUAUCAUAUCUAUAGAGAGAAUUUACCUUUACUACCAGUGUCGGGUUAUCAAGACAAUGUGUUUCCUCAACAGGCGGUAUAUUAAGACCAUGUAUUUCUUAAAUAGGAGGUAAAUUCUUAACAUCUUCAGCUUUAAUACCUUUUUAUUUCAUUGAUUUCUUUGCCUCUUGCAUAUCUUCAGGACUGAGAAAUAGAUCACUUCUCUUCUUAGGAGUGGGUUUAGGAAUAGGCUCAGGAGUUGGCUCAAUUGGUUCAGGAAUUUCCUCAGGAAUUGGCUCAGGAGGAGUCCAAUUAUUUUCAUUAGUCAACAUAUUAUUCAAUAAUAAUUCAGCUUGGUCAAUUGUUCUUUCCCUGAAAACACAACCAGCACAACUAUCGAAGUAGUCCUUGGAAGCAUCGGUUGGUCCAUUAUAAAAGAUAUCAAGUAUUUCAUUUUUCUUAAGAGGAUGAUCAGGCAAAGCAUUGAGUAAUCGGAGAAGCCUCCCCCAAGCUUGUGGGAGACUCUCUUCUUUGAUUUGCACAAAAUUAUAUAUUUCUUGCAAGGCAGCUUGUUUCUUAUGAGCAGGGAAAUAUUUAGCAGAGAAGUAAUAAAUCAUAUCAUGGGGACUGCACACGCAACCAGGAUCAAGAUAAUUAAACCAAGUUUUAGCAUCACCCUUUAAUGAGAAUGGAAAUAUCUUAAGGAUAUAAUAAUAGCAAGACUUCUCACCAUUAGUAAACAGGGUGGCUAUAUAAUUUAACUUGAUAAUAUGUGCCACAACAGUUUCAGAUUCAAGGCCAUGAAAAGGAUUAGAUUCAGCCAAAGUAAUAAUCUCAGGAUCAACAGAGAAUUCAUAAUCCUUAUCAGUAACACAGAUAGGUGAAGUAGCAAAAGCAGGGUCAGGUUUCAUUCUAGCAUUAAGAGAUUGAUGCUUCCAUUUAGCUAACAACUUCUUAAGAUCAUAUCUAUCUUUGCAAGCAAAAAUAGCUAUAGCAGCUUCCUCAUUCAUAACAUAACCCUCAGGAACAACUGGUAAUUCAUAAUAAGGAGGGGAUUUCAUCAUCACUAUCAUCAAUAAUAGCAUCUUCAAUAAUUUCAUUCUCUCUAACCCUAGCAAGUUGUUCAUCAAGAAAUUCACCUAAUGGCAAAGUAGUGUCACGCACAGAAGUAGUUUCAUUAUAAGUAUCAUGCAUAGCAGAAGUGGCAUCAUCAAUAACAUGCGACAUAUCAGAAUUCAUAGCAGUAGCAGGUUUAGGUGUAGCAAGCUUACUAAUAACGGAAGGAGAAUCUAGUGUAGAGCUAGAAGGCAGUUCCUUACCUCCCCUCGUAGUUGAGGGCAAGAUCUUGGUUCUUUCGUAUUUCAAGUUCCUCAUAGUGAUCAACAGAUAUAAAUCCCAGGUGACUCAAAGAAUAGAGAUAUAUUCCCCGGCAACGGCGCCAGAAAUUAGUCUUAAUAACCCACAAGUGUAGGGGAUCGCAACAACUUUCGAGGGUAGAGUAUUCAACCCAAAUUUAUUGAUUCGACACAACGGGAGCCAAAGAAUAUUCUUAAGUAUUAGCAGUUGAGUUGUCAAUUGAACCACACCUGGAUAACUUAGUAUCUGCAGCAAAGUAUUUAGUGGCAAAGUAGUAUGAUAGUAAUUGUAACAGUGGCAAAAGUAAAGAUAAUAGUUUUGUGGUAACUGUAACAGUAGCAACGGAAAAGUAAAUAAGCGAAACACAAGAUGUGAAAAGCUCGUAGGCAUUGGAUCAGUGAUGGAUAAUUAUGUCGGAUGCGAUUCCUCAUGUAAUAGCUAUAACCUAGGGUGACACAGAACUAGCUCCAGUUCAUCAAUAUAAUGUAGGCAUGUAUUCCGAAUAUAGUCAUACGUGCUUAUGGAAAAGAACUUGCAUGACAUCUUUUGUCCUACCCUCCCGUGGCAGCGGGGUCCUAGUGGAAACUAAGGGAUAUUAAGGCCUCCUUUUAAUAGAGUACCAGACCAAAGCAUUAACACAUAGUGAUAACAUGAACUCCUCAAACUAUGGUCAUCACCGAGAAGUAUCCCGAUUAUUGUCACUUCGGGGUUGUCGGAUCAUAACACAUAAUAGGUGACUAUAGACUUGCAAGAUAGGAUCAAGAACACACAUAUAUUCAUGAAAACAUAAUAGGUUCAGAUCUGAAAUCAUGGCACUCAGUCCCUAGUGACAAGCAUUAAGCAUAGCAAAGUCAUAGCAACAUCAAUCUCAGAACAUAGUGGAUACUAGGGAUCAUACCCUAACAAAACUAACUUGAUUACAUGGUAAAUCUCAUCCAACCCAUCACCAUCCAGCAAGCCUACAAUGGAAUUACUCAAGCACGGUGGUAAGCAUCAUGAAAUUGGUGAUGGAGGAUGGUUGAUGCUAACGACAGCGACGAAUCCCCCUCUCCGGAGCACCGAACAGACUCCAGAUCAGCCCUCCCGAGAGAGAUUAGGGCUUGGCGGCGGCUCUGUAUCGUAAAAUGCGAUGAAACUUUCUCUCCGUUUUUUCUCCGCGAAACGGAAUAUAUGGAGUUGGAGUUGAGGUCGGUGGAGCCUCAGGGGGCCCAUGGGACAGGGGGGCGCCUCGUGGACAGGGUGUGGGCCCCCUGGCCUUGAUUCUUUCGCUAGUAUUUUUUAUAUUUUCCAAAACUUAUCUCCGUGGAUUUUCAGGUCAUUCCGAUAAACAACACCAUGGCAGUUAUGCUAAAAACAACGUCAGUCCAGGUUAGUUUCAUUCAAAUCAUGCAAGUUAGAGUCCAAAACAAGGGCAAAAGUGUUUAGAAAAGUAGAUACGUUGGAGACGUAUCAACAACGAGGCCAUCCUUGCUCGAAGGUGGAGGGGUGCCAUUUGGCCCUCUCUAAUCGCCUAUAAGAGGGCGAAGGGGUUGAACCCCUAAUCCACCGAUGUCCUCUUUGAAAAGAGCUUGAUGUCUACUACGCAACUUUAUUCUUGUAGACAUGUGUUGGGCCUCCAAGCGAAGUGUUUUGUAGGACAGUAGCAAUUUUCCCUCAAGUGGAUGACCUAAGUUUAAUCAAUCCAUGGGAGGCAUAGGAUGGAGAUGGUCUCUCACAAACAACCCUGUAAACAAAUAAGAAAAAGCCUCUUGUGUCCCCAACACACCCAAUACAAAUGGAAAAUUUUAUAGGUGCACUAGUUCGGCGAAGAGAUGGUGAUAAAAGUAUAAUAUGGAUGGUAGAAAUAUAUUUUAUAAUCUGAAAAAAUAAAAACAACAAGGUAGCAAUUGAUAAAAGUGAGCACAAACGGUAUUGCAAUGCUUGGAAACAAGGCCUAGGGUUCGUACUUCCGCUAGGGCAAUCUCUCAAUAGUGCUACUAUAAUUGGAUCAUAUAACCAUCCCUAAAAGUGCGAUAAAGAAUCACUCCAAAGUACAUAUCUAGCGGAGAACAUAAGAAGAAAUUGUUUGUAGGGUACAAAACCAGCUCAAAGCUAUUCUUUUAGAUCGUUCUAUCCAAGAGUUCAUACUAAAAUAACACCAAAUAAUUUUAGAUUCAUAAUACUCAAUCCAACACAAAGAACCUCAAAGAGUGCCUCAAGAUUUCUAGCGGAGACAAGAACGUGCAUCAACCCCUAUGCAUAGAUUACCCAAAUGUCACCUUGGGAAUCCGCGAGUUGAGCGCCAAAACAUACAUCAAGUGAAUCAAUAUGAUACCAUAUUGUCACCACGAGUAUUCAUUUGCAAGACAUAUAUCAAGUGCUCUCAAAUCCAUAAAAGUAUUCAACCCGAUUAAACGAAAUCUCAAAGGGAAAACUCAAUUCAUCACAAGAUAGAGAGGGGGAAACACCAUAUGAUCCGACUAUAUUAACAGAGCUCGCGAUACAUCAAGAUCCUGACAUCUCAAGAACACGAGAGAGAGAGAGAUAGAGAUUAAAAACAUAGCUACUGGUACAAACCCUCAGCCCCGAGGGUGGACUACUCCCUCCUCAUCAUGGUGGCCGCCGGGAUGAUGAAGAUGGCCACUGGUGAUGAUUUCCCCCUCUUGUGGACUGCCGGAACGGGGUCUAGAUUGGUUUUUGGUGGCUACAGAGGCUUGCAGUGGCGGAACUUCUUAUCUAGGGUUACCUCGGGUUUUUUUGGAAUAUUUGGUGAUUUAUAAGGCAAAGAGGGGGUGCGGGAGGUCACCAAGGUGGGCACAACCCUCGGGGCAACCCCCUGGCGCGUGGCCACUAGAUGUCUUCUGGUCCUUAAAAAUCCACAAAAAAAUUCAUGGUGUUUGGACUCCAUUUGAUAUUGAUUUCCCAGGAUGUAAAAAAACAAGCAAAAAAUAGCAACUAGCACUGGGCACUGGGUCAAUAGGUUAGUCCCAAAAAUCAUAUAAAGUUGCUAUAAAAUGAUUGUAAAACAUCCAAGAAUGAUAAUAUAACAGUAUGAAUACUUCAUAAAUUAUAGAUACUUUGGAGACGUAUCAGCGUCCCAAGCUUAAUUCCUACUCGUCCUCAAGUAGGUAAAUGAUAAAAGAAAUGAUUUAUGAAGUGUGAAUGCUAGCAGAGUACAUAAGUUUGAUCAAUGAUAAUUUCAGUCACUUUUCCUAGCGUCAUAAUAGCAAUUAUUUCUCAUAAAACUCAUCAUGUUAAACUAGCAACCAAUUCACAUGUUAAGGUUCAGACAAUGAAUGCUCUUGAAACUCAACGACCUAUAUUCUUAGUCACCAAACAAUUGCAAUUCAACGUAUUCAACAGAAUCUAAGUAAGAGCUCCACAUACUCAACCAUCAUAUAGUCUUUUAUGAUUGCUAACACUCACCGCAUACACAUGAGCAAAAAGUUUCAACUAGACACAUAGAAAGAUAGGGGCUCAUAGUUUCGCCUCCCAACAUAUUCACCUCAAGGGUGAUGUCAACAAUAAUAACUCAUGCUACCCAUAUUCAACUGGACAUAUGUGCCUAGAUCUUUCCUCGCCACAUGAUGCUUGCCAAAGGAGAAAAACAAAAAGGAGAGACAAAACUUUGACUCUUGCAUAAAAGUAAAUACAUAAAGUAAAUGGUAGGCCCUUCCUAGAGCGAAGCAGAGGUUGCCAUGCAGUUUUUGUUUGUAUGCUCAACCCCUUAAUGCAAAAGAAUGGCAUGUUAUAUUGCCCCUUAUGAUAGCAACCUUUAUUAUGUAGUCUGUCGCUUUUAUUCUUUGCCAUCACAAGUUCAUACAACGCUCAAUUUUCUCUUACACUAAAUGAUCUAACACUUUUUAGAAGCUAUUUUUAUUGCCUUAUUGCACCGAUGACAACUUACUUGAAGGCUCUUACUCAAUCCUUAGGUAGGUAUGGUGGACUCUUGAAAAUAAGAUUUGGGUUUAAAGGUUUUUGGAUGAACAAGUGGUAUCGCUACUUGGUGCGGAAUUUUUGGAUAGCAAAGAUGGGGGGAAAGCACCACAUGUUGAAGGAUCUAUCACAAUAUAACUUCUAUGGGAAUUUGAACAAACAUAAUUUAUUAUGUUGUCUUCGUUGUCCAAAGUCAACAAUUUUGGCCUAUAAUAUUUUGAUGGGGGCUCACAAUCACAAAAGAUAUCCAAGAGAGUGUAUUUUCAUGUGAAAGUUCUCUUCCUUCUACUAAUCAUUCAUCAAUUGCUUGUAUGACCAAUAUUGUGAUUGCCAAGACUCAAAAGAUUUCACUUUCUAAACCCAAUGUGAAGCUACCACUAGGCAUGAUAUGAACAUAUAAUUACAACUUCAUCACAUUCAAUUUAUUCAACAAUUUACUCAUAGGAUAUAAGUGAAGCACAAGAGUAGAUGACAAACUACUCCAAAAGUAUAUAAGUGAAGAUCAAGCGAGUAGAUAAGUGAAUAAGUAGCUAAUUGUGGACUCCCUUUUAUUUACAAACGGUCAGAUCUAAGUAUCUUAUUAAAAAAGCAAGCAAAACAAUAUAAAAUGACAUUCUAAGAAUAGCACACAUCCUGUGAAGAAGCAAAAACUUAGGAUCAACUGAUAAUUGUUGAUGAAGAAAGGUGGGAUGCCUACCAGGGCAACCCCAAGCUUAGAUGCUUGUGACUUCUUGAAAUAUUAUCUUGGGAUUCCUUGGGCAUCCCCAAGCUUGAGCUUUUAUGUCUCCUUAAUUCCUUUUAUAUCACGGUUUCCCUAAAUCUUAAAAACUUCAUCCACACAAAACUCAACAAGAACUCGUGAGAUAAGUUAGUAUAAACCAAUGCAAAAACCUUAUCAUUCUCUAUUAAUUAUUGCAAAUCACUAAAAUUAUUAUUCAACAUUGCAUACUAAAUCCCUCUGCAUAUUAAAUACUCCUAUCCUCAAAUAGAAUCAUUAAACAAGCAAACAUAUGCAAAUAAUGGAAACAUGACAGCAAUCUGCCAAAACAGUACAUCUGUAAAGAGUGCAGAAGGAUCAAUACUUAUUCAACUUAAAAAAAUCUGAAAAUUUAACACACUGUAGAAAAUUUAUCAGAGCUUAUUGUGCAAAAGUUUCAACAUUUUAUCACAUUCUGACUUUUCCCGGGAAUUUUUGCAACAGCGACGAACUUUCUGUUUUGGAACAGGAACUCAUAUACUUGCAAAAUAAGCAUGGUAAAGGCUAUCCUUGCCACUUUUAUUGAAAUAAAAGAUACAAAACAUUAUUCUAAAUAGAAAUAAAAUCUUAGAAAAAUAAAAUUACGCUCCUAGCAAAACACAUAUCAUGUGAUGGAUGAAAAUAUAGCCUCAAGUAAGGUUACCGAUAAUGUUUGAGACGAAAGACGAGAUGCCUUCCGGGGCAUCCCCAAGCUUAGUUGCUUGGAUCUUCCUUGAAUAUUACCUUAGGGUGCCUUGGGCAUACCCAAGCUUAGGUUCUUGUCACUCCUUAUUUUCCUCAUAUUGACAUCUCACCCAAAACUUGAAAACUUCAAUCACACAAACUUAACGGAACUUCGUGAGAUAGGUUAGUAUGAUAAAGAGCAAACCAUUUCACUUUAGUAUUGUGAAAGACAAUAUUCAUAAUUGUUUCCACACAAUGCCUACUGUAGCAUAUCAUUUCCACAAUUAAUAUUGAGAAAUAUAAGCCAUAGAAACUAGGAAACAAGCAAACUAUGCAUUGAAAACAGAAUCUGUCAAAAACAGAACAAUCUGUAGUAAUUUGUACUCCAACCAUACUUCUUAUACUCCAAAACUUCUGACAAAUUAGGACAACAUAGAGAAUUUGUAUAUCUAUCACCUGUAAAAGUUUCAGAUCAAAAUCACGUUCCAGUGAAUUUUAAAAAUUCCUGGACAUAGUGCAAAAGUUUCUGUUUUUGCACAGAUUCAAGUUAACUAUCAUCCACACUAUCCCAAAGGCUUUACUUGGUACUUUAUUGAAACAAAAGCAAUAAAACAUGAUUACUAAAGUACCACAAUUAUGUUAACACAUAAAAAUAGUUGGGUUAAAUGUUGGGUUGUUUCCCAACAAUAGCUUUUCUUUAAAGCCUUUUAGCUACGCAUGAAGAUUUCAAUGAUGCUCACAUAAAAGAUAUGAAUUGAAACAUAAAGAGAGCUUCAUGAAUCAUAAUUUCCUCUCUCAUAAUAAUUUUAAGUAGCAUCAUGAAUAGAUUUAUCAAUAUAACCAUCACAUAAAGCGUAGAAAUUUUAAUGAUCCAUAAGCAUAGAAAUUUUAUUACUCUCCACAUAAGAAAAUUUCUUCUCAUUCACAAUGGUGGGAGUAUCAUAUGAAACUCGAAUCCUAUAAAUUGUUUCCACAUUAAAAGAGUAAUGUUUAGAAAAAGGGUAAUUAUAACUAUGACAAGUUCUAUAGAUAUAAUCAUCACUACUUUUUAUAACAUAGGUAUCAUCACAAUAAUCAUCAUAAGUAGCAACUUUGUUCUUAUCAUAGAUAGGAUGCAUGCAAUCAUCAUAAAAAUUUGAUCAUUCAAACUAGGGGGGCUAAAAAGAUCAUCUUCAUUAAGCAUAUCAUCUCCAAGCUUGGGACUAACAUUAAUUGCAGCAAAUAAAUUCGCAAACAUGUCAUUCUCAUCAAACAUAGCAUAGCCAAGCUUGUGACUUGGCAUAUCAUAAGCAUAAUCACCGAGGGAGUCCUGGAUUAGGGGGUAUCCGGACAGCCGGACUAUAUACUUUGGCCGGACUAUUGGACUAUGAACAUACAAGAUUGAAGACUUCGUCCCGUGUCCGGAUGGGACUCUCCUUUGCGUGGAAGGCAAGCUUGGCGAUUUGGAUAUUAGAUCUCCUCCUCUUGUAACCGACUCUGUGAAACCCUAACCUCCUCCGGUGUCUAUAUAAACCGGAGGGUUUAGUCCGUAGGACAACAACAAUCAUAAUCAUAGGCUAUCUCCGAGGGUUUAGCCUCUAUGAUCUCGUGGUAGAUCAACUGUUGUAAUACUCAUAUCAUCAAGAUCAAUCAAGCAGGAAGUAGGGUAUUACCUCCAUCGAGAGGGCCCGAACCUGGGCAAAACAUCGUGUCCCCUACGUCCUGUUACCAUUAGACUUAGACGCACAGUUCGGGACCCCCUACCCGAGAUCUGCCGGUUUUGACACCGACAUUGGUGCUUUCAUUGAGAGUUCCACUAUGCUGUCGAUGUAAGGCUUGAUGGCCCCUUUGAUCAUCUUCGAUGAUGCGGUCCAGGGGGAGGUUUUCCUUCCUGGACAGAUCUUCAUAUUCGGCGGCUUCGUACUGCGGGCCAACUCUCUUGGCCAUUUGGAGCAGAUCGAUAGCUACGCCCCUGGCCAUCAGGUCAGGUUUGGAAGCUUAUACUACACUGCCGACAUCUGCGGAGACUUGAUCUUCAACGGGUUCGAGCCCAUGACAGGUGCGCCGAACAGUCACGACGGACAUGACUUUGAUCCACCGUCGGACGGUAUUCGGGAGAUCGCACCCGCGUUGGCGCCGGGAAUCAAUCUGGAGCAGAUCGUGCCAUCCGAGGACGGGUGGAUGGACCCCACCAUGGAGGCCGCACACUCAUCGGCGUUGGAGCCGAAUGCUGCUCCCACCUCCUGUGAGAGUGGUGUCAUCAGACCCCCGGACUCUUCCCCGGUUGCAGGAUCCAGCCUGAGCCGCAUACUCGACCGCCCAUGUCAAAUUCAUGGGACCCCAGGAACAGCAUCCAAUCAUAACAAUAGAGAAUGUUGGGUCUUUAAAUAGGUCGACAGGUCGGUGCCAGAAACGAUAAGAAGGGGUCUCAGAGCAAGAAGCCCAGAUCAUCAAACAACACAGGGGAAAAGAAAUUUCUUCCGCCAACCAAAACCAUGAACACAACAAGCACCACCCACAUAGGAGCGGACAUGCACUAUUCGGGACGACAACUCAACAAAGCAAGUUGCCCUGUCAUAUAAAAAUACGACCGAUCAUCUUCGAUCGACUAGACUGUCUGGCCAAUAUCAACCAGAGGUAUUCCCCUAUUGGCGGUGACAACAGUCCAAACUGGCUGCACCAGGACACGGCGCGCCCGAUAGGGAUUGAUCACUCGAGGACCCACUAAAAAACUCAUUUCAGUGUGUCAUAACCAGGCGCGAAGGUCAUUUAGGCCCCGCCUCUCUGGAGAUGGUCUUCGGAUCACCACAAAGUCGCCAUACCGAAGAAUCAACCUUCAACAUUACACCUCUAGGCAGUAGCUAUUCAAGCACUGCCAGGAUAAACUGCGACUCAACGCAUUAUCACACAAUGCCCACGACAAUCUUAAAAUACCAGACCCACAUAAUGUAGUCACAAUUACGGGCAAGACCGAGCUUCACCUCGGCACCGAAGAGUAUUCGGCCACUUUAGCAAUAGAAGCAGCGAGCCGCGGCUUUUUCAAUCGAACCUUGAUUCGACAGCCAAACUCCCGGACACCGAUAAAGGAGUCCGAACUGCUUCACGAUACCUCAGCCUGAUCAAGGCUCAAACAAACCCUCUAACAUAAGCUGGGCGGGCCACAUUCCACUGCUCAGCCGCUGCGUGUCACACACACACACCUUUAGCAUUUUUUGCAGGUUUGCCUUUGCGCAUAACUGGACCGGCGACAUGGAAUCAGCUCGAACGGACAAAGGGGGAAUCUUCACCCCACCGGAAUACAAUUCGGAUACUACUUCAGACCUGUGCACAGCUCCCUACCGCCCGGUCCCAACAGGUUCUGUCAUCAUGCCUCUCUUUUAUAACAUGCACCGUACUCAUAGCCGUAUUACUUGAAUACAACAUGUAGAGUCAUUUGACGCUUAUCUGCUAUCAUUUCUCACUGACAUUUUGUCAUAACGGCAUCCGAACAUCGUGUUAUGCGUUAAAACGCCAGGGGCCUCAUUGCACCCGCACUAUGGCAACAAAGUCCGACCACCUUCUCGGUCGUUCGGCACCCCGAACUUGUAGCAUUAUAUGCAUCGGCUCUGAAUCAUGUCUUGGGUCAUUAGUUCGGUUUGCCCGGCUCCCAUGUUUUGGUACCUUACGUUCUGGAAUAUCGGCUAAGGUAGCGCUGGGAGAACUGCUGCGAUUGUGUCCUGGUUCUUCCGGAAAAACACCUUAGUAGAGAAAGCCGAAAACUGACUGUCAUGAUAAGGCGAGAGCUGGUCAGCUGUUCGAGAGGUUGUAAAAUCUUUAAGGAUUUAUUCUGCAUAAUGCCAUAAGAAAAUGCAGAGUGCAAAGGAUCGGUCAACCAAUCAGGCGUUAUUAGAGCCCCUCGUGCGGUCUUCCGAACACCAAGGGUUGCGCCUCCCAUACUCGAAUUCCUAUGGCUAAGUGAGAGUAAUAAAGCCCUAUAGUCUGAUUGCGUGGUUCGCUGUGCUGAACACCUCCUUUAUGGACCCAAGAAUGGGGUAAAGAGUGUUUAGGUGUAUCCCGAACACCCCUGUAGUUCCUACGUGGGGGCAGAAGCCGACGACUGGCCAACUCUCAAGACUAAUAUAUAAAAUGGCCGUGCAGGAAUAAAAUUUUCACAAAACAGGCAAAUACAUAAAAGUGACUUUGUCCCGCCUUACAAAGGACAGCAUGACUGCCUUUAGGGAAAAAUAAUGUCUUUCGCACAUUGCUCUGCCACAAGGCGGGCCCCUUUCAGGACACCAUCAUAAUAUAAUUUGGGCUUGCGGUGCUCCUUCCCCUCCGGCGGCCCCUCGGUCAUCAGCUUCUCAGCAUCCAGCUUCCCCCAGUGCACUUUCGCACAGGCAAAUGCCAUUUGUGCACCUUCGAUACAAUUCGACUGCUUAAUGACGUCCAGCCGAGGGCAGGCACUCACAAAUCGCUUCACAAGCCCAAAGAAACUGCUUGGAAUGGGCUCGACGGGACAUAGCCGGAUAACCAAAUCCUUCAUGGCUAGUUCGGCCGCCUGGUGCAGUUCGAUCAGCUGCUUCAGCUGGUCGACAAACGGCACCGGAUAAUUCGACGCCAAAUACUGCGACCAAAAGAGCUUCUCCGCAGUCUCCUUGUCCUCAGCUCGGCAGAAUUGGGCAGCAUCAAAUAUGAUGCACGGCAGAUCCGCAAACGCCCCUGGAGAAAUCGGGAUUCAAUGGGUCACCCUGAAUCUUCCCUGCUAUCGCAUAUCAAUCACUUUGAAUAAGAAAAAGCCUUACCAGCCGGAAUUUUCUGCACCUCCUGAAUAUCCUUCAGAGCAGCCUGGGCUUCCUCCCGAGCAUCAUUUGCGGCUUGGAGAGCUUGGACGAGUUCGGAUUCUUUCAAUGAUAGACUCUGCUCCAAAGUCUUGCUUUUCUUCACGGCCUCUGAAGCUCUCGUUCAGCUUCAAUGACCUUGGCCUCGUGCUUCUCGCGGAGAACCUGCUCCGCGGCCUCCUUCUUUUCGGCCAAGGCAACAACCUUCUUGAGCGCCUCAAUUUCGGCAUUUGCUCCUAGAGUGCACGAUAUAAAUGCUUUAAUUAGACACAACUACUUACUUGUGCUAAAACUUACUAAAUUUUCAACAUACCUUGUUUAUCCUCCAACUUCUUCUUUACUCGACCGAGUUCCUCUUCGGUCCGCCCCAGACUCUGCUUAAGUCCGGACACUUCCGCAGUAUGAGAGGAGGCAGUUGCAGAAGACGCCUGAUUCAUAAAGAAAGAGAUAUAUGUCAUUAGCUGGGUCUCCUGCGGAUGGAAAUUUGAUCCCUUGUUCGGCUCCUAUCCUCACUGAACAGUGUAUCAGGGGCUACUAUCUAUACUAUGAUAGUCUUCCAAAAACUCCUAAAACAUACCUCCAAGCCUUUUAUAAGGCUAAUGCAGGAUUCAUUCACUCCGCUCUCAGCGGCCUGAAUCUUUUCUAUCACCGCGCCCAUAAGGGUGCGAUGUUCAUCGAUGAUGGAAGCGCUCUCCAGCGCUGUCGAUAAGCCGCCCAGCACCUUUGGUCGGACAGAGGUCACAGGUGAAGCAGGAUCGCCCCCUCCAGUCAAGAUGGGCCGCCUGCCUGAUCCCGGAACCUCAAGGGUCUCUAGGACUGUGUCCGGCCGUGGGCCGAAUCCAAGAUCGCCCCUGCCGCCGACGUCCAUGGGAACCGCCGCUCCCGCGUGUCCGUCCUCCGAGGUACGCCUCACCUGGUCCAGGUCCUUUUGGGACGACACCUUGAUGUCACAACCAGGCUGUGGAGAAGGGGCCCUUGGAGGCGUUUCGCUCUCCAAGGCAUGGGAACUCAAUGAAUCCUCCGAUGAGGACUGUUUGGCAGGAGAUCUUCCCGGACUGUAAAAAGUACGAUGAAAAUCAAAAUAUUACACUUUAGUAAUCCUGGAUGCAUGGACAUGUUCGGAUUUCAUGCACUUACAAAUUUACCAGGGGCUGGGAUCCCACUCCGGGCUGCUGUUGGUAGCCGUGGUGGACGCCUCGGGGAUGAGUGUUCUUCCCCUCUUAGGCGAAUCUGCCUCUAACGAUGAGCAGGCUGUCCUUUUCUUCCUUCCCCCCGUAGGGGACUCGUCCUCUUCCACCUCCUCGUACUCUUCGGAGGAGGGAUGGUCACUGGAGUCUUCAGACUUCAUGUCUGAGGCACCAUGACGACGGAGGCCACUCCUUGUCUCCUUGGCCUCUUUGUUGGCCUCUUUCUUCGGCGCCUCGUAAGGCGCUGGGACUAGCAUCUUAGUUAGAAAUGGUCCUGCCGGUUCUUCUGGCAGUGGGCCGGACAAUGAAUCUGCCCCGCCUUCUUCGUCCAUACCUGAGGUAAUCAUGGAAAAGCACAUUAAAAACAUCUCCCUCGGGACAUACCAAUGAAACAUGUGGAUGGCCAAGACAUAAUGAUGACUUACCGGACUUGCGGGGUGGGACAGUUGGUACCCGCGGUCCGCGGCGGAGUCCGACCACGUUUUGCCGGACAUAAAAAGCACCUUCCAGAUGUCCUUGUGCGAGGAGCCUAAAAGCUCCCGCAGGAUCUGGUGCUCGACUGGGUCAUACUCCCACAAAUUACAGCUUCUGUGCUGACAAGGAAGGACCAAGCAGACCAGCAUCACCUGGACUACGUCAACAAGCUUGAUGGCCCUGUCUUCCAUAGCUUUGACGCACGCCUGGAUUACCGACAGUUCGUUGGACGACGACCAGUUCACGCCCUUAUUGGGCGAGGACGUAAGCCGCAAGGGGGCUCCAGAUCGAAACUCAGGAGCGGCGGCCCAUAUUUUGCCGCACGGCUCAGUGAUGUAGAACCACUACUGCUGCCACUCCUUGACGGAAUCAUUGAAAGUACCUGUCGACCAUGUGACCUUGGGCAUUCUGCUCACCAUGGCGCCUCCGCACUCGGCAUGCUCGCCGUUCACCACCUUGGGCUUCACAUUGAAGAUCUUCAGCCAUAGUCCAAAGUGUGGCGAGAUACGGAGAAAGGCCUCGCACACGACGAUAAACGUUGAAAUGUUGAGGAAAGAAUUGGGGGAUAGAUCAGGAAAAUUGAUCCCGUAGUAAUACAUGAUGCCACAAACGAAUGGGUGAAGGGGAAACCCAAGCCCGCGGACGAAAUGGGGGAGGAAAACGACCCUCUCAUGGGGCUCCGCAGUCGGCACAAUCUGUCCCGCCGUCGGAAGACGGUGGCCGAUUUUCUUGGCCAAAUACCCGGCCGCCCGCAGUUUUUUAAUAUCCUUCUCCUGGAUGGAGGAGGCCAUCCAUUUGCCUCCUGCUCCGGAUCCGGACAUUUUCGGAUAACCUUUGUUGGUGGGAAAGAUGAAUGCCUGGAUGCUAGGGCUUGGGCGAAAGGAAAGGGAUGAGCAGAAGGAGAAGAAGGCGUGGGUAGAAAGGAAGAAGCCUUUCCCCUUUAUAGAGGCGAUGAAACUUUGUGCCUCCCCACUUGCCUAAUGAAAUCUUCUUGUUCCCCACUCACCGUGAUUGGUGUUAUGGUUGGGUUACCCACGCCCGUAUUGAAGAGAAUACCACGAUAAAGGGGCCACGAUCUCUGCUUCAACAAGACGUGCCAAGGAAACCGCCGCGCAAUAUGCGAGGUAGCUGGUUAGGAGAAAACGGUUCGAAUAAUAACCGGACCAUGGCAUGCUAUCACGCUGUGAAGAGUUGUCAGCAGAUUAGAUUUGUGAAAUAUUGUUCUCUCUAUGGUGGUAUGUGGAAUUUUGUCUUGCAGAGCUGGACACAAUUAAAGUGUUCGAAGAUUACUUUGGAGUAUUCGGACAUGGAACCCACCUUGCAAUACCAAAUACAAUCUGCGUGCCAGACUCAUCGUCAUUGAAGCCUGGUUCAGGUGCUACUAAGGGAGUCCUGGAUAAGGGGGUAUCCGGACAGCCGGACUAUAUACUUUGGCCGAACUAUUGGACUAUGAAGAUACAAGAUUAAAGACUCCGUCCCGUGUCCGGAUGGAACUCUCCUUUGCAUGGAAGGAAAGCUUGGCGAUUCGGAUGAUAGAUCUCCUUCUCUGUAACUGACUCUGUGUAACCCUAGCCCCCUCCGGUGUCUAUAUAAACCGGAGGGUUUUAGUCCGUAGAACAAGACAAUCAUAAUCAUAGGCUAGCUCCUAGGGUUUAGCCUCUACGAUCUCGUGGUAGAUCAACUCUUGUAAUACUCAUAUCAUCAAGAUCAAUCAAGCAAGAAGUAGGGUAUUACCUCCAUCGAGAGGGCCUGAACCUGGGUAAACAUCGUGUCCCCAGUCUCCUGUUACCAUUAGCCUUAGACGCACAGUUCGGGACCCCCUACCCAAUAUCCGCCGGUUUUGACACCGACAGCCAUCCUCUCACUCAAUGGCAACGAGCGCGUUGGAGCACUGAAUUGCGACCAGAACAGCCUUUCUAUUUCAUUAUCUUUAUGAUCCUUGAAUAAGUUGGUCGCAUCAGCCGUACUUUUUGCCAGAUCCGCAUACGCGUUUGCAGCGCUCCAAAGCCGAUCCAGAGGAGCGUACUUCAGAUCCAAGAACUUCAUCCGCAACAAAUAGGGGCUUCCAGCCGCGAUUUCUCCACCCUAUCGAAGCUCCUCCCACGUGUCUCUAAUCUCAGAACGCGUCUCCUUGGCCGCAUCAAGGUCCUUCUUCUGGUCAGCCGAUUUUGCCUGAUUCUCCUAUUCAAGGAGCUCAUACCGGCCGGCAAUGUUCUUCAGCUCCAAAGCCAUCUCGGCUAUCUUAUCUUCGCUUUGGCGAUGAGCAGCCUGUUCGGCUCUCAAAUCUUCAGCCGCCUUUAAGGCAGCCGCAUUACUAUCCCGGGCUUGUUCCUUGGCCAGGGCAAGUUCCGCCCUCAGGGCCUCCACGGUAGCAGCUCCGCCUGCAGCCAAAAGCAUAUUAACAAUAUGCUCCUCCUCUUAAUAUUCCCUAAAAUAAAUAAGGAAAAAAGAACACAUAUUCUGUGACUCGUCAAGCCGCUCAUUUUCAAGCGUGAUGUCGGCGUCCACCACAUCAAUCUCUCACCUUAGUUCGGCGAAUUCAGCGGUCCGGUCUAUUGCCGGCCCCUUAGCCACCUGUGCAUGAAUGCAGUGGGAUCAUUACUUAAGAGUGUGAUCCUCCGUUUGCCGCCUAGGGCUGGUAACCAGAGUCUCAGGGGCUACUAUCUAUACGAAGCACACCUAGCACGUGCAGUACAACCGAAAAAUUACGUAUUGCAUUACGUACCUCAAAGCCUUUGAGCAGGCUCACAAAAGCUUCAUUCAACCCGCUUGUGGCAGAUGAGAUCUUCUCAAAAACCGUACCCAUCAACGUAAGGUGAUCCUCCGAUAAAGCAGCUUGCUCCAAAAAUCCCGUCAGUGUGUCUGGCUGGGCGUCGGACUGUCCUGGACCCUUCCUAUUACCCCCCAUGGGAGCCGAACACUCCGGGCUCAGGGCAGCCGAAGUAUUAGCUUCUGGCCUCGGCGGAUCCAGACUCCUCCGUGAUGACACCUCAGGGUCGCCUGCCCCAUGGGGCGGAGAGGCAGGUGGGGUUUCACUCUCCAUCAUCUCCGGAAGAAGGUCCCCCGAAGACGAACUCUGUUGAGAAGAGCUACUAGCCGAACUGCAAAGGAUAGAUCCUGGUUAUUGUUCUUGGAGGAAGAAGAGAUAACUUUUUAUUCACGAUUAACUUACAGCUUGGUGGGGGGCUGGCCCGUUUGCAGGCAUAGUGCGGUGAGGAUGCCCUUCGAGGCAGGGCCCCCUGGUGAAGUUUUCUUCCCUUGUUUAGGCACCUCCGUUUCCAAGUCUUCAGAGGCGGCCCUUUUGUUCCCACAGGGGGAGGAAACAUUGGAUUCACCUCCCCGGUUAUCCUCCUUCGAGGAGGUAGUAAUUCCCCUGGUUUGGAUGCGCAAUGUGUGAAGAUCGGCUUCUUUAUUCUUCCCAUCGUCUUUCCCCGAGGGCACUUGACUUAGCGCACAUCUAAGCGUCCUGGCUAUUGCAGGACAAGGCGAGCCUUCGGGAAGUGGGGCCGGACACCUGAUCCUUUCCGCCUUACUUAGCCAAUCCUAGCCGCGGACAGGUUUUCAGAAUAAUGUUGUGAUAAAUGUAAAACAAAGUGUUCGAUUACAAGGUCUUACUUGGGUAUCUGGGCAGUUGCAGCUCAGGCCCGCAUCCUCGGUGGCGUCCGAACACUUUAUUCAUGGUCCGAAGAAUAACCUAUAUAUCCCUUCAAGCGUCAUGCCGAAGAAGUGCUGGAUAGUUCGUGGACCUUCUAGGUUGAACUCCCACAUACAGAGAGGUCGUCAUUUGCACGGCAGGGUCCGUCGAACUAGCAUUACCUAAAUUAUCCUGAUAAGAUUGAUAUCCCUUUCAAGAAGCUCCCGAAUGCGUCUCUGCAAUGUCGGUACGUCAUUAGCAGGCCCCCAGUCCAGUCCCAUGUUAGCCCACGACGCUAGUUGAGGCGGAAGGCAGGGGCAGCCGCCCACUUUGUGCCUCGGGGAGCUGUGAUAUAGAACCACCUCCGUUGCCACAGAUCGAACACCUCUGGGAAGGAAUCCUCUGGCCAUGGGGCAUCGGCGUUUCUGCUUAUUGCAGCGCCUCCGCACUCUACGUGAUGCCCCUCGAUCACCUUCGGCUUCACAUUGAAGGUAUUGAGCCAUAAGCCAAAGUGUGGGGUGAUAUGGGGGAAAGCUUCACACACGAUGAUAAAUGACGAGAUGUGAAGGAUGGAAUCUGGAGCUAGAUCGUGAAAAUCUAAGCCAUAAUAGAACAUGAGCCCUCUCACGAAGGGAUCAAGGGUAAAGCCCAAGCCUCGGAGGAAGUGAGAAAUGAAUACAACGCUCUCGUUGGGUUCGGGAGUGGGGAUGACCUGCCCUAGAGCAGGAAGCCUGUGCUCCCUGAGCUUCGCAAUGUCCUCCUCUGUGACAGAGGAAGCCAUCCACCGGCCUUGAAGGUUGGAUCUAGACAUGAUUGAAGGUUGUUGCCUAAGCUUGAGCUUCGGGUGUUGGAACUCGAGAUGCGGAAAGGCGCAAGCGUGGUAAGAAAGAGGGAUAGGCCUCGGCCCCUCUAUAAAGGGGGUGAAUAUCAAGCAUCCACGACGUGACCAUUUGGGACUUGCCUAAAAUUGAGGAAUCAUACCAACAUGCGCAGUUGGGUUACCCACGCACGUAUUGAUGAGAAUCCCGCGAUAAGGGGAACCCGAUCUCUGCUUCGACAAGACGUGUCAAUAAAACCGCCUCGCAACAUGUGUAGUGGCAUGCUGGGAAAAACGGUUCGUAGUAACCGAGCUACGGUGUGGUGUCAUGCUAGGAAAAGCUGUCAGCGGAUUGGAUUUGUGGAAUAUUAUGCUCUCUACGGUGGUAUGUGGAAUUUAUUUUGUAGAGCCAGACACGAUACUUGUGUUAGAAAUCUUCUAUGGAGUAUUCGGAGAUGGAACCUGCCUUGCAAUGUCGAAGACAAUCUGCGCGCCGGACUCAUCGUCGUUGAAGCCUGGUUCAGGGGCUAAUGAGGGAGUCCUGGAUUAGGGGGUAUCCGAACAGCCGGACUAUAUACUUUGGUCGGACUAUUGGACUAUGAAGAUACAAGAUUGAAGACUUCCUCCCGUGUCCAGAUGGGACUCUCCUUUGCAUGGAAGGCAAGCUUGGCGAUUCGGAUAUUAGAUCUCCUCCUUUUGUAACCGACUCUGUGUAACCCUAACCUCCUCCGGUGUCUAUAUAAACCGGAGGAUUUAGUCCGUAGGACAACAACAAUCAUUAUCAUAGGCUAGCUCCUAGGGUUUAGCCUCUACGAUCUCGUGGUAGAUCAACUCUUGUAAUACUCAUAUCAUCAAUAUCAAUCAAGCAGGAAGUAGGCUAUUACCUCCAUCCAGAGGGCCCGAACCUAGGUAAAACAUCGUGUCCCCUACCUCCUGUUACCAUUAGCCUUAGACGCAUAGUUCGGGACCCCCUACUCGAGAUUCGCCGGUUUUGACACCGACAAUCACUCUCAUCAUUAAUAGUAUGAAUAGCACCAACGGUAUAACAAUUGCUAUCAUCAUAAUUUCCCAAGUUGGUGCCAAAAAGAUUUUCAAGCUUAUAAUAAGUAUCAUUAUCUUCCCAAUUAUAAUCAUCACAACAAGCAAUAGGCAUAACAAAAUCAUCAUCAAUAGUGCUCUCGGACAUUCUGCCAUAAGACAUAGAAGCAAUAUCAUCAUCAAGUGCAUCAUCUUAUUUUUUAUCCAUUUUCAUGAGGAACAACAAUAAUAGGAGCAACAUUAUUUGGGAGACAUACCUUUUUACCUCUAUUAUUUCUUCUUUUCUUCUUCUUCACCACAUCAUGUGUGGAUUUAAUUAAUUUUUUCAAGCUUCUUAUUGAUGAGCUUGGUUGAAUAGGGAGCUCCUCCUCGUCACCUAUUUCAUCAUGAGAGACAAUAAGAGGGGAAGUGGAAAUCUUUAUCCUUUCAUUAGUAUUCCUUUCAUAUUCUAUUGGUUUUACCAUCUUUCUAUAGUUGGCAAUAUAAGCAUUCUCAUUACAAUUUACCAUGCAAAACAUAUAGAUAUUCUUUAGCUUAGUUUGAGUGUCCUCCGUGAGAAUGAAUACUUCAAAUCAACUAUUUUUAUGUGUCAAUUCUUCACUCCCCAAAAAUAUACAAAGCUCAUUAUAAAGUUCAAGGGUGAUCAAGUUAUUGCAAUAUUUGGACAUGACUCGAUCAUGGAAAAGCAUGCAUUGGAAUUUAAGGUGACCUACUUUAUUGCGAAGUUCACAAGUAAUAGGACAAAGAGAGCAUAAUUUUAUAGCAAAUUCAUCUAUCACUUUGAGCAAAGAAUAGGUUCUAUCAUGUUUAUGCUUGUUACAAAAUCUAUCUUCCCUAUAAGGCAUGUAUUCACAAACUUUAAACACUCCACAAAAAUUGACAUUCUUAUAGGAAACAUUUUUUGUCAUGACUUGUGCAAUCAUCAUUAGCAUUUUGGAUAUUCAAAGAAUUCAUACUAACAAAUUGCAAUCAUGCUCAUCAUUCAAAUAUUUUGUGCCAAACAUUUUAUUGACUUCUUCUUCUAACAGUUGAGCACAAUUUUUUGAUCCAUCAUUUUCAUGAAAGAUAUUAUAAAGAUGAUCAGUAAUAUGAUGCAACCUCAAUUCCAUUUUUAUGUAGUUUUCUUUUGUAAACCAAACUAGUGGUAAAACAAGAAACUAAAAGAUUCAAUUGCAAGAUCUAAAGAUAUACCUUCAAGCACUCACCUCCUCGACAAAGGCGCCAAAAAAGAGCUUGAUGUCUACUAUGCCACUUUAUUCUUGCAGACACAUGUUGGGACUCCAAGCGCAGAGUUUUGUAGGACAGUUGCAAUUUUCCCUCAAGUGGAUGACCUAAGGUUUAUCAAUCCGUGGGAGGCGUAGGAUGAAGAUGGUCUCCCUCAAACAACCCUGCAACCUAUCUCUUGUGUCCCAAACAGACCCAAUACAAUGGAAAAUUGUAUAGGUGCACUAGUUCGGUGAAGAUAUGGUGAUAAAAGUGUAAUAUGGAUGGUAGAAAUAUAUUUUAUAAUCUAAAUAAAUAAAAACAACAAGGUAGGAAUUGAUAAAAGUGAGCACAAACGGUAUUGCAAUGUUUGGAAACAAGGCCUAGGGUUCGUACUUCCGCUAGUGCAAUCUCUCAACAGUGCUAAUAUAAUUGGAUCAUAUAACCAUCCCUCAAAGUGCGAUGAAGAAUCACUCCAAAGUUCCUAUCAAGCGGAGAACAUAAGAAGAAAAUGUUUGUAGGGUACAAAACCAUCUCAAAUCUAUUCUUUUUGAUCGAUCUAUCCAAGAGAUCAUACUAAAAUAACACCAAAUAAUUUCAGAUUCACAAUACUCAAUCCAACACAAAGAACCUCAAAGAUUGCCCCAAGAUUUCUACCAGAGAAACAAAUACAAGAACGUGCAUCAACCCCUAUGCAUAGAUUACCCCAAUGUCACCUCGGAAAUUCGCGAGUUGAGCACCAAAACAUACAUCAAGUGAAUCAAUAUGAUACCCCAUUGUCACCACGAGUAUUCAUUUGCAAGACAUAUAUCAAGUGCUCUCAAAUCCAUAAAAGUAUUCAAUCCGAUAAAACAAAAUCUCAAAGGGAAAACUCAAUUCAUCACAAGAUAGAGAGGGGAAAACACCAUAUGAUCCGACUAUAUUAACAAAGCCCGCGAUACAUCAAGAUCAUGACAUCUCAAGACCACGAGAGAGAGAGAGAGAGAGAGAUUAAACACAUAGCUACUAGUACAAACCCUCAGCCCCAAGGGUGGACUACUCCCUCCUCAUCAUGGUGGCCGCCAGGAUGAUGAAGAUGGGCACCGGUGAUGAUUUCCCCCUCUGGCGGAGUGCCGAAACAGGGUCUAGAUUGGUUCUCGGUGGCUACAGAGGCUUGCGGAUGCGGAACUUCUCAUCUAGGGUUACCCUGAGGGUUUUUGGAAUAUUUGAUGAUUUAUAGGGCAAAGAGGGGGUGCAAGAGGCCACCGAGGUGGGCACAACCCACCAGGGCGCACCUGGGCCCCCAUGCCCGCUCUGGUGGGUUGUGCCCCCCUUGGGGCACCCCCAGGUGCUUCUCUGGCCCACAAAAUGUCUUCUUGUCCAUAAAAAAUCAACAAAAAGUUUCGCGGUGUUUGGACUCCGUUUGAUAUUGAUUUCCUGCGAUGUAAAAAACAAGCAAAAAACAGCAACUGGCACUGGGUCAAUAGGUUAUUCCCAAAAAAUGAUAUAAAGUUGCUACAAAAUGAUUGUAAAACAUCCAAUAAUGAUAAUAUAACUGCAUGAAUACUUCAUAAAUUAUAGAUACGUUUGGAGACGUAUCAAACAUCACUUUAUUUUUAUAGCCUGAUUUUUGUGGAUUUUUUAGAAAGUUACAAAUACAUUUUUUGCCACUCUAAGUUUUAGAAAGUGGUUACACCGGUACCCUGGAUCAUUCAAAUGGUCAUAUUAUUAUAUGAAAUUCAAUGUGCAUGGACGCGACCUCUAAAAUAUUACAUUGGCCCAUAAUAUUUCUGUUAUGUAAGGAUACAAGUCAAUAUUUCAAUUAAAUUGUACCAAAACUAGAAAGGAACCAUUAAUGGGGAAAAGGAAAGGGGUAUGAAUCAUUGUGCAUUUGCUCCUCUUUAUAAACACUGGUGCGGGAGAUAUAGUUUCAUAGAAGGACAACACCAAGAAAAAAUUAAGUAAUAGCAAGGCAGUCAUGAUGAUGGCACUUAUCAAGAAAAAGACACACAUUCUCUACGAUGUUGCUCUUUUGCUGAUGUGUACAACUUUUCUGUGUGGCCCUGCAGCAGCUGGGAGGGACAUAGGUAAUUUCCAAAUAUGUUUCUUGAAUGAGUUUCUCAAUAUUCAAUAGACCCAAAUGAUUAAGUAUCUUGUAUUCCAUAUGGAUUAAUUUGUAUGUUGUGGUGCUUCCUUCACUAUGUUUAGGUACCAACGCUGCAUUUGGAAACCAAUGUUUUACUUACUCGGUAUGCAUGGACCCAUAUCAAUACGCCGUUGAUUAUUGCAACAAAGAGUACAAAAUACUUGGCUAUGACGGGCAGAAAGGCUACUGCAAGAAGGAGAAUAACGGCGUGUGUUGUUGUGUUGCUCCCUCCCUAAUGUGAAAAUCAUGUUACACUAUCAUUUUAUAGAAAACCAUUGCAUCUAUUUGCUAGUCAAAAUAUCAAUUUAUGUGGAUUAUACAAGCAUUUCAAAAAAGUAUAGAGGUAGUUGCUUUCAAAGACCAACUAUAGUAGCCGAUCAAUUCUUCAGGUAAUAUGACACAACAAUGAGG